rnacentral:lncRNA from 1 species
CAAGGAAGAAGUCGGUGACAAGAUCAAUCAGAGCCGGUCUUCAAUUUCCAGUGGGAAGAAUCGGUAGAUACUUGAAGAAAGGAAGAUACGCUCAGCGUGUAGGCACAGGUGCUCCAGUAUACCUAGCAGCAGUUCUUGAAUAUCUCGCUGCUGAGGUUCUUGAGUUGGCUGGAAAUGCAGCACGUGAUAACAAGAAGAAUAGAAUCAUUCCAAGGCAUGUGUUGUUGGCUGUUAGGAAUGAUGAAGAACUUGGUAAAUUGCUUAAUGGUGUUACCAUUGCUCAUGGUGGUGUUCUUCCAAACAUUAACCCAAUCCUAUUGCCUAAGAAGAAUGAAAAAACUGAUACUAAGGAGCCAAAGAAGGCUGGAAAGUCUCCAAAGAAGGCUUAGAUCUGAUCUGUUUUCAAUCUUUAGAUGAUUGUGUUUAUAUCUAAGACUAGGGUUACUUUAUGUGAUAUAAAUCGGUUUUAGUGCUUUCAUAUAAUGCAAUGUAACUCCAUCUUAUUGCAUUUCUCCUUUAGGACUUUUAUCUAUCAAUGAAAUUUAUUCAAUUUCAAUAUUAUAAACUAGAAUCUUAUUGCAUUUCAAGAUUUUAAUAUUAUGAUAGUAAUUUAGUAAAUGAGAUUUAUACUUUAAAAGCUCAUUGGCUAAUUGUUACUUGUUCGUUAGUUUACAUAUUUGAAAAAGUCUUAGACCCUGUUUCUCCUAACCUGGUUUGAUAAAUCAGAAAAUUGUCUAUGUACAGAACUUUUAUCACAAAAUUAACUGCAGAUUAAUCCGAAGUUUGCUGUAAAUAGUUAAUUCUGUAGAAAAUAAAUUGGCACAAAUAUUAUAGAAAACUGGUGAUAAUGCUCUUUUGUUGUAGAAUUUCAAGAGGAAAGUAUGCUAGAGAAAAUUUGUUAUUGGAUGGGUGUUUAGCAAAAUCAAAAGAUUCUAAUUUGUGGAAUAAUAUGGUGAAAUUAUGGCCUAUAAUCUUUUUGUUAUUGGAUGAGUGUUUAACAAAAUCAAAAGAUUCUAAUUUGUGGAAAAAUAUGGUGAAAUUAUGGCCUAUAAUCUUAAGUAGCUUGACACAUAGGAUUAUUUGAAACAGUGAACCAUUUCAAGCUUGAGAGCAUUGUUGGUUUGAUGAGGGAUUAAAAGUGAUUGAUCUUGAUAUUAAUAUCUCUAGAACUUGUUAAUGAGCAAGAGGAAUAGAGAAUGAAUGAUUUGCAAGGGUAGUAAUGUUUGCGCGUGGCCUGGUGAGUUUUGUGGAAUUCUCAGUUGCUCAAAUAAACAUAUAUGUGGUGUUUUAUUUAACCUGUUUCCAGCUAUUGGUCACGGAUGUGUAAAAUUAAUGCCCCAAAGGGAAUACGUUUGCGUGGUUGCUUACACGAUAAACUCUUAAAGCAGAUUGCAGGUCAUACUGCACACUGUCACCACUGUAUAGAAACUAUCAAAACGACAUUGCAUGUUCUUCGCGGUUGUCUCUUAGCAAUGGUGACUUAACGCGGUUGAUUAUGGAUGUUUAUGGUGUUUCGUGAGGAGGAAGCCUUGGAGUGGACUGAUUUUUGGACGUCAUACUUUGUGUCAACUAGGUAAUCCUUGGCGUGUUAAUUGUUAUGUGGUUAGUGCUAAAACUGCUUCUGAGCAGAACACUACAAUGACUGUUUUGGAAAAUUUUUGGCAGGCCCCUGAAAGUGGUUGGAUUGGGUCCGUUUUAACAUGGAUGACACAUAAAGGAGGGAGUGUUGCUGGAAGUAGAGGAGUGUUGCAUGGGUAGAAUGACACAUUUGAUCUGUGUCUUUUCGAAGAGAUUGGGGGUGUGUAGCACGUAUGUGGCGGAACUUUUGGGAGUUUUUGAAGGUUUUAAUUUGGCUCGACCGCAUGGUUUCCAUAAGAUUGUGCUUCAUGUUGACUUGCAAGUAGUGGUUACUACGCUUUCAAAAUACAUGUAGCCACGAUCAAGAUAACUUGUGAUUAAAUUUAAAACUAGAUGCAAUUGGUACAAGUUUAAGAUCACAAGAACUUUGAACAUGAGAGCUGUGAAUAUGAAUGAACCUCAUGAGUUGUAGAAGCAUGAUCAGAAGCUAAACAGUUUCAGUAGCCACAAUGAGAAAUCCAAGCUAGCAAGAAAGAAAAAAAGUGAACUUUCCAAAUGAAGUUGUUGAAAAUUUAAGGUGUAAAUAUUAACAAAUAAUGAAAGUUUCAAGUGAAGGGAAUAAUACGGUUGUCAACAACUCUAGAAACAAAUUAGGAAAGAACUUGUUUUGUAGUGAAAAAAGGUAGAAGAAACAGAUGUUUCACAGACUUAUGUCACAUGAGCUGGUGGUAUACUAUUGUGGUCUCAAUGAUUUAAUAAUCGUUUAGUUUGGCAUUUGCAAUUGAAUUCUAGCAUCACAAUGCCACUUCAACAUGAAUUUUAGUGGUCUCAAUGAUUUAAUAAUCGUUUAGUUUGGCAUUUGCAAUUGAAUUCUAGCGUCACAAUGCCACUUUAACGUGAAUUUUAUGAAGCUAGAAAUUCUUGCUUCAGCCUAGACAUCGUUGAUGGCCUGUCCACCGCAAUUUUGAACACUGCAUUAGGAGGAUGUUUAUUAGGAUUACUGUGCUACUAAAGUUUUUUAAUUAAAAUACAAAAAAGUAUAUAGAAUAGAAAAGGUGAUGAUAUAGCUGAAGUGAUAAAAUUCCAAUCCGUUCAAUGACACCAAAAGGAGGGAAGAAGCCAUUAGUUUUUAACAUUUUAAGAUCUUAAUAUUAUGAUAGGAAUUUAGUACAAGAGAUUUAUACUUUAAAGUCCAUUUGCCAAUGUGCACUAGUUAACAUUUUUGAAAAAGCUUGAGACCUAUUUCUCCUAAGCUGAGUUUGAUAAACCAGAAAAUUGACUAUGUAUAGAACUUUACCACAAUUAUAAAACUGUAGUUUAAUUCCAAGUUUGCUGUAAAUAGUAAAAAAAUUGCUGCAGAAUAAUCUGCUAUAUCCUUGUUAUAACUUAUAAUGCUACUAAAAUAGUCCUGCAAUUUUUGUUAUAAUUCAGCAUAAGAUUUGUGUCCAAGUACUCUAGUGUGAUGGAAUACUCUGCAGUUCAGUGACCAAAUCAUUGCAGAGAAUUAUGGAUUUUACUUGUAACAUUCUUUUGAAAACAAAUUAUCACCAAUAUUAUAGAAAUCUGGUGAUAACGCUCUUUGUUGUAGAAUCUCAAGAAGAUAGUAUGAUAGAGAAAAUUUGUUAUUGGUUGAGGUUGUAGCAAAAUCAAAUGAUUCUAGUUUGUGGAAAGUUAUGGUGAAAUUAUAACUAAUGUCAGUAGCUUGGCGCAUUGGAUUUUUUGAAAUGGCGAACCAGUUCAAGCUUAGAAGUAUUGUUGGUUGGAUUAAGGAUUAAAACAGAUCAACCUUGUGGACCGUCAUAAUAUUCCUAAAGACCUUAAAGACAUCCGGAAGGGCGUCUAGACCCCUCAAGAAGGCCUUAAUACCAUUAAAAGAGGCCCAAGGGCCCCGGGUGCGCAUUAUCCAUGGCACCGCCUCAAUAAUCUCUAGAAUCUUCUAGAAACCGCCUCUAAAUACAUAAAUACCCUUAUUACUUGGAGACUAAGCAACCGAAACCCAAGCUCAUAGAAGCUAUAAAUACCACCCUUGAGAACAGUCUCAGGUAUCCAAUAGUCAGUCUAAAACCCUAAUAUACACGAUUCUUAACACUAGAAUCUCUUAUUGUGCUUUUUGCAAGUACCGUUGGCACCGUCUGUGGGAAACGGUAAAACUAACCUAGACCACACUCACAAACCUAAAAUCCCUCACGGCUAUCUCCAAAAUACGGUGGCCGGCAAAGAUCACAUGACAUUGUGAAAACGAUAAAAUUACUAAUAGAACAACUGAAGCGGCAAUAGGAAAUCCUUCAGACUUCUAAGACGAUUAUCCAUCCAAAAAGCGGUUUACAAAAUAACUCCCUUCCUAUAUGUUUCACGUGUUUUUGAUAGCAUUUGUUCUUUAUUUUUGCGAUUCAAUAUGUGUCAUGUUAUCUCUGUGAUUCUUGUAAAUCCCUUUCUUGAUAAGUACAUAUAUACACUGGAAUGACAAUUACCUUGCAGUAAUCACAAAUCGGUGACUCAAUCAUUCACAAGGGAGUCAAAAACUUUCUUGAAUCGGUGACAAAAAUAAUGAAUAUGUAUUUUAUUUAGUAUUCGCAAUCACGUGAUACCAUAACUGAUGUGAUUAUAAGCCUUUUAAAUCUCCAACCUAUUAUAUGAAUUGAUUUUUUAAGUGCUUGAUUUCAAUGGAUAUCAUGUUGAAUUGAUUUUUAUUAAGUGCAUGAUUUCAAUGGAUAUCAUGUGAUCUUCUAAUAUCGUUAUUCUUUUAUAUAUAUAUAAUUCUGCUUAUCAAGUAUCGGUAUAAGUUGCAAAGUGCUUUACAUUCUGUUUUCUCUUCCACAAAUGAUAAGGCUAUUAUACGAGGAAACCAUUAUAUACCAAAAUCUAUUGUUUUACUGUCUGUGACAGAAAAUUCCAGCAAGCAUAAUUGUAGUGGUGCUUAGGUCAAUGAAAAACACUACUUUGUUAUAGUUUUGUAGAGGAUAUGUUAUUAUUGAUUACUAACAAUUUUCUCCAUAUGCAAGCAUCAAAGUUCGGCAGGAAGCGACCAGAUACCGAGUUUUUUAAAAAAAAAAUAAAAAGAAAAAGUUCGGCAGCAAGCCGAGUCCAGCCUUAGGUCCAGUCCUGUUCAAGUUGGACGACCUUAUCCUUAUUGUCGCUGAGUCAAAGAAUAAAGGAAGUGAAGGAUAAUAAUCUAUCGCUUGACCGUCAUCCUCACCUUAAAAUCCACAAACAUUAUGGAGUAAUAUCAGGUUCGAUUUUUCCAAAAUUGUCAUUGGUGGAACUGACAUACUAUUUAUUCGAUGUUAUAUCAUUUAUUCAAAGUAUAUAAAACUCUACAAACUAAGCUUAGUUGCUGCCGCAAGGUCGUUUUAAAGAUUUUCAAUGAGAUAGUGAUACACUCUUGGAGGUAUUAAUCCUGCUCUUGAAUAAACUUUGCUAUACACAUGUGUCUUUAGGGCACAAGUUAACAUGACCCUUAUUCUAAAUGGGCGAGUGGGUAUAAGAGAAGUAAAAAUAAGAUAAUGGGCGAGUUAAUUCCAAUUUAAUUAGAUGAGUUAAAGUCACAAGUUGACAUGAGAGAGAAGCGAACAGAAGAAAAUAAGAAACAUAGGUAGAAGAAGUAGCCCCUUUUUAACACGAGACGAAAUAGAAUAAUAUAGUUGGAUAUUCAAGCAGAAGACGUAGUUCAUUUAAUAAGAGAAGAACUAGGAUAGUUGUAAUCAUACUUAUUGAAUAGCGUCAUAAAACAACUAACAAAAUUAUUUAAACACUAUUUAACUACUUGGACGUCCUGGUUAUCAGUGAAUGAAGAGAAAUGCUUGGUUGUUUUCUCAACCGCCAACAACGUCAGGAAAGAAUAUCAUAUUAUCUCUCAUACUUACCAAGCAGCGGUGGCGGUUUCUAUUUGUCUCUUGUAUACCACCGUUUUAUGUUUUACAUCUAUUUAUGUUGGGUAUAUUUAUGAUACUAAUUACUUUGGAAGUUUGGAAGAAUUGUUAUAUGUCAGAUAAAACAAGGUUGGGAUACUAACAAGCCCGCCCAGGGGCUAGAUGAAUGAAAGGAUAGAACUCGCCAAUCAACACGCCAUAAUUAAACGAGCAUGGAAGCAACAGUCACGCCAUGGAAAAAAUAAAGAUGAAACGCGGAAUUAUAUUCUAAAAUAACUUUUUCGACCUUUGAGAUUUGUUUUGCAGGUUUUUUAAAAAGAAGUUUAUCGAGAGACCGCCCAAACUGGGUCAACCUUUUAUAGGCUCUGAACUCGGUGGCCUGAUAAAAAGAAGAUUAUCGAGAGACCGCCCAAACUAGGUCAACCUUUUAUAGGCUCUGAACUCGGCGGCCCGAUAAAAAGAAGAUUAUCGAGAGACCGCCCAAACUGGGUCAACCUUUUAUAGGCUCUGAACUCGGCGGCCCGAUAAAAAGAAGACUACCGAGAGAGCGCCAUCAACCUUAUUAAAGGCUCUGCACUUGGUGACCCGGUAAAAAAAUUCGAGAGAGCGCCAUCAACCUUAUUAAAGGCUCUGCACUUGGUGACCUGGUAAAAAAAUCCGAGAGAGCGCCAUCAACCUUAUUAAAAGGCUCUGCACUUGGUGACCCGGUAAAAAAUCCGAGAGAGCGCCAUCAACCUUAUUAAAGGCUCUGCACUUGGUGACCUGGUAAAAAAUCCGAGAGAGUGCCAUCAACCUUAUUAAAGGCUCUGCACUUGGUGACCCGGUAAAAAAUCCGAGAGAGUGCCACCAACCUUAUUAAAGGCUCUGCACUUGGUGACCCGGUAAAAUAUCCGAGAGAGCGCCAUCAACCUUAUUAAAGGCUCUGCACUUGGCGACCCGGUAAAAAGAAGAUUAUAGGGAGGACGCCUAAACUGGGUCAACCUUUUAUAGGCUCUGAACUCGGCGACCCGAUAAAAGCUCAAAAGUCAUGAAGAUAGUAAUGUUAUGAAGACGUCUGCAUUUCGUUUAAAAUCAAACGCCAAAGAUCUCAUAAGAUUUAAAACACCACGCCUUGUACCAAGACUUGUGCUUGGGGGCUGUGGACCGUCCUAAUAUUCUUCAAAGCUUGGAAACCCUCGGAAAGGUCUUAAAUGCCCUUCGUAAGGACCUAAAAGGUUUUCCAAAAGGGUUACUGGGUUUAGGCGCCCCCUCCCGAACCUUCAGAACUUGCCUAAAAGUAUUCUAAAGAAGUCUUAAGCUUUAAAAGCACCACGCCUUGUACCAAGACUUGUGCUUGGGGGCUGUGGACCGUCAUAAUAUUCCUAAGUAGCGUAGAACGCCUUUGGCAAAAACCUAAAUGUUUUUCUAUAGAUUUUAAGAGUUUAAGCGUAUCCUCUCAAGGGAUGCCGCCCUCAUAAACCUCUAGAUGCUUCUAAAAAACAUCUCGCCCCAAAGCAGUGAAGGUAUUCUGAAAAGUACAUAAGCUUGAAAAGCACCACGCCUUGUACCAAGACUUGUGCUUGGGGGCUGGGGACCGUCAUAAUAUUCCUAAAGACCUUAAAGACCUCCGGAAGGGCGUCUAGACCCCUCAAGAAGGCCUUAAUACCAUUAAAAGAGGCCCAAGGGCCCCGGGCGCGCAUUAUCCAUGGCGCCGCCUCAAUAAUCUUUAGAAUCUUCUAGAAACCGCCCCUAAAUACAUAAAUACCCCUAUUACUUGGAGUCUAAGCAACCGAAACCCAAGCCCAUAGAAGGCUAUAAAUACCACCCUUGACAACACUCUCAGGUAUCCAAUAGUCAAUCUAAAACCCUAAUAUACGAUUCUUAACCCUAGAAUCUCUUAUUGUGCUUUUUGCAAAUACACCUUGAUAUUAAUAUCCCUAUUGGCAUGCAAUAUGUUAAAGUUGAAGAGCUUGUCAAUGAGCAUGAGGAGUGGAGAAUGAAUCAUUUGCAAGGAUAACUCCCUGUUGAAAUUCUGGACAGAUAUAGAGCCAUCCCGCCGCCAAAUAUUGAUUAUGGUAACUAUGUUUGUGCGUAGGGCCUGGUGUGAGUGUUGGUGAUUUCUCACUUGCUCAAACUUAUAAAGAGUUAUGUGGUGAUUUAGCUGAACCAAUUUUCAGCUAUUGGAUGUGCGUGUUGAAAAAUAAUGCCCGAGAGCUCAAACAAGAUGGACGGUUAACUAAUAGCAGUUUGCAGGACAUGCAUCUCAGAACUGCGUACUGUCAUCACUUAAUAGAUACUAUCGAAAGGAUAUUGCAUGUUCUUCGCGAUUAUCCCAUAGCAAUGGUUGUUUGCUUAGGACUGUUAAUUUUAGAUAUCACAAGGAACUUUUCAACGCAGAUUUGCAGCAAUGGUUGGAUAUGAGUAUGGAUAUAGUGUUGAGUGAGGGGAAGACCCGAAAUUGGACUGGUUUUUGGGCUAAGGCAUGUCAUACUUCGUGGAAUUGGAGGAACAGAAGGAUGCAUGAUGAGGAUUUUGUGUCACCUAGUAAUCCUUGGCUGGAAAUUAGCAGGCUUGUUAAUUGUCAUGCAGCUAGUGCUAAAACUGCUACUAUAUAUGCAAAACAUUACAAUGACAAUUUUGGAAAAUAUCAACUGGCAGCCUCCCUAAAAGUGGUUGGAUUCGUUUGAUCACCGAUGGCACAUAUAAAGGAGGGAGUGUUGCAUGGGGAGAAUGGCAAAUUGAUCAGUGUCUUUUGGAAGAGAUUGCGGGCAAGCAGCGCGUAUGUGGCAGAACUUUGGAUAGAUUUUGAAGGUUUGAAUUUGGCUAGUUUCCAUAAGAUCGAGCUUCAUUUUCACUCGCAAGUAGUGGUUUUACGCUUUCAGAUAGUAAAUGAGGGACUGUGGCAGGUAAGAGUAUAGUGCAAAACAUCAGACAUUAAGUGAAGUGGGAUUGGAAAAUUGUGGAGUGCUUUAAUGUCUGAUGUUUUGCAACAUAGUAGAUCAGUUGUGGAAAUUGUGGCGUCGAUAUUGUUGUAAUUAUUGGAUAUUUCAAAAGUAUUUUUAGUUCAAGAGUUAUUGUUAUCAAUAAUGAGUUUUUGCUCAAUUUUAUUGUGCUUGACCGUUUCCAUUAUAUGCUUUUAUGAAAUAAUAUUUUCAGUAAUUUUAUUUAACAAUUCUUCAAAAGGAAAUUGUAUAUGUGCUUCAUACUGAGUCAAACACAUUUAUAACGUUCCUAUUUAUUAGCCAAUUUUAAGGCGUUAUUUUUCUGAACCCAACAGUUACAGAUUGCCAACAAAACAAUUUUGACUCACGUACUAAAUGAAUGUUACACGUUUUGACUUGGUUUUGUGCAGUAUAAAUACAAAACAAUUAUCUCCUUUGACAGGCUAAUUUUGUUAGUAGUUCAACGUUUUCCUUUUACAUAGAAGAAACCCCUCUUUACUUUUUAUGCUUCAAGUUUUACAUGAAAAGAUUUUUAUGAGUCUUAUACACAACAGUUAUGGGAGGAUAUGCGCUUAUGAACCAGAUAAAAUCUUCAAAAUUGUUGAAAAAUUUACUUAUAAUAAUUAUCUCUAAAUAAUAUCAAACCAACAUCGGGAGGAUAUUGCAUUUUAACAAAUCAACACUGAUAGGUUGCCAAACUGCAACAUGUGUCGUGUCUGUUGCUGAGUCGUGGUCUGAUAUGAUGUACUCUCCUAGCACAUUGCCAAACGCUAAGAGUAAAAAGGUUAGAAUGCUCGUAAGAGUAAAAAAUGACCUAAAUCUUAGUUAUGAGAAGUUGACUAGAAAAAGAAAGGCAAAUAUACCAUGGAAAAUGAAAAAAUCUUUAAUAUUUUUGGUAAUUUACUCCUAACUUUACUACUAUAUAUAUAUUUUUGUAAUAUAAGUCACUUAUAUUUCAGCUAUGAAGGAAAAUUUUGCAGCAACAAAUGUUUGUACAAAUACCCAGCAUGCAAGUCAUACUUUUACUCAAUUGUUGACUAUAAGCAAGUUUUUCAUUCAUUUGUACAAUAUUAUUUCUAAACUAUCUUUUAUAAAAUAUUAUUUAGAUCUUGUUAACAAGUGCCUUUAGGACACUAGUUAAAGAUUUUAAAAUAGAAAUAAUUGGUAAGUUUUUAUGUAAAAAAGAUUAUUUUUCAAGUUUCAAAGUUUUGAAUGCAUCAAUCCUAAGAUAAAACUUCUUCUUUAAGCUUCUUAACAAAACACUUGUUAACAUUUUCCAUAUUAUUUAACCUUGAUAAUCAUAUGCAACACCCACUAAGCUACAAUUUGAUUUCUCUAUGUUCAAAUCUUGGAAAAAUUAAAAAUAACUAACGUAAUAUAAUUUUGGUUAUAAGAAAUGAUAUAAUGAAAUAACUUCAAUGAAUGAGAAGCUGCCUAUAAUAUUGAACAAAAGACACAUAAUUUUCCUUCAAAAAAAAAAGAAAAAAGACACAGCAUUUAUACAUGUGUGAUAAUUUUAUUCAUUUAAAUAAAAAAAUAAUUUUUAUUCAAUAGAGUGAAUUUUAACUAUCCUAUAUAACAUUCCUUCAAAAAAAAAAAAACUAUACUACAUAUUAUAAUUACUGAAAAAUAUAAAAGUAAAACCCUAAAAAAAUGUACAAUAAAGAUUUUUGAAAAAUUAAAAUCAAUGUUUCUUAGUGGUGGUUUUUUUUUUUUUGAAUAACUAGUAGUGGAUUUUUUAUUUGGCUGCUUUAAACAAAACAAAAAAACUCUUUCAAAAACUAAACCGGGAAAACAAGGAAACAAAAUAAGGAAAAAACGUUUCAACCAGCACAUCGAUCCGUAUCAUCGUUGUAUCAAAACAAAAUCCUGAGCGUCCAUCACUAUCUCCUUCUAACGGAUGAAAAAAUUCCACGUCAUCGAUCCACGGCAACCUUCACUAGCCAAUAGAAAUGCGAGAGCUAUCUUAUAUAUUAGUCAAACCGCAUCUAUCGUUUUUCAUCACCAUCUACUUUUCUUCUGCAAUCGUUUAAUUUUCAAUUCCCAAUUCAAAACCCUAACUUUCUUCCAAGUUCCAAAUUCUCAAUGGCACCAAAGGGAGAGAAGAAGCCAGCAGAGAAGAAACCAGCUGAGGAGAAGAAGUCCACCGUCGCCGAGAAAGCUCCUGCUGAGAAGAAGCCCAAGGCUGGAAAGAAGCUUCCAAAGGAAGGUGGUUCAGCCGCCGGAGAUAAGAAGAAGAAGAGAAGCAAGAAGAAUGUUGAAACAUACAAGAUCUACAUCUUCAAAGUUCUGAAGCAGGUUCACCCAGACAUUGGUAUCUCAAGCAAGGCCAUGGGUAUCAUGAACAGUUUCAUCAAUGAUAUCUUCGAGAAGCUUGCUCAAGAAUCAUCCAGACUUGCUCGUUACAACAAGAAGCCAACAAUCACUUCAAGGGAAAUUCAGACUGCAGUCAGGCUUGUUCUUCCUGGUGAAUUGGCCAAGCAUGCUGUCUCUGAGGGAACCAAAGCUGUGACCAAGUUUACUAGUUCUUAGAUUUGUUGGGAUCUAAUUGUAGGAACCAUUGGUAGUUUUAAAUUUUAAUGAAGUAAUGGCUUUUGUGUAUGAAGUAUGAUAAUGGUGAAAUUUAAUGAAAUCGGACUUCAAAAAUGUUUCUAUUGUUCAAUUUGGUUGAUUUUGCACUUGUUUAAUUUUUUUUAGUAAGCUUGCUGGUUAAAUUAACUUUAUCAGAUUUUAGGAUCGUCAGAUAUUUUAAUUGACGUGUCGAGAAAUGCUGAAGAGUUUGUUGUUGUCUUUAAUCAGAGCCUGGCAAAAACCCCCCACAGAUACCUUGAUUAAUUAAACGACGAUAUUCUAAUAAGCCUUGGAAAAUCCGAAAAAAAAAAGUAGAUAAAUUAGAAUAUAGUCAAAAGUUCCGUCAAAAACAAAAAUCAAUUCUCUUCUAAUAAGUAGAUCUUGUUUUUUAGUAGUAUCAUCACACAAUACACAUUCACAACUCCUCGCAACAAUGUUGUUCUUCUUACAAGACCCGUCACUCUUCAGCUACUCCCUCCACACACUUUUCCUCAUAGCACCACCAACCUUCAUCUCUCUCACAUUCCUCCAAGCUCCAUACGGUAAACACCAUAGACCAGGUUGGGGUCCAAAUCUCUCUCCACCUCUUGCAUGGUUUCUCAUGGAAAGUCCUACUCUCUGGUUCACCCUUUAUCUUUUCCCACACGGUAGCAACUCCUCAAAUCCAAAAUCAAUAAUCCUCAUAACCCCUUUUCUUGUUCAUUACUUCAACCGCACAAUAAUCUACCCUCUUCGUUUAUUCUUCACAAAAACAACAAAAAACCCAUCUGGGUUUCCUUUUAGUAUAGCUGUUAUAGCUUUUUUGUUCAAUUUGUUGAAUUCUUUUGUUCAAGCUAGAUGGGUUUCUCACUACAAAGAUUUUGAUGAUGGAUGGUGUUUUUGGGUUGUGUUUUUUUGUGGGGUUUUUGUUUUUUUUGUUGGGAUGAUGAUUAAUGUUUUGUCGGAUAAGGAAUUGUUGAGACUUAAAAGUGAAGGGAAAGGAUAUUUAAUUCCUAAAGGAGGGUUGUUUGAGGUUGUGAGUUGUCCUAAUUAUUUUGGGGAGAUUGUGGAGUGGUUUGGUUGGGCUUUGAUGACAUGGUCUUGGGCUGGAUUGGGCUUUUUUCUUUAUACUUUUGCUAAUUUGGGGCCUAGGGCACGUGCUAAUCAUCAAUGGUAUUUGGAGAAAUUUGGAGAGGAUUAUCCUAAGAAAAGAAAAGCUGUUAUUCCUUACUUGUAUUGAUUUUUGUUAUGAAUUGUUCUGUAUACAUAUGUUGAAUAAUAUUGCAGUUAUACUGUUUUAAUUGUUCAAUUUUUAUAGCCAUACUACAGCUAAUUAAUAUCACUUGAUUUUUGAAAUUGCAAUCCAGAAUGAAGAUCUUUGGCAAAAAUAAACAAAUAAUCUACCCCUAUGUAUAUUACCUCAACUAAAAAUCUAAUGGUAAUAAUAGACUGAAAACAGUGAUAAUGAUAGAAUUAUCAUAGACAAUAACUAUGAAAACAAUCAUAAUCGCAAAUGUUUAACAGAUAUAUUUGUUCGCAGCAGUAAGACUAAAUCACAUAUACAAGUUUGUUGAUUGGUAUUCAACUAAUAAGCGAUGUUGUAUUUAUGUAUCUAUAAACGGCAAAGGCUAAGAUGGUUUGGUUCAAAGUCAGUUCUCAAUGCAGUAUAUGCUGAUGCUGAGGUAAUUAUUUGGUUCUAUUCAUUGACUCUUUAUGUGGCCGAGAAAGUUAGGUUUCUGUGCAAUACACACACACACACACACACACACAUGAUCAUUAUGAUUCUAUUCAAUGUCUGUAUUUGCUAUGCUACAUAUCUAGGAGAUAUUUGAAAGAGCUUGUUUAUUUUUAUCUUACACCAUACUAUUACUAAUCGUUUUUAAUAGUGUUUGAACUUGAGUUCAUUUAUACGAAUAACUUAUGACAUGUUUAUUAGUUGCUUUCAACUUAUUUCAAUACACUCUCUAUAAUAGCAUUGAAUAAGCACUUAAUUAAGCUCCUUAAAAGAUUGUAUUGAGUAAUCGCCUAAUUAACUCAUUUAACCAAAAGCAUCCUUAGUAACAUAACAUAUUUUAAAUUAUUGGGUAUCCCUCCCCAAUGCUCAUCUUUUCCACCAUCUUUUCUUCUCAGUUUCUUUACUAGAAUAUUGAGUGAUAUGCUCUUAAGGCAGGAGGAUCUAUCUAUGGCUCUUGCAUUAGCCAGCACAUGGACCAUGUUCAUUGCAUUUGGAAGUUUAGUGUGUAUUGGGCCAAUAUCUUACACCGUUGGCAUGGCUUAUCAAAAUGCCUUCAGUUCAGGUUUAUCAUAUAUAUAGUAGCCAGCCAGCUGCAUUCGGGUUUCUGGCCUCGGUGAAUAGCAUUAUGUUCAUUGUGUUGUGUCAGCUUCAGGUAAAAAUCUCUCUGCUGUUAUCACUCUUCUUCAUUUGACGCUUUAAUUUUCAAAUUUAUUUCUACUGAAUACAACAUUUCAAUUGUGUUCAAUUGGUUGGAAAGUUCUCUUUAUGUAGCCUCAGAAAACUAAUCAAUUAUUCCUCACAUUGCCACUGCUUAUGUGUAUGUAUUUUCACAGUUAAGGUGCUUCAAGGACUGUGGAGGAAUGAUUUGGUGUCACUAAAAGGUGCAUGUCCAAAUUGUGGAGAAGAGGUUAGUUCACUUUGCAAGUGAACAUUCAUAUAAUUCAUGUUUAUGUCUGUCGAGCUUGAGGGGGCACACGUGUAAAGUUUAACUACGCUUAACUCAAACGUACUGGAUUGGGUUGAUUUCUUUCAGGUAUUCGCAUUUGUGAGAAUAGACAGGAAUAUUGACUCACCUCACAAACAGAUUGUCAUGUGUGUGUGUGAAUGCUUAUUAGAAUUUCGCACCAACAUGGAGGUAAUAAUGUGAAGCAUUUUUUUUUAACAUUUUACAAAAAUUUCGUUCAUAAAACUAGACUGCUGUUUGGCAAUGCAUGUAUUGUUAUGCCCUCCAAAAGAUGAUCCUGCAAUUUGCCUAACAGGUAGUGUUAUCAAUUUUCAGCGAUCAGUUUCAAGAUUCGGUAGACAGUGGGUUUAUGGGCGUAUUCACCUUGUUUCACCGAGAGGAAGAUCCCAACGCCAAAGGCAACUGUAAAUUACCUUUUCAGCUUUUGUGAUUUGCUUCAGCAAUAGUCAAUAGCAAGGAUAUGAAUAGCAUCAAUUUUUUUUUAACAGUUUUUGCCUGAAACCAAUUUGAUAUACUUUUUGUAAGGACGAAGUGGACAUGUUGGGAUGGACAAUUAUUUCUUUGAUUUGAAUGCAAAUUCAAUUGGUACUGUGCAAGAUUUUGCAGUUUGAUAUGCAACUUUUUUUUACAUAAUUCAUUUGAUAGCAGAUCUUAAGUAGAAUGUCCAUGUUUAUUUAUUUCAUUUGAUAAUAUUCAUUUUAUAGGAAUGUUGAAUUAUCAUGACAGUUGAUAAUCUCAUGUAAUGCAGAAACACAAUGGUUGUGUACACUUGUUGAUCUAUGUAUUCUUUUUCUUGUACAUGGUGCUAUUGCCACAGGUGCAGAUAUCAUUGUUGUAAAGAUUUAAAUUUUUAUUUUAAAAUUUCUCAAGAAGUGGAUGAUAAAAAGCAAAAUGAAAUGUGUGCAAGUUUUGUUGCAAAAAACAAAGCGAAUGAUAAGCUUUAUAUUUUUUUAACAUAUUGGAAGGUCAUCUUAAUAUCUAAUCCUAAAGUACAUUAUGCAUACCCCAUUUUCUAAACCCUAAUGCACUGGGCGGAAAAAUGCUCAUUAAUUGCCGAAUUUGAAAUUCAAAUUUCACUGCUAGGAAAUACAAAUUUUGUUGUUUGUCUGCCACACUCCUAUUUUUGUUCAAUUUCCAAAAAAAAAAGAUCAAACUCUGUCUUCUCUCAUUCUGGCACAAAUUUCUUUAGUUUCAUUCUUAUUGUCCCAAGGAAAAAAAAAAAAAACCGUUUGGGAUUACAGGAUGUUUUACACAUCCGAUCCUUUUAUGACCUUUUCCCCUUCUUCAUCUACCUUUCCUAUUAUCCAUGCCUUCUCUUUCUCUUCAACUUCAAUCCAUUUUUACUUUAAUGUCCCAUUUUCCUUUCUCUUAAUUCUAUUCAUCUCUUUCCCCUUUCUUCAUCAUUCCCGAUGAUCUCCUUUCUUAUUAUCUACUCCUUUCUACACCUCCUCACCAGAAACAUGCCACUCCUUACUCCUCCGAUUUGUCCUCAUCGCCGUUAUCGAUUUCAAAAGGUUUACGGCUAUUAUACGAAGCAAGAUUUAUGCGAAUCGAGAAACCUUGAUAACCAAUUUCAUCAUCAGAAGGAUUAGCAAGAUCAGCAAGAGCAGCGAUACCAGUUUCCAACUGAUUAUUCUACCAAGAGGUUCCAGAAAACCGAUAACCGGAGGAAGUUGUCAAGAUCGAAGUCAGUGGCUUCGGUUCUUCAUCGGUUAACGAUGGAAGAUCGACGACGCCGAACGCCGCCGUGACUUCCGACGUCGUCAGUUGUUUUGGUUGGAAGGAUAACGGCGGGUUCGGCGGUUGGUGGUGGUUUGUUUGGGACAGUGGUCGAUCUAUGGCUAAAGGUAAUUGUUAUAACAAAUUUGCAUUCUCUUAAUUGAAUUAAUGUCUCAAUUUUGAAUUUAGUUUUGCAAAAGUUCUUGGUCGGAUUCCUAUUCACCAAAUAACAAUACCUGAAAUUAAAGCAAUAGGGCUAAAGGUAAUUGUUUUUUCUUUUCCCUGGUAAAUAAUUUAGGAAUUGGAUGAUGGUUGCAGUGCAGUUCUGAAACAUAACACUGCUGUUUUGGUGCUAUCAUGAAUAGAGGGAGACAUUUAUGAACUGUUGUUGUGUUCACUGUGGCCGGUCACUUGCAACUGUGACAAUAAGAUAAAGGUUUAUUGUCCAUUUCUCUUAUUCUCUAUAAACAUUGUAUUUGGUACUAUUUGAUGAUUAUUUUGUCUGUUAUCUUUUGUAAAUGAGCUAUUAAUUAUGUUUCGGCUGAAUUAGGAGCUAAUGCUUCAUUGCAAAAUACAAAUCUUGAUUUCCAAUUUUUCUUCUUCUAACUUAUUGAUAGUUUCUUUUUAAAUUUUGAUAUCUGGUUGCAGGGGAAGGACUUUAGGAGGCAGAUGAGAAUGGUGAAUAUUUGGAUGUUUCCGAUAACGAUUAUGAUCAAAUAAUCAUAUUUGUUUCCGAUAUCAGGAUGAGAAGUAUUGUAGGUAAGUAAUAUGUCUCACUGUUCUAAAAGAAAUACAUUCAACUAUUAAUGAAUUAGUUAGAUAAAUAAUAAUGUGAUUGAUACUCCUGGAUGUGUCUUCUUGCCUGAAAACAAUUAUUUAUCCAUUGUUAGUUGCGAUGUUUCGAUAACAGUUCACAUUUGUAGGCUUAUAGCCAUUUUUUUUUCUACGCUAAGUAAAGAUUUUAUCUGUUUUUGUUUUGUUGUUGAAUUGAAUUAGAUAGUUGUGACAUGUGAUUUUUUAUAAGAUCAAAUGUUAAGUUAGUGUUUUUUCUUUAUAUAGCUUAUUUUUAAGUGAAGUAGAAUAUCAAUUUUUUUCCUGAUACAUGAAAUCAAAGGUCCUAUAUAUAAUUGUUAUAGAAUCACAAGUUUAAUGCUAACUGCAAAUUAUGCAGAUAUUUUGAGCAAAUUUUCAUCUUUAAUGUCAUAUGUCCAUUUUUCUCUAAGUCCCUUACUUUCCUUUAUCUGGAUUUUCCCCCCACUUUCCAUUGUUUUUUUUUCCUUUGCCAUUAUUUUUUCUAUCUUAUUACCAUUUUGUUCUAAUUAUUUAUGAAGUUCUUUCACUUUUUGACAUUGUACCAUCUACCUAUUGCGUUGGCUCUAGAAAUACCAGGUUAAUUCAUUUCUUUAUUUAAAGGCAUGGUUUUGAAAAGAAAAAUUUGAAAAACCUCCUAGAUUUUUUACAAAAUGCAUAAUGGAUAAGCAAAUGUAAACAGUCGCAUAAAAUAUGUGCCUUGGUUUGUAAUAAUUUUUGGAUUAGUUUCUUAGUUGAAUGCUUCUAUUUGAAGAUAUUGGCUUAGAAGUAAAAACUGGAAAUGAUUAUUGAUUGUGAUUAGCAAAAGAAUAUCAUAAACAAGCAUUUAGUAAAAUAUGGUUUAGUUAUAUGCAGACUGAUUUUCCUGUUUUAAAUCAAGACAAUGGUUUGUUUUAUAUGCAGACAUGUGAAGUUCGAGUCUUAAAUUGCUAAUACAUUGUGCUCAUCAUUGAAAACACGUUUGAGAGUUCCACAAUCUUUUUCAAAGUUUAAAUUGAAUGGGAAGGACUUUAUGAGAUAUAUGGCUCGAAAGUCAUUCAAAACACGUUUGAGAGUUCCACAAUCUUCUUUUGCCAAUAAUUGGGUCCCUAAAUCUUGAAAUGCAACAUAUUUGUUUAGUUUUAGUUUGGUUAUUUAUCUUAUUUUUAAAUCCAGUUUGCUCAUAAUAUUGUCUCAUUUUAUAUUCAAUUUAGUCCUAAUGACCCUUUAUUUUUUUCAAAUUGUUCUUUCGCUUCUAUGACAAAUUUAAGGAUCAUGAGUUGCGAGGAUUACAAUUUCAAAAGGUAAACAUUGUUGAACAUGAGAGGGCCAAGGUGUCUUCUUGAGAGACUGCAAUGAUCUUUUGUUGAAGAUAUAAAUUGACUUUUUUCCUGAUCUAUGUUUCUGGAGUUUUCAUUCUUUACUAUAUGUUACUACUACAUGUUUUCAUUCCAAAGCUGUCGUAUAAGUUUCCAGCAUCAUGGUCUUAAAACACAUGGUACUAACUCAUCAUUUAUCCUUAUGUAAUAUUUAUAUAACAAAUUUCUGGAAGCAAAUCAUUUGUAUAUUUUUUUGACAAGGCUCAAAUUCAAAGACAAUAUCAUACAUGUCCGAAUUCAUUUUUGGACUUUGGAAAGGCUUGAAAGUGCAAUAGAUAAAGAAAAGGAUUUACAGGAGAAUGUAAAAUGGUCAAGAGAGACAUAAAAAUGCUCAUUAAAAAUUUUCAUGAUGUAUAUGAUUGUAAAUUUAUAUCAAUGUAGUAUUAUUGUAAGACAAGAUUCUGUAUUGUAUUGAGCAUGAAGAAACCCACAAUGGCUUCCAUUUUUUCCCUUUUUUAAGUUGUAUUAUUAUUUUUAACAUUGUAUUUGCACAUACAGAUUCUUAGUUACAAUAUAAUUGAAUAUUUUGUUUGCAAUCAAUAUGACCCGUGCGGCCGCACGGGUGCAAGGUCUAGUUUCUAUAAGUCUUGUUGCAAAAUAUUUGAAGUACUUUCUUUCAUUUAUUAGAAUUUGUAGGACCAGUCGGUCUCUAAAAUUGGUGACAUAAGUUCAUAGCAUUCAAUCAUUUUCCUCCAACAAUGAUAGGUAAUUUUAAUUUGCAUAUAUUGACGGUGUAAAUUCACACAUAAGGUACAAUCAAUAAAACCACACAACAUAGAUAUAGAUAUUUGUAAAAAUAUUUUAAGAAUUAACCUAUAAAAGAAGUGUAAUUGUGUGAUUUAAUUGAAUUCAUAGUAAAAAAAAAAUUACACCAUCAAUUAAUCACAUUCGUUGUACGCAUAUAAAGUGUCCAUGAUCGAUUGUGGUAAAAUGACAUCAUAAUUUUUUAUUUUUUUAAUAUUGGCGGUGCAUUAAAAAUUAAACACUAAAUUAUCCUUAAAAUUUUGUUGUAGUACUGUUUGUGUAAAAUGUUUAACAAACUCAGAAAAAAUAUUUUAAAAUUAGUUGGUAUGAUAUAAUAUAUUGAUACCACAAUGUAAAACUGUUUUACACUAUUAAUACAUAUAAUUUUUUCACAAAAUAAUUUAAAUAUUUUUUUUUGAGGAAAAAUAAUUUUAAAUACUUGUUAUGCUAUUAAACACAACCAUGUUUCUUCAAAAAAAAAAAAAAAAAAUUGAACACGACCAUGUGAAUUUUUCUUUCAGUCUCCUCAAGAAAACAACCAAUUCAUAUUUUUUAGAGGAAAGUUACAAAUUCAUUUUUUUUAGAGGAAAAUUACAAAUUCAUCCAUAUUUCUUCAAUAUCAUUGCACAAGUCCACUUUACAACUACAUUUUUUGAUUCCCUCAAAAAAAAAAAAACAACAUUUUUUGAUAAAACAAAAAAAUUUAGAGUGAAGAUGAUGCUUUAAUUCAAAGAAGGAAAAAUCUUCCGACUUUUUACUUGAAGGGGAAAAAAAACUUUAGACUUAACAUUUACAAAAAUAUUUACAUUUACUUUCCUUUUUUUGUCAAGUAGUCUAGUGGUCAGAUUCACACACAUUAUGUAUAGAGAAGUAGGAAAUCUGAGGUUCGAACCCUAAACCCUACACAAAUUAUCCGUGAUAGUUACCAAAUGAGCUACACUUAUGGGACACAUUUACUUACCUUUAAAUGUAAAGAUAAUGCUGUAUUUUUUGUUAGGAUUAAUUAAGUAAAGAGUUUUUCUAUUUACACCCCAUGUUUUUCUAGUUACACCCGAAUUUUCUUAAAAUUUUUUUAUAAUAUCAAAAUUGUCCUUUUAUAUAAAUUUUAUUAAAACCUUAAUUUUAUUCAUUGUCAGUGAGUUUCACCCUCUUUCACCCCAUAAAGCGAUCGAUCAAACAAUUUGAUGUUCAAUAUCAAUCUCCAUGAAAAUUAAAGAGUGAAUCAAAAUAUUUUUCAUCCAUACUCAAUUGGAUAUAAGUAAGUGAAUUUCUUCUUCUAUUUGCUAGUUUCAAUUUUUUUCCUUCAACUGCACUGAUGCACUGUACGAUUACGGUUUUAAUUUACAUUGGCAAGGUUAACUUAAAUUCAGUUUAAGUAGGUUCAUGUAAACUACUUAAACUGAGUUUACAUGAACCUACUUAAAUUGAGUUAACAUGAACCUACUUAAACUGAGUUUACAUGAACAUACUUAAACUGAGUUUACAUGAACCUACUUAAACUGAGUUUACAAAAUUGCAGAACUGUGAAUCGCAGAACAAGGAAAACACAAAAUCAGAACUGAGAACCCAUAACAAGAAAAACACAAUCGAUUGAAGAACAACACUUGCUAACCUGAUUUGCUUCGAAUUUUCUUCGAAAUCAUGAAUGGACGUGAGAAAGUAUGGUUUUGAAAAUCUUCGCAGAACACAAUCGAUCGGUUGGAGAAUUAUGGUUUUGGAAGAAUGGUUUUGGGGUGUAACCAAAAAAAGAAGGAAUAGGCUUUUUGAAAAUCAAAUUUUAUGAAAGGAUAAUCUUGUCAUUUUGGGAUGCAACCAUGAUUAACUAGGGUGCAAGUAGAAAAACUCUUAAGUAAAUUGUCUGUAUUCUUUUUUGGUCGUUACAAAAAUUAUAUUUUUUAGUCUAUGUAAUAUUUUUUAUAGCAUUUUUAAGGAUAAAAAUGUGAUAGAAAAUAAAAAAUUUAAUUUUUAUAAGAAAAAAAAAACAAAAAUUUAUAUAUUUAUACAUGCAAUUUACUUAAUUAACGUAAAAAUAAACUUAAAUAAAUUGAUCUAUUUGUAAAGAUAAAACUUAAAAAUGAAAUGAUCUAGAAAACACUACACACACACCACUCUCUAUCCAUCUCCAUUUCAGUUCGAUUUGGAUUCGCCGAGCUCAUCCCCAUCGUGUUGUGAAUUAGGGUUUCUUAGUUUCAGAGAGAAACAAAAAAAUGGGUACUCCGCAGAAGGAGAAUGAAAGCAAGGGCUUCUUCUCCGCGAUGUCUUCCCGUUUUUCCGUCUUCAGCAACGCUAUGACCCGAUCUGUUAACGGGUAACUUCCCCUUCCUUAAUUCACCUCCAAAACCCCUUCAAUUUUUUUUUAUGAUUUAUAUAAUUCAUAAAUUCAUCAAGAUUGGUCAAUUUUAGUUUAAUCACUAAUACAUGCUAUGCAUUUUUGUGUUUUUUUAUUUUUUAUUUUUAAUAUUUGGUUUUAGGCUUCUUGGAUAUGAAGGUGUAGAAGUUAUAAACCCAGAUGGUGGUAAAGAUGAUGUAGAUGAUGAAGUUCAGAGAGGAAGAUGGAAACCUGAGGUGCUUAAUUUUGUUUCUUUUGUUUUCAACUUUUAUUCAUUGUUAAAGAUAAGGAAAGAUGCUAAGAUAUGUUAGAAAAUAGGAUACACACUGAUAGUGUAGACCAUUUUACACUAUCAUCCAAUAUGAACCGUGUAUUCCGCCAAAUUGCCCCACUAAACAGUAUGACAUGAAGAAAUAACAAUAUAGUAUGUGGUAGUUAAUCUUAAAAAGGCGUCCAUCCUCGUUAUAAACUAGUUUUAUACUUACAUAUAGUAAGAAUAGAGUAUGUGGUAGUUAUUUUUAAAAUAUAUCCAUCGUUAGUAUAAACUAGUUUUACACUGACAUCCAGUAAGAAUAGACAAUGGAGUAUGUAGUUAUUUUUAAAACUCUUUAUUUCAUGUCAUUUUUUUCGUUGUGUAACCCUUACUCUAUACAUGCUUGUAGUCUGAAAAUAAUUAUCCCUUUUUAUCUUUUUGGGUUUUAUAUAUACAGGAAAGAGAUGGUUACUGGAAGAUGAUGCAGAAUUAUAUUGGCGCAGAUGUAACGUCACUGGUGACGCUGCCGGUUAUUAUAUUUGAACCAAUGACUAUGCUUCAGAAAAUGGCUGAGGUCUGCUAGAUUUUAAGUUUUUCUGUUAAUAAUUUGUUAAUUUGUAUUGUUAGUUGACUGAUAUUGUAACAUUAAAUUUGUUUGAACUAGUUGAUGGAGUACUCUCACUUGUUAGAUCAAGCAGAUCAAUCAGAGGAUCCAUACAUGCAGUUGGUUUAUGCAUGUGAGUUAUUUUUCUCCCUUGUUUUUAUCAUAUAAUUUUCUUUUCUAGUUGAAUUGAAAAGUCAUCUUAGAGACAUAGUUUUUAGUAUCAAUGAUUAACAAAUAAGAAGCAUAUGAAUCAUCAGAACUAGUUUUGUUGAAGUAUUUGGAUGACCAGCCUUAUUUAUCUUAAACUGAUGCUUUUUGUAAUGAUUUUUAUUUUUCUUAUUGCAUUGAAGUAACUAUAAAUAUCAGGCGUUUGUUUCUUAUUACUAUUUCUUCACUAUUUAAUUUAAAUUACAUAAUGAUGAUUGCAGCAUCGUGGGCUAUAUCUGUGUACUUUGCAUACCAACGAACUUGGAAACCUUUUAAUCCUAUCCUUGGAGAGACUUAUGAAUUGACUAACCAUAAUGGAAUUACAUUUCUUGCGGAACAGGUAUCUUUUCAAUCUGUGUGUGUGUGUGUGUGUCUUGUUCAAUUUCACAACCAAUCUUUUUGUUUAAUACAAAAUUAAGUAAUGUGGCUAUAUAAUCGUGUUAUAUUAUAUGGAUUGCACGGUAUAUUCAAAAUAUAUUUAAUUUAGACAUUUGUAGGUACAUAAUCUAGUAGCACGCACAAAUAUAUCGAGUUAACUUAAUAUCUAUAUUUAAAUAAAGCGGUGCUGGUGUGAUGAAAUAUAAAAUUAUUUUGAAUUUUGCAGACUUGAAUGAUCUACUUCAUGAUAAUUGUUAAUUCAAUGGUUGGAUCGAUAACAUUCAUCAUUUAUAAAAAAAUGUUUUCAGGAGAUGUAAAUAUCAAUAUGUCUAGGCACUUGGGAUCAAUGGAUCUCUCUCUGUCUCUCUCUCUCCAUGCGUGAUACAUAUGCUAGCCGUUGGAAGAAAUAUUAACUUCUCUUGCUUUCUAAUUUUGUUUUGUCAAAAUAAACUGAUAUUAUUUCAUUUCUUUUUUUAUUUCUGUAUAUCAAAACGUCAUUUUGAAUUUCAGGUUAGUCAUCAUCCCCCAAUGAGUGCUGGGCAUGCCGAGAAUGAACAUUUUACAUAUGACGUUACUUCAAAGUUAAAAACUAAGUUUUUGGGGAAUUCUGUUGAUGUGUACCCUGUUGGAAGGUGAUAAUAUAUUGCAUUUGUUUAGUAGAUUUUCUGUGAUAUUGUUUUUCUCCUAUUGUUACCAAUACUAUUUGUAUUCUUUCAAGUUCACACACUUAUUGCUGCUUUCACCUGUCACACCCUAAUUGAAACAAUUUCCAUCUCAUCUCUGAUCUACUCUCUUUAGUGUUUUAAAACAGAGGAGACACAUAGUGAUAUUUGACAUCCACAUAGUGUUUUAAAGCAGAGGAGACACAUAUAGUGAUACUUGAUAACUACAUGACAUGUGUGUUUCAAUAUAAUUAUAAUGCUCUCUUAAGAUCUCCAUAAAAGGUCGCCAAAUGCCAAUAUAGGUUUUAGGGUCUUGAGCUGUUGUAUGAGAUUCAAUCUUAAAGUUAUUCAUGGUUAUAUCAUAUAUAUGAUUAAUUAAUAGUAAUACUUGAUUUAACUCUUUCUGUUAUCAGUUGAUAAGCUUGUUGCUGUUUCCUAUUUAAGGAGGAAUAAUGUUUUUGUGGAUUGAUGUUUGUAGAACGCGUGUGACCCUUAAGAAGCAUGGUGUAGUCUUGGAUCUGGUGCCGCCUCCUACAAAGGUUAAUAACCUGAUUUUUGGCCGGACUUGGAUUGAUUCACCUGGGGAAAUGAUAAUGACAAAUUUGACAACUGGAGACAAAGCCGUACUCUACUUUCAACAAUGUGGAUGGUUUGGGUCAGUAACAUUUCCAGUUCGAAUUUUUGUUUUUAAAAAAAGAUACAUUUGUUUAUACCUUUCUUUAUUAGGAUUUAGGUUUCAUCCUUUGAGCAAUUUGUUGUUAGUAUAUCAAUUGACUUGAUGUAUAUUGAAAUGAAAAUUAUUCCUGUUUCACCUGAUAUUUUGAUUUGACGACAAUUGAGUGGCUCUGAACUUUGUUCCCCUUCAUUUAUGAUGCCUAUGUUUUACCUUCAUCUUUCCCCAUUGGUUGUUUAGGUAUCUUACUAAUAGUCUAAUAUCAGUAUCAUUUAUCUACAGCCUUUAAUUAAGCUCUACCUGUUUCCUCAUCUUAUGUAGUGCUGGUCGCUACGAAGUGGAUGGUUAUGUUUACAAUUCUUCUGAAGAGCCCAAAAUUUUGAUGACUGGGAAGUGGAAUCAGUCAAUGAAUUAUCAACCUUGUGAUUCAGAAGGAGAGCCUCUUCCUAACACAGAAUUGAAAGAGGUGAUAUUUUCUUCAUUAAUCUUCAAAUUGAUCUUGAGAGUUAUAUGCAGUCAAAGUUCACAGUAACUUAGCUUUAAACGUUAAGCAUCUUUCCAUUUUCUCGGUCUUGCUCUUUAAUGACAAAAUCAUUGCCCAUCUAGUCAUGCUUGGUAGGUUAAGUUGCAGCGAGUGACGUUUUUUUUGCCAUAGCCUCUUUCCAGUUAUGGAAUUUUCACAUGACGAUAAUACAUGUUGACCGAUUUGAAUGUCCUCCAUCCGUCAGCCCCUUGGUCCCUGAUCAGCCACCACGACCUUUACAAGAAGAAAAGAACAAACUUCAUCUUUUCUUCCACCUUCCCAGCAAGCAUGGGAAUGAGGACACCUCUUACAAUUUUUCAAAUAUUUCUAUUUAAUUAGUUUAUAUGUACAGUUUGAUUUUCACACAAUGUCACAAACAAUCAAAUAUGACUUCAGAAGUAGUUACAAUUAAAGUAAUUUUUUUUAACGAUCUGACAACUAUGAUUGAUUUGACAGUAUAAAAACUCUCUACACUGACACUAUAUAAAUUUUAAGCCAUUACUUUUAUUCUUGUAUAUCAAAUCAAACAAUUUUUUCCGGGUAAUGUAUUACUUUGGUCUUAUCAUUUUAAGACAACUGAAUUUCUGCUUGUGAUUUUGAACUUGUCUUUGAAACAAUAAUCGUUUAGAUAAACUUCAUGAUAUGAUGGAAGAAGACAAGGAUGUAAUUAGGCAUCUUUUGGCCAUAUCUUGCUUACAUGCACACACUCUUACGAUCCAAAUUUAGCAUUCUUUGAAAAUCUUCAAUUUGAAGUUAUAACCAUUGCAAUCAAGAAUUUGACAUGCUAUGUGAUAAAAGAAAAGUAACCUUACUCUUAUACUUUGCCGAUAUAUUGAUUGGUAACGACAUUAAUACCUCAAAGUUCCUUAUCAUUGUCAUUGGCAUUUCAUCAGUGAUUUUGGUAAUGCAGGUUUGGCACAUUGCUGAUGUUCCACCAAAUGAUAAAUUCCAGUACACACAUUUUGCUCAUAAAUUAAACAGCUUUGACACUGCCCCUAGAAAGUUGUUGGCAUCAGACUCCCGUCUACGCCCAGAUAGAUAUGCACUUGAGAUGGGUGAUCUGUCAAAAUCCGGGACAGAAAAGAGCAGGUUCAUAUCUUUUGUUCCCUUUCUGUCUCCUUGUGCCCAAAAAUAUAUAUUUGAGCACUGUUUAAGUGAUGUUUAUAAAAUUUUGUAACAGUUUAACAUGUUCAAUGUUGCAUUCUAUAACUAUUCUGUUUGUUGAAAUAACUUGGUUGAGGUGGGUUAUAGUUCCUUUUGGUUGGGUUGGGGUUCUGUUAGGACAUGUAUUUCGGAAGAUGAUCCUAUGCUCUGAUCAGUAGAGGGAGAAUCCUAGAGUGUGGAUGGUUAUAUCUGAGAGAAGAAAGGUGCGACUGGACAGGCUGUUAUCAUUCUGUUAUGCUGUUAUCAUUCUAUUAGGAGAUACAGAAGUACUCGUGUGAGAGUGAUAGUAGUAAAUUUUGCACAGCAACUGUCCAAACCUAUUGUGUGGAUAUUUUAUGAUAGGAGGAAGCAGUUGAGAGUGUUGAUGUGACAGGGAUUGAGGGAACAUAUGGAUUGUGUAAUGUGUUAUGUUACAUGGGAACUUGGAGGAGAGUGAGGGGGUAUCUUGGAGAGUAUGAGUUUGCUACCGACAGUGGCAUCUUGCCUCUUGUUUUUCCUUUGUUGAUCUAAUUUCCUUGUAAAUUAUUACCAUGUGAAUCAGGUUCCUAACAGAGAGAGUAGUUAUAGGAGGGUGGAAAUAGAGGAGUGGGAGAACUUCCUAUUUUGAACUGCGUGGCAUAAGACAAUCAUUCUCCGAGGAGCCCUGUCUCUGGACUAGUUUAUCAGUUACUUCUGAUUGAAGAAUACCAUACUAUUUUAUUCUGUCAUUUGGAAUGCUAUUUUUGGGAUUCUGUUUUCUUUCUGUUUCAGUAUCCUAGCAGGUUUAGUUUUGGAUGAUCAAAUUGGUAGAGUCAUGUAACUUGUUACCUUUUGUAUUGAUCUCUUUUCCCCCUUGAGAUUGGCCUCUGCCUCACUCUCAACCACCUCCCUUAAAUAGAAAAUGGAUUUGAGAUUCACCAGAGAGAUGCUGUGAGAUUGCUCCCCAGGGUGUUAAUUUUGUUUGCUUCUUUUCAGUUUGGAGGAGAGGCAGCGUGCUGAAAAGAGAGCCAGGGAAGAAAAGGGGCAAAAAUUUGCACCAAGAUGGUUUGAGUUGACUGAAGAAGUGACAUCGACUCCUUGGGGUGAUUUGGAAAUCUACCAAUAUAAUGGUAAAUAUGCGGAAUAUCGGGCUGCUGCAGAUAACUCUGGCAGUAUUGAUAAUGUUGAUGUUAAAUCAAUUGAGUUCAAUCCAUGGCAGUUUGCUGACUUGGCCACGGAAUGAAGUAUUUUCAAUGUACUUUUAUUUUUAGAUGCUGCAUUGAACUUUUUACUGAUACAUUGGAAGAAAUCUAACUUUUGUCCUGUGUACAUUGUAUCUACUAUUCACUUUCUGCCUAUCUUAGUAUUUUGAUUGUGAUAAGGAUAAGGAAUAUGUUGCAUUGCCAGUGCCUGUACUGGUUACCUUGAGUUACCUUGAAAUUGUAUAUAUCCUGUGCUGUUUUUCAACAAGUGAAAACAUUGUUUUUAGAUCAUAUAUUUUUGCCUAGUGAUUUUUUUCUUGGUGUUGCAACAUGCAAGAUUGUGAAGGAUCCUCUUAAUAGUUUGUUCGAUGCAAAAGAGAGGGUAAUCAACGACCCUUGGUUUACCUAAAUAUGCAAUUGAAAAAGGUUUGUGUUUUGGCUAAAAGUUUCCACAUUGGUGUUACAGUCCUUAUAUCCUUUGUUUAUUAGAACAAGAUCCUUAUAUCCUUUGUAUAUGACAUGUUGCAUUGGAUUUUCUGAGUAUAUGAGGAUUCCUGUUAACUAGGUAAUGCUGUUCAAGUCAAAAUUGUGGAUCAUUUUGGUAACUAGAGUAUAUAAUGGAUCAACACUUGAAAAUGAAUCAAAAUUUUAACCACAAAACUCAUGGUACUUAUUGGAAGUAGCAGUUACGGUCUUUCCUCAAUUCAGUGAGAGACAGUGACUUGGUACCUCUGAUUCUCAUCGGUUUGAAGGAAAAAAAGGGGAAAACGAAAAGUCUUAAAAUUCAGCUCAUACUUGUUUUCGUCAAACUAAGCACCAAUCGCGUCAUCUCACUCAUUUAAACAAGGAUAAUUGCGAGCUUAUAUUUUCAACUGCAACACUAAUUGCGUUGAUAUUUUAAGUGAUUUUCAAUUGCUGUUUCAACUUUCAACACACCCUCUUAGAUUUUUGUUCGAAAGUUUGAUGGGGAAGGAAAGGAAUGACUUUGUGGGGUGAGAAAUAUAGGGGAAAAUUAAAAAAAAAUUUUGCAUUUUUUUGGAAGAGUGUUUUUUUAAUUUAAGAAUAUUAUAAUAAUAUAGAUUUUUUUAGUUUCCUCAAAUGAGGAGGGUUUCAUAUUUUGAAGAAAAAUAAACUCCUAAAGCCCCUCCUCCUAAUGUCCUACAUUUCUACCACUUAUUCCUUUUUUUCUUUUUUUUCUUCCAAACCCUUCACUCUCUUCCCUUUCAAACUUGUAAACAAAGCUUUAGAAUCCACUUACAAAUAUGAAGUUAUUAUUCUUUUUCUCCUUUAGUUUAAUGUAAUACUAUUUUCUUCAUACCAAUAAUUUUGGUUUGUAAUCUAACCUUGCAUUAGACUUCUUCAUACCAAUAAUUUUGGUUUGUAAUCUAACCUUGCAUUAGACCCAACCCCUGGUAUUUUCUAAUUUCAAAUAAUUUAGCAAUCAAACUCACACACACUAAAAUGUAGAAAAGUGAAAAUUUAUGGUUCGAAUAUAGUCUCAAUAAUAAUUGUUUGUCUUUUGUCAUUUGAGUUAAUUUAUCAGAAAUUUUUAGAUUUUUCAAUACUACUUAUUAGAUUUUUUAAGAGACAUGCUCACAAGUACGUUAUGGUCACUUGUUAACCCUUUUCUUUUCGUAAUACUACUUACUAAUUAAGAAAUUUAAAAUUAGAAGUUGUGUUUUUUUUAGACUUUUAAAGCAUCAACUACACAAGUUUCAAUUAAUUAUUGGUAUAUUAUACUCUUUAACAAAUGCUUAUGGGAUACUUGUUAACAUUUUCACUUUUGUAAUUAUAUUUAUGUUAUGGGUAUAAAGUUUCUGAUAUCGUUUAAGGCUAAUCUUCGUCGAAAAACACGUAGACACAUAAGGUGGUUUAUUUCAUCCCAACUAAAUUUUCUGCAUUGAUCGAAUCAAUAAUCACUUGUUUAAGGUGUUCAAUAUAUUAUAGGUUUUAGAGACAUGAUAUAAAUAUGUAAUUAUGUGUUGGUAAACAAAUUGAAAUGAUUCAAUCUAAAUCACACUUAAUCGGAUCAAUUUACUAGUCAUAGAGUCCUCCAUGUGAAAGCAUACCAAGUUCAUUUUACUACUAUAUAAUUAUGUUGUCAAAGGGGAUGCUUCUCUAUGAUAAAUGAAUCUAUUCCUCUUACGUAACUUCAUUUUCUGCUUCCUUCUGAGUUCUUCCAUGUCUUCAAACCACCAAUAAUUCAUGGUCAGUUAUAUUCAGUUAAUUCAAUUCAUAUCUUAUUAUUAUUAUUAUUAUUAUUAUUAUUACACUAUUAUUCUCAUAGUUUAUCUUUCCUCAACAAAGAGAAAAUAACUAUGGAUCCAAACUGUGAUGAGUUUCAACAAUAUGAGAAACCUAUAGAAGGUUAUAUGGCUUCAGUGACAGAUUCUUCCAUGGAAGACACUGAUUUUUCAGAAACCAUAAAGUUCAUAACUCAAAUCCUCAUGGAAGAAAACGUUGACCAGAGACCUUUUUAUGAUCCACUUAGCUUACAAAUCACAGAAAAAUCAUUCCAUGAUGCUCUUUCACCUAAUGGCACAACCAGCACCAGUUGCAAUAGUAAUAGUAACAGCAGCAUCGACGAUUCUCACGAGUCGAAACCCUUUUCACCUGAUACUCCUGUUUCUGAUCUUGUUAAUCAUGGUUUUCAGUUUAAUUCCUGUGCUUCAAGUAGUGUUAGUGAUGGACCCAUAAAUUUCGAUUCAUCUAUUACCAAUAUGUUGGCAGAGAACAUUUUCAGUAAUGCAGAUUCUGUUUCUCAAUUCAAUAGAGGUUUUGAAGAAGCCAACAAGUUUCUUCCUCCUCAGCCUCAACUCUUGACUGGUUUAGAAUCAUCCAAUUUCAAUAUGAUGAAGAGUAGAAAGAAUCACGGGCGCGAAGAAGAAGAAGGGAGUAGUAACAAGCAAUCGGCUAUUAGUGUUGUUGAUGAGGAUGAAUUAUCAGAAAUGUUUGAUAAAGCUUUGCUUAAUGUGGACCGUGAACCUUUGCAGAAUGAGCAACCACCUUCAUCUAAUGAAGGAAAGGUUCGUCCGAAGAAACGUGAUAGCAAAAACAAAACGAUAGACUUAAGGAAUCUUCUGCUUAUGUGUUCACAAGCUAUGUAUGCCAAUGACAAUAGAAAUGCUAAUGAUCUUUUAAAGCAGAUUAGGCAACAUUCUUCACCCUUUGGAGAUGCAUCACAAAGGGUGGCUCAUUACUUUGCCAAUGGCCUUGAGGCUCGCCUUGUAGGCGAUAGAGCUGGUGCACAAACAUUCUAUUCCUCGCCGAGCACUAAGAGAAUUACUGCUGCUGAGUUUUUGAAAGCAUAUCAAGUUCAUUUUACUAGCCCUCCAUUCAAGAAAUUUGCAUAUUUGUUUGGAAAUGAAAUGAUUAUGAAAGUUGCUGCAAAAGCUGAAACCCUUCAUAUCAUUGAUUUUGGUGUCCUUUAUGGUUUUCAGUGGCCAAUGCUUAUUAAGUUUCUAUCAAAUAGAGAAGGUGGACCGCCAAAACUGAGGAUCACUGGGAUAGAGUUCCCCUUACCAGGCUUUCGCCCGACAGAAAGAAUCGAGGAGACCGGUCGUCGACUUGCUAACUAUUGCAAGCGUUUCAAUGUUCCUUUCGAGUACAAUGCCCUAGCAUCGCGGAAAUGGGAAACAAUUCGAGUUGAAGAUCUUAAAAUCAAGAGCAACGAGGUAGUUGCUGUGAACUGUGUGGGGAGGUUUAAGAAUUUACUAGAUGAGAGUAUUGAAGUUAAUAGUCCUAGAAACGUGGUUCUGCAUUUGAUUAGGAAGAUAAAUCCGGAUAUUUUCGCUCUGUCUAUUAUUAAUGGAUCAUAUAAUUCACCUUUCUUUGCGACAAGGUUUAGGGAGGCACUGUUUAAUUUUUCUGCUAUUUAUGAUAUGUUGGACGCCGUCAUACCGAAGGGAAGUGAAUGGAGGAGGAUGAUUGAGAGGGAAAUUAUGGGUAGGGAAGUUAUGAAUGUUGUAGCAUGUGAAGGUUUAGAAAGAGUUGAAAGGCCAGAGACAUAUAAACAAUGGCAGGUUAGAAAUACAAGAGCUGGUUUCAAGCAACUUCCAUUGGACUCGCAAUUAAUGGAGAAAUUUAGGACUAAGUUAAAGCAAUGGUACCAUAGAGAUUUUGUAUUUGAUGAAGACAGCAAAUGGAUGCUUCAAGGUUGGAAAGGUCGUAUUUUAUAUGCUUCAACUUGUUUGGUGCCGGCAUAAUCAACUCGUAUCUUACUACACUUAGUGUGAGUUUGAUAUUUGUACUCACAUGGUGCCAGUCAGCUUUAAAUGCUCGUUUAUAGCAAGAAUUUGGGACUCACUCCUCAUUUUUUCUAACUUUUCGACAUUUGUGAUUUGAUUUCUCUCCUAUAUCUAGUUAAAAUGUAGAAGGUUUAGAAACAAUUCUUGGAUUUCAGCAUGUGUAACUAGACUUUUAGCUUAGAUCAGGUGAUUUCUAUUGUAUAUUGUGUUCACUGUAUUUGAUUUUGGUUGAACUUGGAUUAACAAAUGCUCUUGAUUAUAGUCAUAAUGGUCUUUUGUGAUUCAUCAUCAUUAGUGGUGUUCAAGGGAUAAGUUAGGUUUGUCCUGGUCCUAAUUCUAAAGGUCCAUGCGAGUGAUUUUCAAAAUAACACAAUCAUAUGAGACUCGUUGAAAGACCCAGGAUCAAGUAUAAGAUGCAAAAACACAAGAAAAUGAGAAAAGUACAGCGCUGAGCGCUUGACAGUGGGCUCGGCCCUGCCUCUGUUUGAAGGGGGUAGGCGCCCUGGUUCUGCAACAUGGGGCACUAUGCGCCCUGCCUACGUGCAGCCUGCAGCACUAGGUGACCUUAUGAGUGCUAGGUGCUUGUUUGCCAUGAAGAAUCUUGUGCAGAACCGGUUUUCUCAUGUCUUUGAGUCCCAAUGAUUGUAUACAACAACAACCAAGCCUUAUCCCACUAAGUGGGGUCAGCUACAUGGAUCAAAUGACGCCAUAGUGUUCUAUCAUACACCAAAUUUGGAUCCAACUCAUUGACCUCUAAAUCCUUUCUAAUGGUUUCUCUAAUAGUUUUUCUAGGUCUUCAUUUACCUUUUUUAACUUGACUCUCCUCCAUUUAAUCUACUCUUCUUACCACGGCAUCUACGUCUUCUCUCUACAUGCUCAAACCAUCUAAGCCUAUUUUCUACAAACUUUUCUACUAUAGGUGCUACCCCCACUCUCUCUCUCUCUCUAAUGGUGUCAUUCCUAAUCCUAUCUUGUCUAGUCUUGCCACUCAUCCAACGCAACAUCCUCAUCUCUGCUACACUUACUUGAUUCUCAUGUUGACUCUUAACCGCCCAACACUUCGUACCAUACAACAACGCCGGUCGGACUGCUGUCCGAUAGAACUUUCCUUUCAACUUAAGUGGUACUUUCUUAUCGCACAAAACACCUGAGGCUCUUCUCCAUUUCAACCACCCAGCUUGAAUACGAUGGCUUACAUCUGCUUCUAUUUCUCCGUCAUUUUGUACGAAGGACCCAAGAUAUUUAAACCGUGUAACUUGGGGUAUGAUAUGAUCUCCAACUUUCACCUCCAAGGUAGACCUACUUCUCCUUCCGUUGAAGUUACAUUCCAUAUACUCCGUCUUGCUUCUACUCAAGCGGAAUCCAUACGCUUCUAAGGCUUGCCUCCAGGUCUCUAGCCUCCCGUUCACUUCCUUCCUCGACUCACCCACCAAGACUACAUCAUCUUGCAAAAAGCAUACAUCUCGGUGCUAACUCUUGGUUGUGUUCCGUCAAUACAUCCAAAACUAAAGUAAAAAGAUAAGGACUUAGGGUUGACCCUUGGUGCAAUCCUAUUGUUAUGGGAAAAUCUUCGGUAGUCUCAUCCUGCGUCCUCACACUAGUCGAAGCUCCCUCAUACAUAUCCUUGAUAGCUCUAAUAUAGACAAUCCUAACCCCUUUCUUCUCCAGGGCUUUCCACAAAAUCUCUCUUGGUACUCUAUCAUACGCCUUUUCCAAAUCAAUGAAAACUAAGUGCAAGUCUUUUUUAUCCGUUCGAUAUCGCUCCAUCACGCGUCGAAGUAAGUAGAUUGCUUCCAUAGUCGACCUCCCAGGCAUAAAACCAAAUUGAUUAUCCGUAACUCGAGUCUCCUUUCUUAGUCUUCUUUCGAUCACCCUUUCCCAUAACUUUAUGGUAUGACUCAUUAGCUUAAUUCCCCUAUAAUUCGCGGAAUUUUGUAUAUCCCCCUUGUUCUUAUAAAUUGGAAUUAAAGUGCUUCUUCUCCACUCGUCCAGCAUUUUCUUCGUCCUCAUAAUCUCGUUAAAAAGGUUGGUGAGCCACACAAUCCCUCUAUCGCCAAGACUCUUCCACACUUCGAUAGGUAUGUUGUCCAGCCCAACUGCCUUGCCACUAAUCAUCCUUUUCAACGCUUCUCUAACCUCGUGCUCUUGAAUCCGACGGUAAUAAUUAUAGUUUCGGUCCUCCUCUCCGAUGUCUACCCUGUUAGAGUUUGGUAAGAUCUCAUAUCCUUCAUUAAAUAGGUUGUGAAAAUACUUCUUCCAUCUACCCUUAAUAUCUCUUUCCUGAACCAGAACUCUACCCUCUUCAUCCUUAAUACACUUUACUUGGUCCAAAUCUCUUGUCUUUCUUUCUCGUCCAAUAGCAAGCUUAUAUAUAGAUUUGUCUCCCUCCUUGGUACCUAAAGAUUGGUAUAAUCCUUCAAAAGCUUGAGUUCUCGCUUCGCUCACCGCCUUCUUAGCCUCUUUCCUAGCUAUCUUAUAUUUAUCCCAAGUUUCGACAUUUUUACACCUAGAGCAAUCUUUAAAACAAUCUCUUUCGAUCCGAACUUUACUCUGAACACUGUCAUUCCACCACCAAGAUUCUUUACCCCUAGGUCCAAAACCUCGAGAUUCUCCCAACGUCUCUUUUGUUACCUUUUUAAUCUCAUGUGCCAUCCUCUCCCACAUAUCAUUUGCACUUCCAUGUGGUUGCCUGAAGCCUCCCUCUAAUAUCUUGUGUUGGAAUAUCCUUAGUUUUUCACCCUUUAAAUGCCACCACUUGAUUGUAUCUUAGUCCCAAUGAUUGUAUCUCUUCAUAUAUUUAAUUAAGACGUGUUGCUUCAUGAUCAUUAUUCGUCUGAAAGUGAACAAACGUAACUCUUGUUUCAAAAAUAUGAUCAUAUAUGAUUGUUACCCUUGGUUAAAGGUUACUUUUCAUGUGUUAAACGAUGUGUCUUGUAUUAUGAAUACAUGGUCCUUACACCUCAUAAAGUGCACUAAUUAGGAAAAUUACACAGCCAUUUUCUCUCACAUUUUCUCACUCUAAAUCACUCUUCCCUUCUCUAAUGCUAAUGCAUGAGUGAAAUGUAAGAAACAUAAUUACGUAAACUACUAUUAAGAGAUAAGCUUGGUAUGUGUUGUCAAAGUAUUCUGAAGGAAAUUCAGUGGUCAUUCUAUUUGCAUCCAAUAUAUAAAUAUUGGUGGGGGCGAAUCAACCCAAAAGUUUGUGUGGAAAUACACCCUUUGGUGUUCUCAAGUGCAUCCUUCAUCUUCUUUUUCAUUGUUUGAGUGUGCUGCAGCAUUUUCCCUAACAGUUUCGAUUUUUAGAUUAGACCAUGUGAUUUCUACUGUAAAUUGUGUUCAUUCUGUUUGAUUUUUUUGUUGAAUUUGGAUAAAUACAUGAUUCUAGUAUUACUGGAAUUUUAAGAAUUCACUGUUAUUAUUACUAGUGGUGACUGGUGUUCAAGAGAUUAGUAAGUUUGUCCCGGCACCAAUCAUAAAUGUUUACUAAGCCAUUUUUUUUCAAUCUCAAUCUUGACCGCAAACCUGAGUAAAAUUUAUAAUGUAAUAGUGUAAUUACAUUUGUGUUUAUCAAGGAUAUAAUCGAAUUGAUCCAAAGGACAAACAAAGGAAAAAUACAAAAUAAUCGUGCAGUGAAACCCGACCUACGCAAUGUAUCUAAUGAUUCAGAAUUGAUCAUAGACUUUGUUCCUGUAUAAAUUGACACUGAUAAUUCAGACACAAUGCAAUGAGGUCAUACCUAUGGACCUUGACGCUACCAAAACACAUACCUAUGUUCCUUCAACUUUUUGAAAGCAAUCUAGAGUAUUUUUCUCCCAUUAGUCAUGCCAGUUGUGUUUCCCUUACUUGAUUCUGCAGUUUCUAUCUUCUCAACCAAAACUGAAUGAAGAUGUUUCUGGAAGUAAUUGGUAAUCUAUGAAUCAAUCACAAUCUUAGUAAAUGGAAUGAAUCAACUUCAACAAUACAAAAAAUAAAUAUAUAGUUAAUAGAAAUGAUUCUAAGGUAUACCUGCCUAGAAUCACUCUGCUAAGCACAAGAAAAAGACAGUUUGGUCAGCAUGUCAUAAUCUUUGAUUCAGAUGAGAUGCUGAAUUGGUUAUCAUACUACCCUUCACAUCUCCAGUGUAACUUCCAUUGUCCACCACGCCAUAAUAUAGAAACCGUGCAGUGGAAAACUUUAGAGUGCUUCGAGUUGAAGAAAGGUGCCUCAAAUUUUGGACCAAAUAUUCUUUUUCUAGGGUUUUUAUUUUUCGCUUUUAAUUUGAUGAACAGUAAUCAUUGAUUUGUAUUUCUUUAAAUACACAGAUAGUUAAAUCAUCAUGUUUGUAGUUAAAUCACUGUGUUGCUCAUUUUGUGAUGAGGACACCGAGACCAUUUUUCAUUGUUUUAUGUCUUGUCAGCGUGCUGUAGAUAUUUGGCAAGGUUGUGGCAUUAUGUAAAUCUUUUAAAACUCUGUGAUGGUGAUAAUAUGUCAAGCAUGUUGACCUUAUUAAUCAAGGAUUUUGGUAUUCCUGCCCCCUCCCUCACUAUGUGGAGUAUAUGCGUAACAAGAUAUAUAUAAAUUCAUUUUCGAUGGCACUCAGCCGAUGAGACAUACUAUCAUAGCCUCCAUUUUUUGCCAGUUUCAUAUAGCUCAGCAGGUGUUUGGAAGUGCAUUUGUACCCUCACCUCGUCCAGUUUCUGAAUUCUGUUGGCCAAGUGGUGUUCAUCAGGAUGCCACGAUUCUGAAUGUUAACGGUGGUGCUUUGUCCAACUGCUGUCAAACAGACUUUGGAGGUCUCAUUCGAAAACAUGAUGACAGUUUUCAUUUUGGCUUCUAUGGUCCAGUGUGUUUCAUGCAAAAACUCAACUCUUGUGGUGGAUAUUGAACUUUUCUAGCAAGCGAGGCUAAGGAGGGAAGUUUGCCAUUCAAACUCACUUUAUGUAGUGCAAUUGGUUGCUAAAGGAAAUGCUCAUUUUCACAAUUAUGCCAAACCUGUUGGCGAUUAUUCGUAAUUAUAUAAAGAACUGGGAUUUUUUCUCUUCAUCAUACUCUUCGGAAAGGCGAUGCUUACGCGGAUAUUCUUGCUAAGUUGGGAUCAAAUUUCUCGGACCCGCUGAUAGUGAUAAAUGAACCUUUACCUAGUCUAUUCUCAACAUUGUUUGUUGAUCAUGAUUUUCGCUUAUGUUUUUCUUUUCCUUUUUCUCUCGUGUAACAAAAAAAAAUAGACUUGCAUUCUUUUUCUCAUUUUUGUUUCUUUUCCACAUAAUAUACUACAAAUCAAGUAAUUGAUUUAUAUCAAUAGCUUAUAAUUUCUCUACAAAUAAUAUUAAAUAUCCCUUAACAGUACACUAAAUUAGGGUUCAUCACUUUGUAACUGCAAUUUAUUAUGGAACAAAACAAAAUUAUGGUCUGCAUAUAGUACAGCCAACAGAAUAAUUGGCAAGAAAGAAAACAAUCAAAUUUAUGUGAAUAAGGCCAUGGCAUGCAACUAUCUCAAAGGUACUAAGAAAAACAAGCUUCUGUUACAUAAAAGAAACAAGCUUCUAAAGAGCUACCAAAAUAAGCUAACCAUUACAACAUACAUGCUGAAAUAGUAUCUCAAGUAACCUCGUCCUAGUAUUACUACCACUACUACAACUCUAAACUUUCACAAAGGUAAAGUAUAGAGUAAAAUGCUACAACUGAUUCUUAUAAUCACAGUCACACUAUAAGUCUGGUAUUGUGAUGUGAGUUGAUUAUGCCGGCACCCAACAUGUUGAAGCAUAUAAAAUGCGUCCUUUCCAACCUUGAAGCAUCCAAUCGUUGUCUACAUCAAAAACAAAAUCUUUAUGGUAACAUUGCUGUAACUUUGUCCUAAAUUUGUCCAUUAAUUCCGAAUUCAAUGGAAGCUGCUUGAAACCAGCUCUUGUAUUCCUAACCUGCCACUGUUUAUAUGUCUCUGGCCUCUCAACUCUCUCUAAACCUUCACAAGCUACAACGUUCAUAGCUUCUCUACCUAUACUUUCCCUCUCCAUCAGCAUCCUGUAUUUGUUUUCGCGUGGUAUGACAGUGUCAAACAUAUCAUAAAGAGCAGAAAAAUGAAACAGUGCCUCCCUAAACCGUGUAGCAAAGAAUGGCGAAUUAUAUGAUCCAUUAACAAUUGACUGAACAAAAAUAGCAGGAUUUAUCUUUCUGAUUAAAUGCAGAACCGCGUUUCUAGGACUGUUCACUUCAAUACUUUCAUCCAAUAAAUUCUUAAAUCUCAUCAAAGAGUUCACAACAACAACCUCAUUGCUCUUGAUUUUAAGAUCCUCCACUUGAAUUGUUUCCCAAUAACGCGAUGGUAUGGCAUUAAACUCAAAGGGAACAUGGAAGCGCUUGCAGUAGUCGGCAAGACGACGACCAGUUUCUUCGAUUUUUUCCAUUGGACGAAAACCAGGUAAAGGGAACUCUAUCCCGGUGAUCUUCAGGUUUGGAGGUCCACCUUCUCUAUCUGAUAAAAACUUUAUAAGUAUUGGCCACUGAAAACCAUAUAGGAUACCAAAAUCAAUGAUAUGAAGGGUUUCAGCAUUUGCAGAAGCUUUCAUAAUCAUUUUAUUUGCAAAGAAGUAUGCAAACUUUUUGAAAGGACUAGUAGAUAGAUGAACUUGAUAUGCUUUCAAAAACUCAGCAGUAGAGAUCCUCUUGGUGCUCGGGGAGGAAUAGAAUGUUUGUGCUCUAGUACCGUCGCCGACAAUGCGUGCCUCAAGGCCAUUGGCAAAGUAAUGAGCCAACCUUUGUGGUCCAUCCCCAGAGGGUGAAGAAUGUUGCCUAAUCUGCUUCAGUAGCUCAUUAGCAUUCCUGUUGUCAUUGGCAUACACAGAUUGUGAACACAUAAGCAGAAGAUUCCUUAAAUCUAUUGUUUCAUUCUUCUUGCCUUGUUUCUUAGGACGAGUCUUCGCUCCAUUUGAUGGAGGCAGCUCCUCCGUUUUCACUUGUCCAUUCUGCAGGCAAUCAUGUUCAUUGCAUAGUGGCAUAUGUCCCACAUUAAGCAAAACCUUAUCAAACAUCUCUGAUAAUUCAUCCUCAUCAACAGCACUAAUAGCUGAUUGCUUGCUACUUCUCCAAGCUUCUUCUUCUUGUUCUUGACUAAAACUUUCUUCGCGCUUGUGAUUCUUUCUACUCUUCAACACAAACGGAUUCUCUUCCUCCCUAGCUAUAUCCAAAUUGGAUGACUCAAAACCAGUAAAGAGUUGAGGCUGCGGAGGAAGAAACUUGUUGGCUUCUUCUAAACUUUUAUUGAAUAGAGAAACAGAAUCUGCAUCACUGAAAAUGUUUUGUGCCAUCUGCGUAAUAGAAGAAUCCAAAUCUCUGAGCCCAUUACUAACACCAGUAGAAUGAGGCUGAGAAACAGCAGGGGAAUUAAACUGAAAAACAUGAUUAACAUGAUCAGAAACAGGAGUAUCAGGUGAAAGGGGUUUUGACUCUCGAGAAUCGUCGACGCUGCUAUUGCUAUUGCUGUUGCUGCUGGUUGUGCCAUCAGAGUUAUGAAUAUCUAAGGGGUGUUGAUUAGGGGAAAGAGGUUUAUUUGUGUGUAAAAGAGCAUCAUAGAAUGAUUUUUCUGUCAUUUGUAAGCUAAGUGGGUCAUAAAACGGUCUCUGGUCAACAUUUUCUUCCAUCAGAAUUUGGUUUAUGAACUUACCAGUAUCUGAAAAAUCAGUGUCUUCCAACGAAGGAUCUGUCGCCGAGGCCAUACAACCUUCUAUAGGGAAGGUGGUAGCAGCAAAAUCAAGUGGAUCAGCACCAAGGAAGCUAUCAUAUUGAUUUGGAUCAGCCUCAAGAAAGCUAUCAUAUUGAUUUGGAUCAGCAUCAAGGUAGCUAUCAUAUUGAUUUGGAUCAAACUCAGAAACCAAUAUACUCCGUUCUUCACCAAAGUGGUAGUAACCGUUUGUGAAAUCACUAGCUGGAGGAAAGUUUGGAUCCAUAGUUCUGUUUUUCUGUAUUUUAAGAAACAGUUACCGACAUUCAAAUCACUAUUGUUGAGGAAUAACUAAUGAAAACUUAAACAAAGCAUGAAAUGGAACAGUGAGAAUAAAGUAAUAUGAAAUGGUUUCAUUUCAUAUAAGUAAGAUUUGAAAUGAACUAACCUGAAUUGUUGCUUGAUUUAAAAGAAUGGUUGGAUUGAAGUUUGGAGAUGCAACAUAGAGAUGCUCACUUAGGUUGUGAUGUGUUACUUGUAUUUUAUAGAGAAGCAGCCACUUUGACUAAAGCAUAUAAUAAUGCAAAGUAAUAUUUAGGAUGGAUAAUACACGAACCUACGAAGAAGCCUCAUGCUGGCACUGUUGCCAAAAGAAAAUGAUAAAACAUGGGUGGACAAUACAUAGAGAUGCUAAACUUUUUGACCAAUACAUAGAUAUAAUAUAAUAAUACAAAUGAAAAUUGUAGUCUUGGUCAUGUGAAUUUAGACGUGAUGGACAAACAAUGUAGAGUGUGAUGGCUUUUAUGGUUAGUGUAGCUUGUUUGCCAAGCUCAAACUUUUUACUUUCUUCACGUUGUCAAAGAGUGAGAAAAGUCUCCAAUAUUUGUUAGAUUUAUUUGAAGGGAACAUCUAGAUACCCCGACAAAUUAAAUGGUUUUGCACACAGUUAUUUAUAAGUAAAUGUCUUUUCUUUGAAUCCAUAACGUAUUUGUAAACACGUGUUCAAAAACAAAAUUCCAUCAUCUUUGAGAUAAGAAGGAAAAAAAGUAGUCUCAUACACCAAAGCUCUCACAUACGCAGGAUUCAUGAAGGGAUCCCACCAUAUUUGAUGUAUUGUAUGCAGUCUUACCCUAUUUUUACACAAGACGUUUUCAGGACUUGAAUCCGUCUCAUGAUAACAACUUUACCGUUGCGUCAAUAAGGUAAUAUUUUUUUUAAAGUAUAUUUAGUUAUAACGAACUUUGAAACUAUUUGUUAAAUAUGGUUGGUAAGAGUGAUAAAAGAUUCAGACAGCUUAAACAAGUCGUGGGAUAUGGGGGUUCGCAGCUCAAUUUAAAUCAUUUUGAGACAAAAUGUCGUCCGAUUCAAAGAAAUUAUUUCAAAGUAUCAGAUGAAGAAAAUAUGAACAGAGCAGUUUUCAAGUUUACCUUGGACCUCUAAAGAAGUUACCUGCAACUCUCCAAUAACGCUAGUUGCAAAAUGAAGAACUUCAAAGAGUCAAAUAUGUAUCAUGCCGGUAAUUUAAAGUCCGUGAUAUACAUUCUGAUAUGGAAGAUUUUGCAUAAAGAAGGAAUGAAAGUUGGUGAAUAGGGGUUGCCAACCGUACAGAAGCACAGAAAUGGUAGAAGCUAUUGAUGACACUUAUGAAGAACAACAAAGGAAUAGUGGUGUGUAACUGCUAUCCAACAAUAAUUGUCUCAACAAACAAUAUAUUACAGCUUACAAUAAUCAAUCUGCAAUCACCGUGAAAAGCUAGGAACAAUGGCUUCAAUUGAAAUAGAUUUUGGGUUGAUGGAAUGAAGCACAAACAAAGACAUUGACGCCAGACACACAGGCACUACAUCGACACCAAUAAUCAUUUGAGAAAAUAACAUAAUUCAAUAUAAUUACAUGUGUCCGUAUCGAACAAAGGAUACACCUUCAAUUAGAAGAGUCGGCUCCAAUGGAAUUGAUUUCACUACACCAACUCAAACACUUUUAAUUAUUUUUGUGUAGAUAAUUCAAACACCUUUUAAGAAAAGAAAGCUCAUGUUUGACCUAUACUUGGUAGAAAACAUAUCAUGGUAUUGGUAGCUCAAUUUCAGACCCUAAAUGUUACUCCCUUCGUCUCACAAUAGGUUUCUGUUGUGAGUGUUGUGAGUUUUACGCAGUUAUUAAGGAAAUGAUUAGUAGUGUUGAUUUUAAUGGUAAAAUAUGUUUAAUUUACUAAAACAUCAUUAUUAAUUAUAGUUAGUGGAGUAGUUAGGUGAUUGAAAUACAAUAAAUAAGAGUGUGUUAGUAGAAAAGAAUAAUAAAUGUUGUAUUGGUAUUGUAAAAGGGACAAAUAUUUUAAGACAAAACAAAAAAUAAUAAAGAGAACACUUAUUGUGAGACGGGGAAGUACUCACGAUUCUGCUGCAUCCUUAUGAGCGACUACCCAACAAAAGAAAAGUUCAGCUAAUAUGCAUCUAAAUACGUCAUUUACAUAGCAUUAGUUAUAUCAUACACAAACUUAACCAAAUAAAAAUAUUAUGGCUACUGAAACUGAACUGUUCUAUACCAUUCCAUUGGCAGGGGUCAGCUUCUAGAAUAUGUCACCCAUAGCCCUAUGCAGAUUCCUUGAGCAGAUCAUUGCCAAGUCCUAUGCAGGUACCCAGCAGGAGGAAGCGUAAAUUAUACGGCCCUUCCAUCCUUGCAGCAUGCAGUUUCCAUCUUCAACAAGCAUGAAAUCACUAUGAUACACGUCUUUCAACUUGCAUCUUAACUUGUUAAUGAGAUGUUUAUCCAAGGGCAGAUGCCUAAAUCCAGCCCUUGUAUUCCGAACCUGCCAUUUCCUGUAUGUCUCUGGCCUCUCAACCCUCUGAGAACCUUCACAGGCUAUAAUAUUCAUUACUUCCCUCCCCCAGAACUCUUUCUCAAACAUCAACCUCGUUUGAUCUUCACGAGCAACAUUGAUGUCAAGCACAUCAAACAUUGUAGAGUAAUUGAAAAGAGCCUCCUUGAACCGUGUCGCAAAGAAUGGGGCAUUGUAGCUCCCAUUGACAGUAGUAUGUAUAAAGAUAUUGGGAUUUGUGUCCCUAAUUAAUUUCAAAACAGCAUCCCUGGGACUAUUCAACACAACUGUCUCAUCAAGUAAAUUUUUAAGCCGACAAACAGAAUUCACCACAAGAAGUUCAUUUUUCUUUAUCUUCAAGUCCUCAACUUUGAUGGUUUCCCAUUUCUGUGCAAUAGCAUUGAACUCAAACGGAACAUUAAAACGUUCACAAUACCUUGCCAGGCGAAGUCCUGUCUCCUGGACUCUCUCUGCAGGCCUGAAGCCAGGUUGGGGGAGUUCUAUCCCUGUCAAGCGCAGCUUAGGAGGCCCCCCAGGUCGCUUUGAUAAACGAUAAAUAAGGGCAGGCCAUUGAAAGCCGUAACGGAUGCCAAAAUCUACAAUGUGAAGAGUUUCUACUUCCUUGGCUAGAUUCAGAAUUGUAUGGUUCGCGAAAAUGAUUGCAAGCUUCUUGAAUGGACAGGCUGAAAUAUACAUUUGGUACGCUUUCACCAUGUCGGCAGCAGAGUUUCUUUUGGAGUAUAAAGCAGUAUAAAUCUGAGUUCCAGUGCCAGCCAUGCGUGCUUCAAGAGCAUUCGCAAAACAAUGUGCCAGCCUCUGAGAUCCAUCACCCAGUGGAGAAGAAUACUGCCUUAUCUGCCUCAAUAACUCAUUAGCAUUUGCACGAUCAUCAGAAGAAACAUAUUGAGCACACAGAACCAACAUUGUCCUCAAAUCCACAACACCCUUCUUGUUGCCUUGUUUCUUACCACGGCUUUUUCCACCACCAGAAUUAUUUGCUUCUUCUUUCUGCUGCACACUCAUAUCCGACCCAUUAGCCUUUUCUUCCUUUCUGCACCCCGUUCCAAGCAGCACCUUAUCAAACAGCUCGGAUAGCUCACUGUCAUCAUCAGUAUAAAAAGCUGACUGCUUGUUACUUCUCUCAUCUUGUAAACCCAAUUCAUCUCCCCGCUCAUGAUUCUUCCUCCCCCUCGACUCAGCUGAAAAAUGUUCCCUUUCAUCGCUCUCCCUCUCAACCACUACCUCCUGAACCUGAACCUCCCUUCUAAAAGAAGGAACAAAAGGGUUACUCUCCAAAUCAAUAAUAAAUGGAUUCACUUUAGGUAGAAACUUAUUAGCUUCCUCCACACCCCUCUCAAAUUGCAAUACAGACUCAUUCUUACUAAUCAAAUUUGAAUCAGGAAAUCCAUCCCUAAAUCCACCACCGGUUACACCGAAAUCGCUACUGCUAUUACUACUACCAUUGAUUGAACUAGCUUGAAAAACAAAAUCAACAGGAAAAUGGGUUUUCAAUAUAGAAGGAUUAUGCUCAGAAACAUCAAAUUUACUCAAAUAUGAUUCAACUUCAACAGAAUUACUACUACUGAAAUUACUGUUAAAACUAUCAUCAGGGCUUUGUACAGAAGAAGAAGGGUAAGUCUGACCAAUGACUUCAUAGAAAGAUUUUUCAGCAGCUUGUAAAGCCAAUGAAUCAUGAAACAUACAUGGUUUCAUAUCCAUGUCUUCUUCCAUAAGCAUUUGGUUUAUGUAACGAAGAACAGUGGAAGAGAAAUCAAUUUCAUCCAAAGGUGAAUCUUCUUCUUCUUCUGUAGCAUUGUUUGGAUCAGGUUGAAGAAAAGGUUUGUCCAUAAAUCCAAAGGUGUGAUCCAUCUAUGAGUGAUUUGGGGAUAAUGUUUAAUAAUUUAAGAUCUUGAAGCGGUGAUUAUUAUGAAGUGGAAGAAGAAAGAAAGGAGGUUUUAAUUAACAAAAAUGAAUAAAUGAUUGAGUGAGUGUUGUUUCUGACAGAGAAGAUGUGAGAUAUUAUUUUUAUUUUUAGAUAACCUGAUGUUUCGGUUAUCACAGAAAAAGAAAAUCUAGUCUAGUAAUUUAAAGUUUGAUCCAAAGUUUAAUAAAAGAACAUUUUAUUGAACUAAUUUUUAAUGAAGAUCAUUAAUUAUUUCAUUUUAUCUCAAUUUAUUGGUUUGAUUCCGUUAUCUAAUGUAGUUGGUGGAGAUGGCAUUAACAAGAGUGAAAGAGAACGGUGACAGAUCACAGAAUCUUGUUGGGACCUAUUGUCAACCUUCAAUUUCAACUUGUUUGUUCAAUCUUGACUCCAUGAUCUUCAAAGUCUGUCCUCACAUAUCACCCUGAUUGCAUUAAUUUUGACCGGUAAUUUGGAUUUUUUUAUGGAUAAUGUUAACAUAUAUCUAAAAAAAUUAUUAAUGAUUUGAAAAUGAAAAAAAAAAUAGUUGUUUUUUAGGCUUUGUGAGUUGGGUUUUGGAGGGAAAGCGGGGGAAUCAAAGGCUUAUGGAGAGGUAAUCCUUUGUUUUAGAGUUUUAAAAAAAGAGGGAAAAGUUUUGGCGGUUUUAAAGGGAUUUAUUUGUCCACUUUAAAGUUCUCCAAAAUUGAUGGAUUUUGAGGGUUAAAGAUACAAAUUUACAAUUUUACCCUUACAAUAAUUUAAAAUUUCAAUUCUUUUAUUUUUUUAAAUUAUUAAUGAAAUUUGUACCCAAAAAUAAUUAUUAUGAAAUAAAAGGAAAUAUAAUUACAAUUAUUGUAUAUAAUUUUGUAUAUAUAGUGAAAUUAAUUUAUCAUUAUUGUAUCACUUUUUUUUUUAUAAAAAAAAAAACAGUUUAUUUAUACAAAACAACUUAUUACGAUUUUUUUUUUCAAAUUUUUUUUUAUUACGAUCUCUUUUUUAAAAAAAAUAUUGAAAACAACUUAUCGUAAUAAGCUGUUUUUUAAAAAGAGAUCGUAAUAAUUUGUUUUUCAUUAGAUAAGUUGUUUUUUUAGAAAGAUACCGUAAUAAGCUGUUUUAAAUAAGUUAUUUUUUAAAAAGAGAUCGUAAUAAGUUUUUUUUUAUAAAUAAACUAUUUUGAAUAAGUGUUUUUCAAAAAUAGAUAGUAAUAAUUUGUUUUUCGUGAGAUAAGUUAUCUUGAAUAAAUCACAAGAAAAAUUACAAAGUAUAACACAAUGUAUUGAUUUAAAGAGAAAAAAGAAUAAAAUAGUAAAAUUAUAACAUAAGUCAUCCAUCUCCUUUUUUUUGUUGGUUUUUUAACUCUCAAACAAAAGAAGAUUUUUCCUCCUAUCUCCCUUCCCUUCCUUUCCUUUCCCUCAAAACUCGCAAACAAAGCUCAAAAGAAGAAGAAUAUUUGGUCCAAAAUUUGAGACACCUUUCUUGAACUCGAAGCACUCUAAGGUUUUCCACUUCGCGGUUUCUAUCUUAUGGCAAGGUGGACAGGGAAAACGACACAGUGAGGGCUCUUUACAAAACUCCAUAUUAUUUGGUUUGAGGAAAUGGAAGUUACAAUGGAGAUGUGAAGAUAACCAAUUCAGCAUCUCAUCUGAAUCAAAGAUUACCAAUUACUAAGAUUGUGAUUGCUUCAUAAUAGAUUACCAAUUACUGCCAGAAACAUCUUCAUUCAGUUUUGAUUGAGUCAUUGAGAAGAUAGGAACUGCAGAAUCAAGUUUGUCUGAAGUAAAAAAGGGAAACAAAACUGGCAGAAAAUAUUCUAGAUUGCUUUCAAAAAGUUGAAGGAAAAUAGGUAUGACCUCAUUGCAUUGUGACUGAAUUAUCAGUGUCGAUUUAUACAGGAACAAAGUUUAUGAUCAAUUCUGAUUCAUUAGAUACAUUGCUUAGGUCGGGUUUCACUGCACGAUUAUUUUGUAAUUUUCCUUUGUUGUCCUUUAGAUCAAUUCGAUUAUAUCCUUCAUAAACACAAACAUAAUUACACUAUUACAUUAUAAAUUUUACUCAGGUUUGGGGUCAAGAUUGAGAUUGAAAAAAAUGGCUUAGUAAACAUUUAUGAUUGGUGCCGGGACAAACUUACUUAUCUCUUGAACACCAGUCACCACUAGUAAUAAUAACAGUGGAUUCUUAAAAUACCAGUAAUAACAGUGGAAAAUGCUGCAGCACACUUAAACAAUGAAGAAGACGACGAAGGAUGCACUUGUGAACACCAAAGGGUGUAUUUUCACGCAAACUUUUGGAUUCAAUUCGCCCCCACCAAUAUUUGUAUAUUGGAUGCAAACAGAAUGACCACUGAAUCUCCUUCAGAAUACUUUGACAACACAUAUCAAGCUUAUCUCUUAAUAGUAGUUUACGGAAUUAUGUUUCUUACAUUUCACUCAUGCAUUAGCAUUAGAGAAGGGAGGAGUGAUUUAGAGUGAGAAAAUGUGAGAGAAAAUGGCUGUGUAAUUUUCCUAAUUAGUGCACUUUAUGAGGUGUAAGGACCAUGUAUUUAUAAUACAAGACACAUCGUUUAACACAUGAAAAGUAACCUUUAACCAAGGGUAACAAUCAUAUAUGAUCAGAUUUUUGAAACAAGAGUUGCGUUUGUUCACUUUCAGACAAAUAAUGAUCAUGAAGCAACACAUCUUAAUUAAAUAUAUGAAGAGAUACAAUCAUUGGGACUCAAAGACAUGAGAAAACCGAUUCUGCACAAGAUUCUUCAUGGCAAACAAGCACCUAGCACUCAUAAGGUCACCUGGUGCUGCAGGCUGCACGUAGGCUGGGCGCAUAGUGCCCCAUGUUGCGGAACCAGGGCGCCUACCGCCCUCAAACACAGGCAGGGCGCCUAGAACCCGCUGUCAAGCGCUCAACACUGUGUUUUUGCAUCAUAUACUUGAUCUUGGGUCUGUCAAUGAGUCUCAUAUAAUUGUGUUAUUUUAAAAAUCAUUCGCAUGGACCUUUAGAAUUAACUUAUCCCUUGAACACCACUAAUGAUGAUGAAUCACAAAAGACCAUUUAAGACUAGAAUCAAAAGCAUGUGUUAAUCCAAAUUCAACCAAAAUAAAAUACAGUGAACACAAUAUACAGUAGAAAUCACAUGAAUCUAAGCUAAAAAUCUAGUUACACAUGGUGAAAUCUAAUUAUACAUGCUGAAAUCCAAGAAUUGUUUCUAAACCUUCUAUAUUUUAACUAGAUAUAAGAGAGAAAUCAAAUCACAAAUGUCGGAAAGUUAGAAAAAAUGAGGAGUGAAUCCCAAAUUCUUGCCAUAAACGAGCAUUUAAAGCUGACUGAUGCCAUGUAAGUCUUGUACAAAUAUCAAACUCACACUAAAAGUAGUAAGAUACUAGUUGAUUAUGCCGGCACCAAACAAGUUGAAGCAUAUAAAAUACGACCCUUCCAACCUUGAAGCAUCCAAUUGCUGUCUUCAUCAAAUACAAAAUCUCUAUGGUACCAUUGCCUUAAUUUAGUCCUAAAUUUCUCCAUUAAUUGCGAGUCCAAUGGAAGUUGCUUGAAACCAGCUCUUGUAUUCCUAACCUGCCAUUGUUUAUAUGUCUCUGGCCUUUCAACUCUUUCUAAACCUUCACAUGCUACAACAUUCAUAACUUCCCUACCCAUAAUUUCCCUCUCAAGCAUCCUCCUCCAUUCACUUCCCUUCGGUAUGACGGCAUCCAACAUAUCAUAAAUAGCAGAAAAAUUAAACAGUGCCUCCCUAAACCUUGUAGCAAAGAAAGGUGAAUUAUAUGAUCCAUUAAUAGUAGACAGAGUGAAAAUAUCCGGAUUUAUCUUCCUAAUCAAAUGCAGAACCACGUUUCUAGGACUAUUAAUCUCAAUACUCUCAUCUAGUAAAUUCUUAAACCUCCCCACACAGUUCACAGCAACUACCUCGUUGCUCUUGAUUUUAAGAUCUUCAACUCGAAUUGUUUCCCAUUUCCGCGAUGCUAGGGCAUUGUACUCGAACAGAACAUUGAAACGCUUGCAAUAGUUAGCAAGUCGACGACCGGUCUCCUCGAUUCUUUCUUUCGGGCGAAAGCCUGGUAAGGGGAAUUCUAUCCCAGUGAUCCUCAGUUUUGGCGGUCCACCUUCUCUAUUUGAUAGAAACUUAAUAAGCAUUGGCCACUGAAAACCAUAAAGGAUACCAAAAUCAAUGAUAUGAAGGGUUUCAGCUUUUGCAGCAACUUUCAUAAUCAUUUCAUUUCCAAACAAAUAUGCAAAUUUCUUGAAUGGAGGGCUAGUAAAAUGAACUUGAUAUGCUUUCAAAAACUCAGCAGCAGUGAUUCUCUUGGUGCUAGGUGAGGAAUAGAAUGUUUGCGCACAAGCUCUAUCGCAUACAAGGCGCGCCUCAAGGCCAUUGGCAAAGUAAUGAGCCACCCUUUGAGAUGCUUCUCCAAAGGGUGAAGAAUGUUGCCUAAUCUGCUUUAAAAGAUCAUUAGCAUUUCUAUUGUCAUUGGCAUACAUAGCUUGUGAACACAUAAGCAGAAGAUUCCUUAAGUCUAUCGUUUUGUUUUUGCUAUCACGUUUCUUGGGACGAACCUUUCCUUCGUUAGAUGAAGGUGGUUGCUCAUUCUGCAAAAAUUCACGUUCCACGUUAAGCAAAGCUUUAUCAAACAUUUCUGAUAAUUCAUCCUCAUCAACAACACUAAUAGCCGAUUGCUUGUUACUACUCCCUUCUUCUUCUUCGCGCCCGUGAUUCUUUCUACUCUUCAUCAUAUUGAAAUUGGAUGAUUCUAAACCAGUCAAGAGUUGAGGCUGAGGAGGAAGAAACUUGUUGGCUUCUUCAAAACCUCUAUUGAAUUGAGAAACAGAAUCUGCAUUACUGAAAAUGUUCUCUGCCAACAUAUUGGUAAUAGAUGAAUCGAAAUUUAUGGGUCCAUCACUAACACUACUUGAAGCACAGGAAUUAAACUGAAAACCAUGAUUAACAAGAUCAGAAACAGGAGUAUCAGGUGAAAAGGGUUUCGACUCGUGAGAAUCGUCGAUGCUGCUGUUACUAUUACUAUUGCAACUGGUGCUGGUUGUGCCAUUAGGUGAAAGAGCAUCAUGGAAUGAUUUUUCUGUGAUUUGUAAGCUAAGUGGAUCAUAAAAAGGUCUCUGGUCAACGUUUUCUUCCAUGAGGAUUUGAGUUAUGAACUUUAUGGUUUCUGAAAAAUCAGUGUCUUCCAUGGAAGAAUCUGUCACUGAAGCCAUAUAACCUUCUAUAGGUUUCUCAUAUUGUUGAAACUCAUCACAGUUUGGAUCCAUAGUUAUUUUCUCUUUGUUGAGGAAAGAUAAACUAUGAGAAUAAUAGUGUAAUAAUAAUAAUAAUAAUAAUAAUAAUAAGAUAUGAAUUGAAUUAACUGAAUAUAACUGACCAUGAAUUAUUGGUGGUUUGAAGACAUGGAAGAACUCAGAAGGAAGCAGAAAAUGAAGUUACGUAAGAGGAAUAGAUUCAUUUAUCAUAGAGAAGCAUCCCCUUUGACAACAUAAUUAUAUAGUAGUAAAAUGAACUUGGUAUGCUUUCACAUGGAGGACUCUAUGACUAGUAAAUUGAUCCGAUUAAGUGUGAUUUAGAUUGAAUCAUUUUAUAUAUUAUGUAUUUAUGUUAUGUCUCUCUAAAACCUAAGAUAUAUUGAGGUAAGCGCUCAGAAACUUGAACACGUUAAGCAAGUGAUUAUCGAUUCAUCAAUAUAGAAAAUUUAGUUGGGAUGUAACAAAUCACCUUGUGUCUACAUGUUUUCCGAUGAAGACUAGCCUUAAACAAUAUUAGAAACUUUAUACCAAUAACAUAAAUAUAAUUACAAAAAUGAAAAUGUUAACAAAUGUUCCCACGUGAACAUUUGUUAAGGAAUCUAAUAUAGUAAUAAUUGAUUGAAACUUGUGUAGUCGAUGUUUUAAAAGUUUAAAAAAUAUUACUACUUUCAACACAAAACUUCUAAUUUUAAAUUCCUUAACUAUUAAAUAGUAUUACGAAAGAAAACGCGUUAACAAGUGCCCAUAACACAUUAGCAUGUCUCUUAAAAAAAAACUAAUAAAUACUAUUUCCAAUAAGUUAACUCAAAUGAUAAAAGACAGACAAUUAAUAUUUUGAGACGUAGCUUCGAUCCCAUAAAUUUUCAGACAUUUUUAAGACAUUUUUUUUAUUAUAAAUACAGCACUCGUUAGGUGACUCGAAGAGUAAUACAUUAAUACAACAUUUCGUACUAAAAAAUAAGUAUAAAUGUAGGCUCUAAAACAUCUAAUAAUGUUCAAUUUUGUACAUUUUCUAUUUAAUUUUCAAUUGUGUACACCUUCUAUUCUUUCUUUGUCGAUUUUACAAUUUUAUUUGACUAAUUUAGAUAUGAACUAUCAUGAUCAAUUUUACCACGUUUGCAUAGCUUUUAUUGAAAAAGAUUGCAUACUUCAUCAAAAAGAAACAAUCAAAAACGUUGUAUUGAACCUUUUUAUUAAAAAAUCUUAAUAUGUAUAUAUUUCAAUAACAUAAUUAACAAAUAAUUUCAUAUUCCCUUCAAAAAAAUAAUAAUUCAUAUUCAUGUAAAAUAUAUAGAGUUUGUCUAUAUGAUGUAAGUUUUUAAUUCAACCAACAGUGAGUUUUAUAAUACGGGUAUGUAGUUGGAAACUUACAAGUGGUACAUCAAUACACAAUUACUCCUUAAAUGAUAUGAAAUUCAUCAAUUCAGUUCUUAAAAUUUAUGAAAAUCCGACUUGAUAGUCUCUAAUAUUUUAAUAUCAAUGACCAAAAUUGACAGAUUUUAUAUUUAAUAGACUCUUAUUAUGUUGAUAAUUGUUAAGAAUUAAAUUGAAGAUUGUGAUUUUUUUUGUCUAAUAGCCUAGUGGCUAGAGCUCACACAAAUAAAUGUGGAGAAGUGAAGUGUCCGGGGUUCGAACCCCGGCCCCUGCAUAAAUUAUGCAAUGUCCCUACCAAUUGAGUUAAGUUCACGGGGACAGAUUGUGAUAUUUUUAAAUAAUAAAAAUUAAUAGUUAAUUGAAAUAAACAAAACAAAAAUGAAUGGUAACUGCUUUCAUAAACUAGAACUAGAACUGGGGGGAAUGCAUCUGGACUGUUGCAAACAUUAUUUAAAAUGUAAAGAGGAUGGUGUUAAACUUCAAGUGGAAGAAUUUUCUAUUAUAAAGUUUUUCUUUUGACUAGAUUCAAGUAUUAAACCAUGAAGUUGUCUAAUAGCUUCUAGCUAAUCCGUGAGACCGUGACAUUAUGCAUAUGAAAUGCUACAUAAAGCAAAUUAAAGGAUGUUUAGUAAAAAAAAUCAAAAUUAAAGAUAUGUUAUGUGCUCCCUCCGUUGCUUUUGAAAACAUCUUUUAUUUUUUUUUUAGAAAUGCUCACAAGUGUCUUUGAAAUAGAAUCUCUCAAUUUAGUCGAUCUAGCAAUUAGAUCCCUUAAAUUAGUCGAUAUUUAAACCAUAUAUCAAGUUUUCAAAACAAAACAAGAAAUAGCAAGUAUUCAAAACUAAAAUAAAAAAAAAAAAAAAAGUGCGAACUAAAUUGAUACGCUCUUGGAUCAUUUCCUUUCAACAUUCUUUCUCUCCUUCAAGCAAAAUAAAUGUAAGAGGAGAGAGAAAUAAAUAACAACAACAAUGAGAAAAUGUAAAAGAGAUAUAGAUAAAAUGAUCAUGCUAACAAAUAUCUUUAGACUACUCGUUGAAAAAUCAAAAGAUAUUUUUUUUUUGUAGCCACAAACAACAAGUCGGGGUUCUUUUUCUGGCUCAUAUGUAUGAAAUAAAUCUGGUUGAGAAGGAAAAACUCAUCUUAUAUACCUAUAUAUUCUUCGUUGGAGAUUAGUCACCGAUUUGCAACAGUGGAAAUUUAAUAACAAUAUCAUGAAAACUUCUUUAAAAUUAUAAAAAAUACUCUUUCAGCAUAGAGCUUUCUUUUUGUUUUGGUUUUUUAUUAAGUGUCCCUUGCUUCAAAAAAUAAGGGUCCUUGGCAUUUAUUACUUGUUUGCAUUUAGCAUGUUCAAGUUAGUGAAGGAGAUGUCGGUUAAAACCUUAAUUUAUUCUCCUUUAUCCAUCAAAGAGGGGUAGUUUUGGGUCAUUUUUUGAUCUCAAAUCACCCCUCUAACUUGUUUUUCUCCUUCCCUUCUAUUUAAAUAAGUGAUUUUCACAUCGAGUUAGGUUUUUCUUUCGUGAUUUCGUCGUCUUAGUGCGGCGUUGUUUUGUUUGCCGUCUUUGUGCAGCGUUGCUUGUCGUUUCCCUCUUGUUCAGGUGUUUGUUCGGUUCAAAUUCUCAUAUCAGCUUCGAUUAAAUGCAGAUCCAACCAAUGACUUUGGCAUCAUCAACGUUGCAGAUCCAGAGACAUGACUAUUCCGGAGAUUUUAAUAUAGUCAUAUUUGUAGGCUUAUGUACUUUGCCGUUUGAUGCUAUUAACAUAGAUGUUGUGAGUUUGUUCACAGAUUCAUCCUUUUUGUUUUUAGCGAAUUUGUAUUGUAUCAAUGUACUCUAUCAAUUUGAACGAAUGUCGUUUGAUUUUGUAAAAAAAAUAAAUAAAUAAAUUAGUGAAGGAGAUAGUUGAAGAAAAACAUCACCCCCAUAAAAAGGUCAUGGUCCCCGUUGGCAUUUACUCUAAAACAUCGUUAUCAAAAUAUUUAAUUUUUGUCUUAAAAACAUUAUUUUUUAUUUUUAUUUUGGAAAAAGUUAUAUUCAAUUGUUCAAAGAAAAAUUAGCUGAUUUAAAACCUUACCGCGAUCCAUAUUAGGAAACACAUAAAUGUACAUGAGGGUGUGGUAUGGAUGAAAAUGUAGAUUACUUAUUUGUCUGGUUUGUCUUUUUUGGUUGAAUUUGGUUCUUGCUUUCAUAAUGUCUUGAUUUGUUAUAGUAAACCACUUUAUGAGGUUAUUUUUUUAGAUUAUUCGUAGGAGUCUUCACAUAAUUUGGUUCCUUAGUGUCUGGAUUAUUUUGAAAGAAAGAAACCAGCGUAUUUUAUAGCUAAAGGAGAAAAGCACACAAAUCUUUAUGUGAUAAAAUUAAGCUUUUGCUGUUUUGGUGGUUGAAUGCAAGAUGCCCAACCUUUGUUUUUUACUACCACAACAUACAACUCAAUCCUCUUCGGUGCCUAACUUCAGUUUCUUAGCUUGUUUAUUGUUUGGCUUUUUAUUUUUCAUUUCAUUAACAUUAUUUUGUAAUGACUUGUUAAGACUGUUCUAGUAAGGGCUUCUUUGUAGUGGUUAUGUAUAAUUCUAUUUUGCCUUUUCUAAAAUAUCUUAUAGUUUAAUAAGAGAUUAUAAUGUCGAAACCAGUUCAGUGCAAGCAUCAAUCAUCCAAUAUGGUAUUAUCUAACUCAAAUAAUUAAAUUUUAUCAUUGUGCGCAAUCAUAUAAAAAAAAACGUUAGCAACGCUAGUUUCAUAUCAAUAACUUUUUUAAGGUCAUGCUAAUUUGUGCUCUUAGGACACAAGUUAAGAACUAAAAAUUGAACCUUUUUUUAAAAAAAGAAAUGAAAACUAAAUUUUGCAUUGAGAAAAUAAACUUUUAAACUUUUUAGAUGUUUAUUAAAAAAAAAAACUUUUUAGAUGUUAAAUGUACAAUUUUCAAUCGGAUAUUUCUACAUUUAGUUUUAGGCAUGACAACAAAACUCAUACACGCGGUAUCCGCCCAAACCAAACCUAAUUUGAUGGGUUUUUCCGCUUUGGUUGGGUUUGAGUUUUGCUCGAUUUCAAAACACAAGUACAAGACGGUUAACAUGGAUAUAGGUAUCCACCCCGAACCCCUACCCAAACUCAUCUCGAAUUAGAAAAUUAAUUUAUUACCUCUUUAUUAUAAAUAAAUCCAAACCAUAAAUAAUUUCACUCACACACUUAGAAUCUCAAUUUUUCGGAUGACAAUCACUUAACAUAAUUCUCUCUUUUCUCAUUCCAUAUCUUACACUCUCAGAUUAUAUAUUCUCCAUCACCAUAGUCACCAAUAGUCAUCAUCUAUUUGAUGGAUAAGGCAUUAUAACAUUGCGCUUGUAGUUGAAAAAUAUUUUAUUUUUAUUAAAAAAUAAUUAUCAAUUGCGUAUAUGGUACAUUGAAUAUACGUAGAGUAGUGAAUAAGUAUAUUAGAGUAGGGUAUCAAGACAAGGAAGAUAAAAGCCGUCCCCACCCCCACAUUAUCACGCCUGAUUAAUUUUCUUAACAUGUGUUCUUAAGAGCAUCCAAAAUGGAGACCCUCAAUCAUAAGGUCUUAAACGAGUCUCAUAUGGACACAUCACUUUUUUAUAAUUUUUUAAUAAUAGUACCUAAUAGAUACCUCACCAUUGUGGAUGGUCAAAUGACACAAAUUAUUACACCCGACACAAAUUAUUACUCCCUCCGUUCCUAUAUAUAAGUUUCUUUUGUGUUUUUCACAUUUUUAAAAAAAAAAGUUAGUGCAAUUAAUGUGUUUAUUUUGCGUGUUAAUAUUACUAAAUUGUAUUAAAUCUGACUUUAAAUAGACAAGUUAGUAAUAUUAAUUAAUGUAUAUUUAAUCCUCACGAACUUAAUUCAGUUGAUAGAGACAAUACAUAAUAUAUGUAUGGUGAGUUCAAACCUCGACCACAAAAAAUAUUAAGGUAUGUUUAGGAAAAAAUAAUAAAUAAAGGAGAAAACUUAGGUACAAUUCCUUAGUGUUUUUCGUAUGAUUCUUAACUAAAUUCACCAUGAUUUCCUCAAAUCCAUAAUUUUCUCAAAAUUUGUUAUAUCCAAAAAAAAUAUAUUUUUAGUUAAGAAUCAUACGCAAAGCACCUAAGGAAUUGUACAUAAGUUUUCUCCAUAAAUAAAUUAGUAAUUUUAAAAGAAAUUUAUAUUUAAAGACAAAUUCUAACAAGUGAUGAUUUUUAUCAAUCAAUAAUUAAACACCGAUUCAAUGUCAGAAUCACCUUUUUAAAACAGUUAUUAACAAUAUCUUGAGAAUGCCACCUCAUAAAUAAAGGGCUUAAUCAUCUUCCUAGCAACUUCCUCGUAGUCACAUAAAUUUUCCCCUUUUCUCUGUUUUCUGUAAUCUCAUUUAUAAAAUCAAAAGAUAACACUUCUUCUCCAAGCUUCCACCGUGUUUACUCUUCUCAUCUCUUCCAACUUGCGUUGACCACAAAACUUGUACACUUUCUUCUCUUUUUCUCCUUUCAUUUUCAUCUUCAUUUUUCAUACAUAUCCACAAAUAUUAUUAUUAUCACUUUUUUCUUUUCCCUUUAUUCAAAAAAACCAUUACCUUAAUCACUAGAUCUAUUCUCUUUGAAAAAACAAAACCUUAAUUUCUUGUUCAGAUUCAAACAUGUUUUCUACUGAAACACUCGUAGAAAAUUUUCCUGGUUCUGUUAACGGAUGCAUGUUUGGAAACAUACCCGUGUCUGUUUUUUCAAACCAAAACCCAGAAAACGCGUUUAAAUUCGAAGAUUCAAAUUCAAUAUCACCUUCAAGUGAUUCUGUUCCUUCUUCUGUAAUAACCUCAAAUGGUGAAUCUUCUGAGAGUAGUAAGUAUUCAAAUCCUAUUCUUAGAUAUAUAAGUGAUAUUCUUAUGGAUGAAGAAGAUUUGGAGACAAAGCCUUGUAUGUUGCAAGAUUGUUUGAAGCUUCAAGCUGCUGAAAAAUCGUUUUAUGAUGUUUUAGGAUCAGUAACUGGAACUAGUUCUAGUUCUGAGAGCUAUAGUAAUUGUAGUUAUAAUACUGAUAAUUCUGUUGUUGAUUGCGAUUCGCCGGAAAAUAAUGCAUAUGAGGUGUUUGAUAAAAUUCCUUAUGAUCCGCGAGGUUUUUUCGGUUCUCCGAGUGAUGUUUGGAAGAUGAAUGAAGAGGGUAGUUUUGUUUUGGGUUCUAGAGGUUUAGGGGAAAAGAGAGGUUAUUUGAUGAAUUGUAAUGAUAUUGGUAUUUCACAUGAAGAAGAUCUGAGAAGAAACAAGGUUUCAGCUGUUUAUUAUGAUGAUACAGAGUUAUCAGAGAUGUUUGAUGAUGUUCUUCUUUGUAAGGAUGGUAAAAGUCCGUCGAUUUUUUGUGAUAAUUCUGAGUCGUCGCAAUCACAGAUUUCUGGUUCAGGAAGAUCUAAUGGAACCUCUAAUGGAAAGACAUCGCGAUCCAAGAAAGGUUCCGGUAAGGGGAAAAAACUAAGUACUACGGUAGAUUUAUGGACUUUGUUAACUCAAUGUGCACAAGCUGUUGGUAGCUAUGAUCAAAGGAAUGCAAAUGAUAUACUGAAGCAGAUUAGGCAGCAUUCUUCGCCAAGUGGCGAUGGACUUCAGCGUUUAGCUCAUUACUUUGCUGAUGGACUUGAGGCGCGAUUAUCUGCUGGUACACCGAUGUAUAAACUCCUUCAGUCAUCGUCUGCUGCAGAUAUGUUGAGAGCUCAUAAAGUUUAUAUCACAGCUUCUCCAUUUCAAAGGAUGUCGAAUUUCUUGGCCAACAGAACUAUUCUGAAGCUGGUAGAAAAUAAAAGCAGCCUCCACAUUAUCGACUUUGGUGUUUUCUAUGGCUUUCAGUGGCCUUGUCUCAUCCAGCGUCUUUCAGAGAGAUCCGGUGGGCCACCAAGGCUUCGUAUUACAGGAAUUGAUCUUCCUCAGCCAGGAUUUAGGCCUGCAGAAAGGGUUGAAGAGACAGGUCGGCGACUUGUGAAGUACUGCAAGAGGUUUGGAGUUCCAUUUGAGUACAAUUGCCUUGCUCAGAAAUGGGACACUUUAAGACUUGAGGAUCUCAAGAUUGAUAGAGAAGAAGUAACAGUGGUUAACUGCUUACACAGAUUGAAGAAUGUUUCUGAUGAAACGGUGACGGAAAAUUGUCCUAGAGAUGCUGUGUUGAGGUUGAUCAGGAGGAUUAAUCCAAACAUUUUCAUACAUGGUGUAGUGAAUGGAACUUAUAACGCACCCUUUUUUCUUACUAGGUUCAGGGAAGCACUAUUCCAUUUCUCAUCAUUGUUUGAUAUGCUUGAAGCUACGGUGCCGCGUGAAGAUGAUCAAUAUAGGCUGAUGAUUGAGAAAGGGUUAUUCGGAAGGGAUGCAGUAAAUGUGAUAGCUUGUGAAGGAGCAGAGAGGGUUGAAAGGCCAGAGACUUACAAGCAGUGGCAGGUUAGGAACAAGAGAGCAAGGUUCAAACAACUUCCAUUGGCUCCAGAACUGGUGGAUAGAGUGAAAGAAAUGGUGAAGAAGGAGUAUCCGAAAGAUUUUGUAGUUGAUGAGGAUGGGAAGUGGGUUCUGCAGGGUUGGAAAGGGCGUAUUCUGCUAGCUGUUUCUUGCUGGGUUCCUUCUUAAUCAAAUUAUAUAGACUAUAGUCAUAGCACUCUUCUCUAGGGAAUUUAUUUUCUUUGCUAAUUUGUGUGUGAACUGGUAAACUGUAAAGUACUGAGUAAGGGUAAUACUAAUCUUGGAUUUUAGUAGGUUUAAACCAUCCUAUUAUACUUUAAAGUUGGAUUAAGAUUGGAUAUAUUCUUACUUAUGUACUUUAUAUACAAGUUUAUAUCAGCUUAUGCAUUUGCAAUAUUCUUCUUUUCUUUCUUUAUGCAUUUGAGUUUUUGUUUUAGAUAUUGGAUUGAUUUACUAUUAGCUAACUAGUGUGUUUAACGAGGUCUUGUAUAUGCGUCAAACUUUUCUAUUUUGAUGUUAUACUCUUCCUGAAGUGUUUGUCUUUUAGACUCUAUUUAAUUGGUAUUUUCUAGAUUACCCUCUCUUGUUUAGAGGGUAUUUACUCUCUUAUGAUAUCAACAAAUCAAAAUGUAAUAUACAUUGACAACAUUAAAUAUCAUAAAUGAGUCAAUUUUUCCUAAAAAAAAAAUCAAUUAUAAUCAUUAGGUAACUUUUAAUACUUUUAAUUUUAUGUAAUUAUAGACAUGAUUACAUUAGAGAUCAUUUAUCUUAUUUAUUUGUAACACUUUGGUCCUUUAUCUUUAUUUUUUUCCAUUUAGAUAUUUUAUCUCUUAUAAAAGCACAUAUACAUCAUUUUUCUCAUUUUUUUUUUAAAAUACAUAAUUUUAUUUUUUAAAAUAUAUUUUUAUUAAAAAUAAAAAAAAUCCAGAAAUAUAAUGAAGAUGUCCAUCAUCUUCAUCUUCUUCCUUUGAAUCUUCAUCAUCUUCAUUGAAUCAAAAAAAUUUCUACACAAAUAUAUCUCCCAAUAUCAUAAAUUAAUGUAUAUUCACCUCAAAUCUUCUUUUAAACACAAAAACCAAAACCCUGUAGAAUAAGAGAUUUAGUUUCAUCGGAAAAAGAAAAAAAAAGAUUGUCACACCGUAUAUUAUUAUUAUUAUUAUUAUUAUUAUUAUUUUCUAACUCAAUAUUCAAAUCCGACAUAAAAAUAACCCCAAAAUUGAGAGCAACUUUGCACAUCAAUUUUGUUGUUUUCAGAACAAUCUUAACUUUCGUAAAGCCUAACCCUUCCGCCAGUGACUAAGCCUCCACCAUCCGCCUUGCAACAUUUGUGAAAUUAAGGUUUUGAUUUUUGUGUUUAAUAGAAGAUUGAUGUGAAUAUAACAUUAAUUCACGAUAUUUGGAGAUAUAUUUUAGUAGAAUUUUUUUUAUUUAAAGAAUAUGAUGAAGAUUCAAAGGAAGAAGAUGAAGAUGAUGAACAUCUUCAUCAUAUUUCUGCAUUAUUUUUUCAUUUUUAAUAAAAAAAAAUGAGAAAAAAAGAUGUAUAUGUGCUUCUAAGAGAGAUAAAUGACCUAAACGGGAAAAAAUAAAGAUAAAUGACCAAAGUGUAACAAAUAAAUAAGAUAAAAGACACAUAAUGUAAUCUUGCCUUAAUUAUAUUUAGGUGUUCAAUCUUAAUUAAUUUACACUACAGGACUGACUUAGAACAAUAAAAAUUUCACAUCAAAUUUCUUUCAGCUGAAUGUCCUUAAAUUUAUCAGUUAUAUUCAUAAAAUUUCUUCUUCCCAUUUUGAUUGUUCAAUUUUUUCGUUCCCAAAACUGCCGCAUUUUUUAAUUUUCGUGAGAAUGUCGUUGUUCAUUUGAUUCCAAAUAUCGUGAGAAUUCUCGUUAUUUCCAGUACCACGUCAGGUAUGGUGACUUGAUUUUUCUUUUUGAUUUGAUUUUUCUUGGUUGUGAGGUAGUUAAUUAUAACAAUUGAGUAAGUCAUGUGUUGUACUUUGAGGGCUGCUGGCAGGUGUUGCCGCUGUGAUUUUGUGGGAGUCUGCUAGCAUUUUUUCGGUUGCUGCUGAAAUUGUUAUGUGAUGAGGCUUUUGUUCUUUUGUUUGGACUUAAAGGCUUUGGCUGAUAGUGAGGCAGGUCUAUGCGUGUUAGCAGAUUUUAUUAGGUUGACUGUUUAAAUAAAAAAAAAAGUUACGAUAUCCGACGCAGUUCUAGAAACAACGACAAUUCUCACUAUAAUUGGAAACUUCGGCAGUUUGGAACGACAAAAUUGAACAAUCAAAAUGGGAAGAAGAAUGAAAAAGAAACAAGAAUUGAUCAAUAACGAAGAAUAAAGAAGAAGAAAUUUGAACGAAUGAAAUGUUUUUGUUCUCAUGUUCGGGGUUCUGGAAUGGAAGGAAUUUUAUAAAUGUAAGUGAUGAAUUUAAGGACAUCCAAAUGAAAGAAAUUUGAUGUAAAAUUUUAUUUGUUAUAAGUCUUGUGGUAUAAAUUAAUUAAGAUUGAACACCUUAAUAUAAAAAAAAAAUCAUUUGACGUUUAAAAAAAAAAUUAAAUAAAAAUUAAAAGUAUUAAAAGUUACCUUAUGAUUAAGAUUAGCUCUUAAAAAAAAAUAAUAAGAUUAAGAUUAACUCUUUUAUUUUUUAAAAAAAUCUAUUUAUUUAUUUGACAUUUGAUGUUAUCUAUGUAUAUUACAUUUUAAUUGGUUGAUAUCAUGAGAUGGUAAUUACCCUCUAAACAAGAUAGGGUAACAUAGAUCUCACCUAUUUAAUUUGAUGUUAGUUCUUUUCAAAAAAAAAAAAUGAAGUUAGUUGAGUGGAUUUAAUAAAGGAAGAAAAAUUCUUCUAAGGUUUAAUGUUCAGAUUUCAUAUUCUAUUUAAGAGAAAUUUCUUGGCAGUUAAGUAUCAAGUGCAUCUGAUCCUGGUUUUGUCUGGCUAAAAUUAGAAUGUUCAAAUUUUGACUCAGAAAAGUCAACACUUUUCUCAGAGAAAUGCAUAUAAACAAACUUGAGAAGUCAACACUUGCUAUAGUAUUCUUGUUCAAUACUUAGGCUCUGUGCCAGAUUUUGAGCUUAAAAAGACUUGUGACAUUUUUUUUCGCAAGCUUAUAGCUUAUUUAUACUAGCUUAUAGGUUAAUGCUUUUCAUUUUUUCUAUCAAAUUUACUUGUCAUCUUACUUGAAAAAAUUAAAUAUUAAAUAAACAUAUUCUUUUUUGUCAUUGCAUAUUAAUAAUUUCGUUUGACUAUAAUGUAUUCAAAAUUCAAUCAACUAGUUUAUAUGAUUUAAACUAUAAACAAGCUUAUAAGCUUUUCACUAUAAUCUAUAAGCUAGUUUAUUAGUGAUCUACUGUUUUUUUUUUUUUUUCGUCAAAAGAACCUUACUAUCUCACUAAAGUGAUCCACUGUUCAUGGUAAACAUCCAUCCAAACAAAAUCUUAGGCAUUGAUUUUUUUUUUUUUUUGAAUUUAACUUAACUUCAAAAAAUAAAAAUGAAAAAUGAUGACAAUUGUUUUUAGGACAUUAAUUAACAGAUGUUGGUUUGUAUAAGAAAAUGAUCUACUUUCUCCGAUCUUUUUUAUAAGAGAAAAAUAAAUCAAUAAAUAUUGAUGUAUUUGAUCUAUGUUAUAAAUUAAAUACAUUAACUUUUAUCGAUUUAUUAUUUAUUUCUUAUAAAAAGAAAGGGAAAGAAUAUUUACUAUAAAUAUCUAUUCUUUUUUUAUAAAAAAGACCGAAGAAAUAUUUAAAAGAGUUUAUACCAGAGACCUUGUGGGAUUACAAGAUAAGGAUUUUACAAUAAAAGUGCAAAAGUCAAAGGUGAGAGAACAAACCUAACCUCUGUUAUUUUAAAAGCAUAGCAACAAAUUUUAAAAAACGUAGAUUAGGUGACUUAUCUAUAUGCUGAUGAUCUUGAACCGAAAAGCAUGAAUCAGACAAGUAACUUAUUGUCAAUUAUUCUAACUGAUUUGAUUAAUAUUUUUUUUUAUCAUGUAACCUAAUUGUUAGAAUUCUCUUUUUUAAGGAGAAUAAGUGGGGUGUCUGAGGUUCGAACCUUAACUCUUAUAUACAAUAAUGUAUGUCCCUGCCAACUGAACUAUGUUUACGGAAUACUUAUUUGAUUAAUUUAAUUCGGAUUAUCAAGAUCACAACGAACAUAACUCAUUUUGUUUCGUAAUAUAUGCAUAUCUCUUCUCCUAUAUUAUUAUACAUACAUUUUAACAUAGUUAAAAUAGUCAUUCCACAUGACAUUCUACUAUUUUAUAUCAAAGCUAACAACAAAUGUUCUCAUUUUCACAAACCAUUCAACUGAUAUUUUUUUCUUCUUCUUAAUUAAUGAUAACUAUUCAUGUAUGUAAACGCAAAUUAAUUAUAUAAUGUGAGCUGCUAGUGAAAUGUUCUAGAUGAAAUUCCGAGAUCACUCUGAAUAAGACUUUAGAUAAAAAUACAAUGUUUCACUAUCUGAAAUCCGUCCCAUCAAAUCUAAGUGUCUCCGUUUUAUAGUCCUCAAAGUGUUGGUUUGAUGGGCCUUUCACUGAUCAUUCAAAGUCCAUUAAGUUGUGAUCUAGAGCCUCUCAUUAGUUGACUGUUUUGAGUAUGGCCCCACAUGGACUAGGGUGCAACUCGUCAGGACCGUUCCUAGAGUUUUACGGGCCUUAGACAUAAUAUGAGAAGAGGGCCCCUUACAUAAUACAUAAUUUUUUUUAGUAUAUUGUUGUAUUUUUAUUGGCUUUUCAUUUCGUUUUUUAUUUCACUUUUCACUACCAAAUAAAUGUUUUUCUAGACAACAUCUGAAAAUAAAUCAAAUGCUAUAUUAUUCCAAUUUCUUGGAUAAUAAAUAUCACCAAUAUUAUUAAUAUUAGUGAGGCACAUUAUUAGGAAUAAAGGGUCCAAAAAAAUAUCACCAAUUUCUUCAAUAAUAAAUUUUAGAGCACAUUAGUAAGAGCAACAAUUUUUUUAGAAGGUGUAUAUAGAAAUUAUUGUGCUACAUGGGGUAUAUAAAGAAAAUCGCGUCAAAAGGGCAAAAAACAAUAACAUGUUUCAGCUCAGUCCUUCAUCAUGUCAAUGUUAGGGACCUUUUCAGAGAAUUUUGCUAUAUAUCCCCAAAAAAACAAAAUAUUUCUAUAUACACCCCCACCUUAAUUUUGUUUUUGGGCCCACUACCGACAUGGGUCUUAGGCCGUCGCACCUCCGACCUAUGCCCUAGGACCGGCCCUGCAACUCGUCUGUAUCAGUCGCGUGGAGUCGAGAUGUGCUUUCAGAGACCUUAAUCAUCUGUACAGGACACGAGAAAUCCAUCUGUACAGGACACGAGAAAUCAGAGCAUAGUUAACUUAAAACAAAAAUAAAAGCAUCAAUUUAUGCUUGGCAUUUGUUACAAAAGUGGUUACCAACUAAAGAAAAUUUUGUAAAGCAAGGAAUUUUUCAAAAAAAUGCAAAUGUUUGUGCUUGAGGAAUGAGGAUAUGGCAAUGAUGAAAAUACCGACCAUUUAUUUUUUGGUCUUGGAAGUCUUUGGAAGUAUUUGGUUACUAGUUAGACGAUGAUUGGGUAUUCAUUCACGAACCCUUUACAAUGUGUAUGAUCAUGGCUUACUUUUUGGCGCACUAGGUGGUUUCUUCAACAAAUACGUUAGUAUUUUUAUACUAUUUGGUCACUUUGUGUUUGGAUCAUCUGGAAGGUAAGGAAUUAUUGUUGUUUUCAGCAACAAGAGUCAGUUGAUCGUUUGUUCAAUGUUUUCUUCUUCCACUUUUUAGUGGUUGAAAGCAAACAAUUUAAAUUUAGCUUUUGAUUUAAAUCAUUGGUGAGCUAAUUCCUUGAUGUGUUUGGGGCUAGCCACCUAGCAGUGUUUCAUUAAUACUUUCUCAUUCUUGUUUUUUGUUUUUUAGAAACAAACCAUAAAUUAAAGGGUUUGUCUUUUGAUAAGGGUUCACCCCUUUAUAUAUUAAUUAAAGGGUUGACCCCUUUAUAUAUAAAAAGAUGUUUGUGAUUUUUAAAUAGUAACAAAUCAUAUUUAUCUUUUAACAACUAUAUAACAAAUAUAAUAAAAAUUAUUAUCUUUUCAAUAACAAUAUCAAUAUAAUGAAUAAUGAAUAUUACUUUCAAUAAUUAUUAUCUUUGUGGUUUGCAUCUCAACAACUGAACCAAACCAAACUAAACCGCAAGAAUAAUAAAUAUUACUUAAACAUAUACUAGUCCAAUUACAUAACUCAAGAAUAAUCUCUUUAGAUUUGAUUUUUCCAUUGUUGCACCAUCAUGUUCUAUUCUAAUUCCUUUCCAUCUCUUUCAAUUCAUUUCUAGUGAUGAAUUUGUUUCAUUUAUUUCCCAAUAAUUUGUUUCAUGCUUAUGUUUCUUCUUAAUUUUACCUAUUUUGAUAUAAGCUUUACCUAAUAUUUUAUCAUAUAAACAACAAAAUAAAAUGUCCUAUGUUUAUUUUGUAACAAGUUUGCAAUAUUAGAGUUAAUGUAAUAUUUUUUUAAUCUCGCAAUAAACCGCACAAACCGAACCAAUCCAAGCUGCAUUGGUUUGGUUUGGAUGACUUUUUAAAAAUCAACCGAACCAAACCAAACCGCAUAUUUUUUUAUCUCGUAGUUUAGAUGACUUUUAUGCUCAAAACUAAAUCAAACCGCACCACGAACAUCCCUAACUGAAAUAAUGAAAAAUUCAAACAAACAAAAAUAUUUCCUUUAUAUAUUGUUACAGAUAAAUACAAAAUGUGUUUCCCGUUGUUGCAUUUUAUUUGGAGAAGCCAUAUUCUUUUCCAAAAAGACGGAAAAAACUUCUAACAUAACUGUAUCAAGAGUUAAGACACUUUAUUAAAAGUUAAAAUUGGGUUGCAAAUCGUCGUGUUGUCUUUGUGAGCUUAACUCAGUUGGUCGGGACAUUGUAUAAUAUUUGUAAAGGUUGGAGUUCGAACGCUGGAUAUACAAUUUAUUCAUCUUAAUAAGAUGAAUUUCUAACCAAUAAACCACUCGAUAAAAAGUAAAAUAAAAUAAUGGAUUACAAAUCUUGACAAAAAGAACUGGGUUACAAAUGAGUCUUAAGUCAUACUUAAUCUUACUAUUUCUAGCAUAUUAGUCAUUACUAGUUGGAUGUGCUUUUAUCGUGCCUAUUAGUCAUACUUGGGUUGAAACUUGAAACAAAUGAAUCAUGAGUCAGACUUUAUCAUAAUUGAAACAGGAUAAGUCAUUAGUUGAAUGUGUUUUUGUGUCUCACUAACUGAGAAGUCUUUUGACACAUAACUUUCCUAAUGCGUUGAGUUUGGAGAAUUUCAGACGUUAACACAAAUCCUUCAGACUUAAUCUAACACAAGGGCACCUAUCUCCAUCCAACUUUGCCAGAAAAUUACGUCACUUAAUUUAACGAUUUGAUGACCUUGAACACCAUAUGCCAAUUAUUGAUUUCUAGUUAAUACAACGGUAUUUUUGGGUCUUGCUAACAAACAAGCGUAUCUAAAACCAGUAAAGAUCAUCUUCAUUUAUUAACCUCUAAAACACUCUUUAAGGCAUCUAAAUUAUGAAAUUAUUCCUUAGUAAAUUCAAAUGCUACAAUUUCAAAUGCAUUCGAAUACACAAUUUUUCAUAAAAAAUUAUGAUUUAAAGUUCUUAAAAGCAUUUCUUCUUUCUAAUAAUAUCUCUCACAAAAGAGAGAAGAUUGUAUCAUUCACAAAUUAUGUCUUACACUAAUUAGCAAAUUUGUUUUAUUUUAAUAUAUUGGCAAAUUGCUCAAUUUAGAAAAUAAGAAAGAUGUCAGUUGUUUUUCCAAACAAAAUUUAUUCUUUCUGAAUUGGAGGGUUAACAUAAAUUUUUUUUUUUUAGAAGAAACUAAAAAAUUAGUUAUAUUUUAGUACUUAAUGGAAAGACUAAUUGGUUAUGGCAAUAGAACCUUGAUAGACAAUCAACAUAAAAUAUUCUAUCUACAUCUUGCAAAAUGCUGAAGCUCAGUAUACAAAAUAUUAAAAAUUAUGAAAAAAGUGAUAAAUUUAAAAUCAUUAUUUAAGGUUAAUUAAUGGAACAAAAGAAAGAAAAAGAAUAAUACAGACAUAAAAACCUAGUGGUUGAAACCCUCUACCAUGAUUUAUACUAACAAUCAAAGAACUCAACCUAUUUUAAAUAUGUUUCCUUUUAGCAUUGCCAUUAACCUUAUAACUUUUUUUGUCCUGGCCCUAUAAAGAGUUAUUUUCUCUGCAAAAAUGUAAGAAUAAUCAUAUUUAAAAUCAGUGAGCAAUAAUCCAAAGAAACUUUGUCUUCAGCUGUCUGUUAUCUACGGUAAAAACCAUGAAGUGUGGACAGCAUAAAAUAUCCACCUGCAAAUUUAGGUAAACUUAUGAAACCAACCUGAUAGAUACAUUUUCACUUUGAUUUUUAAAAACAGUUGUUUCAGUUUGUGUUUCUUCUUCGGCGAUUAGUUUCUACAAAGGCAUGGCUUUUUGGUAUCUGAACAUCAUCAAAAGAAGAAGAAGAAAAAUACAUUCCACUAAAAUUGAAGGAAUAAGGAAAAAAUGCUUUGAAACUCAUGAUCUAUGUACUUACUUCAAAAGAAGGAUUAAAAUUUUGAAAUGACAUUCGACCUUUAAGUGCACUUGGAUGAGGAUCACCUUCCACUAAAACCACACUGCAUAAAAAUGUAUAGGACAUACAAACUUUAUGCAAAAUUGAAGAUCAGAAGCAAGGAGAAAUUUGAUAUACAUUUUGAACCAGUGUUGUCAAAUACUCCCUCCAUCCCAUACCUAGUUUCUUCUAAAAAAAUUAUUUAGAAAGAAUAAAAAAAAAAAAACUAAUCUAACUUUUGUCAAACUAAUACUCUUCUCUUCACCAACAUGGCUACUGUAUUUGGAGGCCUAACUUGGUCAGAUGGCACACCAUGUUGGAGUCCAAUUUCAGUUGGAGGACUUAAAGGUUAGAUUAGAAUUUUUAUUAUUAGAUUUAGGUAUUAUUAUUAGAUUUAGGUAUGCAUCAAUUAGUAUUGAUAUUUUUUGUUGGAGGAUUGGAAAAAAAAAACAAGUAAAGUCAUAGCUUGAAAUUAUUGAUUUUAAUUAUUAUUUUCUAUUUAUUACUAGUCAUUUUCUCUCGGUAGCAAUUGCAAUUUUUUAAAUUUCAGAAACAAAAUAUGUGCUUGCUUUCUAUUUAAGGUUUUGCAUAUAAGGGCUUAAAGGAUCAUUAAAUAUACUCUUCAUCAAGUUUUAAGAAAGUAUUAGUAUAAAUUCAAUUUUAAUUUGAGGGGUCAAUCCCACCGUCUAGGUGCAGUUUCCAUUUAAAUCCAAAGAUUUGAACUAACCCACCAAAAUUGUGGAGAAAAUCGAAUCUACAACAACCUUAAAAGAACAUACUUCAAAGUACCAAAACAACAUAAGUGGGUUCAACUAUAGCUUUUACUAAGUUGAUGUUCCAGCUUCGCUUAAGUGAAUAUGCAAUGAUAGAGUUGGAAAUCUAUUAAUUAGUAUAUGUUCGUUGUCGGUAAUCCUGCUUUUAAAGUUUAGGUCUCCAUGUCACAUGCAACAAAACAAUGCCAAAUAAGUUGAUGUAAUUGUAUAAUUUAAUUACCUCGCUUAUACUCAUUCCGUUUUAAAAUGAGUGUCAUUUUAGAAAAAAUCAUUUGUUUCAAAAUAAGUGAAAUGCAGUGCACCAUAAGAUACGGUGCGCACAAGUGAGUCUAUAUAUAGAACUCACAAGGUGCAAAAUUCGCUACAACUUUUCACAAACCCGAACUGCAAACCCUAGUCUAUAUGAAGCUCUUGGAUUAAAAUAUUCAAUUUUUUUUGUUAAAUAGUCUAGUGGUAAGAAUCAAACAUUUAAUAUGAAGUGAAAAAUUCUGGACUUCAACUUGUGUCCAAACAUAUCAAAUAUGAAUCUCCUGAUACGAAGUAUGAGUACGGAUGCGAUGAAUAGGCAGACAUGUGAAUUUUUUAAAAUUUAUGAUAUAAUAAAUCUAAGAUACGUUAACAAAUACUUAUAAUAAAUUUUGUCAAAAAAAUAUUUAUAAUAAAUCUUAUAUGCAUGUAAAAUACUUGAAAGAAAUACUUGAUUAUUUUUCAGUAAUAUAUAAUUAUAAAGAUCUCAAUUUACAAAAGGUAAUAUUGGUGAUCACAAUAGAAAGUGAAGGGUUUUCGUAUAAAAUCAUAAUUUAUUUUCAUUCUUAUGUCAGGAUAUCAACAACAAUAUUAUGAGGAGGGAUAUUUUGAUUCCAAGAGUAAAUUCUUUUACCUACUUUCAAUCUUGACCUUUAAUUCUAUUAUCAAUUAAUGACUUAGAUUGAUUUGAUAAUAAGUGAUAAGAUAGGCAUUCAUUUUCUUCUCUAUUAGAGUUGACAUUCUUCACCCAAAAAUAGUAAAACAAUUAAUUACUUUUAAUUUAAUUGAUAGUUUUUUUAUUCUAUCCCUUUGCUCUUUUUUAAUUGGUUACCAGUUAAGCAUAGUUUUUUACGAUCUUUCUUUUUUUUACACAUAUGUUUUUCCAUGUAUCUCAUGUUUUUUUCUCCGACAAACCUACAAUUUUUUUAUUAUUAUUGAAUUAUUGACAAAAAAAAAUUAUCUAAAAAAAUCAACAUAUAUUUUAUUUUUUCUUUGCUAGCCUAUGUAUUUAUUUUUUGUGUAUAAAAAAAAAGAGCUAGGGUAGAAGAAUAUAAAAGCAACCAAUUAAAAGUCAUUAAUUGUUUUGCCAUUUUGGGAUGAUGAGUGUUAACUCUAAUAGAGAAGAAAAUUAAAGUUUAUUGUAUCACUUAUUUUUAACCAAUCUAAGCCAUUAAAUAAAAUUCAAUUAAAGGCUAAGAUUUGGAGUAAGUAAACAAACUUAUUCUUGGAGUCAAAAUAUCCUCCCUCUAAAAGAAUUCAAAACAAGAUUACUAUAUUUUUAACUAAUUGAGUCUCCUCUCUCUUCAUUAUAUUCAUUCACAAAAAACAUAACUUUGAAGUCCGAUUCAUUGACAGACAGUUCUACUAAUUAAUUCACAUCUUAAAUUGAAGUAUAUACAUCUCCACUGAAUUGUCAUUCUCAAUGACGUUGGAAACUUUUGUUUUGAGAGUGAAGAUGAACACAAUGCAGAAUAUUCAAAGCUUCAGCUAAGACUAUCCAAACAAAAUGAAUAAACUAAAAUCGUUUUUAUUUUUUUUGUGAAUGUAUAAAUUACUUCAUUUCAACCUGAUCUUAAUCAAAAUUUACAAUAUCAAUUUAUUCGAAAACAAUUCUACAUGGCGUUCAACUCACUUUCCAUAGACGUGUGGUGGGUUCUUUAUCGACCAAACAUGCUUUAAGUCAUGCACGCCUAUCCGACCACUUAUGUUCUUUAUCUUUAUCGAAUAAACCAUCAUUUAAUCCCUAAAUUUUCUGUCUCUCUCCAAUAUAAUUCCUAAAUUAUAUAAUGAUAAUAAGCAGUCCCCAAAACGAAUUUCGUUAGUUCUUAAAAUAUAUGAAAAUUUAGUUUGUAACAUCUUGAUAAGAGGGACUAAAUUGACUGAUUUUAUAUACUUUUAGAAUUAUUUAUUAUAUUUAAAUUAAAAGAGUUGUGAUAAUCAUACCGAAAAAUCCACACAAUUUUGGCAUACUUUCUAGUAAUGCCUAUUUGUGCACGUAUAGUCAUUGGUUGAUGAAAAUAUUAUGUUCUACUUGCACAUUGAGAGUGACGGUGUAACAUCCCAUACAACUUUAAGCAUUGUUGACUAUUCCUACAAACCAACACGGGUCCUUUCAACGUGUUUUGUCCUCACUCGCACGCUUAUUUGGAAACUUUCCGGUAGGUCAUCCAUCCAAAGACUACUCCAAGUCAAGCACGCUUAACUGUGGAGUUCUUAUGGAAUGUGCUACAAAAAAGAAGAUGCAUCUUGUUGAUAUAGGUAGUACCAAACAAUUCUUAUAAGCUUUCCUUCAACCAUGUAGUUCCAUACCUACACGGCCCCAGGAUCCCUCUCAUUCCGAUGUGAUUCGGUUCCUCUAGAAGCUGUCAGGAGCUCAUUGUCGUGCCUUGUGCACCGGCGACCACUCCCCGCCCUCGUCAUCCUUAGGUGUUACAUGCCCACCAGCUUCCGCUUGGUUCGUCCCCGAACCACACCGUACUGGGAGAGGUAUGCUCUGAUACCAUUUGUAACAUCCCAGACGACUUUAAGCAUUGUCGACUGACCCUACAAACCAACACGAGUCUUUUCAGCGUGUUUUGUCCUCACUCGCACGCUUACCGGGAAACUUCCCGGUUGGUCACCCAUCCAAAGACUACUCCAAGUCAAGCACGCUUAACUGUGGAGUUCUUAUGGAAUGUGCUACCAAAAAGAAGAUGCAUCUUGUUGAUAUAGGUAGUACCAAAUAUUUUUUAUAAGUCUUCCUUCAACCAUGUGACAUACCUACACGCCUCAGGAUCCCUAUCAUUUUGAUGUGAUUCGGUUCCUCUAGAAGCUGUCAAGAGCCGCUCAUUGUCGUGCCUCAUACACCGGCGACCACUCUCCGUCCUCGUCAUCCUUAGGUGUAACAGAUGGUCUUCUCAACGGAAAUGUAGUUCUAGCCUGCAGGUAAUGUGCAUGGAAAAAUCAGAUCAAUUUUGCAUGGGUGAUGCACACAUCUGCCAAUAAUUCCAUGAUACAGAGAAAUUUUGCACAAAAAAGUGCAAAAAAAAAAAGUAUGAAUUAUUCCAUUAAUUUAGAAGUAUAGAAAAUUUCAUUAAUAAAAUGUGUGAGCCACAUAAACUAGGCUAUUUGACAAAAAAAAUGUUGUCCAAGAGAUAUUAUAUUUUCAUACAUUAAGAGGCUAUUAUGUCUAUUCGUUACAAGACGAAAAAAAGAUUAUUUGGCCAUUAAAAGAAUCUGGACAAGUAUCUCAAUGUUUUCGCGGUAUGUUGUACACGAUUACUUCAAAUAUUCCAACGUACAAUUUUGACCUUUAAUAUUUUUAAGGGUUAAUAGUGUUUUUCACCCCUGUAAUAUAGGCCAUUUCCGGUUUUCGCCCUUAUAAAAUUUUCGGUUUGAUUUCUGUCCUUGUAAAUUUUUUUUUUUUUUUCCGGAAUACCCCCCUCCUCCCUCCAACUCAGCAAAUCAGCCUAUGUGGCGCUGACAAGGAAUUUAUUUUUCUUUUUUCUUUUUUUUUUCACUUGCCACGUGUAUAAUUCGUUUUUUUUUCCUUUUUUAAAUUGUGAAAAUUUUAAUUUUGGUUUAAUGGUAUUAAAUUCUAAAAAUAAUUGAAAAUUAAUUUUCCAAAAAAAAAUAUUCAAAAUUUUUUUUCCCAAAAUUUUUAAAAAAUAAAAAAUAUGAUUUUUUAGAAUUUUUAAAAUUUUAGAAAAUGAUUUUUUUUAAUUUUAAUUUCAAAAAUGAUUUUAUAAAAAUCUAGAAUAAAAUUUUCGAAAAUAAAAUCUGAAUUAAAAAAAAAAAUCUGUAUCCAGAUUAUUAAAAAUAAAAUAUUUUCCAUAAAAAAAAUAUGACUUUUUUUUAAAAAUUUCGAAUUUGUUUCUUCUAAUUUAACUUUUUUUUAAUUUUGAAAAUUAAACUCCAGAAUCUUUAAAAAAAAUUAAUUUCGAAAAAAAAACCGAAUAUUUUUUCUGAUUUUUUUAAUAUUCGAAUUUAAAAUAAAACCGAAAAAUUCUUAUCGUUUUUUCUGAUUUUUUUUAAUAUUUGAAUUUUUUCUUUUUCGAUUUUUAAAUUUUUUGGAAAAAAAUCUGAAUAUUUUUUUUAUUUUUGAAAAUUAAUUUUUAAAUAUUUUAAAAAAUAAAAUCUGAUGUAGAUAAUUAAAAAAAAAAUUGAGUUUUUUAAAAUUAAAAUUAAAAAACGAAAUUAAAAUUUCACAAUUAAAAAAAAAACGAAUUAUACACGUGGCAAGUGAAAAAAAAAAAGAAAAAAAAAAAAUAAAUUCCAUGUCAGCGCCACAUAGGCUGAUUUGCUGAGUUGGAGGGAGGAGGGGGGUAUUCCGGAAAAAAAAAAUUUACAAGGACAAAAAUCAAACCGAAAAUUUAAUAAGGGCGAAAACCGGAAAUGGCCUAUAUUACAGGGGUGAAAAACACUAUUAACCCUAUUUUUAAUUAUCGAUUAACAAAAUAUAUAAAGAUCCAAUUUCUAAGAAAACGAUUAUCAAUUUGGCCACAUCAAACACCAUCGUAGUUAGGGCUCAAUGAAAAUGCAGCCCCUUUCAAAUUUGCUAGUGCUAAAUAAGUAAUCUCCUUUAAUUUAUAUAUUGGCCAAUGAUGGUGUUAGGAACCAAUUUUCAGAAGCAGUAAAAAAUAAACAAAUAUGUUGAAUAAAUAUGUAAUCUUGAAUGAUCAGCGGAAAUGGAAUAUUUACAGAUUCGAGGAAAUAGAACCCUAAACUGCCCAGAGCGUAGCUCCUAUAUCUAACUGCAAAAUUCUUAGGAUACUCUCUGAACCCACAUCUUCAUUCCUUAUACUAUGGACAAACGGUUACAACCUCACUUCUCUCAUCCACGUCAUCAUUUUACCUAAGAGUCACCCCUUUUUCCCUCUUUUACCCCUCCUAGAGUAAACUCUCCACGCUAUGGGCUUAUUUGGAUCCAAUAUGAAAGGGCCCUAGCUGAUCAGAAAAGGAUCAACAAAUAUUAUGCCUAGCAUAGUCACUUCACUAUGACUACUUUUUUUAUGGUCUCAUUCUUUCACGAUGACUAGUUGGCUACUCACUUAGAAUAUGUUGAGAGUCAGUUAGCAGUAGAUGAGAGGAGGGGGGAGGGAGAGGAGAAUCCCCAACAAUGUUUGCAAGUGUUUUUAGAUGGGAGGAGAAAACAAGACUUAUGACUAGUAUUCUCUUUGUUUUGGGAGUAUUAUAGAGAAUUUUUCAAAACAUUCCAAAGUUUCCAAUUUUUUUUAACCCCCAAAAUUAAAGAAAAAUAAAGACAUGCAAGGUGGGGGUUGUCCCCUCCUCUCUUUUCCUUUCCCCUCCCUUCCUCUUGUAACUUCCCAACAAUGUCUUAAAGAACAUGUUUAUCUAAAGAGAACUUACAUCUUGAUCUAGCGUCAGUUAUGGAUGCUAAACCAUUUUGUUUAAAGGUAGCACAGAGCACACAACAAAAUGUAUGGAUUCUUUACUAUGUUUGAUGCAAAUUAAAAAUAAAACAGAACACGGCAUAAAGUAAAAAAUAUGAAACUUUGAUUACACCAAAAUUGAUGAAACCAAACAAAACACUAAGAGUUGUACGGAACAGGUUGUUACAAUCCAUUUUAUCAUUGCAUCAAACAUUACUGAAGUUUCGCCUUUUCACUUGAGAGGCAUUGUACUAUUGAAAAAUAGGAGAACCUCAGCCAAACUUCUCUUUCAAUUACCAUGAGACAAAUUUCAUAAGCAGUGCCACAUUUAAAGCAAAAAAUUUUUAAAAUGGAAAAUCUAAAGGCAACAACAAAACAAUAAACCUAGAUAAAAGAAUGUACCUGAUGACAAUAAAGGUAUCCAGCACCAAGCCGAAAGCCUAAGUCACAAAAAUGUAUCUUGUGCAUCUCAAAAGAUGCAAAGCGAGGCAAGUGUGAUACAGAUGCUUCCCCUACAAUUGCCUUUUGUUUCUGCUGUAGUUCCCCAUUUAUAGUAUAUUCCCAUUUCUUCUGUGCCUCUUCCUUGGAGUUUUGAAGCCAAUCGAGUAUGGGUCUGGUCAAAUCAAUAGCAGAUGGAUCCCUCAAAUCAGUGUAAAAUACAUCCUGCAAGAAACUGGUUUUUUGUCAACAGAUUCGAUGAAGAAAUAGUCAUCUCGUCACAAGAGGGAGUAUAGGCGCAUACCUCAAUUAGAAAAUAACCAGAAGGGUCAUGUUGGCCAGCCUUUUGCAUAACCUGGUCCGUUGAGCAAUUGAUCUUGUCCCUCAAUACAGAUAAGUUCUACCCACCAAGAACUAACAGCUCUUGGGUCUACCCAAAAGAAAAAGAAUAGAGGUCCUACAUGUUAACUUUGAUGGUAGUAGUUAUCCAAAAUGAACUGAAUUAUUAUUUUCAAAAUUAUGUAGGCAUGACAUUGAAUACCUUUUUUUUGGCAUUGGAUAGCUUGACACCUUUACGAAAAUUAUGGUAAAUCUCGACAGAGAGAACAACUUCUGAAUCCUGCACAGGUAUGUGCUCCUGAAGACCCAGUGUGUUGACCUUUCUGGCGGAACUUGUGGACCUAAGAGACAUCAUCCUUUGAGUUUUGAUUGAUUUGUUGGCAGAUUUAUUGAUCCUGCAAUCAGGACUAAAGAAAGAUAGCUGAAUUAGAUUAGAUAGAUUUUAUCUUACACAUAAUAAAAUGAAUGAAUAUUAAGAAUACUAACUGAAAUGAAUGAAGUCUGACUUGUGCCUUAUCUUCCUCCUGCUUCUGUUUGAUUCUGACAACCUCCUCCACCUUUUCUUUACAAUUACUCUGCAGCAGCAAAUAUAAUAAUUAACAGAGAAGAGAAGCAUAAAAUAAAUAAAUGGUUUUAGAGAGAGAAAGAGAGAGUUAAGUAACAUAACAUACAUCAAGAAUGGGUUUAUUUGUUAGACGAGACUUUCUCCUUAAUUGCUUCUUCUGACCCCGGCAACCAAAUCCAAUAUUCAAUCUAUAUUAUUCAGAACAACUACAUCCAUCGUAAUCAAUUAAUGAUAUCAGAGAAUAAAAAAGAAGAGGGGAAGUGAUGUGACUAACUCUGCAUUAGGAGGAUCUUGAUUGUUGUCUCUACCUUGAAAGACUUGUUUCAAAGCCAUGUCCAUUAAAUCGUCCUCUGUAAAAACUUUAAGAUCAUCGACGCUAAUAUCAUGAUUCGAAUCAGGUGGUAAUUCGGAUUGGAGAGAGUGAAGUUGAGUAAGAAUUGAAUCCUGAAAAAGAGGAACCCUAACAAUUGGGCCAGACAUAUUGGAGACGAAAAUGGGUCCACCCCUUGGAAUUGAGAUUGAAGGAUCAUCAAUUGAACAUUCUAAUUCCAAUUCAUCAUCAUCCAUUAUUCUUAUUCUUGUCGCUUACGCCGCAGACAAACCCAAAAAAAAAAGAAAGGGAAGGAAGGACUCUAGUUUCUUCUGCACAAAAACAACAUACCUGUAUCAUGAAAUAACAAAGAAAGCUCAGAACAAAUCUUAUCUUAAAACCAAGUGCACCGGAAGAAACCUCUAAAAUAAGGGUGUGAAUAGGUCAGGCCAGACCAGAGUAUGUAUUGAAAGGUCUGCGCCUAGCCUAUGAUAAAUUUGUAGGCCUAACCUAAAGCCUUUAGUUAAAAUCCACCAGUUCAUUAAAAAUUCACUAAACAAUUUUCUAAAAAAUUCAUCCAUUAAGUAUAAAUUCAUCUGAUCUAUCCAUUAUUAGAUUAUUAAUGGAUGGAUGUUCAUCCGAUCCAUAUAGUAAAGUUGUAUUUUUUUAAUGAAUUCAAUCCAAAUUGAUUUUAUGUAACAAGACCCAAUACUUGUAUAUUUAGCCCAAUUAUUUUUUUGUAGAAGCCCAACGAAUUUAAUAAUUUAGAAAUAAUUAAUAUUAUUAAUUCAAUAAUUAAAAAUGUGAUGGUAAUGGCAUUCGGUGGUACACAAUGAUCAAAACUCCAAUGACCCACAAUGGUCGGAGGUCGAGCUCCGACGUUGAACACCACCUAUAAUAAAAUAAUAUAAAUAUUUUAAUAGGUUAUACGAGUCUUAAAGCCUAUUUGGACAAUAUUAAAGUCUUUUUAAAAGUAAGAGUCUUUAACCACAAAUCACAAUGAAUUUAAAGCAUGGUAAACACAAAAAAAAAAAAAACCUAAUUUCUUUAGAUUUUUUUAUCAUUAGUACUAUUAAAAUGUGUAAAUUUUCAAAUAAAAUCAAUUGAUCAAACAAAAAAUAAAACUAUACAAAUAUUUAUUCCUUUAAAAAAAAAACAUACAAAUAUUUAUUUUAAUUAUUUAGAAGUAGCAUUAUGUUAAAUAGCAAAAAGUUCAGGUCCAUGUAUCUUCUCUUGCAUCACAAUCACAGCCCAACGUUUUCUAUAAUAUAAGCAAAGGGCAAUAAUGUCACUUUCUCCUUCUGAUUAUCUAGGGUCUUUCUUCUACACCGCAAACAUAUGAACGGCAUGGUGGCUUAACACAGCAGUGAGAAGAAUUUUUUCAUCUAUUCAUCUUGUUUCGUAUUAUUGAAAGAAAAAAAAUUAGGAGAAAAAUCAGAUAUAUGUGUGUGUGUGUGUGUAUAUAUAUAUAUAUAUAUAUAUAAUCAAAUUUAUUAUUCAGAUGGAAACCUUCAUCUGUAUAUUCAUGUGUCUGAAACUAAACAAUAAAUUAAUAAUAAAAUCAACACAAUUUGGAAACAGUAAUAAAACCAAAGCCCUACAAUUCUCAGAAGAUAUCAAUGAAUCGAAAAAUAGAAAGAGCGAGAGAGAGAACCUGGCGUUAUUGAAUCGGUGGCACCGUAUAAUACCAUACAAUUAGCAAAGGAUUGUUUCUUGAAUUUGAAUUCAGAUCAAUAAUCUUUGAAUCGGUUUGUGAAAGUCCGAUUCUAUGCUAAAGUCGAUGAAAUUGCUAGAGAGGAUAGACAAUCUCGAUAGGUUGUUUUGAGAAUGUGAAAGUAGACUUUGUAAUGAGAAAUUUCCAAUUGGGCUUUGCCCAAUAUGCUCUGGAAAAUUACUGUUCAUUUGUUUAGACCGAAAAACACAUACUCCCUCAGUUCCAAAAAUGUAUGAUGUCUUGAGCACUUCACAUCUAUUAAGAAAUGCAAUUAAUAUUGUUUUAAAAAGAGAUAUCAUGAGUUGUUUUAAAAAAUUGUUCUUAAUAAAUAAUAUUAGAAAGAUAAAAGAAAUAAUUAAAAGAAAAGAGAGUGAUAAAUAGUUAAGGUUAUAUAUAAUAGAAAAAAUAACAUUAAUGUUGCAUUUAUAUUGUAAAGCGACAUAUAAUUUGAGAUAAUCUUUUUUCUCUAAAGUGACAUACAAUUUGGGAUGGAGGAAGUAUUUGUUUAGACUGAAAAACACGUGUAAAAGACGGAAAGCUUCGGUGGCGAUAGUUAACUGCCGAAUUAUGAUUAUGAAAGGAAUCGACAGUAGUUAAGUGCCGAGCAUUUUAUCGGCAGUUAACUGUCGGUACGUUCCUGAUACAAAUUUGACAGAAGCUCUCUCAUCCAUUAUUACUCUCAAAAUCUCAAAAAAAUUCUCCAAUCUCUCUAAAAACUCCAACCAAAUUUAUUGAACAAAAUCACAAAUAAAACAUAGUGCUAUUAACUUACAUUUUAGUUCUUUAAAACUAAUAACUUACAUUUUAGUUGUUAUAAUUUUUUUUUUUUUAGUUUUUGAGUAUAUUUUUUUUUUAGUUUUCGAGUAGAUUUAUAUGUUAUAAUUCAUUUUUAGAGUAGAUGUAAGUAGAUUAAUUUAGUUAAAAUGUUUGCAUGAUGUUUAUGCUAUAGUUUAGAAUUUUAGGGUUAUUUUUAAUUUUGGUGUUUUAUAUUUAUUUUUUUAUUUUAGUUUUUAAGUAUAUUUACAUCUAAGAGUAUAUGAUUUAUUUUAAGAGUAGAUAUAAGAUGAAUAAUUUAGGUUAUAUUUUUUUGCAUUUUAUGUUUUUUUAGAGUUAAACAUUUUAGGGUUAUUUUUAUGAUUUUUAGGGUUUAUGUAUAAUUUGCACUAAAAGUGUUUGAUGAAAUGUUUGAAUGACUUUUUCAUUAAUUGUUUUUAAUUUCUUAUUGUGUAUAUUUGAAGCGAUGACCGAUAUGUUCGACGUUCAUGCACAAUUCUUCCAACUACUUGGUUCGAACCUUCAACUUCUAAGGUUCUCCCGACACCUUGUUCGACACCUUGGUGUCACUUAAAAAGACAUUCAGUAAUUCAAUCUUUUGGUUCGACGUUCAUGAUUUGUUAUUUUUAUGUUUGACGUUUAUGCACAAUUCAAUAAUUCAAUCUUUUGAAUGGAACAAUAGAGAUGUCUGGUGAAUGCUUGAGAGGUGUUGUUUAGUAAGUUUGAAUUUACCCAAUUUUAGGUAAGAUAAUUGUAGUUGGAAGGUUGUACCCGAAUGUAAUGAUAGGACAAUUGUUGCAGUUGGAAGGCCCUAUCCACUUUUGUGCUGAUUUCCAUACGUGACACCUGAUGACUGAUCUCAUUUUGUAGAAAAAAGUCAUGUAAAAUAUUUUUUCUACAAAUUUUUUUAAAGAUAUUAAAAUCAAAAGGAGACAUAUUUUAUUUUAGCCAUCUAACAAACCAUAUUAUCCCUAAAAAUAACAAAUCAUAUUUAUCUUUUCAAUAACAACAAUAAUAUAACAAUUCCUUCAAAAAAAAGAAACAAUAAUAUAACAAAUAUAACAAAAAUUCUUAUCUUUUAUAAUAUCAAAACAAUAUAGCAUUAUUAUGAAACUAUUUAUUUGCAUUUGGACCCGAAUAGGGUUUCUAAAAUCGUAGCAAACAAUAACAAUGGGUGUGGUUCUGACUGAUGGAGCGAUAAGAGAAUUUGCGGCGACAGUUUCCGUUUCCUUCAUUUCCGUGAUGAUGAUGAAGAGGAAUUUAAUCCGGUGCUGCAAAUUAUUGAUGUCACUUUAAUCCUGCUGAUGGUAAGCAUUUUAAUCCUGCUGUGUUUGUCCGCCAUUUGGUCCUUUCCGGAAGGUUGAAGAUAGGCUCCAUUGUUAAACUCAAUAACUUCUCAGUCGAUGAACCUAUGGAGUUCGACAGUAAGCGUAUUAUCAUCACUGAAAUUGAUGUUAUAGUCAAAGAAUGUGAUCAGAUAGGAGAACCCAUCCCGCUACCAAAUUCUGCUUUUUCUUCGGACGGUAUGACUUAUUGUGUUUUAAGUUUCCUUCCUAUCCUAUUUAUUUUCAUUCCUCAAGUUUAAGUUCCGUCUCUAUCUGCAGUGGAUCUUACGCAAGGGGCCAUGGCGACUAUGUUUAGUGACGAUUUCUCCGAGUCUUUAAAUUUAAAACACAAGUGAGUUUUCCUUGUCUGUCUAUCUGUGAAUUCCUUUAUUUCCCAGAAAAGGAAGUUGUUUCUUAAUUGCUCGUGAUGAUGGCUUAACAUUUGGUUUCCUGAUUUUUUUAUUUAUUUUUUAAAUUAUUAACAGGUUGUUACCAUCUUUGACCUUGAAUUCAUACCAGACAAAUUUGGCCUGAUUGAAGAAGUUUACAAGAUUCCUGAUGAAACAGUGACGUACGGUGACUUGUCCUAUAGAUGUUGUGCUGAAGUAACGGUGAUUAACUUCUAAAUUUUGUGUGAAGUGGUAAACUGUAGAGUGCUGAGUAAGGGUAUACUAAUCUUGGAUUUAAGUAGGUUUAGACAAUCCCUAGAUUUAUCACCCGUGCUCCGCUCGGGUUUAUUGUAAAGGGAUUGACAUACGAAUAAUAAAAUGCAAUAUAUAAUAGGUAAGGUGAAAAAAUAACACGUGAUAAUCCGUAGACAAAAUAAAACACUUCAUAAAAUGUAUGAAAUCUGAAAAUAUUACAAAAGAAAAUUCGGUAAUCCUAUCAAUAAUUAGAGUAUAUAUACCCAAGUUUACAUAGAAAUUAGGGUAGCCGAAAAAAAAGUAUAAAAUAGAAGGCAUCAAACGUGAUCAUUGAUAUGCUCAUAGUUUCUAGAACAAACGUGCAGCACCAAAUAAGUGUAGAAAAUAUUUUCUUCAAAAGAAAAAAUGGCAAGAGGAUAGGAAUGAAAUUGGUGCGAUGCAUUUUUUAAAUGGAAUUUUUUAGGUUAAAUAAUUGCAAACCUAAUAAAGCAAAUGAGCGUGAAAAAAUUAGGUUAAAUUGCUGCAGACGUAACAAAAUUAAUAAAUAAGGAAAAAUUAGGUUAAAUUACUGCAGACGUAACAAAAUUAAUAAAUAAGGAAAAAUUAGGUUAAAUUACUGCAGACGUAACAAAAUUAAUAAAUAAUAAGGAUAAGUGUAGAAAAUAUUUUCUUCAAAGAAAAAAGGCAAGAUGAUAGAAUGAAAUUGGCGCGAUGCAUUUUUUUAGAUGGAAUUUGUUAAGUUAAAUAAUUGCAAACCUAAUAAAACAAAUGAGCGGAAAAAAAUUAGGUUAAAUUGCUGCAGACGUAACAAAAUUAAUAAAUAAGCAUUUCAUAUUUUAAGUUGAAUUAAGAUUGGAUAUGUUCUUAUUUAUGUACUUUAUAUACAAGUUUAUAUCAGUUUAUGCAUUUGCAAUAUUAUCUUCUUUUCUUUCUUUAUGCAUUUGAGUUUUUGUUUUUAGAUACUGGAUUGAUAUAACUAGGUCUUGUAUUUGCCUGAAACUUUUUUAUUUUGAUGUUAUACUCUUUCAUGGACGAUGCCAGGAAUUUAGUUUAGGGAAGACUGAGUUGAAAGUAUAAUUUAGUAAAGAAAAAAUAAAUUUCAAAUGCACAGUAUAUUUAAGAUAUUUUUUUUUUUUAAAAAUAAGAUAGAUUCAAAAUUAUUAGACAUCUAAGAUUAUAAGAAAUUAAGGAUAUAAGAAAGUUGAAUAUCUUGAGGUUUGUCAGAGAAUGACCAGACUAAGACGAUGUAACACUCCGUUUUCCCAAUAUUUAAAAUUUCUUUAAAAACAUAACAUUUAUCAGAGUAAACAUCAAACAACGGGAUAUCACAUAUAACGUAAUCCAACAGUUAAAUAAUAAUUUAACCAAUAUCUUAAACAUUUGCAGCGGAAAAUCUUAACCAUAAUUCAUGAAACGUUUUGGCACGCAGGCCCAACAAGUAUCUCAAAAGAGUUAAUCAAAACAGUAAAUAUUCAUGGCAGUUCACGUAAGAGAAUGAAGCAUGCUAUAGCAUAAAACCCCAUCCUGUUACGUAUCAGAACGAUCUAGACGACACAGUGAAGGCAAGGCCACUCACGACGGCAACUGCACACUAAGCACGAUCACCUGCAAGUUACUCAUACGAAGGGCAACAUUUUCAAGCAGAAGGGGUGAGAUUUCAUAAUAAAAUAACAUUAAUCAAUGUAAUUGCGAAUCAUAAAUUAACAUCAUAAUCAUUCCAUUACUAACUUUGCAUAAAUGCUAAACAAUUAUCACGUAAUCAUAUAUCCAAUUCAUUAUGAACAACGUAACAUAAUCAAUAAACACUUAUCACAUAAUCACAUAUUCAUUCAUUAUCAACAAGGCAUCUUAAUCAUGACAAUGUGACAAUGCUCCUAGACUCCUUAUAUGCAUGUGGUACCAAUCGUCAUCAUAAGUAUUAAUAUACUUUAAUCGUGCGGAGGACAAAGCUCCUAUAAAACGUGCGGAGGACAAAGCUCCUAAUAUUCGUGGUGAGGACUAAGCUCAAUGAUAUGCUAUGCAUGGACACAUAUGAACAAAACAUCGUAAUCAACUUAUCAACAUGCAUCCAAUAAUUUGGAGCUAAACUUCAUCAUAUAAUUAUGCACUUAGUUAAAUAACGGAAGCAGCAUAAACAGGUCACAUAACAAGAUGAUAUCAUUAUAUCAAAGCACAUAAUUUGUAUCAUUAUCACAUCUUCUUAUCUUGCAUGAAUAUACAAUACAAUAGUUCAUAUUCAAUUAAUAUUAAUAUAACUUAAACAACUCUACAGUCUGCAUUAAACGACAUCACUAGGUCUCAUUACCAGUUAGGGGUUCACUCUUGAUCAACAAGUGCGACACAGAUCGCAUAAACACAUAAACAAGUUCAUCCUGGUUGUACUCGCGAGGCGAGAUAACUUACUCGCCAUGGCAAGUACCACUCAACUCCCAAACUAAGGUUGUUCUGGGUUCCCUCUGAUCCUACAUUCAUUCCUAAUCAAUGCUAGGUAUGUUCAGGUACUCAAAGGCAUACAAGAUUCAACUAAAAAGGUCGAAACACGAAAUAUGACAUGCACUCUGCCUAAGCUCGCGAGGCGAGGAAAGGUUGCUCGCCAUGGCGAGUUGCACCAAACAACUCGCGAGGCGAAGGGAAGGGGCUCGCGUGGCGAGCGAUGAAGUUCAUCACUCGCGAGGCGAGGAUCAUCACUCGCCGUGGCGAGCGAUGAACAGAAGCACGGGCAGACUAGAGUUUUUCUCAAAAAUCCAUCACACAACAUGGUUUAAAGCCUAAUUUUGAUUCCAUAAUCCAUCUAAACAUGUUCUAAGGUUAAAGGACGGUUUCUACAUCAAUCUAAACAAGUUUUACCGUUUGAUCAUCAAUUUUUUAGGGUUUUGACCUAAUUCCAAAACUUCUUUAAAUCAAUCCUAACUUUGUCAACUAAUCAUCAGAAUUACAGUAAAUAACAUUAUUGAAUUAUUAGUCUCACCCUUACCUGGUUAUGAAGAAAUCGCAGCCCUCUUUGGUCUCUUGCUCCUCUCUAAGCUUUUUCUCCCUUUUCCAAAAGUUUUCACGUACAAAGUGUUUUUUCUAAACCUAGGUCUAUUCUUUUAUAUCUCCUCUUAAAAUACUUAUCUUAUCUCACUUUCUCCCCCAAAACUAUCUAAAAUAUCAAAACAGCCCUCAACUAAAUAUUUUAUAUUAUUUUCAAAUCUUUAUUCUAUUUAUCAAUAAAAUAAUUCUCAUAUCAUAAUCAAAUCCUCCAAAACUCAUAACUUAUCACGUCAUCAAUCAAAUCACUAAAUUCACCACAAAUCAUCAAAACAUAUCAAAAUCAUGCAUAUACUAUAUAAUUAUAAUAUAAUGGCCUAAACUCGAUUAAAUAACGAUUAAACGAAAGUGGGCGUUACAACUCUCCCCCACUUAAAAGAUUUUCGUCCUCGAAAAUUUACCUCAAGCAAACAACUCUGGAUAAGACUCCAGCAUCUUACUCUCAAGCUCCCACGUCAAGCUUUCACCAGUCGCUCCCGUCCAAACGACUCUCACGAGAGGUAUCUCCUUGCCUCUCAACGUCUUCACUUUACGAUCAUCAAUCCUCACCGGUAAAGUCUCUACCGUAAGGUUGUCUCUAACUUGCACAUCGUCGCUUUGGAUUACAUGAGAUGGAUCCGGAACAUACUUUCGAAGUUGCGACACAUGGAAAACGUUAUGCAAAUUCGCAAGAUGCGGCGGUAAACCCACUCGGUAAGCCACCGUUCCAACUCUUUCCAAUAUCUGAUACGGACCAAUGAACUUCGGGGUCAACUUCUUUGACUUCAAAGCACGUCCUACACCAGUCAUAGGAGUGACUCUCAAAAACACGUGGUCUCCUUCUUGGAACUCAAGAUCUUUUCUACGCUUAUCAUGAUAACUCUUUUGUCGACUCUGCGACGCUUUCAUUUUCUCUUGGAUCAUCUGAACUUUCUCAGUAGUUUGCUGAACAAUCUCUGGUCCUAAGACCACUCUUUCUCCUGAUUCAAACCAACACAACGGAGUUCUGCAUCUCCGACCAUACAAGGCCUCGAACGGUGCCAUUCCAAUACUAGAAUGGUAACUAUUAUUAUAAGUGAACUCGAUCAACGGAAGAUGACGGUCCUAAGUUCCUCCUUGUUCAAGAACACAAAUUCUCAACAAAUCCUCUAGCGACUGAAUUGUCCUCUCCGACUGACCAUCUGUCUGUGGAUGAUACGCCGAACUUAAUCUCAACUUCGAACCCAAGGCCUCUUGCAAACUUUUCCAAAAUCUAGAAGUAAAUCUUGGAUCUCUAUCUGACACAAUGCUCGAAGGAACACCAUGCAACUUCACAAUCUCCUUGAUAUAAAUCUCUGCCAACUGGGCAACAGGGAAACUAAUAUUAAUAGGUAGAAAAUGAGUUGACUUCGUCAACCUAUCAACAAUAACCCAAAUUGCGUCGUUCCCUCUAGGAGUAUUUGGCAAACUCGUCACAAAAUCCAUCGAUAUACUAUCCCAUUUCCAUUCUGGCACGUCUAAAGGUACCAUCAUUCCAGCAGGUUUCUGAUGCUCAACUUUCGACUUCUGACAAACUAAACAGGAAUACACAAACUGUGCCACAUCUCGUUUCAAACCAGACCACCAGAAAAUCUUCUUUAAAUCAUGGUACAUCUUCGUAGCUCCCGGAUGAAUACUCAAGCUACUUCUAUGACUCUCUUCAAGAAUCAUCUUCUUAAUCUCUUCAUUGUCCUGGAUACAAAUUCUUCCUCGGAAUCUCAACACACCUUGAUCAUCGAUUUUAAAAUCACUGUCUUCAGUCUGAUCUCUAGCAACCAACAAGUCCACAAACUUUACAUCAACUUUCUGUGCUUCCUUGAUACUUUUUAGAAAUUCACUAUCAAUCUUCAGCAUACCCAGUUUCACACUCUGAGGUGACCAUUCACAAACCAAACUCAAAUCUCUAAACUGUUCAAGCAAUUCGAACUCUCUGACCAUCAUAGCGGACAUAUGCAAUGUCUUCCUACUCAAGGCAUCUGCAACAACAUUAGCUUUACCCGGAUGAUAAUUCAAACCAAAGUCGUAAUCCUUUAGCAACUCUAGCCAUCUUCGCUGCCUCAUAUUCAAUUCCUUCUGAUCGAACAAAUACUUCAAACUCUUGUGAUCACUAAACACCUCAAAUCUCGAACCAUACAAGUAAUGUCUCCAUAUCUUCAAUACAAAGACUACUGCCGCCAACUCGAGAUCAUGCGUAGGAUAAUUCUUCUCAUGAAUUCUCAACUGUCUUGAAGCAUAAGCUACCACUUUACCUUCUUGCAUAAGUACACCUCCUAAACCCAACUUGGACGCAUCACAAUAUACCACAAAAGGUUCAUCUGACUUCGGCAAAAUUAACACUGGAGCAGUCGUCAAACGCUUCUUCAAUUCACCGAAACUUUUCUCACACUGGACGUCCCACACAAAAGUUUUACCUUUACAAGUCAACUGCGUUAGCGGAAGAGCUAACUUAGAAAAUCCUUCAAUAAAUCUUCUAUAGUAACCAGCUAAACCCAAGAAACUUCUAAUCUCAGUAACUGACUUAGGAGUCUCCCACUGUGAUACCGCUUCAACUUUAGACGGAUCCACUGCAAUUCCAUCACCAGAAAUAACAUGGCCUAGAAAACUCACUUCUUUCAACCAGAAUUCACACUUAGACAAUUUAGCAUAAAGCUUCUUCUCUUUCAACACUUGCAAAACAAUCUUCAGAUGCUCAGCAUGUUCUUCUUCAGUCUUGGAGUAAAUCAAAAUAUCGUCGAUAAACACAACCACAAACCGAUCCAAAAAUGCAUGGAAGAUGCGAUUCAUAUACUCCAUAAACACUCCAGGUGCAUUGGUAACACCAAAAGGCAUAACUUUAUAUUCAUAGUGACCAUAACGCGUUCUGAAAGCUGUCUUCUGCAUAUCUUCAUCCUUUACUUUAAUCUGGUGAUAUCCUGACCUCAAAUCAAUCUUGCUAAAAACACGUGCACCCACUAGCUGAUCCAUCAAAUCAUCAAUUCUCGGAAGUGGAUACCUAUUCUUGAUAGUUACCUUGUUCAACUGUCGAUAAUCAAUACAUAGCCUCAUACUACCAUCUUUCUUCUUUACUAACAAAACCGGCGCUCCCCAAGGUGAAACACUCGGUCUAACAAACUUCUUCUCAAGCAAGUCUUCCAACUGUUUCUUCAACUCAGAUAACUCAGAAGCAGACAUACGAUAAGGUGCCAUCGAGACCGGCUUCGUUCCAGGAACAAGAUCAAUAGAAAACUCAACUUCUCUCUCUGGAGGCACAUCAGGAAUCUCAUCUGGAAAAACUUCAGGAAAUUCACACACCACCGGUACCCUAUCAAUCACUGCUUGAUUCUCAAUAGAUAAAGUAGCCAUUAACGAAAACAUCAAGAUACCGUCGCGUUCCAGUUGCUUCAGCUGCUUAGUAGAUAAAAACUCUGCACCACUUUCCUCUUCGACGGAAGAGAAAUGCACUGACUUGCUAAAACAAUUAAUAAGAACGUGGUUGUACUCUAACCAGUUCAUACCCAGAAUCACAUCCAUACCGCUCAAAGGUAGACAAACUAAAUCCAUUUCGAAAUCACGACCAAACAUAGACAAAGGACAUUUCAAACAUACGAGAGAAGUAGUCACCGAACCCUUAGCUGGAGUUUCGACAACCAUCUCUCCAUUCAUAUCAGACAAAUCAAGACCCAAAGCAGAAACACAAUCGAAAGCAAUAAAACAAUGCGUAGCACCAGUAUCAAUAAUAGCAACUAAAGGAGUAUUAUUAAUAUAGCAAGUACCUCUGAUCAAACGAUCGUCAUUCUCUGUCUGAGUCCCAGUCAAAGCAAAGACCCUACCAGUAGUCGGCGCCCUCUUAGGCUGAGUACACUGUGAACUAAUGUGACCCUCUCCAUUGCAAUUAAAGCACACAAUAUCUGUACGAUUGCAAUCAGCUACAACAUGACCUUUCUUACCACACCGGACACACUUCUUGAUUUCCUCAGGGCAGGCGUUGCUCUUGUGGCCUUUCUCACCACAAUUGAAGCACACAAUCUCUGCAGCAUCCUUCUUCUUAGGCCGCCUAACAUCGACCAUCUUCUGUUUACCUUUGUCAGCGGGGGCACUGUACGGCUUAGGACGACUCUGCUGUCCCUUGCCCUUCCUUUCAUUCACUACCUUGUAGUGAGCCUUCGUAUCCUCUUCGUAGAUUCUGCAGCUAUUAACCAAAUCCUGAAAAACUCUCAGCUGUUGGUACCCAAUCGCCCUCUUAAUGUCGGGCCUCAAACCGUUCUCGAACUUGAUGCAUCUCGAGAACUCAGCAUUCUCUGCAGUAUAGUGCGGAUAGAACUUAGACAGCUCCACGAACUUGGCAGCAUACUCUGUCACGGACAUAUUUCCUUGCUUCAGCUCAAGGAAUUCGAUCUCUUUCUUCCCGCGAACAUCUUCCGGAAAGUAUCUUCUCAGGAACUCUCUCCUGAAAACAGCCCAAGUCACAACAGCUCCCUCCUGCCCAAGGGUAGGCAGAAGAGCAACCCACCAGUCAUCAGCUUCCUCGGCUAGCUGAUGAGUACCAAACCGCACCUUCUGAUCUUCAGUGCACUGCAUAACCCGGAAAAUCCUCUCAAUUUCCUUAAGCCACGUCUGGGCUCCAUCAGGGUCAUAACGUCCUCUGAAAGUCGGAGGGUUCUUCUUCAUGAACGUCUCCAACAUCCUAGCUUCCGCGUUCGCACCAGCAUUUGCGUUAGGUUGUUGUCCCACAGCUUGGGCAACAGCUUGUAGAGCAGCAGCUAACGCAGCAUCGUUUCUUCCAGCCAUUUCCGAGAUUCUACAAAAGUAGCAACAACAACAUAAGAUAGUAAUAUAAAUAUUACUAAGACUCGACACGACUCUCUAAUUGACCGGACGGACCGACCUGCUCUGAUACCAAUUGUAACACCCCGUUUUCCCAAUAUUUAAAAUUUCUUUAAAAACAUAACAUUUAUCAGAGUAAACAUCAAACAACGGGAUAUCACAUAUAACGUAAUCCAACAGUUAAAUAAUAAUUUAACCAAUAUCUUAAACAUUUGCAGCGGAAAAUCUUAACCAUAAUUCAUGAAACGUUUUGGCACGCAGGCCCAACAAGUAUCUCAAAAGAGUUAAUCAAAACAGUAAAUAUUCAUGGCAGUUCACGUAAGAGAAUGAAGCAUGUUAUAGCAUAAAACCCCAUCCCGUUACGUAUCAGAACGACCUAGACGACACAGUGAAGGCAAGACCACUCACGACGGCAACUGCACACUAAGCACGAUCACCUGCAAGUUACCCAUACGAAGGGCAACAUUUUCAAGCAGAAGGGGUGAGAUUUCAUAAUAAAAUAACAUUAAUCAAUGUAAUUGCGAAUCAUAAAUUAACAUCAUAAUCAUUCCAUUACUAACUUUGCAUAAAUGCUAAACAAUUAUCACGUAAUCAUAUAUCCAAUUCAUUAUGAACAACGUAACAUAAUCAAUAAACACUUAUCACAUAAUCACAUAUUCAUUCAUUAUCAACAAGGCAUCUUAAUCAUGACAAUGUGACAAUGCUCCUAGACUCCUUAUAUGCAUGUGGUACCAAUCGUCAUCAUAAGUAUUAAUAUACUUUAAUCGUGCGGAGGACAAAGCUCCUAUAAAACGUGCGGAGGACAAAGCUCCUAAUAUUCGUGGUGAGGACUAAGCUCAAUGAUAUGCUAUGCAUGGACACAUAUGAACAAAACAUCGUAAUCAACUUAUCAACAUGCAUCCAAUAAUUUGGAGCUAAACUUCAUCAUAUAAUUAUGCACUUAGUUAAAUAACGGAAGCAGCAUAAACAGGUCACAUAACAAGAUGAUAUCAUUAUAUCAAAGCACAUAAUUUGUAUCAUUAUCACAUCUUCUUAUCUUGCAUGAAUAUACAAUACAAUAGUUCAUAUUCAAUUAAUAUUAAUAUAACUUAAACAACUCUACAGUCUGCAUUAAACGACAUCACUAGGUCUCAUUACCAGUUAGGGGUUCACUCUUGAUCAACAAGUGCGACACAGAUCGCAUAAACACAUAAACAAGUUCAUCCUGGUUGUACUCGCGAGGCGAGAUAACUUACUCGCCAUGGCAAGUACCACUCAACUCCCAAACUAAGGUUGUUCUGGGUUCCCUCUGAUCCUACAUUCAUUCCUAAUCAAUGCUAGGUAUGUUCAGGUACUCAAAGGCAUACAAGAUUCAACUAAAAAGGUCGAAACACGAAAUAUGACAUGCACUCUGCCUAAGCUCGCGAGGCGAGGAAAGGUUGCUCGCCAUGGUGAGUUGCACCAAACAACUCGCGAGGCGAAGGGAAGGGGCUCGCGUGGCGAGCGAUGAAGUUCAUCACUCGCGAGGCGAGGAUCAUCACUCGCCGUGGCGAGCGAUGAACAGAAGCACGGGCAGACUAGGGUUUUUCUCAAAAAUCCAUCACACAACCUGGUUCAAAGCCUAAUUUUGAUUCCAUAAUCCAUCUUAAACAUGUUCUAAGGUUAAAGGACGGUUUCUACAUCAAUCUAAACAAGUUUUACCGUUUGAUCAUCAAUUUUUUAGGGUUUUGACCUAAUUCCAAAACUUCUCUAAAUCAAUCCUAACUUUGUCAACUAAUCAUCAGAAUUACAGUAAAUAACAUUAUUGAAUUAUUAGUCUCACCCUUACCUGGUUAUGAAGAAAUCGCAGCCCUCUUUGGUCUCUUGCUCCUCUCUAAGCUUUUUCUCCCUUUUCCAAAAGUUUUCACGUACAAAGUGUUUUUUCUAAACCUAGGUCUAUUCUUUUAUAUCUCCUCUUAAAAUACUUAUCUUAUCUCACUUUCUCCCCCAAAACUAUCUAAAAUAUCAAAACAGCCCUCAACUAAAUAUUUUAUAUUAUUUUCAAAUCUUUAUUCUAUUUAUCAAUAAAAUAAUUCUCAUAUCAUAAUCAAAUCCUCCAAAACUCAUAACUUAUCACGUCAUCAAUCAAAUCACUAAAUUCACCACAAAUCAUCAAAACAUAUCAAAAUCAUGCAUAUACUAUAUAAUUAUAAUAUAAUGGCCUAAACUCGAUUAAAUAACGAUUAAACGAAAGUGGGCGUUACAGACGACCUUUGAAUAGCAUGAAAAAAAAUGAAGCAACGAAAAUGUAAACGUAGGAGGUGCAAUCGUGACCGGUAAAUCGCUGGUAGUUGUAGAGUAUGCAUAUACAAAAUCGUAGGUAAUGAUUUGAUAUUUCUAACUGCAAGGAGGAAUCUUAAACUAGAAUUCUAGUUAGGGAUUUUGAUUCUUCUAUAAAUUGUAAGAAAAAAAAACUAAUUUUUUUUCGAUGUUAAAGAUUUUAGUUAAUAAUCCCUCUAUUUCUUUUUAAGUGUUAUUUUCACUUUAUUUUGGCAGGCAACCCUAUUUUUCUAAGAGUACUCAAUCCUCACUUGUGGUGAGAGUGGAAGUGAAUCACCAUCACCUUACUUGAAAAGAUCGCCUCCUUUUAUUUUUCUUUGUGCUCCGAGCCCCUUUUCUUUACACCUCAUUGUAUUUUUGUUUCUCACACUAACUUAUGCUAUUUUUUUUGCAUUUCAAACUUACAUUUACUAUAUCAAGGUUUUUAUUGUUCAAAUUAAAAUUAGGCAUGAUUAUGUAUGUACUUCCUUAACUUAAUUUCAAGUAAUAUGUUGGUCCUUAAUAUAUUUUUGGGUUAAUAGUGCUUUUUACCUUGUAAUAUAUGUCAUUUUCGAUUUUCGUCCCUAUCAAAUUUUCGGUUUGAUUUGCAUCAUCGUAAAUUUUUUUUUUUUUCCAUAAAACACCCUUAAUAGGUCAUUCAAAAACCAAAAUUUCUUGAUUUUUUUUACGAGGACACAAAUCAAACCAAAAAGUUUAUAGGGGCGAAAACUGGAAAUGACGUAUAUUACAAUUUUGUCUUUUUGGUCCAUUUUCAUAAAAAAUUUCAAGUUUCAGAUCUAAUAUUGUUAUGCAAACAUAGAUGAAAACCAUAGAUUUGAAGAUUGAAAUGUCAUAAGAAAAUAAAACCAUGAAUUUGAAGUUUGAAAAUUCAUAUGCAAAUGAACCAAAAGGAUAAAAUUGAAAUGAAAAAAAGAUAAAAGGACGAAAUUGUUACCUAAAAUUAAGUUAAGGGACUAAAAGUGUAAUUUAGCCUAAAAAUUAAUAGAAACACUACCAUUGUGCUGAUAUGUUGAAAAUAGUCACGAGCUUUCAAAACUAUCUCAUAUCAAUACAUAAAAAUUGUUUUCGCAGAUAUAUACGCAUAAAAUUCGCAACGAGUCCAGUGCAAAUAUUCAAUAGUGUUUUACAUAUCAAAUGAAUUCUUUUUAUUAGAAACACUACAUUAUUAAUGUUGAUAUUUUAAAAAUAUUCAUGAAUUUUAAAAUUUUAUCAUAACGUCUUUCUCAUAUCAGUACAUAAAAAUUUUCCCCCAUAGAUAUAAACACAUAAUUGACAAUAGGCGUGAAAGAUAUAUACCACGAUGUUCUGCAUAUAAAAUAGAAAAUAAUUAAUAAAAACACUAUAUUAAUAUUGAUAUUUAUAAAAUAGGUAUAAGCAUUUAAAAUGUUAUCAUAUCGACUUUCACAUAUAUAGACAAAUAAAAUCUACAACGGGCCAAAAAAAAAAAUUCCUCUCUCUCUUUUUUGAGCCGUCGCCUAAAACCUCAUUUUCUUCUCUUUCAUCUAACAAAGAGGUCAAAUUUUUUUUUUUUGUUGCGAAAAUCACCUCUUUAAAUAGUUUUUCUCCUCCCCUUUUAUUUAAAGAAGUUGUUUUCACAUCUAGUUAGUUUUUUCUUUUAUGAUUUCAUCGUCUUUGUGCGAUGUUGUUUGUCAUUCUCAUCUUGUUCAGAUGUUUGUUCGGUUCAUAUUAUCAUAUCAACUUCGAUCCAAUGCAGAUUCAAUCAAUUACUUUGCAACGUUGCAGAUCUAGAUACAUGACUACUCCAGAGACUUGAAUACAAUCAUAUUUGUAGACUUUUGUACUUUGUCGUUUUAUGCGAUUAACAUGAAAGAUGUGAGUUUGUUCGCAAAUUUACCAUUUUUUUAGCAAAUUUAUAUUGUAUCAAUGUAUUAUCUCAAUUUGAAUGAAUGAAUAUCGUUUAUUUUUAGUCACACAAAAAAAUACAAUGAACGUGUGCAAAUAUUUAACUGAAUUUUACAUAUAUUAUUUUUUAACAAAAACAUUACAUUAAUAUUGAUAAUUUUAUUUUGAAAGAUUUCAAACAAAAACAAAAACCAUCCCUUAAAAAAACCUAAGAAAGAUAUCAAGAAUGAUUUUAUAAGAAAGAUUUAAGAAUGACAUGGCAUAAUAAUCAUCUUUAGAUUUCAAUCUCAUUUAUUAAUCUUUCAUAAAAAAAAAAAUACAUAACACCCACCACCGCAUGAUUUCCGGUCAGGCUGAGAUUUUAUUGACUAACAUUAAUUUCAAGACUAUUUCUUGAUAAAAUCUAAGGGUGAUUAUUCUGCCAUGUCAUUCUUAAAAUUUUUUUGAUAAAAUCUUUCUUGAUAUAUAACAUUGCUCUUUUAUUUUGAAAGAUUUCAAACAAAAAAAAAAAACCAUCCCUUAAAAAAAUCUAAGUUAUUGGAAAUAUUUUAAACUGGUUGUUAAAUUAGAAAACCAAAUCAGUAGUCAACCCAGGCCCGCAACUUUUGAACAAACCUAGUUUAUCGAGACUUCCAUUCAUAUCAAAACCCGAAAAAUAUAACAGCCGCAAACCCUUCGGUAACCACUGGAAGUCAGUUGUGAACCAACUUGGAGGCAUAGGAGGUCCGACCAAAAAUCAACUGAGAGAAGUCGAGAUUAGUGAAAGGUUAACCUCAUGUUUAGUUUUAUGAGAGUCUUACCUAUGUUACUUUAAACGUCGCGUCUUUGAUUUUUAUUUUAUGUUUAGUACAAACUUCACGCCUUUGUUUAUUUGUUUAUUUUUAUUGUUGUGCAGAUAUAUAAUCGGUUAUUAUAUAGUCUUAGAGGCUUAUUAAACAUGGUAUGUUGCAUUUUAUUUUAUUUUGAAUUUCAAUUCUUGAUUUAUAGGAUAAUUCAAUGCUUAGUUGUUGUUUUAUAAUGAAUGUUGAUAUCUCCCGGUUUUAAUGAAAUUAUGUGUGUUAUCGCAUGUUAAACUGUUAUGUAGUUGUUCUACCUAAAAUUGCUCUAUGUUGUUCAUUAUGGUUAUGAUAUUAUGAUUUGGUCGCGUUAACUUUUUUUUUUUUUUUUUUCCUGUUGUAGAAUUCACAUGAGGAUCAGAAGAAUGAGGAUUUGCAUGAGGAUCCGUUGAAUGAAGAUUCAUCGGAGCUUCAGCAGAGUGAGGAUGAGGAUAUGUUAAGUGAAGAUUCACAUGAGGAUGAAGCGGAUGAGGACGAGGAUGAUGAUCAAUAUGAGGAUCAGUUGAGUGAAGCUUCAAAUGAGGUUUCAUCUGAGAGUGAGUGGAAUCAGGAUUUGUCUGAGGAUCAUAAUGAUGAUAUUCAUGAGUAUCAGUGGAAUAUACGACACAAUGAGAUCUUUGAACAUGUUUACAGUUGUUUCUCUGUCUCAUCUCUGAAUAGGGUAUGUCACCUUAUGCAUAUCUAACUUCUCUAACCCAAUUUCAUUCUUAUGUACAGUUUAAAAUUGUUUUACAACGACAAUCAAUCACUACUCACCAAGAAAACUAACAAAUUGUAAUAUAGAAUUACAUCUUUGGCAAAACCCAUUGCAGUUACGUAUCAGACAUUCAUAUUGUUUUGAUUUAUAUAACUCUGAUGUUUGAACAUUCAUUAUAUGCACACAAAUUGGAUAGACUACUUUUUUCUAUUUACUCAUUACUUAUAAUUUAGUCUUUGCAUGUGACUCCCAAAUUAUUAUUUUUUAAAGAAGCUAAACUAGCACACCUAAAUAAAUAUUGAGGAGAGUUAAACAUAAGACUUUUAGAGGAGCACUCUCUAGGUCCGAAGCCAACAACACCAGACCAACCCAAGUGGGUUUAUGUGACUCCUAAACUAUGAAGGACCGAUACAUAUAUACACCAAAUAUGAUGACUGUUAUCGACAGAUAGAUAAUAAUAAUAAAAUAAUUUACGAAAAUGAAAGUGAUUCAAUGUAACAAUAUGUGUCUAUGUCGAUCAGUCACAAACAUAGUCGUACACCAUACACAUCUUCAAUCUAAUGUGUAGAUGCUAUUUUAAACCUCAAAUUUCAAUACCAAUUCUUACUUCUGAUUUUUCUAUUUUGCAGCCAAUUCUGGAAAAUGGUGAUAAAAGUAAGUGCACUAACACCUUACAUAGUUUACAUUGUAUUAUUUGGUAUCAAACAUUGUGAAAUUUUGAUAGCUAAUACAAAUUCUUUUUCCUUUCAGUUAUCAUGCCCUCUUCAGCUCUAGAUCGCCUUGGUAAGCUUAUAUCUGUCAGUUAGGUUUCAAUAAUUUGAUUUUUUUUCCUCAAAUACUAAAUUAGUACUCUUAUUGUUAAAAUAUUUCAGCACGUUUGAACAUAGAAUAUCCAAUGUUAUUUGAACUGAGAAAUACUUCUGCUGAAAGAACUACUCACUGUGGAGUCUUGGAAUUCACUGCUGAUGAGGGGAUUGUAUUCUUACCAAAUUGGGUAUAUCUGAUUUCCUUUCUUUCUUUGUUCAUAUUUAUUUCUCUUUAGUUUUUUGAGUGACCAUUUAUAUUUAAAAUAUCUUUUUUUUUUUUGUUUACAUUUAUUUCUCUUUAGUUAAUUGAGUGACCGUUUUUAUUUAUAGCAGUUUUUAUUUUUUUUUGUAAUUGUCAGAUGAUGGAAGAUAUGCUCCUACAGGAAGGAGACCUUGUCUCUCUGAAAAGCACAAGUCUUGAAAAAGGAAAGUUUGUGAAGUUCCAGCCUCACAGCAAAGAUUUUUUGGAUAUCUCCAAUCCAAAAGCCAUGUAUGAAUAACUAAAAUAUCAUAUUUAGUGUUUACUUGAGUUGAUUUAUUUGAGUUUAUCUAUCUACUGGCAUAAGUACUUGUGAAACUGUUUGAGAGAAUUUAUAAAAACAUUUCAAAACAUGCUCAUAAGUUGUUUUCAACUUAUUUCUGUAAGUUAUCUCCAAGAUAGCUUAUGAAAAUAGCUUAUUGCAUGUAUAAAUAUAAUUUGAAUUUAACUUGAAUUUAAUUUACCUCUGUUAUAAAAAUAGUUGCUUAUAUAUAAACACUUCAAAGAUAUGUGUAUAUGCUAUAAGAACUUAAUUAUUAGAGACUUCAUUGAGGAACUCAAUAGUUGCUUAUUGCGAUGUAUAAUAUCUUUCUUUUUCCCCUUUAUGAUUUGCAGGUUAGAAACUUCAUUGAGGAGUUACUCAUGUUUAACAACUGGCCGCACUAUAAUGAUUCCAUAUAACAAUAAAAAAUAUUACAUUGAUGUGGUUGAAACGAAACCUUCUCCCGCAAUCAGUAUAAUUGAAAUAGACUGUGAAGUUGAUUUUGCUCCACCUCUUGAUUACAAAGAACCUGAGAAGCCUUUGCCAUCUGAUUUGUCUCAUAAGAAACAUCGACAAGGUUGUGAUUCUUUUAUUAUCUGUUGGAAUAUGCUUGAAGAAUUUCACGUGUUUGUUUUCAAGUGAAUAUUUCAUUAGUGAAUUUUGACUAUUUUGUUUGCAUUUCAGUUGAAGAAGAGCCACCAACUAAGGUUCCCAAACUAAUUCCGUUUAGUGGUUCUGGAAGGCGUUUGGAUGGUAAACCGUCGGCACAAUCAAUCGAACAAACUUCUACUCCAAUUAUAAAGCAGCAACAAACUGAAAAUAAAACCAACAGUUCGAUUAGAACUCCUGGGAAGCUUGUUUUUGGGUCAAAUGCCAAUGCAUCCAAUGUUCAAACACAGCCAAAGGUAAGUUUCAUCUAUAGUGAAUUUUUUUGACUUUUUGGAGCAACUUGUAUUACAUUCAGCUUAUGGUUUAUUGACAUGAUCUAAUGAUUUUUUCGCUUAACAGGCUUCUUUGAAGAGUGCAAGUCAAGAGUCAUCUAAGAAAACAGAUACCCCGCAGUUCCAAGCUUUCUUGGGGAAGAAGUAUUCAUUAAGAUGAUUUCAAUAGUUUCUUUUAGUUGACAUGGCUUAGAGCACAAGUUCAGAUGUUACUCUUGCAUAUCCAUGUUUCUCUUUUAAGUUUGUGAUUAUGACUAUUGCUUUGGAAAGUUUAUAAAUAUACCAUUUAACAAAUAUUCAAUGAAUUAACGUCUUUUUUGUAUUUAAUUUGCCUUUAUUUGAACCUCAUCAUUACAUUGUCUACUAGUGAGUAAAAUUAAAUAUCGUACAUGCACUAUUUAUACGCCACUUUGAAUUACUAAUAACCAUAUAGAAGAGAUACACUACAUCACAAUGUUUUUGAAAUACUUGAUAUUUGCACUAAAAGAAAGAGCAAAAAAUGAACAAAAGAUUCACAUUCAGAUCUAACAAAUUUUAAAAGGGAAAACAAGGUGAACACACUUUGACUUCAACUGCUUUUCUGUGUUUCAAUUGACACUUAGAGAUAUAUAGAUGCAAAGGAAAGUUAAUCUGUCAGUGUAAUACAAGAUCAGGCAAAAGAAAUCUCAUUACGAAUGGCUUAAGGAAUCAGAUUGUAUAAGAGAUAGAGUUGUGUAAAAGACACCACUCACUGACAUAUGAUAGUGGAUAAACUUCUGAGCUACGCUUUCACUGUUGUUUCAAUUGCAACCUUUGGAAAAGCCUCUCUGAUAUUAUGGAUACUCUCUAAUGCAUGAUCCACUCUUGUACUGUGCAUGGAUGUCCCCACAUGCAUCAUAUGGCAAUUAGAAUUGACACAUAAAUCAACUUUGUAUAGUACAUGCUAUGUUACACGCAGAUUGCAGAAAGAAAACAAAACGCGCACACACAUACUUGACAAAUUGUUAUUUCAUAAUUUUUUUUGACCUUAAUUACUUUCGAAUCAUAAGAAACAGAUAAAAACUAGAAAUGGAAAACCCUAGUAUAUAGGAUACUACAAUUUUAAUACUUAAAUUGAUGUGUUCAAACCAACUGCAAGUAAUAUUUGUUCAUUCAUCAGUAACCAAUAGGGACCACUUACCGCAACUGUAUGGAGGCCAAAACGUUUAGGUAAGUUGUGGAUUCUGUUCAUCAAAGAACAAGAACAAUGAUAACAUUGAUAGUGUUCUCGUGCAUAACCUGUUUGCUAAUAACUAAGGUUUAAAGCAUCAUGCCCUAUCCUUUUGGAGUUUAAACUAUAAUAGAUUAGUCAUUAAAUGUAAAAGUUAUAGAAGGAAGAUGGCGAAGAAAAGUGUGUAAUUUAAUUGGAAAGAGAUAAUCUAUUAACAAGAUCUUCAAGAGGUUAAUCUAUUAAUAAGGGAAAUAUGUGUUCUUAUUGUUCUUUGAGGGUCAAUAUCUGCCAAUUUGAAAGCCUUAUCAAAUGCAUCUUUAAACUUAAAGGAUUUGCAGAUAACCGAUGUCUUUGGAAGCACCAUAUCAGAAUCAGGCCGGCGUGUGUAUACUACAAGAAAUUUGUCAUAUAGCAACGACAAAAACCGUCGGUAAAUGUCCAAUAAUUCUUUGUAAUUCGGAGGGUUAAUGUUGUAUCUAAGCUAAUAAUUCUUUCAAAACAGUCCUCAAGUCCAAGUCUUUUAAGCACUCUAACCGCAUGUUAAAUAGGUAUCACACAUAUGUAAUACAAGUAAUAAACUUUUUCCCAAAUCCCAAUUAGGUAUUACGUUAAAGAAAUAACAAAGAAAACUUACCACUUUCCAACAAGGAAAGCUUUGCUAAAUGCCCUAGAGAAGGGAUCCGGUUUCAGUAUAUUAUAUGUUUAAUUGCACUUUUUAAGUUUUGAAAUUGUGCGAUUUUGACUAUUUUUCCCUUGAGCCACGUUACCACUUUGUGCACUUUUUGCCCUUUGCUUUCCUAAAUAUAUCCCACCUUAAACUAAGCCACAUUACCAUCUUAAUUUUUAGAUGGUAUUAGAGCAAGUUCGUCCUGCUCUGCUUCCGCUUCGUGAAGAUUGAACAAUCCUUUCGUUGUUCUUGUCCAUCUUCUGAUUUGUUAUUGUUUCGAUAUCGUUCAUAAUCCAUUUUUUGGAUUGAUUCAUCACUGAAUCUUUUCGUCUUUGUUAUUCAUACUCUUUCUCUCUGAAAGUGUUUUGCAUCAUGGUGAAAAACAAUAACGAUGUGCAGAAUCAAGUUCACAGUCUUGAUCCAUAUUUUGUUCAUCCUUCAGAAAAUUCUACUACCGUUAGUGCUAUGCCACAAUUGACUGGAGAUAACUAUCAUUCGUGGUCCAUGAAGAUGCGAAAAGAGCUCGCAAUGAAGAACAAGUUUAAGUUUGUAGAUGAAUCUAUUCAUGUUCAUGAUGAAGAUGAUUUGAAUCGGAUUGCAUGGGAAAGGUGCAAUAAUCUUGUUCAUACACGGAUAAUCAAUUCUAUUUCGUUAUCUAUUGCUCAAAGUGUUGUGUUUAUAGAAAAUGUUGUUGAUAUGUGGAAUGAUCUUAGGAUUGUUUUAUGAGAGGAGAUAGAAUUAGAGUAGCACAAUUGCAGUAAGAAAUUGCUAACUUGAAGCAAGAAAAUCACAGGAUUACAGAGUAUUUCAUUGAUUUAAGAGGAUUAUUGGAAUAAUUAGAUCAAUAUAGACCUAUGCCACAAUGUACAUGUCCUAUUACAGUUUCAGAAUAUGACAUGUACAUUGGUUAGAAUAAUCCAGCUUUUUAUUGUUUUGAAUGAAGAAUAUCAAGGUGUGGCUUGAUGGCACAUCAUCUUACGUUAUUUUUAGCAUGUUUUUCAGUAGGUUUUACAUCCAAAAUAAAGGAGUAUUAGAGCAAUUGCUUAUAUGAUUUCGGAACAUUUGUAAUGUUUUCUGUAUUUGAGUCAUGUAAUUGUAUUCUUCCCGAAACAUAACAAUUCAGACCAAAACCUCAUAUCCCUUUUAUAUAUUGUUAUAGGAGAAUACAAUACCUUUGAUGAAAUAUAUUUCACCAUGUCUGUCCGUCUGCUCUUUUUAUUGCGCUAAUGUGUAUAAGUUAUGAACAUUAACUUUGAUGAAAUUUUGAUUAAAAUUAUAGGUAUAGAUAAUAUAUAUUUUCCACAGGAGGGGAAACUUUGUGGAAAUAUAUUAGUAGAGCUAGAUAUGCAAAAGGGUCUCAGUGGGAUCAUCAUGGGGGUGGUGGUGGGUUUAAGAGGUGUCUCUAACUGGUGGAAGGAGAUAUCCUUAUUGAGAACAUGUAAGCUUGAGUCUACUAAUUGGUUCUUUGAUAAUAUUGUCAAAAAUGUUAGUGACGGUCGAUCUACAAAUUUUUUGAAAAAUCCCUGAUUGGAUGAUAUUCCAAUAAGAAUUCGUUUCCCCAGACUGGUUCCAAGUUUCUUUUAAAAAAAAAAAAGCUUAAGUCAUUGAUAUGACCGUGAUGAGGAAUCUAAUUUGGGUACGAGAGAUCUUAAGUGGAGGAGGGAUCAUUUUGAGUGAUUUUUGGAGAGCUUCUCCAAGCUUUAGAGAGUCCUACCUCUGAAGGUGUAGACUUUUGGGUCUUCAGCAAUGAUUCAUCAAGGGUGUGAGAGUAUUGGUAUCCUCUAAAGGUGAAUGUCUUCUCUUGGCAGCUGCUUCAAGACAAGAUUCCAACUCGACAGAGUCUCGUUUCAAGGAGAAUUAUAUUUGAUCACGGUGGUAUUUAAUGUGUUUUCUGUAAUGAGCAUGUAUAGUUGGUUUGUCACGUUUUUGUUAGAUACCAUUUUUUAGACCAGGUGUGGUAUCAUGUGUUUUGGAGGUUGGGGUGAGAGUUUGUUUUACCUUCAAAUUUAGUGAGUCUUCUUAGUAUUAGGUUAGACAUAGGUGAGGGGAAAACAUGAGAGGUUAGAUUUCUUAUUAAUCUGGAAAACUAUUGUGUGGUCCUUGUGAAGAUCCAAAAAUGAUAACAUCUUUUGUGGGAAGGAUAAGUUUGUGCUCCAGUUACCUCUUGAAAGUGGUUUUUAGGAAAACAUUAUGGUCCCACUUGUUUCUUCUAUGAGUGGGAUCAUGAACCCAUUAUGUGUAGCCACUGAUAGCAUCUUGUGAAGGAUUUGCCUAGUCUUCUUCUUGGUCUAUUAUGGUAGGGUGUUCCUUAUAGAAUUUUGAUAAAAAUUAUAGUUAUAAACAUUUGUGAUUAAAGCUAUUAUGAUUUUUCUUAAUUACUAACUAGUUACUUCCUGAUUUUGGCAGGUAUGCACCAAUAUUAGGUAUGUCACCUCCCUAAGUACCUUUCUCUCAGGGUUAUGCUGUAAGACCCUAAAAACCCACAUAUUAUUUUAUAAUAAAAAUACAUUUAAAAAAAUAAAAUUAAACAUGCAAGGGUGUCUCACAUCUUCUUCAAUAAACAUACUUCAUUUAAAUUAAAAACAUCGCAGCGGAAAAGUUCUCAUAACAUCAAAGUGAUUUUUCAUAUUUAUAGUUCCAAAUCAAAACUGAGUUCAAAAGAUUUUUAAAGCCUAGUCUAAAAUAAAAUAAAUCCUCAAUCCAUAGCGUCACAGAUCAGAGCAUCAACUAAAUAAAGACUCCCAAAAGCAAUACACAAAAAGGAGAAGGCUCCAACGCCAUCCUCCGAGACUCACUGCUACUAAGAUUUUCUUCCUGCAAAUCUACACCACAAGGGUGCAGGCGCUCAACCCGCCACUAGAGGGUGAGAAUAUAUUCAACAUAAGAGAUGCAUAAACACAUGUAUAGAUUCAGAUAAAAGAACACAACAAUUACAUUUAGACAUAUAUGCAUCAUAGUCAGAUAACAUUCACAUUUAAAUAUAAAAUUUCAUUUAAUAAAAAUCAAAUAGGUAUCAAUCAACAUCUCAUAAUAACAUAUAAGCAUCAACAACAUUUAAGAAUAUCAAGUAGACAUUAAUAAAAAAACAAAUCAUUCACACAUAAUCAUAUAGAAGCACGUCAUUGAAUAUCACAUCUUUAAAUAGGUACACAUCUUAAAAUAUCACAUCUUUUAAUCACACAUCUUCAAAUAGACCUACAGUUAUGUAUGCAAUGUCUCUAACUCGACUCUAUAUGCAUGUGGUACCAGUUUUGGAUAUCAGAGUUAUGUUACUGAAUUAUCCCCCAUCUUUAAAUCACAUCUUUAAAUCGGACUGACCAUGAAUGCAUGAACACCAAAUAAUGACUCGACAAUGCACAUCUUUAAAUGACUCGACAAAUACACAUCUUUAAAUAACAUCAUCAUCAAAUAUCACAUCUUUAUAUAACACAUCUUUAAAUCACACAAUUUCAAAUAGCACAUCAUUAUAUAAUACAUCUUCAAAUAACACAUCUUUAUAUAACACCUUUAAAACACACAUCUUCAUAUAACACGUAAAUUCAAUUUAUCAUAACAUUAUUCAUAAAAUUAAAAAUUAAAAAUUAAAAAUAUAAGAACCGAACAUGGUAACUACGACACACAAAAACUUCAGGCCUAGAACAAAAUAUAAAAAUAGUGCAAACAUUAGAUAAGGGGAAACCUAUAAACUUCUAGGCAUUAGAUAAGGCGAAAACAUUAUCAAAUAAUGUGAGCAACUUAGUAUUCAAAAAUUAUAUUUUUCUUGUUUUACCAUCUUAGCUGUUCGGCCAAGACCGUUCCUUUAAUUAACUCUUGUAGACAUGUCCUUAGUCACCAAAAGAGGCAAAUAUUAGUUAUUAACCAAAUAAUAAUAAGGGGAAACCUAUAAACUUCUAGGCAUGAGGCUCUCUUGGACAUGGAAAUAACUAACUAAUAAUGAACCAUAUAGAGAUUAUAAUUAUAAAAAAAAAGUAUCAAGACUAAAACAUCCUGUAGCAAAUACUAGUAUACUAUUACUCCCUUAAACUAUUUUGGCAUUUACUAAUUACUGAUGGCAUUAAUGUCGACAAUUAACAUAUGUAGGUAUCAAUAAUCAUUGGGUGAAUUAAAGGUAAGUAUGGAUUAACAUAUGCCAAGCAGAAAGUCAUCGCAAGGCUAAUCAUAAAGGUAUCGACGGAAAAAUAAAAUUAAAGGCAUUGAUAUCAAUGAAUAAAAGAAAACCAUUCGAGAACAAUCAUGUAAUAAAAUUAAGAACAUGGAUGAAUACAUAUCAACGGAAUAUACAUCAAAAAGAAUCUCAAUAGGUCAAAAAUAUAUUUGCAGCUGCAUAGAAGAACACAAAUUUAAUCAUAGAUUCAUCAAAGGAAUAAAAAAUAAAGAAAAUUAACAACCCUUCACUAUCCACAUGAAUACACAGCCCUUAUGAUGAAUAAAAACUCCCCCCAUUACCUCUAGUUUGCAGAAUUGAUGAUUUCCUACGGUGAAAUCUUUCUCUAGGUUCUUCUCGCUAUUCCUCUUUGUCUCUUCUCUCCAUAACCCUAGUUUUUCUUUUCCCGCUUUGUUUCUCUCUUUCUCGGUAACCCUUCUUCUCUAAUUCUCUUCUCUAAUUAUAAGUUGUAAUUGAGUUUGUUACCGAUCGUUUUAGAUUACUAUAUUUCCUCUAGGUUUGUUACUAAUCUUUCAACUAAGUUUGUUACUAAAGAUUCCUAUCUGCACCUCUCGAAUUUGUUACUAUUCUUUCAGUAACUACACCGUCUUGCUAUUCACACUCCCCUAUGCUUAAAUAAUUAAAACACUACUCAACUCACUAACCACACCUCUUUUCUAACCAAUUUUACUAAUUCACCUCCGUUCACACUCUACUUUCUUAUUCUCUCUAAAAACUCUAUUUUCUUCCUAAACAUUAUUUUCUCUCACUUUUUUUUUUUUUUUUUGUAGAUAGACGAAAUGGCAAAGCCAUUAUAAACUCACACACACAAGUGGAGGUACCAGGGUUCGAACACCGGUCAUGAUAUCCGGCCUAACAAUUUCGGCAUUUUGCCAGUUGAGCUAGGACUUCUGGAUUUUUCUCUCACUCUUUAAUUGACUAACCAACCCAUUUACUUUCUCCUUUCCUAUUCUUUCAAUAAAUAAGAAUAUUUAAAUUAAUACUACCUGAUAACCAAUACUAAUAAUAACAUUAAUACUAAUAUUAUCUAAAAAUAAUAUUAAUAAACUAAUAUUAAAAAUCGGGGUGUUACAUAUGCUCUUAUGGCUUGUUUCUUUAGUUACUAACUAAUUACUUCAUGAUUAGACAAGUAUAACCCAAUAUUAAGUAUGUGACCUCCCUAAGUGCCAAGUUAUCAAGGUUAUGCUUUAGAGGAGACAAAUAUAACACACUACAGUAAAAUUAAAUAGCAAUCGAGAAAUAACUAAAUAAAGACUUUAAAUUAAAUAAAUAUCCAACAAAUAGAAUAGAGGUUCUUAGAACCCUAGCUUAAAAAGAUUUAGUUACACAUGGCAACUAAAGACAAAUUACAAAAGAAAUAAAACAUACCCUUGAGAUUUGGAGUGAAGAGAGAUAAACUCCUCCCUUGAAGCUCCUAGUGCUUGUCUUAAUCUUGAACCUCUUCAUUCUGAAUGAGAAAUUAUUAGUGAAAGACUUGGUAUUUAUAGGGAGAGUUACCACCUGAAGAUGGACUAAAAAUCUAAGCUUUUUCCACUUAAAAGUAGCAAAAAUCAGUUCUGUCUCGUUUUCAGCAAUGCUCAGGGCGCAUAAGCUAUGCUUGGGGGCGCAUGAGUGUGCAGAAAAUACAUGAUCGGGGCGCCUGAGGCAUGCUCGGGGCGCAUGGACCAUGCUCGGGGCGCCUGAGUGUGCAGUCUGGUGCAUGCAUCUUAGUUUCUUCGUCCUUUUGAUUGUUUGCUUCCAUAUAAGAUGUCAUGGGACCUGGGAACAUAAUUUCUCUCUCUGUAAUAUCUUAUGAGGCCUCUUGAAUCGUCACUCUUGAUCUUCCCAAAGUCUUCACAAGCCAUAUUUUACCAAUUUGCAUGAUUUCUUUGUGAAUUACAUCAAAACACCCUAAUUUAUUUUUUUAUGACACCUUUCUAUAAAAAAAAAAAAAUUUAUAGGUAAAGAAAAAUAAUAACAACAAGUUAUCAAUAUCAUCUCAUCAUAUAAAUUAUAAUAAUUCAAAUCUUUUGAGAGGUCAAAUCUCUGAACUCUUUAAAACAUAUCUUGAGAAUAACAAACAAUCAGAUUUAUACGGUCUAAAAUGUUGGGCCUAGGAUUUUUUUUAUUAAAAUCUCAAUAAAAUUAUGUGAAUAUUUUAACCCCUAACUAGUGUAGUGACCUGAUUGUUCAUAUUGACCCAAUAAUUGUAACAUCUUAGAUGAUUUUUAGAAUUGUUGACUGACCCCAUAAACCAACAUUAGUCUUUUCAGCGUGUUUUUUCCUCAGCCGCAUGUUUUUUGGGAAACAUCACAUAAGCUCACUCAUCCCAAAAUUAUUCCAAGUCAAGCACGUUUAACUGUGGAGUUUUUAUGAUUUUGGCUAUGAAAAAAGAAGAUGCAUCUUGUUAGUAUAGGUAGUACCAAACAAUUCUUAUAACUCUUCCUUCAAUCAUGCAGACCCAUACCUACAUGGCCCCAGGAAACCUCUCAUUUCGAUGUGAAUUCGAUUGCUGAGAAGCUGCUAGGAGUCGCUCAUUGCCAUGUAUUGUGCACCGGCAAUCACUCCCCGUCCUCAUAAGCCAUGGGCGUUACAAUAAUGACUUUCAUAUUUUGACAUAUACAACACUAACAUGUAGUUUAGCGAAUAAUAGUUAAUAUAAAAUGUAAGAUUCAUUACCAUUUUUAAGCUGAUUUUCUAAAGUAUACAACCGACCAUAAAAAAUAAAAAUACAAUGCAUAAAAAAAAGAUAUAUGUAACAUUUUUUAUAUACAAAAAUCAAGCAUCAAACAUACGUUUUAGCCAAAAUUUAUUAGGUUAUAUUCCAAGUAAUGCUUAUAUUUAAAUGUUUACUAGAUCGUCCACCCGUGCUGCCGCACGGGUCAUAUAUAUUGUAAGUGUAGUACACAAAAGCAACAUUUUAUAAUACAGUCCCAACUUAUAAUUUUAAUGUCAUAAUUUUAAAUACAACUGUAGAAGGAGAUUGUAUAAUUGAUUCAAAAUAUUUUUAGUGACAUUGAGCAGCAAUCUAUAAUUUAAUAACAGAAGAGAUUUUGCCAAAAGCACUGCACACAUCUCUUUUUCUCGUGAGUCAAUUACAUUAAAAAUUCAUAUAUUAUAUAUCACUAACAAAGAUACAAAAUUAUGUUAAAAGAAAUUUGUAUAAUUGAUUCAAAAUAUGUUUAGUUAACUUUAAUAUAUAAGAAGAUGUAUCGAGAAAUUGAGAAGGGGGAAAAUUCAAUAAGGUUAAUCAAAGGAUCAGGGUUAAAAUAGUAAAUUUAUGUAAUAAGUUUAUGUUAAAAUUAGGGCUAAAAUAUGCUUCAGUGUUAACUUUAAUAUAUAAGAAGAUUUUGUAUAGGUCUAAUUUAAUCAUUCUUUAUUGUUGGAGAACAAUACGAUAAAGAAAUUUCUUCUCCCUAUAUUAACUCAGAGAGAGAGCCAGAGAGGUAUAUAUAUAAAACGGAAAUUAGAGAGAAUUUGAAUAUAUAUAUAUAUAUAUAUAUAUAAGGGAAAUUGGAGAAAAUUUGAAAGAAUAUGAAGAUUCUACAAUUGAAUUUCUGAAUAAUCUUACAUAUAUAUAUAUAUAUAUAUAUAUAUAUAUAUAUAUAUAUAUAUAUAUAUAUAUAUUGAAUAAUAGAAUAGAUAAAUUGAAGGAAAAUAUAAAUAAUUAAAUAUAUCUCUUCAAAAAAUUAAUUAAAUAUAAAUCUAAAAUUAGUAUAAUUGGUUUUUUAUCUUUUAGGAAGAUAAAUACGAUAACAAAAUUUUGAGUUUUAGAAUAAUCAAUACAAUUGAUGUGGAAAGGGAAUAAAUGGUUUUAUGGUGGUUUAAAAUAUCUACUCCUAUAUUUUAAUUAAUAAUAAUAAUUUUACUCAAAGUUUUAUAAUAGAUACUAUUCAUAAUUUAUAUACAUUAAUGCAAUAAUGAGAGCAGACUUUGUGUGUAUACAUAUAACUUUUCAACAUAAAAAGUAGAUGAUUGAUCGGUGUAUAAGAACGUAUGAUUCAAAAGUAGAUGAUUCAUAAAAAGUGGAUUGAUUUGGUUUUUUAUAGACAAUGGGUUAAAUUUGUUAUAUAUAGAACAUAUAAAUUGAAUGAUUAAAAAACCUACAAAAACGGAUGUGUAAAUAAUUCAUAUUAUUAAAAAAAAUAUUAAAAUUGUAGAAAAUAAUUAAGAAGAAGAAAAUGGAUGUAUAUAUAUAUAUAUAUAUAUAUAUAUAUAUAUAUAUAUAUAUAUAUAUAUAUAUAUAUAUUCCCUCCGUCCCAUAUUAUAAGAAAAAAAAUCACACUUAUUAAGAAAACUAAAACAUAGUAUUUUGUUUUAUAGGAAGAUGUAAAAACAAUUUUCAUUGGUAGUUGAUUAUAGAGAAAAUGAAAAAGAGAGCAAAUUGAAUGCACUUUGCAUUUAAUUUUUCUUUGGAAAAGAUAAUUUUUUGAAAAAACAUAAUUAAAUAUGAUAAAAGUUGGUCUUUUUCGCUUAUAAUUUGGGAUAAAGAAAAUGAGUUUUUUUUGCUUAUAAUUUAGGACGGAGGGAGUAUAUAUAUAUAUAUAUAUAUAUAUAUAUAUAUAUAUAUAUAUAUAUAUAUAGACACACACACUAGUUUAGAGCUCCGGCGUUGUCCGGGUUAGAUAUUAAAUAAGUUUGUGUGCACGAAUACACCUGUAAGUAUAUUAAAUUGAAUUUAGUUAAAUUUACAAUUAUAAUAAUAUCUUAAAAAUAAAUAUAAAUGGUGAGAUGAAUGUCCAAUGCAAGAAUAAAAAGUGUAACAAAGUCAAUAAUGAAUUAGCCUAAGUGGUAAGAGUUUUGGGUCCCUUUAAACAUGUGGUCAUGGUUUGUUUCGUGGCUCAUGCGUAUGAGAAAAAAAAUCGAUUGAAAGGGAAGAAUCCACCAUGUGUGCCCCACUGAUUCCUGAUGGAGAUUAGUCAUCUCUAACAAUGGUGGAAUUUGUGAACCUAUAUCAUGGUUACCACAAAAAAAAGUACAAUGAAUAAAUAGACAAAAAAUAUAUAAAUUAACUCCUUAAAAAAAAUUAUACGACUUCACAAUCGUUAUAGUUUUAUAAAAUAUUCUAUAUUCAUAUGAUGUUGGUUUAAAUUUAUGGUUGUUAUUAGAAAUUAAGAUACUUUAUAUAUCUCAUAACAUAUUACAUCAAUCAACGUCAAAUUGAUUUUUUUUUUUUAUAAUAACAUAGAUUGAUAUUUUGUAAGGUUGUCGUUUCGCACAAUGCAUUGAAUUUUAAUCCCAUAGAAUAUCACCAACAACAAAAUUAAAUAGAUAUUAGCAUAGAAAAAAUAAUUAAGUUAAUAUGAAAUCAUGUUAGUAAAAGUUCACGAAGAAAUAAAUUUGAUGUAUGCUCUAUCAUCCAUAAAAAUCACAUCGAUUAAAUAUAUGUGACCUCUUUGAAAAUCAGCAUUCUUCAUAUUCUAAUGAUUCUAAUCUUGAGUCUCCAUAUAUUAUAUUUAGAGUCUGAAUAAUGUUAAUAAAGUUUCUGCAAAAAAAAUCAAUAAAAUAUGAAAAAGUGUAUGAAAAAAAUUAUAGAAGUGAUAUUUGCAAACUUGAAGAAUGAGAAAGGCUGAUUUCAAAGGUGUAAUUCUACUUGUGCUAAAAUUAUGUGAGUAGUUGUUUAGCAAAAAUUCCUUAAUUUUAUAAUCCUAAAAAUAUAUGAGUAGUUAAAAUUUAAAUUGACAUAUGAUGCUAAAAGAUAAAGAAAUAACAAAUAAUUUAAGCAAUUUAAAAAAUUAGGUUUUAAAGAUAAAAUAUAACAAAAAUCUUUAAAAGAAGGAAAAAGAUAUAAUAUAUGUAGUUUGUUGAGACAAUUAUAUUACAUAAAAAAUAAUAAAUAAAAUAUAAUUGAAAAAUAAUAAAAAAUAAUAAAUUUAUUGAAAUAAACUAUGAUAAAGUAAAAUAAAACAACCUUUAAAAAAUGGAAAUAAAACAAAAGGAACCUAUAUUUAUAGUUAAAGUUUGAAAUGUUUCAAAAAAAAUAUAUAGUUAAAGUUUGAAUUGGACUAUGAUCUAAAAUCUGUUAUUAUUUUAAGUUAACCCGUAAGUAAUACUUUGCUCUAAAUUUAUCCUAAUUUCUAUGCUUAAUUUUAUUAUCAUAACCCUGUUUCUUAUUUUUAAAUGUUAACCCGUGACGCAAUAUUAAUCCUAGAUUUAACCUAAUUUUUUCAUGUGACUUUACUAUAUUAACCCUAUAUUUAGUUAAUGCAAAAUGUCAUCUCUUAUUUCUAAAUGUUAACCCGUGACGCAAUAUUAACCUUAAAUUUAACCUAAUUUUUUCGCGUGACUUUACUAUAUUAACCCUAGAUUUAAUUUAUCUCUUAUUAGUUAAAGUUAACCCGUAAGCAAUAUUUUGCCCUAGAUUUACCCUAAUUUCUCUACUUAAUUUUACUAUAUUAACCCGUAAGCAAUACUUUGCCCUAGAUUUAUCCUUAUUUCUCUGCUUAAUUUUACUAUCUUAACCCUGUCUCUUAUUUCUAAAUGUUAACCUGUGACGCAAUAUUAACCCUAGAUUUAACCUAAUUUUUUUACGUAACUUUACUAUAUAACCAUAGAUUUAAUUUAUACAAAAUGUCAUCUCUUAUUUCUAAAUGCUAAUCCGUGACGCAAUAUGAAUGUGGAUGAUCUCUUUCAUAUGAGGAGCUUUAUUGAAUACACGCAUGAUCUUAUUCAUAUGAGGAGCUUUACAAUUGAAGUUUAAUCAUAAAACAAAUAAAAAAUUCAGACAUUAUUGUGGAUGUUGUGACAACAAUAAACAUCUCAUAUAAACAAAAUUUCUACACAUAUUAUGUGAAAAUACAAAUAAAUAUAACAUAUAAAGUCUAACACUGCGUGCUCUAUUUUACUUUCAACUUAACUUUCUAUUCAAGUCUAUAAUAAACACUAACUAAAUUAUAUAAAAUUCUUGUAUGCAAAUUUCAAAUGAAAACUUAUUUUUCACAUAAUCUGUGGUAUUCUAAAAUAAUAUAUAUGGCGAUUGUUAUGGGUCUAAGAUUUGAAUUUUGUUGGGAUCUUCUUUCUCUAUAAUAUUGCGGAUGCAUUUUUUUUAGUAUAUCUUAAAAAACAAUGUAUUAUAACCAAUUCAAGUGGUUCAUGAGCUCCACGAAAGGAUAGAUGAAUUAUUCAAAAGAAUUUGAGUUCGAAUUUUGGUUGGAACAAUUUUAAUCCGACUUUACGGACCCAAUGACUAAACUCCGGAUUGCAAGAUUGUAAACCGGAGGGUUAGCACCAUAUACACACUGCACACGAUUAAAAGAGUUUAUUUUAAGGGUUAAUGGUGUUUUACCUCAUGUAAUAUAGGUCAUUUUUUGUUUUCCCCUGUAAAAUAUUUUCUUUUAUUUACCCCCCUGUAAUUUAUUUUUUUGGAAUACCCCCCUAAUAGGUCAUAAAAAAACGAAAAAAUUCUGCAAAUAAAAAAAUAAAGUCAUUUGUUUAUGACCUAUUAGGGGGUAUUCCAAAAAAUAAUUUUUUACUGAGGGUAAAUCAUAAAAAAUAUUUUACAAAGGGGAAAACCAAAAAUGACCUAUAUUACAGGGGUAAAGCACCAUUAACCCUUAUUUUAAUCCAUUAAAAUGGGCCCAACAUUGGACAAUUGUUUAUUUUAAUCUUAUUUGUCAAUUUUUUGUUUUUUAACGAUUUUUAUAAGAUAAAUCCUAGUAUUCUUUUAAGGUAAAUUCUCGUACUUUUAACUAUGCAAAUUUAAAUUUCUGGAUCAUUAUCUUUUUCAAAUUAAUCUUCAAUUUUUACCUGUUGUUAAUAUUUUAUUUUCUAUCAAGUAUUUAUUUAUUUAUUUUGAAAAAAAAAUAUUUAUUUUUUAAUGAAAGCUUUCUAUAAAAAAAAUAUAGUAAAGAAAAAUAAUAUCAACAAAGUUAACAGUUUGUUUCCUGAAGAAAAAAAAGUUAUCGAUAUCUCCUUAAAAAAAGUUAUCGAUAUCUCAUCAUCUAUACUAUAAAUAAAAUAGCCCAUUUUAGAAAGAUUUUGGGUUGGCUUAUUUAUUAUUCUAAUUAUACUCUUAAAUAAAUCUUUUUAUAGUAAUUAUAUUAUUGGUGUUAUUAAAAAAGAUAUGAAUUUUUAUUAUAUUUGUUAAUUAUUAUUAUCAUCGAAAAAGAUAAAUAUGGUUUGUUGAGUUUGUUACAUUUGAAAUCACAAAUAUGAUUGUGUCAAUAUUUUAACCAACUAUAAAAAUACUUCCAAAGCCAAGUUUCAUAGUAUCGCAAUUGGCUAGCAGUGUUUAUAGUCUUGUCUGGAAUAUCUCGACUGUUUUCUUUCUUUUACAUUCGAAGGUUAAAAUCCUUAGUUUGCUUUAUUAGGUUUUAUCUCUAUUACUUUAUUGUUUUGCUUAUUUGUUUAUUUUUUUUGUUGUCCAGAUAAUCGGUUUUCAACUAGUUUCAAGGGCUUGCUAAAUAUGGUAUGUUGUUCUAUAAAAAGAAAACUUCAUAUUCAUAACUCCCGCUUUCAAUGAAACUAUGUGUGUGAUCGCUUGUUAACUUGCUUUGCCGUUGUUCUGUCCAAGAUUGUUCUUUGUUGCUUAUUAUAGUUAUGAUAAGUCAUUACUUAAUGAUGUGGUCUCAUCAAUUUUUUUUGUUUAAUGUGUAGAAUUCGGUUGUGAAUCUGAAGAAUGGGGAUAUGCAUGAGGAUCAGUUGUAUGAUGAUUCAGUACCUGAGCAUCAACAGAAUGAAGAUGAGGAUGAUCAGAUGAGUGAUGAGGAUCAUUAUGAGGAUAUGUUAUGCGAAGUUUCAAACGACGGUCGGUUGAAUGAGGAUCAUCGAAGUGUGAAGUUUAAUCAUGGGUGGAAUGAUUAUUUGCAUGAGGGUCAAUGCAAUCAGGUUUCAAUUGAGGGUCAAUGCAAUCAGGUUUCAAUUGAGGGUCAGUGGAAUGAGAAUUUGCAUGAGGAACAUCAUGGGUGGAACGAUGAUGAUUUUGUUAAGGAUCUAUGGAACGCACUGCCUGAUGAGACCUUUGAACAAUUUUACAGUUGUUUACCAAUCUCGUCUCUUAAAAGGGUAUGUCACAUGAUGUAUAUCUAACUUCUCUAACCCAAUUUAAUUCAUAUGCGUGUUUUAAAAUGGUUUUACACCGACAAUCAAUCACAACUUGCUAAGAAAACAAACAAAUUGCAUUAUUGUUACAUCUAUGGCAGCUCCCAUUACAGUUACAUAUCAGACAUUUAUUUUGUUUUGAUUAAUAACACUGAUGUUAACAUUCUUUAUGUGCACACAAAUUGGGUAGACAACUCUUUUUCUAUUUACUCGUUAUGUAUAAUUUAUUCCUUGUACAUAUAUAUGUCAGUCUCGACCGGUCUCAAGCAUAGUUGUACUCUAGACACAUUUUCAAUCUAAAGUGUAUGCCUAUUUCAAACCUCAAAAUUCAAUACUCUGAUACUUACUUCUGAUUUUUCUUUCUUGCAGCCAACUCUGGAAAACGGUGAUAAAAGUAAGCGCACUAACACCUUACAUAGUUACAUUGUAUUAUUUGGUAUCAAACAUUGUGAAAUUCUUUUUGAUAGCUAAUACAAAUUCUUUUUCCUUUCAGUUAUCAUGCCCUCUUCAGCUCUAGAUAGCCUUGGUAAGUUUAUAUUUGUCAUUUAGGUUUCAAUAAUUUGAUUAUUUUUUCCUCCCAUGCUAAAUUAGUAUUAUUGUUAAACUCUUUCAGCACGUUUGAACAUAGAAUAUCCAAUGUUAUUUGAACUGAGAAAUACUUCUGCUGAAAGAACUACUCACUGUGGAGUCUUGGAAUUCACUGCUGAUGAGGGGAUUGUAUUCUUACCAAAUUGGGUAUAUCUGAUUUCCUUUCUUUCUUUGUUCAUAUUUAUUUCUCUUUAGUAAUUGAGUAACCAUUUUUAUUUAUAACAUCUUAUUUCUUUUUUCUGUUGUUGUAAUUGUCAGAUGAUGGAAGAUUUGUUCCUACAGGAAGGAAACAUUGUGUCUCUGAAAAGCACAAGUCUUGUUAAAGGAAAGUUUGUGAAGUUGCAGCCUCACAGCAAAGACUUCUUGGAAAUCUCCGAUCCAAAAGCCAUGUAUGAAUAAUUAAAUUUCAUAUCUAUUGCCUAUUUGAAUUGACUUAUUUGAGCUUAUCUACUUGUAUAGGCACUUGCGAAACUGUUUAAAAGAACUUAAACAAUAAGCUUAAUUUAUGACAUGUCUAUAAGUUUUUUCCAACUUAUUUCCAUAAGCUCUCUGCAAGAUAGCUUAUCUAUUGCUUAUACAUAAACACUUAGAAGAUAAAUGUAUAUGCAAUAAUUACUUCAAUGAGAUUUUUAUCCAAACAUAGCCCUAAUUGUGUGUUUAUUAAAUCACAUAAUUGUGUCAAUUAAUAUCUUUUUUCUUCCCCUUGAUCAUUUGCAGGUUAGAAACUUCAUUGAGGAGUUACUCAUGUUUAACAACCGGCCGCACCAUAAUGAUUCCAUAUAACAAAAAAAAAUAUUACAUUGAUGUGGUUGAAACGAAACCUUCUCCCGCAAUCAGUAUAAUAGAAACAGAUUGUGAAGUUGAUUUUGCUCCCCCUCUUGAUUACAAAGAACCUGAGAAGCCUUUGCCAUCUGAUUUGUCUCAUAAGAAACCUCUACAAGGUUGUGAUUCUUUUAUUAUAUGUUGAAAUAUGCUUGAAGAAUUUGUGUUUGUUUUUAAGUGAAAAUUUCACUAGAGGAUUUAAAUAUUUUGUUUGCAUUUCAGUUGAAGAAGAGCGAGCAGCAAAGGCUCCAAGACUGAUGCCAUUCAGUGGUAUCGGGAGGCGUUUGGAUGGUAAACCGUCGACACAAUCAGUUGAACAAGCUUCCACUCCAGUUCCAAAGAAGCAACAUACUGAAAAUAACUCAAACAAUUCUAAUAGAACUUCAGGGAAGCUUGUUUUUGGCUCAAAGGCAAAUGCACCCAAAGUUCAAACACAGCCAAAGGUAAGUUUCAUCUAUAGUAAUAUUUUCGGAGAAACAGAGAAUUUUAUUACAUUGAACUUGUGGUCUAUUGACAUGAUCUAAUGAUUUAUUUUUUCUCUUAACAGGCUUUUCUGAACAGCGCAAGUCAAGAAUCAUCUAAGAAGACAGAUACCCCACAAUUCCAAGCUUUCACGGGAAAGAAGUAUUCAUUAAGAUGAUCCAAUAAUAAAUAGAGUGCAUCAGGUUAAUUAUCAAAUCAUCUAGUUGGGAAGACUUCUUUAUCAUUACAAACAUUUGUUAUCUCAUCGGUACAGCUUUCAUGUAAAUUGUAUUAGACGGCAAACUAAUCGGGUUGCUUAUAAUUUAGCGAGGGCAUCAUGUUUGUAUGCUCACAAUCUAGUCCCCAUGUUGUAUUUCGGACAUCAUUAUAAAUGAAAUGAGUUAGUUGUUCUCUUGUAGAAAAAAGAUCAACAUGAAAUUUGGCGCAUAGAUUGGAUGAUUUUGUGCGCAAUUAACAUGUUUACUCUGCUCCCUAAAACAAAUGUUUACUUCUUUUUUUUUUUUUUUGAUAAAUUUUCUUGUCAUUUUUAUAGGACUUUUUUUUAAUAUUUUUAAGCAAAUUAAUUAUUUUAUAUCAAAAAAUUUCAUAUGGAAGUGAUUGGUUGUGGAGAUAUGAUGAGAAAGGGGAAAUACAUAAAAGAGAGUGUAAGACAAGGGAAAGAUAUGUAAAAAAAAUAAUAUGAAAUUUUGAGGCAUUGUUUGAUAUAAAAAAAAAAAAAAAAGUGAAAUAGAAAAUAGAGAAAUAUGGUUAAUUUUAAAUUAUAAAAAUACCAUGUAUUGAAAUGUAAGCAAUUUAGGGGCAUGAAUUGAAACUUAAUACUCCCUUUGUCCUCUAAUAUAUGUCAUUCUUGCUAAAAGAAUUUGUAUCAUUUUAUAUCUUGCCUUACAAUAUCAUUGAAUCGUUAUUAUUUUUUUUCUACUAUAGCCUUUAAAACCCUAACCAACCCAUAAACGCUACAUUUUUCUUAAUUGUUAUUAGAGUAUGAAUAAUCAACUAUAGUUAGUUGAUAGGUAAACUAGAGUUAGUAGCUUGGUUAGAAGUUAGUUAGAGUUAGUUAUUCAAACUAAUCUCUAUAUAUAGGAACACUAUUGUACUCAUUCACCAUCUUUUAUCAAAUCUAUUGAUUCUCCUAUGAGUCUCUAUGGUUAUCUCCCACAUGAAUAUUACUAUGCUCUCUCUCUAGCUGAUGUCUAUGAUCUUUAUCCUUGGGAUUCCUUGAUCCAUAACAAUUGUUCACCAUUUCAGAUACCUCUAAACCUUAAUGGUUAUUGCAUUAUUACUUUUUAUUUUUCGAAUGAUAGGUACUAAAGAAUCAAGAACUCACGUGCCCGUCUUCCCGAUCUUUUUAUUGAGCUAACGUUUGAAAAUUAUGAAUAGUGGUUUUUUUAUGAAAUUUUGAUUUUGAUCAAAACUAAAAAAAAAUAUAUAAAUGUUUGUUGAUUUCAAGUUAUAAAAAAUCAAACUAACCAUGAUUAUCUAUUUCAACGACACCAACAAUAAUACAAAAUAACAAAAAAAAUAUAAUCUAAAUUUUUUAUAUGGAAAAAGUUGUUUAAGGAUAUAAUUGGGAUACUGAAAAAGUAAGUAUAAAUAUAGAACUCAACAGAUAGGGGGAUAAUUUUUUUUUUUUUUUUUUUGUGGUGGUCGGGGUUCGAACUCAGUAUCUUGCAUAUAUUAUUCAUCGUCUAUAUCAACUGAGUUAAGCUCACGAAGACAAUGUGUAGUUUUCUUUAUGCUUAAUUUCACUUUUGGUCCUCACAUUUUGACCAGCUCACGAAAAUGGUCAUGUCUCUUUCAAAUCGAACAAAACUGUCCCUAAACUAUCAUGUUUUUUGCAGUUUUAGUCCUAACCCCCAUUUUUCCCUAAAAAAAACGGUCAUGUGACAGAUUUUCAGAUGAGUUGUCCAAAAAUAUGCUUAUGUGGCAAAAUAUACAUGGAAAAACAAUUAUUUUAUUAUUCAAAAUACAUUUAAAUCAAUUAAAUAAUAGAAAAUAAUUAAAAAUAUAAAUGUAAACGAAAAUGGCGCAAAUGGUAAAAAAAAAAAAUGAAGAAGAAAACAAGGACGUAGAAGAUGGAAUUGAACGAAAACGGAGGAAUGACUGAUUUGGGGUUGAAUUCUGAAUGGAUUAGAAACCAAUUUGGGAAUUAGGGUUUAUAGCUUUCUUUCAAUUAAAUUUCCUUUUUUCUUUCAAUUUGUUUUUUGUUUUAAUUUAUGAAAUGUUUAAAUUGUUUUUUGAAAUUAAAAAUUGUUGUUUUAAUGACAUGUUAAUGUCAUUUUUCAGAUUGGCAAUGCCACAUAGGUGUUCAUUUGUCAUCUCAGAAUUUUUUGAGGAGAAAAUAGGGGGUAAGACUAAGGGGGAUGUAUUGGAUUAGGAUUUUAUGGGAUUUUAAAAGACUUUUUAAUUAUGAAAAAGUCUUGUGGUAUUCAAUCAAUACUCUUUGUCAUUUUAAAAAAGUCUUGAGGUAUUCAAUCAAAACUUUUCAUCACUUAAAAAAAGUCUUGUGGUAUUCAAAAUCAUUCAAAUUUCGAAGGAUUGUUUAAUAAAUUAGAUUUUGAUGGAUUUUGUAGUGUAAUUUUAACAAGAAAAAGUCUUUCAUGAAAAGAUGAGAUUUCUUGAGAUUGUUUUUCUUUUAAAAGUUACUAUCUCUUUCUUCUCCUUUCUCUCUAUCUCCCUCCCCCUCCCUAUUCUCUCCUUUCUCUCUUCGUUUCUCUAUCUCUCCAUUCUCUCUCUCUCUCUCAUCUCUCAUCCCCCUCUCUCUAUCUCAUAAAAAAAUAAAAAAUUGUAUUGAGAAUAUUAUGAUAGAUAGUAUGUCGUAAUCAAUGUUCCGCAAAUCGAGUGUUACCUCUCCGAGAUUACCGAGUUUACGUUUUUAGGUACAAAAAUCGUGUUAACUCUGAGGUAAAUUGGUUUCUGGUAAAAUUGGAAGGUUUAACGAGUUUGACUGAGUUAACACUAGGUAAACUCGUGUAACUCGACCGAUUUGUAAUGGCUGACACAAUAUUUUUUUUUGAAAGAUUUGUAAGUGCUGACAUAAUUUUGAAUAUGUACAAUUGAAUUUUGUGGGAAUAACAUUUUUAACAAAUAAAAAAUGUGUAUUGAGAAUAAUGUGUUAGAGUGUUUUUUAGUCCCUUAAAAUCUUAUAAAAUCCAUAAAAUUCUUAAAAUUUGAAAAUCAAUAGUAAAAGAAUUUUUUAUUGGUUUUAUUUUUCUUUAUUUAAACGCUAGAAUUUAUUUGUUCAUUAUUUUUAUCAUUCACGCUUGUAAGUUUGUUCUUUUUCCCCUAAAAUUCAUUGAAUCCUUUGAAAUUUUAAAAUCACAUAAAAUUCUUUGAAAUCUUUAAAAGCCAGUGUGAUAAAUCCUUUAAAAUCUUAAGAGUAUAAAGUCUUUAAUAUAAAAAGUCUUUUAAAAUCUCACAGAAUCAAUACAAUCUCACAUAUUCUUUUAAAAUCUUAAAGAUUUUUUUUAUUAAAAUAGUCUUUUAAAAUCCUAAUCCAAUACACCCCUAAAAUUGCUGAAAAUUGUAAUUAAGCUUUUUCUUAUUUUGGUAGUGUAUAUAUAGCAUAGAUAAAUUUAAAUGAAAACUUAUUUUUUACGUAAUCUAUGAUAUUCUCAAAUUAUAUACAUGGUGAUUGUUAUGGGUCUAAGAUUUGAAUUUUGUUGGGAUUUUCUUUCUCGAUAAUAUUGCGGAUGCAUUUUUCUACUAUAUCUUAAAAAACAAUAUAUAUAUAUAUAUAUAUAUAUAUAUAACCAACUCAAGUGGUUGAUGAGUUUAUUUUAAUCCCAUUAAAAUGGGAACAACAUUGAACACUCACAAAAAAGGAUAUAUUAAUCUUAUUUGCCAAUUUUUUUUUAUGUAAAUUUUUAUAAGAUGAAUCCUAGUAUUUUUUUAAGGGAAAUUCUUGUACUUUUAACUGCAAAUUUAAAUUUCUGGAUCCUUAUCUUUUUCAAACUAAUCCUCAAUUUUUUACUUCUUUUUCAAACUAGUAUAACUAAAAAAAAAAAUCAAAUCUUUUGAGAGGACAUAAUUCAAAUAUUGUGAACUCAUUAAAAGAGAUAUUUUUAAGAAUAACAAACAAAGAGAUUUAAUUGGGUUGUUGGGCUAGGAUAUUUUUUUAUUAAAAUCUCAAAAAGAUUGUGUCAAUUUUUAACCCUAAUAGUAACUAUAAAAAAAAGUUUCUCUAUUCCAAGUUUCAUAGUAUCGCAUUCAAAGGUUAACAGUGUUUAUAAUCGGCUUUCAUCUAGUUUCAAGGGAUUGCUAAAUAUGGUAUGUUGAUUAUAUUAUUUUUUUAAACUUAAUAUUGAUAACUCCCGCUUGUUAAAUUGCUAUGCCGUUGUUCUGUUCAAGAUUAUUCUUUGUUUAAAAUUGUUCUUCGUUGCUUAUUAUGGUUAUGAUAAUUAAUGAUGAUGUGGUCUCAUUAACUUAUUAUUAUUUUUAUGUGUAGAAUUCGGUUGAGAAUCAGAAGAAUGGAGAUACGCAUGAGGAUCAGUUGUAUGAUGAUUCACCUGAGCAUCAACAGAAUGAAUAUGAGGAUGAUCAGAUGAGUGAGGAGGAUCAUUACGACGAUAUGUUAUGUGAAGUUUCAAAGGAGGAUCGGUUGAAUGUAGUUUCGAUCGAGGGUCAGUGCAAUGAGAAUUUGUAUGAGGAUCAUCACGGGUGGAAUGAUGAUUACAAUGAGUAUCUAUGGAACGGACUGCACAAUGAGAUCUUUGAACAUGUUUACAGUUGUUUCCCGGUCUCAUCUCUUAAAAGGGUAUGUCACAUGAUGUAUAUCUAACUUCUCUAACCCAAUUUAAUUCAUAUGCAUGUUCUAAAAUUGUUUUACACCGACAAUCAAUCACAACUUGCUAAGAAAACAAACAAAUUGCAUUAUUGUUACAUCUUUGGCAGCUCUUUAUAUGCACACAAAUUGGGUAAACAGCUCUUUUUCUAUUUACUAGUUACUUCCAAAUUUAUGAAUUACCGACACAUACACCAAACAUGACACUGAUAUUGACAAAUAGAUACUAAUAAUAAAUAAUUUAUUAAAAUGAAAGUGAUUCAAUGUAACAAUAUGUGUCCGUGUUGAUUGGUGUACACCACACACAUGUUCAAUCUAAAGUAUAUGCCUAUUUAAAACCUCAAAAUUCAAUACUGAUUCUUACUUCUGAUUUUUCUUUUGCAGCCAACUCUGGAAAACGGUGAUAAAAGUAAGUGCACUAACACCUUACAUAGUUACAUUGUAUUAUUUGGUAUCAAACAUUGUGAAAUUCUUUUUGACAGCUAAUACAAAUUCUUUUUCCUUUCAGUUAUCAUGCCCUCUUCAGCUCUAGAUCGCCUUGGUAAGUUUAUAUUUGUCAUUUAGGUUUCAAUAAUUUGAUUUUUUUUUUUUCCUCAAAUACUAAAUUAGUACUCUUAUUGUUAAAAUAUUUCAGCACGUUUGAACAUAGAAUAUCCAAUGUUAUUUGAACUGAGAAAUACUUCUGCUGAAAGAACUACUCACUGUGGAGUCUUGGAAUUCACUGCUGAUGAGGGGAUUGUAUUCUUACCAAAUUGGGUAUAUCUGAUUUCCUUUCUUUCUUUGUUCAUAUUUAUUUCUCUUUAGUUAAUCGAGUAACCAUUUUUAUUUAUAACAUCUUUUUUCUUUUUUCUGUUGUGGUAAUUGUCAGAUGAUGGAAGAUUUGCUCCUUCAGGAAGGAAACAUUGUGUCUCUGAAAAGCACAAGUCUUGUUAAAGGAAAGUGUGUGAAGUUGCAGCCUCACAGCAAAGACUUCUUGGAAAUCUCCGAUCCAAAAGCCAUGUAUGAAUAAUUAAAUGUCAUAUCUAUUGCCUAUUUGAAUUGACUUAUUUGAGCUUAUCUAUUUGUAUAAGCACUUGCGAAACUGUUUAAAAGAACUAAUAGAAUAAGCUUAAUUUGUGACAUGUCUAUAAGUUGUUUCCAACUUAUUUCCAUAAGCUCUCUGCAAGAUAGCUUAUAUAUUGCUUAUACAUAAACACUUACAAGAUAAAUGUUUAUGCUAUAAUUGCUUAAAUGAGAUUUUCAUCCAAGCAUAACACUAAUUAAUAUCUUUUUUCUUCCCCUUGAUCAUUUGCAGGUUAGAAACUUCAUUGAGGAGUUACUCAUGUUUAACAACCGGACGCACUAUAAUGAUUCCAUAUAACAACAAAAAAUAUUAUAUUGAUAUAGUUGAAACAAAACCUUCUCCCGCAAUCAGUAUAAUAGAAACAGAUUGUGAAGUUGAUUUUGCUCCCCCUCUUGAUUACAAAGAACCUGAAAAGCCUUUGCCAUCUGAUUUGUCUCAUAAGGAAUCUCCACAAGGUUAUGAUUCUUUUAUUAUAUGUUGGAAUAUGCUUGAAGAAUUUUGUGUUUGUUUUUAAGUGAUAAUUUCACCAGAAGAUUUUAAAUAUUUCGUUUGCAUUUCAGUUGAAGAAGAGCCAGCAGCAAAGGUUCCAAGACUGAUGCCAUUCAGUGGUAUCGGGAGGCGUUUGGAUGGUAAACCGUCGACACAAUUAGUUGAACAAGCUUCCACUCCAGUUCCAAAGAAGCAACAUACUGAUAAUAACUCAAACAAUUCCAAUAGAACUUCAGGGAAUCUUGUUUUUGGCUCAAAGGCAAAUGCACCCAAAGUUCAAACACAGCCAAAGGUAAGUUUCAUCUAUAGUAAUAUUUUCGGAGAAACAGAGAAUUUUAUUACAUUGAACUUGUGGUCUAUUGACAUGAUCUAAUGAUUUAUUUUUUCUCUUAACAGGCUUUUCUGAACAGCGCAAGUCAAGAAUCAUCUAAGAAGACAGAUACCCCACAAUUCCAAGCUUUCACGGGAAAGAAGUAUUCAUUAAGAUGAUCCAAUAAUAAAUAGAGUGCAUCAGGUUAAUUAUCAAAUCAUCUAGUUGGGAAGACUUCUUUAUCAUUACAAACAUUUGUUAUCUCAUCGGUACAGCUUUCAUGUAAAUUGUAUUAGACGGCAAACUAAUCGGGUUGCUUAUAAUUUAGCGAGGGCAUCAUGUUUGUAUGCUCACAAUCUAGUCCCCAUGUUGUAUUUCGGACAUCAUUAUAAAUGAAAUGAGUUAGUUGUUCUCUUGUAGAAAAAAGAUCAACAUGAAAUAUGGCGCAUAGAUUGGAUGAUUUUGUGCACAAUUAACAUGUUUGCUCUGCUCCCUAAAACAGAUGUUUACUUGUUCUUUUUUUUGAUAAAUUUUCUUGUCAUUUUUAUAGAACCUUUUAAAUAUUUUUAACUAAAUUAAUUAUUUUAUAUCAAAAAAUUUCAUAUGGGUGUGAUCGGUUGUGGAGAUAUGAUGAGAAAGGGAAAUACAUAAAAGAGAGUGUAAGACAAGGGAAAGAUAUGUAAAAAAAUUAAUAUGAAAUUUUGAGGCAUUGUUUGAUAUAAGAAAAAGAGAAGUGAAAUAGAAAAUAGAGAAAUAUGAUUAAUUUUAAAUUUUAUAAAUAAAAAUACCCUGUAUAAUGUAAGCAAUUAGGGGCAUGAAUUGAAACUUAAUACUCCCUUUGUCCUCUAAUAUAUGUCAUUCUUGCUAAAAUUGUCUCAUUUUAUAUCUUCAACUAGUUACAAACCUGUGUUUCGCACGGGUUGAAUAACGUAUCGUUUAAAAAAUUUGUUCCAAAGGAAAAAUGAGCAAAUUACUGAAUAUUGCACAAACAUUUUAAAUAUUUAUCAAAAUUUGUUAAUUACUAAAACUUAUUAGUAUUUGAACAUGAGUCGCUACUAAAACGAUAAACUUGUGAGCACUGCUUGCAGAAAUUUUGUGGGUGCCCUCCUUGAUUACUGAGUUUAAAAGUGAAUUUCCAAACUCCUAUCACUUAUUGCCACAACCUAAGUAUCAUAUCCCUAUUACAUAAUGCAGUGCUUCAUAUUUAGGACCAAACAUAUGGAGCUCUAAAUCUUUGAUGAAGAGAAAGUAGUCAAUUAGGAAUCUCAUAGUACAUCAUGUCCCUGCUGCUGAUCAAAAUGUAGGCAUUCUCACUAAGCCCGUCUCCCAACUACAUUUUACUAAUCUGAGACUAACCCAUGGUGUUUGAUAAGUUUACACUUGAUCGACCACCUUGAGUUUGAGUUGAAAAAUGGAAAAUGGACAACCAAACAUUAGAAGCAUCCAAGAGCAAUGAUCAUCCCUUCAAAAAAAAAAACAAUGAAUCAUUGUGGUAUAAGGAAAUGGACGAAGAACCCUAAGUGCAAGUCAUGUAGCCCUUAAAAGUGUUGAAAAUGAAUGAAAAGAAUCAUAAAUAUGUUUGAAAUUAAAAGAGCAAAAUGACCUUAGAAUUUUCUAUGAUGGAGGAAAGAAGCGGUUGAGAUUGAAAGGUAGGGAGUAGAACUCUUCAUUCAUGUUAUAUGCUCUAAAGGUUUUAAACUUAGCUCAUCAUGGCAUUCCUCUAUCUUUGGCAUUGUCCUAAGAAAAGGGAAACACCAGUGACAAAGAGGUUCCUCAUUGAAUUCUUGUUGGUGUGAGUUGCAAAUAUUAUAGCCCUACAGAAGCUGAAAAAACAAAAACAACAAUUGUCGUAAUAAGAAAAGAAAGUGAGUGAGGAUAUCCACUACAGUUUACUAAUCUGAGACAGACUCAUUAGCUGCUUCUAUAUUAGACUCUUUUGAAUUCUGUUAUAGACUUGUAGCCAGUCAGUUCUUAAGGCAGCAUAUCAUGGUGUAUACCACUUCACAAAAAUCAUAGCGAAUAAUCCAAGUUAUGAUUUAAAAUUCGUAUGCAAAAGUGAAAGACAGCAACAGGCAGAAAAACCAUUUCCCAUGACCUAGCAUAAAAAGUAAUGGACCAACAGUUAAGCUUUCAAGUCAGUAACUCUCAACACCAUAAACAUUACCUCAGCUUUUCUCUGCAACUUAGCUUCACCUUCAGCCUUAAUACCAUCCAGCUCCAGCAAUUUCCUCAUAAGCAAACCAAUUCUUUGUUAGAAACCUUGGUCCCUCCAUUGACAGCCACAUCCAAGGCCAACACCUGCAGAAUAAAAAUCAGUAAUAUCUUCAUUAUCUAGUUCAAGUUAUUAUGUUUCUAUAAUAAUAAUAAUAAUAAUAAUAAUAAUAAUAAUAAUAAUAAUAAUAAUAAUAAUAAUAAUAAUAAUAAUAAUAUCGGAAAGAUGGCUCAUCCUGUCACAAAUCUUGAAGUAUCUUAAGGGAUAAUCUUUAUUAUAUUGAUCAAAUUAGUUAGAGAAGAGCAAGGAUAGUAUAAGUAGUCACAUAAAACAGCUUUGGGGCCAUUUGGUAAGGACGUAAUUUGGUAAGGACUAUGGUUUCAAAUUGCACUUGUAACAAAGGUUCUACCAAGUUCCCAAAUUACAACCACCCUUGUAAAUGUAUUGGUGCUCAGGACUGCUCCUAGUCAAAUACCAUUCACAAGGAGGUCUAGUUUGGGUGUAGUAUCGUGUAUCGACUAAAUUCAAGACUGCUCUUGGUUUAGCCACCGCACUACGUCCUAAAAAGGCCAAGAUGGGUUAGGUAACUCUAAAGGUUUCUCAACUUCGACGGUCAUUCAAGAAUAAUAGCGCCAAUCACGACAGCUCAUGAUGACAUCGUAUUACUUUGAGAGACCUCCGUUGAGUGGGGUUAUACCACAUGCACACAUAACACAGGACCGCUCCUGGUAUGGCACUAUGAUUGUACCCCGUCCUAUCUUAUAUUUCACUCAAGCCCGGGUGUAGGGCUUAUUAUCUCACCACUCACGUUUAAGAAAGGAGAAAGAAGAAGGAAGAACAUAUAUAUACACGUAUUUCCAUCUUUUAUUUCAUUUUAUUUUCAAACAAAUUAUAGCACAAAAAUUUAAAUAAAGUCAAGUUAGGCUCAACCCUCUUAGGGGGUCCCCAGUGAAGUUGCCAUUUCUGUCGCGUCAUUUUUUCGAAGAUCAAGGCUAUUUGAUUAGUUUUUGACUCACUUUUUAUUUCACGACUGAACAUUUAAUUUUUUUAGAAAAUGGGGAAAAAAGUUCAAACUACCCCAUUUUGACAAGAUUUAGGGUUCGGGGGUUGGUUACAUAAAAGAAAGGUAUUGGCACCUUUUAUGUCCGUAGUAGUCUACGGGAACCUCUUGGUUUCAUUUACUUUUUGUGCUAUAAACUUGCUUGCUUUUGAAAAAGAAGUUAAUGUGAUGAUUAAAAGAAAAAGAAAGUGAGACCUAAUUUAUCUACAUUUUUUAUGAUUUGGAAGGACAAGGUCCUUUGCCUACGUACCCGUGAGGUUUUUUUAUAUUAAAAGAAAAAAAAGACUCAAAGUAGAAUUAAAUUGAUAUGUUUGAUUUAAGAAAAUAAAAUAAAAAAAGACGGUCACUUGAUUUAGGAUCAAGGUUUAUUAUCUAAAAAAAAAUAUUUUUGUGAAUUUUGUACUAUUUGCAUGUUUUUGUUGUUUUUUGAAUAAUAGCUAUACUAUAAUUAACACUAACGGAGCGAGAAAAGAUAAAAGCGUAGGUAUUUUGUGGUGACGUUGGAUCACCACAAAACCCUUUAACCUAAACUAGAGAGAAAAUAAAAAGGCAUACCCACAUGCACGCGUCCAUACCUAAAACUAUUACAUUAAACCUAUUAUACAUUCUAUAGUCCGUGGAAAUAAAAUGACAAGAAAAUAAAUAACUUACAUCAAACCUAGAUUACAUUCUAAAUUCCGUGCAAUAAACUACAAACUAAAAUUAAAAUGUGAAAUACUAAAGCUAAACUAAAAAUGCAUGAAUUAUUUACAUUCAAUCCUAAUAUACAAUCUAAAAAGUAAUAAGAUAAAUGACGAAAAAUAUAAACAUAUGAAUAACAAUAAAAUAAAGUGCUAAAUAAAAAAUGCAUGAAAAAAACUAAUAAAAAAAAACAUAUAAAAUAAAGGGGCAGGGAUGUGCGAAGAGCAUGUGUGUACAGGAAGUAGUGGAAAGAAGCAGCAGAAAAAGGCAGCUGGGCCUUGCUGGAUUUUGAAAUGGGCUUAAGGGACAUGCCGGGGCCGGUUCGUUCAACCCUGGACCGUUUCCAGGUAACCGAACCGGUUCAGAGGGUAUAUUAAGGGCGUAAAUCCUAUUUUCUUUCAUUUUUUUCCUAGUCUUUCUCUCUCUAUCCUAUCUUCCCUCAAAAUUUGCUCUCCCCUCUCUCCUAUUACUUCAUCUUCUCCGAUGGGAGAACAGGGUGGCCGGAAUAGUUCUGGCACAGCGGUUAGCCGUCAUCGACAAUCAUGUAAUGGAAAUAUUUGUAGAGCAUGUGACUUUUGAAGGAGAAAACACAAUGUGAUUAUUUUUUUUUUGAAGGAGAAAACACAAUGUGACUUUUGGCGCGGCGGCAGUGGCGGAGCUAGAGAUUUAAAGUAGCGGGGGUAAUAUUUACAUAUAAAUUUCUAAAAUAAAAAUGGAAUAAAAUAAGUGUUACAAAAAUAUAUUGACAAGAACAUUUUCUUUUAGAAAGAAAGAAGUAUUAUAAUUAUUAUUAUUAUUUCAAAUAAUAAAUAAAUCAUAUAAUAUUGGGGACUGCUAAUUUACACCCACUUAAAUACACUAACAUGUAAAUUACACACACUUAUAUUUUACUAAAACACCUUUUUGUUUCUAUUCUAAUUAAAUUUAAAUAGAAGGGCAAUUUCUUAACUAUCUUAAGUAAGAUCCUUAAAAAAAGAAACAAAAAAACAUGACAUGCUUAAGGUAUAAAACAUGUAAUAGAGAAAAACACUUGAUUAUAUACACUCAUUUUUAUAAAUUUUAUCAAAUUGUUUACAACCACCUUACUAAUUUACACUAUCACUUUCAUCUCAUUCUAAAUACUGUUUCCUUAAGUUGCAUAGUCGCAUAGUCGAGUCAAUGAUGAAUGAUGUUAUGAUGCUAUGAUGAUAUGAGAUGUUUAUGUUGAAGAUUUAUGAUAUUGGUUAUGAUGUUAUUAUGUUGCUUAUGAUAUUGAUUAUGAUGUUAUUAUGUUGAUUAUGAUGUUGUUUAUGAUGUUGUUUAUGAUGUUGUUACAUGAUGUUGAUUAUGAUGUUGUUUGUGAUGUUGAUUAUAAUGUUAUUAUGUAUUGUUUAUAUUAUUAUAAGAUGAUGAAUAUGUUGUUAUAUUAUUAUAAAAUGAUGAAUAUGUUGUUAUAAGAUGAUGUUUAUAUUGUGAUGUAUAUAAUUAUUAUUAUUAAGUGAUGAUUAUGUUGUAUUGUAUAUGAUUAUUAUUAUGUUGUAUUAUAUAUGAUUAUUAUUAUUAAGUGAUGAUUAUAUUGUGUUGUUUAAGUUAUUAGUGAUGAUGAUUACAUGAUGUUAUCUAUGAGUUGUUAAAUGUACUUGAUGAUGGUUAUGUAAGUUGAUAAGUUCUCUUUUAUUCAUGAAUUGAUAAUGAGAUGUUUGAUGAAUAAUCAUUAUUAUGAAUUAAUGAUGUUGUUAGGUUGUAUAUGAAUUAGAAUUAAGAUGUUGUUAUGUUGUAUAUGAACUAUGAUUAUGAUGUGAUGAUCUAUGUUGGUUAUGAUUUGGUUAUUAUGUGUUAUAUGAUGAUGUUUAUAAUAUGAUGAAUAUGAAGUAAAUGAUAAUUAGAAGUUGGUUGAACUAUUAAAAAUUAUUACAUGAAGAAUUAUUAUUACUAAUGGAUGAAGUCAUUUAUGUUGUUAAAUAUAAUUAUUGAAUUAUAUGCUUGAUAUUAUUGUUUUGUGAAAUCUCACCCAUUCUGCUUAGAAAUGUUGCUCUUCGUAUGAGUAACUUGCAGGUAAUCAAGUUUAGCUGUGAAGUGAGUCGAUUCUCUCACGUGUGUCUUUAGGUGCUCUAAUACGUAACGGGAUGAGAACUUUGUUAUUGCUUUUCUAUUCCUUACGUAUUGUUUUUGAAGAUUUAUGAAGAGACCUUCGUGCCAAAGACUGUUUUAGUUAUUGAAUAAAUUCCGCUGCGAAGUAUUAAAGAUUUUGUAUUUGAAUUUUAAAGGAUAAAUAGUUAUUUAUUCAAUUUAUGAUUUUAAGAAAAGAAUGUGACAUUCCGUUUAUGUGAAUACUCUGAUUAAUUAAAUGAAAUUUUUACGUUGGGAAAACAGGGUGUUACAAUGGGAGCGGGUACAAGCAUUCUAUUGCCCAACCUCCCCGUGCCCCUACAUUAUCUAUAUUGUAAUUAUAAUUUUAUCUCAUACUAAAAUUAGUUAUUUAAUCAUUAGUCUUUGAUAUUUAUUGUUACAUGUACUUGUUUUUUUUUUUUUUUUAAUAUUUUAGAUCCUUUUUAUUUGACUAAAUACUAUGAUAUGCAAUAUUUUAUAAGUUGAUUUAAGAGAUUUUAGAUCAUAUUUUAAUUAAGUUGUGAUAUUUUUGUUAUUUAUUAUCUUUUUGUUGUUAAAGUGUGGGUAAUGGACGCAUGUACGAGCGGUUAGAUGCCCAUAGGGGACGGGCACAAACCUUGAUGUCCGCGAGGGUAAUUUCAGGUACGAUGAUUUUUGUGAACGCGUGUAUGAGGAUGGGCACGAUAGUACCGUGCACAUAGAGUACCCAUUGUCAUUCCUAAAUCAUAACUUCAGUUUCACAUUCUCUUCGCGUCCUUCUCGCGUUAAAAUAUGCUUUUCGUCUUCUUUUUCUCGUCAAUUUGAUUUGUUAAAUCCCAAAAGAUUAUAAAUUUGUUAAUGAUUUUUAAUUGGGUCAUGUAGAAUUUGUUGCGCAGUGAUGCAAGAUUGGGAACAUGUUUUGUAAUUCUGAGAAUGAAUGUGGACCGGUAUAGAUCGACCGAAAAAAACUAAUGUUUAUGCCUUAACAGGCUUGACGCUUGGUGGACUGUGGAAUAAUAUAAGUCGAUUGACUACCAAGAUCUCACUCAACAAUGGUUUGACUUUUCAAAUUGUGCAAACUCAACUCGUCUUUACUCAAUAUUGCUUUGACUGUUAAAGUUAUGUCAGCUCAUCUCGCCCUUACUCAACAUUAAUUUGACCGAUCAAGUCAUGCUAGCUUAGCCCGUCCUUACUCAACGCUGGUUUGACUGUUCAAGUCAUGCCAACUCAGCCCAUCCUUUCUCAACACUAGUUUGACUGUUCAAGUCAUACCAACUCCAGCUCGUCCAUACUCACCACUGGUUUGACUGUUCAAGUGACAUAAACCAUUUAAAGAUUCACCCGAAAUUAAGCUAUAUAAAUAUACUUGUUAUGGUCCCAGCUCAAGUUACGCAUGCUCUAAUUCCACAUGUCUUGUAAGAAUGAUCAACGUCUUUGAAAUCGCGUCUCGACUUUACGUGCCUUGUACGUACGAGUUACAACCUAGUUCAUGUGCGACUUUACUCGAACAAGAAACAAUGGGAGGCUCUGGAUCACAACUUAAUGGGCUUGGGUGACCAAAGAAAGGCCCAUUAAAUCAACAAAUUGUGUGUUAUAAAAGUGGACAUUUAGGAGGCAUCACUGGGAUUUUAGAUUUAUAGUUUUGAAUAGUGUAUUUUCAUUUAAUUCUUAGAGUGUUCAUGGAGCUCCACCUAGUCAGCUCCUUUGAACAACUCACCUGUUGUAAUCUGUGUUCACAUACGUGAACAUUAACGCCCACUGUAGGAAAUACAAUAAAACUUUCCAAUGACCUAGCUCCAUUUUCAACAAACCUACCUCCACGGUAGGACGCAGAGCAAACCAAACCUCAUCUAGAUCAGAGCUCGAGGACGACGCUAACACACAUCUUACUCAGCUGCUAUAAGCAGUGCGUCAGCUUCAAGAGCAAAACGUUGAACAACAAAAACAAAACGAGGAAUAUCAACGUCAACAAGUUGAAGCCUGAGCUUCUGAGUCUUAGCUGAGACAACAACUAGAAGAUCGAGAACAUGAACUCAAACAUCAAAUGGAGGCCAGGGAGAGGGAGUUAAAGGAGCAGCUCAAGCUCCCAAGAAACAAUGUCAUUGGAGCAUAAAAGGCUAGGUUAUUGGAUAAGGUUUUCCAACAAUUCUCAGCAUAAAUACAAGCGGUGGUGAUCCCUCGUCAUUUUCGAAAACCCGCCAUUAACUCAUGAUGGGACGAGUGACCCACAUAGUCACGUCUAAACUUUCCAAACGUAGAUGUUCAUAAGUGGAGCUGAUGAUGCUUUGAGCUGCAAAAUUUUUGUUGUGACAUUAAAUGAUGUAGCUCAUAUGUGGGGCUACCUAUUAGGUCAGUCACAAGCUUUGAGGACUUAGCGAUUCGAAGUGUAAUUUUGUUUGGCUUUGUCUUUUAUUUUCCUUAUAUUAAAUAAAAAAAAAACUACAACUCUAAUGAAUUGCGACUGAUUUUGGUCCUAAAUUAAAAACAGGGAUACCAAUUGUGCAGAAGAAUAUCUAUGGGCACGUACCUUGUUUACCAAGGCAAUAUAGGACCAAGCCAACGUGCUUCUUUGUUGACCCCAAACUUUUACAUAAUAAAAGCCAAAACGACGUCGUUUAUGUCUAAACCAAACACAUCAUUAAACCACUUGUUCUUAUCUCCUUAAUAUCCUCUGUACCCGACAACUACAAAUAUCACCAUUUUAUCGUAUCUCGUUUUUGUUAUUUUCAGAUCUAAUAUCUCUUUUCCCUGAUUUUUUCUGUUUCAACAAAAAAAAAAAAAAAUUAUACUUCAGCUUCGACCUAGUUACUAUUGUUUCUUCAUUCAUAACCUUAAUUUCUUCAAAGCAUGAUUUUUUCAAGAAUUGGGCGUUCUCUAUCGCGUUCUUCUCGCGUUAAAGUAAGCUUUUUUUUCUUCAAUUUGAUUCGUUAAUUCACGAAAGAUUAUAACUUUAUUAAUGAUUUUUAAUUGGGUCAUGUAGAAUUUGUUGCACGGUGAAACAAGAUUGGGAACGCUUUAUGGAGUUUCGAGAACGAAUGUUUUUGUCGAUGACGUUGAAAAGGGAUUAGGGUUUGUAAGGGGUUAUGUAUCUUCUGCCAUAGCUCGCAAUAAUGGGUUUGGUUCAAAUUUGUAUGAUUUUAAAUCAAUUGCUGCAAACCGUAUGCUUCAUCGCAUGUUUUCGAGCGAAUCCCCAAAGAAAAAGAGUAAGUUAGGGUUUCAUUGUUGUUGUUAUGUCUUAAUUUUGAUGAAAUUGGGAAAAUGGGUUUUUGUUGUUUUAGCUAUUAAGCUCAUUUUUCUUGUUUUUGGCAGAUUAUGAAAAGUUUUAUCCCAAGGAAAAAAAGGAAGUGCCAAAGGGAGAGGAGAAAAAAUCUGAGUCUAAAGGUAAUGAAAUGAAAUGUGUCAUUGUAUCUUGUGUGUUAUUGUUAGUUGUGUUCAUAGCUGAUGUGAUGAGAAGUGUGUUACUCAUGGAGAUUUUCUAUGAUUUUAUAUGUGAAUUACUCUCAAUUAGUGUUGGGUUAAAACUUAAAUUAUACAACUUCACUGUAGACUAGAUGGGUCAUUUAGGAUUCUGAAGAACAUCUUCCAAUCCCUACAACACGUUCUCUCUCAAUCAUAUGAUUUUGGUCUGUACUGAUUUAAUUUUGAGGUAUUUAUAUGUGUGGGGGAAUUAAUCAUGCAUCUGCAUUCCAGUCAGUCUUGUGAUUAAUGGGGUACCAGCAGCAAUUUUUAACAUUUGAAUUAUCGUUUGAUUUCAGAUGAGUCAAAGUCAAACACAGAGGAUGGAGGUAGUUUUCACGAAGCUUUUAUAAAACAGUUUCAAAACUAUCUCACCCCACUGUUGGUGGUGGGACUAUUUCUUUCAUCCCUUUCUCUUGGUCCUCGCGAUCAGCAGCAGGUAACCAUAACUUCAAAUAUAUUGCAAGGUCCGGUUGUUAUUUUAAUUUUCUUAUGUGGGGGGAGUACGUUUGAGUUGAGAACAUGAGAUCUAUAAAUAUCCGCGUUCGACAUUGUUUGAGUUAAGAGUCCCACAUUGGAUUAGAUAAGGCCUUAAACAUAAGUUUACUAGUCAGAGCAAUUGUCACCUCACUAGACAGUUUUGUAAGGUUGAGUUAAGCCCAACCCAAAUUCUAAGAUAGUAUCAGAGUCUAUCCAAGAUCUGCGAGCACCCUGCACUCAGGUCACUGUUUUGGACCACUCGGGUCACGCUCCAGAUGUUUAGUCGUAGGCGCCGUAAAGGUGUGAGUGUGUGUUAAGGGCCCCACAUUGAAUGAGAUGAAGCUUGAACAUAAGUUUAUAAGUGAGGGAAGUUAUCACUUUACUGACCAGUUUUGUAAGGAUGAGUUAAACCCAACCCAUAUUCCAAGGCUAGAUGUUACUGCUUGACUGCAAUUUUACGAUUGAAAAUUGAAUAUCGAUGAGAUGAGCUUUUUGCUUCUGUGAUUGACAGCUUUUAUUGAAGAUCCAUUACACAAGAAUACUAUUAGAAUUUAGAAUAUAUUUGAGAUUUUUAUUUUCCAUGUUUUUGCUUGCUUGGUAUUGACAUUUCACCUAUAAAGCUCGAAUAUGUAAUACAGGUGUGAUACGGUCUAGAUACAAACAAAAUUGUUGUUAUAAAAAAAAAUUAUUUUCAUGUAGAAACUAGAAUACUAUAAUGAUCAAAAUUUACAAUAAAAAUUGUGAUGUUAACAAAUAGUGUAGAGUUUUUGUCUAAAUCAUGAUAUAUUUUAAUCCUUAUGUUAAGAUAUCAACAAAAGCAUCAUUAAGGGUGUGUUUGGUUUGCAAAACAGCAAGUACUGGACAGAACAGUACAAGAUAGAACAGUACAACACAAGGCAGAACAGCACAGGACAAAUUUUUUUUGGCAUUGAGUAAUUUUUUGUUUUAUACGAUUUUUGAGGGACAAAAAUGCUAUUUUGGUAUUUUAGACAACUUGUACGUGGGACAAAAAGUUGUGCUGUGGUUUGGUGAGGGACAAAAAUAUGAGUUUUUGUCCUGUCCCUUGCCUCCAGUUUGUCCUGUACCUGAAACUGUUUUACAAAUCAAACACUGGACAACUAGAGUUGUUCUGUACUGUCCUUCAUUUUUUAGCAAAUCAAACGCACCCUAAAAGAACUCAGAAGUCCUGUCUCUGCAAUAGCCAGCCAAUAAUUCACAACCAUUUUGAAUAAAUUAGCUUAUUCAUUCAGUUUAUUCUCCUCACAUUACCAUCACCCAUAAAAAAACAUGAUUUUCAAGUCUGAUUCAUUAAGAGACAACUAUACCAAUUCAAGAAGUCCAACACUAUCUUGCACUGUUUUAUGUACUUCUCCACUGAUGUCCUACAACUGUCUCACAUUUUUAUACCCUUCAUCUUUCCUAAGAUAUGUAUCUGCAUAUUUGGGAUUUUUAUUUUAUUUAAAUAUAACAAUUUUGAUACGUCUAGGUUAGUAUCCACGUGUAACCUCGAAGUAUUGGUAUCCGAUAUGUGAGCCUUUGAAUUGAACCACACGUCUCUUAGCAAUGAGAUGACUCUACAUCUUUGUCUGGCUUUAUAGUUUAUUUAAUUAUUAUCAUAUUGCUAAUGUGGAUCAUAAUUUGAUUCUCUGCAGAUUAGUUUCCAGGAGUUUAAAAAUAAGCUUUUGGAACCAGGAUUAGUAGACCAUAUUGUUGUCUCCAACAAAUCAGUUGCCAAAAUAUAUGUGAGGAACUCUCCCCUUAAUCAAGCAGACAGCGAAGUCCAAGGAACCCUUCCUGCAAAGGGAUCUGGUGGCCAAUAUAAAUAUAUAAUCAAUAUUGGAAGUGUCGAGUCUUUUGAGGAGAAGUUAGAGGAAGCGCAAGAAGCACUAGGCGUUGACUCUCACAAUUUUGUACCUGUUACAUAUUCUUCUGAAAUGGUUUGGUACCAGGAGUUAAUGAGAUUUGCGCCAACCCUGUUGCUUUUGGGAACUCUCUGGUUUAUGGGAAGGAAAAUGCAAGGUGGAUUUGGUGUUGGUGGUGGCUCCACUGGUAAGGGUAGUCGUGGAAUAUUUAACAUUGGAAAAGCACAUGUUACUAAAGUAGACAAAAAUACCAAAAACAAGGUUGGUGACUUAUUCUUCAUUAAUUGGCUAAUAUUUUUUUAUCAACAUUUUCCCUAGUUGACCAUUGCCUUUCCCAUGCCCACUUUUACUUUAGGGAGUUGUGGCGCUGAAUAGCUUCGGUGUUAAGUUCGUUUAAGAGAAUAUGUUUCUUAUUUGAAUUCAUUUGUUCAGGUUUAUUUUAAAGAUGUUGCUGGGUGUGAGGAGGCAAAGCAAGAAAUUAUGGAGUUUGUGCACUUUCUCAAGAAUCCUAAGAAAUACGAAGAGCUUGGUGCCAAAAUUCCAAAAGGUGCUCUUCUGGUGGGUCCCCCAGGCACAGGAAAAACUCUUUUAGCAAAAGCAACUGCAGGCGAGUCUGGUGUGCCAUUUCUUUCCAUAUCUGGUUCUGAUUUCAUGGAAAUGUUUGUCGGUGUUGGACCAUCCAGGGUGAGAAACUUGUUUCAGGAAGCAAGGCAGUGUGCUCCCAGUAUAGUAUUUAUUGAUGAGAUUGAUGCAAUUGGUCGGAAAAGGGGUCGUGGAGGUUUCUCUGGUUCAAAUGAUGAGCGUGAAAGUACUUUAAAUCAAUUGUUGGUGGAAAUGGAUGGUUUUGGAACCACUGCUGGAGUUGUUGUGCUUGCAGGUACAAAUAGAGCUGAUAUAUUAGACAACGCCUUACUUAGGCCUGGGCGUUUUGACCGCACGAUAUCAAUUGAUGUACCCGACAUUAAAGGUCGUGACCAGAUAUUUCAGAUUUAUUUGAAAAAAAUCAAACUUGACCACGAGCCUUCAUAUUAUUCUCAGAGGCUUGCAGCCCUUACUCCAGGAUUUGCUGGAGCAGACAUUGCUAAUGUUUGCAAUGAAGCUGCUCUGAUUGCUGCAAGGACUGAUGAAUCGCAAGUCACAAUGGAUCAUUUCGAGGCAGCUAUCGAUAGGAUCAUUGGUGGUUUGGAGAAGAAGAACAGGGUAGGCCUUUAAAAGCCUGUUUGUUUUUUAUAUUUAAAAAAAAAAUACCUUUUUAAAAUAUAAAAUGUUUUCUGGGUUUGGCUUGUUAAGCUGUUUAAAACAGUCGGAUAUUGAAAAAUAUAAACAAAUUACUUAUUCUUUGAGAAGCUAUUUUGACUGAAAAGUAUAGUGAUAUUAUCAACUUUUUAAUAAAAAGUGCUCUUUAUAUUUGUUAUUUAAAGAAAUAUUGCUUCUGUUUUACGUAAAAUCUCCACAGAAUUAUUUUUUGUAAUUUACACAUUCUAAUAAUCUUUUCAUACUUUUCUGUAUCUCAAUGCAGAAAUAGUUUAUCUUACGUUUUUUGUAAUUUAAGGCAUCGUGAUGAUGAAAAUUAUAUGCUACAAUUAUCUGAAGAUUAUUUGGAUUGGUCACUUUCCUUAUUUCAACUACUGAUAAUAUAGUCUCUAAAAAUACUCAUGUUUCUUGUCUAGGUAAUAAGUAAGCGGGAAAGGCGUACUGUUGCUUACCAUGAAGCAGGCCAUGCUGUUGCAGGUUGGUUCUUGGAACAUUGUGAGCCAUUGUUGAAAGUAACCAUUGUUCCUCGCGGCACAGCAGCACUUGGGUUUGCCCAAUAUGUUCCAAGUGAGAACCUUCUCAGGACAAAGGAGCAGCUUUUGGAUAUGACUUGUAUGACCCUUGGUGGUCGGGCUGCCGAGCAGGUUGUUUCAUCAUUUCCAAUUUUGUUUACUCGCCUCUUUUCUUUUGGUCAUUGCUUUAAAUGAUCUUUCUAUUGAAAUAAUUCAUUACAUCUUGGUCCAUUACUUAUUUUGUUUCACAUUUGCAAAUCUCAUUAUUGCAUAGUGUUAUAUCUUUGAUAUACAGUUCCACAAAAAAACACUGAUAUACACUCAUACCUGCUCCUUGAUGCUUCCCAAUAUUGUAAGUCAUGAGAUGAGAAUGAUGGUUUCUGUCCCUUUUUACGGCAGGUUCUCAUUGGAGCAAUCUCCACUGGAGCACAAAAUGACUUGGAGAAAGUAACCAAGAUGACAUAUGCCCAAGUAGCCAUCUAUGGUUUCAGUGAAAAAGUGGGUCUCCUCUCUUUCCCUCAAAAUGAGGAUCAGUUUGGGAAACCAUACAGUGGCGAUACUGGUAACAUCAUUGAUCAGGAAGUGCGAGAUUGGGUGAACCAUGCAUAUGAACGUACCGUACAGCUUAUAGAAGAACACAAGGAGAAACUAGCUCAAAUUGCAGAGUUACUUCUCGAAAAAGAAGUACUUCACCAAGAGGACUUGGUUCGAAUCUUGGGUGAGCGACCCUUCAAGAGUGCAGAACCCACAAAUUACGAUAGAUUUAAGCUAGGGUUUCAAGAUGAGGAGAAAGCUGCAGAAACCACCGUCGAUGAAGCCGAAGAGGGUAGUGGGUCUUCACCUCUAGAACCUGAGGUUGUUCCCACAUAGUUAAGUUUAUGUUUGUUACUCUUGUACAUGAAAUUGAUAAUCUUGUUUAGUCAUUUUGCUGAUAUGGAUAACUUGUACGGUUACUGCAAAAUAAAAAUAAUUUGUUUCUUAUUUUUCUUUUUUACAUGUAUUUUAUCCAAGCUAAUAAAAGUCUAUUUAUGUUGCAUCACUUGCAUGGAAACUUUUGGGUAGCACUUGGGUGACAUACAGUUGGGUGACAUUGGCCAAUCACAAUGACACAAUGCUUGUGAAAGAGAGAGAAACAUAAACAUUGUGAUUGGUCAAUGUCACCCAACUCUAUGUCACCCAAGUGCUAUCCGAAAUUUUCAUACUGCCAAAGAUGAUAAUUCAUGCAUUUGUUUGUCAAUUCAGUCAUCAACUGUUGUCUAAAUGGCCUUUCAAGUUUCUCCAUUUGAUGUUUGCCUCUCCAUCUGUGGGGAAUUUUCCGCAAUGGGCGAAAGCCUGACGGAGCAAUGCCGCGUGGAGGUAAAAGGCCUACGGGUCAUGAACUUCUUUUCUUGGAGAAGAAACAAUGACGGUAUCCAGGGAAUAAGCAUCGGCUAACUCUGUGCCUAUCAGCUUAUAGAUAUAUUAACACAAACUUGGUGUCAUUAUUAUGGAUGACUUGCUCUCGAUUGGAUUUACAAAGUGCUAAUAGAGUCUAUGUCAAAAGAAUUUCUCUUAUAUCCAUGUUUUAUUUGUACAGCAAGCUUAUGAUGACCCAUUUUUCCUCAGCAAGUAUAUUUUUUUAAUCUAAUGACAGGGUGAAAAGGAAUCUCCAACAACACCAUAAAUUGUAGUAUUAUAACUUCUGGCUACAUGUUAGUAGACUUUUUUAAAUGAUUUUUUUUAAUAUCUAAAAUUUGGGCAGCAUUAUUUACUUGUCGAGGCAGUCUUUUUUACUCCCAAAAAUUACUCACCAAAAAUUUAUAAAUAACGCAAUAAUGCAAUUAUUGUGAACAAUAGCAUUUUUUCAUUUGUUCGAAUUUGAACUCAUGACCUUUAUCUCUCCAACUUUUUUAGUCCAUUAGGUCAAACUGGGUUGAACUAUACAACCCUUCUUGUAAUUUUACUUUACUGCGUGGUUACUAAUUAUUGUAUGAUAUGAUUCAUUUUUCUUGUGAUUCGUAUCAAUAUUCAUGUUCUUUAGAUUAUUUCAUUAUACUAUUUGAAUCGUAUUAUGGUUUUUAUGAUUCAAUCCAAGCUCGCUGUUUUGUGGCAAUAUCCCGUGAACAUCAAUAUAAAUAUAUUUUUUUGGUACAAACAUCAAUAUUAAUAUUAAUAUUAUUAUAAUAUUUUGAUUUUUUUUUUUACUAAAAACAAUAUUCAUUAUUUCAAACUCAUAGAAAAUACAUUGAUCAAGAACAAUACAAUUUUUUUUUUUUUAAGAUACAAUACAAAUCUUAAAAUUGUUAAAACUAAAGAAUGAAAUUGUUCAUUACAAUAUCUAGGUUUAUAGCAAAAAAAAACGGCAUAAUGUCUACAAAUGUGACAAUAAUGACGUCCAGAAUACUCAUAUGUCUCCAGAUCUAUAACAUUGAAGACGUCAAAGUCAUUACUUAAAUUUAUAAUGGGCAUUAGACAAAGAAAAUAUGUCAAUAUGAAUCGAACGAACACCACAAUAAGAUGAACAAUUUAAACUCCCCACCAACAUGACUAAAAACACAACAUCAUUGCACUUAGACGAUGAAAUCAGAGCCGAAACACAUGAUAAAUCAAAUCUUUGAAAAUUUGCUUAAUUAAAUAAAAAGAGAAGAAAAAUUGAUUUAAAUGGAUGAUUUGAGAUCAAAAAAUGAUCCUAAAUCACCCAUCUUUAUAGAUUAAGAAUGAAGGAGAAAAUAGACGGUUAGAUGUUUUGUUUAGAAUAAAAGAAGACAUAUAUUUUUAUCCCAAACCAAAAAUCCAGCCGGCUCUUUUCUUCAUUCUUAAUAAUAUUUAGGGUUUUUUUUUUCUUUCCGAAAUCAUUCCUUUGAAUCAAUUUUUAUUCUACUUUAUGAAAGCAAAUGUUGUGCUGUGUGCAUAGGGCUGACAAUGAAUUGAACCAACUCGAAAAUAGUUCGAGAUUCGAUUUGAUGAUUGAUUCGUUGAACUUGGUUCAUGAACCUAACGAGUUAAACUUGAGUUUAAAAUUAAGUUCGUUAAAUAAAUGAGUUGAACUUGAGCUAAAUAUGGUUCGACUCGUUUGGUUCAUGAACCAGCCUGAUAUAUAUAUAUAUAUAUGUGUGUGUUGUCUCUCAAAAAUAUAUAUGUAUAUGCAUGUGUGUUCAUAUAAUAGGUAGUUUAUUACAAACUUUUUCUAAUAAUUAUGUACUUUUUCAUAAGAAUUAUUACAAAUUUGAUCAAAAAUUAACGAACAUUAUAAUAAUAGAGAGAGGAAAAAAUGAAGCUAAUAGUUUAUGCAGGCUUUUAAACAAACAUAUGCUCGAAAAUAGUCCCACAUCAAGGAGUUUACAAAAUAUUAGAGAGAGCAGUGUGUGUGUGUGUAUAUAUAUAUAUAUAUAUAUAUAUGAGUCAGGAUCCGUUGACACCAAAUCUCAACUGUUGAUCUUAUUUAAUCAAAGGUUAAUAAUAGUGCCACAUUUUUAUUUAUUGUGUAUCUUUUUUUUUUUCAAUCACACACUAUUAUUGUUUUUAAUGAUUACAAAACCUAAAUUGGAAACAUAAUCCUAUCAUAAUUCUCCUUAUUCUCUUGUCUGCAAAAUUGAAAUACUGCAUAGUUGAAUAAUUAAAAUACUUCAAAGAUAUUAUUGUUUAAAAUGAAUUGGAAAUAUUAGUUGUUAAAUGCAAUUCCCUCUAUGAUCUCUUCUCCUACAUACUAAUUGUACCAAUUCAAAGCCAAUGACUUUGCUGAGAUUUCUUUUUUUAUGCCGUAAUCAGAAUAAAAUUGUAAUGGAGUUUUCCAUUCUACCAAAACCAUACAAUUCACUUUUUUGAUAUCCAAUCAUUUAAAAGCAAACUCAUCCAAUUUGUAAUUUUGUUUUGAAGGAAGCUCAUCCAAUUGUAAUUGUUAUAAUAAGAUUGACAUAAAUUUCCUUCAUGUGCUGUAGUACAUAGGAGGAGUUAAAUAAGAGGGAAAGGAGAUAGAAACAAGAAUAAUAAUAUUCAUAGGAACGGGGGGAAGAGAAAAACAAUUUUCCCAGGAGAGAAUUACGAGUAUCAUUGCUCCAUGUUUUCGGUUUGAGUUUUUCAAUCACUAAAAGCAAUAAUUGUGUCUGGGUGAUGAUACACUAGAAAAAGAAACACAAAUUAAUUAUGGACCUUUGGAUUAAAAUAACUGACGGAUAAGAUUUGGUAUCAAAUAACUGUCUCUCUCUCUCUCUCUCUAUAUAUAUAUAUAUAUAUAUAUAGACACACACACACACACACAAGAGACGUUCAUCACAACUACAAUGUAAAAGCUAUACAGGUAGUAUAUGAAUUGGGCUACAAUAGUAAAAGCUAUGUAUGCUUCAUGGUUUUAUUAAAGUUAUAUAUAUAUUUUUUGACAAAAAAAGCUUGUGAAAUAUGCAAUUUGAGUAAACGAGUUGAACCUAAUGAACCGAACUGUUCGUGAACUUUAAACGAGCAGAACUCGAGCUAAAAAAAAGGUUCGUUUUGAACUCGAGUCGGGUUUCGAGUUGAACCAAUUCUUAUCGAAUCGUGUCGAGCUCAGAUAGAUUCGACUCGACUAAUUUCCAGCCCUAAGUGUGCAAGAGCAUGAACCGACAGUUGAAUCAGACAACUUAAUCGUGUUUUUCAUGUAAUUACUAUUCUAUUCAAUCAUAAUUCUUAUUAUUUAUUUUAUUUUGAUUAUUAUCAAGCAUAUUUAAUACUUAAUAAUGUGAAUGUAUUUUCAUUUUCAACUUUCUGUGUGGAAGCGUAGAAUGCCAAGAGAAAUAUUCAAGGAUUUAAAAAACGCAAAUAACGAACAUGAUGUAGAUGCUUGCUUUCUUAAUUAUUUGGUUGAGUUUUCAAUCUCUGGUAAGUACGUUGGAAAAAAUAUGUAUUUGAAAGAUGACCACUCUUUAAAUAAAUCUCAUUGACAUACAAAAGAUAGUUUUUAUAUGAUGAGCAAAUAAGCAAAUAUGGUAGUUGUACCUAACUAACGUGAUCUCAUAGAUGAUAGAUCUAAUAGUAUGUAUGAUCUGGUUACGUGUUUUUAUUUUGGUUGGUAAAUUAUUUGAUAUGUUAAUUUUUACUCCCUCUGAAAACAAUAUCUUCCACCCACUAAAUGUAAAAUAAAAAUAAAAAUCAUACACACUUUUUCAUGGUGGCGACUUGUUUUUAGUAAAUGGAAAAAACGUUCUUAAGCAUUUUAAAAUGGUCAUGUUAACCUAUACCUAUAGUAUACAUAUUAAUCAUUAUUUCAUUCCCUCAAUGGUAAUAAAUUAACGAAAAAAUUAAUAUUAAACAUUUUGGACAAUAAAUUAACACAAUUUUCAAUACAUAAUUUCUAUUAGUGGAAUUCUUAACAUGUAUCAUUAGGAUACAAGUUAUUUUGUGCCAAUUGUGUUUGGUUUUCAUGAUAGUGGGUGUCAUGUAAUUAUUUAUUUUUCUGGUGGUGGCAUCCGUGUCCAGGUGUCUAAUACUCCCACUUCUUUGUAUGGGUGUCCAGGAGUAAUUGUACAGACUUUGAGUGAUUUAUCGCUUUUAGCAUGCCUUGUGCGGGGUGAAUCACUCUUCAUUUGAACAAUAUAUUCAAUUUUGAUUUGUUUAACAAAAAAAAGACACAAGUUAUCAUUUUCCAUUUUAAAAAUAUCAAAACACAUAGAGAACAAUUAUAAUUUGUAGGUGCUAAUGUCAUAAAAUUAUAUAUAUAUAUAUAUAUAUAUAUAUAUAUAUAUUGCUAUAAUUAUUUUAAUCUCCAAUUUUUUUUAUUGAUAACGAUGUCAUUGUUAUAUGCUACCAUUAUUAUUGAAUGGUGUUAAUGAACAUCUAUAAAUUAAAAUAUCUCUUUUUUCCUUGGUGGAAUUUUGCUCUGCAGAAAUUUUGGGAGACUUAGCUAGAAAUAGGUCUUCAUGUUUGCCCCCUUCAAAUCUACAAAAAGGCGUUCUGAAAUUCUUCACUGAAUCAAUUUUUGAAUCAAAAUUACCUUAUUUUCUUCUUCAUAUAUUCAGCUUAAUUGUGUGGUUUUUUAUUUUGAUAAAAUUUGGUUAAUUGGUUUACCAUAUUCAUAGUUCUUUAAUUGUAUUAAUCAACUUAACAAAUAAUCAUCUUUUGUCAAUAAAAAAUAAAAAUGAAAAAAAUAAUCAUCAAUUCGUUGAUCAUAUCAAUCAAAUAAACUAAUUGAAUAUUUGUAUCUUUCCUUACCUUAAUCACCGUGUUUUGCAAUUUUCUUUAACGGUUAAUUUCAUAUAUGAUAUCAUGCCACACAUAAUCUUGCAAAACAAUUUUUGAAAAACUUGUUUUUACAUAACGAAAAAUGUGGGGUAUCUAUUCACACUCCCUCUACAUACGAUUCAUUCCUUCUAAACCAAACAUAAAUGGCUUCUUUAAGUCUUGAGAUGAUGAGAUCGAUAAAGAAUAGAAGGUAGUAUGAAGAGUUUAGAUUAUUCAAUGAGAGAGCUCUUUGGACUAGGAUUUGAAAAAUCAACUAAUUACUGAAAGGGAAAAAACUAGAUUUCUUUCGAUCAAUCCAAAAAUACAUUAUUGCCAAUAAUGAGCUUUUCAAGCUCUAUGAAUUAUUGAUGAAUUGGAAAUCCAACAUAUACACAAGAUAUAGCUCUCCUAUGGUCACAUGAAAUUAAACUAUAUUAUUCCUUUUUUGUGAUUACCCAUUUUCUAUCCUGAAGUGUUAUGAAAUAAUAGAAAAUUGAUAAAAUAAGAAUGAAUUAUGAUGAUUGGUAAGUUUUUUAUGUGACCUCGUCCUCUUUAAUUAGUAUGAUAACGGGAAAAAUACAAUAUUUUGAUGUACUUAAACGACAUUUGAGAAUGAUUAAAACUUUAGGAAGGUUUUUUUCACAACUCCAUAAUCGUUAAAAACUAGUUAAGGUAUAUAAGGAGAGCUUUUUAUUAAUCAGGCGUCACUCGGGAUAAAAUCAACACUCUCACAUCUAUCUCCGGCAUCCGUUGUACUACUUCUCUCGACAAGUAUUUGGGGUUUCCUAUCAUUAAAGGGAGACCCAAGAAGUGUGAUUUCUUAUUCAUCAUUGAGAAAAUGCAAAAAAGGUUAGCUUCUUGGAAAAAUAAACUCCUCAAUAAACCGGGAAGGUUAGCUCUAGCAUCUUCUGUCCUCUCUUCCAUCCCAACCUACUACAUGCAAAUAAACUGGCUCCCUCAAAGUGUUUGCGAUAACAUUGAUCAAGUUACUCGUAAUUUCAUUUGGCGAGACUCACACAAUAAAAGUAUUCAUCUUGUGGGUUGGGAAAAAAUCACUAAACCAAAAGAUUUGGGUGGCUUGGGUAUCCGUGCUGCUAGAAUUACGAACACUAGUCUUCUUGGGAAAUUAGUGUGGGAUCUUAUGCAUUCUUCCAACAAGCUAUGGGUUCAGCUCCUAUCUAACAAAUACUCUCCUAAUGCUCAUAUACUUCGCGCUUCUGCAAAUUCCAGCUGCUCAUCCAUUUGGGCUGCAAUCAUCCGCGCCAAAUCCGUGCUUCUUGACAGUUUUGAGUGGAGACAUGGCAGCGGAAAUUCUUCUUUUUGGUUUACAAGUUGGAGCUCAUCCGGUUCACUUGCUCCUCUCGUCCCCUACAUCGACAUCCACGACCUCCAACUCACUAUCAAGGACGUUAUCAACAGUCCAGCACCUCACACCAACAUUCUUUAUACCACGCUUCCUCCUGAGAUUGCAAAUCACAUCAACAACUUGAACGUUCGUUUCAAUGAUUCAAUAGAAGACACCUUUGUUUGGUCCCCCAACAUAAACGGUGUCUACACAGCUAAGAGUGGAUAUAAUUGGCUUCUUUCACACUCCAACAAUAACAAUACAGCCUCUGUCUCUAACUCUUGGACGUGGAUUUGGUCUUUACGGCUACCAGAGAAAUUCAAGUUCUUCAUAUGGUUGGCCUGCCAUGAUGCCGUCCCAACCUUAUCCUUGUUAAGUCACAGAAACAUUGCUCGUUCUGAUCAGUGCAACCGCUGCAGCCAACAUGCUGAAACGCUUAUUCAUUGCAUUCGUGACUGCUUGCACUCCUAAAAAAUUUGGCGUCAUAUAGGCUUCAACACCGCUGACUUCUUCAUGGAAAAUGAUGCUUAUCUUUGGCUAAAACACGGGCUCAAGGGUUCUCAACCUCUCCUCUUUGCUGCAACCUUAUGGUGGAUAUGGAGAUUUAGAAACUCCAUGUGUUUUACUUCUGAGGUUUGGUCGCUUCACCAUAUUUCUUUCAAUAUUCAAGAUACAGUUAAUGUUAUCCAGACAUCUCUCAACCUCUUCCCUGUUGAUGCUGCUGAAGAACGGGUUGUAAAGUGGAAUUGCUUCAAUCAUUCUUGCUUCAUUAUCAAUGUGGACGGGAGUUGCCUUGGAUCUCCUCUUCAAACCGGCUUUGGGGGACUUAUUAGAAACAACUCUGGUUUCUUCACCGCUGCUUUCUCUGGUCAUUUAGAACUCUCGAAUGACAUCUUGUUUGCUGAAUUACAUGCUAUUCUUAUGGGGUUGCAGCUAGCAAAAAAUUUGAACAUUGUUGAUGUUGUUUGCUAUUCAGACUCUCUCCACUGCAUCAACCUUAUCAACGGGACUGCCAUGGUCUAUCAUGCGUAUGCCACUCUUAUCCAAGACAUCAAGGAUUUGAUCCGUCUCACUAACACUCCUAUCUUGCACACUCUUCGUGAAGGGAACCGCUGCGCCGACUUUCUUUCUAAGAUAGGAGCUUCUGGUGAUUCAGCUUUAUCUAUUCAUACAACCCCACCUGAUGGAUUGCUUCCUCUUUUAAAGGAUGAUGCUAGGGGAACUUAUUUCCCCCGUGGCUAGCUAUUCUAGUUUUUUUUUCUUUUCUCUUUUGUAGUUUUAUGCUUUAUUUUGCCUAUGUAACCCAAAAAUAUAAGGAGAGAAUGAGAGGUAUAAAUUAUAAUAAAGUGAUAAAACCAUAUAUAUUAUGUUUCUAAAUGUAAAUUUGGUAGAAAGUAUGAUUAAAGAUGUCAAGUUUGUUUAUGUUAUGAUUAUUUUUCUUUCUCUAUUUCUUGUUGCAAUGAGCAUUGACGGUGAUCAAAUUUUAUCAUUUUUCAAAUUUCCUUAGUUACUUACUACAUAAUAUUUUAUCCAUUUUAGUAUAUAUAUUUUUUAAUUCUCUUUUUUCUUUACAACAACCAUUGAUUGUAAUCAAGAUUCUCAUUGUCCACACGAUAUAUGCCCGUUUCAUCUUAAACCAAAGUGUAUUUUUACGAAAGUAGUUGGACAAAAGUUUUUCUCAUUCUCUCUUGACGGCAAAUGUGGAUGUAUGUAAUUCAUCUAUGUGCCCAUAAGAUUCUACUAGAAAACUCUACAAGCUAUCAUUUUGUUAUUCUCUAUUUAACUAAUAAUAAUUAUUUUCCGAAGAUCUGCUGUGUGUUUUAGAGUGUGGUCAGAUUGAAUCGAUUGAUUAUUUUUUUCAAAAAUUUUAAGGUCGAUCCUAGGUCUGUACUCCGUCGUAUGCUUAUUUUUUAGGUCUGAGUGUAACAUUGUAAAAAUUUGAUAUGACAUGCAAACAUAUUUAAAAGUCUAUUUGAUAGGAUAUCAUCUUUAAAUAAGUAAUAUGAUCUAAAUUUAAAUAGACUAACAAACUAAUAGAUCAAUAUGAUUAAACUUAAUUUUGAUAUUUAACAUGAAAUUUUAAAGAAUUUGAUUAUAUAUUAUUUCAUAUAUAAUAGUAGCGAAAAAUUCACAAACACGAAUAAGUAUAGAAUCGCAUAUUCAAACCAUACCCUACAAAUUACAAUGUCUCCAAUGGAGUUACGUUCACAAAAACUAUUAAACACUUUACGAACGACUUUCAAAUCACAACGUUAUUAAACUCUUAUUUUUUGACGAUACUUUACAACUACUAUUACAAUUACAACAAACUCGUUUUUGUUUGACACUCACGACUAACUUUCAGAAUUAAUUAAAAAAAUAAAAACGAACUAACUCUUAGAACGUGUGAUGUAUUUUAAAUAAUUUUUUCUUAAUGUGUGAACAAUAAUAUAUUUAAUUAUUUUAUACGAAGAGAUCCGUCAAGAAACAUAUAUUUAUUUAAUGAUUCUGAAAUCAUCUGUUUCGCAUGUGCUUGGACAAUAGAAAAAGAAAGAAACAAUUAAAUAUUCAACAAAAAUUAUUUGGAGCUACAUCAAAUACAGGAGAAAGUUAAAUUAAUCUUUUUUACUUAGCUCAAAGCUAAAUCGAUACCCAUUACCUACUAAUAAGAAUAACUAAACAUUUUUAGUUUUAGAUUUGACUAAAACUUUGUGCAAACAAAUUUUACUGGAACUAAAGAAAAACCUAUUAAAACUCAGUAAUGAUUAAACUUUGAAGAUCCUUAUUUUGUAGGGACACAGAAUAUAUCUAACAAAAUAGAAUGUCUAGAUUAUAACAAUACUCCAUCAUUUCUUUUUAAAUGUCUCUGUUUUCUUUUUUUAAAUAGUUUUGUUCGGAUUUAUAUUUUUAUUCUACGCUAUUUUUUUUUGUCUAGAUUAUAACAAUGAUUAUAUUUUUUUGUCAAUAAUAUUCUACGCUAUUUAUUUUCAAAAAGAAAUAAAUGAAAUUAGAUAAUACUCUCUCCACUCUAAUUAUGGACUUGUCUUACUUUUUUCCACACAUAUUAAGAAAAAUAAAUAGUGAAUUUAGAGUGUCCAUUUUGUAUAUAAAGUUUUCUAAAAUGCUACCUUCGAUAUUUAUUAUAAAAAACAAUUCACUUUUUGGUUUUAUUGAAUAGUUGUUGUAUAUGGUAUGUAUUGGUUAGUUAUAUUAUUUAUUCAAUAAAACAAAACAAAAAAAAAAAGAAUUGUUUCUUAUUAUAAAAAUCUGGAAGGUACUCUUGAAUUCAAUGUUGAUGGUAAUUUUAUAGAAGGCUUCGGGUGCUUAGGUGUUGGUGGGGUUGUUCGCAACCACGAUGGAGAUUGAAUAGCCGACUUUUCUUCAUAUGAAGUUGGAGGUGAUGCAUUGUUGGUUGAGUUGCGUGUUAUUGAAAUGUGUCUUGAUUUUUGUUGUAAUAGAGUUAUAACAACAUUAUUUGUGAGAGUGAUUCUUUGGAAGCAGUUGAAAUCUUUGUUGCUUGUUGUGAUCAUACCUUACACACUUAUGUUAUUAACAUCGUUCAUAUUAGAGAUACUUUAUAUGGGAAUGACGACAACACUACUUUAGCGCAUGUUCUUAGAGAAUAAAAUAUAUCUGCAAAUUUAUAGCUAAGGAGGGAUCCCAUUCAUCGUACUCUGCUCAUCGGAACCUACCUACCUUCGUUGGAGUCUCUCGUCUUGAAAGGUAAGCUUAAAACUGAAUGAAGCUCGUAUACCUGAUACAAUACGACACCGAUACAACAAAGUUUUACAAUUCAAGAUACAAUACAACCAGGGUACUUUAAUAAAAAAAUAAAUUUAAACUAGAAGCAUUCUCACGACAAUAAAAAGACAUAGAACAAUAGAACAAACAUACAUGGAACAAACAACAGAAAGAGAUACAAGAAAAUUUAAUCUAGAUCAAACAUUCAUAGAACAACGAUAAAAUACAACAAUAAAAUUGCAUUCACACGACAAUCAACAAUAACAACGUUCUGAAACAAAUAAAAAGACAUAAAACAUACGGCGGACAACAACAAAAAUAUUAAUAUAAGUUUUUUUUGGUAGAAUAAAUACAAGUAUAAGUUAUAUUGAUAAUAUAGAAAGUGACAAUUAGUCAAUUACUAUAUGAUAUAUCCUAAAAAGAGAACAUUAUUACUUAUUCAAUUACAUAUAUCCCACAAAAUAAUAGAAAUCCCGCAUGUAUCAAUUUUCCACUACAUAUUCCUUGCGUAUUCCCGAUUUAUCUGAAAAAUAUCGAACAAUUAUUUUUAAAAAUAAAAUAAAAUAUAUUCUUUAAAUACUCUCCCGAUUCAUAUUAGAAUGUAUCAUAUAAAUAUCGAUACAUGAUACAUAUGAGAUAUCUUAUGCCAUCCAUUUUGAAGAAAAGAGAGUUGAAGCUUAAUUUAAUAUUUUAUUUUGUUUUUCCUCGUUACUUUGUAAAAAAUAAAUCGGAUGAAGUAUAUAAUCCACGUUUAUUUGUGAAAAAAAAGUUGUUAGAAAAAAGAAAAAAGAGAUGAACAAAGAAAGGUGUGAAUAAUAUGAACUAUGAAGAGUGAAGUCAGAAAGAGACAGCUGAUGAAUUAAGAAGCAUUUUGUAUUAAUAUUAUUCUCAUGUAUCGCGGUCUAGAUAUUUUAAUACGACUCCAAAACGCUCUCUUUAUUCCGUUCAAACGCUGUUCACUUUUUCGCGUCGGUUUUUUCUUUUCUAUAUAAGAAAGAAACCCCUCGUUCCUUCUCCUUCUCCUUCUCCUUCUCCUUCUCCUUCUAUUCAUUCUCCACUCUCUCUUCGUUUUACUGUGCUCCGCAUUUUUCUCUCCCGCUUUUGCUUCUCGCAGUUAACAGCAGUAAGCUAUCUCUCUCUCUCUCUCUCUCUCUCUCUCAUUUCUGGAUCUGUAUCAACUAUUGCCUUUUGUUUUUUUCCUCAAUUUUUUGCUUGUUAUGUGUAUUUUUCAGACUACAAUAUUAAUUUGUUUCACAUUUCAUGAGUUUUUGUUGAGAUGGUUAUUGAUUUUCUAAAUAAUUGUGUUUCUGAUAUUUUAUUUGUAACUUUGUUUAGUAAAGUAAAGUUGUCAAGUCAAGAUGGAAAACGGGCAUAAAUUCCAGGAAGUUUCCAACCCAAAAUAUGAUUGUCUCUUGUUUGGUAAGUCUUUAUAAUAAUUCAUGUGAUUCAUUGUUAUCUCAUGUAUGGAGCACUCGCACAGACACUGGACACGACACAUGUCAGACACGGACAUGACUUCGAUAGAAGCGAAGGAAUGUAAUCAAGUACGAACCACUUACACAUACUGACAUACACUAAUAAGACACAAACACUGAUAUCGCAUAUGGGUUGGCCUGGUGGUGUGUGAGCUUGAGACCUUUAGGAUUGUGCUCCUCGCAAGGUGUCAGGUUCAAAUCCGCCCAAUGCCAAUUUCUAUGGAAUAGUCUAUGUAGAGGUUUGCAAAUGUCCCCCCGCUGGUGGACAGUGAGAUUAAUCCCCUAGGUUAGUCGGUCUUUGGGUCGGAUACCGAGUUUCCAAUAAAUAAAAGACACUAACACCGAUAAGAAUUUGAAAAGGAUGGAAGUAGUUGAAGACAUGAGUCAGACACUGGAUACGGAUUCAAUUGAAGUGAUUGGAUGUAAUCACGUAUGUCGGUGUCCAACAUUGACAUGAUUUUGAACAUUGGACACGUCUUCAAUAUCAAGUGUGUUGUGUUAGUGCUCAUAAACCUUCCUGAUUUGUUUUUGAUAAUUACAGAUAUUGAUGACACACUUUAUCCUUUGAGUUCUGGAAUUUCAGCGCAAACAGCAAAAAAUAUUGAAGGUAAUGAAUGAUUUACCACAAUGUGGUCUGUCCAUAUUUGAGGGCUUGAAUGUGUGUAUAUAAUUAUUAUGAUUUGGUAAACUGGUAUUGAAGUUGAAGCAUGAAGUUAGGUAUUUAUUUACAAUUGGUGUUGUGUUGCACAGAGUAUAUGCUUCAAAAGCUUGGAAUGGAGGCUGCUACGGUUCCUGAAUUGUGCUAUUCAUUAUACAAGACUUAUGGGACAACAAUGGCUGGUCUUAGGGUACAAUUUAAUUUAACUAACCUUUCAGUAAACUGUAUGCAAACACUUUUUUUAUGCAAAUAGGAUGAUUAUUGAACUUUUUAUUGUCUCUUGUCUCCUUGCCAGGCAAUUGGCUACGACUUUGACUACAACGACUUUCAUAGGUAAUUUCUCAUUGCAUUUGUUUGUCCUUUUGUGUUUUUGGUAUUUGUCUGUUCAUUUGAAGCCAAGUGAAAUUAGCAUUUAACACUAUUUUGUGUUGAGCAGUUUUGUUCAUGGGAGAUUGCCAUAUAAUCUACUUAAACCAGACCCUGUUCUCAAGGGCAUUUUGCAAAGCUUGCCUUUUAGGAAAGUGGUAAGUUUUCUUUGUUAAUUCUUUAAUAAUAUUGAAAGUAAUACCUGAUUGGGUGGAAGUUUUUUUUAUCAUAUUAUGUAUGUGUGAUAUGUAUUUAUUUGUUUCCCUUUUGCAGCUUUUUACCAAUGCAGACAUGGGACAUGCGAGUAGAGUGCUUAAAAGACUUGGACUCGAGGACUGUUUUGAAAGAAUUAUUAGCUUUGAUACCCUGAAUUCCUCUGACAGCAUCAUCCCUUCUAAUGAAAAAGUUGGCAGUGAAAUUUUUGAUUUCUGUGAGUACACACGCCGUCCUGAUUCUGAUACGGUGCUUCCAAAGACACCAGUUGUCUGCAAACCUUUUGAAGAUGCAUUUGAAAAGGCAUUCAAGUUGGCUGACAUUGACCCUCAAAGAACAGUAAGAGUGCAUAUAUUUCCCUCAUUAAUAGAUUAACCUUUUGAAGAUCUUCCUUUCUAAUAGCUGUUUUCGUUUGUCUUAAAUUAUGGCAAUAACACCUUUCAUCAUGAUCUUACUUCUGUAUUUUUUACAUCUAAUAACUAAAUACUCCAAAAAAAAGAUAGGACAUGAUGCUAAACCUUAGUUAUUAAUUGACAAGCAGGUUAUGCACGAGAACGCUGUCAUUGUUCUUACUCCUCCAGACAUGUUAUCGUGAUAAACAAUAUUUAUUUAUGACUUACUUUUUCUUAUUGUUUUUGCUCUUUUCAGUUGUUCUUCGAUGACAGUAUCCGCAAUUUACAGACAGCUAAUCGUUUGGGCCUCCAUACAGUUGCGGUAAGUGGUCCCUAACGGUUACUGAUGAAUGAAUGAAUAUUUGCGUUUUGUUUUAACACAUCAGUAUAAGUAUUAGAAUUAGAGUAUUUUGCAUUCGAGUUUUCCAUUGUAUUUGUUUUUUAUGAUUUGAAAAGAAUUAAGGUUAAAAAAACAAUUAAUUUGUGUUUAAGAAUUAGAUUUUAAAAGGGAGCAAUGAUAUUUGUACAUCUAUUUAAUGACAACUUUGGUGACAACCUUGUUUCUCUCUCUUUUGAUUGGUCAAAAACAUUGGAGAGAGAGAAAAAGGAAGAGAGAGGAUAAUAUCACGUGAGUGUGAGAGAGAAAGUUGUCACAAAAUGGUUGUACAAACUACAAAUAUCAUUUCUCUUUAAAAGGAUUGCUUUUAUUUGGAUGAUGAUCAAAUGGCCCUUUGCUCCUAUCCAAUCAAAAACAGCCAGAAUGAAACUUAUAAAACUUUUGUAUGUUAAUUAGAUUUGCUAUUCCUUUUUCUUUUGUUGGGAAACAGCCAGCUGAAUGAAACUUAUAGAAUUUUUGUAUGUUAAUUAUAUUCAACGGUUCAUUUUUCUUUCCGUUGGGAAACCAAUUAGGUUUUUAAGGUGUCAAUUGCAAUACAGAAAAACAUGUUCAACAGAUACUAUUUGUCACAUAUUGAAGAGCAAUUUGUAAAGUGUGUGCUCAUGCGUUUUGUUUUCUUUCUGCAAGCUGCAUGUAAUGUAACAUAGCAGUACUUUGGUACACACACACAUGAGAUUACUCUGUUAAAUAACAUACCAUGUACUAUAUAAAGUGAAUUUAUGUGUCAAUUCUAAUUGCCACAUGGAUGCAGGUUGGUACAUCCGUGCGCAGUACAGGAGUGGAUCAUGCAUUAGAGAGUAUUCAUAAUAUCAGAGAGGCAUUUCCAGAGCUAUGGGAAGUCGACGAGAAGCAUGAAAUCGUCAACUACAAGGUUGCAAUUGAAACAACAGUAAAAGCAUAGAUCAGAAGUUUAUCCACUAUGAUUUGUUUGUGGCGGUGUCUUUUAGUAUGUUGGUAAAAGAAUAGCUCACAAGCUUAUCCACUAUGAUUUGUUUGUGGUGUCUUUAGUAUUUUGGUACCUAUGUAAUUUAUUAUAUUGAUAUGUGAAUCUUAAUCUUAAUUCUUAGUUAUUGCAUUUAUAUGUGAAUCUUAAUUCUUAGCUUCAAAUUUGAAAACAAUGUGAUUUAUCACCCCAACCGUAUCUCUUAUACUAUGUAAUUCCUUAAGGCAUUCUGCUUCAAAAAAGGCGUUGUUUUGGUGCUCUUAAUUCUUUUGCCUGAUUUUGUAUUCUCUUACUCAUUAACUAUCUUGCAUCUAUAUAUCAAUUAAGUGUCAAUUGAAACAGAGAAAACCAGUAAAAUACAAAGGCGCGUUCGCCGUUUUCACCCUUUUAAAUGCAACGAUGUAUAAUAGUUUGAAAACAAUGUGAUUAUUUUUUUUUAAGGAGAAAACAAUGUGAUUAUUAGUAAUCUAGAAAACACAUUGUGUAUAAUUUCUCAGAUUAUUAAUCAUUCAAUCAUAUAAUAUUCUAGAUUAUUAUAAUCACAUUGUGUUUUCUCCUUAAAAAAAAAAUAAUCACAUUGUUUUUUAGAUUACCGCCGCGCAGGGGCGGAGCCAUGUUGGCUCUUGUGCAAGCAAGUGCCCCCACUAAUUUUAAAAUUUUCAUAUCCAUCCUAUAUAAUACUACAUCAUAGAUUUCCAGCACCAGCACAUACAUAUACACAUUAUUAUAAAUAUGAUGAUAUAGUAUGAUAACUAGAUUGCAUAUUAUAAAUAAUACAUGCACCUCUUCUCUAUGUGUUGUUUCUUUUUUUUUAGCUUCAUUUUUCGGUAACAUUACUUCUAGGUGCUGCUAAUUUACACCCACCUAAAUCACUAAGGUGUAAAUUAGCAAGCUACACCCGCUCGCAAUGGCGAGCAAUACCAAAACACUCGCGAGGCGAAGGGGAAGGCUCGCGUGGCGAGCGAUGAAGAUCAUCACUCGCGAGGCGAGGAUCAUAGCUCGCCGUGGCGAGCGAUGAAUCUAGGCUCGGACAUGAUGCACAUUCUACACGAAAAUCAUCAUCUAACAAGGUUCUAAGCCUAAUUUCAAUUCCAGAAUUCAUCUAAAUCAUUAUCUAAGGUCUAAGGACAGUUUCUACAUCUUUUUAACAAGUUUCCACCGUUUAAUCAUCAAUUCUAUCAAUUUGACCUAAUUUCCGAUUCUUCUUAAACUCAUCCUAAUUCAUGUUAAACUUAACCAUUGAUUCACAUACUUAAUAGAAUUGCAAAGUUAGUCUCACCCUUACCUUAUAAUCAGGAAAUCGCAGCCCCUCUAGGUCUCUCCCUUUUCUCCAAAAGCAGUCGUACGUACGUUAUGUUUUUCUAAACUAGGUCUCUCCUAUUUAUAUAAAUCUUUAACCUACUUAUUUUUCUCUUAAAUUCAAAUAUUAAUAUUCUAUCCCAAUAUAUAUAUAUAUAUAUAUAUAUAUAUAUAUAUAUAUAUAUAUAUAUAUAUAUAUAUAUAUAUAUUUCCAUAACAAAUCAUACAUAUUUCUAUAACAGAUUAUAUAUAUUUCUACAACAAAUCAUACAUAUUUCUACAAUAAAUAACAUUUAUUUCUAUAACAAAUCACAUUUAUUUUUGCAACAAAUCGUGUAUAUAUUUCUAUAACAAAUGACAUAUAUACAUUCCUAAAUCAAAUAACAUAUAUUAUAUUUUUAAAUCAAAUAGCAUAUAUAUAUAUUUCUAAAUCAAAUAACAUAUAUAUUUCUAAAUCAAAUAACAUAUAUAUUAUAUUAAUAAAUAUAUAACAUAUAUCAUAACAAAAUAUCACUCAUCAAAAUAAAUCAUAUAAAUCACACAAAUCAUAUAAGUAUAUUCUAAACUCAUUUAAAAUAAUCAAAUAAUUAGUGAGGGCGUUACAACAUACAAGAACAAAGGCAAAGGGAUUGGAUAUUCUGAGGAGAAAUCCAAAGAAUAUAGUCUCAAGAGCUACUGUGAUUGUAUCAAGGAUGGAUUGAAAUCCACCUUUGUGCCUGAAGGGACAAAUGCUGUAACUGUUGUUCAGUCAAAACCUGAAGCUUCUGGUUCACAGGCUAAGAUCACAUCAAAGCCAGAAAACCUUAAGUUCAAGGUGAUGACAAAAUCUGAUCCUAAGAGUCAAAAGAUUAAAAUUCUGAAAAGAUCAGAACCUGUUCAUCAGAAUCUGAUUAAACCAGAAUCUAAAAUCCCAAAACAAAAGGAUCAGAAGAACAAAGCAGCUACUACUUCUGAGAAAACAAUACCAAAAGGUGUCAAACCUAAAGUAUUGAAUGAUCAGAAGCCACUCAGCAUUCACCCUCAAUGUAUGCUUGUGUGCAAGAUUUCAAUCAGAUCCUAGAGAAUCUCAUUUAACUGCAGUUAAGAGAAUCUUCAGGUAUCUGAAAGGAACAACUAAUCUUGGACUCCUGUAUAGGAAAUCCCUAGAUUAUAAGUUGAUUGGAUUCUGUGAUGCUGAUUAUGCUGGUGAUAGGAUUGAAAGAAAAUCAACCAGUGGAAAUUGUCAAUUCCUGGGAGAGAAUCUGAUAUCCUGGGCAAGCAAAAGACAAGCAACUAUUGCUAUGUCUACAGCAGAAGCAGAAUACAUUUCAGCUGCAAGUUGUUGCACAUAACUACUUUGGAUGAAACAUCAGUUGCAAGACUAUCAGAUCAAUGCUAACAGUAUUCCCAUUUAUUGUGAUAAUACUGCUGCUAUUUGUUUGUCAAAGAAUCCAAUUCUACAUUCAAGAGCCAAGCAUAUUGAAAUCAAACACCAUUUUAUCAGAGACUAUGUUCAAAAAGGGAUUUUAGAUAUACAAUUCAUUGAUACUGAACAUCAAUGGGCUGAUAUAUUUACAAAACCUUUAUCUGUUGAAAGAUUUGAUUUUAUUAAGAAAAAUUUGAACAUGCAUUUUGUAUCUGAUUGAAAAAUUGCUUGCCUCUGAAUAAGAAGUUUGGUUCUGAAGUUUAUUCAGAAGCAUUUGGUCCAUCAGAAGCUCUUAACUGAGGUUCUGAGGAAAAUGUGCUUCUGAAGAUGACGUCAGCACUAAAACUUCAGAAGUAGUAUUCUUUGCUUCUGAAUAGCAUGGUUAGUGGGAACGGUGGUAGUUACUUUAUGUAACAGCUGUCCCAUUACCCAAAAGGUAGUUUUCUGAAGAGUCUCUGACGUGGUCUAUUUGUAUUGGAGUAUAACAAAAAGGGCAAUGAUGUUUUAUUUGCUUUUUAACAUACUAACACGCGCCCCCAAUUUGUCAUUAAUGCUGUGUUUGUUUGUCUCUUCUGAAUUGUAAACGUUUUACUUAAAAACACUAAGUCAAUUCACACACUUCUCACUUCACAACAAACACUUUCUAUUUUCUUCUCAACCCUCUGCGAAAGUAAGCGCAUUCACUCUUCCUCUCAAAACACCGUAGAACCCUAAAACUCCUUCAAAUCAAUGGAAAGCUCAAGUUCUGCUGGUGGUUCAUCAUCAAAUAUGGAAAUAGAUACUCCAGCAUAUGAGAUCAAAGGAAGAACUAUGUCUAUUGAGGAAUGGGAGUUAAUCAUUCAAGCGGAAAAUCCAGUGGAUUUCGCUUCUCUAACUCACCAUGGGUGCGACUUGGUAAGAUUCUACAAGAAGCGGAAGUUGAUGGGUUACUUCAGUCUUCUCAAUGGUCCAACUUAUGAAGUUCUGGUCAGACAAUUCUGGGUAAGGGCUUCAAUCUUUGACAUUGAAGCUGCUAGACAGGAAGAAGCUCAACUGAUUCUGGUUGAUCCUACUCUAAAGGGAAAAACCAGAGAAGAAAUGGGUCUACUCUCCUUCACCGGUACAGAGAUCAGGUCAAAUGUCAUGGGUAUUCCUGUAACCAUAAAUGAGCAGGUUAUUGCUCAAGCCAUGGGAAGGGAUACCUCUGGCAAAUACUUUGGAGAAGAAAUUCCUAAUCCAAGAACCAGCUCUUGGAAGGAAAUUGUCAAUGAGACCAUCUAUGGGUCUAAGGUUGCUCAACCUUACAGCACUUUGAGCAUUGAGAAGAAGUUGCUGCUGAAGAUUCAGAAUGAAAAUAUCUUUCCCAAAGGUGGAGGAAGUGAUCAACCAUCACUUGGUCACAAGGUUUUUCUGCAUCACACCAUCACUCAAGAAACCACGAUGAAUGUUCCAAAGUACAUGUUCAAAUACAUGAUCAAGGAACUAAAGAAGAGUCAGAUGGAGAACAGGAAAUUUGUUCCUUAUGGAAGGUUGCUCUCUGUAAUCUUUCAAGAAGGAGGAAUUCUAAGUGCAUUGAAGGAUGUGGGCAUCUAUGAUAACCAGAAGCUGGGAGCAGUAACUGGGAAGAUAAUCAAUGCAUCAACACUUGUGAAGAUGAAGUUGAUUCCAGCAAAUGCUCACAAGAAACUAGAUUCUGAUAUGCAUGAAUCUGAUGCAAUAUCUGAUCUAGUCACUCAUCACAUCCCCAUCUGCAAGAAGGAUCCCCUGGAUGUGCAAAGGGCCUACAUCUUGGACUUCUACAAAACCUACAAAAAGAAGAUCAGCUUGAAAGAUGUCCCUGAAGAGAUGUAUGGUGGUGAUCUGCCUGUGGCCAAAGGCAGAAAGUCUAAGAAGAAGCAGAUCACCAAGGAAGAAUACCUUGCUGAAGAUGCUACUGAGAAGGGUGCUCAGAAGCAUCAGAAAGCCAAGAAGGAAAAAUCAACUCUAUCCACUAUUCAAGAGGAAGUGGAGAACCUAGAUGAAGUCCCUAUCAUCAGAAAAAGGACAAGGAAUGCUCAAGAAACUGCAGAACAGCUUGCUUCUGAACAACCUGCUUCUGAACAAGCUGCAUCUGAAGAGCCUCAGAGUCCUAAAAAGAAAAGAGAAGCUGCUCUUAAAUCCAUCAAAAGGAAGAGAUCUUCAAGGAAUCUGAAGACAGCUGAAGGACGAAGGGCAGAAAUGUUGGAAGAACUGGAAGAAAACUGGGAUGAAGACUCAAGCCCCAAGAAGGCAAAAAGGACUAUAACUUCUGAGACUAUAGUCAUGCCCAGUUUUAAAGCUUCUGAAGAAUUAAAGCAAUAUGCUAGGGAGUAUUCUGCAUCCAAGAUAGCAGAAAGGAAAAGGAUGAAGGAAUUGUAUGAGAAGGAAAGGGAUGAGCGUCUCAAGGCUGCAGGGUAUGUGCCUACUCCUGACAUUGCUGCUUUAGCUUCUGAGUUAGAGCAAGAAACAGUUCAGUAUGGAGCAACUCUGCUUUCUCAAGCCUUGAAGAAUAAGCAAGCUUCAGGAGCAACUUCAUCAGAACCAGCUUCAAAAGCUCCAGAAGCAGUUCAUCCAGAAGCUCAAUCUUCAGGUAAUUCAUCCAAACCUGACAUCUAUACUCAGAUUCCUUCUCUACCCUCUUCACCCUCUUCAUCAUCCACAGAAUCAGAUGACCAACCCCUUAGCCAACACAUAGACAAACUUCUAAAAAUCAAACCUACCAAACUAACAGAAUUUGGAACACUUGACUAUGAGAGAACUCAAAUAGAAUUUUCCAAAAAUAGGAUUAAACUGUGUGAGAAAUUCAAUUUGCCUACUACUCAUCCACUAUAUCCAGAUAUUCCAGAACCUGUUAGUGUACAACAACCUGAACCCAACCAAGAACCUAACCAAACUCCACAAAAAGCCUCUGAAGUAGUUUCAGAAGCAACUACUUCAGAAAUCCCCCAACAACAAGAAUCCUCAACCAUUCACAAUUUAGAAAAACACUUAGGUGGUGAAAUGCAACCUACACCUACAAAGGCCUAUAAGACAGUCCCUGGAAAGACUGUGUUAGAAAACCAACAAACAGAAACCAUCCCUGAGCAAACUGUUCCUGAGCAAACUGUUCCUGAACAAGAUGCUUCUGAACAAGUUGCUUCUGACCAUCAAUCAACAGAACCAGAACAACAACCAGAACCACCAAUAAUUGACCUAACUUCUUCUGACCAACAAACAGCCUCUGACCAACCCUCCACAUCUCAUACAACUCAAUCUGAACCUUCAACCAUCCCUGACUCUAUCCUUGAAUCUGAGUAUAUAGAUGAACAGCUAAUCAGGCUUAGUGAUGAGAUUCAGACACUGAUUCUUCGCAGAACAGUUCCUGUACCUCCUAUUCACUAUCUUGAUCAAUGGAUGGAUCUGAAAAAGAGUUUUGAUGACCUGCUGGAUAAGCUAAGCUCUAAGUGUGUCUCAUCUCACUCUGUCAUGCUGCAAAAGAUGUUGGAUGAUAUGCAUGAAGCAGCUAGAGUGAAAGAGCUGAAUUACGUGCCUCUGCUGGACAUCACUCCUUUCUAUCCAGAAGAAGAGUACAUCACAAGGGCUGCAAGAAUUCAUGCUGGGUAUAAAAGAAGAAUGAGGGAAAAGGAUGAGCUACUCAAGAAGAAGGAUGAGCAAAUCAAGUAUCUUUUGGAACAGAUGUACAAGCAAGCCCAACCUUAGUUGCACACCCAUUUAUUCUUUGCUUGUAUCUUUGUUCUAAGUACUUUAGUUGCACUGCAUUUGUAUCUCAACUUUUCUAUAUAUAUAUAUAUAUAUAUUAUCAUUGUUUCUGCAUCUUGUGCUUUUUCACCUUCAAUAUGUUUUACAAGCUUUAACUCUGAUGAUAUUUACUGUUUUUAAUGCUGCUUGCUCUGAAAUACUAUUUUUAAAGGUUAUAUGUUUAUUCUUUUGUUUUGUUUUGCUCUGAUACUCUUUCUUUUGUUUUUAUUCUUUUUAUUGAUGACAAAAGGGGGAGUAAAUGUAUAGUAUUUUAAGGCACUGAGCCCCACUAUAACCUCUUCUAAAUUUUUAAUACUUCUGAUUUUAUUUUUAUGAGUAUUUUAUUGAAAUUUAAUUAAUAAGAAUAGAACUCAGGGGGAGCUUACAAACCUCACCUUAAAAGAUCUAUUAGACUCAGGGGGAGCUUACAAACCUCUAUCCCAGUGGUCAACUUAUUAAUUAGAUCAACAACAAUUGAACAUUUUAAAUACUAUUGUUUGUCAUCAUCAAAAAGGGGGAGAUUGUUGGAACAAAAUGUGUUUCACAAUGAACCUUAUUAAGUUUUGAUGAUAACAAAGUAUUAAAAAUUGUCAAUUGGUUAUUACUAAUAAUUGUUCAAGUGUACAGGACCAAAGGCUACUCAAGUUAUUUCAAUAGGUCUUGGAAGAACAAUGGAAAGAAAAAGAAAUUCUGAGCAUCUGAAGAAAACUGCUCCUUAAGCUGAAGUGCUUCUGAAGUGAUGACGUCAUCAGAAGCAGAAGGUCAUCAGAAGCAAAAGUUUUCAUCAGAAGCAAUAUCUUCACCAGAAGCUACGUUUGAUCCUUUAAUCAAACUGAAGAUUCAAAGUAGCUGAUUCUCAAUUCAGUCUUAUCAAAGAAGAACGAAGAAUUGAAAGGGAGGUAUCAACGGAUAUAUGGAUAGCACUGAGCACUUGUCUCUCGUUAAUAGAGUUGACAAAGUACAAGUGUACAACCACUACCUCCACUACUCUGUUUUCUGUCUACGCUACAAGACAAAACAACAACCAUGCCUGCAGAAUUUGUACACUCAAGAUGGGAAUGAAUUUGAAGCUUAUUCUUCAAAGGACUACACCCAAAUCAGGCAAAGGAUCACUGGUGGAUUAUCAAAGGAUUUCAAACGACUCUUUAGACGUGCUGAUUAUCUCAACGUCUCUUUCACGCCUCUAUAUAAAGGAGUGAAGACUUGAAGAUUGUAGAGAGAUAUACAUAAGUUCAAAAGCGCCAAAACUCUGUCAAUUUGAUUCUACAAAGCACACUGAAUUUCUGCACUGAUUUGAUACAUCUUAGAAAUUCAAAGUCUAGAGUCUUUACUGUAUUGUAUUGUGAACACCACUGAUUGUAUAUCAAGUGUUCAACUCAAACUCAAUUCUCUGUAUUUUUGUUUGAUUAGAAGUCUCUUGCCUGCGUGCUUGAGCAUUAGAAGUCUCUUGCUUAGUGCUUGAGCAUUGGAAGACUCUUGCGUGUGUGCUUGAGCAUUUUUUUUGUGAAGUCUCAUACUUAGAAAGUAUUGAGCAGUUGUAAUCUUUGUGAUUAUAGUGAAAUCUCCUUGGAAGUGCAAGGGGGACUGGACUACUUCCGUAUUGUGGAAGGAACCAGGAUAACUGCUUGUGUCUUUGUCUUUCUUUUCUCUGCUCUGUUCUUUUCCGCUGCAAUCUGACUCUGAUCAUUUCAUCAGAAGCAAUCAAACUGCUUCUGAAGUUUUAUCAGAAGAAGUUUUUUUUUUAAGAGAAAAAGAAAACACAAUUCAACCCCCCCCCCCCUUCUUGUGUUUUUCACCUUCAAUAACAACUUCACAGAUCAUCAUUAAUAUCAUAUAUAUUCCUCAUUACUAUCCCAAGGUUCAACUCAUAACAACUCGUGCGACAAAGAUCGCAUUUAACCUAAACAAGGCAUUCUGUAAUACUAGUGCUCGCGAGGCGAGAGCCUCUGCUCGCCAUGGCGAGUUCAGUCAGAUUCUCCAAAGUUUCAUUCUAAGUCUUUCCAGGUUCAAUCUCAUCCUACAUUCUUUCAUAAUCAAUAUUAGACAUGUUCAGGCACUCAAAGACAUCUAAGGUUCAACUCAAAAGUCAAAAUCACGAAAUCUUGCAUGCUCUCUGAUCGAGCUCGCGAGGCGAGUUCAACUGCUCGCUAUGGCGAGCUGCAACGUGCAACUCGCGAGGCGAGGAAAGGUUGCUCGCGUGGCGAACGAUGAAGUUCAUCACUCGCCGUGGCGAGGAUCAUAGCUCGGGAGGCGAGCGAUGAAUGUCGCUACGGGCAGAAGUGCAGUUUUGCCUAAAAAUCAUCAACUCUCAUGGUUUUAAGCCUAAUCUCGAUUCCAAAAUUCAUCAUAAUCAUUAUCUAAGGUCUAGGAAUAAUUUCUACAUCAUUCUAACAAGUUUUCAUCGAUUAAUCAUCAAUUCUAUCAAUUUGACCUAAUUUCCGAUUCCUCUUAAACUCAUCCUAAUUCAUGUUAAAUGUAACCGUUGAUUCACAAACUUAAUAGAAUUGCAAAGUUAGUCUCACCCUUACCUUAAAGAAUGAAAAUCGCAGCCUCUAGGUCUUCUCCCUCUUCUCUUGGCUUUCUCUCCCUUUUUCCAAAACUGGUCGUACGUUAUGUUUUUUUCUUUCUAAACUAGGUCUCUCCUAUUUAUAUAAAUCCUUAACCUACUUAUUUUUCUCUUAAAUCCAAAUCUUAAUAUUCCAUUCUAAUAUAUUUCUAUAACAAAUAACAAAUAUAUCUCUAAAACAAAUCAUAUAUAUUUCUACAACAAAUCAUGUGUAUUUCUACAACAAAUAACAUAUAUUUCUACAACAAAUCAUGUAUUUCUAAACCAAAUAACAUACAUAUUUCUAAAUCAAAUAACAUAUAUAUAUUUCUAAAUCAAAUAACAUAUAUAUAUAUAUAUAUAUAUAUAUAUAUAUAUAUAUAUAUAUUUCUAAAUCAAAUAACAUAUAUAUUUCUAAAUCAAAUAACAUAUAUAUAUUUCUAAAUCAAAUAGCAUAUAUAUUAUACUAAUAAAUACCAACAUAUAACAUAACAAAAUAUCACUUAUCAAAAUAAAUCAUAUAAAUCACACAAAUCAUAUAAGUAUAUUCUAAACUCAUUAAAAUAAUCAAAUAAUUAAAGAGGGCGUUACACCCAUAUCCGUUGAAAUUUGUGGGUAAUUACUCAAGUUCAGGCCCAAACCUAACAAUGCGGGUAUUUACCCAUCUAUCGUGAGUAUUUUUUGUAGAUACCCAUUGGACUUGGGUCCAAUUUUCAUCCCUAAUUAUGAAUGAGAAACAAAACAAGAGUAUCUAGGAUGCAUAAAUACGAAGCUGAAGUAUAAAUACGAAGAGGCAUUUCUAAAGCUUUAAGACCAUCCCUAAUGGGGAUCUCAAAUUUGAAGACUCGAUUUCUAUUAGGCACCCUUACAGAGGAUAAUUUUUUUUGGGUACUUAUAUGACCCAAGGUCUCAGAGAAGCACCUCGUUAUUAAGCGGGACUCAUACUUUUUUAAUAUUAAAAAAUUAAAAUGUAAUAAUGUAAAGUUAUUGAUAGUUGAUUAGUAGAAUCCAUUCAAAAUAUUUGUGUGAGAUAUUAAGUUUGAUGGAUUAAGUUUUUAUUGGGUAUUACUUUUAAAAAAUUAUAAACAAGUGAUAUGUACACGUGAUGCUCAUUUAAGACUAAAAAAUUGAAUGUCUCCAUUAUUGAUGCUCUAGUAGCGGCAUUCAGGGGAAUUCUCGUGUAGAACAAAGUUAGUAGGAUGUUUAUACUUGUUUCCAUAUUUCUCUAACUACCUACGAGUUCUUUAUCAAGAAAUAAGCGUUAACCUCAGCAUUUUGGGGUAUGCAUGGCAAACCACAUAUUUGAUUUUGUAGCAUUUUUUCAAAAAUUAAUGGUCCGUUUGAAUUGAUUUAUUUUUGAGUUUUUUUAAGAGAUAAUUUUUAGUUUACGUAAAAUAGUUAAUGCAAUUAAAUAAAUUUUUAUGUGUUAUUUCAAAAGUUUGUUAAGAUAAUUUAUGAAAAAACAACUUACGAAUUCAACUUGUUAAAAAUAUUUUCUUUAAUAAGAACUUAUGAAUUAAUAUAAAAGUUUUUUUAUUUGCAUAAGUUAUAUUUUCAUAACCUAAAAAAUAAGAAAAUCCGAACGGCCCCAAUUCAAGUACCUUAUAGCUUAAAAUUUAUAGUUUAUCCAUUUUGAUCUCAAUUUUACCUUGUAGCCUUAAUUGAAAAAAAUAUUAUUAAAUACAACUUUUGCUAUUUCAUAUUCAUAAGCUGUUUCAACCGGUAAUUUUAUCAAACACUAUAAAUUCAACCAACUAUCUUAUCCUUUAUAAGCUAGCUUAUCAACUAUCCUCUAUAAGUUCAUUCAGUAAAAGCUCGCUUAUUAGUUAUUGUCUAUUUUUUUACCAAACACAACCUUGAUGAUCUUAUCAUUUAUAUGUCGGUGCUGAUGUUAUAAUGAGAUAUAUUUAUAAAUUUACCUUGGCAUAGAUUUUGAUGUUGGUUUCUGCCAUUGUAAACUCUGCACUUUUUUCUCCUUCAUCGAUGUUUUAUUCCCUUGGUCUUCCUUGGUAAAAUUUUUAAAUUACACAAAAUUGACUCCACCAAUCAUCAUAAACAACGAAAACAUACAUAUAUAAACAAAAAUAACAACAAUGAGAAUGAUAAACAAUGUCUUAUUUUCCCAAACCCAUUUGUAUAUAUUUACCGCUUCAUAUUAUCUCUUUCUAUAGGUAAUGUCUAAAUUUAGCCAAUUGUUAGAUCGUCACAAUUUAAGCUUAUAAUUUAAAACUAACUAAGCCCUACUUCUUAACUAUUUUUAGUACCCCUCUUAAACGAGUGAGUUCCUUGGCCAAAGCUAAACACAACAACUUGAACAAACUUUCAAACCUCGAACAAUCACGAACAAAUUUAACCUAUAUUAUCACUUUCUCACACCAUUAUUCUCCAAUAUAAAAACCAAGCAAACUUCUUGCUUCUUAUCAUCCCUCUCUUCUCAAUUAGUAUUAUAAUUAAUUUAAAAACAAGUAUAUAUAGAAUCAUGGCUUGUCAUCAAGUAAACAACUCCGUCUUUUGGUGUUUUAUUUUACUUGUUGGUAUCCUCACAUUUUUUACAACGAAUGCUAGUUCUACCGAGAAAACAAAGAUAGAAGACAAGGAAAUGAAUGUGAUUGAUCAAUGUUGGAGAUUCAAUCCUGAAUGGAGGAAACAUCGACAACAACUUGCCGUUUGCUCAGUGGGAUAUGUAGGGAAAAUGACAAACGUAAGGACUUAAUCCAUUAUAAAGUUACCGAUCCUAGUGACCACCCUUUAAAUUCAACACCUGGAACCUUGAGAUAUGGAGCAUCUAAGAUUCAAGGCAAAGUUUGGAUCACAUUCAAAAGGAACAUGAACAUUAAGCUUGUGAGACCCCUUCUCAUCAGUAGUUUCACCACCAUUGACGGUCGAGGCGUCGAUGUCCACAUUGCAGAUAAUGCGUGCUUGAUGAUAUAUAAGGUAAUAACUAAUGAUAAGCUAAAAAUAACCAAAUAGUAUUGAAUUUGAAAUCAAAAUUAUAGAUGAAAUAAAUGGACAAUUAGAAUGUCUCCCAGUCCCAGAAUGCAGCGUUGUGGAAAACAAAUCCAUGUAAAAAAAAGCGCUACCAACGCUCGCCUAGUUAAAAAAAAUUGAUAUACCAUUAUAUACUUGAAUAUUAGGUAAAAACAUGAAACGAAUACAUUUUGAUUUUAUUUUAUCGUCUCAAAAACUUAUACAACAUUAAAAUUUGAGAUAAAUUCUAUCAUUUUUCUCUAAAUUUUGUCAAUAAUUUCUUUUUCAUUCAAGUUUGUACAAUCAAUAUUAUAGUUAAUUUCAUUUUAUUCUUUUAAUAUUUCAAUCAGAGUCUACUACUUUCUAACUUAUAAUGACAUGUUUGUUAUCUGUUAUUAGGCAACCAACAUAAUCAUCCACGGAAUUAGGGUUCAUCAUUGUCGACCUCAAGCUCCUGGAAUGGUGAUGGGUCCCGAUGGAAAGAUAAUUUCAUUAGGUCAAGUUGAUGGAGAUGCAAUCAGAUUGGUUUCUGCUUCAAAAAUUUGGAUCGAUCAUAACACACUUUAUGAUUGUCAAGAUGGUCUUUUAGACGUUACACGAGGUUCAACUGAUAUAACGAUCUCCAACAAUUGGUUUAGAGAGCAAAAUAAAGUUAUGCUUCUUGGUCACGACGAUGGAUUUGUGAGAGACAAAAACAUGAAAGUCACUGUUGUAUACAACUAUUUUGGACCUAAUUGCCACCAGCGCAUGCCUAGGUAAUUUAUGAUUGCAAAAAUAUUAGUUUUUUUUAUACAAUAGACAAAUUUAAAAAUAAAAAACAUUUCCAAAUAUAUUAAUAAGUUUUAUCAUUCAUUUAAAAAAAAUUACAGAAUUCGUCAUGGAUAUGCACAUGUUGCAAAUAAUAUGUACAUGGGAUGGGUUCAAUAUGCAAUAGGUGGAAGUAUGGAACCAAGCCUUAAAAGCCAAUCAAACCUCUUCAUAGCACCUGUAACAGGGAAAAAGGAGGUAAUUAUUUCAAGCAAUUAAUACGCCAAUCUUUUAUGAUUGCUUCGCUCAUAAUAUGAGUACAAUGUGCUAAAUUAAAUAAAUAAUUGGUGUAGGUGACAUGGAGAAAAAGUAGUAAUAGAAUUGGAGAUACGUGGGAAUUUUAUUCAGUUGGGGACGCUUUUGAAAAUGGAGCAUCCUUCAUGGAAACAAAAGGUGGACAAGUGACAAAAUCGAAUUAUAGCCCUAAACAAAAUUUUAAAGUUGUCGAUGCCAAAUAUAUAAGAUCAUUGACAAGUUCAUCCGGCGUGUUACAAUGCAGUAAAACCUCAGCUCAAUAUGCUGAGUUAAAAUUCGUAAAGAAAAUUUGUUUCACUCUCGUGAUUUUAAUAUCUGAGAGAUUAAUUUUUACUAUCUACUUAUGAAGAUCUUAAAAAAAAAAAAAAAGAUACAAUAGAGAGACUUCAACAAAGUGGAGUGUGAGAUUCCAUAGAUCCCCCCACCCCAAUUUAUUAUUUUUAAGUAGAAAACAAUGUUGAUCUUGUAACAUACCUUGUGGUAGAAAUAAGAUUUAAUAUAUGAUUCAUAAAUAGAAAAUAAAAUUACACUAAUGAGGAUGACCUUUGAUAUCAACAUGCGUAGUAGUACAAUGUAUAAUGUCUCAAUACAAAUUGAAUGUGGAGUUCGUUUGGGAAGGAUAAACUACUGCACUUAUUAACAAAUUUAGAAAAUGAAUCAAUAAUCAUUUAAGCGUAAAAUUAAAUUAAUGACAUUAAUCAUAGUAAUUGAAGUAAAGUUUUAAUUUAAGGAUAAAAUUCAAAUAAUCACAACAGAUAAACCUCGACUAAUUGGGCAUGCGAUUCAAAUUAAUAAAAUAAUUGAAGAAAUUUUUUGAGUUUUUCUAAUUACACCCUGUUUAAUUCUGGUUGUACCCCAAAAUGACAAAAUUACCCUUCCAUAAAAUUUAAUUUUCAAAAAGCAUCUUCCUUUUUUCUUGGUUACACCCUAAAAUCUCUCUUCAGUUUAAGUAGGUCAUGUAAACUUAAUUUGUAGGUCAUGUAAACUGAGUUUAAGUGUACAUACUUAAACUCAGUUUAAGUAGGUCAUGUAAACCGAGUUUAAGUGUACAUUUAAAAAUUCAACUUUGUUCAAUGAUUCUACGUAAUCUCAGUUUAAGUAUGUACAUGAAAACUUAUUUUAAGUAGGUCAUGUAAACUAAGUUUAAGUGUACAUACUUAAACUCAGUUUAAGUAGAUCAUGUAAACUUAGUUUAAGUAGCUCAUGUAAACUGAGUUUAAGUAUACAUACUUAAACUAUACUUAAACCGAGUUUAAGUAUGCACAUGUAAACUUAGUUUAAGUAGGUCAUGUAAACUGAGUUUAAGUGUACAUACUUAAACUCAGUUUAAGUAGGUUAUGUAAACUAAGUUUAAGUAGAUUAUGUAAACUAAGUUUACAUGAACCUACUUAAACUGAAUUUAAGUUAACCUCAACAAUGUAAACCUGAAACUAUCGUACAAUGCAGUUGAACAAGAAGAAGAAAAUUGAAACCAGCGUUAUUGAAAAAGAAGAAAAAAUUCGAUUAUUUAUAUGCAAUCGAGUAUGAAUGAAAGAUGUUUUGGUUCACUCUCUAAUCUUUCAUAGAGAUUAAUUGAACAUCAGAAUUGUUUGAUCGUUGGUGGGUGAAAGAGAGUGGAAUUUUAGAGCGACGAUGAAUGAAAUCAAGAUUUUAAGAAAAUUUAUAUAAAAGGACAAUUUUGGUAUUAUCAAAAACUUUUUUAAAAAAUUGGGUAUAACCAAAAAUAUAUAGGGUGUGAAUAGAAAAACUCAAAUUUUUUUCCUCAGUCUAUUGGAACUCUAUUUUUUUAUUAUAGAAAAUAGUGUAAUGAGCAUGUACAUUUAUUUAAAUUUAGUGUGUGUUUGGUUCUGAGGUGUGUAGAAUUGAUUCUGACAGAAUUGAUUCUGAAAGAAUUGAUUUUGACAGAAUUGAUUCUGACAGAAUUGAUUUAUGUUUGGAUGCAAUAAUGCAGAAUUGAUUAAACAGAAUGAUUGUUGUUUGGAUAGUUUUGAUCAAAAUUACUUUUGAAUGUAUAAUUACCAAAAUAGACAUAGUUAAAUACAAAUAAAUAGAAAUUACUAAAUUAAGAUAAUUAAGUGCAAUAUAGUCCUAAAAUAUAAGGUAUUACAAUACUAACAUCAUGAAAAUAAAAAUUACAAAUAGAUAAUAGAAUUUAAAGUGCAAUAGAGUAUUAAAAUAUUAUUACAAAACUAACAUAAUGUGUAUUAUAGUACUAAAAUAUUGAUAUAAUAAUUUAAAGUACAAUACUAAUUAUUUUGCCUGUGCUCAAUAAUUUCAUUGCGGAUUAUGUUUCGAACGCGAUCCAUCUCUGACGACGAAACUACAUUUAAAACUUGUGAUUGAUCCAAGUUAGAUGAGCUAUCAUCAUGAUGAAUGAUUGUGCUUUCAUCUUCAUAAACAUUAAAAUCCAUAUCAUUUUCUGCAUUCCUUCGGAUAAAGUUGUGUAUAGCCAUUGUUGCGACAACUAUUUGAACUUGAGUCUCAAAUUUAAACUUAGGCAUUCGACGUAGGAUUGCAAAUCUGUUCUUCCAUACCCCAAAAGUUCUUUCUAUUGUGCACCUUAAACUAGAGUGAUAAUAAUUAAAUACUUCAUUAUGAUUUGCGAAUCCGUUAGAACGCCUAAAUUCAGGAAGAUGAUAUCGUUCACAUCUAUAUGGACCAAUGUACCCUAUUGGUGUUGGAUAGCCAGAAUCUACCAAAUAAUACUUACCUAGAAAGAAAGAAAAAAUAUAUUUAAACUUUAGUCAAAUAUAACAAAUCAUUUGUAGUAAUAUUAAAUAACAAACCUGGCGGAGGGUGUGGAAAAUUAAGGUUCGCAUUUGUCAAAGCCUGGUCAAAAACACGAGCAUCAUGAGCAGUACCUUCCCAACCAGCUAAUACAAAAGUGAAGCACAUGUUCCAAUCACAUACAGCCAUUAUAUUUUGUGUAGCAUAUCCCUUUCUUCCAAUAAACUUUGUUUGCUCACUUCCACUAACUACACAUGACACAUGUGUACCAUCAAUUGCUCCUAUAGCAUUCUUAAAAAAUGGCCAAUAUCGUGGAUCAUUUUUUAUUUUGGAAUGACAAUCACGAAACAUAGGAUCUUCGGGUUUAAUAUAUUUCAUAGACAACUUAAGGACGACAUGAAGCACUUGAUGAAAAUGUCUACUUACAGUCUCACCCGAGUGUUGAAACCUUUCUUGAAUCAUUCUAUUACCUACCCCGUGGCCAACAGCAACUAAAAACAUUGCAACCAUUUCUUCAACCGUCAUUCGAUUAGAUGACUUUAAACCAAGCUUAACUAAUUCAGUGCACAAUAGAUUAAAUACAUGUUUUUCCAUUCGAAACAUCUCAUAACAACGAGUGGGAUUACCUUGCAAUAUUUCUUGAACCCAGGAAUGACCCGUUAGCUCACUAGUUCGACAAGGUUCUUUGCAUAAAUGGUUUACUGCAUACUCACCAACUAGUGCAGCCACAAAAAUAGCUUUUUGGAAAAUGUCAUCAUCUUCUUCAUCAUCUUCGUCUCUAGUGUGGUCGGAUUGCUCAUUCCAAUUGUCCAUUUCUACCUAUCUAUAGAUGCAUAUUGAAGAACAUGAUGAGGGUUUUGUUGUUGAGUUGCUGGAUAUUGUUUGUGAUAUGUUUCAAAAAACACUUUUACCCUUUAUUGAUCACACAUACCUUGAGGGUAAAAAAUCAAGAGUAUUCGUAUGUGAGAAGAAAAUAAUCUCAAAAAACACUUUUACACUUUAUUGAUCACACUUUGUUAUUUAUACACACAUAUUGUUAAUUAGUUUCGCAUUGAACAAACAAACUGAUACAAACUUCAUGCUAAAAUACAGAAAAACAGCAAAAAACAAGUAAACCAGUACCAAAUUACCCACAAAAAAACACUAAUUUCUAAGAGACAUUUUAUCAAACACAUACAAUGCAGCAAUAUUUUUCCUUUGUAUAAAUUAAUAAGAGGUACUAAUUUAUGGAACCAAACAAAUUUUAUAAGCAUUGCAACAAAGAAAAAAGUGUGAUUUUGGUACAACAAGUAAGCAAAUAAAAGUUAAAAUCACUCAAAAAUGACAAAUUACCUUGUUGUUGUUGUUAUCUUUUGAGCAGAAUUUUUUCUUCUUGUUGUUCUCUUCACCACAAUUUUUCCUUGUAGGAGAUGAUGUUGUUAUAUAAGCUGAUGGUAAUAAAUUUUUGGAUUAAAUUUGGGAAGGGUGGUUGAAUUAUGGUUGAGAAAAGUGGACUGUGAAGGGGGAAUGGAAUUAAUAGAAUUGAGAGUUAAGACUGCAGAAAAUAAAUGUUAUUCUCUUCACCAACAUUUAUUUUAAUAAGACUGCAGAAAGAAAAAAUUCGGUUGGAGAAGGGUUAGAAAAAUUAAUGAGGACAGGGAUGGAAUUAAUAGAAUUGAGGGUGUAGAAUUGAUUCUAGGAAAGUAAGAAGCUAGGAAUUGUAGCUUCAACUAGAAUUGCUUUUGGAGGAUAAAAGCUAUUUUGAAAAGCCAAACCAAACAUGUUAAAUAUUGCAGAAUUGCUUUUGAAAUGCUCCAGAAUUGAUUCUGGCUUUGCAAAAGCCAAACCAAACAGAGGCUUAAUCUUGUAGCAUAAUUUGGAAGAUUUCAUAACUUUCAUUUGAUGCAUUUAUACUCUAUUGCUAUAUAAAACAAGUGAAGCAUUCAUUUUUUUAUUAUAAGAAAUGGAAUUUAAUUACAAAAUCAAACGAGACAAACUAGCCUCUCUUACAUCAUCUUCUAGAGUACGUUUAAAACUAUGAGGAAAAACAUCAAACACAAUACAAUUAAAAUGUAAGGAAGAGUGUCUGAGAUUUGCAAAUAGGUCAGCACGCUAAUUAGCAGCGCGAUACACAUGGCAGGCUGAAGUGUCCCAUCCAGGGAGGGGGGAAGAGAGACCGACCGCCUCUUGAAGAAAAGGUUGAUUGAACGCAUUUGGAAUCGCAAGAAAGUGUAAAAAAUUGAUGGUGGUAUUACAAGGAGCAUGAUGAUGUCACUUUAUAUAGUUUAUGAAGGGGAACAAAUUUAAAUCCCCUAUUAUUUUCAUUACCUAACUCGUAGACAGAAAUGAAGGGGAACAAAUUUAAAUCCCCAGUAUUCCAAAACACCCUACCCUCCCUUUUGAUUUUUUUUCCUCUGCCUCCUUUUGACACUUCUCUCUAUAACACAAAUUCAAUGAAAACAAUCACAAAGUUAUUUUAUUUUUAUGAUUUUUAGCUCUUUUGGCAUCUGAGUUUUGUGUUCUAUACAAACCAUGAUUCAAGGCGGUUUAUUUGUAUUAAUUGUGUAAUGAUUGUGAGUUAUGAGAGUAAUGGGUCAAUUAAAACACAAAAAUUGGGGUUUUCAGAUCUUUGCUUAUGAAUUUCGAAUUUGGGUUAAAGUUUUUGAUUUGUUCUGUUGAAUCGACUCAAGCCAUGAAUUCAUGAUGUUGAAUAUGGGUUUUUUAUUUACUGUGCUAAAUGUUCGAUUUUUUUCAUCGGAUAUUGUAUGAAUUUUGAUGAAUUUAUAUGAAAGUGAAAAAGUGGUGGAAGGAAGAAGAUGGAGAAAUUGUUAUUUUUAAAUUGGCUUAAAUGUUCAAUUGAUCCCUUAACUUGAUUUCAAGUAUCGGUUUGGUCCCAUAAGUAAUAAAAAGUUCGUUUAGGUCCUUUAAUUUUAUUUAAAGUAUCGGUUUGAUCUUUUCUAUUAAUUUAAUUCAAAAAACGGCAAGUUUUGGUCCCUUAACUUAUUUAAUUAGUGUUAGAUUGGUCCCUUAACUUAUUUAAUUAGUAUUAGUUUCGUCCCUAAACUUAACGCUUUUUUGAAUUAAAUUAACAUAAAUGAUUAAACCGAUACUUAAAAUAAAGUUAAGGGACCUAAACGAACCUUUUAUUACUUAUGAGACCAAACCAAUACUUGAAAUCAAGUUAAGGGACCAAUUAAGCAUUUAAGCCUUUUAAAUUUGAUUUUCCGACUUAUCGUUUUUUGGUUUUGGUCCUUCUACGAAUUUCGUUUUUUGGUUUUGGUCUCUCACAUUGUGUGACUCAUCAUCUAGUUUUCCACAUCAACGUCGUCUUCCAUGUCAACCAUUGCCACAUCAUCCUCCGAUAGCCACGUGUACAUUUUUGUAACAGAAGCUAACGGGAGGGACAAAAAGCAACACGUUAAUAAUUUAUAGGGACGGUUCUGAAAAAUUAAAAGAUAAAUGGACAAAAACCAAAACUCGUGAGCAUAGCUCAGUUGACAGGACAUGCAUUGUUAUAUGGGGUCGGGGUUCGAACCCCGAACACCUCACUUAUUCACCUUGAAAAAGGUGAAUUCUAGCCAUAGGCCAGUUGACAAAAAAAAAAAAAAGAACCAAAACCACGCCAUAUUUAAGCCUGUCUUUAGACUCAUUUUUUUUCUCAUCUCCCUUUGGUACUUCUUUCUUUCCAUUACGAUAAAAAAAAAUUCAUAAUCUGCCAAAAAUGAGAGAUACUAAUCAAUAAAACUAACUGAAGCACAACACAGUGAUCUAAAUUCAAAAGGGAAACCUUAACUUACUCUUUCUUUGGAGAUUCACAGGAAAACAAGCAAAGAAGCAUAGUGUUUGCAGCAACAGAUUUAAAAUCAUACAAAUUAGAAACCAAGCCAUUAUUGCGAGCUAUUGCAGAAGAUAUAUAACCCCUGAAAAUUCAAGUUUGUCAAGGAAAAAAUAACGUAACAAUUAACUUACUAACAUUUACCGUUAAAAAUAAAUAAAAAAUUCUAGUCUAUCUCACAUUAAUAACUCAAAAUUGCUUUCAGUCAUUCACAAAGGUCUUCCUUCUAGGACGAAGUAUUGGUAGGAGAUGUGCCUCAUAGGGUGAGUUUUCUUAGACUUUAUCAGGUUUCUUCCCAACAGUCUUAGAUGGUUAGGGAGAUGGAAUCUUGGGUUGAUGGAGAGUGGGUGUGGGAUAUGAGGUGGAGACGUCAAUUUUUUUUUGUUGGAACAUGUCUUAGUGGUAUAGUUAUUGGUGGUGUUGGAUGUGAAGUCGUUGUCAAUUGGGGGUUGAUUAUUGGUCUUGGAAGUUUGCUUCAGAUGCAGUCUACUCGACCUGGUUUACGUAUGAUUCUCUCUCGGAGGAGGAUUUAAGGGUUGUAGGUAGGGUGGCAUGGUUGUUCCAUUUGCUUGCAAAGGUUUGAAAGAUCCCAACUAGAGCUGAUUUGUUUUGGUGUGGGGAGCCUGAUUUGGUGCCUUUGAGUGGAGUUUUUGGGUUUUUCUGCUAAUUUCUUGUGUCUUAAUCUCUUUGGUGGCGUUGACUUGGUUAAUUAUUUCCUUAGUUUGGGCACAAGGAUGGAGGCAUGCUUUUUGCUUUGUUAUUUUUGUGGUGCAGGUGUUUUGGUGCUUCUGGGUGUUUCCCUUUUUGGUUUCCCCGGGGGAUCUUUUGGUCACCAUUGGUGUUCCAUCUAUCUGUGUACAUUCGUUACUCUUUUCCAUAUAAAAAAAAUUACAAAACUUAGAAUGGAAAAUAGUAAAUUAAUGGGGUUUGCAAGAGUUGUUUGAUUGCGUUGAAAAGUAAAUGGAUGGUGUGAUUCAGGAUCUUAGUGGUGAUACCGAUUCUUCGGUUACUCUCAACCUAUUUGUUGGUUUAAUUCAAACUACUACUUAUGACCUAAGCACUAUAUAAACGAUAGUUAAUCUCAUGGGAUGAAGAUUCACAUCCCUCCAUAUGUCAUGUUGCUCCUCAUCACUCAAGGGAGGUAUACGCGCUCAAACUCGGUGCGCAUAAGCGCUAUGCAUUAGAUGUUGGUAUGGUUCCUUAGAGUGGGGACUUACACUCUAACAUGUAACUGCUCCUCAUCACUUAAGGGAGGUAUUCCCGCACAAAUGUGGCUCACAUGACCGUUAUACGUGAGACGUUGGUAUGGUUCCCUAGAGUGGAGACUUACACUUUCAUAGGUUUCUUGGAACCUAACAUUCAAAAUAAUAAUCCCCAAUAUUAAUUAAAGAAUCUUGAACAAAAUUCAUACAUGUAACUAUUCUUAAUAAAGAAAGAUCCCAAUCUAUACUCUAACCUAAUGUUCAUUCAUUCAUAGUCUAGGUGCAUCAAUUCCUAGUACGAAAAGCAUCAAGCACGAAACAUAUGAAAAUUAAAUAUAACUCAGAUAAUAUAACUGAAUAAAUAAAUUUUAUUAAUGAAUUCCAACAAAUAAAAAGAGGUUCAUCAUAGAACCCUAAUCAAAAGGUGUUUAGUUAGUCAUCAUUAUAAAAUACAUCAUCAUCGAAAAACAAAACAUACUCUAAAAACAAUUUGAGGAGGUGUGAGACUUCCCUUUGGAACUACCAAAUUUUGAAUGAAUAUUUAUGUGUGCAAAGAACACUUUAUAUAAGUAUCUUUCCAACUAGCUUUGCAGAAGAAUUAUGGAAUUUUUCCUUCAACCCGUAGAUGAAAAUCAACAAAAAAAUGAUUUUUUUCUCGCCUAACGUGUGCGGAGGGUGCGUGGUUAGUGCUUCAUAAAUCACAUGUUCUCGUAGCUAUACGCCCAACACACAGGGUCAUGUGCAUGGCUCAAUGUCCAGGAGUGAAAAUUUCACUUUUUCUCCGUUCUUGAGUGUUUUCCUUCUUCGACAUGCUCUUGGGACUUGGGAUAAAAUUUCCCUAACUUGUAUUGUCUUCCAUAACUUCCAUGAGAUGUUUUGAUUUUUCAAAUUACGUGAUUUAUCAGUAAAAAAACUCAAAACACCUAUGAAAUUGUCUAGUUAUGAAAGAAAUGAAAUUACAAUGACUCAAAUCAAAACAAUACAAAAUGUCCAUCAAACCACAAAUAACUCAGCUAAAGCUCCUAUAAAUUGUCUUCAAAUGCUUAUUAGUAAGACACAAAAGCAUACCUAAACAUCAUAUUAUUAGGUGUCUUUAGGAUCUGAGCAAUGAAGAUCCAUCCCAUGACAAAUAUUACAUGAUCUAAGCUUGAUAUAUGGAGAUCCAUCUUAGGAGAAAAUUUUGGUGUUUUCAAAGAAAAACCGUUUCAGUUUGAAAUUAUGUGAAUGACUGCAUUGAACCAUAGUUUGAUUCGGUGUGGUUUUAAACAAAUUUCUAACUGUUUAGUUUAGUUUUUUUUUUUUUAAUUGUUUUGAUAAUUCAGAUCACGUUGGUAUAUGAAAAAAAACUGAACCAUGAACAAUCUUUAUAGGAACAAUAAAACCCCACUCAUGUAUCAAAUAUAUGAAAGUUCAUUUUUAAUUUUCUUUAUUUUCUUAACCCUCUACUUUCAAGAGAAAAGGAUUUAGUAAUUUUAUGACAUGAUGAUAUUUGAUGAUAUUUUAGCUAUGUUUUUGAGUCAAUUGAAUAGAGUCUGAGGUCAUUUUAGAUAUGUUUUAAAGGAGUUGUUCAUGAUUUAAGAGACAUUUUCUAUUUUUCAUUUGAGUCCUUAUAAUUCUAAUUCUUCCUAAAUCUAACAACUCCAUAUGUGUUUCCGAGUCAAUUUAGUGAGAAAUAAUGUGAUUCGGAAAAUGAAGACAUCACACGAAGUUAUGGAGGAAAGAGAAUGAAGAUCCACGGAUCUCGUGAAGUUUUUUGAAGGCAAUACGAUAAGAGAAAAUAAUGUCUCAAGUCCCAAGAUGACAACAUGGAAGAAGAUCACUCAAAAAACGAAGAAAAAAAAAAAGAUAUUUUCCACACAUUUUCUUGCCUUAUGUGCCCCAGGCGCAUGAAAGUACCGGGAGGGAAAAUUUCCAUGCCCCAAAAGCAUGGUUCUGGGAAAUUUUUCUUAGUUGCUUGUUUUUCAACUUUGAUCAGUGGAAAAAGUAGAGAACCCAGUUAUAACCUAGAUGGACGCUUGCCUAUAAAUAAAGGCUUUUGCACACACUUUUAUUUAUUCAGAAACUUGACGGUUCAAGGUGAAGGCAAACAUCAAGGGCUUCCUAAACUCUAUUCGAGUAUAUUUUGUAAUUCUUUUAUGUUUUAUGUUCCAUAAACAACUAAACAUUCUCCUAUUAGGUUUUUAAUAUAAACCCCUGUUUAUUUGUUAGAAUUUAUUAAUGAAUUUUUUUUUAUUCAAUUAUGAUUUAAGUCUUAUAUAAUUUCCAAUUGUUGUAAUAAGACCUAAGUGUAUCUGAUUAUACCUUAGGCAAAAAUAAUCCCUAAGAUUAUCCUUUAUGAUCCCUAGGUUAUGGUUUAAAGCAAACAUACCUUACUUUAACCGGACAAGAACUAAAAUUGAAAGUUUCUCCAAUUAUAUCUAAUUGUGCAAGCAAUUCAAACUUACAACCUAAUAAACUUUUAGUAAGUGUACUAAAAAUGUAUUGCAGUAAUAAAAUAAGUUUGUAUUCAUAAGGACUGUGUUAAUCUCAAUUUAGCAAUAAAGUAAAUAUUUAGGAUGUAUAAAUUAUUUUGUUUGUAAAUUUGAUUUGAUUGUAUAAAAUUAAAUAACAUAAAAUAAAUAUUCAGUUAGAAAAUAUAGAUUUGGUUAGAAAAUAUGAAGAGAGAUGAGAUCAGGUCUUUGAAAUUAUCUAUGUUCCCCUAAUUGGUAUACUACACCUAUUCUUAUGAAUGAUUUUCUAGUUCCACGAUAGUUAACAAAAUAGUCCUAAUCAAUCCCUUGACUUAGGACACUCUUCUCAAACUACAGCCCCUAAUUUCUUAGGUGGUCUAAUAAUCUUUAAAGGUUUAAACACGUUAACCUAAUAUCACUAACAAACGAUUAUCCAUUCCUAGACUAACCCUGUUUAUUAGAACAAUUCAAUUCUGUCUAAGUAGAAAGCUAUGGUAAGUAGUAAUUCAUUCUCACUAAAUCAUGUUUAUAUUUGAUCAGGAUAUAAAAAGCAUUAAGAACAAUUGAAUUGAAUAAAAACUAGAUUGUCAUUCACAAUAAAUAGAGUUUCACAGCAACAUGGUUCAAUUAGGGUUACAAAGAAUCAUCUCAGACCUAACCUCUAAGAGAUUUAGCUAAUCAUAAUUGAGUUUACAAAUAGCAUAAUUAAUAAUGGAAUCAAAACAUACAUGAACUGAUAGAAGGUUGAAGAAAUCGCCCUCCUAGCCAUCUUUAGGUCUCAAAAUCGCACUUUGCUCUCUCCAAUUCGUAACCCUUGUUUUCAGAAUAGUCUUCAGCUUAAAUAGGCAAGAACUGCUCCUAAAAUCGUGGCACGAUUUAAGUAAAUCGUGACACGUUUCUUCCUUGUGUAACAAACUACCAAAAUUAGGGUUUCCAUAAUCGUGUCACGUUUUUGCCAUCGUGACACGUUUUCACCAAUGCCGAAUGCAUAUUUCUUGAAAGCUUCAAAUCGUGUCACAUUUUUCAGUAAUCGUGACACGAUCCCCUUUUUUUUUCUUCAGUUUCUUCAGUUUUCCUUGCUUUUCUUGCUGCUUAAUCUUGUUUGUGAACUCAAAAAUAUCAAAAAAAGACUCUAAAAAUAACGAAUGACUGACUGUCAUCACAACCCUUAACCCCCCUUUAUUUAUUUUUAAUUUAAAUAAGUUUAGUAAAUUGUUGAGUUGACAACAAUCCUGUAGAGAUGAUAACUUAUUACUUUCUAUGGGACUUAUUUUACUUAUUACUAUAGAGAUAACGACAAUUGUUGAGUAGAAACUCUACAAGAUUGUGUCAACCCUUAAUCCCCCUUGAGAAAUGAUAUUUGCACAACCAAUUUUUUACAACUUUUGCGACAACCUUCUCUCUCAUACUCACAUUAUGUUUUUACUUUCUCUCUAUUGCUUUGAUUUUUGUGUCAAUACUUUAUUUUAGGCUUAAAUGCUCUUUUGGUCCCUUAACUAUUUAAUUGGUAUCGCUUUGGUCUCUUAACUAAAAAAAAGAUUGUUUGAGGAUUUUAAGUUUUUUUUUAGUCUCGUUUUGGUCCCUUCUGUUAGGUUUCCGUUAGGGUUUUAAAAAAAAAGCUAACUCCUGGACACGUGUCACCUUGUCAUUAGCUCUGAGUUUUUUUUUUAUAAAAAAAAAAUUAUUAUUUUUAAAAAAAAAAAAUCCCAAAGCCAAUGACAAAGUGACACGUGUCACCUUGUCAUUGGUUCUGGGAAUUUUUUACAAAAAAAUAAAAUAUAUAUAUUAAAAAACAAUAAAAAUUUUUGUAAAAAAAAAAAAACUUAGAGCUAAUGACAAGGUGACACGUGUCCACAUUUAAUGUUUUUUAUUAAAACUAACGGAAACCUAACAGAAGGGACCAAAACGAGACUAAAAAGAAACUUAAAAUCCUCAAACAAUCUUUUUUUUAGUUAAGGGACCAAAGCGAUACCAAUUAAAUAGUUAAGGGAUCAAAAGAGCAUUUAAACCCUUUAUUUUAUUUGCAAAAUUUUGAUUGUACUAAAAGUUGUCACAUAAUUGGUUGUUCAAAUAACACAACUCAUCCCCCUUUAUCUAUAGUUUUUUUUCACUAUGAUUUUAAUGCAUAGUGUUUAGUAAAUUGAAAAGACUUUUUACUUAUCCUUAUCCUUAUUUAUUAAUUUUGUUAGGUGUGCAGCAAUUUAACCUAAUUUUUUCCCGCUCAUUUGUGUAACGCCCUAAUUGUUAUUUAAUUAUUUUUAGUUGAUGUAAAGUCUUUCAUACGAUUUUAAAAUGAUUUAUGUUGAUUUUGUGGUGUGGUGUAUUUUAUUAAAUGGCUAUUUUUAUUAUUUAAUAGAAUAAGUGGAGAAAUAGAAUUAUUUUGGAGUUUGGGGAUUUAAAUUAGAAUUAAUAGAAUUAAGAGGAGUUAAGAAUAUUUUGGAGGUUACAAUAGGUUGGAAAAAUAGAAACUGAGAGUCAUAACCAGUUUCACGUACAAACAGAGGUUUUGGGAGAAAACAAGAGAAAGCUAGGAGAAGAGCCAAAGGGGGAGAAUCUGAUUGUGUAAGAGUUUGUUCAUCAAAACUAAGGUAAGUGUGAGGCUAACUCUCAAUGAUUAUAGUUUGUAUAAUUCUGAUUUUGAUUUAGCAAGGGGUUGUGAUUAAAUUUGGGAAUUGAGAUUAGGUUUUGAUUAUUGAUUUUUGAAUGAAAAAGUGUAGAAACCAUAGAAUUGAACGGUGAAAAGAGUGGUUAAUCAGGUAGGUUAGAGAUGGAUUAACGUUUUAAUGAUAGGGUAAUCAUAUGGUGAUGAUUAUGGAUGAUUUUGGAGAGUUUAGGGUCAAGAAACAGAGCCAAGGAGGCUCCCAUGGUAGAAAAUCGCAGAAAAAUCUGUAAUAUCAGCAUGUAUGAUGCUGUCGAAAUCGUGAGGCGAUUUUGACAGAAAAUCUGUAAAUUUCAGUAUGUCUGAUGCAUACCCUGUUUCGUGUUCUUGUGUCUUUUUUACAUGUUUCUGUUUUGAAUUGACCUUUGGUGUAAACAUGAAAGUUGUAGAUAAUUUUGUUAGCUUUCCAAUGGCUUUGGUUUGACUUGAAAAUGAUUCUUGGUUUUUGAGUUAUGAUGGAAAUACUCUAGGUAGGUCUUAGUGAAACCUUAUGAAAAUUCAGCACAACCAUUUCUAAGUUAAUCCAAAACUUAUGGGAUAAUUCCAAGGCUCAAAACUAGAAGUAAUAUGAGUUCAAUUAAGGUGUUUAAGAGUAUUUAACCCAUGUUGUGAGUUGACCAUUAGGGUAGGAAUGGAGGUUGAUUAUAGUACUGUUGAUGUUGAGUGAGUCAGAUAUAAUAUGAUUUGAUGUUGUUAGUAAUGAGAUAUAUUUGUAUAUGCAUUAUGUGGAUUAUAUAAGAUGUUUAAGUUGAUGUUGAUUAUCAUUUGAUAUUGUUAUAUCUUAAGAUGUUUAUGUGCUGCCUAUGUUGCUGUUGUAAAUUGAUUAAGCUGCAUGUAUCGGUCUAAGAUGUAAGAUUUCGUUCCAAAGUAUUGGAGUCUUAAGUUGUUGAUGUUGACCAAGUUGUGGAGUAAGUCAUAAUUAUUUAUGCACAGUUGUCGCUGUCUACGUUGUCGUUGAUGUUGUCGUUGUUGAGUUGUAUGUUGAUAUACACAGUUUAAGUCCAUUGCAUACUCAUAAAUUGUUGAGGGCUCAUGCCCUGGAACGCCUUGUCGUUCAAAGCGGGAGGACUCAUGUCCUGGAACAACAAACCUGGAACACUUUGUUGUUCAAAGCGGUGAGGGCUCGUGCUCUGGAACGCCUUGUCGUUCAAAACGGGAGGACUCAUGUCCUGGAACACUUUGUUGUUCAAAACGGUGAGGGCUCAUGCCCUGGAACGCCUUGUCGUUCAAUUGGUGAGGGCUUAUGCCAUGUGAAUGCUUUAACCAUUCAAAUCCAGGAGGGCUCAUGCCCUGGAAUGCUUUGUCAUUCAAUUGUUGAGGGCUUAUGCCCUGGAAUGUUUAUCAUUCAAAUUGUUGGGGGCUUAUGCCCCAGAAUGCUUAGUCAUUCAACAAGUUGAAAAUGGUGCCACGUGCAUAUUGUAGUUGUCGUUGUUCUUGAGAGAGUUGUUGCUGUUGUUGUUGUUGAUUAAUUGUUGUUGAUUGAGUUGUUGUUGUUGUUGAUUAAGUUGUUGUCGUCGUUGUUGAGUGAGUUGUUGUCGUUGUCGUUGAAUCUUGUUGUUGUCGUCGUUGUUGGUUGAAUUAGUAAGUGUUACUAAAGUUAAAGAAGUAAGAACAUUAUUGUUGAAUAUAUGUUGCUGUUUAUAUUAUUAUGAUGUGAUGAUUAUGUUGUGUCGUUUAUAUUAUUAUGAGAAGAUGUUUAUGAUAUGAUGAAUUAUGUUGUUAUGAUGUUGUUUAUGAUAUUGAUUAUGAUGUUAUGAUGACUGUUUAUGGUGUUGAAUAUGAGGUUGUUAUGAUGUUACAUGAUGAUGAUUAUGAAUGUUGUGAUGAUGAUUACAUGAUGUUAUCUAUGAGUUGUUAAAUGUACUUGAUGAUGGUUAUGUUAAGUUGAUAAGUUGUCUUUUAUUCAUGAAUUGCUAAUGAAAUGUUUGAUGAAUAAUUAUUAUUAUGAAAUGAUGAUGUUACAUAUAGUUGCUAAGUUGUCUUUUAUUCAUGAAUUGUUAAUGAAAUGUUUGAUGAAUAAUUAUUAUUAUGAAAUGAUGAUGUUACGUAUAGUUGCUAAGUUGUCUUCUAUUCAUGAGUUGUUAAUGAGAUGCUUGGUGGAGAAUGUUAAUACGAAUUAAUGAUGUGAUUAUGUUGUAUAUGAACUAUGAAUAUGAUGUUGUUACGUUGUUUAUGUCAUUGAUUAUGAAGUUGUUAUGUUGUAUACGAACUAUGAGUAUGAUGUUAUAUGAUUAUGAUUAAGAUGUUGAUUAUGAUGUUAAAUGAUGUUGUUACGAUGUUGUUUAUGAUAUCGAGUUAUGACUGUUGAUAUGAUGAGUACAUGAUAUGGUUUAGGAGUCGUUAAAAGAAUUAUUAUUACUAAUUGAUGGAGUUUAAGUUGUUAGAUGCAUUUGAUGAAUUAUAUGCUUAUUAUUAUUGUUUUUGAAAUCUCACCCCUUCUGCUUGAAAAUGUUGCCCUUCGUAUGAGUAACUUGCAGGUAAUAAAGAUUAGUAGGAGUGGUGGCUCAAGUGUCUUAGGGCUCUGAUACGUAACGGGAUGAGAAAUUGUUGCUAAGUUUAUCAUUCUUUUAUGUAUCAAUUUUGGAACAUGUUGUUGAAGCUUUUAUUGUCGUUGAAUUAAUUCCGCUGCAAAGUUUUAAUUAUUACGUUGUUGAAAUUUGAAGGAUAAUUAUUUAAUUAUUCCAUUUGUGAUUUUUAAGAAAAGAGGUGUAACAUUCCGUUUAAGGUGUUUUACUCUGAUUAAUUUAUGAAAUUUUUAUGUUGGGAAAAUGGGGGUGUUACAAUUUGCUUUAUUAGGUUUGCAAUUAUUUAACCUGACAAAUUUCAUCUAAAAAAAUGCAUCGCACUAGUUUCAUUCCUAUCCUCUUGUUUUUUUUUUUUUAAAGGAAAUAUUUUCUACACUUAUUUGAUGUUGCACGUUUGUUCUAGAAACUAUGAGCAUAUCAAUGAUCACGUUUGAUGUCCUCUAUUUUAUACUUUUUUUUGUACACUUUCUUUUUUAAGGAAAUCCUUAUUUAUUAAUUUUGUUAGGUGUGCAUCAAUUUAACCUAAUUUUUUCCCGCUCAUUUGCUUUAUUAGGUUUGCAAUUAUUUAACCUAACGAAUUUCAUCUAAAAAAAUGCAUCACACCAAUUUCAUUUCUAUCUUCUUGCCUUUUUUUUUUGAAGGAAAUAUUUUCUACACUUAUUUGAUUCGGCACGUUUGUUCUAGAAACUAUGAGCAUAUCAAUGAUCACGUUUGAUGCAUUCUACUUUAUACCUUUUUUUUGACAAUAUUUUGUACACUUUCUUUUUUAAGGAAAUAUUUUGUACACUUAUUUAAUAUUAAAAAAAUGUAUCGUAACAAUUUCAUUUCUAUCCUCUUGCCUUUUUUUUUUUUUUUUUUCUAUCCUCUUGUCUUUUUUUUUUUAACAAUAUUUUGCUAUCUUCUUGCCUUUUUUUUUUAACAAUAUUUUGUAAACAAUAUUAGAAAAAUUCAUCACACUAAUUUCUUGCCUUUUUUUUUUUACAAUAUUUUGUACACUUUUUUUUAACCAAUUUCAUGCCUUUAUUUCAUUCCUAUCCUGCUGCCUUUUUUUUUUUUGACAAUAUUUUUUACACUUAUUUAAUACGUUUACAAACAGAAUACCCUAAUUUUCAUGCAAACUCGGCUAUCCUAAUUUCCAUGUAAACUUGGUUAUAUAUACCAAGCCCUAAACAUGUUUCUCUAAAAAAAAAAAACCUAAAUCGUGGUAAAUUUCACACUCAACACAAGAAUCAUAUAUUUUGAUAUUUAGAGGUUUGCAAAUGGAAAGACGUGACUUUACAACUUUCCUCUCAUACCACUUAACUGGUAACUUUAAUUCAAUUCUGAAUUUUUUUUCUUCCAUUUUUUGGAUUAUUAUUAUUAAUGUUUUUUGAAUUAUACAAUUGUCAUACUUUUUGUAACAUGUUGUUUUCCAUUGAUUUGGUAGGUCCUUUGAUGACUCAUCCUGUUACUGAGAUGGACAAGACUGUCACCAAACUUCAAUUGAAGUACAAAACAUACAUAGUUGAGUACGACACAGAAGAUGUAAUUUGUCGUUUUCCUUCCUAACUUCUUGCUCUUUUUUUGUUUUUUACGAAAACUAUCAUUCUGCAAUAUAUUAUUUGGACAUCCAGAGAAGGACUAAAGAUAUUGAUCACUGAUGAAGAUGGUGAAGAUACCAAUGUAACAUCUAAUGUCGUAUAUGAGGAAGUAUUUUGUAAUGUGUGAUGAAACUACAUGCCAAUGUACUAAAAAUUUCAUAUUUCUUUUACCGAAUUAUUGAUAGGAUUACCGAAUAUUCUUUUAUAAUAUUUUCAGAUUUCAUACAUUUUAUGAAGUGUUUUAUUUUGUCUACUAUAAAUUAUCACGUGUUAUUUUUUCACCGUUACUAAUUAUAUAUUGCAUUUUAUUAUUCGUAUGUCAAUCUUUUUACAAUAAACCCGAGCGGAGCACGGGUCGGAUCUAGUUACUUAAUCAAAUAAGUUUUGAACAAUUUCCAAUGCGAUUGCAUAUAUGGUUUGUCAUUUUGUGUAAAAGCUAAUUACAAGAUUCCCAAAAUAACAUAAACCGUGUAGUCUGUUUCAUACUUUUUUUUUUGACGAAGGUGGUCUGUUUCAUACUUAUGAAAAGAAUUGCAUAUAUUCUGUCGUCAAAAAUAUUAGAAUAUUUGUAUCCUACCAAAUAUAUUUUGGACAAUAAUUAAAUCAAGCAACGUUCAUAACUUUUAUCUAUAAAAUAGAAGACAUCAAAACAAUCUCAAAGACAUCAAAACAAUCUCAAAAUACUUAUUAUUUCAACUACAACAAUCUAAACAAGAAGAGGAUAUCCACUAAAAAAAAAUGCAUAUGAAAAUAUGUUUUGUUAAUGUAUUUCAAUGUAAACUAAUCCAUUUUUUAUUUAACUAUCAACUAUGUUAUUUAUUUAAAUCAAAUUUCUUUGGUCAAAGUAUUUAAUCAUAUUUGACCAUGUACAUAAAUAAUAAACUAUAGAUAAUAUAAACAAGCGUCUGGAUAUCAAAAUAAAAUUAUUAUAUCCAAUUAAAUCAUAAAAAACAAGAAAAUAUACUUAUAUGGAAAAAUUGCUGCAAUUAAUAAUUGUCAACUUUUUUUUUAAGUCAAUUUUCUUUUGACUGUUAAGUCAAACAUUUGUUAACGUACAUACAUUAUUUAUACAUAUAUCAAACACAACCUUAUUUAAAUGUAACCUCUAAAAAUAUUCAAACUCAUUAAAAAAAAUGCAAUGCUUUGUACCAAAAUAAAAAUAAAAAAUGCAAUGCACGACCCGUGCUAACACACAUAUACGUUUGGAAGAGAAAUAACAAGGUUCUUAUUGAGCCUAGAGGCCUUAAUAAUCACACUAUAUCUUUGCAGGAGCCACAUAUUUUUAAUAUAUUUAAAAUAAAUUGAUGUUCUUGAAAUGCAGUGAUGUAAAGUAUAACUUUUUUUGUUCUCUUUCCAAUUAGUAAAACUCGUUUAAUAAACAUAUUUUGAGAUAAAUUGAGUACUUGUUAAAUAAUAAACAUUAAUCCUCUCGAAAAAAAAACCUCUCAAAAAAUAAUAAACAUUAAUAAUAUUAAAAAAUGAGAGAGCAUCUUCAUUGUAGAUGCUCUAAGUGUCCUACAUGGCAUAAAAAUAGAUUGAGUGCAGUCGCCCUACAUACAAUCAAAUUGCAAUCAACAACUCACAAUCGUUAGUUCAAAAUCGAAUGACUAUAUUUUAAUACAAUUUUAUUUUUUAAUAAAUUUAAAAUUUUGACCUUGAUAUUUGAACUGUCAGAUCUCGAUCAGACAACUUUGAUCUUGCUGAAUACACACAAUCAUGACUGAAGACUACACCCAAUCUCAAACCCAAAACCUUAAAUAAAACAAAAGCCUCAAAAGUAAAGUCAUUGUCUAAACGUCUCUUCGUGCUUUCCACCCUAAGAACAUGUCUCUGAUACCUAAAUCUAAUGUCCCCCUUUUCCUUCUUCUACUAAUUUUCAUUCUUCCUCACAUAGGGAUUGCUGAAGAAUCUUCCCUUGUAGAGGUUCUCCGCAACCAUGGCCUCCCAGCAGGUCUCUUCCCUCAAAGUGUGAAAUCGUUCAAGUUGGACCAAAUGGGUCAUUUAGAGGUACAUCUAGAUCAUCCUUGUUUGGCUCAGUAUGAAACCACAGUGUUCUUUAACACCGUUGUGAAAGCAAACCUCAGUUUUAGACAACUUAAGGUUUUAGAUGGUAUGUCUCGUGAAGAGCUUUUUUUGUGGCUACCUGUUAAAGAUAUAUUUGUCCUUGAUCCAUCUUCCGGUGUAAUUCUGAUUGAUAUUGGGUAUGCGUUGAAAUACCUCGCUUUCUCUCAUUUUGAUGAGCCCCCAGUUUGUAGAUCUCCUAAUGGUAUCCUCUCUCUAUCUCUAUAUAUAUAUAUCAUCUUUUUGAUUGAGAGUUUUAAAUUUAAUUAAGUAGCAAUGAAAAAAAUGUGAAUUUUGUUCUAUGGUAUAAAAGAUUUCUGAUUCUUGAAAUCGAAUGUUGGGUGCAGGACUUGCAUUUCUAAUGGGUGGAAGGAAGGGUAUUGGAUUUUCCGAUCAAUGACAAUAUGGGUAUUCAUUUGUAUGAAAGGAUGGCUUCAAUCUUUUCAAUUUUGGGGGUUUAUGUAUGAAAAAUUAUAUUUAUGUACAAAAUUGUGGAACUUGAUAUAAAGUAUAAUAAUGUCAUCCAUUAAUUGAAUGAUAAUCAAUAUUAGUAUCUACCUUCAAUCGUCACCUAAAGAAAAGUAUAUAUCUACCUUCAUUUCAAGAGAAGAAAGUUACACCUAAGUACUUAAGAAGGACUUCAAAUUUUUUUUAGUAAGGAUCAAUUUUCGCUAUCCAAUAAUUGAAUGAUAAUCAAUACUAGCAGUUGCUUUCAAUUGUCACCUAAAGAAAAAUUACCCACCUUUAAUUCGAGAGAAGAAAUUACGGCUAAUUACUUAAGAAGUACUUCAAAUUUGGAGUAAGGAUCCAUAUUUGCUAUCCAAUAACUGAAUGAUAAUCAAUACCAAAACUGCCUCCAAUUAUCACUUAAAGAAAAAGUAUCAACCUUCAAUCCAAAAGAAGAAAUUACACGAAUUAUUUAAGAAGGACUUCAAAUUUUGAGCAAGGAUCCAUUUUUGCCAUCCAACAUUUGAAUGGUACGUAAUCAAUACUAGUAUCUACUUUCAAUUGUUAUUCUUCACGCCUUUUAUUCUUCUUCUUAUUCUUCUUCAUUGUAAUUUGGAUAGAUGGGCUAAAAUGUUGGGAGUUUGAGUUUAGAAAAUUAAAUUGAUAAAAUGACUUUAUAUGGGACCAAGUUGAUGAUAAACGUAUUUUUUUUUAAGGCUAAAUGGGAUUUUACACUAAAAUGUUAUGCUUUUUUAAUUCUCAAAUUAAGAUUGGGGAUCACUUUGUUCACGCUUAGAAGUUUUCCAAGUAUUCACAGUUUCUUAUAAUGUUAUGUGACCCUUGUGGCAUUGCUACCUGAUACCGUCUCAAUUGAGUAGUACCGUUGAAAAUUGUAGUCAAAUUGACUAAUACGUACGUACGGUCUCAAUUGUAGUUUCAACGACAUCAAAAAUGGUUGUCAUUCUUGUAUAUUAAUCGCGGAUUGUGAAACACAUACACUCUUUGGAUUAGACGUGUUUCAAUGUAAUACGUGUUGUGUUCAACACCAACACGACACUGACACAUAGUUACACUUAAUUGUAUGGUUUUUUUUUUAAAUUAUUAGUGAUAUCGGUGUGUCAGUAAGUAAGUAUCCGUAUCAUAUUCAGUGUAUAUGUCCAUAUCCAUGUUUCAUAGAUCAAUUGAUAUACCUUUAACUCAUGAUAAUAAAUCACACCUAUUAUACCUAAUUAUUUAAGGACUUCGAUUUUUUUAGCAAGAAUCCAUUUUAAUGCUUUAAAGUGAUUGUUACAUGUUUAGUCCAUAAACUUCGUUAAUUUUUUAUUUUAUUUUAUUUUAUUUUAAAAGGGAAAAUCAAAUUCAUUUUAUUUGUAAUAUAAUAUGAUCAACAUAAGAUGGUGUAUCAAUAAAAAGACCGACACCAUCCUUGCUAAAGCAUGAACUACCCCAUCUACACGUCAUCUAAUAAACUCAACACUAGAGUUAUUGAAAUAGAGGGCAUACAUACGCCUUCAAUCAGAUAUAAUCGCACCAAACACAUAGAAGCUAUGUUAAAAAAGUAACUUCAUCCAAGUGCAAAUGGUGAACCCAAUGAAUGAAGGAUAAUAGACCACUUCUCCUUCAUCAACUCUGAACUCUGAUGUCAAGACUAGACUGUUCUACUGGUGCUGGACCUGCAUCUAUUCUGGGCCGUUUUCCAGCUCUGAUUUAAGUGAACGACACACAUAAAAUAUGAUGGUAUGACUCUCCCAAACGCAAAGUUUACGACUCUUCCAAUUGCUCCACAUAAAAACGGCCAAAAAAGAAGUUAUUUCUGCAUUGAGGAUCCUCUCAUCCUCAUGACAGUGAACAUAACCUGCUGAAUAUUUGUACCAAACUCCUGAAAUUAAGUGGAGUGUAUCAUCCCCCUCUUCUUUGCAAAUAGCGCACAAAGGCGAGCUUGAAGACUUCAAACACAAUCCCAAUCACUUUCCCUUUUCAAAUGAUCAUCAUUUAUGUUGUGUAACUAGCAAGUGUGACACUAGCAAAGUGAAUGUUGAACAAUAAUAUAUCAGUGAGAGAAGUCAUAAACCUAAGUAUCGGUUGCAAAUGCACCGUUAUUUUUUAUAUUGUUAAGAAUCGCAUUCAAAUAGACUAAUGCUGUCUCAGUUAUAAUUUCGACAACAUCAAAAACUGUCAUGUCCUGCUAUUGGAUGCAUCUUUAUUUGAAAUCCUAGGUCUGUCUAACUCCAAGACCCUAUUCAACAAAUCAUUUUCUCUGAUAGCCAUAUUCUGAUUAACAGAACUUCAGUUUUAUUGAAUUAGGCCACCUGAUUGUUGCAUAUGAGCAGUAAUGUACAACAUUAACUCUUUGCUUUUGCUUUUUAUUAGACCUAAAAAGCUUUAAUAACUCAUAAGAUCUUCUAACUAUGUGGUUCUAUUGAUAAAAUUUCCACCAAUUUUUAUUUACCUGUCAACAUUCCAUGCAUACACUAUCUUGUCUCUCACAGAAGCAUAUAUACCACGGUUUUAAAUUGCGGCAUGCAAGCAAAACUGUAUUUCUUGAUUAUACAUGUCAACCAAUUUUUGGUUUGAUGAACAUCAAGUAGUUCACCUCCCAUUCCCUGUAAAGUAACAAACAUUGAAUCAACAUAAAAAUCUUGCAUUUCUUCAAAACUUCAAAUUAAAGCAAAUCAUAUAUUAUCUUUUGAUAUAGAUUCUUACUUUUUCUAGGCUCACUUGAAUGGUUGUAACAUUGGCUUCUAUCAUUUCAAACCCUACUUCAUUCAUAGCGUCCAUUUAUUUUUUGAACCUCUUCCUAUAGAAAGUAACCACACAAAGAUUACUAAUUAACACUAGCAGUUAUAGAUAAGAGUUCAUACAGUUAAUUAAUAAAACAAAUUCAUUUGUACAAAGAGAAAUGCUAUUUCUCGCGAGGGAGUGUAUAGCGAUUGCAUAGCGACAGUAGCUGGCCAGUUUUAAUUGGAGUUUAUUUCUUAACUUCCGUUUUUUCCUCCUUGUAUUCCGCCAAACAGCAACAUGUGAUUGGUCAGUUUUGUCACACUAUAUUGCAUUGCUCUUGUACAAAACUUGUAUCCCCCAUUUCUUGAUCUUUUCAGCAACAUAAAAUUCAUCUAUAUUCAGGGUUGCUCUUUCCUCUGACUUUUCUUUUUGCUUCCAAAUCUUGAAGCAUGGGUGUGACUCUUGAGUCUCUUAGCUUCAUUUUGAAGCUUAUUGAUAUAAAUAAUAGAAUCAUAAAAAAUGAUUUCUUUGGUCAGCUUAAAACAAAAUUAAGAGAUUCAUAUAUUCAGUUUAACUAAUAUUAUUCAACUCAUCUAGAGACACACUUAGUUUGUUAUCAAAUUUAUUCUCGUCGAGCAAGUGCAAGUUGCACCAAAAUACUCGCAGCGAAAUAAAGACAAUUAAAAAGGCACUGAAAUAACCGGAAACCUAUAAACCCAAGAGCCUGAGCGGCCAAAGAACUCCUAGCCGUGGAAACCGCAAAAGAUACACCAGUAGCAGAGGCACAAUACUGAUGCUGUUAUAUAUCUCCUGCUAAAACCACUCACAACAGAAAACACUUCCUAAAGAAAAGCGCAGACAGCAGCAAAUGUAAACUCGGCAUACCCCAGCCUCAGCCACCACUUUGGACGGAGCUGAACUCUUCCAAAUAUGCGUAAACACCUUGACUCGCAUCUCUGUUAGCGAUCCCUCCUCAAACCGCAUCCCCUCCAACUUCUUGUACAUAGAGUUCACCGAGAACCAACCGUUCUCUUCCAAUCCCCACCACCAUACAUCCUCACCUUGCCUUCUUCUAUAUCCGUCCAAAUCCUCCAACAACUCCCGAAGCAUGUGUUAAACUCCCAAAGGAAUAACGAGCGCCUCCAAUUAACAUCCCAAUAACCAUCGGUUGAGUUGUUUACCCACAACUUGUUCCAUUCUGAGAGUUGGUAAUGGAGAAACAAGUAAUCAACGAAGAUCUUUAAAAAUGUAAGAGAGAAAAGGAAGUAUAAACAAAGUGAAGGCUGGUACCAACUAUAAAUAUAAAUGUUUCUCACAAAGGUGGCUUUGUUAUGAGAGAGAUAUUCUUUUUAGGCUCAUUGGUUUGUUGCAUGAUUAAUUGAUACGAUUACACAAAAUUAUUGUUCAGUCUUAAAAUGCCAGGUGAAGGAAGGAGGAUUCAAAUUAUUCAUUUUUGGAAGAAAAAACCAUUACUUUUUUGAAAAGGCAUUUGGAAAAAAUUACUAUUUACUGAUAUAUUCAUUGACAAAUAAACACAACAUAGUAUGAUAGUAACAUUUCACAUUCAAUGAGCAAAAAAAUAGGUUGGAAGUAGAUAGAUGCAUAUUUAGACCAGUUAAAUAGUUCAUUUUUGGGAUGUAUGAAAACAUCAAAAGUAAAUAUUUCUUUAUUGUCUGAACCUUCCGGUUGUUACCGGAAAUGAGUCUUAGACUGAGGUAAGUAAAGUGUGUCCAAUUAUUUUUUUAAGUACUGAAAUUGGAUGCUUUCAUCAUUUAAGUUCAUCGAUUGAAUUAAUAAAUACUAAGAAUUUAAUAAAAGGUAAGUGAAGAUUACUGUGCAUUAUUUGUUUUAAUUGUCUGUGUAAUGUAGCAAAUAAUCUAGACGUACACUGUUGUGUGUUAUUCAAAAUCUUGUUGGGACUUUUUUCUUUUUUCUUGUUUCUAAAGAAAGUUUAAGACGCUACUUGUUUCUCAAGAAAUCAUAAAUAUAAGGUUGUUUUCUUGCUUGGUAAGACAUAUGGGUUGCAAGGCAGUUUCUUGAAGUGCUAGACAGGAAAAGUGGUUGCUUCACUUGUUUAUUAACUUGCUUGACAAUUUUUGUAGUCCACGAAGUUUGUUGUUUGGACUACAAGACAAGCUAGGUGAGUAAUGAUAUACAAGGCGUUGGUUUUCAGUUCUAACAAGAGGUGAAAGUGAGGCAAACUAACGUAUAUCAAAAGAGGGAAUCUUUAGAAAAUCAAAGGUCAAGGGUUGGUUCCGUUUGGGAUAGAAACUAGGGUUGGGAAACACCUUGGGAUAAAUCAUCGAUUCUCUUGGGCCACAUGAAGAUAUUCGAGAAAAGGGUAGUAACUAGGUUUUAUUGUUGAAGGACAAUUUAUUGCAACUCUUGUAUCUCUUUGUAAGAAAAUAUUUGAUAGUGAAUUGGAAAGAUCACUCCCGUAGACAUAGGUCAAAUUUGGGCAGAACUGGACGAACGAAUAUCCUCCUCCUCCUCCUCCUCCUCUUCUAUUGUUGUUGAAUGAUUUUCUGUUUCAUGUUUUGUUGAAAGCAUAUGUUAUCAAUUCUGAAAUGUACUGAAUUUUUCCUAUUAACUAUGCUUUGGAGAUGUGAUUGUUGAGUUAUAAAAUAGAGUGGAGAUGUGAUAUAUUCACAUAAACGGUGAGCAGUGAUUAGUGUAAUUUUCCCAUAGUAAACAUGUCUUACCAACUCUUAUAAUGGCAACAUAAGCAACGUGAGGGACGUGGUGGAGUUCCAUAUCAAAUUAAAUGAUGCAAGCUACAAUGGUGGAAGGGAAUGAUCUUGUAAAUCAAUUGGAUUGUAAAAAUACCAUAUUCUGAGACAUCUAACCAUCAAUUGUUCGUAAAGUUCUGAUAAAUUUGGUCUGUGGAUGUAGAGAUUUUUCUUGCCACUGCUGUUCUUGAAGCCAAAUGAAUUGAAUGGUUAACUGAAGCUAUGAAGUAAUUGGAAAAGGAAAUUGCAUUCAACUAAAAUCUUGAUUUGAGGUGGAGAGGGAAAAAUAAAUAAAUCAAACUUUAAAGAAAAAUUUCUCAAUUUUCUUUUUGAGAAAUUAUCUCUUUGAUACCACAGUACAAAAAAGUGUAUUGAUUAAUUUUUUGAAUAAACUAAGGGAAUUAUAUUAAAAGAAUAACUUAGAGCCCCUCAAGCACAAGGCGUGCUAGAGGUAACUGUUAACAGUUUACGUACAAAACAGUCAGGCUACCAACAACCAAAGAAGCAAAAAUUAAAAGGAUAAUGUUUUAUGUACACACUUUCUUCCAUACACACAUUGUACCACCCCAUGUAAGAGUGUGUAAGAGACAAUAAAUGAUAUUUUUUUUGUGUGUGGGAACCACAUGGACACAUGUCACAAUUGUAUGUGGGUGUACAAAUGAUACAUGCCAUCUAAGGUGGUCUAUGUAUCACUACUCAAUUGAAAUUACAUCACAGCUUGAAAACAACAUAAAGGAUUUUGCCUUCAAAAGGGGUAGUCAAAGUCGAACGUAAUGUAGUUCGCUUUCAACCACCAAUAUGUUUGGAGUUUAACCUUUUCAAGAAGUCCUGUAAGCUGAUCAAAAUGAUUAUAAAAAAUUCUAUUGUUACGGUCUUUUCAGAUAACAAAUAAGACCGAAAUCCAAAUAAUAGAGAAUGAUGUCCUUGAAUUCUUUGAGAACCCUCUAAGAGCUUAAAACUGAUUUGAAUGAGCAUAUAAGUCGCCAUGAAGAACUGUAUCGAUACCAAGCCAAUGGGAUAUCAGAAGCCACAAACGACCGUAGUGAUCACACUUAAAAAACAAAUGGUCUCUAUCCUCUACAGCCCCACAUGAAGCCGUACAAGAUACCUGUGAAACAUCCAGAACCUGUCUCGUCCGCAAAUUGUCCUUUGUAGCAAGUCUACUCAUAAAGAGACGUCAAACAAAAAUAUUAACUUUUAACGAAACCGUUUUAUGUUAUAGAAAAUGACGAAAAUCCUCACUAAUAUUAUUGUCAAAUAUUGUUAAGUAAGAAUAAGCAUAUUGUACACGGUGUAUUUGUUGGAAGUGUAUUGAUUAAUAAGAGAGUUGUUGAUUACGUGAGGAGAAUAAGAUUUAUACGGCCAAUGAGAAUUAUAGCCUAACUUAACGAACUAGUGUAAAUAAUUAUUUUUGAAGGGAUAGUGUAAAUAAUUAUUGCAAUUGUAAGAACUAUCAAAUAAUAUGUCAAACUAUAUAAUAAACUUUAUAAUAAUUGUGACAUGUUCACGUAAAUUUUUCAGAUUGUGUGCAUUUUUAUCUGUGAUCGAGAUUGUUUUUUAGAGGGAAACGUCAUAUGUAGUUUAGAGUGGAUUAAUGUUUGAAAAUCGUUUAAAUUUUGACGACAUCUAUCUAUCUAUUGUCUCUAAAAAUUUAAACGACAUUUACUUAAAUGAGACAUUUUCCCAUCCUAUAAACUACCAAAUAGAGACAAUUACCUUCCUGCUGCUACUGGUCAAUGGUCAAAGAGCAUCUCCCAAAUUUAAACGUUGUUUCUACAGAAUCUGUAAUAAUAUAUUUCCCACCUCUAUACACCAGGUAAAUUAGUAAUAAUAUAUUGGCCACAAAAUCAGUAAAGAAGCACGAUAGAUAGAGUUCACAGUGGAGUGGUGUUGUUUAUUAUUAAAGAAUAGAACAAAAUUAUAAUAGAGCAUUGUUAUUUAUCUAAAGAAUUUUUAUCAAGAAUUGAUCAAGAAAAUGUCUAAGCUAAUUAAAUUUGUUAUUGGUUAGAAAUCAAGGGAGAUAAUGGUGUGUAAUUAAGGAAAUGUGUUAGCAAAUACACUGUUUUAAAAUUUUCUUAAUACAUUGUCACUGUACCAAGCAUUUCCCAUUAUAAUAUAGUGUAGCAAAAUUAGCAGAAAAUCAAGUCUCUUAAAAAUAUAAUCAUGGAUUUGAUCUUUGUUUGAUAUGUUAUAAAAGAACAUUUAUUCAUUGAUAUCAUCUUCAUAAAUGGAUCUUCAAACGUUAAAAGAUUAAUCUCUAAUUAAUUAUUGGCGGGAAAUCUCCAUCACCACCUGAUCAAGUGACCAUUCCUGAUGCAGCUCACAUGUGUACAUGUGGGACUCUUCAUUGCUUUUAUUCUCCUGACCCGACAUGGUCGGCAAUAUCAUUAUGAUAACCCAAAAACAUCUCAAUCACCCAGGAACACAUAUUUUUUGGCACUCAUAGUAAUUAUAGUCAAUUUUAUGUUUAUUAAGUUUUUUCAUUGAUUUAAUAAAAUAACAAAAUACAUAAAUUUAAGAUAUAAACAAUUUUCUAGGUGAAAGUAUAUCAAUACCACGUUACUUGAAAUGAUGUUGACCAUCAUGUAAUCAUUUGACCAUUCCUAAUGUCUACUCCAUACUAACUUAACUUGAUUUGAAUAUUUCCAACAUAGUUUUUGAUAUGGACUGUCCAAGCAGCCUUUCUCGUCAGUCUAAGAUCCAAAACUAGCUAGGCUCAAUCCACUAAGGCUUCAAAAAUACGACACAAAAUGCUUGUUUGUGGGUCUCCAGCUCCCGUAGUUGUGGGAACCUCCGACCCAAAAAUGAAUGAGAUGCUUAACAACAUCGUUUAAACCUUGCAUCACCAUAAUAAGGUGACCGAGGAGCAAAAUAUAUGUCUUUUCGAAUGAGGGAACAACAAGCAAAUGUGGAAAAACCAAGACAUUGUCACGAUCACUCCACAACACCUCAGUCUUAUCAAAUUGGAGGAGUGUAACCCCUGAGAGACCAAGGUCCCCGCGACAUUCUCAGGUCGAAAAAGUAUAGAGGUCCAUGUGACUAAAACAUCAAACAAAGGGAAAACCUCGUCAUUCACGUUCCUCGUCUCGAGAUGAUGAUGAACAUGGUCCUCAAGGUCCACUCACAAGGAGAAUUCAAGAAGCGUGCAUUCAAACAUGCUUGGAGAUGUCUCCACAAAUAUAUCCAUACGAUAGAACCACUGAUCUAGACGAGCCUAUCAAAAACAUUGAAGCCAUCAUCGACUACAAUAACUUUUGGGGAGCGGUCCAAUGUAGAUUGUUCGCUACAACACUACAAAAAGGAGCAAUAAACAUGGUAGAAAAGUCUGAGAAUUAAGUCCAUUUACUUGGGAUGAAAUAUGCAGACAAAUCAAUGCAUCACGAAGACAACCCAAAGACGGUUGCAACCUUGGAAGGCAUCUUCAUAGGGAAAUUAUGAGUCUAUUUGCGACUUCAUCGAGAGGUUCAACAAGGAAGUCAUCCAAGUCUGAGGAGUGAUGAAGAAUUGAAGAUGUAUCUACUGAAAAAAGGUCUCCGACAAGGAACCGAUUUCCGCAAGGCGACAGGCAUCGAGGACCCACAUCCCUCAACGAGUUUCUCAACCUCGCAAAAUCCAACAUCAGGUACGAGGAGAAACUCAUCGCCAGUUAUUUUGGAAAUCAAGAAAAGAGGAUCCUCAAGAAAAAUCCUCCUAAAAACUCAAUCAAUUCAAGACAAAUGCUAAGAACAAAUGCCCCAAAAAGACAAUCGAGGACAUGGUUGUCAUUUUAGUGAUCACACACCACUAGUCGUCUCAAGGGAUAAAACUCUCUUGGAGUACGCGUAUGCUGAAUUUAAAUAAGCUAGAAUCAAAUUCCCCAAAGCAACUGCACUAAAAUUUGGGGAAGACAAAAGCAAAUAUGGUCAUUUCCACAAGUACCAAAUGCACGUUACUAAUGAUUGAAUACACCAAAAGGAUGCCCUCGAGAUCCUCAUCUAACGAGGAAAUCAGAGGUAGUACACGAGAAAUGCUUUCCCAUAAAGAAAUGGCAAAUUUGAGUCUCUCGCGACCAACGAAAGUAAACAAUGCAAAUGUUACCAAAGACUUCAACGUGUUCCCAAUGAACAUGCCAAUAAUGAACACCCCGUACAUAAUUACUUGGGAAAACUUCUUUGAUUCCCUCGUCAUCUCAAGGGAUGAAUCACCCAUGCGACCAAUGGGAACAAUCAAGAGAAAGCUUAGAUGAAUUCCUUUGAUUGGAUGAUAAUUUUGAGAAUUUUCAAAAUGAUGGAAAUUUGUGAAGUAUUUAGUCCAAUUUAAAUUUAGAGAAUUUCAAAUGACAUCUAAACGCUAAGAAUUUUAAAUUUCUUCUUUCUUACAAAUUUUAAAUUUUGGUCCUCAUAUUUUUCAAAAUUCUCGAUUGGCCCCUCAAAAUUUGAAAAUUGACCCUUAUUUUUACAUUAUUAAAGUUGACCCAAAAAUUUACAUAAGUAUCUCAAAUAAAAACAUUUAAAAAUAAAAAUAAUUCAAUUGAAUCAUUUGAAUUGUUUAAAAUUCUAACUUCUCUAAAAUUUUCAAUCACCUCAUUUUUAUUUUUAUUUUGUGGUAGUCAGGUUUGAACUCCAAAUCUUGCAUAUAUUAUGCAUUGUCUCUAUCAACUGAGUUAAGAUCAUAAGGACAAUCACCUCGUUCAAACACCUUCUAAAGGUAUGACGUUUAUGAUCUAUCCCAAAUAUAUUUUUUUUAAAGAUGAUCUAUCCUAAAUAUUAUAAAUGCUCAUAUCUUGUAGAUAAUAACCAAGAACGCUCGGAAGCAGGGAUUGGACCAAAGUGGCUUAAAGAUUGUUUAUAAAAUAAACUGAAAAAUUAAAACAUAUAUAAAAUAGAUCAAAUAUGUUUUUAGUCCCUAUAAAUAUAUUAAUUUUUUAUUUUAAUUCCUCUAAAAAAUUUGUUAGACUUUUAGGCUGUGUUUGGAUUCAGUGAAAGAUUAAGGAAAGAGAGAUGAAUGGAAAGAAAGGUUGUGGAAAGAUUGCUUUUCCACAGUUUGGAAGCAUUUCUAAAAGAAGAGGAAAGAAAGUUUGGGGUGGGACCCACACCCAAAACCGCUUUGGACAGAAAACACAAAGAAGCACCAACAUUUUGUAAAAAGUCAUAAAUACCCUGCUAUAAUUAUUAAUAUUAAUAUGAUCAACAAGCAUUGGUAAAAGUUAUGGUUUUGAAAUAUGUUGGGCAAUUUUUCUCUCUUGGCGUGAGGUUUUGAAUAAAAAAAACAUUAAUAAAAAUUAACAAAUGUUAUAUGUAAAUUAAUAUUUAUUAGUAAAAUAUAUUUAAAUGUGUAGAUAACAUAAUUAAUUUAAAAUAUAUAGAUUUAGCUAAAAUAUUUUAAGGUUAUAAUUGUCAUUUUACAAAUAUACAUAUCUUUCUUUCCUCUAACAAUUUAUUCACUUUCUUUUAUACCAAACCAUCAAAACAAUCAUCUCACUUUCUUCUACCUUUCUUUCCUUCUACUAUCUAUCUUUUCACUUUCUUUUCUUUAACUUUCUUCUCCAAACCAAACAUACCCUUAGUCCCUAAAAAUUCAUGUUUGUUCGAACUGCAAUUCCACACCUCUAGUUUUUUUUGUCCUUAAACGAUUUUGCUGUAAUUAUCUGUUCCUCAAUAUUUCACCGUUUUUUUUACGCUAAAAAGGUAGGUGUAGUACAAGAGUUUCAAGACUUACAUGGUCUCAUUGGUCCCCAAACAAACAUCGUACCCUUGAUUUUACUGGUGACUGGCGUGCUGUCAGUCAAUCAUGCAAUUAUUAUAUAUGCUCAACCAAAAAGUAAAAGAAAAUGUUUGAAUAUUUAAUUUGUAUCACUGUUUAUUAUUAUUAGUUUGAAUAUUUAUUUAAUUAUGAGUGAAAUGAAAUAAAACAAAAUGAGGAUUAACUUUCUAUUUGGAUCCCUUAAAAAAAACUAUCUGGAUAUUUUAUGAAUUAAUGAAAGAAAAUAAAAGGAUUUUAUCACAUAUACUUUUUUUUUUUUGAAUGGCAAAAUAUAUUAACUUUCUAUUUGGAUCCCUUAAAAAAAACUAUCUAGAUGAAUUAAUGAAAAAAAAUCAAAGGAUUUUAUCACAUAUACCUUUUUUUUUUUUUUUAAAUGGCAAUAUAUAUAUAUAUAUAUAUAUAUAUAUAUAUAUAUAUAUAUAUAUAUAUAAAUAGGAACCGUACAAAAACACCAAAAUAGUCAUCAAAAGAUGCUACCGAAAACACCAAAAAGAGAGACCCUCAAGACAAACCCCAGGAGCAACUCCAAACAACCACCUGAAAAAAUACAAACAAAAAAGGAAAACACCAUAAAGAAAAAGCUACACCAAACAUCACCCAAGCGCCCACCAAAGCUGCCGGGGCACGAAGCCAAAGGACAAAACCUAAAGCCACCCAGGAGGGGAGAGACAAAAGCCCCCACCCCAACCCCAAGCGAACUGAGGCAAACCACCACCAAAACCCUACGGUACGGGCACAGGACGGGUUGUACCUCCCAUUCAUAAUAACAACAGGAACUAGCAGGGUACUUAGCCAUGAACCACUUCCAGGUUAAGAGUUUCACUCUAUCCACCACAGGCUCCUCAUGGAGAGUGCCACCGAAGAAGAAAAAUUAUUUCUUAAAACAAUAAACUUAUUUUAUUUUACAAUAAUAAACUCAAUUUCUUUGGUAAACAUUAUUUUUUUUAGCAAAUUCUUUGGUGACACAAAGAUUACUAACCACUUGCCAAUUAAUUAUCCCCCCUCCUUUGUCACAAUUAAUGUUAAUUUCAUAAUGAAGAAAACGGUGAGAUGGAAAUUAAUCAUUGUUUAAGGAAUAUAUUGUCUUCUUUUGCAUCAUAUCAUGUAUAUAUCCUUCAAUGACAAUUGACAAACAAGAGUCACAUUCAUACAAUAGGAUAUAGAUCAUGAAACACUACUACUAUAAUUAAAGUUACACAUCAUGAUUUUCUAAUUCAAACACACCUUUUGACUAUGUCAACCAUAUUGCUGAUUAGUGUCAAAUUUGAUUCAUUUAACCAUGUGCAUUCUGCUGAAUAAUGAAGAGCAUCUUAAAUUUUAAUCAAAUUUGACACAGUCUUUGUGACUUUAAUAUAUAUUUUGAAGAUUCUAACGGCCACAACAAGGUGCACAAUCCAUCACAUGAGAACCAGCUAACAUUGGUCUACACAAUACAGUGUAUUAUUUUAAUAAGUGAUUGUCCAUUUUAGAACCAUACCAGAUAUUUGUCCCCAAAGGGGUUUCAUGAAUCCAUCCCAAAUUCAUUCCCAUCAAUCAAAUUCAGAAGAACAAAUUUUCCACGUCCAAAUAUCAACCCUUCUAGAUUAGAAUAGUUCCAUAGUGAAAAGUAGGAAUAAAAAUGGUGCAAAAGAAAGAGAAAGAAAAAAGUAAAGAGGAAAAAAAGCUUAAAAUGUUGGCAAUGUACUAUUUUUUUUAUAGAUAAUAAAUUAUGUGAGUUGGGUCUCAAUCAAGGUAAGGGAAAGUCUCGAGUUUCAUAUAGUGCUUAUAGAGAUACUUACAUACUAUCUACCAAUCAGGUCCUGCUAUCGGUUUCGAGAUUUGAACCUAGGUCUAUUUAAUUCAACUUUGAAUUAGGUAAGCUUACAGAGGUACUUACAUAUAGUGCAUAUAAUGCAUCGCACAUGUCUAUUUUUUUUAUAGAUAAUAAAUUAUGUGAGUUGGGUCUCAAUCAAGGUAAGGGAAAGUCUCGAGUUUCAUAUAGUGCUUAUAGAGAUACUUACAUACUAUCUACCAAUUAGAUCCUGCUAUCGGUGUCGAAAUUUGAACCUAGGUCCAUUUAAUUUAACUUUGAAUCAGGUAAGCUUACAGAGGUACUUACAUAUAGUGCAUAUAAUGCAUCGCACGGGUCGAAAGCCUAGUGUUAUCUACCAAUUAGGUUCUGAUAUUGGUAACGAAAUUUUAACCUAGGUCAUUGUGAAAUUUAAGUUGAAUCUUUACCAACCAAACUUGUGUUGGCGUUAAUCCAGUACUAUUAAACAUAUGUAUCUUUCAUUACAUAACUUACAUUUAUAUACAAAUUCAAUGAUGAUAGAGUACAUAUAGAUAUGCAUCAGAUUUGUUUAUUAUUAAUAACCUUAUUAUAAUAUCAAAUCUUAUUAACAAUUUUCUAUGAAACCACUUUUUAUACACUAAACUGUCCCACAAGAGUCAGUUUUCUUUCUUCUUUCCUAUCAACAUUGCUCUUUCUCCACUGACUCACACACACACAAUCACACACAAAGGUUUGUAGCUAGCUAUAGCUAUAUAUUACAGUUCCUUAAACUGUUUUGUAAUGGAUGAAAAGUGGAAGCUAUCAAAGAAGGAAAAAAGUUCAAACACAUCAUCCACCAAGUCAUCAUUAUUCUCAAGGAGCUGUUCAACAAGAGGCUCUUCUUCAAACUCACCACUACUUUUGAAGAGUUUUUCACAAAAGAGUUCUUCUACAUCUAAUAACAGUGGAAAUCUUUCAAGAAGCUAUUCACAGAAGAAUCCAUCAAUAGGUAAGAAAUGCACCAAUAUAGCCAAAGAACAGAAAGCAAGAUUUUACAUCAUGAGGAGAUGCGUAGCCAUGUUAGUUUGUUGGCACAAACAUGGAGAUUAAUAGUAUUCCUAAAGGGAGGUGCAGAUAGCAGAACAAGUCUAUUGCUCAGAGUCAGAUCCCCUUUUAAGUAUACAGCUUUUUUUAUUUGAAUUUAGAGGGAUCCUAUUUAUUUUUUUCCUUUUUUCAUCUUUGUAAUUGUAAUUAUGAAUCACCUAUAAGUUUUGCACAUUAGCAAAUAUUCACUUCAUUCUAGUAUUAGUGCAUCUUCCUCUUUUUCUUUUUGGAAUGAUAAAUGUUAGUAUGUUAGUAUACUAUAGUUUCAGAUUCUUAUUAAACAAUAAUCACCAUACAAUAAUGCUAGAUUCAUAUAUUUUCUUAAUGCAAGGUUCAUGUUCUAAUGCUAGAUGCCACUAAAAAAAAAAUAAUGUUCUAAUGCUAGAUUCAUCUCAUCUAUAUGUCUGAUUAUUUCAUCACUUUAUUUGUGUGUUUGGAAGGAAAAGGAUUUAUUCUUUGUAAAUAAUAGUAAUAAUUUGGAUAUUUAACUCAACAUAGCAUCAUAGUAGUACUAUUUGGAUCUGCAUUGAAAAUGUAAGCCACGUUCCUUUGUUUUUCCCAUAAAAAGGUGAAAAACAAAAGAAUCACUGGAUUCUUAUUAUUACAUCUUACUAGAUCAGAAUUUUACACAUGAGCAGUGGUCACUAGUUCCAAUCAUUCUAAUAUGUCACAGUGGAAAAAGUACAGUUACUGCAUUGUUGUCAAAUAUUCUAAUCUUUUUUGUGCAAUUAAUUUUUGUAACCUAUUUGAAUUGAUAUUGAAUAAAUAAUUUAUAAACAAUUCAAAGAAUAUAACUUAAUAAAUAUACUAGAAAAUUUGGAUAGGCUAUUGCCUUUAAUGAAUAUAAAAUACCGGUUGUUAUUUCCUUUAGAGUGGUAUUUGUCACUUCAUCUACGGACGAAAAAAUACAUGUUCGUAUAUGAUAGAUAAAACGCAAAGUAAACAAAAUAUUCCAAAGAUGAUGAGAAAAAUACAUAUUAUUUCAAUCAAGUUAUGAUUAACCCUUAAGUACAAUGAUAUUUAUAAUGAUAUAUAGAAAACCACCCACCUUUAUUUUUUGGUCACUUGAAAAUUUGGUGAAAACAAAAAUUGAUACAAUGAAAGAAAGACUAGUGCCGGACGCACUUCACUCUCAGCACUAUAUAUGCAAAAUGUGGCAAACCAUAAAUCUUUAAAUUUACAUGGAAAUGGAAAUGGAAAAUCAAAAGAUGUAGAAAAGGGUUUCUUUAGUAAGGAAAAUUAGCAGAGUCAAAUGGUAUAGUGAUCAACAUUUGGGGAGAUCCUUAGGAGGAGGAGGCAAUUUUUGAUCUGGUAACUUUCCAUCUUCAACAAUCCAAGCCAUCCUCAAUCCCCAACUAAGGUGCACAUCAAAGUGGCAAUGCAUCAGCCAAACACCUGUUUAAAGUGAUCAAAGUAUCAUAUAAAUAACUUGAGAUACAAGAUAAGAAAAACUAUAUGAUAUAUAAUAUUUGGAUUGACUUAUUUAAGCUGAUCAGACUGUUUAGAAGAGCUUAUCAAAAUAAAUUGAAAACAACUUACAACAUGUCUUUAAAUUGUUUUUAAUUUAUUUUCGUAAACGCUAAUAUGAUAAGUGCUUAAUUAAGUUGAUUAUCCAAACAGAACCAUAGUAAAUCACCUGGAUUGUCAGCAAGGAAUCGUAUCGCAACCCAACCACCAGAAGGCACAGCAACAGUAUUCCUCUCAACAGGAUCAACAAGAUUAAACUUUGCAGGGUCACUACUAGCAUUAAAAUUUCCAAAACCUUGACCAACAACAAAGAAAUUAAAUCCAUGAAGAUGCAAAGGAUGACUCUCAGCUCCCAAAAUGCUUGUAUCCUGCAAUAUAACCUGAACUCUAGUGUUAUAUGGUAUCACCACUGUCUUUGUUCCAUUACUAACCAAAGUAUUGUUUGGAGGUGUUCCUGUAUAAUUAAACGGCCUUAACGGUACAACCGGAAAAUCCGUUGUAAAACCAUUAUUAGCUCCAAAGAAAUGUUGUUGAAGAAGUGCUAUAGAAGGUAAAGCAAAUGAUACAUUGUUCAUUGAAGCUGCAAAUUUUGAACUAUUAUUUGGUCCUUGACAUGUUUGGUUUUUUGGGCAUGGACUAGUUCCUAGUCCAACGAUAAAGAAAAAGUUUUUGUCAAUAGUUUUUGGCACAUUUGCGGGGUAUUUUGGACUAUUUAAGCUAAGAAAUUUGUUACUAAAAUUAGCAACAAAAUUAGUAUCAUUGAUGACUGGAAGCACAGGUUUUAGAAUAGGGAGAUUUAAAUUUGUUUGAUCAUUUGGUUUAGUGUAUUCUAAAAUUCCAGCUACUGUGGAAUUGUCGAAAGUACCCUGCCCUGUGAAAUAUGGUCUAGCUAGCAUGUAGAAUGUGGAAUUAGGGUAAUUUGGUUUUGUUUUUAAUAGAACAUUUGUGGUUUGACCUGGUCCAAGUAUGAUGGUAUUGGACUCGAAUGGUUUAAUGUAAGAUGCAUCUGCUUCAACAAUGAUUAAUGUGUGAUUAGCAAUGCUGAAAAAGAGUUCGUCAUUGAGUGCAGCGUUGAUUAAACGUAGUAAAUAUGUUUUUCCUGGCUUCACCUUCAAUUUGUAUGUAUCUGUCCAUGAUAUGAUAACAAACCAAUCAAUUCAUCAUUUUCUACUCAUUAUUUAUCAAUUCAUCUUACACGAUUUUUACUAAUUAGUUUGUAAAAUAAGAGGUGUCACUAUAAUUUAUAAACUCAUUUCAAACAUUAUCUUUAUCCUAAGUGAAACUUAGGUUUUUCUCUAAUAAAAAAAUACAAUAUUAUUAAUUAAAGUGGUGCUAAGCAAAGCAACUUUGUAAGAUAUUGUGUUAUUUAAUUAAAUCACACUUUAGUAUCAUAUCACUUUGUUAUGUUAAUAUAUAUAUAUAUAUAUAUAUUAGUGUUAAAAAAUUACAUUAAAUAUACAAAAAUUUAUUACCUUUCAAAAAAAAAUACAAAAAUUUAUUAAGUUGUUAAUUAAAAACAAAUAACUAGAAAUGCCAGUUAUAUACAAGCUGCACGUGUACCUUUGGAGCAAUUGUAAAGAGGUCCAGGAAACCCAUUAAUGGUGUAGGCAUCAGAAACAUUUGGGCCACCCCCUGUCUGAAGAGCUUGUGCAAUUACAGCUUCAGGAUCUGCAUUCCACCACUCACCUAUGCAUAUUUGUCAAAGAUAUGUAUAAGAUUAAAAUACCUUUCAUAUCAUUAUAAAAAAUAUAUAUAUAUAUUAUUUCUUUCCUUAAAAAAUAUAGUGCAACAAUUAUAUAAUUAUUAGUUUUUCAUAUAUAAACUCCAGCUAGAAAUAUAAAAUAUACCAAAGUGCAUAGAAUUAUUUAUUAUAAAUUUAUACUGAGGAAUGAUUGUGAAUAUGUACCAAAGAGAAUGGGGACUUCCUUGUAGGGUUUUUGAAAAGGAUAAGAUUCAUUGUGCCUUGGGAGAAGGAUGAGAGGUCCAUAGACAGUAGCUCUUAACCAUGAGAAAUGAGCAUGCCAGAAAAGAGUUCCUCUUUGUCCAACAAUGGUGAAGUUGUACACAUAACUCUGACCUGUUUGAAUUGGGCAUUGAGUUAUGUAUGAUGGACCAUCCGACCAACCACUACGAAGUUGUCUCACACCAUGCCUGUUUUUUUAUCAUGCAUGCAUUCACCAUUAUUGUCAAUAUUAGUACAAUAAUUCAUUUCAUGCAUAUGGAUAUCCUAACUAGAUCCAAGAUGUACAACAUACAAUACAAAUGCAAAAAAAUUGUGUGUGUGAGUAAAACUCAUGGUGAAAACUACAACGACAUUUGAUAUGCUUGGGCGCUGGUUCGAACCCUAAUUUCUCAACACUUAGUUUUUGUGACACCUCUCACUUUCCUUAAAAAUUACUAAUUAAAAAAAAUAGUUCUUACCAAUGCAAGCUGAUAUUGUUUGGAACAUGAUUAACAACCUUAACCAACAAUCUGUCCCCUUCUCUAACAACAAUUCGAGGACCCGGGAACUUCCCAUUCACGGUGACCAUGCUUUUUGUGUGGCACAGCCUCGUAACGUUUGCCAACCUUAUCUGCAGAAAUAAUAAAAACAAUGAUAUACUAUAUAACUUUUUUUUUUUCUUACACUACAUAUGUUAUACAAUUUGGUAGGUUUUAAGCUAAUUAAUUAAGCGAUACAUAUUUGAAAGGAAUUAAUUUAAAUAAUAUAAAGUGUAUAUACAUCGAAUUUGUAGUGUCUUGUAACACUUCCAUGCUGUGAAGUAGCCAAAACAAAUCCAGGGGAGGUUAAGAGGAAGGUGGUGACAAAGAGAAAGGCUGCAAAAAGAGCCUUUGAUAAUGGAACAGUGACAAUCAUUUUGAUAUGCAUUGCCACCUUGAAUGAGUAGAAGAUAGUUGAAGGAUAUAUCUUAUUGCAUUAGUCACUAUGAGGUGCAUGAGGAUACUGGAAACAUGCUUAUUUAUAUACAAGAACUGAGUACGAAUUAAUGUUUGGUCGUAUGUCAUACAAGAGUUUUGAUUUUUACCAACUAUGUAAGGUCCCAUGGUCUUCUAAAUUUUGAGUGCCACUAACGUUAAUUUUACUGGUAGUGUCUCAAUUACGUGCCCUAAUCUUUACUCCCUAAAUUCAAGUUUCUUUCUUGUCCAAUUAUGUGCAUCGAUCUAACAUCAGAUAUCUCGUCACAUAUUUUGUUUCAUCUAUAAAAAUGACCUGCUAGAAAAUUUAAAGAAAUACAUUUUACUUUAAAAAGUAAAGACAAGCCUAUGCGUUGAUACAAUAAAUAAUCUUUCUUGUAAGCAUAGUUUUAAAAACUGGCUCACUGAUCGACUCAGUAAGGCUAGUGGAUCACUGAGUCAUUGGUCGAAACCAUUGGGUCACAGGUUGAACCGCAUGACUCAAUUGGAUUAAACCGGAUGACUUGUUCGUAUAACUUGGUGUUUAUAAAAAAAAAAUUAUCUUUAUUGAAUUGUAGGAAACUAGAAUUUAUAAAUACCUUUAAUGAUAAUGACAUUAUUUAUAAAUAUCUUUGUUUUACAUAUAUACUACCUCCGUCCCUAAAUAUAUGAGCCUUUUGAAAAAAUUACGGAGAUUAAGAAAGUUGGUUGUGGUAUUAAAUUUGUAUAUAAUUACUAUGGUUUUUACAAUUUUAUCCUUAAGAGAGAGAGUAGUUAAUUAGUGUUUUCAGCCUAAUACUCCCUCCAUCCCUAGGGGGCGUUUGUUUUUGGGAAACACAAACUAUUUCCAGGAAUAACAUACCCGGGAAUGAAAAUAUGAAAAUUUGAUUCUUGGGUAUUUGUUAAAAAAAGUGUUUGGCAAAUAACUUGACAUUCCUGGAAAAAUUGGAAGUUACAAUUUUUUUUUUUUAAAUCUAUGCAUAAUAUCAUGGGAAUGCACAUUCCCAUCUCUUUACAUGGGAAUAAUGGAAGUUAUGGGAAGUUACUCCAUUCCCAGGAACCUUUAUACCCAGGAAUAUUUUUUUCUCAACCUCAUAACAAACAUGGGUAUAAUCAUUCCCUAGCCAUGUAUUCCCGGGAAUAUCAUUCUUAACCUUGAAACAAACACCAUGUAGGCACCCAUUGUCUUUUUUACAUUUCUUAAGAAAAGUUGUCAAUGUAAUUAAUGUGUCUGUUUUUUGUGUUAAUAUUAUGAAAUUGUCAUUUGCUUGAAUGUGUAUUAAAUUUGACUUUUCAUAUUUCAAGACAAGAUGGUAGUAUUAAUUAAGGGUAUGUUUAGGAAAAAAAUAAUAAAUGCAUCUAGUAAUUUGAAAAGGGGUUUAUAUUUAUGGACAAAAAUAAAAUCAAAUGGGUGCUUAGAUAUAGAGACGGAGGGAAUAUUUAUUAUUGAUUGAAGAAAAAAAUGCAAAAUAAAUAAGGGUAUGUUGGUAAAGAAAUAAUUAAUAUAAUUGGAAAUACCAAAGGGAUCUUAUAAAAAGGGACAAUUUUUUAUCUCAAAAAGGUCUUAUAAUUAAGGACGGAGGUAGUAUUAAAUAUUAAUAUAAGAUGUGUUUUAUACACUUAAAAAAUUAUAGUCAAUUAUAAUUUGUUUUAGAAAAAAUAACAAUGCGACAAAAAUGUACAUGUAAUAUAUUUUUAUAUAUAAUAUAUUUCAAUGCUUAUUACAAACAAUUAAAUGGUGCAGUGUAAGAUAUAUUCGUUUUAAGCGUCUUCUUAGAAAAUUAACACCAAAAUAGCAAAGUGUAUUUUUGCACAUUUUCUUCCUAAUAUACUCUCGUUUUAAUCCACCAAUAAAUUUCUAUUUCUUUGCACACACUUUAUCUUUUCAAUAAAUUUAAUAUGUUAUAUUUCUCUCGUAACAAACAAUUGUCAAUUACUCCAACAAAUUCCUAUUUUUUGGGUGAAGAUCCUCUCCAUUUAUGUGUUUCUCAAUUUCUUCCAUUUGGAGAGAUGAAGGCACAUAAAAUCUUGAAAAAAAAAUAUAUAAUUAAUGAUGGCGGGACCCACUUAGUGGUAGGACCCACCAUCUAUUUGUUGUGUCUAUCUCUCUCCAACUUACAAAUCUCCAUUUAUUUUGCCAAAUGGGGAGGAUCUUCACCCUAUUUUUUUACGCAGUCUCUUUCAUAACAAACAAUUGUCAAUUUUCUAAAUAUUUUGCACAUCUUUUAAUUAUUUUAAGUCAAUAUAAAAUUUUUUUGAUGAAACUUCUUCUUCGUUGUCAUCUUGAUCUUGUUCUUGUAUCUUGUCAAAUGAGUCUUUAACUAUUGCACCCUCUUCACCUCUCAUCAGCUAUUCCAACGAGUCUUCCAUUUUUACUUCCUUUUGAACAUUCAUGGAGUCUUUUAUUUUUCUUCUCUCAAAUUUGUUCUUUUACUUUGCACUUGAGAUUUUUAACAAUUGUUACUCAUCUUAUUUCUAGAAUUUUAACUCUUCUUGAAACCAUUGUUUGUAACAAAAUUUUGUUUAAAUUUGAAGAUGACAAAAAACAAACUGUGUUUCAAAUAGAUAACAUUAAUUAGUUUUAUUGAAAAAGUUAAGAGUAAUUGACAAAGGGUAUAAUUGACAAAUAGUAUCCUUAAAAUACUAAAAAGACAAUUAAAUAGGAACGAAAAAUUCACCCUAAAAAGACACUUAAAAAGAAACUGAGGGAGUAUAUGAAUGAAGAUGGUAUUGUAAAAUAUGACUUAGUUAACUUUAAGUUUGUAGUGAAGUGAAUUCUUAUGUUAUGUUUGUGAGAAUGAAUUAGACUUGAUAUAAUAAUCUAAGAAAUUUGUUCUUGACAUAUCACAUAAGGUUGAAAAACACCACAAAAAGAUUGAAAUGCCAUGUCGGUAGUUAACUGUCGAUGCAAAGAACCGGUGGUAGUUAAUUGUCACGGGAUCCAGCGGCAGUUAACUACCGAUGCGAGAUCCUGAUACAAAUUCAGGCAGAACCAACAUUGCUCUCUCAUCCAUUAUUACUCUCAAAAUCUUUCAAAAUCUCUCAAGAUCUCUCUCAAAAUCUCUCUAAAAAUUCCAACCAAAUUUACUCAACAAAAUCACAAGUAAGUAAUCAUAGUGCUAUUAACAUACAUUUUAGUUAUUAUAAUUGUUUUUCUUUUUUUUAUAAUUUUAGUUUUAGGUUGAUUUAAAUUUUAGUUUUUGAGUAGAUUUACAUAUUAUGAUUCCUUUUUUGAGUAGAUGUAAGUUGAUUAAUUUUGUUAAUGUUUGCAUGUUUAUAGCUAUGAUUUUUAGGGUUUAUGUAUAAUUUGCACUCCAAGUGUUUGAUGAAAUGUUUGAAUGAGUUUUUCAUUGACUGUUUAAUUUAUUAUAGUGUAGAUCUGAAAUAAUGGACCCUCAUUUGUUCAAAGCUCAAGUAUGUUUCAACGGUGAAAACCGUUAUUUGUUCAAGGUCCGGGUCGAUAUCACGCUAAAGGAUCUGAAGGAUCAACUGAACAAAAUCAAUCAAGGACUAAACCCUGGAGACACAAGGAGGGUGGGGGACCUUCAAUAUGCACGUCCCGGUUAUUUGCAGGGCCAAAAGAUAAUGCUGACAGACGAUGACUGCGUGAGGAGCAUGUUCUCCAGACGUUAUCGGGAACGCAUGUUCCCAGUGAUUGAGUUUGAAGCUACAUUGCUGAGAUCGCUUGAAGAUAUUCUCAACAUUUUGAUUAUGUCAGAAAAUUAUGUUUAGGUAGAAUCAUUAUUUAUUUUGUUUGAAUUUAAAUUUAAUUCUUGUUAGUUUGCUGAAGAUGUUGGUAUUGAAGUGUCUUAUACUGAAUGCAGUGAUUUGCAAGCCUCUUUGAAAAGUCAAAAGAUUAAGAGAACACAACAUGUAUUCUACAGAAUCAGCUAUAUAGAUUUUCACAUAAAAUUCCUUCUUAUAUGAUGAGUGUCACGGAAGGGAAUGCACAUCUAAGAGGUUCCUUUGAAUUGGAUCGUGCUCCUCUAUCAAUUGAAACUUGUCAGUUGGCAGGACAGUAAGAUUCAAUUCAAUGCAACCUCUUGGAAUGCAUUCUUUUAUGUGAUGAUAGGAAUGCACCUCUAAUAGGUUUCUUUGAGCUUGAUCAUGCUCCUAUGUCAAUUGAAACUUGUCAGUUGGCAGAGCAGUAAGAUUAAGUUCAAAGCAAUCUGUUGGAAUGCAUUCCUUUUUGUGAUGACUCAUCGUAUAAGAAGGAAUUCGAUGUGAGAAUUUAUAUAGUUGAUUUUUUAGAAUACAUGUGUUGUGUUUUCUUCAUUCUUUUGACUUUUCAGAGAGCGCUGCAAAUCACUACGCUAAGUAUAAGACACUUCAAUGCCAACAUUUUUGGAAAACUUUCAAGAAUUAAAUUUAAAUCCAACAUCAUGAUGAUACCAAAUAUAUUUAGGGAGAAUGUAUUUUAAUGUUGAUGAAAUUAAAACUAAAUAAAAUUGUGUAUUUUUAAUUUAUUUUGUGUAUUUGUGCAACUUUAAUCGAAUUUAUUCAAUAUGCGACUUUAAUCAAAUUUAUUCAAUACGCAACUUUAAUCGAAAUUAUUCAAUACGUGACUUUAUCCAAAGUACCAAAAUGCGCGGCAUAUAAAAAAACAUAAAAAAAUAUUAAAAAAAAACAUCCAAAACAAUUAGACAUUACAAGUCAUUACAUUCAAUCAUCUUCCUCGUCACACAAGACAAUUGGGUUGUCCUCGAGAGUGCCUGGGGCACCUGCUUUUGGUUGAGGACCGAAAUAACAAGUCCUUCCGCUCCUCCUCAACCUGUAAUGGUUGUACACCGGCACUUUCGAAUCGCUUUUUUUAACGGAACCAUCGCAUUCGAUUCUGUGUCAUGUCAAAGUUGAUUUAGAUUUCUUCUUCUCACCCUCUUUUUUUAAUUGAGCAGCAUUACCCUGUUUCUGAGACAUUUCUACACGAUGCAAACAUCGGAUCAAAAAUUCUACCAUAAUUUCCUAACAUUUUUUACAAUUUCUAACAUUUUCUAACACAAUUCAAUAUAUUCUACUCUAAACAACAUCUACCAAAUCAAUAAAAAAUCAUCAGAAAAUCUAAAAUCAACAAAACCUAAAUAUGUCAAAAAAAAAAUCAAAAAAUCUAACAAUUCAAUAAAAUAAAAUAAAACCAAUGCAAUAGGAUUCAAAGCACUUACUUGGUUUUGUGUUUGUAAUUGGCUUGGAAUGGCUUAAGCUUGGUGAAAAUCAUACCUAUGGGAGUCAAAACUGCAACAAUGGAGUUUUGGAAAUUCCUAUGUCUGUUAUGUUCUUAUAACAGAGCAUCGGUAGUUAACUGCCGAAGGAAACUCGGUAGUUAACUGUUGUCGGAUCAUUUACGUCUUUUACUGGUGUUUUUCACCCUUUUAAGAAAUGUGAACAACAAAUUUCAAAAUCUAAUAUGGUCGUAUCAAAAUCUAUUCACUCGGGUCACCCACUAUUCAUAUCUAGACAUCAAGUCCAAUAUUGAUGAGCAUGAGGGAUGUAUAAAGAUAUGGUUUGAUUUGAAUUUAUAAAGAGUGACAUUCCUUACUUAUAAGACAGUUUUAUACCGUUGAAUUAGACCUUAUAUAAAAACUUAAUACUACUAUGUCUCGCAAAAUAGGAUUGAUAUAGAGCAUAAUUUUUUUAAGAAUAAAAAUAUUAGUAACACGCUAAUCCAAAGCACAAGGUGCUAAAAUUAGUCAAAAUACUCCUUAAAAAAAAUAGUCAAAAUACAAACACCUAAAAUCAGAAUAUGUUAAAGCUAUGCCUAUUCAAUUAGCAAAACUUAUAGGAAUAAUGUAUGAGUAUUUAAUUUUUGUUUUUUUAGGGAAUACUAGUUACAAACCCGUGCGUUGCACAGGUUUAAUAACGUAUUUUAUAAAAAAAUAUCUUUUAAAAGAAAAAUGAGCAAAUUAAUGAAUAUUGCACAAACAUUAUAAAUCUUUAUCAAAAUAUUUAUGAAAGCUUUAUCAAGUCUUUAAUACACAUUAAUAUUUGUGAUGAUUGAUAAAAGAAUUAAAAAGAGUAAAGGGUAUAGAAAUAAAUUUAUUAAAGAAUUAACAAUUUGUUUAAACUUAUUUUUGUUACAAUUUAGACCAAAAAAAAUAUUGGACUUCAUUGAGUUUCUCUAUAAUUUUUUUAUCAGGCUUGAAGUUAUGACUCUGAGUUUGAAAACCGCAAAAUUCACAAAAAUUAUUGAAGAAACACUAUAAACAAAUAAACGGCAUCAUCAAAAAUGAAAUCAUAUUUGGCUAUAGUGAUCAAGCAAACAAAAAAAAAGAAGCAUAUUAAAUACCUAUAAUCAAUGGAUUCUAAUUGCAUAGAGGCGACACUUAUACUUUCUCUAUGUUUGUUCAUCAAUGAGAGUGAUUAUUUUGCGCUUUCCUUUCAUAAUUGUUCUUGACACCUAGUUUGGGAAAUGCUAAACAGGGAAAUAACUGUAAUAUUAAUCUAAUGCAUAUUAACAUGGAUAAGAUGUAUGCAAAUAUAGUUAUAUAUAACUUAUGAAAUGAAGGUAACAUAACUGAUUUUAAGCUAAAGAAAAUGUAUCAUGACUUCUAAUUUAUCUUUCUAUUAUCUUCCUAUAAAGUCUAGAGAAAUGCAUGCAUGUGCAUUAUAUGUACCCCGUUGACCAAUUAACAUUUUUGAAACAAAUGAAAAUUAAGCAUCACUCCCGCAUGUGCAUCUAUAGCUAACACCAUUUGACAUUGAUGUCUUCGAACAUUUGGUGCAACUCUCAUAAUACCAUCCAAACUGGUUAGGAUUGAAUUUAGUUGUUUUUCCAAAUAGUGAUGGAGUAUGUAUCCUAACACAAAUUAUGCACGUGAAAUAAAGAAUAUUGCAAUAUGCAUUUUUAAUUUGUGCGUAAAAAAACUCAAAGCAUGUUUGUGCAUAAAAAGAAAAAAAAGCAGACCUUGACUAAGUUUAUAGAUUCAUCAAUUGGCCUAACUUGAGACAGAUUGGAAUAAUCGUUCUACGAAGUACUUUUUAAACUUUACUUUUUAAUCUAUCUGAGCUUGAGAAGUGUUAAGUUCACGACAACAAUUCAAGAAACAUGGUCAAUAAACAAUCAAAUCAGAUUGUGAAAUAAUAAGUUACUCUAACACUGUAUUGUGAAAUCAUAAUGCAAACUUACUAAGUCUUAAACUUUUCAACAACCGGAUGAUGUAGGUUGAUGAGCAGCCUCGAACCUGACCAAUUGUUACAUCUAUUUGCGUUGUCAUUGACUACAAAAUAGAAGCAAAGAAUUCAAGGUAAAUAAAUGGUAAAUGAUAAAGCUACAAAGUAUUUUACCCAUAAGGUUACAUCAACUAUAUUCCCAAUGCUCUAAAUCUCUAUAUCGAGUUAUUACAUGAACUCGAUCACCCUAAAUCCGAGAAAGAAACCAAAAAAUAUAAAUAAAUCAAAAUGUAUACUAAUAAGUAACAUUGAUAAAUCAUAAAAGAAAUUACUACAAAUCUUAACUAACUUAUCUAACCUUUGCAUCACAAAUAAUGAGCUUCAUAUGUUGAUUCUCAUUACUACCAGUCACAAUUCAAGAAUCCAGUACUCCAAAUCCUAUUUUCCAAACGUCUAAAUCAUUUUUGAGAUACUUAAUGUAGUCAUAAUCCCUUGACAUUGAAAUUCAUAUAUAGAAAUACAAUAAUACAUCAUUUAAUUUUAUUCCCUUUGUUCAUUCUGAUAUCGAAAGAAGCUAACAUAUUUCUAUGUGAUCAAUUUUUGUAUCAUCAAAUUAACCUGAUCUUAAAUGUACAAAUUUCUAUCAUCAACUUUAUGGACCCCAAUGAUAUGAUCAAAACAAAUUUACACCAAUCAACUUUUUGCACGGCUCAAUGAUAUACGAAAGAAUAAAUAAAAUAUGAAAACUGUUACAACUUUAGAAUUACUCACAAAAACUAAAAUAAUUGAAAUGCAUCAAUUAUUUUCAACUCCUGUACCAGAAGCUAAAAUAACAAUUGUGUCAAAACCUUACCAUCAGUUAAAAUUCAGUCAUCAUGACCUCUACUAUACUCCACAUAACAAAAGACGAUUUUUCUACAGCCAUGCAACAUAACAAAUUUUGGUACAUAAUCCAAUAACAAUUGGAAAAAAAAAAAAAAAAACCCCUUAAAAUGCAUAAUCAUGAAAAAAGGAAGAAAACCAUCUAUGAUGAAGUAAAAACUAAAACGGUGUCGAAAAAUGAAGCCCUUAAGCCAUAAAAAUCAGUCAACUCAAGUCAUGCAUGGUCUCAGAACCAUGAAAAAAGAUAGAAAAUGACCUUUUUUUUUUUGUGGUGGUCGGGGUUUGAACUCCGGACCUUGCAUAUUUUAUGCAUUGUCCUACCAACUAAGCUAAGCUCACGAGGACGAAGAAAAUGACCUCUUAUGAAGAAGAAAGUGAAACAGUGUUCCCGACUGAACUUAGAUACCGUUUGGUCAAGGUUUUUUACAGUCUAAAAGUUACUUCAAAACAAAGUAAAAAUAAAGGCCUUUAAGAAAGAAACUAAAGUUAUUUGGUUUUUUUGUUUUGUUAGUUUUAAAGCUAUUUAAGUUUAAUGUUGUUUGGCAAAAUAUUGUACAAACUUUGAAUUUAUUAUUUUUUAUAUGGUGUCUGGGGUUCGAACUCCGGACUUGGCAUGUAUUUAUGCAUUGUUCCUAUCAACUGAGCUAAACUCAUGAGGACAAAACUUUGAAUUUAUUAUUAAUUAACAUAAUAAAUAAAUAAAAUGUUUAGAAUAAUUUAUGAAGGCUAAAAAUGUUAAAAAAAUAAAAGAUAUUUUUUUUACAAAUACGAUAUUUACUCAAUAACGUUUAUUUUGUGUAACAUGAAUACAAAUUAAUAUCAUCAUAUAAAUAACUUGUUAAAUAUUUGAAUAGGAGAAACAAUUUAAGGAGUCUGGAAUAAUAAUAUAAAUAAUAUCAAAAUAUUUGAUUUUUUCUAUUUCAAUUAUACUCUAUAACAAAUUUCGUUAUAAGAAUACCAUAUUUUUUGUGUCUUUCAAAAAGAUAAGAAUUUAUAUUAUAUGAUAUAUGAUAUUAUAUUUGUUACAUUGUUGGUGUCAUGGAAACAGAUAUGUUUAAUUUUUUUGAACAUGAAAAUGAUAUGCAUAGUUUGUUACGAUAUAAAGGUGCAAUAUAUAUAUAUAUAUAUAUAUAUAUAUAUAUAUAUAUAUACCUUUUUAGGCAUCUAUACCUUUUUUUGAAGAAAAGACAUCUACAAUUUUAUUUUUAAUUAAAAUUUAAAUUUUAUAAAAAUAAUCAUACGCAUUAUGCAACGCUAAAAAAAAUUAUACACAUUAGCGUAACAAAAAAACAGACACACAUAAAGAAUUACUCUAAACGCUAAUGUGUAUGUGCGUAUAUAUUUGCGAGGUUGAAGAAAGAAAAUACAAAUAUUUGAUAUCAUUAAAUGACAGCGUGAAUAAAAAUAUUUGUGAAGUUGUGAUGAUUAAACGAUAUUGAAAUUAUAAGUGAUAAAAAGAUAAUAAAAUUCCUUUGAAAAAAAGGUAAUAAAAUUAAAUGGAACCUCCUUAAAAAAAAUUAAAUUGAACGCUUCAAAUUAAAUGGAAGAAAAAAAUAUAUUGAAGUAUAAUAUUAAAAAAUAAAAAAAAAGGUUCCCAACGUGAAUUGAAGAGAGAUGCUUGUGAAAUAAAUUGUCGAAAAGUAGUUUUUUGAAUAAGCAUUCAACAACUUUUGGUCAAAGUUCAUUGCAUUCAAUUUUAUGCAUUAAAAAAGGUACAUUUUUUAGAAAGUACUUAAUUGAUAUUGUAUUUGACCUAACUUCUCCUUAAAAAUAUAGGGAAGUUGAAAAAAAAAACCGGGUCAAACGGUAUCUUAAUUUCCCACAACGGCAGUGUAGAAACAACUGAAUUUGGGAGAAAAAAAUUGGAAAAUAGUUAAAAAUAAAAAAAAAAUUGAAAAAUAGUUAAAAAAAAUCGGUGAGGUAGCACCUAACCAAACAACACUAAAAAAAAUUAUAUGCAUCAGCGUAACAAAAAAAUAGACAGACAGACAUAAAAUAUUACUCUAAACUUUAAUGUGUGUGUAUAUAUUCGCGAGGUUGAAGAAAGGAAAUAAAAAUAUUUGGUAUCAUUAAAUGACAACGUGAAUAAAAAUAUUUGUGAGGUUGUGAUGAUUAAACAAUAUUGAAAUUAAAAUAAUUAAUAUUGUGUUUGACCCAACUUCUCCUUAAAAAUUUAGAGAAGUUGGAAAAAAGUCGGGUCAAGCGAUACCUUAAUCUCCCACAACGGUAAUGUAGAAGCCACUGAAUUUGGGAGAAAAAAUUGGAAAAUAGUUAAAACUAAAAAAUAAAAAAAUCGGUGAGGUAGCACCCAACCAAGCAACACCAAAAAAAAAUUAUAUGCAUUAUCGUAACAAAAAAAUAGACAAACAGACAUAUAAUAUUACUCGAAACAUUAAUGUGUGUGUAUAUUCGCGAGGUUGAAGAAAGGAAUUAAAAAUAUUUGAUAUCAUUAAAUGACAACGUGAAUAAAUAUAUCUGUGAGGUUGUGAUGAUUAAACAAUAUUGAAAUUAAAAUAAUUGAUAUUGUGUUUGACCUAACUUCUCCUUAAAAAUGUAGAGAAUUUGGAAAAAAGCCGGGUCAAACGAUACCUUAAUCUCCCACAACGGCAAUGUAGAAGCAACUGAAUUUGGGAGAAAAAAUUGAAAAAUAGUUAAAAACAUAAAAAUUGGAAAAUAGUUUAAAGUUAUUAAAAAUUAGAAAAUAAUUUAAAAAAUUGGUGAGGGGCAAAAUGGGAAAUUUGGCAUAAAAAAGAUGAGGUGGCACCAAACCAAACCCACCAAUUAGAAAAUUACUUAAAUGCCCAUUCCAGGGACAAAAUGGGAAUUUCAUAUGGCAUCAAUUUUAAUAGAGUAAUAAUAUAGAUAGAUAUGAGUAUCUAAUUGAGAGUAUUUAAUUGGCAAUAUGUCCACGUAGUUAAUUAAAUUCAGUUUACAGGUCAAAUAACAAGAAAAAGGGAAUUUUCCAAUUAAACUGUUUAGACUUAGUGAUCAAGUCAUUUCAGAUUGCUACACUCAUGUUUACCUGUCCCAUAAAAAUAACAUUUCAGUUCAAGUCAAAAUAAUUAGCCAUAUAUAUCCUUUUCAUGAAAGACUUAAAUCGGUGUGUCUGGUUGGUGAUAUGUAGACUGUAUAGUGUACCUUUCUCAACUUACUUAAAGAAAGUAAGAGCAAGAAGGAGAAGGACAUUUUAUCCACCUUUUCUUUUAACGAGGAAGACAAAGGAAAUGUUGUGUUGUGACUUGUGAGGUAGAGAUAUUGGAUCUUAUCAUGGUAAUAAUUAUUUUAUAAUCAAUGUUUGAUGCUUCUAUCAUAGCCUUAAUCACUAACAUAGUUAGACUUAGAAAGCCAUUAAUUAUCACGAAAAAGCAACAUUGACAACAAGUUAUGAACUAUUAUGUAAAUUGGACUUGUGAAAUGCAUAAUUUCUUUGGGGACCAACAUCAUUUAUCAACCAUUUGAGGAUUUAUAUGUUACAUGUGCGUACAUUGUACAGCAAGCAAUACUAAUAUACCUUAUUUUAUAAGUAAAAAUGGAUUAAAAUGAGUAUAUUGGAUACCCUUGACUCAUUACAUCGAAGUUUAUAAACGUCAUAAUAAUGUCAUUACUUUUCCUAUCCUGUGAGUUUCUCGCGUGCCCUAUUUGGAUUCUAAAAUCCGAAAUAUUUUAACGUGUGUUAAGAGAUUUUUAUGGGGUGUUUAUGCAGUUUGGAUUAUAUAAUCCGAAAAAAAUAGAACUCGCGGGAAAUCAAUAAGGUGGGAAAAGGAGGAAUCGCAUAAGGGCUGCUAGACCAACCAAAAAACUGCAAGCACAAUCCCCUACAAACCUUAGAAAAAUCCUUUUUAGAUGCCUAUGUUUUGCUCGCAGACACCCAAACCGACCAAAAUGCUCUCAGUGACAAUUAAUUACCGUUCGCUUCCUAACGGUAGUUAAUUGCCGUUAGCUUAUGAAUGUUAGUUAAUUGUCGUUCCAUUGUGAACAUAUAUCAGAGUCAGAAAUAGAAACACUCGCAUAUUCAAAACAAUUAAAAAUAAACCAUACUCCCUCCAAACUCCAAGAAAGCAAACUCCGUCAAAUUUCUUCACAGACAAGAAAUUAAUCAAGUAAGUGUUCCAAAUCCCAAAGCAUACACAUUAUUAAUUUUAAAUAUUUGGGCUUUUUUAAUUGCUCAUAUUUUAGGGUCUUUUUUUGUUAAAUUGAUGACUUUUUUGGAUAGUUGUUGAUCAAUUACAUUAUUGUUUUCUCUAUAGUGCCUAAUUUCUCGCAUCAUAACGCCUGCAUGAUUUGGAUGGGAGAAAUAAUUAUAAUGAUGUUGGUCAAAUUCAAAUGUUUUUUUAUUUAUAUUUAUCUAAUUGGAAUUAAUGAAUAACUUUUUGAUGAAUUGUGUCUAAUUUUAUGAAAGAAUGUGUGAAGGAAUGAAUGUAGGAAUGAAUGAAUGAAUGUAUGAAGUAGUUCUAUAAGUUACACGUAAAACAGAGUUUCCAAACUUAACUGUGUUUUUCUCUGUAACUAAUACUUAACUGCCGUUCUUGGCAACAAAAACUAACUUAUCCAGAGCGAAUGGUAAUUAAUUGUUGGUGGGGGUAUUUUCGCCAAUUUGACGUGUCUGUGAGCAAAGCAUAGGUGUCUAAAGAGCAAUUUUCCCAACAUUUACUGCAGAGAAGACUCACCCUUUGGAUUGCUCAAUCCCUAAAAUAAGUCUACCGUGAGUUACGAUCUAAUGUAAAAAAAGUCGAUUGGGAGUUAAGAUUUGAUGAUUUUUAUUCAAUCGGGAAUUACGACCCGAUAAAUCAAAGGGCAUUUGAGCAAAACUGACAGGCUCGUUGAACAAUUACCUACAAUAGAACACGUGUAAUGCUAUAUGAACACACUUUCUUGACAACAAUAUGUGAUGCCUACACUUUAUAUCAUAUUUAUACGAUGAAAAACGUUUCUUCUUUUUUGUCGCUAUUUUUGUUUUAGAAAAAGAAAACUUUUUUUUUUUUAAAUAGAGUAUGAUUUUUAUAACACAAAAUCUGAGCUGUGUCAAUCAAUUUGACAACUUUGUUAAUUAUUUUUUUGACAUAAAUUUAAUUAACCAAUUUGACUACUUCAUUAACCAUAAAAAUACAUAACAUUAACCACUUAUUUUAAAUAAAUAUAAGUAGCAAUUGUUUUUAAACUACGUAAAAUAAUUUGUGAACACCUUGCAUUUUUUUUUUUGUUAACGAAGUAAUAAAAGUGGUUACUGAAUUUUAUAUUUCCAAAAGUGAUUAACAUCGUACAUUUCUUUGUUUUGUGGUUGAUUCAAUUACUAAAUUGGUUAAUGAUUAACAUUCACACAAAAGAGAAUAUAACUUACCUAAUUCGAUCUAGAAACUUUAUACUUUUCUUUCUUUGAACGCAAAAGAGAAGUCAAAACUCAAAAGUGAAAGACAUUUUGGUGACUUUGUAAAAUCUACCACGUAUUUACACAUUAUUGUAUUACAUUGCAACUAAUCACAAUGGCAAAAGUGGGUCAUUACACAAAAUAGUUACGUAUUAUUAUUAAUAUAUCUACGUAUAAAUCAAUAAAACUUAAAUUAUGCUCCCUUAUAGAACACAGUUAAAUCAAGGAAUUGCUAACACAAGAGUAAGCCUACACAUUUCUAACACAGCUGAAAUCAUGGUUGAUGAAGGUGUAAACCCUUCAAGUUAAUGCUCUAAUAUUAUCACACAUUCACACAAGCUUCACCUUCCAAUAUUGAUUCAUGAUAUAUAUUUGAAGUGGUGCACAUUUCAGGAAUAUGUCCCUUCAUUACUUUAAUAGAUAGAUUACAUCCUUAAAUAUUCAUGCCAAGCUAAAGGUACGGUCCAAUUCCAAAAAUAUAUACAUAUAUUUAUAUAACUCGGGACAUCGCGCACUUCACAGCCAUAUCUGAAUAAUACUACACAAUAUCUGAAUCAUCCGACUCGCACGCAUUGUUACUUAGCCAUCCCGCCCCAAUCUUAAAUUUGCAUACAGGACAUGUUCGUUUUCGCCGGAGCCAUUGAUCGAUGCAGCUGGCAUGAAACUGGAUAGAAACAAAGAAGUAAAUUGAUCAGUCAUGUAUUGCACAUUACAUAAACAUACCAACCACUUGCAGCUUUGAGUAAUGUUAUAUUGCUAAAGUUGAGGAAUGAGUUGUAACUGAAGUAAAGUGCAGCAAUCAUGCUUUAAUUCAACAAAAACAGUAGCGAAUUUUAUAAAUUAAUCGAGGUUAGUUAUUUGACUGACAUUUGACAUAAAAAAUGGUGUAGAUACUGCACUCAGUGAAUGAAGUCGUUGGAUAAAGAUCUGAAGACUCGGUAUUCCAAUUUUCAACAAACCGGAUUCAGAAUAUGAACUAAAAAUAUGAGCUCUCAGAUAUUUUUCCAACGGCUCUAAUUUGCUGAUCGCAUUAAAUGCACCAUUUUUUCAAUCUGGCAGCAACAUGUGCAAGGUAUCCUUAGAAAUAUUUAUUGACUACUAAUCUCCAUUAGUGCUAAAUAAUUCUUUUUAUAACAAAAAAAAUGAUGAACGCAAAAGAUAGGCAGCGUUAAACCUGAUGCAAGCAUGGCAAGCUACGCACAAGUUCCCCCCUCUGAACUUGGUCCAAGCAUAUAGCACAAGUCAACCCAUCUUCUUGAUCAUUGGCACUUCCCUCUUCUCCUUUGAAAUCUUGCUUAAUCUGAUUCAAACAUUGGAUAAAAACAAACUAAAAUCCGGGAAAAUAAAAAAGUUGUGGAGCCAUGGAGAGCAUAAAGCUAACUACCAAAGCAAAAAACAAUAGAUUCAUUGAUAUCAUCACUACCAUGAAACACCUUCGUAACUCAAACAACUUAGUGAGACCUAAUGAGCUAAAAGCAAAGGCGUAGAUAACGCGAAAUGUUCACCUCAGCUGCCUCUAAAGAAGAGUAAGGAGAACCGGGGGGGCCACCCUCUGUUAAUAGACAGAUUAUGUCAACUUAUUUACCAUGGCUUAGCAUUUCAUUAAAAAAACGCAGACACGCAAAAUGGAGAAAACAAAUCCUGUUAACCACUUUACCUUCUACAAGAAAGAACCUUGAAAAUAUAAAAUAAGAAACUAUCACAACUUACUUUAUUGGGCCAGUAACUUUAUGUUUGUGAAUAGGCAAGGCAUUUAUCUCCUCCUCAGACAUUGAACGAGUACCAAAAGCAAGAACUCUCAAAGUGUCAUAAUCUGCCACAAAAUGAAGCAAAAAGCUAAUGAAAAUGUAUACAUGAACAAAAAGGCAUUUUCUUUUGGCAUUGUCAACUUAAAUGAAUAUGAAAAGUUACACAUCCAAAAGUACAAUUCAGAAGCAUAAUACCUAUCUCAUUAAAAUCUCGGUCAAGAAGUGCAAGCUGGAGUCUAAGUCCCUGCAAUCUUCCUCCUGUUGCAAAUGCAAUAGAUGGUGGCACGCGAACUCGUAAUUCAGCAUGGCCAAGUAACCCAGAGGCUGCUGCAGCAUGAGCCCUGGCCUGUGAUUGAAGAUGCAGAUAAAUUGCAUACGCCCUCAGACUUGUAACCAUCACAAAGACCGACAGUAUUAUCCAGCGCUGAAAAGGAUAAGGGUCAAUGUUAAUAUGAAAUCUAGUAGCAUAUACACAUUCAAUUUUAAGUAAUUACUUACCAAAAAAUAAUAUAACAUCUGAGGGGAGUAUAAUAUCACGAAUAUCAUAAUAACUGAAAAAUAAGUACGAGUAAGUCAAAAAUCCAUUGAGAUUCUACAUACAGAAGAAAUAAAGCAAAAUGAGUACGAAAACUAAAAUAAAGUCAAAUUAUUUUUUAUAUAAGCUUUAAACUGUUUUCAUAAGUUAUCCUGGAAAGUUUAUGGAAACAAACUGAAAACAACUUGAGCAAAUCAUAAGUUGUUUCCAUAAGUUCUCCAAAACAGUUUGGCAAGUGUUUAUGUUAGUAGAUAAACUCAAAUAAAUUGAUCCAUGUAGACCCUGCUCACCUGCAAAAAGAAAAACUAGACAAUUGCUAUGGACUGGCCGAGAUGGACGAACCCGCUGAGGUAAAAAAGAGCAGCAUAAGAAUCACAAUCGAACUACGUACAAUCUGAGCUAUAUGAAAGAGAAAGAAAAAAAACAAGCAUGUUGUAUAAAGACUAACAUCAAGUAUCAACACACAUAAACAAUAAUAAGUAAUCAUACCAUUGAGGUUCUCUCAGGAACAUAUUCUGAAAAUCCGUUUUCAAUAUCUCCCCUACUCCCUCGAAAAGCAAAACUCAUGACUUCAGCCGAAAAUUGAUAACAACACAGCCUGCAAGUAUUACACCUUGAAUUUACUACACCAGGAUACGCUUAUCAAAACAAUUUUGGUGAUUGAUAUUUUUAAAGCAUCCAAAGUUAUUGAACUGAUUAUAUCCAUUUAUGGAACAAACAAAGCAUACAAACAGAUUUUCAGACACGCAACCCUACAGAUUUUCAGACACGCAACUCUACAGAUUUCCAGACACGUAACUCAUAAGUUGCAAAACUUUAACAUAUUAAUGAUUAAUCAUAACAAAACCAUUUUCAUUUUUGAAGAAAAUCCGACCUUUAGCACCUGGUCUUGACUAACUUUUCUAUAAAUAGACAAUUGGCUUCAUCAACAUACAUACAUUGCAUGCAAAACUACGCUUUAAAGCUAAACGAAUCUUUUCUUAAACCACCGGCUUGCAAAUGGAUAAUUGGCUUCAUUAAGCUACAAAAAUUGCUUGCAAAACUACACUUCAUAGCUAUACGGAUCUAUUCUUGCAAAACCGGCCUACAAAUAGAUAAUUGGCUUCAUCAACAUACAUACAUUGUGUGCAAAACUACGCGUUAAAGCUAAACGAAUAUAUUCUUACAACACAACCGGCUUACAAAUGGAUAAUUUGCUUCAUUAAUCUAAACAAACAUGAGUAAUGAUAUUUUUACAACCAUUUGGUGACAACUCUUGUGACAACCUUCUCUUUCUCUCUUCGUAUUGGUCAACAACAAUAGAAAGAGAAAAAGGAAGAAAGAGAGUAAACACAUGAUGUGAGUAUGAGAGAGAGAGAGAGAGAGAGAGAGAGAGAGAGAGUUGUUCAAAAGUUGUCAUAAAAUGGUUGUACAAAUAUCAUUUCUCUAGCUAUCUGGAUCUAUUCUUGCAAAACUGACAUACAAAUAGAUAAUUGGCUUCAUCAACAUACAUACAUUGCCUGCAAAACUACGCUUUAAAGCUAAACGAAUUUAUUCUUACAACACCGGCUUGUAAGGUGAUGACUAACCCCCCUCAUGCAUAGGACCAGACAUCUAGAGCAUGAUACGAGUGGCCUCAUAGCAAGUGUAAACACAAUUUCAAAACAGUUCUUGUAAGGUGAGGACUAACCACCAAUUGUAAACACAAUUUCAGGCUUUUCAUCUAAUACGGGACUCUUAACAUCUAUCUUCGAAGAUUAUAUUUUAAUGCAAAAAAUUCAUUGACACUCUAAUAUUGUAGCACAAGCUUCACCUUCCAAUUGAUUCAUGCUAUAUAUUUUAAGUGGUGCACAUUUCAGGAAUAUUGAAGAAUUAAUAAUAUGUCCCUUCGUUACUUUAAUAGAUAGAUUACAUUCUUAAUUAUUCAAGCCAAGCAAAGGGUACGGCCCAAUUCCAAAAAUAUAUACAUAUAUUUAUAUAACUCAGGACAUCGCGCACUUCACAGCCAUAUCUGAAUAAUACUACACAAUAUCUGAAUCAUCCGACUCGCACGCAUUGUUACUUAGCCAUCCCGCCCCCAUCUUAAAUUUGCAUACAGGACAUGUUCGUUUUCGCCGGAGCCAUUGAUCAAUGCAGCUGGCAUGAAACUGGAUAGAAAGAAAGAAGUAAAUUGAUCAUUUGUCUCUCUUGAUCAUUUAUGUAUUGCACAUUACAUACCAACCACUUGCAGCUUUGAGUAAUGCUAUAUUGCUAAAGUUGAGGAAUGAGUUGUAACUGAAGUAAAGUGCAGCAAUCAUGCUUUGAUUCAACAAAAACAGUAGCAAAACCACCAAAAAAAAACAAAAAACAGUAGCAAAAUUUAUAAAUUAAUCAAGGUUAGUUACUUGACUGACAUUUGACAUAUAAAAUGGUGUAGAUACUGCACUCGGUGAAUGAAGUCAUUGGAUAAAGAUCUGAAGACUCGGUAUUCCAAUUUUCAACAAACCGGAUUCAGAUUAUGAACUCAAAAUAUGAGUCUCAAAUAUUUUUCCAACGGCUCUAAUUUGCUGACCGCAUUAACUGCACCAUUUUUUCAAUCUGGCAGCAACAUGUGCAAGGUAUCCUUUGAAACAUCGCGGAAAUGUGUUUGGUAAAAUAUGUAUUGGCUUUUGGUUUAGAUUAGACCAAUUAAAAAAAAAAGUAGCAGAAAUGACCAAAAUUGAUAGCAUGAUUUAAGAGCUAUGAAGAACUAUUCUCCCAAUGUCAAAAAGAUAAAAAUAGAAAUUAGCAACUUCAUAUGCUUUAUCUCAAUUAGCCAAGUUAAUGGAUUUGACUGGAAUGUGAGGAGAAAAUUAAGGAGCGCGCAACUUUACAUCGCUGUAGGUGGCACUGAAUUAACACAAUAUAAAGAAGCACUAAUCUCCAUUAGUGCUAGAUAAUUCUUUUUAUAACAAAAAAAAUGGUGAAUGCAAAAGAUAGGCAGUGUUAAACCUGAUGCAAGCAUGGCAAGCUACGCACAAGUUCCCCCCUCUGAACUUGGUCCAAGCAUAUAGCACAAGUCAAUCCAUCUUCUUGAUCAUUGGCACUUCCCUCUUCUCCUUUACAAUCUUGUUUAAUCUGAUUCAAACAUUGGAAAAAACAAACUAAAAUCUCUUCCUAUUCCAGGAAAAUAAAAAAGUUGUGGAGCCAUUGAGUGCAUAAAGCUAACUACCGAAGCAAAAAACAAUAGUUGCAUUGAUAUCAUCACUACCAUGAAACUCCGUUGUAACUCAAACAACUUAGUGAGACCAAAUAAACUAAAAGCAAAAGCGUAGAUAACAGAGAUAUUUACCUCAGCUGCCUCUGAAGAAGAGGAUGUCGAACCGGUGGAGCCAUCUCUGUUAAUAUAAACAAAUUAUGUCAACUUAUUUUCCAUGGCUUAGCAUUUCAUUAAAAAAACGCAGACACGCAAAAUGGAGAAAACAAUCCUGUUAACCACUUUACUUUCUACAAGAACCUUGAAAAUAAAAAAUAAGAAACUACACAGCUUACUUUAUUGGGCCAGUAACUUUAUGUUUGUGAAUAGGCAAGGCAUUUAUCUCCUCCUCACUCAUUGAAGGAGUACCAAAAGCAAGAACUCUCAAAGUGUCAUAAUCUGCCACAAAAUGAAGCAAAAAGCUAAUGAAAAUGUAUACAUGAACAAAAAGGCAUUUUCUUUUGGCAUUGUCAACUUAAAUGAAUAUGAAAAGUUACACAUCCAAAAGUGCAAUUCAGAAGUAUAAUACCUAUCUCAUUAAAAUUUCGGUCAAGAAGUGCAAGCUGGAGUCUAAGUCCCUGCAAUCUUCCUCCUGUUGCAAAUGCAAUAGAUGGUGGCACGUGAACUCGUAAUUCAGCAUGGCCAAGUAACCCAGAGGCUGCUGCAGCAUGAGCCCUGGCCUGUGAUUGAAGAUGCAGAUAAAUUGCAUACGCCCUCAGACUUGUAACCAUCACAAAGACCGACAGUAUUAUCCAGCGCUGAAAAGGAUAAGGGUCGAUGGUAAUAUGAAAUCUAGUAGAAUAUACACAUUAAAUUUUAAGUAAUUACUUACCAAAAAAUAAUAUAACAUCUGAGGGGAGUAUAAUAUCACGAAUAUCAUAAUAACUGCAAAAUAAGUACGAGUAAGUCAAAUAUCCAUUGAGUUCUACAUAUAUGAAGCAAUAAAGCAUUAGGGUCAUGUUCAGAUAAACAACUUAAUUAAGCACUUAUCAUAUAAAUGCUAUGCAUAAGCUAUUUCUAUAGAGAAAAGUAAAUAAAGUCAAAUUAUUUUCAUAUAAGCUAUAAACUGUUUUCAUAAGUUAUCCUGGAAGGUUUAUGGAAACAAACUGAAAACAACUAAUGUGCAAAUCAUAAGUUGUUUCCAUAAGUUCUCCAAAACAGUUUGGCAAGUGUUUAUGUUAGUAGAUAAACUCAAAUAAAUUAAUCAAUGUAGACCCUGCUCACCUGCAAAAAGAAAAACCAGACAAUUGCUAUGGACUGGCCGAGAUGGACGAACCCGCUGAGGUAAAAAGGAGCAGCAUAAGAAUCACAAUCGAACUAUGUACAAUAUGAGCUAUAUGAAAGAGAAAGAAAAAACACAAGAACUUGUACAAAGACUAACAUCAAUUAUCAACACACAUAAACAAUAAUAAGUAAGCAUACCAUUGAGGUUCUCUCAGGAACAUAUUCUGAAAAUCCGUUUUCAAUAUCUCCCCUACUCCCUCGAAAAGCAAAACUCAUGACUUCAGCCGAAAAUUGAUAACAACACAGCCUGCAAGUAUUACACCUUAAAUUUACUACACCAGGAUACGCUUAUCAAAACAAUUUUGGUGAUUGAUAUUUUAAAGCAGCCAAAGUUAUUGAACUGAUUAUAUCUAUUUAAGGAACAAACAAAGCAUACAAACAAAUUUUCAGACACGCAACUCUAUAGAUUUUCAGACACGCAACCCUACAGAUUUUCAGACACGCAACUCUACAGAUUUCCAGACACGCAACUCCGAAGUUGCAAAACUUUAUCAUAUUAAUGAUUAAUCAAAACAAAAACCAUUUUCAUUUUUGAAGAAAAUCCGACCUUUAACACCUGGUCUUGACUAACUUUUCUAUAAAUAGACAAUUGGCUUCAUCAACAUACAUACAUUGCAUGCAAAACUACGCUUUAAAGCUAAACGAAUCUUUUCUUAAACCACCGCCUUACAAAUGGAUAAUUGGCUUCAUUAAGCUACAAACAUUGCUUACAAAACUACACUUCAUAGCUAUACGGAUCUAUUCUUGCAAAACCGACCUACAAAUAGAUAAUUGGCUUCAUCAAUACACAUAGAUUGCGUGCAAAACUACGAUUUAAAGCUAAACGAAUCUAUUCUUACAACAACACCUUACAAAUAGAUAAUUGGCUUCAUUAAGCUACAAACAUUGCUUACAAAACUAGACUCCAUAGCUAUACGGAUCUAUUCUUACAAAACCGACCUACAAAUAGAUAAUUGGCUUCAUUAAUACACAUAGAUUGCGUGCAAAACUACGAUUUAAAGCUAAACGAAUCUAUUCUUACAACACCGCCUUACAAAUAGAUAAUUGGCUUCAUUAAGCUACAAACAUUGCUUACAAAACUAGACUCCAUAGCUAUACGGAUCUAUUUUUACAAAACCGACCUACAAAUAGAUAAUUGGCUUCAUCAAUACACAUACAUUGCGUGCAAAACUACGAUUUAAAACUAAACGAAUCUAUUCUUACAACACCGCCUUACAAAUGGAUAAUUGGCUUCAUUAAGCUACAAAUAUUGCUUACAAAACUAGACUUCAUAGCUAUUCGGAUCUAUUCUUACAAAACUGGCCUACAAAUAGAUAAUUGGCUUCAUCAACAUACAUACAUAACAUGCAAAACUACACUUUAAAGCUAAACGAAUCUAUUCUUACAACACUGGCUUGUAAGGUGAUGACUAACCCCCCUUACGCAUAGGACCAGAUAUCUAGAGCAUGAUCCGAGUGGCCUCAUAGCAAGUGUAAACACAAUUUCAAAACGGUUCUUCUAAGGUGAGGACUAACCACCAAUUGUAGACACAAUUUUAGGCUUUUCAUCUGAUACGGGACUCUUACCGUCUAUCUUUGAAGAUUAUAUUUUGAUGCAAAAAAUUCGUUGAUUAUCGUCCAAAAUGCAAAUUGUACAAAAAAAUAAAUAAUCAAUUUCAAGCAAGUUCUCAAACUUUGAAGACACAAAAUAUCAUAAUGUAUACCUGAAAAGUAAAUAGAAACAGGAAAAACACAAUCACCAAUAAUAAGGGAGAAGAAUAACUACAGCCACCAAAAUUAAAACCACAACAUAACUCAACUCUUCAUGUGAUGAGAAUAUCAUCAAAAAUUUCAGACAUUAAUCGAAGAUAGUGCAUUUAUAUAUGGAUAUUUAAUUUAAUGGCAUAAGCUAAUUUAACUACUGUUUGGUUCAUGUUUCUGGACGGUUAUAGUUUUCACAGCAUCAAAAAACAUUGUACAGUUACAAAAACAGUGACAAUUAAGGUAAGAAAACGACGCUUUGAAAAUACUUACAAGAAUAUAAGAAUGGAGUGUAGCUGAAAAUGGAAAAGAAGUUGUAUAGUUGUAGUGUACUAAAGUUAAGGUGUUGCUUUGUUAGUUUCUACGUUGUUCGUGUGGUGUGAUGCGGUGGGGUAUAUAGUGACGGAAUGGGAAAUGUUAUUUGUAAACUAAAAAUGAACAUCAAAAAAUUAUGAGGUUUAAUUGCAAUUUAUUUCACUUAUUUAAUUUAAUAGGAAAAGAAAAAAAAAAAAAAAAAAAAAACAAGACAAAGUUAGAAGAAAAAUAAAAGUUGAACUCUUAAUGAAUCGGUGGUCAUUUGGAUCAUGGUCGGUGGUGAUGGUCUAACGCAAAUUUUGAUCAUUUAAAAACUCUUAACCGCAUAUGGUAGCGCAAGUCAACAUAAUGUCAAAUUUUUUGAAGGAAACAUAGAAGGAUUCUACAAUAAUUGAGAAAUCAACACACAAGAUAACUUAAUUUCACCUUGUCAAAGAGGAUCACAAGUCAACAUAAUGUCAAAAUUUUUGAAGGAAACAUAGAAGGAUUCUACAAUAAUUGAGAAAUCAACACACAAGAUAACUUGCAAGGCACAACCGAAUAACGUGAUGAGCCUCGGAGCACUCUUCUUAUCAAUACGGAUAGUGGAAAAAUGAGUUUUUUAGCUCGUGUUAAGACUCCAGUUGACUGAAUAUCAGCUAACGAAGAACAAAUUUGGGGCAUGUGUCGACUCAUAAUACACAACUUAUUGAAAAUAACUCAACAAAGUAACUGUCAUGAUUGUAGUCAGUUACUAAAGUGACAGUUACUUAGUUUCCUUUCUCAAUAAAUAAAAGUUUUCACGAAGAACAAAUGGUUAGAUUAUUAAUUAUGAAGUCUACUCUUAACAAAAAAAACUCAAGUUUUCUAGAGCUUUAAGUAAAUUAUUGAAAAUGGUAGCGAAUUUAUUUUUUAACCCAAAACACAAAACUUAAUAUAAUGGUAUCAAUUAAAAAUAUCAUUUAUAUUUACUUAGCUAGACCAACCUAAAAUGUUUAAUUUUUUGUGGUGUUUAGCUCAAUGUAGCAGGCCCCUACCAACUAAUCUAGUUUAUUCUCGCCCGACUACUAUUAUUAUAAUUUAGCAAAACUAAACUUAUGUUCACAAAGAGAAUUCAUGUUAUGUUUUUUAAACAUGGUAUCUUACAGGGCAAUUGAAGUAUGUAUGGAUUGGCCAACCACAUGAACUGAUGUGCCAAAUUAGAUGUUCUGUUGUCCAAUUAAUUAACUUAAAAUAAUCAAAUAUCAUCCGGUAUCAAAAUUUAGCACAUAAUAUAAGCAAACAAGCUCAAAAUAAGCUGUUUCAUCAAACUGAUGUGUAUAUCUCAGAUCUUUGAAUUGGCGACGUUAUAACAAUUGGAGUUUUAUUCAUUUUUCCCUUUUGUUACCAAAAAAAUUGAGUUUUUUUUUAUAUAGAAGCUCUAUCCAACUCUUAUAUUUUUGUCUUCAAAAUCAAAAAAAUUCUCUAGUCACUGUUUGGGACAUCACCCUAAUCCUUAUCCAUUAACUUUCUUCUAAUAGAACUUUCUGUCACCUUCUUAUACAAGCCAUACAUUCCUUUCUCAACAAGUUGACACAAUUGUUUAUCAGGUGACACAUUGGCUAUUAAAUUAAUCCUAAUAAAGUUGCUUGUAUCGUUAUCAACUACUUAAUUUAGGACUUUCUUCAACCUCGUUUCCCUGAACAUCAAAUAUACUACUGUGUAUUUAUUGCCCACAUCUUUAAGAUGUAUUGAUCAAGGACAAUUUUAACAUCAUUUGACUCAAAUACCUUCAUAGGAUAGCAACAAAUUAUUUCAAAGUCUCAAACUUUCUUCGGGAUCAAAUACUACUUCCAUAUCCCUUUCCUCACUGGCCAAGGUAAUAACAUAUUCAAAUGGAAGUUGGGAUACAUUUCUUUCUCGUAUGCAAGCAACUAAAAACAAGGCAAACUCAUAAUGGAAUACGUUAAAAAUUGCAAGUGUAUUAUGUAUGAGAUGCAUUAGAAUCGACAAAUUUAACAAUGGUAAUUUAAGUUGAGACUCAUAUUCACAUUCUAACUUGUUAUACCGUUCUACGCUCAGGUGAGAUUAAUGUUUGGUCUCAUGCAAGCCUUAAAAAUUUGAAUUCAAACUCUCACUAAGUUUGGUACUUCACAUUCCAAGGGAGAAUGCUACCUUUCUACGCUCAUUUAUGCUUGAUAGCAUACAUGGUUUUAACACAAUUAUUUAUCAUCAUUUCAUGAUUAAAUUCUGCAACUAAUUUGCUCCAAACAUCUUUUGUUGAUUUAAGUCAUACGCAGUACUCACUUCCUAAUAAUUAGUCAAAAAGCAACUUCCCUUUUCUCAUCUAGUCAUAAGGUGUUUGACUCCAUUUUCCAUCAAGUGCCAUGGACAUGACCCAUGUCGGCAUCACCUCAACCUGAAGAGUGCUAAUUCUCUACUAUUAUUCUUCGAGGUGCUUUGAUUAUUGAUCAUGAAACUCAAAACUCAAACAGGACGUGCCAAAAUUCAUAAUUGCACACUCAGUUUGAAGUGCUAGAAAGAUAUUAAACUCCAACAAUCAACCAAAAAAAUGUUAUACCGACAUCUUUUGGGAGUUUUCUAACAUGUAAGCAGUUAAUAAAAAAGAGCACAAACAUCAGACCAAAAACUGUAGAGAAUAGAGAUAACUUGACAAAGGAACUUAAAAAAGAUAGCCUUUAUCUUUUGACAACUAGGUCCAUGAUCAUGUUGCUAGAAGUAAAUGUGACUAAAGGAAUUCAUGAACUGAAGAUACAGCCUAGAGGCAAACUAAUGUUCCCAUAAAUCAAAUCAUGGUGCAACCAAACUCAAACAGUAAGGACACAAAACAUAGCAUUUCAUUUCAUAUGCUCUCUGGUUUAUGCUAUCUUCUCAAUAAUUUUCAAGGUCAUUGAAAAGAGGUUAAAUUAAGUGACUUGUGUAUCUUGCUAUCAUCAGCAUAUAGACAAAACCAAAGCAUAAUCAUAGUGCAAGUUGAGAUUGGCAUCUCAAAAAGCAUAAUAUUAAAAGAAUUCUCACAAAUAGCUUGUGAUUAACAUGAUAUAAUUCUAUAAACAAAUCAAAUAAUUAAGUUCAUAAGGAAUAAAGAUUCUGCUUUCCCCUAAUGUAUGUCCAGUCAACUGCCACAAACAGCUGGUGCCAACAAGAAAAUACAAAAGCCAAAGUAUUCUACCUUUCUCAGUUCUCAAGUUUCAAAUUGCAGCUUUCAAUGACCAACAAGCAAAAAGCACAGCAUCUAUUGAUUUUGAAUUUGAAUUUGAGUUUCAAUCAAACCAAAUGAGUCUCCAGAGAGAUGUGAAAACCAAACUUGCUUCUAUAGUUGCUAAUUACAACCUAUUUACAAUAUGAAUCUGAGAAUCACUUAACUGAAAAUCAAAAUAAAAAAACCAAAGAAAAAAUGUAUUUUUUUUUUGCAAAAUUGCAAUGUCAAUGCUAUUACAAUAGAAUCAAUCUUCCAAUUCCAAAGCUCUCCUACGUCGCCGCGAGUUUCUACUGAACAUUGAAUUCACUAAGCUACGGCUUCUACUCACAGAAGCAACAUUCCCUGUUCCAGAAUUCGAAUUUAAAUUUGACCUAGAACCAAUUCUCCCAAAGAAUGAGAAAAAAUUCCGAAAAACUCUUCCAAUUCCAUGACUUUCCCUAACCCUAUGAGCUCUAACCGUUCUAGAUAUUCUCCUCGGAGCCGAUCCUUGUGCAGCAUUGAGCCCACCAUCCAUCUCAGUAUACACAACCGGAAAAUGACUCUCCCCGGCACUUCUUCCACCGGAGAAUCUCCCAACAGCGAAUCCACCACCGGGUAACCUCCAUAUCGUUAACCCGAUAGCUUCUUCAUCAAUUUGACCAGAAACCCUAGUUUCAAGAGGAUUGUUGAGAUCAGAAGGAAGCUCAUGGCGGCACACCGGGCACGAGUUUCUCACUGUCAGCCAUGGAAGAAUGCAAUCGGAAUGGUAUAAAUGUUUGCAAGGCAACUCACGCGCCUCCGCGUGUAGCUCAAACUCUUCUUUGCAAACGGCGCAGUGUAAUUCACAACUAACGUGUUCUUCACAGAUCUCAACAGUCGGCAUCGAUUCAAUCGCCGCUUUUGACGCCGGUGGAUUCUCCGGCCGUCCAAAACCAUUCAUCUCGAUCUGAGAAAACUGCUCCAACAACCGAUCAAAUCCAGAUCCAAGCAAAAACUCCGAAACCGUCGGUGGUAGAGGACGUAACCCCGAACCAUCACCGUCAUCGUAGAAAAGUUCAAAAGCGCUACCACCAGCACCAGCGCCGUCUUCUCCGACUCCAUCAUCACCGGCUCCACGAAGAACGAUGACAGGAUUGAAAGGUGAACGACUACCAGCGUCACGACGGCGACGGCGGAAGCCUUGUCGGCGAGAAGAAACGGUAUCCGCAGGAAAAGGACUUAGACGGUGAUGCGGGGAUUCGCCGGCGGCGAUCUCUUCGACGAAACCGUUAUCGCAGUGAGGACAAACGAUGAGGGUGUGAUCGGAUAGAUUGAUGAAGCGUGUGCAACUGUAGCACCAGUACGACGGCGUUUCGGGUGAGGAUUCAGAAUUCAUCACGUUCUUGUUAGAGUCUUCUUCUAGAGAGAGAAAGAAGGUAGAGGGAGAAAGUGUGUGAAGAUUAAGAUGAAAUGGGAAAGGGUGGAUGAAUUUAAGGGAUUUUGAAGAAAGAGAGGAGCGUGUGUGAAACUGUGAAGAAUGGAAUGAAAAGAAACGAAACGAGAAACGUUUGCGUGUUAAACCACGCGUGUUUCGAUUUUGAAAAAGGAACAAUCAAAGCAAUUUCUUACUCGUUAAUUAAUACUUUUUUAAUACUAAUUUUUAGACUAAUACUCAUUAAUUAAUUGUAGUAUUGUUUGUUUACUUGUUGAAGAGUAAAAAAUAAUGACGAACUCGGUGACCUACGGCUGAAAACAGAGUAGGAAUGGCGAAAUCAGUCAGUGUAAAUAAAAAGGGACUGAAAUGGCUGGUUAAACAGGUUAGAGUAAAAUAAAAAAACUAAUAACAUAAGAAUUUAGGUGAAUUUUUUUGUUACUUUGUUAAUACAUUUUUUUAGGUGAAUUUCUUUUUUACAUUGACAUAUUUUUAGGUGUAUUCUCAAUGGUUGAAUCAUUGUAUUUUUUUUUACGUAAUUUUUUUUUUUACAAAAAAUAACGAUAUUCAUUCAUUCAAAUCGAUAGAGUACAUCAGAUACAAACAUUGCUAAAAACGUAAAGAGUGGAUCUGCGAACAAACUCACAGCACCAAGUUAAUAGCAUCAACGGCAAAAUGCCUACAAAUAAUAUGAUAAAACCUAAGUCACUGAAAUACCCAUGUUUCCGGAUCUGCAACGUUGACGUCCAAAUCAUUGCUUGAAUUUGUAAUUGAUUGAUGUAGAUCUUUCAAUAGGAACUGAACAAACUCCGCGACAAGACGCGAAAUCAAUCGCCGCACAAGACGACGAACAACAAAAUGCCGCACUUAGACGACGAAAUCAUACAAAAAAAUACAAAAUGGACAACUUGAUAGAUGUGAAAAUCACUUAUUUAGAUUGAAAGAAAAGGGGAAAAAAGAUGUAGAGGGAUGAUUCUAGGUCAAAAAAAUGACCUAAAACCACCUCUCCUCGAUGAACGUAGAAGAAAGAAAGUUUAGAGAGAAUUUAAAGUUUCUUUCACUAGAAAACUAGGGCCGACUUUUUACGUGAAUUUAUUGUUUGCUUUAUUAAUACAUUUUUAUUUAUAAAUUAAUCAUAUAGUUUUUUUUUUUACAUAUUAAUCAUCUAGUUUGUUUGUCAAUAAUUGAACUAUAAUUUGAAGUCUUCGUCAAUUUUAUCUCAAAUUUUACUCCCUCUUAUCAUAUUUACAAUAAAAAAUUAUUUUUUUAUUCGUUAAUUAAUUGAUGUAUCAGGUCUAUAUAUAGGUCAAAUAUAUUAUUUAUUCGAUGAACCUAAAAAGUUACUUUUUACUUUUAAAUAUGAUCGAGACGAGUAUUUUAAAGAAUUAUAUUGAAUAUGAUUAUGAUUCUAUCGAUCUCAAAUUCGAUAUACUAAUGAUUUUUUAAAUAGUUAAAAAUUAAGGUUUUUUUUUUUAGUCUUUCAACUAAAAUUGGUAGACUCUACCACCAAAAAAAAUUACUUUUAGACAUAUCAAUGAUUUUGUGAUAAAAUACACAAAAUUACACUAGAGUCGUUGUGAUUUUCCCGAUUUAAAGUGACUUAUAUAUCAAACAUGGUACAUCUUCUUAUAAGUGAUUAAACUAGUUUGUUAUAUUGUGAUGGUCUAGUUUUUUAGUCAAACCCAACAAAUGUUGAUAAAUAAUAUUUUUAUUGUUAGCUGCACCCAUCUCUCUUGUCUUUCUUCCUCUCUCUUCUUUCAUUCUCAAACCUUAGCGUCAUCCCUUUCUUCUUCUUCUUUUUUUUUAGAGGGGUGAUUUAGGAUCAAUUUUGAACCAAAAAUUACCCAUCCGAAUUGUUUUUCCUUCUAUCGUAAUUGAAUAAGUGAUUUCACAUAUUUUCUCUGUUUUCUUUCGUUUGUUUUUGCAAUUUCGUCGUCUGUGAACGACUCUGUUUGUUUUAAUUUCUCGUCUUUGUAUGGUGUGUUUUUAUUUUUCGUCUUAGUGUGGUGUUUAUUUGAUUCAGGUUGAAAGAUUAGCUUUGAGCAAGUGUAGAUCCGAUCAAUGACAAUGACUUUGGUGUCGUCAACGUUGCAGAUCCGGAGACAUGGGUAAUCCCGAGACAUAAAUAUAGUCAUAUUACUCAUAUCUGUAGGCAUAAGUACUUCGCCGUUUUAUGCUAUUAACGUGGAUGUUGUAUCAUAGAUUCAUCAUUUUUGUUUUUAGCGAAAUUGGAUUUGUAUUGUAUCGAUGUACUCUAUCAAUUUGAAUGAAUGAAUAUCAUUUAUUUUUGUCAAAAGAAAAUUAAUAAUAAUAUAUUUUUAUUGUUAUAUUACAUUUUGUAAUUUGUCUUUUCUUACUGUUGUAAUUUGUGUUAAACUUAUGGUAAAAUAUUUGUAAUUUGUGUUUUCUUCCUCUUGUAAUUUGUGUUAAACUUAUGGUAAAAUAUUACUCCCUCCGAUCCUUAUUAUAAGAAAUAAUUAACUUUUUAGAUUCAUUGAAUAAUUAAUGUAUCUUGUUAUAAAUAUAGACUAGAUACAUCAUUCAAAUGAAUCUAAAAAAUCAAUUAUUUUUUACAAGAUACAUUAAUUAUUCAAUGAAUCUAAAAAGUUAAUUAUUUCUUAUAAUAAGGAUGAGUAAUUGAUUAUUUAAUUGAAAAAAUUGUGAGCCUCAGCUUAGGGAGGAAAUGCGAUACAAGAUGUUGUAAUUUGCGCUAAAUUUAUAAUUUGACAGCUUUUUACACUCAUUGUAAGAAAUUAAUUGAUUGUUUAAUUGAGAACACUUAUGGUAAAAAAUUAAUUGAUAAUUGAAUUGAGAAAAAAUGUGAGCCUCAAGUUAAGGAGAAAAUAUGGUACAAGAUAUUGAGUGUUGACCGUGGACUAUCUUGCUAGAGACGCCGAAUUUGAUUUGAACGGGAAAAUAUUGAAAUGAUAAUAAUAUCUGAAAUAUCAUUACUGUGGCUGUGACCGGAGUUAAGAUUCCUUAAACGAGGAAAAUCUAGAGAAGGUGGUCCUCCUCCGUCGUCACCAUACUAUACACGGCUUGUGAUGUUGCGUUUUCGUUGGUCUUUUUGGUCUUAACUUUUCUAUCUUAUCAUAACUUUACUCUUGACCAUUGUGGUCCCCACCUGCCACUCCUUUUUUCACUUUCACGCCUCCUUUUUCCUUUCCUUAAGUCUACAUUCUUCCUUUUAUUUUUUAAAAUUAUAUUUAUUUUCUUUUUCAUCCGCUAUUCAAUAUUUUUUAAAGAAUGUUUAUAGCAUUUCAUCGAUAAUUAGAAUACAAAUACAAUCGGGUAUUUCAAAAUAAAUAGUGGGAUUAACUACUUCGAUGGCCUCUUGAGCAAGAGCAUAAACGACCAUAUUUGUUUGUCGUCGAUUAAACUCAACCCUAGAGUAUGUGAAACUGGAGGAAAGAGUGUUCUGACAUGCUGCAAUUAUUUUGUAGAACUCUGUAACAUCAAUUUUGUUCGAUAAAACAUCAGCAAUUGUUGUUUUGGAGUCGACGUUGUCAAACUGCAUGUCCCUUAUCCAAUGUAAUGUGUGAUAUAGGGCUCGUUUGGAUUAUGUUUAUUUUGAGCUUAUGCAAAUAAAUAAGUUUUUAUGUUAAUUUAUAAGUUCUCACGGACAAAAAUUGUAUUUUUAUAAACUAUUAAACUACAUUUACAAACUUAUGAAUAAUGCAUUACAUAAUUGUUUUGCAUAAGCUCAAAAUAAUCCUAAUCCAAACGGUAGCAUAAAGCAAGUGCUUCCCAUACAUUGACAGGCACCAGGGGCGAGAGACUCAUGGUCUUGGCUAACAUGUAAGCACCUUCAGCAUCACGUGAACAUAUUCAUAUCUCAACCUAGUUCAAAGCAGGUGAAAACAAUGCAUCAAUGUUGCUUUCAUAUGACCCAAUGAAUCAUGUCUGGAACACCGGAAGUUCGUAGCUGCUCCUGAACAACAGCAUGAGAAUGCAUGACAGCAACAGAAUGAGCAUUCCCAUGUUGUCGUCUUGGUGAAGAGUGAGUUGCCAGCCAUUCAUCCAUGAUGUGUCGAGAACGAUCCACAACUCGAGCACAUAAUUCAUUCUCGUUUUGCCAAAUUUUAAAUUAUGGUGCUUCCAAAUGCUCCAAAUGAGUGACGAAAUUCCAAGUGCAACUGUUUCAAAAGGAGGAAAAUUACUUCACUUGUUGUUGAUGUGGACUGGACUGCAUGUUGCACUUAAUGCCAUAACCCUGCAAAUUGCCAAACUUGAACAGAAAACGGGCAUUGAAAGAAAAUAUGUUCGAGAUCUUCUUCCUGAUGCUCGUAACUAACACAAUAAGUCGGGCACUAAACCCCUUUAUCUUUUAGUUGCAUUCUAGUUGGUAAAAUCUCGUCCAACAUAUCAUCCACAUGAGAUUUUUUAAUCUUUGGAGGGACCUUCAAUCUCCAAAUACCCAUCCAAAAUUCCGGACACCGUAAAUGAGUAGUAUCCAUAAGAUCUUCCACACAAAGCCUAAACGUGCUUUUAACUGAAUAAAUCCCAUUCUUUUCCGCCUUCCAAAUCAACUUGUCAUUUGUUACCUGGUUGACCAGCGACGUAUUCAGGACAUCAUAUGCAAUAUCUUUGCUAAAAACCUAUUGAAUAAAAGGAACAUCCCAACAUUUGGUCUCAUCAUCAAUCAAGCUAUCAACACAAAAAUUACGGACAAAGUCAGCACCAGGUAAAUUAUCGUUGAUAGAUCGACCAUCUUUGAUCCAUGGUUCGUCCAAGAUGGAAAUGGUAGCACAUGUACCUACCUGCGCCACCUAACUUCAUUGCGAACAAUUAAACAGGCUUGGAGAAUAUUGUCCCAAACAUAGCUCGGGUUAUCUCCCAAUCUGGCUGUGAGGAACUCCGAGUUAGGAAGUAACGAGCUUUAAAAAGACAAGUAACCAGAGACUCGGGAUUUGUUUGGAAUUUCCACCCUUGCUUGGCAAGCAUAGCUAAAUUAAAAGCCGGUAAAUCUAUAAAUCCCACGCCAGCAUGAACCUUAUGCAUUAAUAGUUUCUUCCAUGACAGCCAACUGAUUCCCCUAUUAUUCGCACCACCGUGACCCCACCAAAAGAAAUUCUUCAUGACAUAUGAAGAAAUAGCAUGUAAUAUUGAUUUAAUCAUAACCAUGUGACUAGCUUUCAAUAAACACUUGCUACUCUCAUAAUUGAUACGCUACCACACUUUGUCUCUGAUAUAAGAGAAAGUUAAAGCACGAUCUCUUAUAACCAUUGAUGGAAGCCCUAGAUACUUACAUUACAUGUGCCCAGAACGUCUUGAACCCCAAUAAUAUUUGUAAUGGAAGCUUUCAAGGCAUCAAAAACAUUUUGGUUGCAAUAAAUUUCUGAAAUAGGUAAACUGAUAGCUUGCCCCGAUGCCGCCUUAUAAGUGAUAAGGAUGUUCUUCAUGACUUGUGUUUGACCUUCAUCUGCUUUAAAGAAAAGAAAACAAUCAUCGGCGAACAAAAGAUGUGAGAUAGAUGGAGCUCCUCUGCAUAUAGAAAUACCAGAUAUGAUUCUAUGUUCCUCCGCGUCUCGGAUAAGAGACGACAAACCUUCAACACACAAAAUAAACAUAUAAGGCGAUAAGGGAUCACCUUGUCGGAGACCCCGACCUGGAAUGAAUGGUCCCACUGCGUCAUUAUUUACUAAAACCGAGAAAUCAACAGUCUCUACACACAUAGACAUCUAGUAAAUCCACCUAUUGUUAAAACCCGUUUUCACCAUAACUGCCCUCUAGUGGUAUGCUUUUAAUGUCGUAUAGUUCUAACUCUUAGCAAGUAGGAGUAAUAAUAAAAUGAAAUCGAAGAACCAUGUUAAUCCAAGGUUCAUACAAUCACUCAAGUAAGAUGUUGAUAUUUGGAGAAAAAAUUGAAGUUGCAACAAUAAUCCUAUUUCAAGAAACAAGUUAAUCCAAAUCUCAAUAAUCAUAACAUAAGUGAGUGUUUGGCUAUUUGGCAUGAAAGAAAAAGAGUACAUCCAAUGACAAUGUAAUAAAAAUUACUAAUAUUUAGUUAAGUACUUUGAUAUGGAAGCUUGCCUAUAUGAUUCUUCUUGAUUCUAAUUGUCUACUUUUCAUUGUUUAAAAUAAAAAUCCAAUUUUUUCAUCCUAUGUUUAAUAAGUGCAGACUAAUUUGCAUUAUUUCAUAUAUUGUUACCAGUGGCGGAGCCAUAAAUUUUAUCGAGCUUGGGUAAAAUUUUGACCGCAUAUUCACAUGUGACAUAAUAUAUAAACAGUCAUAGAACGAAAUAAAAGAGGCUCGUCAUUUUAUCGAUAACUGGUUGACUUCCAACUUAUAAGAUUCUUUUACUAGCUUAUUGGCAGAGCUUGAUAACUGGUGGACUUCCAACUUUUUUUUUGAAGGAUGGUGGACUUUCAACUUUUGUUGAUGUUGGUGAUAGCUUUGGUGCACCCUGCUAUCGUUGCAUAUCCACAAAUUAGAAGUUAAAAUCUGAUUUAUUAUGCCAUGUUGUAGAAAUAAUUGUAAGUUUUUUUAGGUAUGAAGUGAUCGUGAAUUGUAACUUGAUAUUUGUCAUUUUGUCUAAUAAGCUAAUAUGAAUAGUGAUUCAAAUUUUGUUACCAUAAAUUAAAUGAGCAAUGAAGUAUACAUAAAUUUUAAUUUUUGUGAGUAUUGGUUUGGGUGAAUGGUAUAAUAGUUCAUAGUUAAGGAGAAUUAUUCUAGUUAAGUCAAUUCAAAAAUUUAUUCUAAAAAUUGAUUAUAGUAAUCAAUUUCAAAUUCCAAUGGUAUUUAUUAUAUUCUUUAAAAUAAUUUUAGUGGUAAUUUUAUGAAUUAUUCAUUUUUAGAAUUUAUAGUAGAAUAUAAAAUAUAAAAAAUAAAAUAAAACAAUGAUAAGUUUUAGUGACAGCAACAACCAUAGGUAGCGGUCCAUAAUGUUAAAAUGGUCUCCUUAGAAUUACAUAUGUUUCGUCCGUAGGUAAAAGUGGAAAACAUGUAGUGACAACAAUUUGGCAAUGAGAGACGGAUUUAGCUACGGAAAUUUGCCCUAUAGUGACGUAUAUCGGCUGUCACUACAAAUCAAAUUUCUUGUAGCGAUACAAAGAAAGUAUGGGUUGAGUCCGGGCUCGUGCCCAGACUAGUUGGGUGGCAAAUCCGCCCCUGACUGUUACAGAAUAUUGUAAUAGAACAUUUAAAAUGAAGCUAAAAAUGGUUGUGAUCCAAUACUAAUGUUAUUCUCAUGACAGUAAUUUCAAUCCCCAAGCAAAAUCUUUAAAACAAAAGCAAAAAUUAUUCGUCUCUUAGUGUGAUCAUAUCUAAUUAUCCAUUGUCCCACAAGUGUCAAUAACAAUAUUAAUCCAUUUAAUGUUGUGGGUUCAGCUUGUAUCCCGUUUGAGAAACUCAUGUUGUAUCCAUAGACAAAUUCAUUUUAUCCCAUUUUAAUUAUCUGUCAUUAUAAUAAGAAACAAUAAACAAAAUAAGAGAAAACAAAGAUAAAGAAAAAAAAAAAACUUAAUUAUGACCUUACAUAUGAAAUGUUGGCAAAAACUUAUGAAAUGUGCUACGUAUAAAUUUUUAAGUCUUGAUCUACUGUCAUUGAAAUGAUAAAAUCAUAACCCAUCGUGAUAAUAUUUAUUAUGUCAUACGUUGCAUAUGUAAUUGAUCGCAAAGAAAUAAUACUUAAAUAUUUUAAUAUACUUUAUCAUAAAAACAACUUUGAACACGAAAAUAACUUUAUAGUGCUUAUAAGAAAUUGAUUUUGUCCUUAGCACAUUUCACAAAAGAAGCUAAUAGUGUCAGAAAACUCACCCUUUGCCAAAGAAAGAAAGAAAAGGACAAAAAUGAAGUCAACAAAAUCUAGUCUAUAAAACAAUUGAGUUCAUUGACUAAAAUGAAAUUGACACAUCUAGUCUAAUAGAUAAUUGACAAUGUCUAGUCUAAUAAUUGGCAAAAUAUUAUCAUACUUCUCAAAGCCUUGUAUUGUAUGGAUUAAACAUGAAAGCUAAUUGAGUUCAUUGUUGAGUUACUGUUGUGUAUGACAAAAGAUAAAAAAAAUAGUCAAACCAAAGAAAUUAUUUAAAGUGACUUAUUGGUUAAGCCUAUGAAAAACCUCUUCCAUAAACUUGAAACAUAUGUGCGCAAAUCCAGAUAUAUAAACAAUUCACAAACUUUCAAAGAAGUCAAACAAAGAAACUUAAUAAAACAACGUUCCAAUAUUGCAGGGAUGAAUAACUUUGAUAUUGUGCAACAAAAAUAUGCAGAACUCAAGCUUAGACAUAUACAUAACAUAGAAAUGAAAUAAGUACUUGGUUAAAAAAAUUGCUUUGGUUGUUAUAUAAAUGAAGUAAACUUAGGCAUGAACUCUAUUACUCGAUCUUUUAAAAUAGUAUGUAGAGUAGUGCUAGCAACACUCUCUCAAACACCCACUUCAUUAUUGGUUUAAAUCAAGGUGGGUCUUACACAUUAGAAAUGAGUUCCACUUAAAGUCAUGGGACAUGCAUUAGUUUCAUCCAAUAAGAGAGUGGGUGUUAGAGAGAGUGUUGAAAAGAGAGUGUCAUUAGCAUUACUCGUGCAUAUUUACUAGUCAUAUAUCUAUGUCAGAUGUCAAACAAAAGCCAACUAGUUUCUUGACAAUGUCAAAUAUAUGCUUUAGAAAUGAUUCAGUACCAAAACUAAAAAACACAUUUUCUAUUACAAAAAAUUGCAUGUUAACAAUGUCUUGGUAAUGUCAGAUAUAUGCUUUAUAGCUUCUUGUACCAGUCUAUCUAAUGGAAAACUAUUUGACAAUGUGUUUCAACAGAUAAAAAGAUUUGAACAUGUGUCAAAGAGAGGAAAAAAAAUACAAAUUAAACACAUCAACAUCUACAUAUACCAAGACCCCCUCAUAUAAACUUGUUUUAUGAGAUAUUAUCUACACUCAUACUAUGCAAUUAUUAGUCCCUUGAUUAAUUUCAAUAUUUCAUUUUGGUCUCUUAAUUAAUAAAGUUAUGUUUUAGUCCCUAAUAUAUGCUUUUGUUAGCCAAUCUAGUCCCUUCCUAUUUGAACCCAAAAUAUCUAUGGUGGACCACCAUUGUAGGCGUACCACUGUAGACCUUAUUACUUUAUUUAAUUUUAGUCAUUUAAUCAUUUUAAAACAAAAUAGACCAUUUGAUCAUGCAAGACCAUUGGAUCUAAUAAUGCACCACCAGCACAUGAUUUUUCUUUCAUUUUCUUCCUUCUAUUUCUUCUUAAUAUUCAUCCAUCUUCAUAUGCAUUCAAAUUCAAACCCAAAAAAAAAUAUAUAAAAAAAUAAAGUAAAACCCAAAUUCAUUUUUCAAUCUUCACCUCUUGUGUCUCCCAAAAAGCUCAUCAAUCCCGAAAUUAUUAAUAUUUCACUUACAAAUUCAUCAACUAAAAAACAACACAUAAUUUUAUCACUACACCACCACCAUAAACAACAAUAACAAAGAAACCAUAACCUUAGCCAACUAAAAGAAAUGCUGCAAAAUUCAUAACCUUAACCAACUUGAAUUUCUUGGGUAGAACUGAAGCGACUAAAAACAAAAUCAUUACAAUUCUCACACAAUAUUUCUUGCAAUUACGAAUUGUGUCGUGUAACUGGAAUCGAUUUGAAAGAUUUGAUUAUGGCUCUCUCUUAGAAACAAUUGUUAUACCCUGUUUUUGGACCUAAAAAUACUGGGCCCAAUUUCAUUUCAAACUUUGUCAAUUAUCAAAUUUCAACUGCACAGUUCAAAUUGUCCCUGCCUCGCAGUAUUUUCAAUCACAAUUCCACCUAUGUUUUUCUUGCAUAAAACCUUUCGAAAUGUAUUUACUUGUCUUGUAAGUCAUUCAAAAGUGUCUCUGAAUCAUUACAUUGCUUUUUUUCCACAGUUUAUUUCAAAAUUUGCAAAAAAGUCAUACAGAAGGGUAUUUUGGUCAUUUCCUGCAGUGGGACCCAUUUUCAUCCUUGUGACUGUCUCUGAGUCUUUUCAGAUUGUUUUUUAACAUUUCAUCAGUAAACCUUGUUAAAUUCAUUUCAAACUUGCAUCUGAGUCAGUGUCAAGUCAAUUUGAAUCUGUUUAGGUCAAUUUUAGCCCUAGGGGCAUUUUGGUCAUUUCACACAAGAUUUUGGCAUAGAGAGGUUACUUUGAAGUACCUCAUUUAAGCCAUUGGUUCGUUUUAGUCCGCUUUGUCAAUUUUAUUUUUGUUUCGCUUUACGUUUGGUCAAAUUGCGUUUUUUAUUCAAUUUUAUUUUAAUUGCAUUUUGGUCCCUCAAUUGAGGUCCCAAAAUUGCAUUUUUUUGUCCAAAAAGUUUUUAAUUUCAUUUCAGUCCAGUCCAUUUUUUUUUUAAAUUGCAAACAGGUCCUUCAAGUCAAAAUUAUAGGGCAGCGCCCCUUUUUUCGGUCCAAUGCCACAUGUCAGCUUUCUAAUGGUCCGAUCACUCACACAUCAGCUAUAAAUACUGUUCACAGUGCCACAUAAUCAAAAGAUUCCAUUCACACAGUGCCACAUCACAAACAGAUCCCAACUUUCUCUCUCCAUUCUGUUAGAUCAAAGAAAACAGAUUCACCAAGAACACCAGAACCAAAACCGAAAAUUCAUCAGAAAUUCUCAAAGAUUCAUCACUGAAUCAUCAUCAUCGAAUCACUGCUCUGCAAUUCGAGUGCAGAUUCACCACCAAAAGCGGCGAAUAAGCACGAUCACAGAGAAGAGGAAAAGAAGAAGGAACCGAAUCUGCAAGGAAGAAGAAGAAACCGAAAAAACAGCAAGCAAAAGAGCAAGCAAACGUGAGCAAGCAAGCGCGAGCAAGCAAACACGCGAGCAAGCACGCGAAGCGCAAGCAGCAAGGACCGUAACAGCAAGCAAGAAGAGGUAAGCAUCCUCUUCGUUUGUUCCUUUCCUUUAUCUUCCGUUUCUUUUACAAAAAUUUCAUCAAGAUUCAAACUCAGAUCUACUCCGAUUCAAGCUUUUUUCGAAAAAUCUAAGUUCGGAUUCGAGAAGUAUAUGAAAAAGGAUAUCUAAAAAUGUAAAAAUUUCUCGAAUCGGAGCAGUUUGAUUUUCCGGCACGGUGGCGCCGCCGCCAUCCGCCGCGCCGGAACGGAGGAGUUCAUCGGAGAAGACAACCGGAAUCCUAGAGAGAAGUGAGAGCUUCUCUCACUAAAGGGGAGAAGAGAGAGAAGGAAAAGGAAAAAAUGAAAAAAACCGGAUUUGAAGCACAUAUAUAGAACAUUGAACCGGUCCGGUUUAUUUUCGGUUCUUCCCUUUCUUUCUCAACCUCUAGAUCAAUCCAACGUCUCCUGUGCAAUCUGAGUUUUGUGUGUUGGGCUUUGGGUUGGGCUUAGGCUUCUUGCGCGUUUUUGCUUAUUUUCCUGCUAUCUGCACCAUAGUUCUUUGCUGUUUGAACUUCUGCAUGCUUAAAUUUUCCCUAAAAAAUCUCCAAAAAUUAUCACAUGUUUCUUGAUGUAUUUUCAUAUCUUUUUUAUAUUUCUCAAUGGUUUUAAAAUGAUAAAAAAAAAAAAAGAAGAGCAUGUGAUAUUUCUUGGUUAAUUAGUGCAUUUAGACAUAAAUUUGUGCAUUUUUGGUAGUGUAUUCCUCAUGAAAUGUUGGCAUGUGAUGUGAAUUUUUGGAAUGCAAUUUUGUGAUAAAUUUAUUGCUGAUUACAUGUUUAAUUUGCUGCUUGUGCAUCUCAAUUUCAUCUUCCUUCUUGGUUUGCAAUUAGUAUGCAUUUUUACUAGUAAAUAAAGCGCCAAAAUAGUUUGGAAGUGUGCCAUGAACUUUAGCAUCAAAUAUGUCCCAUUUUUUUUCACAUUAUGACACAAAGCAAGACUUCUAAAAAUGCCAUAAUGAAGGGAUUAUGGGUCAUACAUAUGCUAGAGCCUUGUGACCAUUUUCAUGCACAUUUUGUCACUUUAUUAGUUUCUUUUAUGUCUUUCAUCUUAAUAUUUUUUGUGCAUUUCUUUUACACUAUGCUUUAUUUUACUAAUCAUCUCAUUUCUUUUGUUCCAUUCAUUUCAUGAGUAUUUCUCCAUUUCACCACUAUCUCCUCCACUUCCUCUAGCUUAGCGUUUAUUUUUUGCAAAUUUUAAUUCAUUCGGUGGUGUAAUUUGUUAUCAUUGGUUUGUAGCUUGGCAAAGAGGCCAUAGAAUGUAUUUAGGCAAUUCUUGUAAUAUGGACUAUGGACACUAUGGCGCACCGGCACGCACACACUCACCCUAGAUGUAUGCCUAGGAUUGCAUGUGUAGAUGUAUGGCUAGGAUUGCAUGGUUAGAUGAACGCUUAGGUUUAAACACUUAGAGAGAAUCCAAUUUUUUCCAAAAAAAUAUGCAAACAAACUCGCUUCAAAUAUUUUUCAUAAAAAUGGAGUCAAAACUCCAACAAUUUUUCACCUUUUAUUUUCUUAAUAAAAUUCUCAAAGAAAUCUAAUCAUUUAGACUUUUUUGCAAAAUCACUAAACAAACCCCCACUUUUUCAUACUCUAAUGCUCAUGAAGCCUCUCAAUCCCCUUCUUCAAAAUCAUUUUCAAAAUUUAAAAUCAAACAAUUAAAACAAAAAAAAACAACAAGUCUUUUUAGCAAGAACUACGCCGGUUUUGAUCCCGUAAAACGGUACGUAGGCAAGGGACUUUAACCCCUCCAAGCCGAAAUAAAAUCAAAUUCUACUUCUUCUCACCCCCGUUCUUAACUAAUCACACCUUCAUUUUUCACAAGUAGGCAGUAAAAAAUAAAGCGUAGAAAUAAACUUAGGAGAACGGUUCUUAUGGAAUACCAUAAUCGCUCCGGGUGCCUAACACCUUCCCGUAGCGAAAACGACCCCCGAAUUCGGAAAAUCAAGGGUUUUUCUCCUUUUACCCUUCCCAAGAAAAAAGAGAGAUAUCAACGGUCAAAAGGUUCAAGUCCAAUUAAUGGCUUGGCACCCAAAAACCAUGAUAACAGAAAUGGCGACUUCACUGGGGAUUUUCUUUUAGCGGGUCACGCCUAGUUUUCCUUAGUUUAUAUUUAUGCUUUGUUUUAUUGCUUACAUAUGUGAAUACUUGUUUAUUUUCAUUUGACGUGUGGGGUGAGAAUAUCAAAAGUCCUAUACCCGGGCUGAGUGAACUUAUGUUUAGGUAGAGAUAUAAUCGACAAUUCGAUCCGGGGGUUGCCUCGUGUAUUGGAUUAUGCGAUCAAUCUCACAUAGCUGAGGCAUUUUGAAGGUGAUAUUGUCGGCGUGUGUUGUCAUGCUUAGGCACUUCACUUUCAAUUGUUCGACGAAGCUAUGAACCGUAGUUACCAAACCCAUCCUAGCCUUUUUAGGACGUAGUGCGGUGGCUAAAUUGAGUGUUGUCUCAAACUUUAGUCGUCACGCGAUACUACACUCAAACUAGACCUUCUCACAAAUAAUCAUGGAACGGGUGUCGUCCUGUACUACCAUGAUAUAUGUGAGAGAGGUUGCAGUUUGGGAACUGUGUUAGAACCUUGGUUACUACUAUCCAAAGCCUUAGUUCACCGGACGCCGUGUCCAUCCGUGGCCCUGGUGCUUUGAAUCUCAACCCACCUUGUUCUUUGUAACUAAACAACACAAUCAUGCAUUCAUCGAAGGGCUUAAACAAAUGGAAAUUUUUGUAAAUAAUCACAGGUAUGAAGAAGGUAGAUGUUCCAAAAAAGUUCAAAGUCCCGGAGUUCGACAAGUAUAACGGGCUGACUUGUCCUCAAAAUCAUAUUGUCAAAUAUGUCCGGAAGAUGGGCAACUACAAGGACAAUGAUUCCCUUAUGAUCCAUUACUUCCAAGACAGUCUGAUGGAAGAUGCUGCAGAGUGGUAUACUAGUCUGAGCAAAGAUGAUGUCCACACUUUUGAUGAGCUAGCAACCGCUUUCAAAAGCCAUUAUGGGUUCAAUACAAGACUGAAGCCAAAUAGGGAGUUUCUCAGGUCCCUAUCUCAGAAGAAGGAGGAAAGUUUCCGUGAAUAUGCGCAAAGGUGGAGAGGGGCAGCUGCCCGUAUCACUCCUGCUUUAGAUGAAGAGGAAAUGACUCAGACAUUUCUGAAGACUCUCAAGAGGGAUUAUGUUGAAAGGAUGAUUAUCGCAGCCCCAAACAAUUUCUCAGAGAUGGUUACCAUGGGAACACGUCUGGAAGAAGCUGUUCGGGAAGGCAUCAUCGUGUUUGAGAAGAUUGAGUCAUCUGCGAAUGCUGUGAAGAGAUAUGGUAAUGGACAUCACAAGAAGAAAGAUACGGAGGUGGGAAUGAUAGCCGCUGGAACUAAUCCAUCCAAGGCUACUGUUGCUCCUGUCAAUGCUGCUCAGUUUCCCCCGUCCUACCCUUAUGCACCGUACUCUCAGCAUCCGUUCUUCCCACCGUUUUAUCAUCAGUACCCUUUGCCACCGGGCCAACCUCAGGUCCCUGUCAAUGCCAUCGCUCAACAGGUGCAACAUCAACCGCCAGUUCAACAGCAGCAGCAGCAAUAUGCUAGACCAACUUUUCCUCCUAUACCAAUGUUGUAUGCAGAGCUUCUUCCAACUUUACUCCAGAGAGGACACUGCACGACUAGGCAGGGCAAGCCUCCACCGGACCCUUUACCUCCAAGGUUCCGCUCUGAUCUUAAGUGUGACUUCCAUCAAGGCGCUUUAGGGCAUGAUGUUGAGGGGUGCUAUGCUCUAAAGUACAUCGUCAAGAAGCUUAUAGAUCAAGGGAAGUUAACUUUUGAGAACAAUGUGCCACAUGUCCUCGAUAAUCCGCUCCCAAAUCAUGCUGCCGUGAAUAUGAUUGAGAUAUGUGAAGAGGUUCCCAUGCUGGAUGUCCGCAAUGUUGCAACUCCUCUGGUGCCACUCCAUAUCAAGUUGUGCCAAGCUUUAUUGUUUGAACAUGAUCAUGCUAAGUGCCAAGAAUGUUCCCGCAAUCCUUUGGGCUGCCAUGUCGUCCAAAACGAUGUCCAGAGCUUGAUGGACGGCAAUUACCUUACUGUCAGUGAUGUUUGCGUAAUUGUGCCGGUCUUUCACGAUCCACCUGUUAAGAGGGUGCCUUUGAGGGAGAGCGUUGAGCCGUUGGUGAUAAGGUUGUCAGGACCAAUUCCUUAUGUUUCGGACAAGGCUGUUCCAUACAAAUACAAUGCUACUAUGAUAGAAAAUGGAGUAGAGGUGCCUCUAGCCUCCUUUGCCACAGUAAGCAAUAUUGCCGAAGGGACUUCUGCAGCGCUAAGAAGCGGGAGAGUCCGUCUGCCGUUAUUUCAAAAGAAGGCAGCUACGCCUACCGUGCCACCCAUUGACAAGCCAACCCCGACUGAUGUUUCUCCCGUUAACAGAGACGCGAGCCAACCAAGCCGGUCUAUAGAGGAUUCUAAUCUGGACGAGAUUUUGAGGUUGAUCAAAAGAAGUGAUUAUAAGAUUGUAGAUCAACUGCUGCAAACUCCGUCGAAGAUAUCCAUUUUGUCUCUACUCCUGAGUUCCGCUGCCCACAGAGAUACCCUUUUGAAAGUAUUGGAGCAGGCUUAUGUGGAUCAUGAAGUAACUGUGGAUCACUUUGGUAGUAUAGUGGGAAACAUUACCGCCUGCAGCAAUCUGUGGUUCAGUGAAGAUGAAUUGCCCGAAGCAGGAAAGCAUCAUAACCUGGCCUUGCAUAUCUCCGUAAAUUGCAAGUCCGACAUGAUCUCAAAUGUGCUAGUAGACACUGGCUCAUCUUUGAACGUGAUGCCCAAGUCAACGCUGGAUCAGCUGAGUUACCGAGGAACUCCCUUGAGGAGGAGCACUUUUCUGGUCAAAGCCUUUGAUGGAACCCGCAAGAGUGUUCUCGGGGAGAUAGACUUGCCAAUAACUAUCGGCCCCGAAACCUUUCUAAUCACCUUUCAGGUCAUGGAUAUUAAUGCCUCUUACAGUUGUCUGCUGGGAAGACCGUGGAUACACGACGCGGGAGCAGUGACCUCUACUUUGCACCAAAAGUUGAAAUUUGCAAAAAGUGGAAAGCUUGUUACCAUUCAUGGAGAGGAGGCAUACCUGGUUAGCCAGCUAUCAUCUUUCUCUUGCAUAGAGGCAGGGUCUGUAGAGGGGACCGCUUUUCAAGGAUUAACUGUCGAAGGUACGGAGCCCAAAAGGGAUGGAACUGCAAUGGCUUCUUUGAAGGAUGCACAGAGAGCCGUCCAAGAGGGUCAAGCUGCCGGCUGGGGCAGGUUAAUACAGCUUCGUGAGAACAAGCAUAAGGAAGGUCUUGGCUUCUCCCCAACUUCAGGAGUUUCCACCGGGGCAUUCUGUAGUGCUGGGUUUGUCAACGCAAUCACAGAAGAAGCAACUGGAUUUGGCCCGAGGCCUGUAUUUGUUACACUAGGAGGCAUUGCGAGAGAUUGGGAUGCCAUUGACAUUCCCUCAAUCAUGCAUGUUUCUGAGUAAUAUACCUUGUUGCCUAAGUAUCUUGUUUUUUCAAAAUAACAAUCCUCUCGCUCUGCCCAAAGCGAGAGUGAUAUUUUCUGUAAGGGCAUGUUUGUUUCGGCAUUGCCGUUGAUUAAUAAAAAAAUUGUCGUUUCUUUCACGACUGCUUUUUUUAGUGCCUUUUUUCUUGGAAAUAAUGGUAAUGCCAGAAAAAAACCAAAACAUCUGUAUUUUCUUAUUAAUUUCAAAAAUCUGCAUAAAAACCCUCUUUCUAAAAUCAUCCAACCAUCUUACGCAGAUUGAACUAUAAUGAACCCGUUGGGCACAGUAAUCCUGCAUUCUCUCCGAAUUUUGAGUUUCCAGUGUAUGAAGCCGAAGAUGAGGAAGGUGAUGACAUACCAUAUGAGAUCACUCGGUUACUUGAGCAAGAAAAGAAAACCAUUCAGCCUCACCAGGAAGAGAUUGAGCUUAUCAACAUAGGUACCGAGGAGAACAAGCGAGAAAUCAAGAUCGGUGCUGCUCUAGGGGAAGGGGCUAAAAAGAGGAUCAUCCAACUCCUCCGGGAAUAUCCAGAUAUUUUUGCAUGGUCGUAUGAAGAUACGCCAGGUCUAGAUCCUAUGAUUGUGGAGCAUCGGAUCCCCACCAAGCCUGAAUGUCCUCCCGUCAGGCAAAAAUUGAGAAGGACUCAUCCAGAUAUGGCUCUCAAGAUUAAGAGCGAGGUUCAAAAACAGAUUGAUGCGGGUUUCCUCAUGACAGUUGAGUACCCUGAAUGGGUUGCCAAUAUUGUACCUGUGCCAAAGAAGGAUGGUAAAGUCCGGAUGUGUGUUGACUUCAGAGACCUGAACAAAGCCAGUCCAAAAGACAACUUUCCAUUACCUCAUAUUGAUGUGCUUGUUGAUAAUACUGCUCAGUCUAAGGUGUUCUCCUUCAUGGAUGGUUUCUCCGGUUACAAUCAGAUCAAAAUGUCUCCGGAGGAUAGAGAAAAGACGUCUUUUAUCACUCCAUGGGGUACUUUCUGCUACAAAGUGAUGCCAUUCGGCUUAAUAAAUGCUGGUGCUACCUACCAAAGAGGAAUGACUACUCUGUUUCAUGACAUGAUUCACAAAGAAGUCGAAGUAUAUGUGGAUGAUAUGAUUGUAAAGUCAACAGAUGAGGAGCAACAUGUUGAAUAUUUGACAAAGAUGUUUGAAAGGUUAAGAAAAUACAAGCUUCGAUUGAAUCCCAACAAAUGUACAUUCGGCGUCAGAUCCGGGAAGUUAUUAGGCUUCAUUGUCAGCCAAAAGGGCAUUGAAGUCGAUCCUGAUAAAGUCCGGGCCAUCCGAGAAAUGCCAGCUCCACAGACCGAGAAGCAAGUCAGAGGUUUCCUCGGACGUUUGAAUUACAUCUCCCGAUUCAUAUCUCACAUGACCGCAACCUGCGGGCCGAUCUUCAAGCUACUCAGAAAGAAUCAGCCUGUCGUAUGGAAUGAUGAAUGCCAAGAAGCUUUUGAUAGCAUCAAGAAUUACCUGCUGGAACCCCCUAUCCUUGUCCCACCCGUGGAAGGAAGGCCUUUGAUUAUGUAUUUGGCAGUAUUUGAUGAAUCCAUGGGAUGCGUACUUGGUCAACAAGAUGAGACUGGAAAGAAAGAACAUGCUAUCUACUAUCUAAGCAAGAAGUUCACCGAUUGUGAAACUCGGUAUACAAUGCUUGAGAAGACUUGUUGUGCUUUGGCCUGGGCCGCUAAACGCCUGCGUCAUUAUUUGGUGAAUCAUACAACUUGGUUGAUAUCCAGAAUGGAUCCGAUAAAGUAUAUCUUUGAGAAAGCUGUUGUUACUGGGAAGAUUGCACGCUGGCAGAUGCUUUUGUCUGAAUAUGAUAUUGUGUUCAAAACUCAAAAGGCAAUCAAAGGUAGCAUUCUUGCCGAUCAUCUUGCCUACCAACCUCUUGAUGAUUACCAACCAAUUGAGUUUGAUUUCCCCGAUGAAGAGAUCAUGUAUUUGAAAUCAAAAGACUGCGAAGAACCGUUGAUUGGUGAAGGUCCAGAUCCCAAUAGCAAGUGGGGUUUAGUCUUUGAUGGUGCUGUCAAUGCUUAUGGUAAAGGAAUUGGGGCAGUCAUUGUAUCCCCGCAGGGACAUCACAUUCCUUUUACCGCCCGAAUUCUGUUCGAAUGUACAAACAAUAUGGCCGAGUAUGAAGCAUGUAUCUUUGGGAUCGAGGAAGCAAUUGACAUGAGAAUCAAACACCUCGACAUCUAUGGAGAUUCUGCGCUCGUCAUCAAUCAGAUAAAGGGUGAAUGGGAGACCCACCAUGCUAAGUUGAUUCCUUAUCGGGAUUAUGCGAGACGUUUGCUGACAUAUUUUACAAAGGUUGAGUUGCACCAUAUUCCUCGUGAUGAGAACCAAAUGGCUGAUGCUCUUGCUACUCUAUCCUCCAUGUUUCGAGUAAACCAUUGGAAUGAUGUGCCAAUAAUCAAAGUGCAACGCCUUGAAAGACCUUCACAUGUGUUUGCUAUUGGGGAUGUGAUCGAUCAGGCUGGCGAAAAUGUGGUUAACUAUAAACCCUGGUACUACGACAUCAAACAGUUCUUGCUGAGCCGUGAGUAUCCGUCGGGUGCUUCCAAACAAGACAAGAGGACUUUGAGAAGAUUGGCCAGUAGAUUCCUGUUAGAUGGGGAUAUUCUGUACAAGAGAAACUAUGACAUGGUAUUGUUAAGAUGUGUUGAUGAACAUGAAGCAGAGCAGUUAAUGCAUGAUGUACAUGACGGUACCUUCGGGACCCAUGCUACAGGGCAUACUAUGUCAAGGAAGUUGUUACGAGCAGGUUACUACUGGAUGGCCAUGGAGCAUGAUUGCUACCAGUACGCCAGAAAGUGCCAUAAAUGUCAAAUCUAUGCUGAUAAGAUUCAUGUGCCUCCGCACGCUCUCAAUGUUAUUUCAUCCCCAUGGCCGUUCUCAAUGUGGGGCAUCGACAUGAUUGGAAGAAUUGAACCGAAGGCUUCAAAUGGUCAUCGUUUCAUCUUAGUGGCAAUUGACUACUUCACCAAGUGGGUUGAAGCAGCAUCUUAUACCAAUGUGACCAAGCAAGUGGUAGCUAAGUUUAUCAAGAACAACAUCAUAUGUCGAUAUGGUGUUCCCAGCAAGAUUAUUACCGACAAUGGUACCAACCUGAACAACAAUGUGGUGCAAGCUCUUUGUGAAGAAUUCAAAAUUGAGCAUCAUAACUCUUCUCCUUAUAGACCUCAGAUGAAUGGUGCAGUUGAGGCCGCCAACAAGAAUAUCAAGAGAAUUGUCCAGAAGAUGGUAACCACUUACAAGGACUGGCAUGAGAUGUUACCCUAUGCUCUGCAUGGCUACCGUACUACUGUGCGCAGUUCAACCGGGGCAACCCCUUUCUCUCUUGUAUAUGGUAUGGAAGCAGUUCUUCCUUUGGAAGUAGAGAUCCCAUCUCUCCGUGUGAUCAUGGAAGCAAAGUUAUCUGAGGCUGAAUGGUGCCAAAGCCGGUAUGAUCAGUUGAAUUUGAUUGAGGAAAAACGUAUGGAUGCCAUGGCUCGUGGACAUUCAUAUCAAGCAAGAAUGAAGACUGCCUUUGACAAGAAAGUUCAUCCUCGAGAAUUCAAGGUAGGGGAACUUGUAUUGAAAAGAAGGAUAAGCCAGCAACCCGACCCAAGGGGCAAGUGGACGCCUAACUAUGAAGGUCCUUAUGUUGUCAAGAAGGCCUUCUCCGGUGGUGCUUUAAUCCUUACACACAUGGAUGGUGUAGAACUUCCAAAUCCAGUGAAUGCUGAUAUAGUCAAGAAAUACUUUGCCUAGAAAUAUGAAAAGAACAGCGUGAUAGGUCGAAAACCCGAAAGGGCGGCCUAGGCAAAUAUGCACUUCCCGGUGGAUCGAAAACCCGAAAGGGCGGUCCAGGCAAAAAUAAGGGACAAAAAAUAUAUGAAAAAAGCUCGCUGAGAUUGCACGCAACUCAGGCAAGAAUGAGCGUCUCGAUGAACCGAAAACCCGGAAGGGCGGUUCAUGCAAAAAUGAGAUUGAAACGAAAGGCAAGUAACUAUAAUAUGGCCAACCACCGUUCCCUUGGGGCAUCUGCAGCUGUUAAAUGACCGUCCUCAUCAAAAGCUCUUAUGCUUGCGAAUUCAAAGUUUCUGGGAAAUGUCAUGAUUACUGUGUUCAAUGUACCACCAACCAAUAAAAUUACCAUUUUCCAAGCUUUGUAAAUCCGUGGAGUCACGCCUUCGGCUGACCACCACUCUUAUACAUCAAUUUGAGCUUGUGCUUUUGUCUGAAACUCUGUUUUCUUUUUACUUUCAAAGCUAUAUACAAAACAUUUUCUUUCUAUUUUGAUAAUGACAAUGCUUGAAACAAACAUUUUUGAAAAUUAAAAACUUUUUGUCUAUUUUGAAAAGCAAACCGGAGCAACAGGGUACAUUCAAAUGAACAUGCAUGAGCGAGUGUGUGCUGGUGUCUAUUUCAACAUAUGUUACAAGCAGGUUCUCCUCCAGGAUAGUCCGUGGUCAAUGGCAAGAAUGAAAAAACAGAAUGAAAAUGCAUGAAAAUGAAUAGGCUCGCUAAGUUGAAAACCCGGAAGGGCGGCUUAGGCAAAAAUGAGCACCCCGCUGGAUUGACAACCCGAAAGGGCAGUUCAGGCAAAAAUGGGGCAUUGAAAAGAAUUUAUUUCCCCGGUGGAUCGAAAACCCGAAAGGGCGAUCCAGGCAAAAAUGGGAUGCAAAAAAUGAUGAAUGAAAAUUGAGAAAAUAACAUGCAAAAAGCAUUGACCACAGAUGCGAUGUCCAUGGUACAUCCGGCAUUAUUCCCAGUAGAGUCUUCCGAGAUUCUAUCCCCAGCAAGUUGCAUAUCUACUGGCCCUCAGCCUUGGUCCCGAUACGUCUCCCAACGAUGUCAUCUCCAAAGAGGAUUUUCCGAGAAUGUGUAAUAUAGCACGAGCCACUACGUGCCCAAUACUCUAAUGUCUUGUCUUCCCCGUGAAGUCGUGCCUACAAAAUGCCAACAGUCAUGCAUUACAAGCAUUCAUACAUGCAUAAUCAUGCAUAUUACGUGCCCAUGCAUUUAAUGAAACUGUUAUAUCAUCCAUGCAUAUCGCAUUUCCAAUGUCAACAUCAGUCUCAAUUCAAUACUCAUGUCAGGUUCUCUGUCAAGACCUUGUGAGCCAAUAAUAUCGGUCAAUUUCUACCUUUCAAAUCAAAUCAACGUCAAGUCAAUUUCAACCUAUAUUUUGUCAAACAAACCAAUCCCCAGUGAAUUUUGUUUCUAUUCGGUCAAGUGGCUAGUUCAAGUCCAAGAACAGCUUGUACCCGUCUAUCUGUUUCCGUUCGCUCGAGUGCCCAGCUCAAUCCAAGAGCAGCUUGUACCUGUCUAUAUGUUUCUGUCCAGUGGAGUAACUAGUUCGCAUCCAAGAACAAGCUCACACCUGUUUAUUUGCCUUUGCUUUCAGUCGGGUCACCAGUUCGAAUCCGUAAGAACAACUCGUACUUGCCAAUUUUCUCCUUUUCCCAGUCGGGUCACCAGUUCGAAUCCAUAAGAACAGCUCGCAAUUUCCAGUAUCCCCAAGUGAGUUACCAGUUCGAAUCCAUAAGAAUAGCUCAUGUUUGUCCAGUAACCUCUAUCCCCUGUGAAGUGACCAGUUCGAAUCCAUAAGAACAACUCGCAGUUGUCUGUUUGUUUCAUCCCCGGUCAAGUGGCUAGUUUGAAUCCAAGAACAGCUUGUACCUGUCCAACUUGUUUCUAGUUUCCCGUUACUCUGCUAUUCACUAUCUUUGUCAAUGUCUACCAAUCCCGCAAUGGAUACGACAUAUUUUGUUAAUUCCAAUCCCCAUGAGGUCUUGCAUUCAUAAUCCAAAUGAUGCAUGACAUGCAUAUUAUUUGAAAAUGGGUAGGCGUAUUUUUACGUCCAAACACAGUGCAAAUGCUAAUAUUUAAGUAUCUUCGUCCUGUCAAGCCAAAGACUCCGUCUCUUGACUCUCCAGACAAAGAAACUUAAAUAGGGGCAGCUGUUAUACCCUGUUUUUGGACCUAAAAAUACUGGGCCCAAUUUCAUUUCAAACUUUGUCAAUUAUCAAAUUUCAACUGCACAGUUCAAAUUGUCCCUGCCUCGCAGUAUUUUCAAUCACAAUUCCACCUAUGUUUUUCUUGCAUAAAACCUUUCGAAAUGUAUUUACUUGUCUUGUAAGUCAUUCAAAAGUGUCUCUGAAUCAUUACAUUGCUUUUUUUCCACAGUUUAUUUCAAAAUUUGCAAAAAAGUCAUACAGAAGGGUAUUUUGGUCAUUUCCUGCAGUGGGACCCAUUUUCAUCCUUGUGACUGUCUCUGAGUCUUUUCAGAUUGUUUUUUAACAUUUCAUCAGUAAACCUUGUUAAAUUCAUUUCAAACUUGCAUCUGAGUCAGUGUCAAGUCAAUUUGAAUCUGUUUAGGUCAAUUUUAGCCCUAGGGGCAUUUUGGUCAUUUCACACAAGAUUUUGGCAUAGAGAGGUUACUUUGAAGUACCUCAUUUAAGCCAUUGGUUCGUUUUAGUCCGCUUUGUCAAUUUUAUUUUUGUUUCGCUUUACGUUUGGUCAAAUUGCGUUUUUUAUUCAAUUUUAUUUUAAUUGCAUUUUGGUCCCUCAAUUGAGGUCCCAAAAUUGCAUUUUUUUGUCCAAAAAGUUUUUAAUUUCAUUUCAGUCCAGUCCAUUUUUUUUUUAAAUUGCAAACAGGUCCUUCAAGUCAAAAUUAUAGGGCAGCGCCCCUUUUUUCGGUCCAAUGCCACAUGUCAGCUUUCUAAUGGUCCGAUCACUCACACAUCAGCUAUAAAUACUGUUCACAGUGCCACAUAAUCAAAAGAUUCCAUUCACACAGUGCCACAUCACAAACAGAUCCCAACUUUCUCUCUCCAUUCUGUUAGAUCAAAGAAAACAGAUUCACCAAGAACACCAGAACCAAAACCGAAAAUUCAUCAGAAAUUCUCAAAGAUUCAUCACUGAAUCAUCAUCAUCGAAUCACUGCUCUGCAAUUCGAGUGCAGAUUCACCACCAAAAGCGGCGAAUAAGCACGAUCACAGAGAAGAGGAAAAGAAGAAGGAACCGAAUCUGCAAGGAAGAAGAAGAAACCGAAAAAACAGCAAGCAAAAGAGCAAGCAAACGUGAGCAAGCAAGCGCGAGCAAGCAAACGCGAGCAAGCAAACGUGCGAGCAAGCAAGCACGCGAGCAAGCACGCGAAGCGCAAGCAGCAAGGACCGUAACAGCAAGCAAGAAGAGGUAAGCAUCCUCUUCGUUUGUUCCUUUCCUUUAUCUUCCGUUUCUUUUACAAAAAUUUCAUCAAGAUUCAAACUCAGAUCUACUCCGAUUCAAGCUUUUUUCGAAAAAUCUAAGUUCGGAUUCGAGAAGUAUAUGAAAAAGGAUAUCUAAAAAUGUAAAAAUUUCUCGAAUCGGAGCAGUUUGAUUUUCCGGCACGGUGGCGCCGCCGCCAUCCGCCGCGCCGGAACGGAGGAGUUCAUCGGAGAAGACAACCGGAAUCCUAGAGAGAAGUGAGAGCUUCUCUCACUAAAGGGGAGAAGAGAGAGAAGGAAAAGGAAAAAAUGAAAAAAACCGGAUUUGAAGCACAUAUAUAGAACAUUGAACCGGUCCGGUUUAUUUUCGGUUCUUCCCUUUCUUUCUCAACCUCUAGAUCAAUCCAACGUCUCCUGUGCAAUCUGAGUUUUGUGUGUUGGGCUUUGGGUUGGGCUUAGGCUUCUUGCGCGUUUUUGCUUAUUUUCCUGCUAUCUGCACCAUAGUUCUUUGCUGUUUGAACUUCUGCAUGCUUAAAUUUUCCCUAAAAAAUCUCCAAAAAUUAUCACAUGUUUCUUGAUGUAUUUUCAUAUCUUUUUUAUAUUUCUCAAUGGUUUUAAAAUGAUAAAAAAAAAAAAGAAGAGCAUGUGAUAUUUCUUGGUUAAUUAGUGCAUUUAGACAUAAAUUUGUGCAUUUUUGGCAGUGUAUUCCUCAUGAAAUGUUGGCAUGUGAUGUGAAUUUUUGGAAUGCAAUUUUGUGAUAAAUUUAUUGCUGAUUACAUGUUUAAUUUGCUGCUUGUGCAUCUCAAUUUCAUCUUCCUUCUUGGUUUGCAAUUAGUAUGCAUUUUUACUAGUAAAUAAAGCGCCAAAAUAGUUUGGAAGUGUGCCAUGAACUUUAGCAUCAAAUAUGUCCCAUUUUUUUUCACAUUAUGACACAAAGCAAGACUUCUAAAAAUGCCAUAAUGAAGGGAUUAUGGGUCAUACAUAUGCUAGAGCCUUGUGACCAUUUUCAUGCACAUUUUGUCACUUUAUUAGUUUCUUUUAUGUCUUUCAUCUUAAUAUUUUUUGUGCAUUUCUUUUACACUAUGCUUUAUUUUACUAAUCAUCUCAUUUCUUUUGUUCCAUUCAUUUCAUGAGUAUUUCUCCAUUUCACCACUAUCUCCUCCACUUCCUCUAGCUUAGCGUUUAUUUUUUGCAAAUUUUAAUUCAUUCGGUGGUGUAAUUUGUUAUCAUUGGUUUGUAGCUUGGCAAAGAGGCCAUAGAAUGUAUUUAGGCAAUUCUUGUAAUAUGGACUAUGGACACUAUGGCGCACCGGCACGCACACACUCACCCUAGAUGUAUGCCUAGGAUUGCAUGUGUAGAUGUAUGGCUAGGAUUGCAUGGUUAGAUGAACGCUUAGGUUUAAACACUUAGAGAAAAUCCAAUUUUUUCCAAAAAAAUAUGCAAACAAACUCGCUUCAAAUAUUUUUCAUAAAAAUGGAGUCAAAACUCCAACAAUUUUUCACCUUUUAUUUUCUUAAUAAAAUUCUCAAAGAAAUCUAAUCAUUUAGACUUUUUUGCAAAAUCACUAAACAAACCCCCACUUUUUCAUACUCUAAUGCUCAUGAAGCCUCUCAAUCCCCUUCUUCAAAAUCAUUUUCAAAAUUUAAAAUCAAACAAUUAAAACAAAAAAAAACAACAAGUCUUUUCAGCAAGAACUACGCCGGUUUUGAUCCCGUAAAACGGUACGUAGGCAAGGGACUUUAACCCCUCCAAGCCGAAAUAAAAUCAAAUUCUACUUCUUCUCACCCCCGUUCUUAACUAAUCACACCUUCAUUUUUCACAAGUAGGCAGUAAAAAAUAAAGCGUAGAAAUAAACUUAGGAGAACGGUUCUUAUGGAAUACCAUAAUCGCUCCGGGUGCCUAACACCUUCCCGUAGCGAAAACGACCCCCGAAUUCGGAAAAUCAAGGGUUUUUCUCCUUUUACCCUUCCCAAGAAAAAAGAGAGAUAUCAACGGUCAAAAGGUUCAAGUCCAAUUAAUGGCUUGGCACCCAAAAACCAUGAUAACAACAAUGUUGGGUUUGGAUUUGGGGUUUGGUCGAAAUUUGUGGAAAAAUUUCAUGAUUUUGUUGGUGGUGAAGAAAGUAGGUGGUGGUUGUUUUGUCGGGCGUGAAGUGAAUGUGAAAAGGAAAUGAGGAAGGUUGAGGAGAAUAGAGAACUUGAAUAAAGAGAGGGUUUGAGGCUUGGAUGCGUGCAUUAAAUUGGCACCGAAGAUAAUCGAACCUCAGACCUCAAGGAGGACCACACUCCCAAAUCCCAAGCCAAUACUAAAGCAUUGAAUUUAAAUCUGAAGUUGAAAUAUUUGGCUUUGGCUGUGAAGUGGAUUCUCCAGGAUUGUUGUUGUUGUCGAUAACUUGCUUCUUCCAUUCCAUUCAAAGCAAACGGUGGAAGGAGAUAACUGUUAGAAUGAGGCUUUUCACAUAGUGGGUGGUGGUGUAGUGAAGAGAUUAUUUCUUGUUGCUUUUUAGUUGAUUAAAAAAAUAAUUGAGUUUUUUUUAUUUUUCUGGAUUUGAAAUGUAUGAAAAUAGAUGAAGAUGUAGAAGAAAUAGAAGGAAGAAGAUGAAAUAAAAAUCAUGUUUUGAUGGUAUGUUAUUAGAUUCAAUAGUCUUGCAUGAUCUAAAUGUCUAGUUUCUUUGAAAUAAUCAAAGGGUUAAAAUUGAAUAAAUUAAUAAGUGCUAAUGGGAUAAAACCGCAAGUGCACGGUUCUAUCGAAGUAGUAAAAAUAGAGUAUCGUUCCGACAAGGAGUUAUGAAUUCAAUUAACUUUAAAUAAUGAUUAGAUUGAAGGUUUAGAAGGUAGAAAAGUUUGGAUUUUUAAUUAAAAGAAAAUAAUAAAAGAAAAGAUAAAAGCCUUGAGAUUAUUGGUUCAUCUAAUUGACAAGUCCUUCACAAACUAAACUAUUAAACUUAUUACCUUAUGUUAGACCUAGUUUCUAAAGUCGAGUUUCUCUUAAGCCUAUCACAUCUCCUAUCGGUCUCAGUGAGUGUGUUCCUCUAGCAACCACGCCUAUUUUCAUGGUUGAUCACUAUUAGAAUCCUUGAAGUUCGAAACUCUAUAUGUCUCAAGAUUCACUAGACUAUUUUCAUGUUUUGCAAUCCUUGUCUAAAUUCACUUGAUCGAAUAUCAAAACUCCACUUUCGUUUUAUGAAUUAAUAUUUGGGAUAAUGGAUUAACGAUUAUCAAACCCUCUACUUUCGUUUCUUCAGUUUGAUAAUAUUUAAUCCAUGUUAAAACGGUGAAUUUAGAAGAGAAACUAGGGUUACAUAAAAUUAGGGUUUAAAGCUUGGCUUGAUUAGGAUUAUAUCAUUAGACUUAUCCAACAAUCCCAAGACAAGAGAAGUCUACUCACUAACGUUCAUUGUAGACAUAGAAGGGAAGAAGAAGAAGAACAUAAAAUAAAGAUGAACUUUUAUUCAAAGAAACAAUUGUCACUUAUUAUUUCAGAGAACAAAAGAUGGAUAUUUGUGAUGGCUAGCUACUUUAUUUAUAGUUUACAUUCAACUUAGAAUCUAAGCAAUUACAUCACUAGAAUGUUCCACAAGAAAACUAAAAUAGAGUAGCUUAAAAUCUAAGCAAAAGCAGCAAAAGGGUAUAACGGGGCGCGCCACUUUUAUAUUAUUGUACAAGAUCUUCAAAUUCUUUGCACAUGAUAUUUUUGUAUGAGAUAUUCAUAUUUUUGUCCUCAAUCAUUGCACCAAUAUUUUUGUAUAAGAUCUUUUAUAUUUUUGGCACGAAUCAGCUCCAAUUCUCCUUUCUUUUGCUCCAAGACUCAAUCUUUAAAAUAUUUGUUCCUAAAAUAUAAUAACUUGCAAUUGUAGUAAAAGAGUUCUAAAAAGGAAAUAAACUUAAAUAAAAUAAACUCAAAUAUAAAUAAAACGGACUUAAAUAUUAUAUUAAAAUAGAUAAUUAUUGACUCAUCAAAUGCUACGGUGAACCACCUACAAUGUAGGUCCACCUUAAAUAUUGUUUCGUGGGGUGGAUAAAAUAUUUAAUAGCCACUUCGAUUUGAAGUUCUACUUCCAUGUGAAUAUAUUCAUAUAUUUAAUCCAUUAAAUAUAUAUAGUAAUAAAAAACAUGAUCAUAAAGAUUUGUCAUAAUCAAUUUUAACUUUAUAAAACGAGUCUAACAUGUAAGUCAUAUACCACAUAAAACUAAAUAUAACACAAUAUUUCAUCUUAUUUAUCAAAUAACUAAUAUAUCAUAAAUUCUAUGAGUUAAAUUCAAGUUUCAUGUUUAAAAAUAUUCUAUAGUAAAUCCAAAUAAACAUUCCAAUAGAUAAUAAAUAAUGAACUAAAAUCACUAAUAUUUUACAUCAUUUACUUUCCUCCAAGUACACUUGUCAACUUACAAUAAUAUAAAGGAUUAAUAGGUUUUUACCCCCCUGUCAUAUGGGCGUAUUUUGGUAUACCCCUAUCCAAAAAAAACUUGGAAAUUCCCCCUCGCCAUUUGAAGAUUCUUUGGUUUUGACCCCUGAUGACGUGUGACUGGACAAAUUAGCUUAGGUGGCACGCUGACUGUGUAUUGAUCAAUGAAGUGGCACUUUGACUUGGCUUUUUUUAUUUCUUUUCCAAUUUUUUUAAUUCAAUUUAAAUUUCCUUUAUUAAAAAAACUUAAUUUAAUGAAUUAAAAACAUUACAAAAAAAUCUCUUAUUCUCCACCUUUCCUUUCUCUGCUCUCUUCUCUUUUCCAGAACCAUCCUUCUUCUCUUCUCUUUUCUCUUUUAUUCAACAAAAACCAACAAUAAACCUCAUCCACACAUAUAAUUCUCAAACCAAAAAACACACUAGUUUAUCAUUUUUAUCAAAAUAAAACCCACUAAACACACACCCAUAAAAAAAAUCAAGCAAGAACCCCACAAUAGUUUCAGUUUUGAAUUUGAUAACACAUCAAGCAACAACACACUCGUAUUAAGUUUGAGUUUUUUUCAAUUGAUGAAGAGAUGAAAAAAUGGAUUAGAGAAGAAGGAAGAGAAAGAAUAGAAGAAAGAGGAGAAGAGGGAGGAACCGAGAGAGAAGAGGGAUGAACGUUGUUGCUGGAAUUAGGAAGGAGAGAGAGAGGAGUUUGAAGUUCUAACUCUUCUCUUUUCUUCAUCAUUCUCUUCUCUUCCUUGUACUGUUCAUACUUAGAAAAUGGGUUGUUUGAUUCCCAAUUCUAACCUAAAUUUGUUGUUUGAUUUGAUUCCAUUUUUAUUGUUUAUGAUUGAUUCGAUCCAAAAAUGAGUUGUUUGUGUGUUGUUGUUGUUGAUUGGAUCCGAAAAAUGGGUUGUUUGUUGUGUUGAUGUUGUGUUGUUGCUGGAAAAAUGGAGAACAAAGAGAGAAGGACAUGAAGAUGGUGAUGGUGAUGAAGAACAAAGAGAAAGGAGAUGGAAGGGAGGGAGAGAUGGCCACGUGAAUGAGAAGAGAUGAAAAGGAAUUAAUUGAGUUUUUUUUUUUAAUUUGUUUUUGUUUUAAUUUUUGUUUUGUUUUAGUUUUUUUAAUUGAUUUUUGUUUUAAUUUUAUUUUUUUGUUUUAUUUUAUUUUAUUUUAAUUGGUUAAUGUUAUUUUAAUUUUAUUAUUAAUUUUAUUUUUGUUUUAUUUUAUUUUAUUUUUAUCCAAGUGGAUAUUAAAAAAAAUCAAAACUAAAAUUAUUUAUACAGUCAGCAUGCCACAUCAACCAAAAUGAACAGUCAGAUGCUGACUAUUGGCUGUGGGAGGUAAACCAAGAAAUCUUUAUAUUACAAGUAAGAAUCUACAAGUUUUUUUUUACAGGGGGUAAACCAAAAAUCCCUUAAAUGGCAGGGGGUAAAAGCUUAUUAACCCUAAUAUAAAAUAUACCCAAUUAUUUUAAAUAUCAAAAUAAGCAAGAAAUUAUCAAUUACUUUUCAUAUUAUCAUGCACAUAUGAUAUAAUAUCAUAUCUUCAAUUCUAAAAUCAUAACUUCUUACACAAAUCAUUAUGUCUUUAUUAGCAAAUAAUGUAUAUGUAUCAUAACUUCAUAUUAUUAAACAAUAUUAUAAAAAAAAACAAUAUUUUAAUCUAUUCAACAAAUAGCAAUUACGUUUGGAUAUUUACUUACUAUAACAAAAUGAGUUUGUCCUUGGUUCUUUAGGACUUCGUAAAUUUUAACAUGAUUUUAAACAACAAGCGAGUUUCUCGAAAAAUUUUAAACAAAGGAAUCAAAAUAGAUCAACUUCUCUUAAUUUUAAUAACUUUAUUAUACCACUGGACUAACACGCAUUUUGUUCACCAACUAUAGCAACUCGCCAAUUCAAAUACUGAAACGAAAUCACAUUGUUAGAAGAAAAAAAAUACAUAUACAUUUUUUUGUUAAACAUUGUAACAGUGAAAUACAAGAUAUGUGAUUCAAAAGUGAGAGGAGGCAUCCUUUUAGAUUUUAUUUUGUUCGUUACUUUAAAUAAAGAGCAAUGCUAUAUAUCAAGAAAGAUUUUUUCAAGAAAAUUUCAAGAAUGACAUGGCAGAAUAAUCAUCCUUAGAUUUUAUCAAGAAAUAGUCCUGAAAUUAAUGUUAACCAAUAAAAUCUCAGCCUGGCCGGAAAUCAUGGGGUGGUGGAUGUUAUGUAUCUUUUUUUUAUGAAAGAUUAAUAAAUGAGACUGAAAUCUAAAGGUAAUUAUUGUGUCAUGUCAUUCUUAAAUUUUUCUUAUAAAAUCAUUCUUGAUAUCUAGCAUUUUUCUUAAAUAAAUGCAGCAAAACUAUUCAACAAUUUUUUUUUAUACUUUUUUUAGGAAACAAUUCAACGAUUAUUGAACCAGACCAUCAUUGGCUAUAUAUCUAUUAUCUGGUCACAAUCAAACAUAUCUAAACAUUAUGUAAUAGCAACUUUUUUUGCAUUCAAUCUUCCGAUGCGUCUAGUUAGGGUAUUCAAAUCAACCAAAUAUUCAUAAUUAUUAAGUCUAAUUUAUUCAUGCAUUUCAAUCAAAUACUACAUAAUUUCUUUCACAAAAUUUCAACAAUUCAAUUAUUUAUUUUGAGCACGUAAAUUAAAAUAACAAACACUUAGUUUCAUACAUAAAAUAUAGAACCUAACAUAUAAUUCUCAUUCUAUCAUGCUUUAUUAACUAAACGUACUCAUAUAAAAAUUCAUACACUUCAAUAGUUUCUAAAUCAUACAUAUAUGAAUCUAACACCACCACUUAUAUAUAUAUUAAUUUAUAAUAUCAAACAUCGUAUCAUAUCAUAUAUUUAUAAAAGACAUAUGUAACUUUCACCAGGGUCGUAAAUAAGAAUGCGAACGAGUUGAUCUCUCCGACAAAAUCGCAACAAUUAUUUAACCACAAAUAAACGAUAAAUUGAACCUAAAAAUGGUUAGAACAUGUGUUGGAGGUCAGCUAUAAUAAUUUGAUCAAGAAGGCGAUGAUGAUGAAUAUGAUGAAAAGUGCACAUAAAUUCCAAAGCAUGUGCGGGACACAUUAAUCUUUAACUUUGAUUCUCCCCCACCAGUUAUGCCAACCAGAUGUAAAAGAGUUUGCGAUGGAAUUUUCGAUGGAAUCCUCUUUAGGAUACGAUGGAAUUUUCGACGUGACUUGUAUAUAUUCACACCAAACGCAUCGGUUGAUGAUAGUUUACAUAAUAAAGUUAUGUCAAUUUCUUCCGUGCACUAGAGAAAAGAAAGAAAGAUUUAGUAUUAUUUUUGACGGAAUUUAGACUCACAAAAAUGUGAUGUUCUAUCUAAUUUUCUUACUUAUUUUUUGCCUCCAGAGUGUCUCUAUUUAUAGAGAAACUUAUGUCAUUUGGUUAAGGAAAAUAACCAUUUGGAAGAGUUUGUUCAUGAAUGGUUACAUUGCUUCAAUUAUCAAGCAAUACACCUUUCCUCCAAAAAGCCUAUAUUUAACCAUUGCGACUUUCUAAAUAUAUUUUGAUAAUUUCUCUCACAAGGUUUGCACCGGAACUAAUGAAGAUAUUGUGACAUGGAAUGUAUAUUUCGAGUAACCACUUAUAACUAAUGAAUGGAAUGCGAUUCGUGAAUUUUACAACUUACAUUACCGACAUCAUGAGGUUGUUUUCUCCUAUUUUGAGGACAAUAUGUUUUUAUUAAAAAAAAUUUAUCUGAACGAAAUGGACAGAAGGUCAUACCCAGAAUAUCACACUAUUUCAAUCCCAAAUCACGGCCCAUUUACAUUUUUAUUAAUAUCAAUUAAAAAAACAUAUUUGCUUCACUUUUUUUUAAAAUUUUUGUUACACAAUUAAUUGUUACUUAUUAAUCUAACUUUAUUUUUUUCUUCAUAAAAUUUAACCAUGGUACGAAAAAUUUAUUAAAAAAAAAAAAUAAUUCUUGAUUUUGGUCAGAACAACCUCUAACCCUAUAAGUUACCUAUUGUUCAUGCAAGGGAGCCAUUGAAUUGACUCGACGAUUGAAAAAAAUUGUAUUGAUAGUGGAUUUGCUCAUGAAAAUGUCCUAAAAUUCACCUUUAGAAAAAUUUAGAUUAUUGUUUGGGAUGAUGUGGAAAAAGUUGAAUAAUUAGAGGUUCUACUUGUUUUAAUUAGUUUUUUUAUUGAGGUCUUUUAUUUGUCUUUGGAUGUUAAAUUGUGUAAUGCUACUUAAAUUGUUUGAAUGUUAAUUCAAGUCCUUUAUUUUAACUGUUGGUUAUUUCCUUUAAUGUUAAUUUAUGUCCUUUGGUUUUAGGGGGGUGUAUUGGAUUAGGAUUUUAAAGGACAAUUUUUGUUUAAAAAAGUCUUGAGGAUUUUAAAAGACUUUGCAUGAUUUUGAUGAUUUUAAAAGACUAUUAAGGAUUUCAAUGGAUUUAAUUCAUAAGAUUUUAAAGGAUUUGAAAUGAUUUUAUGGAUUUCAAGAGAUUUCAACAAAUUUUAUGAAUUUUAAGAAAUAAUUGAAAAAAAUAUCAUAACACACUUUCUUUCACAAAAUCUCAAUAAAGACUCUUUUAUUUAUUUUAUUUUAUUUUAUUUUUUACGGGAGAGCUAGAGCUAGAGCUAGAGAGAGAGAGUGAAGGAAUCAAAGAAAGAGAUAGAGAGGUUUUUUACGGGAGAGCUAGAGAGAGGUUUUUACGGGAGAGUUAGAGAGAGAGAGAGAAGGAAGGGGAGAGAGAGAGAGAGAGAGAGAGAGAGAGAGAGAGGAGAGGGAAAAGAGAGAGUAAGAGAGAAGGAAGGAGAGAGAGGGAGAGAUAGUAAAAUCUUAAAAGAAAAAAACAAUCCUAAGAAAUCUCAUGUUUUCAUGAAAGAUUUUUUUCAUCCUAAAAUUUCACUAGAAAAUCCCACAAAAUCCAUCAAAAUCUGAUUUAUUAAACAAUCAUUCGAAAUUUGAAUACCACUAGACUUUUUUUAAGUGAUUAAGAGUCUUGAUUGAAUACCACAAGACUUUUUUUAAAUGACAAAGAAUCUUGAUUGAAUAACACAAGACUUUUUUUAAAUUGGAAAGAGUCUUGAUUGAAUACCACAAGACUUUUUCAUGAUAAAAAAGUCUUUUAAAAUCCCUUAGAAUCAUGAUCCAAUACACCCUCCUUAAUUUUAAUUUCUUUUUGGUCCAUGCAUGUACUAUUGUGAAUCUUCAAUCUAAAUAAAACAAUAUUAUGUUAUCGUGGUCGUUGCCACAUAUUGAAAUAUUUUUAAUUAUGUAAAGUUGUGGUUAUGAAUCUUCGAUUUGUAUAGAAUACUCUGAUGUUGUCGUGGCCGUUUGUGGAAUAGUUAUGAUUGUAAAUCAAAGAUAAAUUUAUCCGUGCGUCCGCGGAGGCGUUACACACAAGAAGAAUAUAAAAGAAAGUGCAUGUUCAGUUAUACGGUAAUAAAAUUUGAUUUUGAGUGAACUGAUUUGUAAAGUUGAUUUCGGAUAAGAGCGAGUUGGAUGUAAAGUGAUUUAGUUUUCUUGAUAAGUGUCAAUUUUUUUUUCUUUCUUGUAAAUUGGAAUGGAGGGAGUAGAUGGUCUUAUUGUUAGAAUUUUAUAUUAUUUUGUAUGUUUUUUCGUAUUUUGUUGAACAAACUCACAAUGCUUCUUGUUGAUUCAUUGUGAGUUUGAGGGUAGAUGUUAGAUAAUAAAAAGUUAGAGUCCAUUAGGUUUUAUUAUAUGUUCUCUUAUAACAUUUUGUAAUGUUAAAUCAUUAUAUUUUAAUGAAACCCUAGUCGUCUUUGUUAUUCUCUCUUUUGUACUUGUAUUGUUAACAUGGUAUCAAGAGCUUGUUUUGAUCCACCUUGAAUCGUUUGUCGCUUCCACUAUUACCUUCCCAAAAGUAUGGGGAUGCAUUUGGUUUGGUCUUUGAUGAUUGAUUCAAUUCAGGUUGUGUUUGGAGUUCCAAAUCCAAGACCAAGAGGAAAUAGUGUUAGAAUUAGUUACCAUGUUGGUAGGAGAUAUCGACCAAUUGUAACCACACUUGGUAGUGUAGACACCAUUUUUGUUGGAACUCCAAAUAAAAACAUCUUCCAUGGAGGGAUUGAACUUGAUGUGCAUGUUAUUAAUAAAAUCAGCUACCAUAGAAGGUCGGUGAGAGUACAAGUCCCGACUAUAAGGACCAUUGGUGGAGAGGACAUCUCUAAUAGUCAAGUGCAAAUCAUGAAUGUCUAUGUAGGGGACAAUGGAGCCUAAGAAGCCAAGGGAGCUCCAAGGACAAAACCAAAAGGAAGAAUUACCAGAACCCGAGCGCCAAGUGAAACCAUCUUUGAGAGCAUUUUUAGCAUGCAUGAUAGAAGACCAAGUUGGUGAAUCUUUGGGAUGAGUUGUAGCAUGAAGGAUUUUAUGCCCAGAAACAUACCUAUUAGAGAGAAGAUCCACCCAAAGUUUUGGAGUAGAUUGAAGCAAAUCCCAAACAAGUUUGCCAAUAAGACAAAUAUUAGUUUCCCUAGCUGUUCUGAUUCCCAAGCCACCUUGAUUCUUAUGGCGGGAAAUUUUAUUCCAACCAACCAAAUGAAUACCUUUAUUGUUGCUAUCUCUCCAAAUAAAAUUAUGAGUGGUUUGAUUAAUGCUAUCACAAAUACUUUGAGGGAGCCAAGCAAUCUGCAUAUAAUAAGAUGGGAUGGAUGAAAGGACGGAUGAGGCCAGAGUUAAUCUUCAGGGUUUGUUUAACAACCUGUUUUUCCAAGAUGCUAACCUUGUUUGCAUUUUUUCAAUAAUAAAAAGCAAAUCACUUCUCUUUGCUCUUCCUUUAAGGAUGGGAAAACCAAUAUAUUUAUCAAGAGAUGUGGUACUUCUUAUGCCAGAAAUAGAAGUAAGCCUAUUAAUUUUGGCUUGAGGAAUACUUGAAAAAUAAAAAGCUCGAGACUUUGACAAAUUAAUUUUCAAACCAGAUGCCCUGCUGAAACGGUCAAAUAAAUCAGUGAUGAAUCUGAGUUGAGAAUUUUUUGCCUUGGUGAAGAGAAGGACGUCAUCAGCAAAGAGAAGAUGAGACAAUUGAGGCCCGUUGUUAGAGAGCUGAAUGGGGUUCCAAUCACCUUGAAGAACAAUUUUGUUGAUGGCAAUGAAGAGCUUUUCCAUGCAAAUAAUGAAUAAAUAAGGAGAUAAAGGUCCCAUUGUCUAAGACCAUUAAAGACUUGAAGGGAGGAAAUAUGUUCCCGUUCCAAAGAAUAGAGAGCGAAGAUGAUGUAACACAAUGCAUGAUAAGCUUAAUGGUGAUGUCUGGGAAGCCAAAGUCGUGAAGGCAAGAUUUAAGGAAAGCCCAGUUAACAUUAUCAAACGCUUUUUCAAGAUCAAGUUUGAAAGUAGCAAAAUCCUUUUUCUUUUUUGAUCUUCUCAUGAAAUGAAUUAUUUCCUGCAAAACAACAACAUUAUCAGAAGUACCUCUACCUGGCAGGAAGCUGCAUUAUCAACAUUUUAUGUUUGAUACACCAUCCGAUCAAUAAGCAAAAUCUAUAUUUUAGAUAUAUUCAAUUAAUGAUAUAUAUAAUCUUUAUUAUAAACCAUGUACAUCAAUUAAUAAAUGAAUUUAAAAUAUUAAUUUUUGAUUAUAAUAGUGACGGAAAAAUGUACAUAAAAUAAUUUAUCAAUUUCCAUAAUUCAUCCAUAUGUACAAUGCUCGCUUUUACUUUAUUUUAGGGCUAUUGUACCCCUAUUUAAUGGUAGUACAUUUUUUUUCCCUCUAUAUAGGUGAGAUUAUUUUUUUUAGAGGAUAUAGGUGACCUUAUUUAAUCACAAAUUAACCGUGUGAGUAAAUAUCAACAUGCAUAUUGGUCCAAACAAAGGAUAUCAGCAGACAAAGGUUACCAAAUAAAUUAAAUUUCUGUAUUUACCUCAUAAAAAGUCAAUAAAUUGUUGUUCAGCAUUGAAUUUAUGAAUAAAUUGCUUUUAUUACCAGGAAUGGGUUUCACAUUGGGUCAAACCCAAGAAAUUGAAUUACAAUUACAAUCCCAAUUUACACAAAUAUGUGAAGUAACCAGAAAUACCAUGCUGCAUUAUAUUAUUAUUACUAGUUUGAGUAAUAAAAAGGGAAGUAACAGAAGCUAGGAAUAGAGUGUGGAAAUUGGAAAAAACUAACAUAAUCAUGAUUCAUAACAUUCAUCACAACACAACGUUUCAGAAGUGAAUAUAGAGUUGUUAAGUUGUGCAUAAUUUACUGUACUUUUGCCAUGUUUUACUGAUCUACCGAAUCUAAUUCACUUACGUGUCAGAUAGACAUAGAUACUGUGUUCUGAAACACACAUGAAAAAUAAAACAAAACAAAACAAAAAUUAAAACAAAACAAAACAAUAUUUUUUCUCUCUCUCUAGUGUUGGCAUUAGUCGGUUAUCACUUGGUCAAUUACCCUAAGGUUUAGGAAAUACAUAAAAUAAUAAUAAAAUUCUGGAUAUUUCUGAGAUACAAUAUUCAUAAAGAUUAUAUGAAAAAAUAAAACUUUAUAAACUUAAAAUGAAAAGAAAUUGAAAUUAAAAUUAAAAUUUUGGGUUUGGUUUGGUUUUGUUGUUGGGUUUGGGUUUUUUGUGCUAUCAUCGUUAGUGUAUUUAUAAUCCUCAUAGAUGGAACAAAACCCUAAGGUUCUUGCAAGAACCAAUCGCCGCCAGCUUCAAAUUCCUCUCUCCUCUUUUUCCCUUUAUUGCACCAUUCUUAACCUCAACUUUCAAUAAUGAUUAUGCAAACUAGCUUUGUUAAUUAUUGAUGGCUUUGCAUAGUUUUGUUUUAGCUUCUUGAAUUUGUAUGAAAGUUUGAAUUUUUAUGCUUUUAGUUGCUGAAAGUUGAAAUUUUUAUGGUUGUGACUGUUUAUGCUUUGUGAUUAAGAAAGUUUGAAUUUUUAGGUUGUUUAUGUGAUUAGGGUUUGAUAAUUUUUGGUGGGUUGUGAUUAGUUUUAUGUGUGUUAGUGUUUGGUGAUAUAAAGUUAAGAUUUUUAAGAAUGUUGUCUGAGUUGGGAAGAAGACCUGUUAUUGGCAAUAACGAGGGUUGUUUUGGUGAUGAAUUGGAGAAGGAAAUAGGGAUGUUGCUCCGAGAGCAACGGAGGCAAGAAGGCGAUGAUCGCGAAAGGGAGUUGAAUAUAUUUAGGAGUGGAUCAGCUCCUCCUACUGUGGAGGGUUCUUUGAAUGCUGUUGGAGGGUUGUUUGGUGCUGGUGGUGUUGCUGGUGGUUUUUCAGAUUUUCCGGGGAAUAAAGAUGUGAAUGGUGUUGUUUCUGAGGAAGAGCUUAGGUCUGAUCCAGCUUAUCUUCAAUACUAUUAUUCAAAUGUGAAUUUGAAUCCUAGGCUUCCACCUCCUUUGUUGUCAAAGGAAGAUUGGAGGUUUCAACAAAGGCUUAAAGGUGGGGCCUCAGCUGUAGGUGGAAUUGGAGAUAGGAGGAAAGGUAACAUGACUGAUGAUAGUGGUGGUAGGUCAAUGUUUUCGACGCCACCCGGUUUUAACUUUAGGAAGCAAGAAAGGAGUGAGGUGGAGAAUGAAAAGACUAGAGGUUCUGCUGAAUGGGGUGGUGAUGGUUUGAUUGGUUUGCCUAGCUUGGGACUUAGAAGCAAACAAAAGAGCCUUGCUGAAAUUUUUCAGGUAUUGUAUUUCUUGUUUGUUAUCUGUUGACUUAUUAAAUCUUUUUUAACUUUGAUAAUAACUCAGUUUGUUGUUUUCUGCUGUCAAGGUUGGUUGAUAACAGAUAUAUGUGUUCAUUUGUUUUUUUCUGCUGGGUACAAAAGAUGGUACUUUUGCUAUUUAAGGCUGUAUUGGAUUACUGAAAUCAAUAAUGCAGUCUAUACUUUGCAUUUCAUUCUAUCUGUUUGGAAGUUUUGUUUUUAACGUUGUGAUGUAUGAUCCUGUUCUAAUAUUUUGAUUAAUGAUUGCAAUUCUUUUGAUUAAUGGAAUGUUAACUGACAAUAUGCAUCUUUGGCUUUUGGCUUACCAUUAUUUAUAGCUCAUUGUGAUGGAAAUGGCAGCAUAUCAUUCAAUGCAUUCGGCUUAAUCUUUUUUAUAUACUUCAACCAAUGUUUUUUUAUGAUCGGUCGUCCUGUAGUAUUAGUAUCUAGCAUUUUAGUUUUAUGUUGGCAGGAAAUAUUGAUACUGAUUAUUUUACUUACAUCUAGCUGAAUUGUUGCAUUUAGCAUAAAGCAUUUGACAUUUUUUUUUGCUGAAAUUUUGUACAUAUUAUAAUAAACUACUUUCAAGCCGCAUACCUUUUUAGUUUUUAGUGGUUAACUUGGGUUGUAUAGGAUUUAUACCUCACAUUCAGCAGUUUUGAUGAAUUUUAUGUCACAUUUUUAUACCUCUCAGUGUUGAAGCAGGGUAUAUGUUUAUAUUGGUCUUGGAGCAUAUGUUUUGGCCAUAUCUCUCAGUUUCUCAUGUAUUCAGAUUAUUCCUAGCUUCUUUUUGUGUUUUGAGAGUUUUUAUUGUAAUGCACAAGCAGAAAAACAGGCAUUACCGAGUCUUUUGGUAGGCUCAGUCUGUUUUUUUUGUUUUUUUAAUUAAACCCUUGUUAUUCAAAUUCUCCUCUAUUUAAAUUUUCAUUUUCACUCUCUUAUCUAAAUUUGAAUUUAAAUUUUCAGUUACAUUUGGAAAUUGGUAUUUUAUAUCUUAAUUUUCAGCUACACUGUCUUGUCUAAAUUUAAAAUUUCAGUUACUUUUGGUAACUGAUAUCUAGAUUUGUUUAUCUUGCAUCUCUUUUCUUCUCCCCAGAGCUCAUGACCGGUAAUUUUGCAGGAUGAUAUGGAGCGUAACACCCCCGUCACAGGCCUUCCUUCUCGUCCAGCAAGUCGCAAUGCAUUCGAUGAAAAUGUUGAUAAAGUAAAUACUUCUGAAGCAGAGUUAGCUCAUGUUCAAGGAUCAUCUGCAACACAAAAUAUUGGUCUGCCAGCUUCGUAUUCUUAUGCUGCUGCACUAGGAGGAUCUUCAUUGUCAAGAAGCACUACUCCUGAUCCACAACAUAUUGCAAGGGCUCCUAGUCCAUGUCUCACACCUAUUGGCGGAGGGAGAAAUGUUGCUUCUGACAAGAGAGGCAUUGUCAGUCCAGAUUCAUUUAAUGGCGUUUCAUCUGGCAUGAACGAGUCAGCAGAUCUUGUGGCUGCUUUAUCUGGGAUGAACUUGUCUGCAGACGAUGAAGACCAUUUGCCAUCACAGGUUGAGUCAGAUGUCGAUAAUCAUCAGAGAUAUCUUUUUGGCAUGCAGGGCGGUCAAGAUCACGGCAAGCAACAUCCAUAUCUAAAAAAAUCUGAAUCAGGGCAUUUGCAAAGUUCAGGUAAGAGCAGGUCAGAACUUAAUAAUCUGUCCCUGCACAGGCAGGCUGAGCUACAAAACUCGACUGCUCCUUUGAAUAACUCAUAUUUCAAAGGAUCACCUACCUCCCAUUUUAGUGGAGGAGGUAAUAUGCAAGCUCAGUAUCAGUCUAUAGAUGGUAUGAAUUCAUCAUUCACUAAUUAUGGCUUAAGUGGUUAUGGUGGAAAUCCAGCAGCAUUGACAUCCUUGAUGACUAACCAAUAUGGCACCAGUAAUCUGCCACCGAUGUUUGAAAACGUUGCUGCUGCAUCCAUGAUGGCUUCCCCUGGAAUGGACUCGAGAAUUCUUGGAGGUGGUUUGGCUUCGGGAGCUGGUUCUCCUUCUGAUCUGCAUAAUCUUGGUCGGAUGGGAAAUCAAAUUGCUGGUGGUGCUCUUCAGGCUCCGUUUGUUGAUCCGAUGUAUCUUCAGUAUAUGAGGACGUCAGAGUAUGCUGCGGCACAACUCGCUGCUCUCAACGACCCCUCUGUGGACAGGAACUACUUGGGUAAUUCGUACAUGAAUUUACUUGAGCUGCAGAAAGCCUACCUCGGGUCUGUUCUCUCGCCUCAAAAGUCACAGUACAAUGCACAGCUUGGUGGUAAAUCAGGCAACUCCAAUCACCAUGGUUACUAUGGAAAUCCGGCAUAUGGUGUUGGGUUGUCUUAUCCAGGAAGUCCAAUGGCAAACUCUGGUUCUCCAGUUGGAUCCGGAAGUCCAAUUAGGCACAAUGAUCUGAACAACAUGCGUUUUGCUUCUGGAAUGAGGAACUUAGCCGGGGUCAUGGGACCUUGGCAUGUAGAUUCCGGGAAUAUGGAUGAAAGCUUUGCUUCUUCUCUGCUGGAAGAGUUUAAAAGCAAUAAAGCCAAGUGUUUUGAGCUCUCUGAAAUUGCCGGACAUGUUGUUGAAUUCAGGUAAAUUUGUUCAAUUUUUGUCGGUUGAUGCUUUUUUUUUUUUGUCGUCUUAAAAGUUAACUUGACUUAAUUUACGAUCGUUGGCAGUGCCGAUCAAUAUGGAAGCCGAUUUAUUCAACAAAAGCUUGAAACAGCAACUACAGAAGAAAAAAACAUGGUUUAUCAGGAAAUCAUGCCACAUGCUCUUGCUUUGAUGACCGAUGUCUUUGGUAAUUAUGUGGUUCAAAAGGUAAAAAUUAUUAUUCUCUUGGUUUAUUGUUCUCUUUCAUGGAUCUGGUUUGACCAAUAGCUGAUAUCUUGCAGUUUUUUGAGCAUGGACUUGCACCCCAGAGAAGAGAAUUAGCAAACAAGCUUAUUGGCCACGUUCUUACACUUAGCCUUCAGAUGUAUGGUUGCCGGGUUAUUCAGAAGGUAUUGAUGAUUUAGGUUGACAAUAGUUGAUAUAUUUAUGUCUUCCCUUUCUAUUAUUUUCUUGAAUAUCUCAUAAGUUUUCCUCUGUCCUUUCAAUAUGGGCUCUCUUUAGGCCAUUGAAGUUGUUGAUCUGGAUCAAAAAAUAGAGAUGGUUAAAGAGCUUGAUGGUAAUAUCAUGCGCUGUGUUCGUGAUCAGAAUGGUAAUCAUGUCAUUCAGAAAUGUAUUGAAUGUGUCCCUGAAGAGGCGAUCGACUUUAUUGUUUCAACAUUUUUCGAUCAAGUUGUGACACUCUCAACCCAUCCAUACGGUUGUCGUGUGAUACAGGUAAGAUUUCUGAACUGCUUAUGUUACUGUUUUUACUAUUAAGAUCCUAAAAAUCAUUUGUCGCAUAAUAAAAAAAACCUUUUACAUGGCAGAGAGUACUGGAGCACUGCGAAAGCCCUGCAACACAGCAGAAAGUUAUGGAUGAGAUUUUAGGCGCUGUUAGCAUGCUAGCACAGGAUCAGUAUGGCAAUUACGUUGUUCAGGUUUUUACUUUUUCUUACCAAGCCUACUGGAUUUUUUUGUUGUUUAUCAUUUAACUUCGUUUAUCAUGAAUGUAUUGAAAACGGAUGUAAUACUUCAGUGAUACUUGUUACUUAUAAUUAAUUCUUUAUCUUUUUAAAAUCUGUUGCUUUAUAUUAUAUCAUCUUUUUGACAUGCCAUCCGAGGUUGGGUCUUCAAAUAUGAUAUGGGUUUUUGGUCUCUAAUCCUCCUGAUUUCGCGGCCACGUCCUGAACAUUACAGUGUUUGCUAUCACUUCAUUUGAUAUACAUAUAGUAUGCCGUUUAAACAUGUGGGUUGAUCUCUUGUUUUGUUUUGUUUUCCGCUAAAUAACAGCAUGUACUGGAACAUGGGAAGCCUCACGAGCGUUCUACCAUAAUAAAGGAGUUAGCAGGGAAGAUAGUUCAAAUGAGUCAACAAAAGUUUGCCUCCAAUGUUGUGGAGAAGUGUCUGACCUUUAGUGGUCCUGCAGAACGCCAAAUACUAGUCAGUGAGAUGCUUGGAACCACGGAUGAAAAUGAGCCUCUUCAGGUUUUUUUAACUCUCUUUAUCUAUUAUGUAUUGCUCAUCAAUUUUAGGUUUAAUACCACAAUAUGCAUUUUUAAAUCCACUGUCUUGGAAGCUUUUGAUAUUAUACCUAGUCUUAGAUUUCAAAUCAUCAUGAAUGAUCUCGUUAUUUCAAAUCCUAUUAUUGCAUGAGCUGAACUCAUAACCAUCCCUUGACCUUUUUUUUACUUUAAGCAGAAUUCACCAUUUGUGUUUAACUGGUUCUCUAGCGGAGAGUGAUUACUGAAAAUCAAUUUUUAACAUGAUUCACAAAUAAAGCAAAGCCAAUAUCAAAUCUUCGGUCUUGAUUUUCCAAUCACCCUUAUAAUUCUUCGGCCUUAGUUAGGAUGUUUUCCUCUUCAUAUGUUCUGCAAAAUGCUAAAAUCAUAUCCCUCUUAUAUUUAGGCAAUGAUGAAAGAUCAAUUUGCAAAUUAUGUUGUCCAAAAGGUGCUGGAAACAUGUGACGACCAUCAACGUGAAUUGAUUCUUUCACGAAUCAAGGUUCAUUUGAAUGCUUUGAAAAAGUAUACCUAUGGAAAGCACAUCGUCGCACGUGUAGAGAAACUUGUUGCUGCUGGAGGUACCUAACUAAUCCUUUCCAUUCUUAUUCUAUUGUUGUAAUCACACCACAUGUUAAUGAUUUGUUAACCGAUCAUGUAAUUUGUUGUUGUAGAGAGAAGAAUGGCUGCUCAGACUCCUCAACUUGCUUAGGCGUGACAUAGAGAAAAUAAUGUUUGUUUGUACAGCUAGCUAACUGAGCCUAGUGCAAGCUGCUUCUUCAAGAGCCUAUAUGUUUCUGCUGAUUGAAAUAAAGUUGUUAAUUGUACUGCAAAAAUGUGUACAUUUGUAGCCUUUUAAGUUUAUACAUAGAUUCCAAGCAAGAUGAGGUUCAGAUGUUUUCCCUGCAGAGAAAUGAAAAUAUUAUGAUGCUGAUGACUAUACAAGUCUUUUUUCACGGUGUAAAGAGUAUAAGAUGGUGAGGUAGUUUACAACUUUACGCACUGUACAAAAUAAUGCUAUGUGGAGAGCUGUUGACAGUUUUUUUUUAUCAACUUGUACGGUUAUAAAACCUUUUGUCCUUUAAUUAUGAGUAUAAAAUUUUAUCUUAAGGUUCAUUUUCCUUCUUCUCUUGUGAAUGAAUGUGAUAGUAACCUUUUGUUUUAUUAUCAUUAUAAGCUAUAAGCUAUUAACAUGCUUUUAUUCAAUGUCUUGAAAUGGCAUAGAAAUAAUACACUUGACAAAAGACACGUAGGAAAAGAAGUGAGUACUAAUAAUAUUCCCCUUGAAACAUGGCAGUACUUUCAAGUGAUAGCUUCUUGCUGGCAAAUUCAUAUUUUAAAGUUUAAACAAGAAUGGAUUAUCUACCUUCCAAUGUUGAUGUCAGCAAUAGUUUUGUAGUAAUUUUUUUUACAGUGUACGACUUCGUAAUAUUGAUUGAUCAACUGAGUAAAUUUACUCAUUCAGAACAAAGUCACCAAAUAGUUUUCUACCCCCAACAUUGUAUGGUGGAAUAGUUGGUAGCUUUGAUAGAUGUCACGGUCUCAACUUCAACCAUAUGUUUUUUCUUUGUUGUUGCAGUGUAACAUCUUAUUAAGGGGAUUCAUUGAGAUUGCCCUUAUGAUAACUGAAUAUGUUGCUUAAUUUCGUAUAUGUCAUCAAUACAUCAUUUUUAUCUGUCAUUACAACUAUGUCUAUUUGAUCUAAAUUAUUCUUUUAUAAGGAAACCAUGUACCACAAUUAUGAUUUAUAAUGAAAUUUCAUAUCGUUCCCCGGAUAUCUUUAUAAUAAGAAACCAUGAUUUAUAAUGAGAUUUCACAAUGAUGAUGGAUCGAUUGAAGAAAUGCUUCGUAAAAGGAGGAUUUUGGCCGGAUAAUUCAUGACAGGAAUGAUGUCCAAUAGUGGAGUGUGUAUGCGAACACUGAUGCUCAAAUCAAUAUAACGAUUGAGGUGAGUGAGAAAUUUAGAUUGAGUCAUAGUUUUUUGAGUUUGAGUCAUACCUUAAUUUUGAAGAAACAAUGUGUAAGAACUAAAAUAAAAAACUGAGCAUAUACUAUAUUAUAAGGGCCAAAAGUAUAUUUAAUCUCAAUGAUGACAUAAAUUUUAGUGAAAAAAAUAAAAUAAAAUCAAUGUUCCAAAAAGUUAAGAGUUAGUAAAAAAAUAAGAAAAAUGAUUUUUGUUGUUUGAGAGAUGGAUAAAUGAUUUGUGGAAAACAAAGACCGUGAGUCUAUUUUUUUACGAUGUAGGAUACAGUGUCACAUUUUUUUAUUUCAAAUUAUUUAUUACUUUAGACCAUACAAAGUUUUUAACCAUAUAAUUCAACAUAAUUAAUUACGGGGUGAUGCUAACCGGUGCUCCAGAGGCACUGGUUAAGGAAACAAAAAAAAAAGUUAUUACUAAAAAAAGGUUUUUUUUUUUUUAAUAUUUUAUUAAUCAAUUAAACAAUUUUCAAUGCAAUAAUUACUAUAUAAUUUCUUUUUUUAGUAUAGUGCCCAGAGGCACUGGAUAGCAUUUCCAUGAUUAAUCAUGUGUUUGCAUAUGACAGUCUUAUCUUUUGCAGGGCAACUACUCAGGAAGCUUAAACUAUUAAAACUAUUAUUUCCUUCUAUGAGUCUCAAUCUGGUCAAAAAGUCAACUUUGACAAAUCUGAUCAUUUUUAGCAAAAAUGUGGCAGACAUAGAACAGAGCAAUAUCAUUCAAAUUCUUGGCAUGAAGAAGGUAGAAGGUUUUUCUAAAUACUUGGGAGUGCCUACUCAUAUGGGCAAGUCAAAAAGACAGGUCUUUAAAUUCAUCUAUGAUAGGGUCCUCAAAAAGUUAAAAAGGUUGGAAAGAGAAGCACUUGUCCUUUGCUGGUAGAAGCACCCUCAUUAAGGCGGUUUCUCAAGCCAUCCCCACUUACAUUAUGAGUGGUUUUUUGCUUCCCAAAAAUUUCUGUCAACAACUUGAUAGAGUGAUUUGUGACUUUUGGUGGGGAAGCAACACUGACUCAAAAAGAACUCACUGGAUUAAGUGGGAAAAACUGUGCAAAGCAAAAAAGAAUGGAGGAUUGGGUUUUAGAAAUCUCAGAGCCUUCAAUAUAGCUUUAUUAGCCAAACAGAUAUGGCGCAUUCAGACUCAAAAUCAGUCCCUUAUGGCUAAAGUGCUCUGAAAUUCUGGCACGUUAGACUUAAGAUGUUAUAUAAGAUGUUUCAACACAAGUUAUACAGAAACAGAUGUUGAAUGAAAUGUUUCGAACACUAAGCUAACAAAAGACAAGUAAAACACAAAGCAUAAAAGUAAAUGGCACAGAGAGUUUGUUAACCUAGUUCGGUGCAACGUCACCUACUCUGGGGGCUACCAAGUCAGGAAGGAAAUCCACUAGUGUAGUCCGUAUUCAAUAGCUCUCAGCAAAAUCCUCGUUUGCACUAAUGACCUAGGACCUACCCGUACUGACUUUAACCUAUGAACUCCUAGAUCUGAGAUCCCAUCUCACUCCCUUACAACUGAUCACAGCCCCUGUAAUACUCAAAUAACAAAUACAAUCAAAAUGAAGCUACCUUCAAACAACACAACUGAACACCGUACUUCACAGCUUUGAUACAGUUUACAAACUACCUAACUCUUUGCUUAAAAGCUUCAGAGUAGUGCACAAAUUACAACUCAAACACAGUCCUAAGCAUGUAUCAAGAUGAUACACGAAAGGCUCACAUAAACAGACUCAAAACCCUAGAUGAUAUAUUCUUCAAACAGCGACUUGAAUGAUUCUCUAGGUCUUCCAGUCUUGUUUAAAUAUUGAAGUAAUACGGGUCAGUAAACUUGUUGGGCUUCAGAACAAUCCGGUGAUCCAUUUCACGUACAACAGAACCAGAAAAGGAAACUCCUAAUAUGUAGGCACAUAAUUCGGAACAUCCUGAUCACCUCCAAACUUUCCUAAGUAGAUAACAUAAUCUUAGGAAAUCACAAACAAUUUGAUCCUAUGCUAAAAACAUGCAGCUUGACCAACAAGAAUAAAGGCGUGGAUUCCUUAAAUAAAAUAGCGCGUGCGAAAAACUAGGCAAGGUGUAGGUCAACUGAACCAUGCCAGGAUGUUGGCACAUCGUGUUCAACAUCUCAUAUGAAUAUUUGUUUUAGGCAAAAGUGAAGUCAAUAUACAAAUAUCCAACAUGCUCAAAGCCAAGCAUUUUCCCAAUAAUACCAUAUGGGAAGCACACCAGAAGCCUGGUAUAAGCUACUCCUGGCGUAGCUUCCUUCAGGCUAGAUGGGUCAUUCAAAAAGGCAGUUACUGGACUGUUGGGAAUGGUAAUCUUAUCAACAUAUGGGAGGAUCGAUGGCUUCCAGACCAAAAUGGCUUUAAAGUCUUUAGCAAAAAACCUAACAACUGUGAUAUUCAAAAGGUCAGUGACCUUAUAGACUACACCACUCUCUCUUGGAACACACCCCUAAUCCAUAAACUAUUCCUUCCUUUUGAAACUGAUCAGAUACAUCAGAUCCCUCUUAUCAAUACCAAUGAGGAUGAUGAUCUCGUUUGGGCUCAUACUAAUAAUGGUUCCUACUCUGUUAAAUAUGGAUACCAUUUUAUAAAAAACAGGGAGGAACAAGCUCAGGGUCAACCUGGUAACUCCUCUACUUGUUGUGACCCAAUCUCGAAGAACUUAUGGAACCAAACUAUCCCCCAAAACAAAUUCAAUUAAUUUGGCGUAUUAUGAAUAAUGGUUUACCUGUGAAGCGAAACUUAAUGCAGUGUGGAAUUCGGUGUGAUCCUCUGUGCCCCGGAUGUGGUAACCACAUUGAAUCCAUCUCUCAUACAUUUAUGCAAUGCUCCUGGGUUCAAAGGGUGUGGUUUGCUUCCCCUCUCACUUUAAAUUUUCAGAACCUCGAUCCCGAUCAUCCAGAAUUCAUAGAGUGGUUAUCCCUUCAAUUACAAAAAGGUGAUAAAAAAAGCUUGGAAAUAAUCUCAGCCAUAUGCUAUGGAAUUUGGAAUGCUAGGAACAAUCUAAUUUUUCAAAACAAAGACAUACCACUUCAAGACAUCAUCAGCAGAGCUGUCCAAUCAGUUGAUUCGUACCAGGAGCAACACAAUAAGCUCAAUCCACGCCCCAGCUUGACCGGAUCUAGAAUGACUCGUCGUGACACUUGCUGGAAACCUCCGUCGGGAGCGAACCUAAAACUGAACGUGGAUGCUCACCUUCUUGGUGAUGGCCGUUGGGGAUUAGGCUUCGUUCUCCGGUGGAGCGAUGGACGGCCCGUCAUGGUGGCAACUAGAACGACGGCUGGAUCAAAAGAUGCUUGCAUGGCAGAAGCUCUGGGAGUUUAUCACGCUCUAAAUUGGAUUGAAAAAGCUGGAUGGGUUAAUGUUCAUAUAGAAUCUGAUGCAAAGAUCAUUGUGGGUAGCAUCAAUUCGCAACAAUUCCCUAGAGGGUAUUGGGGCAAGGUUGGGAGAAAUUGUUCAGAGAAGCUGAAACGCAUGCAAACUAUGUCUAUUAGCUGGAUUAGUAGAGAUCUUAAUUGGGCUGCUCACGCUACUGCAAAAUGGGCUGAGUGUGAACCCAAUAAGAUUUGGUAUUGUAAUUUUCCUACCCCCAUUUUUACUCAUAUCCAAAAAGAUAUGAGCUCUAUUAUUAAUCAAUAAUAUUUUUUCCCUUUGUAAAAAGAAGAAGAAGAAGAAGAAGGGUCAAGCUAUACUUAUGCCUCACAACAAGGAGUUCAUGUAUGCUCCAUUUACCUUGUGCUCCAUUUAGUCCAUUUAAGUCAUGGAUGCAUGACACAUGGCAAAAAAAUAUCUAAGGGUUGAGAUCAAAAUUCAAGAGUUACAUAUUUGUUAAAGGAAAACACGCUCCCUCCCCUCCUUUCUGUGCAAUACGCCUCCUCUUUCUAAAGCAACAAUUGAUUCAAAAAUUUCAGUUUGUAGAAAUUCAACAUCCAUGAUUUUACUAAUCGAUUUUAACAAUUCUUCAUUUGAGUAUGAGUAAAUUCUUCAUAUGAAUAUAUUAAUAAUUCUUCAUAUGACAGAUUCAACAUCCAUGAUUUUUUAAUGUGACCAAUUGUAGAACCACCUAGAUUAUGAUUAGUCAUUAAGUAAAAUAAAAAGACAUGUAGAAUCACCUAGAAUAGUUUAUAACCGCCUAUGUAAAUUACUUAGCCAUUAAGAAGUAAAAAUGUCUAAGUGUAGAACCACCUAGAAUGAUCUUGAGUGCACCGCCUCUUUCUACAAGGUGCAACACCGCCUCACUUUUUGCUUAUGUAUUCUAAGCCUAUAAAAGGCAUAUGCUUGUACCAUAUUGGAUUAUCAAGUCUUCGGCAAUAAAAAUAGUGUGUUCAAAGAAAGUCUCUCCUUUGUUCUAUUUGUGAGUUUGUUUGUUUAUAAGUCCCACUGAUAUCAAAUUGGUAUCAGAGCAGGUUAGGUCCUGCAAGUGUCAGUGUCAAAAAUAGUCUGAGUGUGUGAGGAACAAAAGAGUUCUCAUUGUGUCAAAAUUAUUGUAAGUAUAUUCUGAGUGAGAUAUGUCAAACAAUAAUUUUAAUAUUGUUUGGUCCGGUCCCAAAUUGAAUUCUGAAUUAGAUUUCAGUUAUUGGGAAUUUAUGAUGACAACACAUCUUAAAGCUCACAACAUAUGGAGCUUUGUUGAGUUUGGUUUACAACAAGGAGCUGAUGAACUUGCUCGUAGAAGGGACCAGCUAGCACUAUCUCAAAUUCUUCAAGGAAUAGAUUACUCAAUUUUCGGGAAAAUAGCAAAUGCGAAGACUUCGAAAGAGGCGUGGGACAUAUUGAAGCUGUCACAUAAAGGAGUGAAGAAAGCUCAGAAAUCAAAGUUGCAGUCUCUGCGUAGAGAGUACGAAAGGUAUGAAAUGUCUAGUUCUGAAACAGUGGAUCAAUAUUUUACCUGCGUUAUAAAUCUUGUCAACAAGAUGAGGGUGUAUGGAGAAGAUAUUCCAGAUAGCAAGGUAGUGGAGAAAAUUUUACGCACCAUGCCGAUGAAAUAUGAUCAUGUGGUGACUACAAUAUUGGAAUACCAAUACCUUGUCGGUAGCAGAGUUGCAGGGAAGCAUUGAAAGCCAUGUCAAUAGAAUAUUGGAUAAGACUGAAAAAGUAAAGGAGGAAGCCUUGAAGAGCCAGGUGAAGCUCAACAACAUUGUUUAAUCCAAUUAGAUGGGUGAAGCCAGAGAAUGUGACAAUUUCAACAUUGGAUUAAGAGGAAAUUUCAGAGUUAAAGGUCGAGGAACCUUUAGAGGAAGAGGACGUGGCAACUUCAACCAAUGGAGAGACAACAAUUUCAAUCCAUCCCAUCAAGGAAGAGGUGGAAACAAUUUUGGCUCCAACAACCGUGGCAGAGGAAGAGGUUAUUACAACCAAGAGAGGAAAAAUAAUGGUUGCUUUAAUUGUGGAAAGUACAGGCACAAAGAAGCUGAUUGUAGAUACAAACAUAAGGCAAACAUGGCAGAGAAUUCAUAUCAACACUCGGGCGAGUCUUCACAAAAUCAACAUAGUUUAUUUUUAGCAAGCAAUACACUUUCAGAAGAAGAAAAUAUUUGGUAUUUAGACACCGGGUGUAGUAAUCAUAUGUGUGGGAAAAAGGAAUUAUUCUCUUCUCUGAACGAAACAGUAAAAUCUACCGUGAAGUUUGGAAAUAAUUCAAAUAUUCCAAUUGAGGGGAAAGGCCAAAUUGCUAUCAGAUUGAAGGAUGGAUUGCAGAAUUUUAUUAGUGAUGUUUUCUAUGCUCCAGGUCUUCAUCAUAAUCUCUUGAGCAUGGGACAACUGUCAGAGAAAGGUUACAACAUGCAGAUUCACAAAGGCUAUUGCACUUUGAUUGAUGGACAUGAGAGAUUCAUUACAAAGGUAAAAAUGUCUUCUAACCGCCUAUUCCCUCUAAGAAUUCAACAUGAUCAAUUUCCUUGCUUGAGUUCAAUAAUUCCAAAUGAUGACUGGUUGUGGCACAUGAGAUUUGGUCACUUUCAUUUUUCUGGCUUAAAUUAUUUGUCACGAAAAGAAUAUGUUUAUGGUUUGCCUCUUGUGAACAUUCCAAGUGGUGUAUGCGAGACAUGUCAAAUUGGAAAGAAGCAUAGAGAAUCAUUUCCAACCGGAAAGUCUUGGAGAGCAAAGAAACUCUUGGAGAUCGUUCAUUCAGAUUUAUGCUCGGUUGAAAUACCAACAACUGGUGGAUGCAGAUAUUUUAUUACUUUCAUUGAUGAUUUUAGUAGAAAGGCUUGGGUGUAUUUUCUGAAGCAGAAAUCAGAAGUUGUUGAUGCCUUCAAGACAUUCUAAGCAUUCGUAGAAAAACAAAGUGGUUGUCUAAUCAAAGCACUCAGAACAGAUAGAGACAAGAAUACCUCGUUGGCACAAAUUUCUUUGAGCAACAUGGAAUCCAACAUCAGUUAACCACCAGAUACACUCCUCAACAAAAUGGAGUAGCUGAAAAGGAAGAACAAAACAAUCAUGGAUAUGGUGAGAUGAAUGCUGAAAGCCAAACAAAUGCCAAAGGAAUUUUGGGCAGAAGCAGUUGCUAUUGCUGUUUAUAUUUUGAAUAGAUGUCCAACAAAAAGUGUUCAAGAGAAGACUCCCGAAGAAGCAUGGAGUGGAAGGAGGCCCUCAAUCAGGCACCUAAGAGUUUUUGGAUGUAUUGCAUAUGCUCAUGUACCAGAUCAAAUCAGAAAGAAGUUAGAUGAUAAAGGCGAGAGAUGUAUUUUUAUUGGCUACUACUCAAAUUCAAAGGCUUACAAGCUUUAUAAUCCAAAGACCAAGAAGGUGAUUAUCAGUAGAGAUGUGACUUUUCAUGAAGGAGGAAUGUGAAAUUGGUCAUCAAAGUCACAAAAGGAGCCGAUAGUAACAACUCCAAAUGAUUAUGAAGAGGAGGUUGAGAAUGUAGAUACAACACCUGAUGAGCCAGAAACAUCGAACAUAGCACAAAUGAAUCGAAGAUUACCAGCUCGACUGCAGGAUUGUGUUUUGGGUACUGAUAAUGACCCAUCUGAUGAAGAGAUUAUCAUAUUUGCCUUAUUUGCAGAUUGUGAGCCAGUUACUUUUGAAGAAGCAAAAAGUGAUGAAAAUUGGAUAAAAGCUAUGGAUGAAGAAAUCAAUGCAAUUGAGAAGAAUAAAACAUGGGAGCUGACUGAAUUACCACCAGACAAGAAGCCAAUAGGAGUAAAGUGGGUGUACAAGACAAAGUACAAACCCAGUGGUGAGAUUGAUCGCUAUAAAGCGAGGCUGGUGGCUAAAGGCUACAAACAAAAACAAGGUAUUGAUUAUUUUAAAGUAUUUGCUCCUGUUGCAAGAUUAGAUACAAUUCGCAUGCUUAUUUCACUCUCAACUCAAAAUAAAUGGAAAAUACAUCAAAUGGAUGUUAAGUCUGCAUUUCUUAAUGGUACUUUGGAAGAAGAAGUGUAUGUUGAGCAGCCUGCAGGAUAUGUGGUUAGAGGAAAGGAGGAUAAAGUAUAUAGAUUGAAGAAAGCAUUGUAUGGCUUGAAGCAGGCGCCAAGAGCAUGGUACAAAAAGAUUGAUUCUUAUUUUAUUCAAAACGGCUUUCAGAGAUGUCCAUUCGAGCACACACUCUACAUCAAAUUCAUUGAUCCUGGAGAUGUUCUUAUUGUGUGCCUCUAUGUCGAUGAUUUGAUAUUCACCGGUAACAAUUCAAAGAUGAUAGCUGAAUUCAGGGAGGCUAUGAUAAGUUAUUUUGAAAUGACAGAUUUGGGCCUGAUGUCCUAUUUUCUCGGCAUUGAGGUCAUUCAACAGAAGGAUGGAAUCUUUAUUUCUCAGAAGAAGUAUGCAAGUGAUAUUUUAAAAAAAAUAAAAAAAGAAAAAUAAAAAACAAAUUAAAAACCGGUUGAAGAAAAGAUGAAGCUGACAAGAGAAAGCGAUGGUAAAAGGGUAGACUCAACUCAUUAUAAAAGUUUGAUUGGAAGUUUGAGAUAUUUGACUGCAACAAGGCCAGAUAUAGUAUAUGGAGUUGGUUUACUUAGCAGAUACAUGAAGGAACCACGUGUUUGUCACUUGCAAGGAGCGAAGAGGAUGCUUCGUUAUAUCAAAGGUACUCUGACCGAAGGAAUUUUUUAUGGUAAUAAUAGUGAUGUGAAGCUUGUUGGAUAUACAGAUAGUUGAUGACAGUCCGUCAUUCGCUAAUUCUAGAGUCUUUUUAUAUGUAUUUUGAUCACAAAUUGGAGUUCACAAGGCAACUUAUGCAGCAAAAGAGUAGAAAACUGAAGAAAAUACAAAGAAGAGAAUCGUGUCACGAUUUGAUAAAAACGUGACACGAUUUUAGAAGACCAAAAUCAAGCUUCGACAUUGAAGAAAUCGUGUCACGAUGGCAUAAUCGUGACACGAUCUGAGGAAACCCUAAUUCAGCGAUUUGCGAUUCAAGGAGAAUCGUGCCACGAUUUUAGGCGAAAUUCUGUGCCUAUUUAAGCUGAAGUCUAUUCCAAAGACAAGGGUUACGAUUUGGAGAGAGCAAAGUGCGAUUUUGAGACCUAAAGACGGCUAGGAGGGCGAUUUCUUCAACCUUCUAUCAGUUUAUGUAUGUUUUAAUUCCACUAUUGAUUAUGCUAUUUGUAAACUCAAUUAUGAGUAGCUAAAUCUCUUAGAGAUUAGGUCUGAGAUGAUUCUUUGUAACCCUAAUUGAACCAUGUUGCUGUGAAACUCUAUUUAUUGUGAAUGACAAUCUAGUUUUUAUUCAAUUCAAUUGUUCUUAAUGCUUUUUAUAUCCUGAUCAAAUAUAAACAUGAUUUAGUGAGAAUGAAUGACUACUGACCAUAGCUUUCUACUUAGACAGAAUUGAAUUGUUCUAAUAAACAGGGUUAGUCCAGGAAUGGAUAAUCGUUUGUUAGUGAUAUUAGGUUAACGUUCUUAAAACCUUCAAAGAUUAUUAGACCACCUAAGGAAUUAGGGGUUGUAGUUUGAGAAGAGGGUCCUAACUCAAGGGAUUGAUUAGGACUAUUUUGUUAACUAUCGUGGAACUAGAAAAUCAUUCAUAAGAAUAGGUGCAGUAUACCAAUUAGGGGAACACAGAUGAUUCGAAAGACCUGAUCUCAUCUCUCUCUCAUUCUUUCCAACUCUAUCUUUACAUUCUAUUUAUUUAAUUUUAUGCAAACCAAAACUACUGCCUAGGGCAACUAAAAGAAAUUUACACAUCCUAGAUAUUAACGUUAUUGCUAAAUUGAGAUUAACACAGUCCUCGUGGGAACAAUAUUUUUACUACUUCGAUAGUAUUUGGUACACUUGCCAAAAAUCUAUCAAUAGUCAUUGGGCAGGAGAUAUAGAAACAAGAAAAAACACGUCAGGGUACGCGUUUCAUCUAGGCACCGGUGCAAUAUCAUGGUCUUCGAAGAAACAACCCGUGGUCGCUCUUUCCACAGCAUAAGCAGAAUAGAUAGCAGCAACCAGUUGUGCUACUCAAACAGUAUGGCUGAGAAGAACUUUAGAAGUCAUGCAUAAGAAGCAGAAUACUCCUAUAGAGAUAUACCGUGAUAACAAGUCAGCGAUUGCACUGUCUAAAAAUCCAGUUUUUCACGGGCGGUCCAAGCAUAUUGAUAUCCUAUUUCACAAGAUACGAGAGUUGAUUGCUGAAAAAGAAGUGGUGAUCGAGUAUUGUCCCACUGAAGAGCAAAUUGCGGAUAUUUUUACAAAGCCAUUGAAGAUUGAAGCAUUUUACAAAUUGAAGAAAUUGCUUGGAAUGAUGCAAAGCUUGAUUUAAGGGAGGCGAUGUUAGAAGUUAAAUCAAGAACUUAGUCUAAUACUAGAUUAUGAUUAGUCAUUAAGUAAAAUAAAAAGACAUGUAGAACCACCUAGAAUAGUUUAUAACCGCCUAUGUAAAUUUCUUAGCCAUUAAGAAGUAAAAAUAUCUAGUGUGCACUGCCUCUUUCUACAAGGUGCAACACCGCCUCACUUUUUGCUUAUGUAUUCUAAGCCUAUAAAAGACAUAUGCUUGUAUCAUAUUGGAUUAUCAAGUCUUCAACAAUAAAAAUAGUGUGUUCAAAGAAAGUCUCUCCUUUGUUCUCUUUUGUUUGUUUAUAAGUCUCAUUGAUAUCAAUAUUUGUAUAGUAUGGCAUUAGGUCCUAGCGUUAUAUUAUAUUCUAUUCCUAUUCAGCAAAAGAUUUUGAAAUGAUAUAUUUAUGAAAUUUUUCAUUGGUUUCAGCUGUAUCUUUCACGAUCAUUAUCUAUAAAUAACAUUAUCUACUCGCUUUGUUUAUUUCAUGAGGCAAGUUGUAUGUAAAAUAGUAGUAGUCUUGAUGCAUAGUUGCAUACGUACAUACCAUUAUUUUUCAGAAAAGUUAACCUCACGUGUCGUGAGCUUGUUAAACUUUGUUUUUGGUAUGAGUCGAGUAUCUCGGCUUGUAAUAUAUAUUGAUUCAGUGGACUAUAAUAAAUGAUAAAACUUUCUAUUAAAAUAUUUAACAUUGCUACAUUAUCAUAAUUGUAUUCGAAUUCAAAUUUUUUGAUUUAUCAGAAAGAUAGUGAGCUUAGUAAACUAGUUUAUUUAUAAUUUUCUUUUGAGUGUGUUGGUGUAUGACUUAACUCACCACCAACAUAAGUUUAUCACCCUUUUCUUCUUAAAAAAAAGUUUAUCACCCUUUUUUCAAAAUAAAAAAAAGUUUAUCACCCUGUUACUCCCUAACUCAUUAACCUCAACCAUCAAGCCAACUUUAAAAUCAUUUAAAAUUAAAUCUCGAACAAUCAUUGAUAUAAACUCGUAUGCUACAUAAGCUUAAUAGUUUUUCCUUAACAACUUUAAUAAUUUUACAACAAUUUUUAAUUAAAACUCGUAAGGAGGUCUCUAUUUUAAUUCAUCUAUUUCUUCAUUGGAAUAUGAUGACAUUGCCUUAAUUUCUUUAUUGGAAUAUGAUGACAUUACCGUAAAAUUCUUUAGUAAACACCAAUUAGGUUGUGUUUGGUAACACAAAUAAGCUAGCUUAUAGCUUGUUGGACUAGUUUAUAAGCUAGUUGGAUGAAAACGUGAUGUGUUUGGUAAUAAGUUUUUCUCAUAAGCUUAUAGCGUUUUUUGAAAAGCUAUUUCAAGUAGCUUUUUUGCUUAUAGCUGAUAGCUUUUAUAAUUUUUUCCAAUUUUAACCUUAUUACAUUAAUUUUAAUAUUUUAUAAAAGAAAAAUAAACUACCCAUGUUCCCAUGUUUUUAUAGUUUACUGCAACCAACCUACCCACACGAUAUAAUUUUUUCUAUUUUGUUGUUAACUUUUUCUUUAUGACAUUGCUUUUAAUUAAUGUAGUAUUUAAUUUUAAUUAUAAUAUAAUAUAAUAAUAAAUAAAUUGUGAAGCUAGUUUAGUUAAAUAAAGUUAGUAAAAAAAUAAAAUUUAUUGAGUGAAAAAUGUCAAUUGAGUUCAUAAAGCACAUUUAUCAUCUUGGAGAUGAAAAUAAUUUGAAAUAUUAAAAAGAAAUAUAUUAGGAAAAAAAAUCAUAUAUGUGAUUUAUAAAGAAAUAAAAAUAAACAAAUAUGUACUUUUAUGUCAUUUUAUAUUUAUCAGUCAUUUCAACAGCUAAUUUUACCAAACACUUUAAUUUUAAUAAGCUAGCUUUUCAACUAUCAGCUAUCAGCCACCAGCUAUAAGCUAGCUUUUCAGUUAUCAGCUAUCAGCUAGUUUAUAACUCAUUUUUACCAAACACACCCUUAGUUUAAAUGUAAAUUCACGGGUGCUUUUAGAUGGUUUUAGGUUUGAGAUAAAAUACAAAUAUCUACGUUAUGUAAGUGUUAAUUGAUUUUGUCUUUAUUCUUGAUCGUAUCGUGGUUGAUUUAAACCUUAUAGAUCACAACAAUGACUCCAUUUUCCAUCCUAAACUUUCAAUCUUAUCUCAAUAAAUCAUCUCGUGAAGCCUACGGUGCACUUGUAAACACAAAUUAAAAUGGAAAACCAGUAAACAUGAGAAGUUGUUAUUUAGAGAUUCAAAGUUUGGGAAAUAGAACACUAAAUGAAACAUUUGUAGUUGCUACCGCCAAGAGCAAAGUCAACUUCACAUGCUUAUAAACUAUAGUAAAUGUGUUGCACUUAUUUGUUUCCAUAAAGAUUUGGAAGCCCUUUCAACUUUGCAAAUUUUGGAUCAGAUUGAACAUUUUUAGCAUAAUUCAUAAGUUGAUGGUGUAACGCCACUUCCGGCACAUUUAUAAAAUUAUUUGGAUAAAACUCAAUCAUCCUCAAUAAUUUGGUCAUAUCAAAAGCUGCAAAUUACUUUGAGAGACUCAUUAAACACAUUAUAAGAGUUUUAGAAGGUUGUUGAUUUGUUCUUAUUUUCAACAUAUUGUGUUUUAUUUAUAUAAAAAAAGAAAAUUAGACGUGUAGCUUUAGUCACACAUAACCAUUGAAUGAGUUCACCCCGGCUCACAGGUUCCCCAAUAUGAUAUUUCAAGAACAAAAAAAAUGUUCCCUCUUAUAAAUUGUGAUUUAUACUACCUCUCUCCCUAAUUAUAAGACCCUUUUGUGUUUUUUCUUUUUCUCUUUUUAUAAGACCCAUUCCAAAUUUCGAUGUACAUUAGUUAUUUAUUUACCACUAUAUCCCUAUUUAUGUUGCAUAUUUUUCUGCAAUAUAUAAUAAAUACUCUAUGAAAGCAUCCAUUAAUUCUCUUUCAUAAAGGGUAAACAUGUAAAACAAUAACAAUUGUCAGCAAAAUUAAUUCAACAAAUCAACUUUCUUAAUUCUUGGGUUUUUCUCAAAAGGAUCAUAUAAUUAAGGAUUAAGGACUGAGGUAGUAUUUGACUUGACGAUUUGGUUCGUUUUCCUUAAUUAUUAUUUAUUCAGCCAAUCAACCUACUCAUUAUUUAUUUAUAUAAUUUAAAAAGUGUACAACUUUUUAUUUAAGGAAAAAAAUGAACAACUAGUAUUAAUAUAAAAAAUAAUAUUUAUAUAACUAUUUUGUGAUAAUUUUUUGACAACUUUCUUUCUCAUAUUCACAUGUUGUUUUUAUUCUCUCUCCAUUGUUUUUGACCAACAAAAAAAGAAAAAUAUAGUUGUCAUCAAAAUUAUCAUUAAAUAGAUGUACAAAUAUCGUUGCUCUAUUAAUGUAUUAAGGAGUAAUAACUUUUUUUACAAGCAAGGAAUGUUGUGUUUUUUGUUUUUGUGCUGCUUUUAAGGAAUAGUAAGUUUUUUUUUUUUUCAAUUUUAAAUACAACAUUAGGGUUCCAAAAAUUGUGCGAUCUAAUCGCGCAGGGAAUAAUUAAGGAAUAGUAAGUUGGUUGUUCUAUAAAAGUGACUAAGUGAGGGUGAGUGGUAUACCAUAUUCUGCUCAUGUUUUAAUGAAGAAGAAAAAAAAGGAUGAAAUAAUUAUCUUGGAUCCGAAUUGUAACUGAGUUUCUACAAUAGUUUCUCAGGUCCCGUUUGGUGCACAGGAUAAGAAGACAGAAUAUGAUAAUACUAUCAUGUCCUGUUUCAAUCUUUUGUUUGAUAUGUCAAUAGGAAAUGAUAACUUAAAGCUAUUUCUAAUCCUAUCCUACUCAGCAUUUGAUAUUUUCAUCCUUAGUUUUUGGUGGGUCAGAGUUAUCCUAUCAUGAUUAACAUUAAAAAUUCUUAUUUUGUCCUCUCUUUCAUCGCUCAUGUUUCUCUCUGAUUUCCAUCCAUCGACAUCUACCUUCUUCCAUAACUCUUCAACACCAUCUCUUCUAUUUGUCACAGAUCUAUUCCCAAUUUCACUCUACAAUCACUUUUUUUCCAUUUGCUUAAUUUUUUGUUUGUUUCUUUAUUGAUUAUCUAUUUUCUAUUCUUGUUGAAUUUGAAAAAAGAUGAAACAGGUUGGAGUUAUGCAAAUGAGCUUUGAUAUAACUUAGUAAAGGAAGAAGAUUGCAAACGAUUUUUUUUUUUUUUUUAAAUUCAAGAAGCCAUGAUUUUUUUAAUUGAUUUCUGGAAUUGAAGAAGACGACACCCCUGAGAAAAAGGAAGAUGAUUUUUUGAAGGAAAAAAGGAAGAUGAUUGACAAUUAAUAAUAGCUUAAUUGUAUUUAAUUAAAAAAGUUAAAACAUAUAAUUAAUUACAAGGCUAAUUUUGUCAUUUAAUAGUGAUAUAUAUGAUAUUAUGUUUGUUAUCGUGUGUGCAUCAAACACGUGAUAAGAUAAAUGUUUAUCUUAUCUAUAUCUUUUCCUUAUCAAAUUUUAUAUCAUAUCCUAUCUCUAUCCUAUCUUGUGCACCAAACGGAUCGUUAAUGUAUGGAAACCUCAAAAUAGUUUAUCCAUUUGGUUAGUAGAAAUAGUCAUUUAUUUAAAAUGUUCUGUUAAUAUUGUCACAUCAAUCUUUAAAUAUAUAUUUACUGUCAUAUCAAUUCUUAUAAGUAUUUAUUGUCAUAUCAAUCAUUAAACAAAAUUUAUUGUCAAUAUUGAGGAACUAUUUCAAUGUCAAUGAAUAUUUUACUCCCUCCGUUUUUAAAUAUAAGCAAAAUUGACUUUUUAGGUUCAUUCAUUUAAUGAUGUAUGUGGUUCAUAUUAUGGAUCACAUACAUCAUUUAAUAAAUAAAUCUAAAAUGUUAAAUUUUGCUUAUAAUAAUGACCGGUGUAUUUAUUUAACGGUGAAGAUGAUUUUUCAUAUACUGGGGAUCAAUAUAAUUGAUUAGGUAGGGGUGGCGAUAGCCCCAUUUCCACCAAAGCUGGGUCCGUCCCCGGGCACAAGGUAAGAGACAUGACGUUGAACUAGAAGAUUGGAAAAUGAAAAAUAAGUUUUUUAAUAUAAAUAAAAAUUGGGUCUUUUUUUUUGGUUACAUGGGUAAAGAAAACAGAAAAGAACUAAACAGACAACAUGGAAAGGAAAAGAGAAAAAAACAAGGCUAGCACCUUAGAAUACAGGUUCCUAAUUCAUCCGUCUUUAACAGAGGCAGCAGGUCCUCCGGCGGAGAAGAGUGGAUGGACAACUCAACAUCAUUAGAAGCUCCGAGCUUGGCCAUGAAAUCUGCACAUUGGUUACCUUCUCUAAACGAAUGAAGGAGAGAGUAUGUUCCUGAGCUCAUGAGGUCUUUGAUAUUUUGUAUAAGCACUGCCGGUUUUGGAGGGGUUUUACGCAUCUAUUCGGGGACGUACAUAGCUGGUUUCUCAUGAUACAUCAGUCACUCUCAAGACAUCCUCUUUGCGGAGCUUACAACACUCUAUCAAGGUCUAAAGUUGGCUAUUAGCUUCAAUCUGGGCGACGUGACUUGCUACUCGGAUUCCAUUCUUACUGUCAACCUCAUUAAGGAUGAGUUAAAUCACUUUCAUGUUUGCAGUAAAUAAAAAUUGGGUCUUGUUUUCUUGUGUUCUAUCGAUAUAGGUUAAAGAAUUCAAAAUUAAAAGUUUUUUUUAUCUAUCGAAAAUAACAAAAUUUUGACAUUAAAAAGUUGAAUAAGGUUAAAUGCACAUCUUUUAAGACACUUAUUUCUAUUUUAAACUACUCCAUCUGUUUUAAAAUGAGCGUCGUUUUAGCAAAAAAAUUGUUUCAAAAUAAAUGUCAAUUUUAGUUUCUAAUGCAAUAAUAAUUUUUUCUUUUUAAUUGUAUCCUUUAAUUAAUACUAUAUACAUUACUAUUUGUGCAGACGUUUCCACCCAAUAAUGCACUUUUUAAUAUGUGUGUAAAAACUUUAAACGACAUUCAUUUUAAAACAGAGAGAGUAAGGUUUAGAUCAGUUUUUCUUGUUGUGCUAAUGCAAAUAAAUUAUGAACAAAAGUUUUUGCGAAUUUUUAAUUAAAUUAAUUGAUUUUAGUAUGCACAAAUAAUAAAUAUUUUGCACUUUCAUAUAGUAAAAUAUCAAUCAUAUUUUUUUCAAUGAUGCAAACAAUAUAACAAAUAUAAUAUUUUUCAAAAAUUAUUUUAUUCAAAAAUUAAAUUCAGAUUCUCCCAAACAAUUUAUCUUUAAAAAAUUUAUUAACACUAUUUGGAUCUUGAACCAAACUUCUCGAUUUACAACAAUAAUCCUACCAAUUGAGCUAAACCCACGGAGAUUGAUUUACAUUCUCUUUGUUGUUGAUAGAAAAUAUAGGGGGUCCUGUUAACAAGUGUCUUUGUGACACUUGUUAAGAAUCCAAAAAUAAAAAUAAUUGAUAACUUUCAUAGAAUAAAGUUGCUUUUUGAUGUUUUAAUGUGUUGAAUACACAAGUUCAAAAAUAAAAUUUCUACUACUUUAAACUUCUUAUCAAGUGCCAUAGCAUUUUCCAAAAAUAAAUAAAUAAUCAAGAUUCAGGAUCCGUUGACACCAAAUCUUAACCGUUGAUUUCUUUUUAUCUAAAGGCUUAUAUUUGUUCAUUUAGAAUAUCAUGUGAACCACUUAAGAGUAUCAUGUAGUAUAUCUUUUUGCGAUUUUCAUUUCCUAAUUUGUUUCGUCGGUUUUCUCUUUCUAUAUUUGCGAUUUAUAUUGCAUUAAUAAAUUUGUUAAAAAAAGGUAAACUUAGAAAAAAAUUACGCAUUCUUCAUUUUGUUCCAAUGCCAAGAGCCGAUCGUUUCUAUCUACAGAUAACAACUCGUUUUCUAUAACCCUCAUUUUUUCUUCUUCUUAAUCUUAUGCUAUUUUUUUUUUCGAUACAAUCUUAUGUUAUUAAAAUGACCUUCUUUGUUUUUCUACUAUUUGAAAAUUUAAAGGAAAAUAAAUGAACGAAAGCAAUUUAAAAAAUAAUUUCCCAUAAAUCAUGGCAAGUCAGCUGUAAAUAUUGAGGACAUGAAAUUCAUAACAACAAAGUUCUGUUCAACAAUUUAAAAAACAAUUUGGCAUAAAUCAUGGCCUUCUUUAUUAUCGCUGAUGAAUGGAAGUGAUGUUCUACUUGUUCAACAAGUUCAAUAAAACAAGAUGCAUGCAUACAUUUUUCUACAUAAUAAUGCUUGUUAAUUUAAUCUUGAUUAAUAUUUUGAAUUCAAAAUGAUUGAGGCUGCUGUAUCGUGCAAGCCUCAUUUCUCCACCCAUUGUUUCUUACCAAUUUCUGAUAGAACACAAUUAUACAAGUUACAAUCUCAUUAUGAGAAGAGAGAGAAUCCGGCACAACAAAUUAAGGAAAUAAAAAUCACAAUAAAUGCAAUAAAUAUGGUACAUGAUACUUUUAAGUAUUCAAACAUUAGCCUUUAGAUCAAAUGAAAUCAACGGUUAAGAUUUGGUGUCAACGAAUCUGUUGACACCUGGUGUCAAUGGAUCCUGACUCAAUAAUCAAAUAUUGAAAUUAAAGAGGAGAGGGAGAAAGAUAUUUACUAGAGGCAGGAUCUAAAAUAUCUGGCUAAAUGGUACACGUUGGCACCGCCACUUGCCCCACCUCGAAUAACAUAUUGCACUUUUCUCUCCCUUUUUUCACAUUUAUUACAUUAUUUUAAUUAAAAUUAUAAACUAUCAUUAUUUAGACUCAAAUCCAAAAAAAACUCAGCUGUGUGUUCCUUCCUUCAUUAUUAUCUUUUCCUUCUUUCUCACUUUUCCUUCUUCUUCUGUUCUCAGACACACACUUGCCGAAUCUCACAAAAAAUAUCUAAAUUCCCUUUCUCUUAAUUUAUUAUUAUUCUUCUUCUCUUUUCAGUUUUCCAUCUUCAUCUUCAACCAUUCAAUUACAUCCUUCAUUCAUAAUUCACUCAUCCAAAUCCAAAUCCCUUUUGACUUUCUGGAUCCAAAAAUCCAACAAGACCCGAAAACUUUGCUACAGUUGAAACAAUAACUGAAUGGGUGAAGAGGUUCGAACAGACGAAGAACGUGUAACGGAGUGGGAAAAGGGUCUCCCUAACCUCCACGAUCUCACUCCUCUUUCCAUGGCGUUGAUCCCACCGGAGCUCGCUUCCGCUUUCAGCAUCUCCCCGGAGCCUCACCGUACUCUCUUCGACGUUAACCGUGCCUCUCGAAACACACUUUCUCUCCUCCGAAGCAACUCCGGAACAAUCACCAAUCAAAUCAAUCAAACUAUGUCCUGCGAAAUAGAAGAUAUAGAAGAAGACGAAGAACCCGAUCGAGACGGGUCGGGUUCGGAUUCACGAAAACAUCGAAAAAUAGAUUCUGUUAUAGAGGAAGUGGAAGCUGAAGCAGAUUCGGCUGUUAGAACAACGGAAACGAUAAAAAGGCCGAGGUUAGUGUGGACCCCACAGUUACAUAAAAGAUUUGUUGAUGUUGUUGCUCAUCUUGGGAUAAAGAACGCGGUUCCGAAAACGAUUAUGCAGUUGAUGAAUGUUGAAGGGUUAACAAGAGAAAAUGUUGCUAGUCAUUUACAGAAAUAUCGUCUUUAUUUGAAGAGAAUGCAAGGUCUUUCAAAUGAUGCUCCUUCUUCUUCUGAUCAUCUUUUUGCUUCUACACCUGUGCCACAGAGUUUGCAUGAAACUGCUUCUGCUAAUCAUUCGAAUUCUCAUUCUCAUUCUCAUUCACAUUCGCAUCAUUCUGUAACUAUUCCUAUGCCUUAUCCACCACCACCUUCGAGUAUGAUGUCAAUGCCGCCUAUGAUUGGUAUGGGACAUCAUCCACAUGGGCAUAUGGGGAUGAGUUUGCCUCCUCCUUCUGGUGGUUCUAGCUCUUAUCGUUCGCAUCCGUUUAAUAUGAUGCAUCAUAGGGAUUGGCCUCCGAAUCCUCAUUCUCAUUCUCAUCCUCAUAUGUCUUCUAAUGAUAGUAAUAAAUAAAAGGGAUUCUCUAUUCUCUUCAGGUCAGCAAUCAAAUGCUACUAUCACUUUUUCACUGUGCUUCAUAACAUUUCUUUGCACAUAGUUAAUUGAUUGAGUUUAUGGCUUCUUCAAGUGUAUUAAUUCACUGUUAUUUGGAUUUACUUAUUUGAGCUUAUCAACAGAUAUAAGUACUUGUGAGAUUAUUUGGGUGAACUUAUGAAAACAGUUUAUCACAUGUCUAGGAACAGCUUAUGAAAACAACUUAUAGCUUACAUGAAAAUAGUUUGAAUUUAUAUUAUCUUUUGUUAUAGAAAAAGCUUAUUUAUAAGCACUUAUAUGAUAAGCGUUUAAUUAAGUUGUUUAUUGGAACAUGCAUGACUUCAGUGUUGAUUAUGUUAGUGGACUAGACUGUGUUUUUCAUUUAGUAGGAAACUUAAAAACAGAGUUAAGCGAAUGUUCUUUCUGGUUUUAGUAUAGGUCAUUAGUUAUGUGGGGAGUAGGAAUAUCAAUGACCUUGUUUAUUUGUUCUGUUUUUCAGUGCAUUACAUUGAGGUACCUGAUGAUUAUUCAUGACUUAUGAGAUGAAAAUUUAGCUCACACCCCCUUUGGAUAAACAAAUUAAUUAACUGCUUAUGUAUAAGCUAUUUCUAUAACAAAGGAUAAAAUCAAGUUAAAUUAUUUUCAUGUAGGCUAUAAGUUGUGUUCAUAAGCUAUUUUGUAUAGUUCGUAGUUACAAACUGAAAACAGCUUUUGGGCAUGUCAUUAGAUGUUUUUAUAAGCUAUCCCAGACUGUCAUACAAGUACCUGUGUCAGUGGAUAAGCUCAAAUAAAUCAAUCCAAACAGAACUCACGCUCAUACCCACCUAUUACUUGAUUGUUGAUUAUGGUAGUAGACUAGACUGUUGUGCAUUUAGUUGAAACAGAGUUAAGCGAAUGUGUUUUUUUAGUAUAGUUUAUUAAUUACUAUGUGGGUAGUGGGAAUAACAAUGAACUUGAUUCUUUGUUCUGUUUUUUAGUGCAUUACAUUGAGGUACUAGAUGAUUAUUUAUGAGAUCAAAAUUUAAUGUGGUGGGUCACUUUAAUGCUGUCCUUACCCAUUUCAUUGUGCUGUCAUCAGCAUAUGGUAAAGUUGUAUUUAUACAUGUGAUACAAUAUCAGAUCUGGUCUUUGUUUAUAGUGAUUUUUUAGGAUGGUCUGUGCUGUCUGAUUUGGAAAAUACAUAUUUCAUUGAAUUUUCUUGUGAACUGCGAUACUUUCGUUUUGUUUGUUGGUGCUAAGAAUGUAUUUCUUCAUUUGGAUUUAUAUUACCAUUGCCCAGAUUGAUCAACAUUCUCAGUUCUUGCAAUUUAUUGAUUGUAUAUUUAAUGAGGAAGUAGAACUUAUAUGCAUUUUCUAUGUGAUGUCCUUUUUGUAGAUUCAAAUGUUUGAUUGUUGGUAGUAGCUGCAUCAUCAUCCUCUACGUUGCACAAACAAAUUCUUGAGGAAGUAUAUGAAAAUUCCAUGGAGCUAAAUUACAGUUUGAAUCAGAAGCAUGUACGUGUCUACAAAUUUACAAACUUCUUGGGACACAUAUCUAAUUUUUGUCACGUAAAUGUAGGUGGUGAUUGUGAGUUAAGGCAUGUCUCUUCUGGUCUACCUUACCAGAUAACUGAUUCUAAAGUAAAUUUUAAACUAGUUAGUUCUCUGUUUCAUAAAUCGGAAAGUGCUAUUAUACUGUGUAGUGCGUGUACUCCUGAAAGUGUUAACCUUCUUUUUCAGAACCAUUGCUACAUCGAAUAAAAGAGAGACUGAAAAACAGUCACCUGCCAUUUGUAACAUGCUGUGUGGUAUUAAUGUUCCUGAUUAGUGCAUCUUAAUGUUCCUGAUUAGUAUUAUUUUAUUUGACAGAGAAGUUCCAUUUUCUUAUACUGGGUGCAUAGGGGAGUUAUGUUUUGUAAAUAGAGGUACAAACGCACCCCAACCUUGAGAGUUCUUGUUUUACACUUUUACUUGUAACCAUUCAUUAUUCUGGGUUUUAUUUUCCAUGAUCAAAAGAACUGGGAGCUUGAACAAGAUCUAUGCAGUUUGAAUCUUUGCUAAUUUGUUUUUUUCUUGGUGGGUAGCAUAUUUUUAUUUGUACUUUUAUGAAGCCUUUCUUGUGGAUAAGGCUUGUUUAAGUUUGUAAAUAUUUUAUGCUGAUUUGCUAAUUGAAUUUCGUAAACGACAGUAAUAAAAAAAUGGCAGCUAUAAGAUUCAAGAGUUUGGUUGGAUGUUGGAGGUCAUGUGUGUUUGGUUCUAUCGUUGGAGGAACCAAAAUUGAUUUUAAAGGUUACAAUUUAAUCUUACAUGUUUGGUUGAUUAGCUAUAGAAUUGAAUAUUGCACUAGAUUUUAUUGUUUUAACUCAUUUUUAUAUGAAUGAAUCUGAACAUAAAUUACUUUAUAUUUAACUCUUAAUUCACUCAAUCAAUUUUUCUUGUUAAGAGUCAAGCAUACAAUAAAACAAAAUUGAAUGAACUAAGAAAAGGAACCUAUGAGAUCACUCUCCUCCUUUUAAAUAUAUAAAAGAAUCGUGGAGGUCAUGGAAUCAUCACCAAGGCGCAAAUGCCUUUAGUGGAUUGGGUUUCUUUGAUUAAAAUAGAGUAAAGUUUUCUGUACUCCGGCAAAUUCUUUAAAUAUGAUUAAAUAAGUAAAUACAUCUUCGAAAUUGGGAACAUCAAUUAAAGUAGUUUCUGAACUUCACAAAUUGACAAAUACAGAUUACGGGCGUCAUAAAAAAAAAAAAAAAAGAACAGAUUAGGGAUAGAAAAACAAGUUAGGCGUAAGGUGAGUCAGACAUUUUUUUGUGAAUCGAGAAGAGAUUAUGACUUCGUCACUAGUCACUACUAGUUGGUCAGUCAUAUGUAAACUGCUGAAAGAAUGGGUCGGUAAAGGAAAGGUUGGUUCGUUGGAUUUUAUUAUUUUUCUUUGUAUAAUAAGUGUGAGUUAGAAGUCACACAUAAUAAAAUAAAUGGAGGUUGAACACUUUAUUAUAAAGUAAAAGAGGAUCAAUAAAUCAUUGUCUUAGGGUUUUGAGUAAAAAUGUGGAGUUUCUCUUACUUAUGGUUGCUCUUGUCUAAUACUUUAUGAACAAUAGUAUGUAGGGGUUGAGAUUCGAACCCCAAAUUUUCUACUUCUAGCCACUAGACAGAUGUUGAACGUGUAGUAAAGAGAUUGUUCACAAUGUACCAUGAUCAAAGUCAGGUGUUUAUCUAAGGAAUGAGUUCUAUUGUAGGGAAACACUUGAUAGCGUAACAGGAGAAGGAGAGGGGAAAACAAAGUUGCUCAUUCAUCAUAUAAACAUUUGACUUUGAUCACGACACAUCGUCGACAAAGUCCAUUUAUAUUCCGCUCAAGAACAAUAUCUAAAUUAUAACAUUUGUUUGCAUUUUGUCAAAAAAAAAAAAUAUUUGUUUGCAUUUGACACAUGGUUGGACCUUCUGCUCCGUAGGUUAUACAUAAACUUUAUUGUAAAUCAAUGGUUCUUUCUUAUAUUGCAUGGUUCUUUCUUAUAUUACAUAAAUGUAUAGCUGUUUCGUUGUGAGCCGAUGUUUUUUAAUCUCUGUUGGGUAUUUUCCUUAGCUAUAAUACUCAAUUUCAUCUUCAUUGAGUUGUAAUAAUGUUUGAUGAUGUGGAGGUGACACUUCUUUGUUCUUGUUAUCUGAGUUAGCUAUGUUUAUGGAGAUGGAAAUGGAAACGGAGGUGAAUACUCAUUAUUUGAUUCUUAUAAUACAGACACAUGUGAUUAGAUAUUCUUUAGGUCCAAAUUGUGCAUUGCAAACGAGUGUUGAAUUGUUAUCUAUUUGUCUGAUUCAGGAAACAAUACAUCAAAAAUUGUCAAUAUAGGCUUUGCCAUCCAAUUCUUUGAGGAAGCAUAAUCCGUAGCCCUAUAUACAGAAAUGUAACAAAUUGCAAAGGAACCUCCAGCAUAAACAAUCAUUCACCUAUACAUUAUCAAUCCAACUCAAUCCUUGAAGUUUUCUAAGUUUCCCUUUCUUUAUCCUUCUCUUGAUCCGCUCAACCUUUCCCCAUGUUCCAGCAUCGGCAUACAAGCUGGACAACAGAAGACGAUUCCCAGCACUCUCGGGUUCUAAUUCUGACAAAUGCUUAGCAGCCACUUCUGCAAGUUCCACAUGCCCAUGAUUUCUACAAGCAGCCAAUAAUGCACCCCACACAAACAAAUCAGGUUUAACCGGCAUUGACUUGAUUAUGCCAUACGCUUCCUCUAGUUUCCCUGCUCGACCAAAUAGAUCCACCAUGCAUGCAUAAUGCUCCAAUCGUGGCUCAAUACAAUAUUUCUCUUGCAUAAUCUUGAACAGCCUCUGCCCAAGUUCAAUAUCUCCAACAUGACUACAUGCCGUGAGAGCUGCCGUGAAAGUUAAAUGAUCUAGCUUGGGCACCCCUUCCAUCUCCAUCUGAUUGAAGAGCUCAAUAGCUUCUUCGCAGCACCCGUGAUUCGCAUAACCGAAAAUCAUAGAGUUCAUUGUCACCGUGUUCUUCUCCGGCAUCUUAUAAAACAGUGUCCUGGCUUCCGAAAUGAAACCACAUUUUGCAUACAUGUCAACCAAAGCACUCCUCACAUACAAAUCAUCCUCCACACCAAUCACCAAAGCAUAACCAUGAAUCUCCUUCCCAAAUCUCACUCUUGCCUCAGUAGCACAAGCUGGCAGAAGCGCGCUGAUCGUAGCUGAAGUUGGACAAAAACCAAGAAGCAGCAUUUUCUUAAACGCAUCAAAAGCUUCCUCAUUACGAAAAUUCUGCACAAAACCAGAUAAAACAGAAGUCCAUGACACCACAUCAGGCUCAACCCGAUCUUCAUUCAUCAGCCUAAAAAUCUCAGACACCAUUUCCCGGUCACAUUUCUGCGCAAACCCAGAUAUCAAAGCAUUCCAAGUCACCACAUUUGGGUUCACACCCAUCAACUUCAUAUUUUCAACCAAACUCAAUGCCUCAUUCGGAAGCCCUUGUUGAGCAUAUCCAGAAACAACAGCAUUCAUUGCUACCAAAUCCUUCACAACCAUUCCAUCAAACACCUUACGUGCAUCCCUAACUUCACCACACUUAGAAUACAUAACAAUCAACGCGCUCGAAACAAAAGCAUCGAUCUCAAACGAACACUUCAAAACCAAACAAUGCACUUGCUCUCCAUAAAUUCUAUCACCAACAUGGCCACAAGCUUUAAGAACACUAGGAAUGACGAAUACGCUAUUGGACUUUUGGUCGUUGAGAGUUUGCAUCUCAGAGAAAACCUCGAGAGCGUGAUCAUGGAAGCCACAUCGAGCACAUGUGGCAAUGAGGGCGAUCCAACGGUGAAUAUUUGUUUGGGGAAUUUUGUCGAACAGUUUACGAGCAAUGGAGAGUUGGCCACAUGUUGUGUAUAAGGUAAUGAGGUUGGAUGCUAUGAGGUUGAAACGGACGUAGCCGUUGGUUGUUAGAAGCGCGUGAAGCUUCUUUCCUUGUUGUAAUGAUCGUGAGUGAGUGUAUGUUUCAAUGAGUUUAGCGUAUGAUUCGGGUUCUGAUCGGAGAAAAUGGUGGUUGAAGAUGGCAUUUUUUGUGGGAAUUUUCAGGGAUUGAGUAGUUCUUACAAAAGCAUGCAUAGUAAGCACUAAGCUACUGAGAGAAUUACGAGCGCCAAAUUAUCUGUUCAAAAUAAAAGGCAUUAGCUAGCAUGUGUUUGAGUAAUGGAAAAUGUUUCGUGAGCAUCUGAUUAAGAUGUAUACACCUUUUAGAUAAAGAGAAAAUGACAUUGAUGUGAUAGAUGUUAUAAAUUGAUUAUGUGUUUAGAAUAGAAGGGUAGAGAUAAAAUGAGGUAUUGAAUAAGUUUUACAAAGACGAUCAUUCUUAAGUAAGAAGAUCCAUAAACUCAAUGUCUUGUGAUUUCGAAUAAAGACGUGAUUUUGAGUAAAAAUGUGGUGACGAUCUCGCUUGUAUGGUUGCUCUGAAUUCAAUAUGAAUGAUCUCCUGGACUUCCAUAAUAACCCAACAUGUAAUAGGAUAAAAUGAGAUAUUCAAUGAGUGUUGGAAAAUAUGAGAUGCACGCGUAUCAUUGUUAAAUAAAAAUUGAUUUAGAAUAAAUUUCUACUAACCAAGUUGAUUGGGCUCCAGUGGCAAGGAGCUCCUUCCAAGGACGUACUCGGGGAAUACUGGGUUCGAUUCCCAAGGGAAACAACGUUUGGCCAGUGCGCAUGCCUCUACGCACGAGCCAGAUUAGUCACCCACCUUUGAUGGAUCGGAAACCGGUGCGAAAGCAAAAAAAAAAAAGAAUAGAUUUUUACUAAAUAAUAAAUGUAAAAUGCUUUAUGUUUUUUUUUAAUGACAAAUGAUAGUAUGUUGAUUGUUAUGUUAGUAUUUUCGAGUCUUGGAUGGUGAAUUCUUUAACUUCUUUAAUUCCUUAGGGGAAUCACCUUGGAUCUUGAUGAUAUCAAACUUUUAUAAACUUAUGGAUUUGAGAAUGGUCGUAUGAAUGUUUCAGUUAAGAAUAUUGAGGAAAUAAGUUUAGUACAAAAACUACAAAUUAUAAACAUGCCAAGAUUAAUUCUAUACUAUUAGUAUCAAUUCUAUAGAUGUGAUGGCAGCUAGGUAAUUGGCUUCAGUGGUUACUUGGGAAUCUCUAGCAAUACUUAUGCUGAGACUAUGGCUAUAGAUUUAUAGACUAUUGUUGAUCUUAUUUAUAAGGCACAUAACAACUUUCAUUUUAUGUUAUAGCCUUCAUUCUAGACUUGCUGAGGUUGGAUUGGGAAGUGAAUCUAUCUAAUGAUUGAAGAGUUUUUCUUAAAGGAGUUGCACUCUCAUGUUUAAUUGUCUUUGCAUUGCUUUCUGUUGUUUCUAUUGCCUUUAGCCAAUGUAGCACAAAAUAACACUCAUUCUGCUAGUUGCACAGCUACCAACUACCAAAAUACCCUUCUAUUAAUAUUAUUUCUUCUUCACAUUCUUAACCUCCUUCCAGUGCUUCUAGUCUACUACUUGGAAUUCCCGCGAUACUCAAAUUGGAUGAACCAAGGAAGAAUUAGGAGAUUAAGGUUUACAGAAGAUUGCUUUCAAUCAAAAGAACUCAAUUGCAAACAAGGAAAGCUUGCAGUUUUCACCAUAAGAAUUUAUAUUACAAUGCUAAAUGAAGGUUUUGUUUUAUUUAUUUUUCAGAGAAGAAAGGAAUUUAGGCUGCAAGGGAGUUUAAAAUUCCAGUGAAAUUAACAAGUAGUUGAACUUAAAUAGUUAAUGAAGUUAAAUUUAAGCGGAAUCAAUCAAGAAGAGUCAAAUUCAAUCUCUAACUAAAAUAAUUGUUGACCAAAUCAAGAGCAAAAAAAAUAAUUGAGUGGAAUUCUAAAUGACAAACGUAACCAGAAAAAUAGAAUGAGUCAAAAUACAUUUGACAGAAUUUUUCAUCAACUAACGGAAUCAAUACUUGCAAGCAAUCCUACAAUCCUCAUCACAAAGGAAAAAACAAAAUCGAAAUACAUAAGAAAUCACGUUUCUAUCCGUUCUCAUGAAUUGGACAUUAGAUAUAAGCCGCAGAAGUUAUCAAUAGUAGACAGCAGGAUAAUCUAAAAUCUUAAUAUUUUCAUUGAACCCUACACCAAUUUUGAGAGUAACCUAUAGAAAACCAACCCCAGUAGCAGCAGGGAGUUCACUAAAACCAAUUUCUACAAGAUUCAAACACCUAUGGCUGAAAUAUUUCUUCCGCAGUAGAAAAGAACCAAACAUACACUACGACUCAUGUGCACCUCAAAAUCUUUCACCAAAACGGAAAAAUAUUGCACCUGUUCCUGAGUUAUGAUCAACCGCGUAUUCCGCUCUCACUAACCCAAGCUUCAUACCAGCACCAUAAGAGGACCCCUGACCCAUUCUCCUAUAGACUUCUGUUGGAUUUCCUUUGACAUCUUUCGAACUUCCUAGAUCGGUGCCAUGUUCUGCAAAGGCAUACACAUGUGUACCUUUAAUAGGUAUACGUACCUCAGCUGCCAGCUGCAGGAAGAACAAGAAAUUAGAUAGUUGUUUGCUAGAUAAUGUAUAGAAUGGGAGGAUUAAAACUGCUAUUCUAUCUCCAUUGACAAUCAUAAAAUGUACACAAUCAUUAUUACCUCGAGGAUGUUUCUGGCUGCUCCAAUCUCACCCAUGUUGUAACCCCUUACAGAAUAGGGACCCCCAAGAGUAAAAGCAUCAUAACUUGGAAGAUCACCUACACAACCACCAUAGUGACCAUGGAGGACAAGCACUGGUGGUGGUGGUUUACCAGCACCUUCCUCCACAGACUUCAACUGGAGAAACUGAGUCAAAGUUAAUUGGUGGCGGUUAAAGAAUGGGAAAUUGCUGCCAACACCAAGGCCUUGAUCUACCUGCAGUUUGACAGAGAGAUAGCGGCGUCAGCACAGAACAUAGCAUAGCAUAGAAAAAAUCGAGAUCGCUAAUUUAUAAAAUUUCAAUCUCCCGUGUCCUUAAAGUUACAGUAAUAUAGUGUAUGAUUAGAGUGACAUGAAUGUGAGGGGAGGUACUUUUAAUGAAUUUGUUUAGUUCAACAAUUUGAAGGGAAGGCAACUAGAAGGGAGCAAAACUCAUCCUCCUCUACUGUGGCUGCAAACACCCACUAUAAAAAAUCACAAUCAUGUGAAAUUCUGGUCCGUUGUAUCUUAGGCCCACAAAAAAUUAGAUGAAUGAGGCAUUCAUCAAACAGGACUAAAUUUAGGUUAAAAAAAAUAUUGAAUUAGAAGUCUUAGAAUAUGGACUUAAGGCUUAACUCGCCCCCGCAGAACCAGCUUAUCAGCUCGGGACUGACCAAGUCUAUAAGAUGCACUACCUACCUAGUGCCGUAUAUUUAGGGCCUGUUUGCAGAAACAGCUUACUUGCAGCUUAUAUCACCAGCACUUAUCAUGAUUAGCGCUUAUGUAUGAGCUUACAUAAGCUAUUUUUAUGACAAAUGGUAAAAAAAAGUAAAUUGUUUUGUUUUUAUAGGCUAUAAAAUGUUUUCACAAGCUAUCUUGGAGAGCUUAUGAAAAUAAGUUGAAAAAAUCUUAUGAAAAAUGUCAUAAGCUAUUUUUAAAAGUUCUCUCAAAUAGUCUCACAAAACUUAUGCCAGUAGAUAAACUCUAAUAAGCCAAUCCAAACAAGCCCUUAGUCAAUGUAGGAAAACAGCACCCCCCCCCUUACACUUAUGACAAGAGAUUUGAAACGUCGACUGAUGCGGUGGAAUAACAGGGCCAUGUGAAAAAAAAUCUGCAACUCUGAUUUAUUUUAACAAUAUCAAAUAGAUAUUAUCAAAAGGAUUUUGAAAAUAUUUGGGAGGUUAUGGAUAUCUCCAUAAAAAAUUAGGCUGAAACCCCUGCUUGAUGCAUCCUUUUGUUUUCUUCCCCCACUGAAGUCUAGAUUUAAAUUCUAACCAAAAAUGGAAGUGGUGCAAGCAUCUACUAACUAUGGUUCUCUUAUUAGAAAUAAAAUUAACAUUUUUGGACAAUAUCAACAGCAAUAAUUAUAGGAUGAUAGUCACCUGGAACAUGUUCCUGCUUCCAACUAUAGCUCCGUUCACAAACCUUGUGUUAUCCCUUGUAAUAUUAGCCUGUAAAAAUGCCAUCUUAUCAAUACCAGUACCACUGAGGGUUGUUGGAGGUCCAUCUGCACUAAUUCCUCCAUUAGGCAAUACUCUUUGACCAUUGGAACAGAUAUGAUUGGUUUCAUCACGUGUUAUUAUCUCUUCCAUUACUAAUCCAUAAGUGAAUUUACUCUGACGAGAAAAAUUCUGCUCGGAAAAAAAAAAAUUGCAAGUUACAAAGAAAGCUACAAACAGCCCAAAUAGCCAAGUCAAGAAGAAACUAGCGUAAAAUAACCAGUAAAAUUACCUCAGUGAUAUUGGUUUUUACACCAGCACGGUCAACCCAUAUGGAGGGCACUUCAUCCACCCCUGGCCCACCAGUGAAUACUGGACUCAGCUUUCGGCUGUUGAAGCAGCUUACACGGAGAGUUCGGUUGCGUAGAUCAUUUACACCAUCCAAAUACGGAUGCGCAUACUCCAUUUUAAAUGCAAGAUCAUCCUACAGCAGUACAUAAAGCACAGUUAACCAAAUCAUCAAUUCCUAUGCCUGCAUAGAUGAGAAACUAAAGAACAAGUAUAAUAAAAUGGGAAAAAGACUCAAUGGACUAGUAUAAGAGUACCUGAGGAUUCAAGAAGUUGCUAGUUGUCACUGAACCGGUAAGAGAUCUAUUCAAUCCUUGCAGAUUCCUAUGUUCAAAAGUAAUAGUCCCUCCUGGCUGAAGUGAAGCCUGCAGAAACAUCAAACAGAAAACAAACACAUAAAUCGGGCAAACAAAUAUCAACAUUUAACCAACAAAACAGACAUUCAAUUCGCCGUAAAUACCAAAGUUGGACGCCCUCCUCGCCCAGGAACAAUACUCCACUCAGUACUAACUUCAGCCGAUUUCUGCUCCAACUCUUUAAGCUUAAUUUCAACAAUUAUACUUCCCUCAUUCUUCUCAUCAGGCCGCGGAUUCACCUCAAUAUUGGAAAACAAAGCAAGGGAAUUUAUGUUCCUCAAAGCUUGUUUCCCAGCUUCAAUGUUAAAAGUAUGACCCGGAAGCAGCUGUUAUCAAUCCAACACAAACAAACAUUCACCAAAUCAAAAAACAAUAACCAUAACCACACACAGCAUGAAUCACAUUAACUCCAAAAACAAACAUUAUCAACAAUCACAUCUUUAGAGACAUAAAAUUACACACCUGUUUUGGAAGUUCUCUUUGAACAACAGGAUUUUCAGUAUUCCCUUCAACAACAUUACCAAGCUUAUCCAAAAACUGAAUAUUCAACUGAGUAAUAUCCCCUUCAACAACCUCACAAACAACCUCGCGCGUAUUAAGAUUCCCAAAAUUAACAACCUGAGCACAAGCAUACCCUUCAUCAUGAUACCAUUUCUGAACCCUAUCCCUAAUCUUCUGCAACAACCUAGCACUAACCCUCCCUUGCUUACUCAACAUCCCCCUAAUCUCUUUAUAAACCUCAGGAGCCAAAAGACAAGGCCUAGAAGUAUCAAUCCUCCUCUUAUACUCCCUCUCUUGUCUCCUAAAAAACUCAAUUUUCUCCUUUUCACUCAUAUCAGGAUCCAUUUCAAUCGGUUUCGACUGACCCAUCAACCCUACAUUGAUACAUCUAAAUCUAUCAGCUUUUUCCCACAUACUCUCGGCGAACGAAAUUGUCAACGCUAAUGUUCCAUCAGCAUUGGUUUUCCCUUCCAUAUCAACCUUCUCAAACAUUCCACAUGUAGCUAAACUUUCUAUCUCCUUCUGAAGCUGAGCGCGUGUGUAUACACCACCUGGUUUAAGAGAUACCAUGUCUAAAAAUGAAUCUUCUGUUCCGAUUUUCGUCUUGGUGUUUCGAUCGAGGAAAAUUAUAUCUGAGAUUUUGUAUUUCUUGAAUCCGCUUAGUUUGUUUGGUAGAACGGUUAUGUUUGCUGGUAGCUCGUGUGAAUCCCAAUCUUGUGAUUUUGGUUCGUCGGCGAAAGCGGUUGAUGGUGAGAGAAUUCUUGACCAGAAAUCACCUCCGUCACCGCCGUUGUUAAACCAUCCACCACCUCCACCACCGGAGGAAGAUCCUCCACCUCCGCCGCCACCUCCGGAGAAAUUGAAAUCGGGGAGAGAGUCAGUGAGGAAGAGAGCAGAGGCGGCGGAGGAGAUUGCGACGGUAGCAGUGAGGGUUUUUCUGAAAAGGGAGGAGGAAUCAUUGUUGUUGUUGUUAUUAUCGUCGGAAGAGGAGAGGUGGCAUUUGACGGAGGAAGGACGAGAGAUGUGGUGGCUGUUACGGCGGUGAGGAGGAGGAGGGGUUGAGAUGGUGGUUAAGCGAUUGGAGGCGAAGAAUGAAGAAGAAGAAGACAUGGUUGAGUUGAGAUGAGGUGGUGGUUGUAGAGAGAGUAGUGUGAAGAAGAAGAAGAAGAAAAUUGAAGGAUAAACCACACUACACUGGGGUUUGGCUUUGGGUUUUGUUUUGUUUUAUUUUAUUUUGCUUCUAUUUUUUUUACCAUAUACUUAAUCCAAAAUAGUACAGUAAUCACAUGCAGUAAUUACGGAUUCGGAUAGGGAUUUUGUCUUGAAUUCAAAUGGAUAGUGUCCUAAUCAAUUUUAUUUUUUUACAUUAAUAUCCUAAUCAAAUUAAAACAAUAAUAAUGUACUUAAAAGAGAUUUUAUUUUAUUUUAUGUAUAAUAGUCAUUUUUGUUUAAUGUGGAACAAAUAGUAUCAAUAAUCUUUCAAUGUAUUCACGUUCUAAAAUAAUUUUUAUUGUACGCUACAUUAAUUCAAAUAAUUUCGAACGUUAAAAUGUUAUGUUAAUGUUGUCAUAUCAGUCUCUUAAUAUCUUUACUUACAAGUCAUAACAAUUUCUAUAAGUACUUACUUCCGAUCAUAUCAGUCUUGAUAAGAAAAUAGUUAUUAACAACAUUGAAUGAUUAUUUUAAUGACAUGACUAGUUUGAAUAAUGGACUGCAUAAUCAAAGACUAAUUUGAAAUUUCAAUACAUUAAGAGAUUAUUGUGCCUACUUGUUAUACAUUCAUAGACGAAAAUGAUUAUUUGUCCUUUUUAUAUAAGGUUUAGUUUAAUUGACAAUGUUGAUAUUAUUAUGUUUGACAUCUUCAAAACAUAUUCAAACUUAAUCUCAUUUGUGCGUAAAAGUUUUGUGUGGAGCUUAUCAUUUCGUCUAGAGAUAAAAAAAAAUGCUCUUGAGAAAAAAAUUCAAAAAUUUCAUGUUAAAGAAACUAAAUAUAACCUAGGAUGGAUUGACCUUACACCAAAUUAAUUAAGGUUAUAAGUUCAAUCUUUGUAUCUUUUUAAUGGAAAUAAAAAUUCAUUUGUCAAAGAAGAAGAACUCAUUGUGCGUGUUCACAUCACAUAUCAAUUAAUCGUUGAUAAACAAAGAAUGAAAAUUUUGUAUCUAUAACAUGAAAUAAAAAAAAAAACUAUAUAUAAGAAUAUUAUCUUGAAAUUUAUGUGUUCUUUUCAGUCAAAUAAUCUAGUGUCGCGUACAUUAAAUGUGAAAGAAAAAAAUGAAAAAUCUCGAUUUCAAACACAAACCUAACAUAUCAACGUUUUCGUAGCUAGCUAGAGUUGUAUUUAUAGGACUAAAAUUUUGUAUUUAAUUUUUUAAAAUUGUAAAAUUAUUUUAUUCAAUGCAAAAUUUCUCUCUAAAUUCUUUUUUGGACCCUUUAAGAAGUUCAUUGUGGCAUGUAUUAACAAAACCCUUGGUAUAAGUAUUUUUGUCUUCAUAUUUUAUUUAACUUUAUAAAUUAGCUAGAUCGUGUACUCGUGCUUCGUACGGGUGAAUUAUAUGCCAUUGUAAUAUUGACGAAUGUCGUAGGAUUUUACGGAGAGCGAGCAUAGAAGGAUAUGGUUGAGAGGAUCUAGAAGAAAUAGAUAGGGUUAUGACUGAUGAGAGAAGAAGAGAGAUGCCAUUUUCGGAAGAAAAAAAUUGGUACCAUGGAGAAUCGAACUAGGGAUCUAGAUAUGAGCAUACUACAUUAUCUCACACCAAUAUCACUAGAUCAACUCAAGUGGGUUACAAUUUUUUUUGACUUGUUGAGCCUUAUAGAGUCCUUCAGAGAUGAGGGAUUCCUCACUCCGACUUCCAUGAAUCCAACAUUUACGCAGUCUUAGAGAAUUAUGUCAUUGAAUAUGUUCAGGGGGUACACUUAUAGCACCGUCCCUCGAACUUACCCUUGCCCCUUUCUCUUUUUUCCCAUAGAUUUUUGUUUCCUCCUUAGUUGGAAGGUUUUUUAUCAUCAAUUUAUUCGGUGAUCAGUUUCUCUUCAUAGGUAAUAUAGGAUUAAGCUUUGACCAACAACUCAUUCACACUCUUGGGGCUCUUCCAAGAUUAACUUUUCCUUGUACAUGCAAUUUGGCCUCAAGCCUUUCUAAAAAAUAAAGUGUUUAAGUUUGUUGUUUGCUCCACGAACUUUAACCGCCUCUUUGGUGAAUCUUUUAAUCUAUUUGUAGAGGGUUUCAUUUUUCCUUGGACUAUUGUGUUGCAGGAAGCCAAUGGUUUUUGUUGGCAUAUCCUUGUCGUGAAGUGUGAUGAGAAUUCUUCACAUAGGGUCCUCCAUAAGUUGAGGGAGUCAUCUUCCAAUAUUUUUAACCGCAUCAUUGCAGCCUCCUUUAGUGUGAGAAUAAACAAUUUGCAUUUCACAUCUCUCGCGACUUGAUGAUAAUCAAGCACAAUGUCCACGUCUUCAUCUGAGUCCCUGAUUCCAUCAUAAGAUUCCAACUUAGGAGGCUUCUUGAGGGACCAUGGAAUGCCAUAAUUAUAUAUUUUCUUUUUGAAUGGUCCUCAUUAAUGACGGGGGAGGUUUUACCUAGAGAUUUGUCAUGAUGCUUAUGUUGUGCCGACACACAUGAUAUUUCUUAUGUCUACUAUAAGAAGGGGGAGUUCCAUUAUUUCCUCCUCAUCUCAAUGUUUCUCUUCCCUUGAUGCAACAUUUGACACCAUGUUUAUUAGACUAGUCGUCUAUUAAUUGUGUUGAACGACCCCGAUUUGGCUCGUGAUUGCAGUAAGAAUUUAUCCAUAUUUUCCUUUACUCGAGCAAGGCGCACAUUCUAUUGCAAGAGUAGGAUGAAAAUGUUUGCGAGCAUACCAUUUGGGUUAGGGACACCAAACGGUACAAUUGAGUGUUGAAAGAAUUGUGCCUAGUGGUUAUGGCCUUGCGUGUUCUGGUGAAUGAAAGACGAUGAUACAUGUGGAGGAAAAAUUGUUGAGGUUUAAGGAAUUUCUUGAUUUCCUAGGGAAGGAAGUCUCUCUUUGAGGAACCGGUGAAUGAACGGUGCUCCCAUGAUCUCUAAGAAUCGACAAAAGGACAUGAUCUUUCAUAAUUUGUACCACAAAACAAAGUCACAUGGUGGUGCUAAUCACACCUACGACGACGUUUUGGAACAACAACCAAUUCUAGCCAUUGGGAAAGCAACAUAAAAUGGCUACGUUGAUGAAUUUGCACAUGUAGAUGGUGAGACAAUAACACUCGAAGAGGAGAUUCAAGAUGAAGAGAUGGAGAGAUUGACAUGUCAUUGUCAUAAUAGAUGAAUAUUUAUUUUAGGGAAAUGUUAAGAAGUGCCCUCGGGGCACUCUUUAAGCACUUUAAAUGGUAAGUUUUGUACGAAAAGUUGUGUAUUAAAUGCAUUUAAAAUUGUAAUAGUUUACUUUUAAAAGAAUAUUUACUAAAUUUAGGAUGCUUAAAGAGUGUCCUAAGGACACUCGUUAACAAGACCUUAUUAAUAAUUCAUUCAACAUUGUGUAUGAUUUCCAUUUAAAUUAUUUUGGAGUCAACUCUAUAUAAUAUAAUAUGAUAAAACUAUUAGGGUUUUUCUCAAUCAAUCUACUUAGCAAUGUAUUAUGCAAUUGAUUAUAUGGAUUUCAGAUGUUUAAUUAUGUGAUACGUUGUAUGUUUAUGAGUGUUUUAAAUGGAAACAAAUUUUACCUUAAUUUUAUAUGAUAUUAAAUUUAACCAUUUUUGGAGUAGAGACUAGAGAGUGUCACAGAAGAUGUUAUAUUGUGGGAUUACACAUCAACACGACAAAACUCAUAAAAUAAAAUUAUAAAACUUAGACCCAGAUUAUUUUUUCAUGUUUCUAGAAGAUAGGUUUACUAAAUUAGAAAUAAAAUAAAGGUUAAAGUGCAUUUUUUACCCCCUAAGUUUAAAAAAGUUGCGGUUUUGCCCCCUAUGAAAAAAAAUGAAAAGUUUGGCCCCCAAAAAUUAACCCCUUCGUAUUUUUCAUCCUUUUUACCAAUUUUGAUCAAGUCAACGUACAUGUGGCAGUGAGUAGGAUGCCACAUGUGUAUUUUUUGAAUUUUAAAAUAAAAAAAGUCACACGUGUAAUUGUUGAAUUAAAAAAGAAAAAAAUUGAAGGGGAACAUGAGGGUCAUUUAAUUCCAUUCUUGUCAACAUCAUCAUCUAUGAACAUCAUCCUUCAUCUUUUUUAAGAACAUCAUCCCUCAUCUUAACCAAUAUCAUCACCAUCAACACAUAACAAAAUCUUGCAUUUUUCAGCGCGGUGGUGAUGUUUGCCAGUGCGAUGGUCGUCGGAGCAAGGUCAUCAAAACAUGAUAUUUUAAUUAUAAAAAAAAAAAUAAUUCAUUUCCCCCUCAUGUUGAAAGAUUCUAUUUCAUGAACAAACAAUCACACACAUCAAUUUAUGUGAAUUUAAAUACUAAACAUAAACACUACUCUUAAAUAUUCUUUUCCUAUCUAACUAAUCUAAAUCAAAUUCACAUUUCAUUCUCAAAUCAAAAACCCUAAACCCCCAAAUUGGACAUGCUCAUUAUCGAAACCCUUCUUCGUUUCGAUCAAUGGGUGUGACCACAAGCAACUGUAAACGCUUUGAAGAAUGCAUGUCCAGGAAAUUCAACCUUUUCAGAAAAUUAUCGAAUUUCAGUGAUUUCGUUGAUUUCGAUUUUAUGGGUAAUUUUUUGGCGAGGAAUUACGAAAAGGUAAAGCGUUUGGCGUUGGAAAAAUAUAGAUUGGUGACACAUAAGGAGAGGGUGAUGAUUAAUUUGGAUUCAGAUGGGGAGGAUUCAAAUGAUUCUGGGGUUGUGGAGGUUAUUUAGAGAUGAAGGUUGUUGAAAUUAGGGUUCAACUGCACGUGCCUCUUUCUUUUUCCUUUUUUUUUUUUUUUUUAAUUCAACAAUUACACGCGUGACUUUUUAAAUUUCUAAAAUUCAAAAAAUACACAUGUGGCAUCCUAUCCACUGCCACGUGUGCGUUGACUUGGUCAAAAUUAGGGGAAAAGAUGAAAAUUGCAAAGGGGCUAAUCCUUAGGGGGCCAAAUUUUUCAUUUUUUUUCUUCAUAGGAGGCCAAAAUCGCAAUUUUUUGAAACUUGGGAGUGAAAAAUGCACUUUAGUCUAAAAUAAAGGACAACAAUACAAUAUUUUGACCAAUGUUAGACGACAAUAGCAUAAUAAAUAUCUUAUACAUAAUACAAUAACACCAACACAACUACAACUUUAAAAAUUAAAGGAAAUCCUCUACUUCACUCUCACAAUCAAAGCUCCAUUGUUCUUCUCUUAUCAUCAUGUUGACUACAAUCUGCAUAUAAUGCAUAUAGUAAGAUGAUACACAAAGAAGAAGUGAGUACAUAUUAUAUCAUUUUAAAGGUACUACCUCCGUCCUUUAUUAUAAGACCCUUUUAGAAAAAACACGGGUUUUAAGAAAGUUGAUUAUUGUAUUAAAUUUGUUGACAAAUGAUAUUUUUUUUUUCAUGUUUACACUUCUAAUAAUUGAAAUCACAGUUCAUUAUUUUCCUAUAUUAAUUACCCACUACUACUUGAAUAAUGCACCAAAUUAAUUUAUCUCAUUGUAUCCAUAAUUGAAAAGGAAGCGUGAAUAACCAUUCCUUUUUUUUUUUCCUAAAAAAAUAAAUUGAAAUCACUCUUUUUUUUCCCAAAAUUUCAAUUUUGAAGCUCCAGACUUAAAAUUUUUAGGAAUUAUUUUCAAAUUUUUGGCGCCAUUUUUUUAAGAACAUGGAGCAUGAAACAAGAGUAUAUAAACAUAUAGAGAAUUAAACAUAUUCUUCAUGAAAGAUUAUAGUAUAUCAUUAUAAAGUCAGCUAGUGCAUGAAUGAGAGUUAUACUAUUUUGUUUUCCCACGUAAACUUAUUGCUCUUCUUUUAUCAAAAGAAAAAAGAAUUUAUUGCUUUUCAAAAAAAUAUGUAGAGUAAAUAGGGGUAAUUUUGUAAAUAAAUAAUUAAUGCACUUGAAAAUAUCAAAAGGUCUUAUAAAAAGGGACACAAUUUUUUUCUAAAAGGGUUCUAUAAUAAGGGACGAAGAUAGUAUAAAGUAAAAGCAUAUGAACACACACACACAACAUCACAACAAUCAUGAUAGUAUAAUAUCAUAUGAUAUAAUGAUUACAAAUGUCUUACUCAACAUGCACUAAUCCAUAUCAAUAUGCUACCAAACUAACUUAUGAAAAAUUUGAUUAAGAUGGCAUCUUGUCUCACAUGUGAAGUAUAAAUGUGGAUUAUACGUCUUCAUUUAGUACACUCUCACUAAUGUGAUAUCAUUAAAUGAUUAGUUUACUUGUGUAUAAUAUGGUAUGACCUAACAUAAUAUAGCCAUUCUAGGUCAUUUAGAAUUUUCUCGUCAAACUUUCUAGGGUUAGGAUCUUGCCCUAAAUGCCUCACUAUUUCACAUCCACUUCAUCAAUUCAACAUGGUUAGUCUCUUGAUAAAUAUUUUGAAUGACCAUGAUACAUCAAAUAACAAGUGCACACCAUCCUUACCUCUACAAGCUAAGUCCCUAACAAUCACAAUAUUCAUUUAUUACAUCGUAAUAUUUCUUAGCCUUGGCCAAUAGUCAUCAACCAUGUAUCAUGCUUGCAUUAUUCAUCAUAGGUCACUUGAUAUCUUUUUCACCUCGUUCAUCCCGAGCAGACAAUAUAGACCAGGUAUUAUUCUAUCCUUUCUAGACCUAAAUCACACAAUAUCAAGUAUAACUCUAUCACGUAGUCUGAUAAAAUAUAUAUUCAAACUUCCUCAAGAUAACAUUCUAAAAUAUCAAUAUCAAUAUCAAUUAACUAGUCUCUUGAUGUUUAAAUAAUACUUCUAAAAUUCUUACAUUGUAUAUCAAAGACUCAGGUUAUACUUGUUAACUUAUAUUUAUCAAUCAUAUGCAAAAGAAAAGGUAACAACACUACAUAAUAUUAACAAUACACCUGUAUGGAUAUUAGAGAGAUGAGAAGGUCAGAGAAACAUCUACAAAAGUGUUGGAGAAAACAUAAGAGCAAUAAAGUUAUUAUGAGAAAAUAAAACUAUAGAUUUAUUCAUAACAUAUAAUUAUUUUUCAACUUACCUAUGAUUUAAUGCAAUGACACACGGGAAAAAUACAUCUCGGAACAUCAUCAGGAUUCUUACAUUUAUCUUGUGGGCAAUCAGAAUCAUAAAAACAUAAAACAUAUGCUGUGAUACACAAUAAGAAAGAAAAAAAACUAGUUAUUGAAUAGGGAUUAAGAUUUGCCUCAAAGGAAAAAAUAAAAAAGAAUGAUAGAUGGCUUACUUUCGGUGUUGGCUACAACAAAAAAUAGGAAAAUAAAUAUGAUCAUAACAUAAACAAGGUUAAGAACUUUAGUCAUAUUUUUUCUCUUUUGGAUGUAACUAUGUGAAAUGUUUUUAUUCACUUUAUAGUCAUAUAUAUGUAUAUGUAUAUGUGUGUGUGUGUGUGUGAGAGAGAGAGUGUGUGUGUGUGUCUAUGUAUAUAUAAUUAUUAUUAAAUGUCUUUAAAAUACAUUGACGUGUAUUGUUUGUUGUUUUGGUUGAGCCAACUGAUUAUAUGACUUUAUUGCAAAUCUUACAUGACAAUUAAAUGUCUCUAAAGUACUUUGAAAAUUUUUAUUCUUUUUUUUACCUUUCAUUGUUUUUUAUUUCUUUUAUAUCCUUUGAAUGACAAUAUUACCUUUAAACAUCACUAAACUACAUCGAUCAUUUUAUCUCAUCCAAUCAAUCAUUUGAUUAUAGUAAAAUUGACAUAUUAAACAAAAAGCUUGAAGGUAAAAUAAAUCAUUACCUUUUUAAUCAUCUUUCAUAUUUUUAUGUAUGAUUUAUCCUUUCAUGAUAGAUGGAGGAAAAUCACAAAUUAUAAAUAAUAAGUUUUUUGGUUAUAGUACAUGGACACCCUUUAUUUGUAUACAUCCGUUUGACACCCACCCAUUCGAUGUAUAACCUUAUAAUUUAUAAAUAUUUUGUUCGUAUCGUAUUUGGCCAAAAGAAACCACACACAUGAGUUAGACACUACGUCUUUACCUAAAACGUCAAGACAUUAAGUAUAUGUGUUCUCUUAUUUAUAUGUUGUUCAACAACCAAUAUUUCAUAUAAUGUGAGAUUUCUAACAUACACUUGAUAUACCAACAAUCUGUCUCUCAAAUGUGAGUCCAUCCAUUCAUCUAGACAUACUCUCCUCAAACGAAAGUUUUUUCAUCCAUACACUUCCCACCACUCUUGGCACCCACCACACAAACAGAACGUGCCACCUAGCCACCAUUACCAAGAAGAUUUUUAACAAAAGAAUGGUCCCUUUAGCAACCAUAAGCUUUGAUAUCAUUUUCUUCAUAUCACCUUUUUUAUUGUCAUUUUAUAUAUCUCUUUUAUCUCAUCACGUCCAUCACAUUUUUUUUAUCACACUCAUGUAUAUUAUUAUUUACAUAUGGAUGUUGUAUGUUAAAUUUGAAUCUAAAUAAUAAGAGUGAAACAUUUAUUUUCCUUUGCAUUAUCCAAAUCUAACAAAACAAUACGUCAUAGAGUUUAGAGUCAUUAGGAAGCCUACAAUGAGUUGGAUCAUUACAUUUAUCUAAGAGAAACCCCAAAAAUGAGUUUGACACUACAUUUUCAUUCAAAACCUUAAGAUAUUAGGUAUAUUGGACAUUUCAGUUAUAUGUUGCUUAAUAUUUACUCUUGCAUCAAAUGUAAAAGGUUAACUCACACAUGUCACAUUAACUUCAUCUCUAUAAGUGUGAGAAUCUUGGUGUCUAUGAUUUGAUGAAAUAGGCAAAUAAGGUUGAAGACACAACCUGGUAAAAAAGAUGGGUUUGUGACGCUUUUAUAAAGGGGCGUUUUUACUCAUUUCCUUCAUGUAUAGAGGGGCAAUUUUAAGAGAAAUCACACAAAUUAAUGAGAUUGACACCACAUUUUUAUCCAAAAUUUUUAGACACGUGUAUAUGAGUUAUUUCACUUAUAUGUUAUUCAUCAUCUACUCUUCCAUCUAUUGUAAAAUUUUAACUCAUAUUAAACACAUUAAUUAACAUCUCUCUCUCUCUCUCUCUCUCUCUCUCUCUCUCUCUCAAGUGCGAUACUCUGUGUCCAUAAUUAUGUGACAUGCAACAUAGUCAAAUAAGGUCAAACGGAGGCACACCAUGGUCAAAAAUGUGGAUUGAUGUAAUUUAAUGGAUUAAGGUUUUUAUUCCUAUCUUUCACGAGAAUAGAGAUAGAAAAUUAGAUAAAUAAAGAAGAUCAUGAAAAAUAAAUUCGAGAUUAAGAGAUAUGAUAGUGGUAAAAAAAAAUUGUGUGUUUUGUCCAUGAGAUUAUAAAAAAAUAGAGCGAGUUUCUGGUAAUGUUAUCGGUUUGUUGAAGAAGUUUGAGAUAUUUGGGUAAUUAAUUUACCAAAAAAUUCAACUCAGUUAAAAAAAUGCCACAACAUUUAAAAAUGUCCAAUAAACAUGUAUUUUGUCAACUCAACAUAACACAUCAACAUUAUUCUAUCGUGAAAUUCCAACGAAGACCAAAAUUGAAGGAAGUUGAAAUAAUGGAGAUUGAUUAUAAAAUAUUGCAUGAAAGCGAAAAACAUCAAAAAACUUCAACUUAAUAUAAAAGUUUACAAACAACGUUGAAAAAACUAACAAAAUAAUUUAUCAAAAUGUUUAGAGUUUCAAGGGAGCCUGCAAUGAGUUAGGUCAUCACAAAGCAAACAACUGAGAUUGACACCAUAUCAUCACCCAAAACCUUAAAGCAUUAUGUAUAUUGAUCAUCUCACUUAUAUGUUUUUCAAGAUCUACUUGCAUCCAAUUUGGAACUUUGAGUCACAAUUGGCACUUUAUCAUCUCUCCCAUAAGUGUGAGACUCUUGCGUAUGAGGUCUGGUGACAUAGCCAAAUAAGUUCAACCGUAGGCACAACAUGGUAAAAAAUGUGAGUUGAUAGUGGUUUGAUGGAUGGAGGUUUAUGAUCCUAUCUUUCAUAAAAAAAAAAAAGAGAAAGAAAAUUAGAAAAAGAGAGAAUAUAAAAAAGAAAUUUAAAGAUGAUAGAAAUGACAAGGGAAAAACUGUGUUUUUUCAUUGAAGUGUUAGGAAUAGAGCGGAUUCAUGAUAAUUUUAUGGGAUAGUGGAAGGAGUUGAAAAAAAUAUCACAUCAUUUUAAAAUGUCUUAUAAACAUGUAAUUUGUUAAUUCAACAUAACACGUCUACAUUUUUCUAUGACUAGAUCCCACCAAAGAUCAAAAGUGAAGGUAUCUAAAAUAGUAGAGGUUUGAUAAAAAAUUUCUUUCAUGAAAGUGAACAUCUAAAAACUUAUAUUUAAUAUAAUAAAAUUAAACUAAUGACAUCCAAAAACUAAAAAAAAUAGUUCAUCAUAGUGUUUUGAGUUUUGUGCAAGCCUAUAAUAGAUUGAUCAUCACAUUUGAUCAAGAGAAAUCCGACAAGUGAGAUUGACACCACAUCUUCACCUGAAACCUUAAUACAUUAUGUAUAUUAGUCAUCUCACAUUCAUGUUUCUCAAUAUAUACUUUUGCUUUCAAUGUAGAAGUUUAACUUACACAUGACACAUUAACAUAUCUCUAUUAUGUGUGAGACAUUCUGUAUUUCUGAUCUGGUGAGAGAUCCAAAUAAGAUCAGAGACACAACAUGUUAAAAAAUGUGGGUUGGUAUCGGUUUUAUAGAGAAAUGUUGUUGUUUCUUUCUUUCAUGAGAAAAGGAGAAAGUAUAUUAGAAAAAUAGAAAAGACGAAAAAGGAAUUUGAACAUGAGAGAAAUGAUAAGGGAAGCAAAUAAGGAGUGAUUGUUUUUAUUUGAGAGUAUAAAGUAUAUAACGAGUUACUGAUGAUUUUAUACAUUUAUUGAAGGAGUUAAGAAUUAAUGGAUAAUUAUUUUACUAAGGUAUUAGACUCAUUAAAAAAAUGUAACGACAAUUUUCCCUAAAAAAAAUGCAAUGACAAUUUAAAAUGUCUAACAAACAUUUUUUUUCUUCCUUAUUUUGGCAUUUCUAUUGAUUGACGUUGAUUCCGAUCUUUUAUGGCUGAAAAUAAAGUGGACCUUUUUCAGCAGGUCUUCUGAACCUUUUCUUUACUCGGCUCAAGUUCGGGGGUCCGAACGCCAUUUAUGUAUUUUUUUUUUAUCUCACAUCUACAUUUUUCUAUUGUAAGAUCUCAUCGAAGAUCAAAAGUGAAUGAAUCGGAUAUAACAGAGGUUGAAUAAUUUUUUGACAUUUGAAAACUAAAAUUAAUUUAAGAUAAAAAAAUUAAACAAAACGACAUUAAAAAAUAUAGAAAUCAAAUUAUCAUAAUGUUGAGAAUUAUGUGAGAAUCUAAAUUGAGUUGUAUGAUCACAUUAGCCUAAGAGCAACCACACGAAUGAGAUUAAUAUCACAUCUUCAUCCAAAGUCUCAAGGAAUUACGACGUGGAUCAUAUGAUUUAUAUGUUGCUCACAUCUACUCUUGCAUACAAUGUGAAAUUUUAACUUACACUUAACACAUUAACAUCUCUCCAUUAAAGUCAGACUCUCCGUGUUCGUGAUCCACCACCUAAAACACUCCCACUCCCCCAGAAUGUUGAACCAAAAUAUCAUACCACCGUUGGGCUUUCCGGAGGAGCGAACACUGAUGUGGAUCGACACAUUGGAGAAAGGGCAACCACAUGUGAAAACGAGACUACAUUUUCAUCCAAAAUUUUAAGGCUUAAGUAUGAGUUUUUUUCACUCUUUUGAUGUUCAAUUUACACUCUUUCAUCUGAUGUUGGACUUUCACUGACUUUCCCUACAUCACAAUAUUAUCUCCUUUAAGUUUGAUGGAAUUCUAGCCCGUGCUUGGCACGGGUGUCCAUGCUAGUUAUUAUUAAAUGUCUUUAAAAUACAUUGACGUGUAUUGUUUGUUGUUUUGGUUGAGCCAACUGAUUAUAUGACUUUAUUGCAAAUCUUACAUGACAAUUAAAUGUCUCUAAAGUACUUUGAAAAUUUUUAUUCUUUUUUUUACCUUUCAUUGUUUUUUAUUUCUUUUAUAUCCUUUGAAUGACAAUAUUACCUUUAAACAUCUCUAAACUACAUCGAUCAUUUUAUCUCAUCCAAUCAAUCAUUUGAUUAUAGUAAAAUUGUCAUAUUAAAAAAAAAAGCUUGAAGGUAAAAAUAAAUCAUUACCUUUUUAAUCAUCUUUUAUAUUUUUAUGUAUGAUUUAUCCUUUCAUGAUAGAUGGAGGAAAAUCACAAAAAUAUAAAUAAUAAGUUUUUUGGGUUAUAGUACAUGGACACCCUUUAUUUGUAUACAUCCGUUUGACACCCACCCAUUCGAUGUAUAACCUUAUAAUUUAUAAAUAUUUUGUUCGUAUCGUAUUUGGCCAAAAGAAACCACACACGUGAGUUAGACACCACGUCUUUACCUAAAACGUCAAGACAUUAAGUAUAUGUGUUCUCUUAUUUAUAUGUUGUUCAACAACCAAUAUUUCAUAUAAUGUGAGAUUUCUAACAUACACUUGAUAUACCAACAAUCUGUCUCUCAAAUGCGAGUCCAUCCAUUCAUCUAGACAUACUCCCCUCAAACGAAAGUUGUUUCAUCCAUACACUUCCCACCACUCUUGGCACCCACCACACAAACAGGACGAGCCAAAUAGCCACCAUUACAAAGAAGAAUUUUAACAAAAGAAUGGUCCCUUUAGCAACCAUAAGCUUUGAUAUCAUUUUCUUCAUAUUACUUUUUUACUGUCAUUUUAUAUAUCUCUUUUAUCUCACAUUUUUAUCUCUUUUACUGUCUAUCACAUUUUUUUUUAUCACACUCAUGUAUAUUAUUAUUUACAUAUGGAUGUUGUAUGUUAAAUUUGAAUCUAAAUAAUAAGAGUGAAACAUUUAUUUUCCUUUGUAUUAUCCAAAUCAAUCUUUAUUUACUUACGUCGUUUAUUCUAUUUAUACUUUUUUUUGGUACAAAUCUAUUUAUACAUGUUAUUUGAGUUUUAUUUUCCCUCACAAUAUUUAUACUCCAUGUUAAGCAUUUUUUUAUCAUCAUGACCAGGUCAAAAUUUUCUAAUUGAAGCUAGUGCUUGUUUGUGAGAUUUAAUAGAAAGCAAAAUUAUUAGUCUACACGUGUAGAAAAGAAGUCCAUAAGUAAAAAUGGUGUUCUUAAUCAUUGCUAGUGCUAGAAUUCGGGAAGUAAUUACAUGAGCAUGGUUCAUUUUGUGUUAAAUUUAUGCCUCUUAGUAUUGUCAAAAUGAAGAAUAAAUACAAAUAAAAGCAGGGUCGACACAAAUUGCUAUCUAGAAAGAGAGAAAAAAUGGCUCAACUUGAACGCCCUCAGAGAUAUGUUGAUGGUACAAAAAGUCCUGCUAGCAUCCAAACCAUGGAACAACUUCUUCGAGGUAAUCCUUCCUCACCAUUAACAUUACCUAAUAGUUCAUGCUAGGUAACAUUUUAUAUAUGGUAUGCUAGUACUUUGUAGUUACCAAGAAAAUAGGCACAAACAAUGUUAUAUCUAACCAUGCAGGAUAAUGUUGUCAAUGUAAAUUAUAAAGGAAGAAUUUUCUAUGUUUUACAUAAUCAUUUUCUAACAUCACUAGUGCUAUUUCGUGCAAAUGCAUAGAAAAAUAGUAUUCUGAUAUCAAGUUCCUGUUUUGACAUAUAGCAGGAGAAGCUGCAUCCGCAUCAAAGCCAAAGCUGUCACCAAGCAAAUCCUCCUCUUCCUCAAACUGUUCUUCCCCAUCCUCUCCUUUCUUCCAGAGGUUGAAGCAUCAUGACUCAGAAGAAGACCAUGGCCAGAAUCAGAAGAAAUCAGUUAUCACCAAAGUAAAGGAGAAGGCCAAGAAGUUACGCCACACUCUCAGCAAGAAAAAACACGAGGAUUGGACCGCUACUAGUCCCUCUGCGGGAGCAGGGUCAGAAGGUGAUGGAGCAGAAGAAGAUGCUGAAUAUCAUGGAGCUCCGAGUAAUAAAAUAAAUAUAUAAUUGUCUUCUCUUAAUUCUUUUUUAUUUAUAUACAUAUAAUUGUUGUCUCAAAUUAAUAUUUCAGUGUAUGAAUCCGAGAUGGCACCUGAAGGAUACAAAGAAAAUGUCAGGCAACAUUCAAGAAUGAGUCCAAGAAGCCCACAGACACAUGUUCUGUCAAACAAUGAGAAACUUGGAUUAGAACAAGCUAGAGAAAAGACGCUGAGUCGUUCACUUUCGAGGAAAACAACACAUCCAGCUGCAACUGCUGCUACUUCUACUACACUCUCUGGUCCAAGCAAUAUAAUAACUAAACCCAUAGCCGAGGAGAAUAUGUCACCGGCAUAUGCUGAAGGAUCAGAAACAGCUCAUUACAUAACCUCGAAAGUUCAUGGCCUCUCAGUUUCAAAACCUGGAGAGGGUCACAUUUCAUCACCAACAGCUGCAACAACUCAUAAACUGUCGUCGUUGUCCCUUCGUACUUCACGUACCCCUCCCGCUAAGAUACCUUCUCAAACAGGUCCAAGCACACCUCGCGCUUCAUCAAUUCGAAUGGGAACUCCACCACGUUCACCACCCUCAUCUGCUCCACCCGGUGCGAGCAAUACUAGCCCCACCUCACAAAUAUGGGAUAAGGGUGUUUCCGUGAAGGAAUACUUGAUGAACAAAUUUGAGCCAGGUGAAGAUGAGAAAGCUCUCUCAAAAGUGAUAUCUGAAGCAAUGAGUCCUAGGAGAACUCCCGGUGAUGUAGGCGUGAUUGAGAAGGUGAGAGAAGCUGUAACAUCUUUACUCCGAACUGAGGAACCAGAAAAACCCGCUGACACAGACACAACCACAACUACAACUACGCAUACACCGUCCCAAGUCUCAGCAUCCACCAGCACUACUCACGCACCAUCUCAAAUCCCUGUAUCUUUCAACGCUCAAGAAGGUAAUUUACCGCUAUUCCAUUUUGUAUCAUCUGAUUUUUUUUCAUAUACAUAAGUUUUGUCUCUACAUAAGCCAAUGUUUCAUUUGAUCGUUCUAAAUAUGCAGCUGUUGAGGUAGAAAACCAUGACAGGAUUCUUCAGGCAAAUUGAAAGUCCCUAUGAUGCGUUUGCUGCAUUUUUGUGAAUGUAUUCGGUUUCUGUUCAACCUUGUUGUAUAUGUACCCCAUAAUUCAGCUGAAAAUAUAGUUUCCCUUAAAUUUGUAAAAUUAAAUUGUAUCUAAUAAGUUGUGUUCUUCGUGUAAUGAACUGAAGGAUGAUGAAUUGUAUAUUUGUAUAAUAUUGCAUAUACUGGUAUUUUUUUGCUACAAAAUAUUUUAUAGUUGCUAAUCACAAUACUAAAAUCAUAAGUUAGAACCCUGAUGUGAUUUGAGUAACUUGGUUAGAGAUUAUAAUAUUAUCUUCUUAAUGCAAAAAUUAUCAUGAAAAUCAAAUCCGACACAUGUGAUAUACACAAUGCGACAAAUUAUGAUACAUUUACAUCAAAAGGUGCUAGUUCUGCUGUCACUUCAAGAUUUUGGAUUCAAUUUCUUCUAAGCUCAAGCCUUUUGUCUCUGGGACAGAAGUUACAAUGAACACAAGUGACACUAAAGCAAUGGCUGCAAAAAGGAGAAAAAGGUUCUCUGCUCCUAGAUACUCCUGCAGUGGAAUUCAACACACAUUAUAAACUCCAACAGCAAUCAGAAAGAGUUAAAAGUGAUGAAGUUAAUACUGUCUUCAAUAAAGAAAAUAAAACUGGAAGUAAGGAAUCUAAAACCUUCAAUGGUGAGAAUGCAAAGGUAACAACAGCAUUGGCAGCAAAGUUGGUAAGAACAGCCAUACUAAUCCCCCGGCCUCUAGUGCGAAGUGGGAAGAUUUCGGAUACCAUCAGCCAACUUAUCGGCCCAAAUGAUAUCUGCAAUUCAAAUGAAAUUUGACAUAAAUUUACGGUAAUACUUUAAGCCGUGGUUAUCAAUAUCUUGCGAUACAUACGAGUUGUAUACAUACGAGUCGUAUCUUGAUUUGAUAUAAAGCUGGAUCGAUACGAAUCCCUAGUGUGUAUCUAUUAUGGACAUGGAUCUCAUCUCGACCUCCAAUUCAUUGUGAUGAAUUCCUCCAAUUCACCACAAUGAAUUCUGAUUCGUUCUUAUGAAUCACUACCUAAAAAACAUAGCAUAACCAGCCACUUUUUUUUGUCUAAUUUUGUAUAACCAACCACUUUUUCUUUUUCAUUUGAUUUAAUAUUUGAGUCUUGACUAUUUUGAGUUUCUUAUAUGAUAUAUCAACUUAUAAUUUUGUUGUGUCACUUGUUUUUAUUCAAAAAUGUUAUAAUUUUAUUGGUAAUGUAUCUUACGGUUCAUAAUAAGAUUCGACUCACGGUUCAGAAAAUAGCUCUUCCAAUUAACAAUUUAAUCUCGGUUCGAUAAUCAUACUUUAAGCUGCAUCAACACUAAGGAAAGAAAAAGACAAAAUGAGAGAGUAAAAAGGAGAGGGAAAAAACAUGAAACAAAAGAGGAAAAGUGUGUGACUUGUUUUGGAGUUCCGUUUUGACUCUGAACAUUGAAUUCAACAAGAACAAGUACAGUGGUCAUGAAUGAACAAGAUGACUCUGAAGUUGGCAAAAAUGAUAAACCUGUUCAUGUUUAUGCUGAUGGAAUUUACGAUCUCUUUCACUUCGGCCAUGCCCGUUCUCUUGAACAAAGCCAAGAAAUCGUUUCCAAAUACAUCCUUGUUGGAUGCUGCAGUGAUGAGAUCACACACAAGUAAAAGGGUAAAACUGUUAUGAAUGAGCAAGAACGCUAUGAGUCCCUUCGUCACUGCAAGUGGGUUGAUGAAGUUAUUCCAGAUGUGCCGUGGGUAAUCAAUCAGGAGUUCAUUGACAAGCAUAAAAUUGACUAUGUGGCACAAGAUGCUCUUCCUUUAUGCUGAUACAAGUGGAGCUGGAAAGGAUGUAUAUGAAUUUGUUAAGGCUAUUGGAAAAUUUAAGGAAACAAAGCGGACUUUUAGGAGUAAACAUCCAAGACUUUUUUCGAUCUCAAACCAAAAAGAUUCAAUGGUGGGUGACAUAGGGGAGGUGGUAGGCUCUUCAAGGGAGUGGCAUUUUGAGUGGAGACGGGAUUUUUUUGAUUGGGAGGAGCAACUCUUCGCAAAUCUAUUGGUAGAUUUGGAAGGCAUGACUUGGUCUCAUGAGGAAGAUAGGUGGAAGUGGGGUUUAGAGGAGUCGGGGAUGUUUUCUGUUAAGUCAACAUAUGGGAAAUUAGAGGGCCUUGUGUCGAGGGAAGAAUUGUGGAGUGAGACGGAUAAAAGCGUGUUUAGCAAAAUAUGGAAAAGUCCGGCACCUUCGAGGGUUGUGGCUUUCUCAUUUGUGAUAGAAUUCCAACAAGGGUUAAUCUUGCGGUAAGGAAUGUCUUACCCAUGGAGGCUUCUCGGUCAUGCGCUUUAUGUGAGAGGGUGGAUGAAUCGUCAAUUCACCUCUUUCUUCAUUGUGAUGUAGCGGGAAGGGUGUGGCAAGGUAUUAUGCGGUAGGGGGAGAGGAUUCUCUUAAUUCUGCCUAACUUGUUCGCUCUUUGGGAGUGUUGGAGUGGUGGCGAGCAGAAUAAGAGAAUUCGUAAGGGCCUAAGACUUAUUUGGCAUGCAACGGUGUGGGUGUUGUGGAUUGCGAGGAAUAAUAGAGUGUUUAAUAGCCAGAACCCGGAUGUGGAUGACAUCAAGGUCUUGUCGUGGCGAUGGUCUUUGGAUAGAAUCUCUAUGCCUCCGUGUAUGUACUAUGAAUGGUGCUGGUGCCCAAGGGAAUGUCUUUUGCGUCUGGUUUAACUAUGUGGGGGCUGUUCGGUUCAAGGGAGAUGGGGGCUGCUAUUGGUUUCCAAAUAGCAGCAGCUGUUUUUCGUUGCUGCUGUGUCCGCUGCUGAGGGGCAUCAGCAUUGCCUGCUUGUUUUUUCUAUUUUUUGUUAUGGGCUCUGGGUGUGUUUACGGGUGGUAUAGAGAGGCCUUUGGGUCCUUUGGUUCGGUUGGGUGAUUCUGUGACUAGUUUGAGCUAUGGCUGUGUAAUUUGGUGGUGAUUUGACCGGAUUACAGGCACAUAACUUGCUUCUGUCACAUUUUGUGGAGGUUCUAGCUUUUGCUUAUGUAUAUGGGUUGGGUGUGCCGUCUAUAUGCGGCACCUAUUGUUCUUUCCUUUUGUCCAUUCCUCGCGUCUUGCGAGGGUGGCGCUUAUAAAGUUUUCCAAUUCAAAAAAAAAAGAAAAAAGGAAACAAAGCGGACUGAAGGAAUUUCUACCUCUGAUAUCAUAAUGAGAAUCAUCAAAGAUUAUAACCAGUAUGUAAUGCGUAAUCUGGAUUGUGGUUAUUCAAGAAAGGAGCUAGGUGUUAGCUAUGUCAAGGAGAAAAGAUUGAGGAUGAACAUGGGACUUAAAAAGUUGCGGGAGAGAGUCAAGAAACAGCAAGAGACGGUAGGAAAGAAGAUAGGAACAGUGAGAAGAAUUGCGGGGAUGAACCGUACUGAAUGGGUUGAAAAUGCAGAUCGAUUAGUUGCUGGAUUUCUCGAGAUGUUUGAAGAAGGAUACCACAAAAUGGGAACGGCAAUCAGAGACAGAAUUCAAGAACAGCUGAAGGCACAACAGAUAAAAUCUCUUCUUUAUGACGAGUGGGAUGAUAAUGUUGACGAUGAAUUCUAUGAAGAUGAAUCUGUAGAAUACUACAGCGGCUAAAGGGAAAAAUAUGCUUGUUUAUUUCCAGAUUCUGAACCAUUACCAUAACCAUGUCUUUGUGUAAAAGAUUAGAUAUGUUUCGUAUAUGUAAUGCAAUAUGGUUGGAAUAAAAAAAAAAAACACUAAGGAAAAUGGUGAAAUACUAUUGUUAAAUCAGAAUUUUUCAAUUAUUGCUAGGCUCUCCGUUUUUGAGGAGUAGAGUGGUCUUUUAAUCGGACUUCAUGUCAACCCAUAUUCUACUGUCCAAAUUCUAUGGCAAAAAUAAUCAAAUACUGCUGAAGAGGACUUUCAUUUCUAAUAGAAUCUGACAAGAAAUAGCAGCAAGGCCAAUGACCAGAAAACCUUUACCUGGUAGCAACCAACAAUAAAGAAGUAACGCUGCAACAGCAACAAUUGGUAGCCCUCCGAGAAAUUUAUAAUAAGCAGAAAGGAGAACUAAAGAUAAGGCCUACAUAAAUAAAAAGAAAAGUGAAUAAGCAUUGCAUCUGAAAAUUUGAAGUGAUGUAAUAAUCCGUAAGUUCAAAUGCGAUAGAAAUCCUACAAUGCCACUGACACCUCCAAUCAGCAGAGGUCUUCUCCCCAAAUCGUCCACUUUUAGGACAGCAACCGAUGUCAUUACUAACUAUACAGGUUGAUCAAUCACAAAAACAACAUCGUUAGUGUCACAAAGUAGUCGCUCUUCCUAGAAGUGAAAAAUCUAAACAGGUAUACCUUGAAUAAGCCAAUAACAACUGAAACUUUAGCCGCGUCAGCUGCAGCAGAAAAUCCAGCACUCUAGAUAUAUAACAUAUAUACAAUCUACAGUUAGCAAGAUGGAAAUGAGAAAAUUUCAUUGAAAAUAAAGCAAAAGUGUAUUUAACAAUUAGGUACCUGAAGAAUAGGACCAGCAUAAUACAGAACACUAGGUUGACCUGUUAUCUAUUGGAAUUAUGUGUCGAAUCAGACAAACAGCAGAAAUAGUUCUCCAUAUUUCCUUCAAUAUAACAUGAGUAAAGUGGAAGUAUUCAAACACAAUUAUGAUGAUUAUUUAAUAACUCAUUGCACUGAAAUGGAACAACCUGUUGAAAUAAUACUAGCCCCCCGCCAAUUACGAAUGCUUUCAGAUUGGGACCCUGAAACACCUCUAAGAAACUCGCCUCGGAUUCCUGAUCUUCAUAGGCAGACUUCAACGAGACAAGGCUCUCUUCUAUCUGCUUCUCAGAUUCUUUGUCACCAGGUGGCCGGCCCCUUAGUUUGCCCAGGGAAACAAUUGCUUUUUCCUUCAAAUCUUGAAAAGAACCUUUUCCUUGUACGGCAUUGAGAAGCAACCACCGAGGAGAUUCGGGGAGAGUCCACAUUCCGAGUCCCAUCAACACAGCAAGUGGAGCACUAAAUCCAUACAUGAACCUCCAUCCACCUACUGUACUAAUCUGAAAGCUUCCCACAAAAUAACCCAACUGCAUGAUAGUUCAGUCCCCAACUCAGUAAACUCUUUAGUUGAUAAAAGAUACAUAAAAGAAAAUAAUGUAAUAUACCAGAAUCCCCAAAACGAUGAAGAGUUCUUUUAAUGAUACUAGAGUCCCACGGAUUUGUGAUGGACAAGUUUCUGCAAUGUAUAAAGGAGCUCCAUGCAUGGCCUGCAAUUCAUUUCACUCGUAAGAUGGUACAGAGAUACUCUAUGGUUCGAUAUCACCAAAAAAAUGUUAUGGCUAAGAGUAGCCUACCAGACCUAUACCAAGUCCAUAAAGCAGCCUUCCUGCUAAGAGAACACCAAGUUCUGGUGCUGUGGCAGUGAUUGCACUACCAAGUACAUACAACAGGGCUGCACCAAUAAGUUGCCGCUUCCUCCCUGGUGUUUUAUCCAAAUUAAUACAUUAAAAUAAAAGCUUAAUUUUGUACACUGUCGGUUUAAAAAGGUUUACACUGUCAGCAAAUCACAACAAAUCGUAUGUGCGACUUAAGAAGUAUGUAUGAUUGAAGGCAAUUGUUUUUGAUGAUCUGAAGAUUAUGAUUGAUUAGCAAUGUAAGAAUAUUUACACUGACGGUGUAUAUGAAUUAGAUACUUAAAUAAUAAUAGUCUAAAGUAGUUCAGUUUCUGCCUUCUGGAUAAUGUAAAUAAGAAAAUCAUUUACCAAUGAAAUCAGCAAUUGCAAAUGCUAGAAGUGAGCCAAGAAGAGCCCCAUAGAGGGAACCACUGACCUAUGUUUGACAUUAGCAGUUAGAUUAUACUUAUGCAUAAAGAUGAUUAUAACUUUUCCAUAAACUGCAAGCAAGAUGUUUUCCAACUAGGACACAAAAAUCAUACCACAAGACCAAGCUGAAUGGAAGAAAGAUUGGACCAAGCGACACCGCUAAGCUCAGGUGACUGUGAAUUCAAAUCAACGAAACGAAAAACAAUUUAUGUUACUGCUCUAACAGGAAAGAAAUGCAAUUGACAGACACUGAUUGACAAGUUUUUACCUGCAGUGAAAUUGUAGCACCGGAUGUGGCACCAAUAUCAUAACCAAACAGCAAGCCACCCAAUGCAGGGAAAACAAACCUAAAUUUUGAAACAGGUACACAUAGACCAGGAGCUCAUACAUUUAAAAAAUUUCAAAGCUCGAUCAUUAGGAAUCAUGAUGUUCUGAUUAUUAAAGAAGAUAAACUUAGCACAAUCAUUAAGUCAUAAUUCCCUGUAUACCCUCACUCUAGAAGCAAAGUAUUAGUUCCAAAAUUAGAAUGUGUUUGUGUUUGGUCAAUGGUUAAAUAUUUUAAGAUACCACUCCAACAAAGAAAAUGGGCAAGGUACUGCUUAUAAUGAUUUGGACAGUUUGAGCUAGACUUUGAGAUAAUUUAAGCCCAGUACAGUCUCAAUUCAAGGUGAUGAUCCUGAUAAACCAAUUACAGUAACCUCUCAUUGUUUGGAUAAACAACUUAAUUGAGCACUUAUAGCAUAAACGCUUAUCAUAUAAGUACUUAUGUAUAAGUUAUUUUUACAACAAAAUAUAAAACAGAGUUAAACUAUUUUCAUAUAAGUUAUAAGUUGUUUCCAUAAUCUCUCGUUGCUCCCCCAAAUAGUCUCACAACUCACAAGUGUUUAUGCCAGGAGAUAAGCUCAAAUAAGUCAAUCCAAACACACUCUUUAAUAAUUGAAGAAUCUUAUUCUUGCAUCCUUUCAGUUUUGCACAUGUUAUGGAACUGAUUAUAAUCUUAAUUGAAAUUCAGUCUAGUAUCUUAAUCUUCCAUUAUCUUUCACAUUAGUAUUCACUUUAUUAAGUGUCUAUGAAGCAAAAGCAAGUAGUAAAACAUCAUAUACUUUAAUACAUUUAUCCUACACACAAAACAGUUAUCUAAUUCAAUGCCUCAGUAGAGAAAGAGUGACAGAAACAUACGGAAGAAUAACAGAAGACCAAGAAAAUUUCUCUUGGUCGGAAGCAACAGACUCAGAAUUGUUCCCAGCAGAAUACUCCUGCGCUUGAACCUGUCCAGAAGAUGGAUAAACAAAAUUAGACUAAAAACGAAGAAAUUUUGAUGAGUUUACCAGUUUCUGAGUACUUACUUGGAAUCUACGUUUAUGAGAGGAGUGAGAGGUAAGAAGUGGAUAAGUGACACGUGUUGGCGACAAAUGAUUGUUUGUGGAAGAAGAAAUGAUGCGUGGAUUGAUAUGAGAAUUAGAGAACGAAGCUUUUGAAUUCUUUACUCUUUGAUGGUGAAGUGAGUUGAAUAGAGAGAGUUUGAAACUGAAGAGUGCUGUUGAUGAUGCCAUUUGUAAGUAAUGUUUUGGUGAGUUUGUAGAAUCAGGAGUGAGGAAUCAUGGCUGUUUAUUAUCUGUUGGUGAAUCUUGACAAGUAAAUACGCCACUGUGUGUGAUGCAGGAAGCACAAACAAGAUAUUUGUCAAAUUAUUAACUUUUCAAGCGUCGCUUCAAGUCAAUUUUUAUUGGGUUAAUAUGUCUUUUUGGUAGUCCAUUUCUUAAGAACUUCACGCUUAAACUAUUUGGCUUUGAACAAUUUUGGGAUUGGUAACUUUCUUGGAAGUUUCGCGGAAAGAAUGCGAGUUAAGACAAAAUACGCUGAAAAAAUUCGUGUUAAUUUGUGGGGUUAGUUGCCAAUACUGAAAGUCAUCUGGAAUGUUAUAGAGGCACAUUCAUCCACAUAAUAAGUAGGUCAAAUAUCUCCAGUGAUCCUUUAAGUUAUAUGUUUAUAACAAGUUAGUCUUGUAAGUUUUUUUUGUUAUCAAUUGGUUCUUUUUAAGUUUUUGUUGUCACAAAUUGGUCCUUUUAAGAUAUAAAAUUUUACACUACCACUCAUUUUCUUAGCCAACUUCGUCAAAAAGUGUUUAUGGACCAUUUAACAUUAAGAUGAAAGUGUUUAUGACAUCAAACAUGAUUACUUACACACAUUUUCUUCUUAAUUUGAAUUCAAGCUUAAUUUUACAAUAAAUAUAUAAUCAACGAUAUUAUAAAUUAAGUAAUUAAUCAAUUUUGUUUCAAGUCAAGACUGAAUAACACACUUUUGAACCCUAAUUUUGAGAGUGAUGAAAUUGGACAUACCAACUUAACAUCAAACGUUCACAUAAACACUUUUUAACUGAGUUUGAAGAAAAUAUAAUAAUGGUGCCGAUAUUUUAUGACUUAAAUGACCAAUUUAUAACAAAACUAAAAGCGUAAAGAACUAUCUUGUUGUAAUCAUAUAAUAUAAAGGACCGCAUAUGAUAUCUGAUUUAUUUUUUAAAAAAAAAGUUAUUUCAUUUUUUACAACAAAAUUUUUAUUAAUGAAUUUAUAUUAUUUUUUGGAUUUUUAAAAAUUUAAUAAUAAAAUCUGAUGUGGCCCGCUAAAAAAUAAAAAGCCAAGUCAGCGCCACAUAGGUGAAUUUGGUGAGUUGGACAGGGGGAGGGGGGUUUUUCGUAUUUUUUUUUUUUUUUACGUAGGAUGCAAAUCAAAUCGAAAAUUCUAUAGGGGCGAAAACAAAAAAUGACAUAUAUCACAGGGGUGAAAAGCACUAUUAACCAUAAUAUAUAUAUAUAUAUAUAGGGGAGAGAUAUAUUGACUCCAAGAGUAACUCUAAAGAGUUACUCCACAUCCUCGCCCUCCAUUUUAUACAAAGUUUAAUGGACUAGAUUUAAAUCUUACUAAUAAUCAUGUGAUCUCAUCUACCUAAUCAUUCACACAAUAUUAAUUACGAUUGUUGUUUUUUUAAAUUAUUAAUUACGAUUAUGAUUUCCUUCUUUUGACUCAAUAAAUAUUAAUAAUCAUCCCCUAAAAAACAUAUUAAUGAUUAGGUGAUGAGAUUUUUUGUUCUAACUUUCUCCUUUUUCAAUGUCUAACUUCCGACACUCGACUAUUAUCAGCAAUUCACAAGUUAAAUCAUGUCUAAAAACAUCUUCAACAAAGAAAAAAAAUGUCUAACAAAAUUAAAUCUAUGACAAUUCAACUUCACGAUUGAAAUAUACAAACCUCUAACUAAAAUUUUAAAAUCCAAUGAUCAAUCAAUACACUUGUCAAAAAGAAUAAAAUCAAUAAUAAGCAUUUCUAAAAAGGAUCUAUGGAUAAUCCAAAAAAAAAACUAUGGAAGCAUCUACUCCUUCUAAAUAAUAAGGGUAUUAGGAAAAUAUAUGUAAUUUGAAUUGUGAAUCUUGAAAUAGUUGCAGAACAUUUUUAUUUUUUUUAAAAAAAAAAAAAUUACAAUGAACAAGACGAAGAAGAGAGGAGUUUGAAAAAAAAAAUAAGAGAUUAUGUUUUUGUACCAAUAAUCAAUUGUGUUUAUAAAAAGGAAUAUUGAUCAAGUCAAAGAAGAAACAUAAUUAAUAUUGUGAGAAUUGUUAAAGUAAAUGAGGUCACAUGAUUGGUAAUAAGAAUUAAAUCUAGUCCAUUAAAUUUUAAUUAAAAUGGAGGGUGAGGAACUCUUUAGAGUUACUCUUGGAGUCAAUAUAUCCCUUCCCGUAUAUAUAUAUAUAUAUAUAUAUAUAUAUAUAUAUAUAUAUAUAUAUAUAUAUAUAUAUAUAAAAGAAAGUAAAGUGUAAGUGCAUGUGUACUUGAAAUAUGUAGAGAUGUAGAUAUUUAAAUAAUGAUUAGUAAAAAGAAAUUAAAUCAUGAACGCUUGCAACAAAAGUAGUAACAACCAAAACUAACAGAAUUAAUAUCACUUGUUUCAUGAAUACAAAUUUAACGUUGACACAACAACUAAUAGUUGUUGCGUAUAUUUGGAUAUAAGAUGCAUGAUUGUUACUAAAGCGUAACACUCCACAUUCUCCUCCUUAAUUAUUCUCCAUGAAAGGAAAAACCUUCAACAAAUAUUAAGAAACUGCAUUAAAAAAACCAAAGAACAAUGAAUACGAAAAUAAGGGGUUUUGAGACAAGUAAUAAAUGUCCUACAAAAGUUAUGAACCAACAAAAACUCAAACCUUUUUUUGCGCUUCUUUUGAAAAGUUAACCUAUUUACCACUUGCUUUGUCUUGUCUUGAUUUCCACCGUUCCUUUUAAAUCAUUUCUAGUUACAAAUCCAUUUUUAUGCGCCUAUAUUAGAAGAGAUUGCAAAUGUUGUUGUCUUAUAACUUGUACCUUAUUUAAGAAAGUGCAUAUCAUUUUAAGAAAUGGAGGACAAAUCCAACUUGAUAAAAAAGGGAACAAAACGAUGUUCUACAAGGCUGCAAAAACAUGCCCCAACAUUUAUUGAGAUUAACGACCGACCCACUGACCCAUUUGCUCCUUCUACGGAUGCUUCAAGUUCAAAAGCAAUUCCAUUGUUAUCACCACUUGUUUUAUCUCCACAAGCAUUAUAUGCAGAGAUUACUGCACAAACUCAAAUGUUACAAAAUAAUGGUAAUAUUGAUAGUGGUGUUAUUAAAUUGAUUUUUAGUUGGGUGUUUCCCACACGAGAGAUGAAGCUAAUUAUAAUUAUGCUCUUCCUUGCUAUUUGUUUUUAGUGAAUUGUUAAUUAAUUGCAAAUAUCUUCAAUUACAUUGUUCAUCGUUGAUUAUAGUUUUAAAUUACUUGACCAUUUAAAAGAAAAGAUCAAUCAAAAGCAACAAAAUUGAAAAUUUGGUGGUGAGAAAACUAUCAGUAAAGGACUAUUGCAAUUAAAAAUAAUAAGUUAAAUUUUAUCAAUGUAAUAAUUAUUUCUUUGAUUACAAAGUAUUGUGAAUAUCGUUUGGUCAUCAAACUUAUACUUACAAAGUAUUGUACUUGUUAAGGUUUUUCCUUUUCUACUCAAUACAACCUUUUUUAGAUAACAAAUUUUUGUUUAUACAAAACUAUAAUAACUCUAAACACAAGAGUAUAAAAUGGAUAAUAAAUGAAAAUAUGAUACACGGGGGUUACACAAAUCAAAAUAGUACAUGUAAUAUUUUAGGGGUUCCAACGUAUUUUGAUGUCUAAAACAAGCAUUAAAAUGAGACCUUUAUGUGAGAAAAAAUUGAAGUAAAAAAAUAGCCACAGGUAAGAGAAAGUUUGAAUUGUGACCCUUUCUUAAAAUUUGAAGGCACGCUUGAUUAAAAAAAAAACUUAAAAUAAAAUUGAAUUAAGUAAAGAGUUAGUUCAAAAAACUUCUCAACUUCAUAAUGUUUUUGUGUAUUUAACAAGUAAUUUAAACUUUCCCUUUAGAUCAAUCUCAAUCUUACAGCUUGUAUCAUCUGAGCCUCAUCGGACUUGCAAAUCAUAGUUUUUUUACACAAAUGAUCACUCAUUCUAACUUUGAACUAGAAAGACUUUAUGAUGUUGAAAAUGAUAGUGAUGGUGUUUGGGAUUAGAUAUACAAUUCAAUAUUGAUGAGAUUUAUUUGUACAAACAUGGUCAACAAGGUUGAUCUACAAAUCUGAUAUAGUGAUUUGAAGUGGGUUUAAUAUUGAAUAGAUUUUGAUAGAUUUGUACUUAAAGAAGCGAGUUAUAUUUCAAACGUUAUCUCUUGUUACAACUCAAUGUGGAUGAGAUUGAUUGAUACAAACACACUCUAAAAGUUGAUCAUCAAGUAUAAUUCAAGAGUUGUAGUGUGUUUGUUUGUUUUCAAGAGAUCAAUGAUUGAUAUGCACUUGAAAAACAAAUUAUAGUUUAUAUACAAUCUCUUAACUUCAAAUCUUUGAAUCUUCUUGUAUUUAUAGUUGAGUGAAGACUUUUUUUUUUUUUUUUUUAUCAGGUGAAUGAAGACUUUAUUCUAAUGUGGGAAGUCUAACAUGACUGUUCGACACAUGUGGCAAUGCAAAAUUUAUAUUUGAAUUUUUGUGUUGCUAGAGUCUUGGUUGGUAGAUAUUAUAUUGUAAUUCUUAUAAUUAUUUGAGAUUUUUUUUAAGGAAUAAUUAUUUGAGAAUGUUUAAAGAGCUAUUGCAUUUUUAGUAAUCAGGUCAUUACAUUAUAAUUUGACUAUCAAUUGACUAAAUGAAGUGAAACACAAUGGGCUAAUUGCAAAGAAUAUCUUAAUCCAGAUAUUUGAUUACAAUUUUUUUCAGUCUAUGACCUCAUUGCAUAAAAUAUAUUAUUUUAAUUAUUUGAUUACAAUUUUUUUAAUUUAGGAACUUAAUUAAAAUUUAUAAAUUGUUUAGAGAUCUAUAAAAUAAUUAUAUCAAUAGAAGUCUUGAUUGAACAGUUCACAACUUUGUCGUUAUAAAUAACUCUUUUAAAAUUCUUUCAAAUUUCAAUUGAAUACACCUCUUUUCUAUAAGUCCUAACUCAACUCGCAAAAAUACUGAAAUUGCUAGUAUGGACAUCGUGAUUAGGGGUUCAAACUCUAAAUAUCCCCUUAUGUGAGUUUUAAAUGAUUAUUGUCAUUCUGUCUAUCUAAAAAAGGGGUAUUUAGGGUUGAUAAAGUUCAAAGAUGCUCAUAUUUAUCACAUUUUAUGGCUUACACAUCUAAUAUGAUUAACUUUAUUUUUUGUUGAUGGAAAAAGUUCCAUUAAGCAAUCAAAUCACCAUCAACAAAAGAAGUUAUAUAAGUAGGACAAUCUUCGAAACUCUAUUUGAAGAAGAUAAAACAAAUUUGGUUAAAAAAUAAGCAGUCAUAUAAGCAUCGUGUUUAACAUGACUCAAUGAAAAUGAAUGAAAAAAAGAGCUAAGUAAGAUUGUUUAUUUGAAAGGUUGUGAAAACCACAUACGACAUUAAAAAAAUCACCUAGAACGUCACAUGGAUAACCUCACACCCAAGCCUCACCAAUAUCAGAAUCUGAAAGACAUUCAACACACCAAGUCGUCGAUGCUACUUUAUAUCAAUCUAAAUCUCUAACAACAACAUUACUACCCCACACAUUCUUAAUCGAGGGUCAGAUACAUCAAUGUUAACUUUAUAACAAUGUGGAGGAGGGGUUUGCAAUAAAUGGGGAUUUUUUCAGGUAAAUAAAUGGGGGAAUCAGAAGGCUCAUAAUAACUAGAUAUUAUAUUUUUGUUCAAUAUUAAAUUGCAGUCGUCCACUACAAUCUAAGCCUUACAAACAGUAUCCUCCACAAAAAAUUGUUUCCCAUACAAAACAUAAUUAUUACGAGAAACCCAAAUACUAGAGCAUAAAGAAAGAACAUAUGAGAUGACAUCUAAUGAUGAACGAGAAAUGACAUGUUUAAGCUAAGAUAUGAAAGGAAGGGAAGGAUCCUCAAAUCGAACCCCCAAAGAAGAGUGAAACCACACCAUUUUUGUGCAUGACAAAUAAGACCAACAACCAUCAUUCCAAUAUGAAUCAACUUUUUUUUAUUAUUGGGGAGGCUAUCAUGAAAAAAUCUCCAAGCAAGAUGAAUAUAUUUUGAGAUGACGUGAAUGUUCCAAAACUUUGAUGAACAAUCUAAAUUGACAUUAUGAAUAUAAACUUGUGAAAGAUUAGAUUCCUCCCAUUACCCAACGAAAUGAUAUGCACUUUUAUCUGAGAGAACGUCAUUCUUAUGAGGGCCCAAAAUUUAAGAAUCCAUAUGUGUUGAUGUACUUCAUAGCCUUAAAAGGCAAGAAAUUUGCAUUUAUUAACGUUGCAUUUUUCCAAAAUAAUGAAAAAGUUGAGACACUUGAGAAAGUACAAUAUGGGUGGCUUUGGAGACGAAACCCUAAAACCAUUCUUCAAAGGAAGCCAUUUAUCUUCCCAAAUGUUGAUGAAAUGGCCCGUUUGAGAUUGUGAUUUACAUCUUAAGAUCGUUCGAUCUUGCGAUGCAACCUACCUCCAUCGAUCUGGAGCGGUUUGAAGAUUGGAGAUCACGGGGGAUUGGGCGGCGCGCUGAGGAAAAGCAAAAACUUGCAGAAUCGUCGCUUUUUUUUUUUUCUGAAUUAGUGAAGGGGUUUAACCCGGUUCAUAAGCAGUUUGACGCGACCAGACUCAAAUUCGACCCGACCUACUUGCUACGAUUUCAACUUCGGUCAGAAUUCGAUCUGUUUUCACUCUAAAAGGUCAUAAUCUAUCGUUAAUUUCAUUUUUUUGGGACUAGUUGGUGUUUAAUUGAAUCAUUAUUAGGUUAUGAAAUAUGAAAAUUUUCUUAUCUUCUUCUUUGAAAUUGUAAGUCAUAAAUGAUUCAUUCAAUGAAUCAAUUCCCCCUUAUCUUUCAUUUUCUCUAUAAAAAUCAAUUCACUGUGCAAAUUUCUUCUCAUAUUUCACUAUCCAAUUCCAAAAAAAGUACAAAAGUUAGUUUUUAUUUUAUUUUAUGAUGUUUAAGAAAUUGAAGUUUUAGGGUGAUGUUUUGUUUUUUGAUGAAAGUUUUUAGGUGAUGUUUAAGACAAUAAGAAUGAUGAUUAAUGAAAGUUUUUUUUGUCGAAAAUUUAUUUUUCUUAGUUUCUUUUAUAAUUACGAUCCUAAUUACGAUCCUAUGAUUACACUCUUUCUAUAUUCCAAUGAUCUUUAGUGGGAUCUUGAUUUAACAACCAUGAACCAUAAUGCUACACGAAUACUUCGCCAAGUAUAGCUUGAAACAUGUCCAAAUCUCGCUUUCAUGUGGAAAAUAACUAGCCCUUGAAGAGCUAGCAAGCAAAGAUCUAGAUUUGAUAACAUACACCAACCUUGCAUAACAAAACGAGCGACACUGAAUUUUUUGUAUGUUUGUGACACUGACUCGACUCUGUAUACUAAUUAAAUUUUUGUUCGUGAUUAUCAUCCGUGCAUCUAUUAUGAUUAACUUUAAAUGAUAGAAUUUUUGUUUUAUUAUUGAUUUUGUAAAAUAAGGCAAGAAGAGAAAAAAUAGUCUUGUGGGUAAAAUUGUAAUUGAAACAAAUGAGUGAUGAUGUUGUAAUUUGUAAAUCUUGCUAUUGAACUAGGGCUGUAAGUUCUGAACCCAACCACACCUUCGCUCGCUGUUAAGUGCAGUCAGUUCAAACUCGAAUUCUUCAGCAUCUGAACCCAAACACCGUUCAGAAUCAGAACCUAUCCAUUUCCAAUCGCUUAUUCAUCUCAAUUCUCCAAUUCAUGACAUAAACGCUUCUCUCGAAUUCGCCAUCGCAAUCUUACCCUCACACUCUUCUCUCCGUUCGGAAUCUCUCGCCGUUAGAAGAUGUCAGGCGGUUUUUUUCGAGUAAGUUCAUCUCAAACCAUUGAAUUCACUAUUUUAAUUAUUCAUUUGAUUUUUGUAAUAAUGAAUCGUUAUUUAAUCAUUUCUCAGAUCUUAUUUGCGACUUUAAUUUGAUGAGUAUGCUAUGAAAUUAGGGUUCAAAACUUUGAAUAUUUGUUGAUGAAACUGAAUUAAGAGCUCUGCUGUAAUUCAACUUGUUAUAGUGAUUUUUUGUUAUGUUUUUAAAUUUUUGUAUUGAUAAUUGAAAAAUGAUACUUAGCUUAUGAAUUAUACAUGUUGAAUUUUGGUUGUAGGGUACAUCUGCGGAUCAGGAUACUCGGUUUUCGAACAAGCAAGCGAAGCUGCUUAAGUCGCAGAAGUUUGCGCCGGAAUUGGAGCAUCUGGUUUGUUUCCUUGAUAGAUUAAGUUAGAUUCGCUGAUUUUUUUUUUUCCUAGGGAGAAUUAUCUUGUAGCACUUACUUUCGAUAGCGGACACCAGACACGUGUGAUUACAUUCAAUUAUGCCAUUUUUCUUAGUUAUUACCGGUGUUAACGUGUUAGUGUCGUGUCUGGUGUAUGCGUCUGUGUCAGUGCUUCAUGGAUAAUUAUUUCCAACUGCAUUUGAUGUUUGGAACCACAAGCAUCAUUGUGUAUAUGAUCUCGAUAUAUGUAUUUAUUUAUUUUAAUUAGUGACAGCGCUUUCCUCUCUGCUAUUUUUUUAAUGUGAGCCGUGCUUGAAAAAUGAUUUGCAGGUGGACAUGACGAAGGUGAAUAUGGACGUAAUGAGGCCUUGGAUCACUAGAAAAGUGACCGAGCUUCUUGGGUUUGAAGACGAAGUGCUUAUUAACUUCAUACAUGGUCUUCUGGAAGCGAAGGUAAUUUAUUGUUUUUGAACUAUUUUGGUUAUACGGUAAUCUUGGAGAUUAAUGGUGCUUUCAACAUUCUAUUUUUUAUUUGCUGAAUCCUUACUUUAUUGUUUCUUUAUUAUUAUUAUUAUUAUUAUUAUUAUUAUUAUUAUUAUUAUUAUUAAAUAUCAAAUUGUAUUUGUUGAAAUCAAUGUGGCAUUUAUUUCAAACAUUAUAUUCACUUUGAGUUUGAGUUGUAACUGUAUCUUUUUCCUCUAAAUGAACUAUAAUUGAUUUACAUGCACUUUCUGAUAAAGCCAUGCUUUAAUUUUUUACCUUCUUGCAACAUUCGGUUUGUAAUGAUGCAGAAAGUUAACGGGAAGGAAAUUCAAAUACAAAUUACUGGAUUCAUGGAAAAAAACACCGGCAAGUUCAUGAAGGAGCUUUGGACACUUCUUCUCAGUGCACAGAAAAAUGCCAGUGGUGUUCCUCAGCAGUUCUUGGAUGCUAAAGAAGAAGAACUCCUGAAAAAGAAGGUUCUUUUAAUUCUUGAUUUACCAUUCACUGGGUAUCAAAAUACCUUUUAUCCUUACACUUUUUUUUUGGCCUUUCUGAAUAAAGUUUUUUACUGUGGAUGGAUUAGGCUGAAAGCGAUAGGAUAACAAGUGAAAUUCAGAGGAAGAAAGAUAAGGAGAGUAAAGAUAUCAUGGAAGAGAGGCUGAAGAAACUGGUAAUACUAUUUGUUCGUUGCUGGAUUACAUUUCAUAGGGCUGAGAUUUUGGUUUUAACUUCCAUUUGUGUUUUCAUUGCGCUCAGCUAGCUUCUGCAAUUAUUUGGGUUCAUGUCCUUUACCUCAAACUACUGUAGGAUGGUCGUCUAGAUGCAAAGGAUAAUGAUGCUGCUUCAGAUCCAACUUUGAAGUCCAGGGAUUCAGGGCACUACAUUCAGGAUGGAAAACAAACUGACAGGAAUGGUGUUAGAGCAAGGAACAGGUAAAAUCGGCCAAUUCCUUCUUUUUUAAUCAUUAUGUGCUGAUGUUUAUUUCUAUUUCAUUUUCUUAUUGGUUUCACAGUGGGUCAAACUUAAAUAUAUAAGCUAAACUAUGUUUUCAGCUUCUUAAAGUGGAAGGACUCGUGUUAUGAUUUUAUAAAGUGAGACAUGGUGGAAGUGGUUAGGCAUCAUUCUAGCAGUUGUAUGCAUAACUAAAAUAUGCAUGCAUAAUAAUUACUGGCCUUCACUGGCCCUCAAACUACGGUGUUAUGAAGUCAUUUUAAUCCUAACAAAAAGAUGCAUAACUAAGAGCAUUAGUAGUUGUAUCUCACUUUGGCCAUCACAGACCCUCUAAUAGGUAUAAUAUAAACUUAAUAACAAGCCAACAAAAACAAAUUUUGUAGAACCUUCCAAAGUCGCCAUAUGAAAUCCUUCUAGUGGGAUAAGGCUUGGUUGUUGUUGCUCAUAAUUUUCCUCGACAACUAUAGAAUUGUAUAACAUAAUAAUUAAUGCAAAGCAUUGGGAAAAUCACAUGAAAUUUGUAAAACUAUCUGUGUUAUGAAGUCAUUUGAAUCCAUUGUUUUUUGAUAUUUUGUAUGUUGUAUUAAUUGUUGGAAUAGCCUCUGUUCAGUUUUUCAAUUUUCUUUUAGCUUAAACUCUAUUAUUUUGUUGUUGGGUCAGUGUUUAGGCAGAGAGCAUCUUGGUGAACUCGGCUCUGCACCUAAAAACCCUGUUAAAUGAGUACUUGAAUCUUUAGUACUGAUUAGCUUUUACUCUCUUAUAGGAUUUCUCCACAUUCACCUGCAGUUUUCAAUUCACCUUAUCGGUACCACCAUAACACUUAACACAUUUUCCAUCUUGUAUAUUGGAUUGAAAUGCUCUAAAUAUUAUAUUUGCUAUCUUUGACAGAGGCUCACCUGCAAGGGCAAUCAGUAAAUCAUUUUCGAAUUCCCGAAGUUAUUCAAGGUUUGCUUUUGCAUAUGCUAACUUAGUUUCGUCUGGCUUUAUAUGUUCAUGUAGCUUUUUCCAUUCAGUAGCAUAAUCUGAUGGGUAUUAGAUGUUCAACUUUGCCAGCUAACGGAUCUUUAUUUUGCUUCCGCCCCGUUUAGCCUUUAUUAAUGAGUAAUAUAUUGCACAUUUAAUUUUUAUUUGGAUUUGUCAGAUCUCCAAAGGGUGGAGGGCGUUCCAUUUCUUCUGAAAGGAUACAGCGGUCUUCACGACGACAAUCUAUUUCUCCUCGAAGACGUUCACCACAAAGAUCUCCUCACAGGAGGCCAUCUUAUUCAAGGAGAAGAUCUAGAUCUAGCUCAUCUUCUCCUAUCCGACGUGGAAUGCAUUCUCCAUUUCGUCGACGCAGAACACCCUCUCCUGUUCAAAGACGCAGAACACCCUCUCCUGUUAGACGGAGAUCGCCCUCUCCAGUUCGACGACGAAGAUCACCCUCUCCAGUACGACGACGCAGAUCACCACCUUCUCCAGUACGACGACGCAGAUCACCACCUUCUCCCGUACGACAACGCAGAUCACCUUAUCCUGCACGGAGACGCAGAUCUCCCUCUCCUGUGCGACGACGCAGAUCACCUUCUCCUAUACGACGACGUAGAUCACCUUCUCCAAUGAACCGACGGAGAUCACCAUCACCUAUUAGACGAAGGUCACCCUCACCACUGCAACAGAGAUCUCCUAGUAUGCGGCGCAGGUCACCUUCACCGAUGCGUCGAAUACCACUAAGCCGUGGACGGAGGUCAAGCUCUCCAAUGCAAUCCCCCGUAAUGCGAAGGUAUGAUAGUAGAACUCCACGGCGCAGGUCUCCAUCUCCUUUGCAGCAUAGGUCACCUGUUUCGGGCAAGAAAAGAUCUGCAAGUGCCUCCCCUAAGAGGUCUCCUUCUCAAGAUGAAUGGAGUUCUCAGUCUCCUGUACGUGUAUCUCCAUCUCCAGUCAGGAGGAGAACUUCACCAAGACACCAAAGAAGUCCUUUGCAGUCUUCUAUGGGAAGAGUCAGGUAUAGUGACACUUGAGGGAAUGCUUGAACAAGUUUGUUUGAUUUUUCUUUGGUGUGCAUGAUUUUAAUGUGAUGAUAGGAAAACUUUUAAAAAAGAAAUAUUUUAAAUUUUUAUUUAAUUCAAUUUUGAAGUAGGCUUAUAGUUUAAUAACCAGAAUUACCAUUAUGGUUCUACUCCAUAUCCUGUUUGGAGCUGUGAAAUUUUGUAGAAUGAUUUUUUUAAAUAAGGUUUGUUUUUGCAAGAAAGUUUAUGAAAUCUGUGGUGAUACAUGUUGCAGGGUGCAAAAAAUAUUGUCACCGGAAGUUUAUCAACCCUCUAGUCCUUUGCGGUCUGUACAGAGAGAUAAAAAUGGCAAAGCUUCAGGCUAUAAAUCACAAGAUUCAAUGUCCACACCAGAUAAGUCUCCAAUCCGAUCAAUAUCACCACCACAAGCAAGAAGUAAGACCAGCAGUAAAAAUAGAAGGUAACUUUCUAUGACUUCUCAUAUAACUCUUUUAUCUGCUCAUGGUUGCCUGCCUGCAGUUGUUAGUUUAUGCAUAUUUAUUUUGGCUUUUGAAAAUGUAUAGUCCACAUGAAAUCUCUCUAAGGCAACCAAGAGAUAAAUUGACCAAUAAAGGAAGCUUGAGUCCCCGCUUGAGUCCCCCAAAGAAGCCAACAAACCAUAAACCUACCCAUGACAUCCCAGAGACAAGUGAAGGAGCAGAAGAAGCAUAUUAUUCUAGGUUUGAAUACGAAUUGGAUAGCUUUCAUUUACUUCUUUUAAAUAUAAGAAAUAUAAAUCACUGUCAUUGAUUUGUUUGUUGUUUUGCUUGCUUUUUUUUUCUCCUUUUUCAUUUCUUCCUAUUUCUCUUGUAGAGAGCGCAAAGAUCCUAAAUCAAAUUCAUCCGAAAAGAAAUCAAGACACUCCCCAGUUAGUAAGCGAAUAGGUUCAUCUGCAAAAUUUCAUGACGAGGAUGAGUUUUAUCCUGAAAGGGCAGCAAGUCAUCUUGCUUCUGAUACUAAGCAUUAUGAUAAUAAUGAAAGGAAUAAGAAAGGCCAGGAUAUAAAAUGGUAAGAUGAUUAGCAUACUGCACUUGUUCUAACUAGUUUGAAUGACUUCACACUGUACAUCUCUGAUAAUGGUAAACUCCUUUGGCAGUGAUAAAUCUUCUGGCAAGGGAGGCGAGUCUCCUGGUCAACAGAAGUCACCAAUGAACAAGGAGUUUUUUUCUGGCGAGAAGCUUCGCGAUACUUAUGCUGCAGAAACAAAAAAAACUGAUGACAAGGAUCAAAUCAAUUCAAAAUAUGCCAAAAGUAGUGAUCAGCACCACAAAUCAGAAGGCACUCAAGAUUUAGUUGGAAAAGUUGAUCACGUCAAUCAGAGUGCUUCUUAUGAUUCUGUUUCUGAAGAAAGUGACAAGCAUAGAAGGGAUGGAAAGGAUAGGAGAAAGCAUAAAAGGUCAGAGAGAAAAGUUGUUUCUUCUGAUGAGAAUGAUAGUUAUGAUUCUGAGUUAGAAGACAGGAAAGAGGCCAAGAGGAGGAAAAAGGAGGAGAAGAAGAAGCUGCGAAAGGAGGAGAAGCAUCGAAAGCGGGAAGAGAGACGGCGAAAAAGGGAAGAGCGGCAUGCUGAAAAGCUGAAAAUGAAGAGUAAACCAGGCUAUAUUUCAGACAAUGAGGAAGCUGAACGAAGGGAUGGUCAUCAAAGUGAUGAUGAAGAAGAACCAUACGAUCCAAAGAAGCUUGAGAUUGAGCUGCGUAAUAAGGCUCUCGAGUCCCUCAAAGCAAAGAAGAGCAUGAACAAUUAACUAUUAUACUUCUUUGUUUUAAGUGUUAAAAACUUCAGAAAUAUCUUUAGCUUCUUUGAACAUAUGGUUUUGCAAAUGUUAUGUUAUUUGUUUUUUGGUAAAUGUUUGAUGUUGUCUAUCUUUAAUGCUGGCAGCUGAAUUGGAUAAAUGACGAUUUCUGAGCAAAUCUGUUGAGUACAACUCUAUGCAGACAUUCCUCUAUAUUUACCGGUAAUAUUUGUUUCCCCUUUGUUGGGAAUUUCAUGUUUUUUAUGGUGGUGCAUUUUUUAUUUCCUUUAAUUGUUUUGAUUGCUAUCUUGGUUUAUUAUUUUCUUGUUUGUUUUCCUUUACUUUGUUUUCUUUUACUUUUCCCCAUGGCUUUGAUGCGGUUACUGGCAUUUAGUUUCUUAUUUGGACUAGAUUGAUCCAAAGGUCUUGUGAAUAUUAAUCACGAGGUUGAUACUAAAUUACCUUUGUGGUUAAUUGGUAGAUGAAUUUAUGUCAACUCUAGAUGACCUGGUGAGCAGACCAUGUGCAGAACUAUAUUUUGAACUCCAAAUCAGGUGAAGUUUUGUUUUCUGGAAUUCUCCGAGUUGGUCCAUCUUGAACUUGAUGCAGCUGUAUGUUUUGUACACAUGUGUUGUCCUAUAUGUUCUUUGAUUGUGUUCUAGAAUAUGUAAUUAUAUUAUUUUUAUCAUUCUUGUGUGGUGAUCUUUUCUACUCUUUGCUUUGCAGUGCAAUUAUUUGUUUAUGAUAUCUGUGCUUCUUUGCACGUACCUGUUUAUACGGCUGUUACACUUGUAUGUUUAAUUUGGUCUUUUGUCUCGAUUGAAAGGCCUAUAUCUUCGUUUUUGGUAUGGCAACGUCCCCUGCUCCCAACUCCCCGCAAAAAACUUGACCCUGCCUCUGAUAGGUUAAAAAUUGUGCAUCCCUUUAAUGUUUUUUUUUUUUUUUUUUUAACCAUGAAAUCAGAAGUUGUGAUGACUGUUUCUAACAUUCGAUAUUUAAAAUGUUUUGAUAUUUGAAAAUAGUGGGAGAGAGGGAGUAUCAAGGAAGAGACAUUUUACUUGAUAUAUUUGACUAUUUCUGAAGUGAAAUUAUCUUUUAGAGGAAACAAAAUUAAGUUGUGAUAUCAUUUGUUAGAAAUUAGGAGUGGAUUUUAAUUUGAUGGUUUGUUAUUUAUGCGGCUAUAAUUUUUUAGGUACCACUGGCUGUUUUUUGGUAAACUUUGUUUUAACCGAUUCUUUAAAUUAAGGCCCCCAAUUUUGUUUGAAGCAUUCUCUUGAAUUUCAAUUAGGAUUUGAUUUGUAUACGUCAACAGUGUAAGUUUUUGUACAAAUGCAUAUGAUUAAAUCACACCAUGUAGGUAUUUGUGGAGAUAAAAUUGACACUAUGGUUUGAUUUGGAUGGAUUGUAAAAUAGUUUUAGACUGUCUAUGCAUAGAAAUUAAUCUAUUGUAUGGUGUAUUUUUUGUCGGUGGCUUACCGAAAAUGUAGAUAGAUUGCUCAAUACUCUACAAAUAGAAAGUUAUUUACUAAACAUAUUUCACCAAUCUUGUCCAAACAAGGUUAGUUAGAGGAAUCACAUCCUUCGCGCAUAAAACAAGAUUAGUCAGAGGAAUUGCAUCCUUCACGCUUGAACACUCCCCAAUCUUAAUUGUUGUGUAAUAGGAAGUUUUAUCGCUUAGCUGGAUAGGUAUUGACGUGCAAUCACAGAUUUUUCUGCCUCUAUUUCUUAAUGUAGCUCUCGGCUCCCUCAUCAUUGAUAAUAUUGAAGUCAUCACAACUUGCUCCUUCUAAUACAUACAACCAUUUGUUACUCCUUUUUACUUCUGGACGAAUUUGUCAUUCCAGAUCGCACUUUAAAUGCAUUUCUAGGCAGUCAAGGCCGAAGUUGACAUGAUGGUAUAAAACUUGUGGUUGCAUGCUGGCAUAUAUUGAUGAGAUGUGCAAAUUUGUAUGAACUUAGUUUACCGCAUUCUUCCUCAGAAACAUGUUUUGCGUCAAUGAGGAGGACUGAGGAGGAUCCUAGGAAAAGUACAAAAUCCAACCUAUUACGACUUAUAUACAUGGGCUAAAACAUAGGUUAAACGAUGAUAUGGAACAAAGCAAUGAUAUUUAAACAACCAUUUGGUACAACCUUCCUUUUCUCUCAUUUCAUUGGUCAAAAACAAUGGAAAGAGAAAAAGAAAGAGAGAGAGUAAGAAUAGAGUGUGAGUAUGAGAGAGAAAAUUGUCUAAAAAUUGUCACAAAGUGGUCGUAUAAAUAUCAUUUCUCUAUGAAAUAUAAUGAGUUCGAUCAUGUUCCAUGUCACUCCAUUAAUUUUUUAGAAUUGAAACAAUGAAAUUUAACUUCAUAUCAUUCCAUUCCACUUAUGUUCCAUCCAAACAAAGUCUAAAAAGGGAACCUACAAUGCCAAAAUAAAGUGAUUAACUCAAUUACUAAGUAUAUUUUCGGGAAAAGUAAAAUUUUUCGUUAUAUUUAAUCAUUUUAAUGUAAAUUUAAAUUUUAAACUAUUACUUACAAAUCUUCGUAGCCAAUAUUGUACCAUAAUAAAAAAUCAUGUAGUUUUUUUAUUUUGUUUACUACAUUGAAAAGUCUAGUAAUUUUUAUUGUUGGUUUUAACACUUUUGGUGUGUUUGGUUUGUAAAACAGCAAGGCAGAACGAUACAACACAAGGCAGAACAACACAUGACAAAUAUUUUAUGGUAUUGAGUAAUUUUUUGUUUUAUACGAUUUUUGAGGGACAAAAAUGCUAUUUUGGUAUUUUAGACAACUUGUACGUGGGAUAAAAAGUUGUGCUGUGGUUUGGUGAGGGACAAUAAUAUGAGUUUUUGUCCUGUCCCUUGCCUCCAGUUUGUCCUGUACCUGAAACAGUUUUACAAAUCAAACACCGGACAAUUAGAGUUGUUCCGUCCUAUCUUUCAUUUUUUAGCAAAUCAAAAACACCAUUUAGUUCUUAGAAAAAUGGGUCCUAGUCAUUCAGAGUUCGGUGUAAGUAAUAAAUAUAGUUUGAUCAAGAAUUGUUUAACCGUAAAUCGACCUAUAAAAGUCAUUUGACCCCAAUUACUUAUUUAAGUUCAAUAAAUUUUUAGAGAAAAAUAAGCACGAAUUGAAGCAUGGUUAGUGGUUGGAACUUAGAAGAUACAAAUUCCGAAUCUAACAAGCAGCACGAAUGGAUGAAAUGAAAUGCAUCACCACAUAUGGAGAAAUAUAAUGUCAUUUUCGUGGAAUAUGAACGUUUGGUGUUCAAUAUUUCUUCAAUGGAUAAACUCUGAUUACGUGGCUAAAUCCAAUUCGCUACAUCUAGCUUACCUCUUCUAUUCAAGAUAAUUCCCACAAACACCAAACUAGAUUAACGGUCCAAAGCCAAAGAUAAACAUUACUAUGUUUAUGUUUCACAAACCAAAAAACAUGUUCUAUAGUUGAAACAAAGAGUGUGAACUUGUUGGAAAAUCUUAACUAUAACCAUCCAUGGUUCCCACUCUUUCAUCCAAUUCUUUAUCUCAUCCAAAGUUGAAUUUUAGGAACCAAACAAGGUUCAAUGUCUAUGCUAAAAAAUCUGGAGGAGGGUCGUUUCCAUCAUUUGGAUUAGGAAAACCAAAAGAUGAAGAAAAAGACCAACAAAAUGGUUCAUCAAACUCAAUUAAUAACCCUUUUCGAUUCGACUUUGGAAAAUUGCCUGACGUGACUUCUUUGAUCCCUGUUGGGAGCAAAAAUGGUUCUUUGCCAGGUUUGUCAUUUGGAAGUCCUACAAGGAAGAAGGAUCCUUCGACGGUUUUUGUUGCCGGUGCUACUGGUCAAGCUGGUAUCCGCAUUGCACAGACUUUGCUUAGAGAAGGGUUUAGUGUUAGAGCUGGUGUUCCUGAACUUGGUUCUGCUCAGGAAUUGGCUCGUCUUGCUUCUCAAUAUAAGGUAAUUUAAUUUAACUUCUUAAUCAACCAUUAAUUUGGAUUAUUAAUGAUCAAGAUUCAAAAAGAUGUUCCAUACUAUCUAGUAUCAAUGGCGUGUGUCCGGUGUCUGACAUGUGUUUGACACGAUAUCUGAUAUCUCGACACAUGUAGUUAGAAUUUAAUCACUGACAUUUUCUUUGGUUGCAUGUUUGUGUCUAGUAUCGUAUCUGGCCUUCAUGUUUAUGUCAUUGCUUGAUUUCAUCUCUAAACUCAAAAGGGUCACUAGUGUGAAACUCUGAAUCUUCUUGUAUUGUUCUCUAGUUUCUCUUCUUUAAAUUAAACAUUUUCCUCAAAUAUACCCUUAUUCUCUUAAAUUCUUAAUUAAUCACACUUUUAGCGGAAAGAUAAAGGAUCAAAUUGGCUUCUAUUUACUGGAAGCCUAUCGAUGCAGUUGAUGAAUUGAUUAAUGUGAUGUAAGAUUUAUCUAUUAUAUCUUGAUAAAAAAUGUUAAUGUGAACAAGAAAUAUUAGGAAGUUAGCUAGGGGGAGGGGAUGGGUUGAAGGGAGGGGACUUGGUCCAAAAGUUUGAAAGAUAAAAUUUAAGAGUUUUUUUUCUCCCACUUACCCACUUAAUUUUUUUCAUUGGAGUUAAUUGAGGAUACUAAUGCAUGCUCAAUUCAGAUUAUAUCAAACGAAGAGGCAAAGCGUCUCAAUGCUGUGCAAUCAAGCUUUGAUGAUGCAGACUCAAUAGCAAAAGCAAUAGGCAAUGCAAGCAAAGUGGUUGUCACCAUUGGUCUCACAGAGAACGGUCCAGCAACUGAGGUAUCCACGUCAGACGCCUUGCAAGUAAUUCAGGCUGCUCAGCUGGCAGGCGUAGGCCACGUUGCAGUCAUCUACGAUGAAAACAACGGUGUCAGCACCUCAACCUACAAUGUACUUGAUGGCAUCUCCUCUUUCUUCAACAAUAUCUUCUCCAAGUCUCAACCUUUGUCUAUUCAAGAGUUCUUGCAGAAAGUGGUUGAAACAGAUGUCAAAUAUACCUUAAUCAAAACAUGUUUGACCGAUGAUUUUGCACCGGAGAGUUCUUAUAAUGUGGUUGUCUUAGGUGAAGAAAACACCGGUUCGAACGACUAUAAAGUAAUGUAAUGUAUGCGAUAGUAUCUUAAUGAAAUUGUCCUUCUUUUAAACCUUCCUUUACUUUCUUAUUUGUGGCUAAUACUUUUUGAGAAAAUGAUGGUUGUUAUAUAGGUAACAAAGUCCAGGAUAGCAUCGUUGGUGGCUGAUGUCUUCUCCAACACACAGGUUGCAGAAAACAAGGUAUCUGUUUUACAUUAGCUGGAUAAUGCAUACUGUAGUUUGAUGUCUAGGGACUUCGUUCAUCAGCCAUCUUUUCAACUCCACCUUGGCCAUUGGAUUAAUCUAAUAUUUUAGAGAAUUAUAUCUUGACCAAACAACUUAGGUGCAGAGUUGCACGAGCUUAGAGAGUUUGUAUUGAAAGAAAUUCUUCUUUUGCUUAGUUUUGUUUAUAAAUAAUCAUACAAUAAAAUAUUUUUUUCUCACUUUUACUAUAUAUUUUAUAAAAAAGUUUCGAAAAUAAAGCAAAACAGAAGUAAAAUUACACUAAUCAAAGCAGAAAAACAAUUGUGAAAAUCAAAUGGAUGUUAAGAUUGAAGCUUUUUAUUUAUCAAUAGGUUGUGCAAGUUUACUCAGACCCGAAUGCUCCCCUGAGGCCUGUAGACGAACUUUUCAGGUAAACAAGUUUAACAUAGCUAGCUGAUUGUGUUUUACUACAUCAAUAUAGUAGGUGAAUACUUUUGGUUUUUCUUCUCAUUGAGGAGGAUCAUUAUGUUAUUUGCAACUUUCUAUGCAGCACUAUUCCCGAAGAUGGAAGAAGGAAAGCCUAUGCUGAAAUAUUGGAGAAAGCCAAAGCAGAGGAAGAGGCAAGAGUGGAAGCUGAAAAGGCACGCGAAGCUGCUGCAACAACUAAGAAGCUGGAAGAAGAGGCACUGAAGCUUUCAAAGCAAGAAGCACAGGCUUCUAAUCUAGUUAAAGAAGAUCAAGAGAAGGCAGAGGCAGCUGGAACUUCGGUAGAAGACAUUUUGAACAAGGCUAAAGCUUUUCGUGCAGGGUUUUCAAGGCAAAAGUUAAGCUCACAGGUUGCUACAACAAAUCAAAAUCCUGAUGAGGAUGAGAAACCAAAGUUGCAACAGGCAAAAGGUUUUGGUGCAGGGUUUUCAUGGAAAAAGUUCAGCUCACAGGUUGCUACAGCAAUCCAAAAGCCUGAUGAGGAUGAGAGCCCAAAGGUGCAAGUUGCUACCGUAAGAGGACAGGCGAAGGCUCGGAGUCUCAUUCCUAACAAAGCUGUGACUAAACAAACAACAACUCCAAGAAACAGUGUGAGUAAACCAAAGGAGGAAAAAAGAAAGAUAGAAGAGAAACCGAAGGAGGUUAGGAAGGUAUUUGGUGGCCUGUUCAAGCAAGAGACUAUCUAUAUUGAUGAUGACUAGUAGAAGUGGAAUAUGUACUGCACAGCUUAAAACUGUGCUGUUUGAGUCUGUGUUAAUGCUGAUAAUUUGGUUGGACAUGUGUGGUUUUGUAAGGUUGUGUUUUGAUGCAAGAUAUUUAUGUAAUUGUACUUGUUCAGAACCAUGUAAUCAGAUUAGCAGGGAGAUACAAGAUUUUCCCAACAAAAAUGGAAUUUGCAAUAUCAAACACCUUCAAAGUAUGCGAUUGCGUGGCAGGCGUGGGUUCUUAUAUUUUUUUAUAUGGGUCUAGCACACCAUUAUUAAAGUGGUUUAUGAAAUAAGGAAUGCCAGUGUUUAUAAACUUUUUCUGAUCUUAUCCGCUUUUAAUGUGAAAUUUGAGUAUUUCGAAUGAACCAAUGAGGCCAAGCACUAGUGGACUUGGUGCGUGAUAAUUUGUUGCAUGGUUCGAUGAAUAAACUCUAAUAUCAUCUUAGAAUGAGUUUGACCAUAAUUCUUCGAUACAAAAUCAAUUUGUAAGGUAAAAUGUGCAACUUCCUUCCCUCAUUUCUACUCCCUCCGUUCUCCUCCAAUUAAAGAUACCUCAAGUGACAUGAUUGUCUAACACUCCUUCUCCUCCAAUUAAAGGUACCUUAUUUCUACUCCCUCUGUUACCCUGAUGUUGCUUCUAUCAUAUACACAUAUUCAUUUUAUAUCGAAGUAUUAUUGUAAUUUAUAAGUACUUCCCACACUUUGUACAUGUCAUUUGGAGAAAAAAGCACCAUGGAAUGCACAUAGCUUCAAAGACUAGCUUACAUUUUGGAUCAUCAGGGUCCAUCAAUCAUCAAAUGUUAAGAUUCUUUGAAGAGUGAGUUCGAUUAGUAGGGGUGAAACCUGCAAUAUCACUUAGGAUUUCUUUUGUUGUUUGUUUAUUUGUUUAUUUCUUGGAUUUAUGGCCACAUAGAAAAUUUAUCUUUUAUCAUAAUAUAUUCCGCAUAGUUAACUCGAUUUUGAAUUGGAUUUUAAAGAAUAUAGUUUAUUUAUGGGACAAGAAUCUACCUUUUACAACGGUUACAGGGAAAGCUGAUGUAAAAUUAUGAUGUUUGACAUCCGUUUUGUUGAAAAACCGGUGUAACAGGUUGGACCUACAGUAAAACUGAUGUUAGUGGAUAUAUCUGUAAUUUUGGGUUUUUAUAGUGGAAAAUUUUCCCUUUACGACACCUCUGAUGCAUUAAUACUCGAUAUAAAAUGUCUAAAUUAGCCAGUGGAAAAUCUCCUCCAUGCAGUAGUACAAACAUUUAAUGAUGCAAGAGUAAUUCAACUUGAUCGCUGUGUAGAAUUAAAUAAGUCCAAAUCUCCGCCUGUUGAUACAAUUAAUGUUGUUAUUUUCUUGAUUUAAUCCGUCAUUUUGACCAGAUUACUCAUUGUGAUUGCUAAUUAACAAACAUUUCUUGUCAUAUACACUAUUAAAUAAAGUUUCAACAUGCAGAAGGAUUCCAAUUUGAGUGCUACAUAAUGUUCAAAAAGUCUUGGUCUUCCCUUGUAGAAGAUGCUAUUUAAUUUAAGGGUUAAUAAGUCUUUACUCCCUAUAAUAUAUGUCAUUUUCGGUUUUCCCCCCUGUAAAUUUUUUUUUUUUGAUUUACCCCCCUGUAAUUUUUUGUUUGUUUUGAUUUACCCCCCUAUUAGGCCAAACAAAAACAAAUUUUAUUUUAUUUUUCAAGAAUUUUUCGUUUUUGUUUGGUUUAUUAAGGGGGUAAAUCAAAACAAAAAAAAAAUAUUACAGGGGGGUAAAUAAAAAAAAAAAUUUACAGGGGAGAAAACCAGAAAUGACCUAUAUUACAGGGGGUAAAGACCUAUUAACCCUUAAUUUAAUGCAUGUUUUCAUUUUCUUCUCUCCCAGCUCAUCUUAUAUACACACCAAACAUUUCUAUCUAUACUAAUGAAUUAAUGUUGUUGUCAAUUGUCAUAUCACUAAAGUUGGUACAGAAAAAUCUUCUUAAUGGAGUGCUCCAUGCGCUCCAUGCUUUUGAAAAAAAGCAUCCAUUACUACAAAACAAGAGCACGCCAAGACAUUUUAGUAAAAAAAAAAGAGCAUGCAGACUCAAUUUGCAAACAACUCUUACUCUUACAAGUCAAACAUUUCAGGUCAUGUUUCUUAUACAAAUAAGGACUAAUCAAUUGGCAGAUCCAAAAUCAUCAAGUAAAAAAAGAAAGAAUAUUGAGAAGAGAGUGUAAGUGUUGGUUACUCUAUAUGGGUUCCUUUUUUAUUCUAAUGCCUCAUUUGACCUUUCACUUGUUCAUGUUGUUGUUGCUUACUCAUUUUACUUCUUACACUUACUCAUUCUGCAACCAUCAUGACAGUUCUGCAUUGUUACAAUUCAAGAACUCAUUUGUUGUCAACACUUCAUCUGAACCCGAUAUUUGGUCUAUGUGUUCCACUUUUUAUUUCAGGACGGAAUCCUGGAAAAAUGGUGCAGAUUGUUGCGAGUGGGAUGGGGUCAUGUGUGACACUAGGUCAAAUUACGUGAUUGGUCUGGACCUUAGUUGCAACAAUCUGAAAGGUGAGUUACAUCCAAAUUGCACUAUCUUCAAGCUUAGACACCUUCAACAACUCAACUUGGCCUUUAAUAAUUUUUCUUGGUCUUCAAUGCAUGUUGGGAUUGGUGAUCUAGUGAAUCUCACAUAUCUAAAUUUAUCAAGCUGUUACCUUACUGGUAAUAUUCCCUCCACAAUCUCUCAGUUGUCAAAACUAGUGUCACUUGAUCUUAAAAGUUAUUACUGGCCGGUGGAACAAAAACUCAAACUCAAUAUCUUCACAUGGAAGAAACUCAUUCAUAAUGCUACUAAUUUAAGGGAGCUUUACCUGAAUGGAGUGGACAUAUCUUCAAUCAGAGAGAGCUCUUUGCUAAAGAAUUUGUCAUCCUCUUUGGUUUCUCUUAGUCUAGCAUCCACUGGAUUGCAAGGAAAUAUGUCAAGUGACAUCCUCUCUUUACCAAAUCUUCAAAAACUAGAUUUGUCAUCGAAUCAAGACCUUCGUGGUAAAUUUCCAACGUCCAACUGGAGCACUCCCCUAAGGUACUUGGACCUCUCUUUCUCUGGUUUCUCAGGUGAAAUUUCAUACUCUAUUGGUCAGUUGAAGUUUCUUGCUCACUUAUCCCUUACGGGGUGCAAAUUUGAUGGAUUUGUUCCUUCAUCUUUGUGGAAGCUCACUCAACUCACAUUCUUAAGCCUUUCAAACAACAAUCUUAAAGGCGAGAUCCCAUCAUUACUUUCAAACCUCACACACCUCACUUCCUUAGAUCUUCAAAUUAAUAACUUUAAUGGUAACAUCCCAAAUGUUUUUGAAAAUUUAAUCAAAUUAAACUUUUUAGCACUUUCUUUUAAUAGUCUAAGUGGCCAAAUUCCAUCAUCAUUGUUUAAUCUAACUCAACUUUCUUCUCUAGAACUAUCUUUGAAUUAUUUAGUAGGCCCCAUUCCAUCUGAAAACACUAAACAUUCAAAAUUGAAGUUUCUAAAUUUGGGUAAUAACAUGUUAAAUGGAACAAUUCCGCAAUGGUGUUAUUCCUUGCCUUCGUUGUUAGAGUUGGAUCUUAGUGACAACCAAAUAACAGGUUCGAUUGGUGAAUUCUCAACUUAUAAUUUGAGCCUUCUAUUUCUGUCUAAUAACAAUCUGCAAGGUGAUUUUUCAAAUUCAAUAUAUAAGCUUCAAAAUCUUGCUGCCUUAAGCUUGUCAUCAAACAACUUGAGUGGUGUUGUGGACUUUCACCAAUUUUCAAAUUUUAGAAAACUAUUUUCCCUUGAUCUUUCCUACAAUAAUCUUAUUUCUAUUAACGUUGGUAGCGGCGCUGACUACAUCUUACCCAACCUUGAUGAUUUAUCUUUAUCUUCUUGUAAUGUUAAUGGUUUUCCUAAAUUCUUAGCAAGUCUUGAAAAUCUGCAAGGAUUAGAUCUCUCUAAUAACAAAAUUCAAGGAAAAGUUCCUAAAUGGUUUCAUGAGAAGCUCUUACACACAUGGAAGGAAAUUCGAAUUAUUAAUCUCAGUUUCAACAAGUUGCAAGGAGACCUUCCGAUUCCACCCUAUGGAAUUCAAUACUUUUCACUCUCAAACAACAACUUCACAGGAGACAUUGCUUUGUCACUGUGCAAUGCAAGUUCCCUGAAUUUGCUCAAUUUGGCUAACAACAAUUUAACAGGAACGAUUCCACAAUGCCUGGGAACAUUUCCUUAUCUUUCUGUAUUGGAUAUGCAAAUGAACAACCUCUAUGGAAGCAUGCCUAAAACAUUUUCGGAAGGAAAUGCAUUCGAGACUAUAAAGUUGAAUGGCAACCAAUUGGAGGGACCAUUACCACAGUCUUUGGCUCACUGCACACAACUUGAAGUUUUGGACCUUGGAGACAACAUCAUAAACGAUACAUUUCCCAAUUGGUUAGAAGUUCUGCAAGAGUUACAGGUACUCAGUUUACGAUCAAAUCAUCUUCAUGGUGGAAUCACUUGUUCUAGCACCAAACAAUCAUUUCCGAAGAUGAGAAUUUACGAUGUCUCUGGUAAUAAUUUCCGUGGCCCCGUGCCAACAUCUUGCCUCAAGAAUUUUCAAGGAAUGAUUAAUGUGAAUGUCAAUAAAUCUGGUUUGCAAUACAUGGGUAAGGCCAAUUAUUAUAAUGAUUCUGUGGUGAUCAUAAUGAAAGGCUUUUCUAUAGAGCUAACGAGGAUACUGACUACUUUCACAACGAUUGAUUUAUCGAAUAACAUGUUUGAAGGAGAAAUUCCACAAGUCAUUGGGAAAUUAAAUUUUCUCAAAGGCCUUAACCUUUCACACAAUCAAAUCAUAGGUACCAUUCCACAAUCUUUGAGUAAUUUGCGAAAUUUGGAGUGGUUGGACCUCUCAAGAAACAACUUGAGUGGUAAGAUUCCUAUGGCUUUGACAAAUUUGAAUUUCCUCUCUUUUUUAAACCUUUCACAAAACCAUCUCAAGGGAAUCAUACCUACCGGCCAACAAUUUAACACAUUUGGAAAUGAUUCCUAUGAAGGAAAUGCAAUGUUAUGUGGAUUUCCAUUGUCAAAAUCAUGCAAAAAUGAUGAAGAUCGGCCACCAUAUUCAACGUCUAAUGAUGACGAGGAAUCGGGAUUUGGCUGGAAAGCAGUAGCAAUAGGAUAUGGAUGUGGGGCAGUACUUGGAAUCCUCUUGGGAUAUAGUGUGUUCUUCACUGGGAAACCUCAAUGGCUUGCAAGACAUGUUGAAAGCAUAUUUAGCAUAAGAUUGAAAAGGACAAACAAGAAAGUUGGUGCAAAUCGCAGAAGAAUGAAUUAGUUUCACUUGUUGAAUAAAUUACAUUGUUUUUCACACAGUUUAUUGUCUAUAUACUGAAUGUUAUUUGUGUCAUUCACAGCAGCAUCUAGUUUGUUCUUCCUUUCUAGUGAUAAAUAAUGACUUGAUAGUUCAUGAUUAAUGGACCUUUUACUUUUAUCUGCUCCUACUCUUGUUAUGGAAAUAAGCAUGUGAUGCGACGAAAUAAAAGUCUUGUUCAAUUUCCUCUAUUUAUUUUUUUUCUUUUUGGUUACCUAUCUAAAAUAAAAUAAAAUUUAUACUUGAAACAAAAUCUGCAAAAAUGUUAAACAGGGUUAUAUGAUGACAACAACUGCAUAGUUUAUACAAUAGGUAGAAGUCCAAGUCUCCUCUUAAUUUUUUUGACUAAUCAAGUCUCCUUUUCUAGAUACCAUGGAAUUAUAGGCUUUGAUUUUUUGACCUUACGGUAGAUCGCUUAUAAGUUCAUAUGAUCAAAAUAAAUUUGUUUGAUAAUAAUUUUUUAUUACAAAUAGUAUUUUUUUGAUAAACCACUUCAAGCAAAGUUUGAAUUUAUAACUUAUUUUGUUUCUUUUUUCCUUUCACAAUGACAAAACGUGUCAAGCCUAUUUGGCCGACAUAUUUAACCCGCUGUUUUAGGCCGAACGGUCUACGAUUUUGAGCACACACAUUUAAGUUGGUUUGUUUCGUUUAAUCCGCUAAAAAAAUAGACGUUUGGCGGAAUGGGCGGGUUGGCCCGCAGGCAGUUUAUACUUUAUAUACAUUUGUGAUCCUUCUAUUUUAAAAAAGAAAAAGCUAAAUUUUAGCCCCAUUUUAAAAUUCAAUUUUUUAGUCACUCAAUUUCAAACUUUUUCUUUGAAUUUCAUCCCUCGUAUAACAUAUGUAUUAAUGACGUGACAAAUCUUAUUAAAUAAUCCCUUCAACAAAAAAAUAUCUUUUUUUUAAGGAACAAAAAAAAGAUCUUAUUAAUUUUUUUUUUUUGUUGCUAUUAUGGAUAUUCAAUGUGGCUAUAUAAACUGUUAAAUUAUUAAUGAAUAUGGCACAUCAACAAAAGUGACUCUAAAAUGGAAUGGGUGGAAAAUUCAGGAAAAAAAAAAUGAAUUGAGUAAAAAAUAUUGGGUUUUAAAAUGGGAGAUCAAAACUUUAUUAUUAUUUUCUAAAAUAAAAAAGGACUAAAAAUGCAUUUAAAAUUUUCAUUUUAUUGAUUUUUGGGUAAUGAGUCGCGCGGUACCUUUAAAAGGUUGGUGGAAAUUUUAUCUUUUUCCUUUCUCUUCAAAUGUGCGAAGAAAUUGGAAGAAAUAACAACUUUCUUCUUUAAUUUCAAAAAUACCCUUUUCUUUAUUACAAUUUCUUCUAGGUUGUUGGCUUGUUUUUAAUGAUGGAAAUAGGUUGGGUCGGACUUUCCUUAAAUAGGUUAGUUAGGUCUAAUUUAAAAUUAAAAACUAAAAUCUAAGUCUAACUUAUCAGCAUGCCAUAAGCUUUAUUUUGAGUAUGACCUGAUCUUUUUAAAAGCAUGGUCUGACCUAUCAGUCUGUCUAAAAACCUAAUUUGUGUUAAGAAUUUUAAAUAGAACUUUUGGAAAACUUGUGCCUCUGAUUUCAAGAGACAUUAAUUAAGUCCCAAAAGAAUAAAAAUAGUGCAUUUCAUAUCUUUGAAAUGCAAAGAGUUUUUUUUCCAUCAUUUGUCCAACAACUUUAAUUUAUCUCAGGUAUAAAUAAAACAUCUGAAAUAUAUUUUAUAUCUUAGAGAGUUUGAGCAGCCACAACUCCUUUGUCGAUUUGGAGUAAAAGACUCGUCAAGUUCUCUAGAAAAACUAACAUUGUUAGUCAUAGGGCAUCAAAUAUCUAUUAGCCAUGUUUCUUUGCUACUACUAGAUGAAUAGCAAAGCCUUAAACAAUUGUUCCUCCUCUUCUUGGUGCGGCUCAACAACUCUAGGUUGUUAUUCCUAUUGGUUUCUUUUGUUUUUGCAAACCUUCUCCAAAUGAUCAAGUUGAUUAAAGACUCUACAUUUGACUCUGGUCUGUAUAGGGGUGUUCAUGGGUUGGGUCAACCCACAAAACUCGGUCAAACCCACCAAAAAAAUGGGUUGUGUUGGGUAAUUGGGUGGAUAUGGUUUCUAAAAAUGGAAAACCCAUAAAAAUAAAUGGGUUUCGGGUAAAACCAGACUCAAACCCAAAAUACCCACUUACCCAAUAAUGUUAAUAUUUUUUAUCUUUAUUUUCAUAGGGUAGAAGAAAGUUAUAUUUCCAGAACAUACACAUUGUACUGUAUAUAUUAAAAAUCAAAACAUACUAGAGUUACAAAUUAAUAUGUUGCAUCUUUUUGUUAUUUUGAUACUAAUGCAAUUUUAUGUCAUGCAACUUUAGUUUGUUGCAAGUAUUUUAUGAUGAAGUUUAUUAUUUGAUGUUCUAUGAUGCAUAAAAUUAUAGUAAAAUAAGUUAAACAUUUUUUUUAAGAAAAUUAAAAACUAGAGUACUAUUUUAAAACAAAAUUACGGGGACUUGUCAUUUAGUCAUUUAAUAUUAAAAAAAUAGAAAAAUAAGUUGGGUAACCCAUUACCCAAUCCAACCCAACCCAAAAAUUAGUGGGUUUGCCCAAACCUACCCAAUAGUAUAACGAGUGGUUAUUUUACCUCACUCAAACCGGAGUACCCUAUUUGAUUUGGUUUUGGGUUUGACCAAACCCACACACAAACACCCCUAAGUCUGUACCAAUAAAACUUUUUCAAAAUAAGUAUCUUUUUUGCAAUGUGGGAGGGCGAAAACUUCUUUUUCUCAAAACUAUUGAAGUUUUGCCUUUUGUCUUUGUUGCUGGUCAAAAAAGCACUUUCAACAUUUUCUUUUAUCUCUGGAAAACACAUUGGAAUUUUUUCGUUAACUCUUUGACCACAAAGUUCUUCCAAUAAUCUGAAUUUAUGUAACAACUUUUGAAGUUCACAUGUACCUCUUUGUUCACGGAUACUAGUUCUGCCCGACUUAAGAUAUAAAAAAAGGACACCCUUAACAAAUAUGCAUGUGUUUGAAGCCUAGAAGUUCCUUACAAUGAAUUGUGUGCUCCCCAAAGGUAUCGAGACACAUGUUACGUCAAAUAUGACAAAACUCAUCAAUAGGAGGAAAUUAUGGAAUCAUGAGGUGAUAUUUGAGAAUAGUACGGUACUCUACGGGUGACAUGUGUCAGCCUAACCCAUCAAUAGAGAUAGUUAAAAGAAAAUUUUGAGCAUGUGAUGCUUGCAAACACCCAACAAUUACUUUCUCUCUUGUGGUCAUGUCUUAUUAUUCCAAGUAGUUUCAAAUUUCUCAAAUUUCAAAUUAUCAAUAAGAACAACAUGUGUGAGUUUUGUAAACUCUUGAUUCGAUUCUUAAUCAUAAACAAACAGACAAUUUUUUUUUGUGGAAAAGCCUAUAAUAACUAGGGCUCACCACUUCCCAACGUCUACCCUGGGUUAGAAGUCCACCCACUUCCAACGUAAGAUACAUGCAAGUGAAUUACCUUAUAUAGUUAUACUUGUCUGUCUCUAUGAUACUGAUUGGUUGUAGAUGCCAACAUGGCAAGGCAAUGCUGGUUCACUUGGUUCUAAUCGAGAACAAAAUCUUAUGUAUAGUGGAAAACAAGAAACACUCAUUCUGAGGUUUAUAUUAUACAUAUAUGCCUUCACUGCCAUCAGCCACAUCAUAUUGAUUUUGAAAGCCUAUUCUAUAUGACAUGCAACGGCAAAUUAAUAAUGCUUACUGUUCUAACUUCUAACUUUGGUUUAUUUGAUACGAAUAAGAACAUAAUAGAUUUAGUUGAAUUAAUACAAACAAAAAAAUAAUACAAGUAAUUCAUCUUUAAAUCUCAAAUAUAACUGUUGUACCCAAAACAAAAUAAUCAAAAGUAGUAAACUUUGAUCCAACUUAACAAUACAAUACAAAAGAAUGCUUGUAAUUAAUUAAUUUGUAUAUUUCAGAACAAAUAAUCAAACAAUGAAUUAUUUUCACCAAGAAAAAAAAAAGUUUCUUGGGCAUGUACAAAAAUUAAAUAAUUAAAUUUAUGCAUUGAAAGUCAUUAAAAGAAUUUUCUGGUACCCGUUGGCUUUGAUGAAUCAUGUGGCUCAGGCCCUAAUCUUAGUUCAAGGUCUAACUCCGAUGAAGAAUCUUGAGCAGAUAAUAACAAAGCCUCUUGUGUAGUAAUAAUUUCCCUUUGAACUUGACCUUGUGGAUUAAUUUGUGUUUCAUUUCUAGUUGGUGAUUCAGCAAAAAGUGGAAGUUGUUGUCUCACUUGAGUUACAAGAAUUUCAUCACCUCUUGAAGGGGCUUGUUGAGACACAAUAUUAGUAUUCAAGUUUGGUAAUAAUUUGUUGAGGUCUUCACUAGAACUUCCCUCCAAAUUAGAUGGUAAUUGAGUUUGGUAAUUUGUUGAAGAUUGUUGUUUGAGCUUUGCUUUAUCUUUCCUAUGAAUAUUCAUGUGUCCACCAAGAGCUUGUGCAUUAGAGAAUCCUCUCUUGCAAAAAUUGCACUCAUAGGAUCUAGGGUUUACUUGUUUUGCAUCUUGAUCAUCACCACCUUUAUCAUGUUGAUCAGACUCCAUUCAAAGAUUAGUAAUUUCAACUUAAUUUUCAAGUAAUAAUAAUUAUGCAAUGAUGAAGUAAGUAAUAGUACAUACUAUAGGGAAUUAAUAGCUAGAUGGUCAACAUAGGGAAAUUAUAUAUAUGUGAAGUGGGGUACAUACUAAGGCCUGCUUUUCAUCCUUACAUUAUUGUAAACGAAUGGCAUGAAAGGAGAAUGCAACUUCCUAUAGUACUUGAGACAAAUUAAAAGACAAAAAUAUAAGUUAUAAGGAAUGAAAAACUGGGUCAUGGUAUUGAGAACAAAAUUUUGUCUCUUUGCUUCUUGGCGUGUACUUCUUUGCCUACGUUAGCUUCAAAUGAUAUAUUGUCUCAUAGACACACAAUGUUAUUAUCAGAAAUUUUAUUAAUAUUAUAUAAUAAUAUUUGAUAACAAUAUGUUUUUGUGUAAUUUAUACAGUAUGCUAAUAUAUUAUCUCCACCGAAUUUGUCUCUUCUAAAUGAGCUUUCACUUCAUAUAAUAUCUAUAAAUUACAACAGAAUUUUUUUAACAUAAUUAAGUAUAAAAAAGUCAUUUACCUUCUUUUCCUAUCAAGUUGAUCUUUCAUGUUUAAAAAAGUAAAUAAUGUUGGAACGAUUUAUUACAACCAUUCAAAAUAAAUAUCAUAUUCAAUUCAUCAAUGUGACAUAUAUAAUUUUUUUUCUUCUUAAACCGACCAAAAUGGAAUAUAUUACCACAAAAGAUUCUCCCCAAUACAAAGAGCGCACAUGAAGAAAUCCGAGUGCAUUAAGAUACAUAAGAAAAACAAAAAAAUAUAGAAAACUUGAGUCAGUAGCUUAGCUAAUAGAUAACUGAGUGUUGAGUUAUUGGUAUUCUAUGAAACGCUAACUGUAUUUGUUAGUCACUUUGUUAUUUUAUCUUAUUAUCUAUAUUGUUAACAUGGUAUUCAAAGCAUGAUCUAAUCCUCAUUGAAUUGUUUAUCGCUUUCGCUAUUGAGUUCCCAAAAGUUUAAGGAAUGUUGUGUGAUUGAUUUGGUUUAAUUUUUAAUGUUGGUCAUUUAUUCGGAAAAAAAAUUUAUGAUUGAAGAAAAAGCAUGGUUCCUUCCGUCAAUUGCUUGGUAGAAACAAAUUAGAGAAAUUGGGAACAUGAUGUUUGCUUCGAAAUGGUAAUUUGCAACAUUCCACUAAUUGGUAUUAUUUCUUUGGAUUUUUAGAUUCACGGUGUGCAUAUUGUUUGGAUGGUUUUGAGCACGUUUUGAAAUUAAUUGCAUCAAUCAUCAAUAUUUUGGAUUUUAGAGACGUAGAAGUUAUUCUUUCACCAUGGUAUUUACUUGUUUAAUUUCUUUGAUGCUUGUCGUCAUUGGUUAAUGUUUGUUCGGUCUGCUCCGGUUGUUGGUUGAUAUGUAUAGUUUUGUCAUGUUUUGGGAUGUGUAUGGGUGUUCUUUUUGUUUGAGUUUUUGUCUUUGGAUCGCUCUUGUUCUUGGUUUAUUUGUUUGAGGAUGCAUUUUUUUUGUUUGUGGGUUACUAUUUGUCCGUGGUGGUUUGAUCAAUUUGGUUGUUCGUCUCUCCAAUUUCGGGUAGGAUUUGGAAUUUGGUUUGGUUUGUUUUGGUUAUGCUUGUUUUUCAAUUUGUCUUGGUUUGGUUUCACUUGGUUUUGGUUGUUUAGUGAGUUAAAUAUAAUGCUCACAAUUGGUUUAUUUGUUUUGUUGGUGACUCAAGUACUCACAAUUUGGUUGUUUGGUGAAUCGAGUGCUUACAAUUUGGUUGUUUGAUUGAUUUUCUCUGUUUGAUUGUCUCUCUCUCUCUCUCUCUCUUUUGGUUUCUUCUGUUUGAUUGCAUUUCUCAUUAUUCAUUCUUCUGAUUCAUUGCACUUCUCCCCUUUUUGAUUCUUCUGAUUCAUUGCACUUUUUCCUCUUUUGAUUCUUCUGAUUGAUUGCAUUUCUCCCCCUUUUGAUUCUUCUGUUUGGUUCUCUCUCUCUCUCUCUAUUGGUUGUUUCUCCCUACCGAUUCUUGUUUGGUUUAAUUUGAAAUGGUUCUUAUGUUUUGGAUGGUUACUCUCUUUGGUUGAUUGGUGGUUCCUGCUGCUCUUCAUUGAUUAUGUUAUCAGCUGAUUUGGUUUAUUUUCGAGGUUAAUUUGUAAUGAGCUUCAAACUUAGUAAGCUUUAACUUCAGGGGUAGUGUUCGAAGUUUAUAUUAUUUAGUAUAUUUUUCGUAUUUUGUUUGACAAACCCACAAUGAUUCUUGUUGAUGCAUCAUGAGUUUGAGGGUAAGUGUUAGAUAAUAAAGUAACAGACUAUGCUAUUGAGCAUGUUAGUUUAAAGUCCAUUAUGUUGUGUGUAUAUAUAUAUUCUCUAAUAACCUUUUGUAAUGUUAAACUAUUGGUAUUCUAUAAAACUCUAUCCGUCUUUAUUAAUCUCUUUGUUAUUUUCCCUGAUUAUCUUUAUCGUUAACAAACCCCACACACAUGAAAUGAUUAAUCCAUCAAUAAUUAAGAGCAAAAGCUAAACUUGAGUUAUUUGAUUUCAUUUACUAAAAAGAUAAUAAUUUAACAUUAUCAAGCAAGUGUGCAAUCGUCUCCUCCUUUUGCCGAAAACAACGAUAAUUCCUUUAUUUCCAAACAUAAGCAAGCCACACAAUAUACAUAGAAGACUUUAUUUUCUUAUAGAAUCAUCCUAAUGCAUUAAACUCCAAAAUAUGAUCAGUAAGAUUUCCUCAAGGCUGCAUCCCCCAGAGCAUGUGAGACUCUUUAGCACGCCCCCAACGAUCAAUACUAUUAGGUUUUGUUCGUGGACAUAAAUGGUGGUGACUCGAUAGUAGAAAUUUGAUAGCAUGUGGUCCAAUAAAUCUUGAAAAUUUUCUGAUACCAUCUUAGAAAUUGUGGUUGCACCUAACACAACUUUACAAAACCAAUUUAUAUGGUGAUGAUAACUCCCAUUUAUAAACACGUUCAGAUCAUCUUUUAUAUGUGAGACUCUUUAACAGUAAAGUGACAAAGCUCACCUCAAGAGAUUUUAAACCUAAGAUCUCUUAUAGAUCCUUAGUAUCUCGUUCAAAUGUUUUUUGAUCUGUUACUAGAAGAAUAUUAAUUAGGGAAAUUCUAUGGUGAAGUUGUUCAAUUGACUUUUUCGAUGAAGUUAUCCUACAUCCAAUAAUAAUGCGCCACAUGUCAUGUGUGCAAAUUGUGGAAUGGUAUGUACCGUGUAUCUGCUCAAUAUGUUCCACCGUAGACUAACUUUUUUGAACCAUCAGAUUAAGCACAUCACUAAUGUUAUCGUGUUGCCUUUCACACUAUAUUUAUUCCCUUUCUCUUGUUUGACUUUUUCUUACUUCUAUUUCAACAACAUAUUUAUUCCAAUUUAUUUAUUUAUUUAUGGCAAAAUUACACUAUAAAUUCUGUCAUAAAUCCUUUGUAUUAAAAUUUUGUUUAAAUUGAAAAUUCAUUAUUUUAAUAAAGUUUAAAUUCAUUACUAUUAUUUAAUAACGUUUAAAUUUGUUUUUGGUCAUUGCAUAUUUUUUUCAUAGCAAUUUUGAUAUAUAUCUUAAAUCAUUAGUUUCAACCAUCAAAACAAUCUUAUUAUAUAUCUCAAAUUAUGAUUAGUUUGUGUCAAAUUAUAAAUUUUCAUAUUUGAUUAUCAAAACUAUAAUGAAUUAUUUUUCCUAUUAUCUCUUGAUAUAGACUAUGUUUUUGUAACACAUUAGUCCUUUUUUCAUUUUUUUUAUUAUAAAAAUGCUGAAAUAAUAGUUUUUUUUUUGUUGAAAGGAUGCUGAAAUAAUAGUUUUAUUAAUAACCUUAUUUGUUAAAAUAUUUUUAAUUAAAAAGAUAAAGAAAUUCAUAAGUCAUAUGAAUAUCUUCAUCAUCUUCCUCCUUGAUUAAAAAAAAGUACACUUAAAUACACAUCUAAAUUAAACAUCUCUACUUUGAUCUUCUUAUAAUCUCAAAAUCCCUAAAACUCAAUUAACCACAAAUAGUUCAAGUAAUUUAGAUGCUAACAAUGGUUUGAAGAGAAACCCAUAAUUUUCAAUUAUCAUAACAGAAUCUUCAGAUAAACUCAAUUAUAAAACUAGAUACAGUUAGAUUAAAUGACCAAUCAUCAUAAUUAGGGUUUCGGAACAAGAACGAUUGAAAUUAGAUAAUAUAGAAUCUAUGUAGUGAACGAAGGUGGGUAGAGUUGUCUCGGUUCGUUGGAGAAAUGUUGAGUAACUUUGUGAUAUUCCAUGUUUUGGAGAUGGCGGUGAUAACUGUGGAUGAAAGGACCAAUGGAGUGUAUGGGUGUUGUUUGAGUGUGUGAAUAACAAAGGGUAUUUUGUAGAUGCAACAGUCACUGAUUGUUGUCGGUGAUUCUACUUUUUUGGAGCAUCAAAUUCAUUAAAUUGCUUCUCAAUUAACCUUGGUUAACUUCUAGUUCAUGGUUUCAUGUUUUGGGUUAUGUGGGUCUUCAACCGGGUCGAACUGACCCAUAUAAAGGUUGAAGAUGAAGUUAAAAAAAAAANUAACAUCUGACGUGUCAUGGCUUGAAAUCUGAUUGGUCCAUUCAAACGACUUCACCGAAGAAGUCAUUUACCCGACUUCAUCAUAGAAGCUCCCUAUUAAUUAACUUAAUGGAGACGCUAAUUAUAUUUGGUGUAUUAAAUCACGAAUAUGAAAGUUAAAAAGAAAAGGAUAAAUGUUUGAACAAAUUAUCCUGAGCUGUCGGGGGAAAGCUAAAAUAGUGGUGUUUUUGUAUUUCGGUCGGUUUGGUGUUUCUAAGGAUGAAAAAAGGUCAUCUAAGGAAUCACGCUAUCGUUUACACAUUGACCAAUUGAUUAAUUAAUAAUAUCAAGUUCCACAUUAAAAAAAGAAAGUUUCAAAAUGAGUUUAUAAAGAUGAACAUAAUUCCCUUUUGUAAGGAAUAGUUAGAUCAAGAUGAUAUCAUGGUUUAUCCCUGUAUGGAAAAAGGCAAACAACAUAGCUAGUCUUAAUAGAUUGUUUGCAAUUGACAACUUUGAUAAAUUAUAAAUAUAAUCAUCUGUCCAAGUCCAACCUAAACUGUACCAUGAUUCCUAGUUAUAUAGUUUAGCCGUCCAAAGCAUUGAAUUUGAAGCUGACUUGGUAGUUAUAGUUUGGAGUCAAUGUACAUACAUACAUGCAAAUGGAAACAAAGAAUAGUACAUAUGGUUUGAAGCUAGCUGGUAGAUUAACACAACUCAGUUGUACCAACCUGUUACAUGACACAACAAAGUAGCCAUGAAUGUUUUCCACGUGGAACCACUACCAUUAAGCUAUCUAGCUGGAGGAGCUACUAUAGUCAUACAAAGUUGAUGCAGCUGAUUGCAAAUUAGAACAAAGUUGCACUUAGAGAAAUGAGAGAAAUCUUCAGCUCAAUUCAGCACAAAAGAGAGAAAUGCUAAAAAUAAAGUCAUCUACAAACUCAAAAAAAUAAUUUACUCACAUCAAGUUUAAUUAAGUGAGUAGUUUUAAAUUAAAUGAGCCCUUGUGGGAAAAAGAACUCAAACUCGAUUAAUUUUUAACCUUUGGGAGAACCUUAAAUUUUUAGAAUAAUUUUCAUCGCCCCGGUUAUUUUAGAUGAUUUAAACUUUAUUAAGCUUUGAAUUGUGAGGAUACUAUUUGAUUUUAAGAUAUGCGUUGAAUUUAACCUAAAAAAAUUGGGGAAAAAAAUUUCUAAAACAUAAGGCACCGUUGAGGUUGAAUUUUGAUUGAAAAUUCAAGGAUUAAAUAUACGUUUGCUCUUUUAUCUUUUACCAAAAAUGCAUUUUGUGUCGUUCAUCUUGUUUUUAACAUGUUGUAGUCCUUUAUCUUUUAAAAAAAAUUAAUGUUUAUCCUUAUGUUAUGGAAAAUGUUAACGGGUGCUCCCGAGACACUCUUUAAGCACUUUAAAUAAAAAGUUUUUAAUGAAAAAUUGUGUAUUAAAUGCAUUGAAAAUUGUGAUAAUUUACUUUUAAAAAGAAUAAUUACUAAAUUUUGGUUGUUUAAAGAGUGUCCGAGACACUCGAUUUAACAAGACCCUUAUUGAAACAUUAGAGAAAGUUGGAAACUAACCAGGUGACUCACAACUUGUCAAACGUGUUGCGGCAAUUUAAUCUUCUUCAAACGCGUUGCAACAAAUCAUUUUCUUCAAAAGAAUCACAUCAAAAUCUCCUUCAAAAACAUUUAUGUUCUUGUUUUUUGUUUUCAACAUUCCUUCCGUAGUUUAAAAAAACGACGUCAUUUUUCCUUGUUCUAUGUCACAUGGGUUUAUGUUAACAUCAUAACACCUAUUAAACUUUCGCUAACUAAUAUUAUAUUAUGAUUUCUAAACUCAAAGACUAAAAUGUGAUUCAUUUUAAAAAGAUAAAUGAAAAAAUAUAUAUUUAAUUCAAAAAUCAAUAUCCAUAUGAUAAUAAUAUAAUGCAAAAUCACGAUCAGACUGUAAUUACAACAAAAUGCAUCAAACUUGUCUAUGUGCUACUCUCCCACUGCAGUCAAAGAGAAAUUCUUCAAUAACAACCUCUUUCAAGCUUACAAAACCAUCACAAUCCACUCACACAAGAACAAUUAGGUCUCAAAGCAUGUUACAUUCCCACACCCCAACAAACCAUAAAUGGUCUCUUAACGGCAUGACAGCUCUUGUUACAGGUGGAACUCGCGGAAUUGGGUACAAAGAAAGUUUCUAACUUUAAUGCUCGUGCUUUCUUUUUUCUUUGACCCUUUUGAUAUUAAUUUUAGAUUUUGUAUUUUGUAUGGUGUAAUGUAUGAAAAGGUAGGUAUGCCAUUGUGGAGGAAUUGAUGGGGUUUGGUGCUAAAGUGCAUACUUGUGCUAGAAAUGAAGAUGAUCUUAAUAAGUGUUUGAAGGAUUGGAAUCAUUUGGGUUUUGAGGUUACUGGUUCGAUUUGUGAUGUGUCAGUUCCACAACAGAGGGAAGUGCUUAUGGAGGAUGUUUCUUCUGUCUUCAAUGGGAAACUCAACAUCCUUGUAAGCUCCUUUUUAUUUAAUUUUUUUUUUCUCUCUCUCUCUUAUUCACUUUGGAUAGACUGUGUGUGUGUGUGUGUGUAAACCUUAUUAAUUUGAUGUGUAGAUAAACAAUGUAGGGACAAACAUUCGGAAACCAAUGAUAGACUUCACAGCUGCAGAGUUUUCCAGACUCAUUGAUACCAAUUUAGGAUCCACCUUUCAUAUGUGCCAGCUUGCAUAUCCACUUCUCAAAGCAUCAGGAGUGGGUAGUGUUGUUUUUAUAUCUUCUGUUUCUGGCUUUGUCUCACUGAAGUCAAUGUCUGUUCAAGGAGCAACAAAAGGUAAUCUACGAAUUCAAUAAGGUGAUGGUGAUGGUGAUGAGUUUAUAAAAUUUUGAAGAUUUGUUUGUUUUUUAUGGUUUGUAGGGGCAAUUAAUCAACUUACGAGAAAUCUAGCUUGUGAAUGGGCAAAAGACAACAUAAGGAGUAAUGCAGUUGCACCUUGGUACAUCAGAACUUCGAUGGUAGAGCAAGUAAUUUUCUUCUUCUCUAUCCUGUGACCAUUAGAAGAAAUAAAAGAAUUAGCUACAUGGUAUAGUAAUUUUGUUACUUGUUUUAAAAAUUGAUUGUGUGCAUAAAAAAGUAUGCCAUUAAGCAUGAGUGCAUGACUCAUGAUAGGACAUUGUAAUGCCGACUGAUCUAUAUAAUAAUUCUACUCAUUGACAGAAAGGCUUUGGUUGUUGUAUUUGAGUGCAUGAAAAAAAAAACAUUUCCACAUUAAAACAGCUUUGAAAUUGCAAGGACAGAUACAACUUCUAAAUUUUCAUACAAGUCUUUCAUUCCCUAUGUAAUUUUCUAUUUCAACACAGCAGAUUUGAUAUGCCAGCCUAGACAUAUAUACAAUCAAUCUAUUUCCUGUAGCUCUUCCAGCCAAAGUGACAGCCAUCUUAGGUAAAUUGCAGCAUAGCUAUUGUCUAGUGACAGUUAAUAAGUUAGUAACCCCUUAUACGUUUAUAACAUAUGGAUUAAAUAAAAUAAUGCUAAUUCUAAUUCUAAUAGUAAAUAUUAGGAUUUGAUUCUGACACCCCCCUCAAGUUAAAGCUUACUUAGCUUUAAACGUAUAACGGGUGGAUGUUCUUAGAAUUUGGGUUGGGUUUAACUUAACCCUUACAAAACCGGCUUGUAUGGUGAGAACUGCCCCCACUUAGGGCCAUAUCUCAUUUAGUGUGGAACUCUUAACACACACCCUCACGCCCAUGACUGGACAUCUGGAACGUGACCCGAGUCGCCCAAUAGCGGUGACCUGAUAGCCUCUGGCCUAAUGGAUCUUGUAUAGGCUCUGAUGCCAUCAUAGAAUUUAGGUUGGGCCUAACUCAACCCUUACAAAACCGACUUGUAUGGUGAGAACUGCUCACACUUAAAAACACAUGCUUAGGUCAUAUCCCAUUCAAUGUGAGAAUCUUAAAAGAUUUAAUAUAGAGUAAAUAGAAACAACAGGGCUGUAGCUGCAGCCAGAAAGUUGUAGCGCGACCCGAGGUGACAUAGCAAAGAUUGUUGGGUUUGUCGGAGGAUUUUGAAGGUGGCUGUGGUGGUUGUCUGGAACUGGUCUCAGUGGAGAAGGCACAACUGGUUGAAUCACAACUUGAUGUAGAAGAACCGGAUGAAGCACGAUGAAUGUGCACAACAGGAUGGAAGUAGGCAAAAACUUCAACUGGCUGAGGAAACGGUACAGGACAGGGAUGUUUGUACAGUAAACUGUGUUACCAAAUUUAGAAUCUCCAAAACAUGGCCAGUGCUAGGACCGGUGGGGCACGCUUGUCUGUGGUCGUCGGUCUCAUCAGAAAGCAGCAAACUUGAAAAAAAUUCUUGUGGUGGCCGGCAGCGGCUGCGAUGAACCUCACUGGUCAUAUAACAGAACAUGCUCUAAUACCAUAUUAUGUUUGCAAUUUGUGUGUCUAAGUCAGACCGCACUUACAUCUAUUUAUAAUAGCAUAUUUAAUAAAUACAACUAAUGCUAAUCGAUAUGAUGUGCUAGUUCUAGUCCUAAUCUACUAUUCUAACGCAAGCAAUUUAUCGUGACUCAUGUCCUUUGGAACAUAAACUCUGUAGUAAGCCUGUGCUCAAAAUUUCUUAGAUAAGGCCGCAUUAAAAUGCACAGCCCAUAGUUCUAUUAGACUACAAAUUAACACCAAAUCAUUGAGGAGGAAGACAUGAUAUGAUAGAUCACGACUGUCUUCCAAAUACCCAAGAAGAUUUUGAGUUAGACACUUUUCUGAUCCCAUAUAGUUGGAUAAUCCAGGACUCCGAUGUAGAAUAUAAAAUCAUCUCUAUCAAGUCAUUGGACGCAAUACUAUUUCCCCAACACCAAGAAACUGCAUAUUUGUGGUGCUUCUAAUCCCAUAGUUGAACCAUCCAGAAUUAUAAUCUACAUCAUAGAAUCGUGAUCUCAAUUCAUUGGACAUGCUUCUAGUCCUCUAACACCAAGAAAUUGCCUUUUCUUGGCAUAGAAAUCAAAUAAAUUAUGUGUUUGCCAUUCAAAAUAAAAAAUAAAAAUUAUGCAUCUCAAACAUUUGUGUUUCCUUGAUCACUAAGUAACUAUCCUUAUCUGAAGUUGGUGCGCAGAAUACCUAUUUGAGAAAUGCUAACAAUAGUCAUUAAUCUUUCAUUCCCUGCAUUUGAUUUAGAACACGAAUACCACAUUUGAUUUUGAAAAUUGCAUUUGGAAUUCCAUUCUUACAAGAACUUUCGCAAUGCUCAAACACUAAAGUCUAACACAACAAUCAGAAAUAAAACAUGAUCUGAAUUUUACCCUUUUGUUUUAGGUUCUGAGCAACAAAGACUAUUUGGAAGAGGUGUACUCUCGAACUCCCCUAAGACGCCUAGGCGAUCCAGCAGAAGUGUCUUCUCUUGUUGCCUUUCUUUGCUUACCAGCUUCGUCAUACAUCACUGGGCAGAUUAUAUGUGUUGAUGGAGGAAUGUCCAUCAAUGGUUUCUCCCCGACACACAUCUAAGAACUGCAUCUCAAGCAUAGUCCUUGUAUUUUAUUAAUUUUCCUCGUCACCUGCCAUUACAAAGGACCGAGGGACUGAGUUCAAAUCUAAAGAAAUGGUUAUAAAAUGACAAUAAGUGUUACCCGUAAUGAAUAAUAAUUUCCUAUUCUCCAUUUUUUUUUUAAAUGAAGCUUGGAGGUCCCUAAAAGUCUUGCAUAGGCCUUUGCAAGGUUUCGGCAUCCCUUGGAGGUCCAUCUAUUGUGCUAUUGCAAUUUCUUUUUGACUAUUUUUUCCACUCUAUUAAUUUCUCGCGCUCUAUGCAGUUCAGAUUAUAUAAUCCGAACGACAUAAAUACCUCAUAAAAAUCGUGGCUAGAAUUCACCUUAUAAGAUGAAUAAGUGGGGUGUCCGGGGUUCAAACCCCGGCCCCUGCAUAUAAUAAUGCAUUGACCUACCAACUGAGCUAUGCUCACGGGACUUGAAGGUUUAUUUAUCCAUAAAGUGACAGGCACGUGUAAACUAAACUUUGAAGUUAAACGCAAAAAUAACACGCUCCAAUUUAAAAUAGGGACGACAUUAGAGCACAAUGAUUUGUUGUUAUUCGGCACAAUGUAUGUUUAUGUUGAAAUGGAUCAAAUAAGUGAUAGUGAAAUUUUUGAAUUUAGUGAAAGUUUAUUCUCUCUUUCAUUGAUACAGUUUUUUAUAUGUCAAAUGUUCAAAUAUGUCAAUUAUCAUGAAAGGAGGAGUAUAAGUUAAGUUUUAUGUUCUAAAAUGUUCGCUUAAUGUAAUUUAUUCAUCGUAUAAAGGGUCCUGUUUGUUUUAGAUUUUUUAAAAAUGGAUUUUUUUAAAAUUUACUCAAAAAUAGUAGAAGUUAUUUCAAACUCAUUUGAUAUAAGUUAAAAAAUAGAUUUUAUAUUCACUGUUCCAGUUUUUAAAUAGUAAAAAUCAAAUUCACUUGGGUUGUCCAGGUGGUAUUGGCUUGGGACUUGGGAGUGUGCUCAUCCUGAAGGUCUCAAGUUCGAUUCUCUCAGAGUCAAAUUAGGUAGGCUAAUUUAGCUUAUUCAAAAAAAGUAAAAAUCACAUAUUUUUUUAAAAUGACGUGUAAAUGAAUUUUACGAAAAUCUAUUUAAAAUAGCUUUUUUAUAGAGAUUUUUUCAAAAUUUCAAUAUAAAAAAAAAUACAAUAAAAUGAUGAAAUACUUAAAAUGACAUUUUAAGAUAAGUUAUUCAAACGAAUUUUUCAUUUGAAAAUUUCUUUGUUAAAAAAAUUAUAACAAAAACAUAUUACAAUACAAAAAUCUAUUUUUUAAAAAAAGCUAGUACAAUCGACCCAAAUAUCUUGUUUAAAAAUCGAUUUCAUGUUUCAUUGAAGGACAAAUUGAUUUUGAAUAGACAAAAUAAAAAAUCAUAUUCUUUGUUAAGGAUUUCUUUAUAUUGUUAAAAAAGGGAUUUCUUUGUAAGAUAUUAAUGUAUUAAAAAAAAAGGGAUUUUUUAAGAGUUCAAAGAGUCAUACAAUAAUUUAUGUCUUUUAGGUUUAUUGAUGUAUUUUUAAGUGGGUUGAUUUUGCCAUAAAAAAGGGUCACAAUCACAAUUUAUUGUCUACUUACGUUUCGUUAUUACGUAAGAGAAAUGAUAUUUGUACAAUCAAUUUGUGACAAUUUUUGUACAACUUUCUCUCUCAUACUCACAUAAUGGUUUUAUCCUCUCUCUUCCUUUUUCUCUCUCCAUUGUUUUUGACCAAUAAGAAGAGAGAAAAUUAAAAUUGUCACUAAAGUUGUCAUGAAAUGGAUGUACAAAUAUCAUUGCUCAUUAUGUAAAUACCCAUUCAAACAAUUACUAAUGGAUGUGCGGAAAAUUUUUCGAAGAAAAAAAUGUACAUCAUUUGAUUACUAUUAUAAGCAAAUAUUAUUUUUUCAGAUUCAUUGAAUAACUGAUGUAUUUAGACUAUACUACAAUCCAUAUACAUGAACUUUUCAAUGAAUCUUAAAAAGAAAUAUUUGUUUAUAUGAGUGACAUUAGAGAGUAUUAAUGUAUUGUCUUAAUUACUUGUCAAUAUUCUUAAAACUUUUGACAACAAUAGCAAUGCCCUCAUCGAGAAUGUAAAAUAAACAAUCAAAUGAUUAAAUUUCUGCAUUAAAUGGGCUAACAAAUGUUUUAGGGAGAAUUAUAGUUUGAAUACUAGCUAUAACAAUAAUCGAUUAAAUUUUACUUACUUCUCAAUUAAACUAUAUAUUAUUAGAAUUCGCUUUCUCUAAGAAUCAGAGAUUUAAGACCAACAAAAAGAAUUUGAUGUCAAGUUUAUGAGGUCUAAGUAAGAUUCCUGACUAUCAUCAUCUAACAAAUGACGUUGUAUAUCAUCCCCAACAAGGGUAUUUGCUCUUCAGUUUUUAGGCAAUAAAUCAUUCAAAAUAUAUAAAAUAAAAAAAUAAAAUAAAAUUGUAUAAGGGUCGGUUUCAAAUGUUUCCUUUUUAUUUUGCAAAUAGUCUAAUGGUCAAAAUUUCAUUCUUUAAGGUGAAUAGAUGAAAUCAAGAGUUCAAAUUUCGAUUAGUGCGUAUUGUGAUGUUCAUACUAAAUGAAUUAUGUUCACGAGUAUGAUUCAUUACGAUUUUUUUGUUGCAUUUUUAGAUAUUCAUAUUAUGUCACAUGAUACAUUACAAGUUAAACAACAUUAACAUAUACAUGCACAUUUUCUCUAAAAAAAAUAAAAAAUAUAUAUACAUUUAUUUCAAAUAAAAAAAAUUAACAUAUACAUAAUUUAAUAUGGGGAGAGAUCAAAUAAAAGCAAAUAAAACUUUAAUUUUGAAGAGUCUCAAUACCAUAUCAAAUGAAUUUACUUGGCAACGGCAACCUGAUCUUAUAGGGGCUAUCCAGUGCGUUCAGGUUAUGAAAUCCUUACUUCUCAGGAUCAUCAUGCGGUGGAUGCUGCCCAGAAUCUUAUUUGGCAUCCUCAGGUUUCGCUGAAGGUGUCGAUUUUAGCUUGGCGUUUACUUCGAGACAGGUUGCCGACAAAAAUCAACCUUCUCAAUCGGGGCAUUAUUAUUGUUGCGGACAUCUUUUGUGCGACAGGGUGUGAUCAUGUUGAAUCUGUCGAUCACCUGUUUUUACAUUGUAAUUUUUUUGGUGCUAUCUGGUAUUGUAACGCCUUAUUUCUAUUAAAGCGAUAAAACACGCGAAUAAAACAUUUAUUCAAGAAAUAGACGCUACGCCUUCACAUCCAAAAUCAAACAACAUGCAUAUAUAAAAUUAUUCAACAGUCGCAGCGGAUAUAAGUCAUACAUCCGUAAAUAAAGUCUCCAAAUCCCGACAAAUGGAUAAAAUCUCCACAACAUAAAUAAACCCAGAAUAAUCAAUCUAGAAUAAUCAUACAGACAGACAUCCUAGAUCAGAGCCUACUCUAAGACUCAGCAGAAAACGAUAACGGAGAUAGCUCCCGCUAUCCAAGCAAACUACUUCUGCACCACGUCUACUCAUUCAUACAAACAGGUAGGCGGUCAAAACAACUGGGGGUUAGCUUCACAUCAAUCAUAAUCAACAUAAAUAAUUGAAAGAAUAAGCAUGAAUUAAAUUUCAAUUAAUUACACAUUGGAUAAUCCAACUUAAACGACAUACAUAAUUUCACAACAUCAUCAAUUUCUGAUUCACCGAUCACAUUCAAUCAUCAAGCACAUGUACACAUUGGACACAUAUAAGAAUGUAUUAUGCGCCUAUACAUGACACCUAAAUGCAUGUGGUGUCGUCACCAACGAAGGUCGUCGUCACCUUGAGAUGCCAACAUAACAUCCUAUGUAAGAUUUCACGCACGUCUUACAUUAUCGCCGAAGUAAAAGAGUAAGUCUCUUUUACAACAUCAAGACUCAACAUGACUAUGAUGCAUGGACAUACAAGCAAAGACUCGACAAUGCAAAAUCACCUCAUAAAUAUUCAACAAUAUAAAGGAUAACCUUUAUCUAUAUUGAUCGACUUCAACAACAAUUGCAUUAUCAAGUAUUUACGUCCACUCAAUCAAUCAAGUCAUAAUUCAAUUAAGAGUCAUCACCACAUUGUCAUCAUAAUUAUCAACAAUCAUCAACAUCAAUUGAUAUACAUACAUUAAUCAACAUCAACUAUAUAUUAUAUCUCAACAACUCCAUACACGUUCUUAUAAUCCAAGUAAAGGAGAAAAUACAAAACCUUAUGAUAAAUAUCAUAUUCAACACCUAAAAAUCAUUAACAUAUCUUCAUUUAAUCAUAUAAAGCUAUUCACGAAAGAUUUAUAAGGUAAUCGGCUUUAAAGAACCAUUUUCGACAAAGUACAUAUCAAGUAGCAAAAAUGGCCAAGAAUCUCUAUCACCUCUUGGUUGUUCAAGCUUUCUCCCUUCUAACCCUUUUGCUCUUUCUCUUGAACUUUCUCUCUCUACCUCUCUCAAAAUUCUUAUGAAAUGAAUAAAUGAUACUAGGUGACCUAAUUUUCUCAAAGACUAUGGUUUAAAUAGGCUCAUCACUAUUGGGCUUAACCCUUAAUGUCUUAAUAGGUUCAACUCACUCAUUAAUCAAUUCAAAAUAUUUCUACUCACUUAACGGUAUAAUAAUAGUAACGAUCACUUACCGGCUCACAACUAAUUAUCACACUAAUAACUUAGUAAAAUAAUGGUUCUCAUUAAAUAAUAAGUUUGUAAUGAUAAGUUUGUCUAGCAUAAUUGUCACUAUCUUCUCUCUCCAUAAUAUCUAACGAUAAGUUUGUCUAGAAAAUUAGAAAUAGUAUAACUUAGAUGUGUAUGACGUCGCUAUGAUAGAGAAAAAAAUAAUAUAAAAAUUAGAAAUAAUAUAUACAAUUUUGUUUUUUAGUAUAUAUAAUGUUGAUGUCAAAUUUUGUGACUUAAAGGAAAACAUUUUGUUGAGCUAACUAUAUUUAAAUAUAUUGUAAUAUAUAUUUGAUAUUUUAAAAAAUUAAAAAACAUGAUACAUAAACGUAUUAUAAUAUCAUUUUUCAAAAUUAUAUAUAUAUAAAGAAAUAUUUCAAAAAAAAAAUUAUAUAUAUAAAGAAAGUACAUACUUUACCUUAACACUCCAAAACUAAGGAAAAUGAUAAUAAGAGUUUUUGAAACAUUCGUUAAAGUGUUAAAAUGAGUAAAUUUGUAUUAAAAAGUAAUAUAAUUAUUGUUGAGACAAAAAUAAAAGCUUAUAUUUUUAAGAUAAGGUUUUUUUUUUUUUGUCAAGUAAUCUGGUGUGGCUAUAAUUCACUUUUUUCAAAGUAAAUAAAUGGGGUAUCUGAGGUUCGAACUCUGAUCCCUACAUAUAACAAUGCGUCCCUACCAACUGAGUUAUGCUUACGGAGACUCAAAACAAGGUUUCUAUUAGUGGAUUCUUUGACCGAUGCAACCCGUUAGCAAGACCACAAAACUAACAUGCAAAACACACACGGCAUUAAUAUUGUAGACGGGGCAAGGAGGAUGCAUCUAAAAAAAGUAGUUAGUCAAACAAACAAGAUAAAACACAUGAAAACUUCUACUUGGUUACGUAGUCUACAUUCAAACUCUGAACUUUCCUCCCAUGCAUAUAUAAAUCCCUUUAGACCAGAAGGUAGAAUCACACCAAAUAUAAGGAGAAAUGGCAGAGGGAAAUACAAGUAGCAGAAGCAGUAAGUGGUCUUUGAAGGGGACGACAGCUCUGGUCACUGGUGGAUCCAAAGGAAUAGGGUUGUUAUAUUUUGUUCUUCUCUUAUUCUUUAGGCAGAUUAAUUGAACUUUUUUGUGCACAUUAUUUUGCUUAAUUUCUCUUGUUGCAAAUUAAUUUAUCUUUUAGCUCUACCAUAGAUCAUGAAAUUAGUUGAGUUAGUCACAGAUAUACUACUAUUUUAAUUUUUAGCUAGCCACCCAAAUUAUACUUUUAUUUUUCUGAAAGAAGCUACCCAAAUUUUAUAGUUAGUUUUUUUUUUUAUCAAAGUCCUAAAAUAUAAAUGAGAGAAGAGGCCUGAACCAAUUCAGUCACAAAGUGUAAAACCUAUGAACAGAAAAAUCAGAUCUAGAAAAGAGGUAUCAAAGACCACCAUUAUACUGAAAAACUAGUCAUAUUAUGACAAUUCUUGGCCAAACAACUAUUACAAGACUACCAUUUCUAUGAAAAUUUGAACAAAAGUAUUGAUAUUCCCUGUUAUUCUUUUGUAAUUGAGCCAACUAUUAUGUAUCUGCCAAGAUAGCUUUUGAGGUACCCUUUUGGGCACGGGUCCUCAUUCCGGCUGAGUUAAAGCUAGUAGGCUUCACUUUAUUCACCUACUUCUUCUUUCUCGAUGCCUUAGUGCUCUCAGAUAGACUUGGAUAGUGCUGCUCAAAGUCUGAUAUGGUGGCUUGAGCAGAGUCUUCCACCUCAAGUCUCUUGUCAUGGCUGAGCGUCCUCCAUCACAGUUGAUUAUAACUAAUACUUGUUUUUUUUUUAAACUAUAACUAAUCCUAAAUUAACUCAAAGCUAAUUACCUAGUUGUCAAUAGUCUAAUUCACCUAGUCAAUAGUCAAGAUGCAUGUUUGGAAAAAAAUUGUGCAAGCAAGUCAAACAUGUUUAUAUUAACUAAUAAUAAAUAUUAAUCAAUGGAACAAUAUUUUAACAAAUUAAAUAUGAUAGUCUUAUAUUAAUAAGAUUUAUGAAUCAUGAUUUUUCUCACUGAUUAUUUAUGUGAAUUAAACUAUGACUAUAGAUAUGAUAUAGUGGAGCAAUUAGCAGAGCUAGGGGCCACUGUACACACUUGUGCUAGGAACGAAGCUGAACUCAAUGAAUGCUUAAAUCAAUGGGUCACAAAAGGAUACAAAAUCACUGGUUCAGUCUGUGAUGUUGCAUCUCGUGCACAAAGAGAGGAUCUCAUAGCUAGAGUCUCUUCUGAGUUCAAUGGCAAACUCAAUAUCCUUGUGAGCAAUAAUUACUAUACCAAUUACAUGAAAUUGAAGUUACUAUUUCUUUGCACCUUUUUAUAGGAUUUAUAUAGUUUGUUACAUUAUGUGUACAUUUAUUUAUUUAUUUAUUUAUGGAAUUUAGGUGAACAAUGUGGGAACAAACAUGCAAAAACAAACACUAGAUUUUACUGAGCAAGAUUUCUCAUUUCUGGUGAAUACCAAUCUUGAAUCUGCUUUUCACAUAAGCCAGCUUGCACAUCCACUACUCAAAGCUUCAAACAAUGCAAGCAUCGUUUUCAUGUCCUCCAUUGGUGGUGUAGCAUCACUAAAUAUAGGAACUAUCUAUAGUGCAGCAAAAGGUAACUAUUUCAUGGUUUUAAUUUAGUAAAAUUGACACUGUAAUUUUUUUUUGUCUGUAAAUGUUUAAUUUUAAAAUGUAUAUGUAAUUGACAAUGCAGGAGCAAUAAUCCAGCUUACAAAAAAUUUGGCAUGUGAAUGGGCUAAAGACAACAUAAGGACUAAUUGUGUUGCACCAGGGCCAAUCAGAACCCCUCUUGCUGCAGAAGUAAUUUUCUAUACUUGUUGUUUGAGUAUAAUGAUUUUACUCAAAAUUUUCUAGUUACAUCACGCCAUGUACAUAUUUGUUGAGAAAAUAAUAUCAUAUGAUGAUAUAUAAUUCUUAAAAUUUUGAGUCGCGUUUAACUUAACUCUAUAAAACUAGUUUGUCCGUUGUGGGAUGACUAGCCCAACUCAUUAGUCAGGUACCAAAAAAUUUAGAUUGUGUCUAAUCCAUCCAACUCCUAGAAAAUCGGCUAAUACUGCGUGACUUGUCUCCUACUUAUAAACUCAAUUUUUAGGCCAUAUUUCAGUCAAUAAAUAUGUAAAAAAGAGUUGCAUGUUAAUGCAUAGUUAUUUCCUUUCUGCAGCACUUAAAAGAUGAAAAACUUCUGGAUGCUUUCAUUGAAAGAACCCCUCUUGGACGUAUUGGAGAACCAGAAGAGGUGUCUUCCUUGGUGGCAUUCCUCUGCUUACCUGCAGCCUCUUUCAUAACAGGACAGACCAUUUGUAUUGAUGGCGGGUUAACUGUCAACUGUCUCCUUCUACAAUAAGCUAGGCUUGAAAAGCUUAUAUUUUGAAGCUGAUGACACAAAAAAAUAAUGUUGAUGGUUAUUAUUACACGUACACAUAAGUCGUGUUUUCAUUUUACUUCAAUGAGUUUUUCAGAAAAGUUUAUAGAUAAAUGUUCAAUUGAGUUAAUUAUUCAAACUCACUACUUGUAAUCUAUGUGGGAGACUAGAGACCAGAUCCAAAUUUCAUGUGGGAGUGUUGCUUACCUGAUUUGGAGACAUUUCUUCUUUCUAGAAAAAGAUUUGAUAUGGAGACACUUGAGAUACCAUAUUGAAGUAUGUGUAUUUGUAAACAGUAAUGCUAUUGAUCGCGAAAGAAAACAUGCCGAGAACAUCGCGAAUGAUUUUGAACCGUUUGAUCUAGGCCUUUAAUUAAAAUACAUGGGUGGUUGGAAAUAAAAUGGUGUAGAAAGAUAUUAAAAUUGUACCAUCGGGAUGUUGUCGUGAAAAGAAUUUUCAUGAUAAGUAGCAUUUUCCAUUUGUAAAAAGGUGAAGUACUUGUACCAGGUACUAGGUAUUCAAUACUUGUGUGAUACUCCAAGUUUCCUCAUUGCUUAGUUGCGAGUGAAAUUUGAGGUUUAAUCGUGUAUUGAUUUUUUAAAUUAAUCGUAACUUGUACUCGUGUAUCAUAGAGUCUAAUUCAUUUUUAUAAAAUCAACUUGUAAAAUGUAAAGUAUAUAUCCGUUUUAUAAAUAGGUAUUAUCUUUAUGAUUGAUUUUAUUCAACAAAUAUGAGGUGAGAAAUGGACAAAUGAUUGUUUCUCUGAUGAUAGAUUAAAGGAAGAAUCAACCUUCCGAUUGCAAGACGAUAACAAACUAAUGGUAAAUAGAUGCAUAUAAGAAUCUGAUGAUUUUUGUGGUAUUGGUUGUGGUCGUGGAUUCUUGCCAUCGUUAGUGGUUGAUGGCUUGAUGGUGAGGAUUAUUGCAUAGGGUGUGCUACUUUUAGAUUCUAUUAGUGGUACCAUAUUUUAUCUAAAGAUAGGAUCUCCAUUAUUCCAAACAAACCAUGAAACCAAUAUAGGAAAUAUCAACAACAAAGAAAACAAUUUGGAAAAAAGCUCAUGGGAAUUUGUACUCUAUUAGUUGCAUAGUGCUACUUUGCGGAUUACUUGUACAAAAGCUCUCUUUAUUUUUUAGGUAAGCAGUUGAUGAAAUUUGGAAUGAUAUAUCUCUAUUACUAUCUUCUCUGAUCAAACCAAUUUGGGAAAAGAAUUAUUGUUUACAUUUAACAAGAAGUUAAGAAGUUUAAAAUAUAAAUUUUGUAUUGAAAUUUGUACAUUUAAUAUUAAAUCUAAAACUUUUGAGUAAAAUAAUUGUUGUUUUUAAAGAAAAAAUGCUUACUAUUAAUUGUUUUAACAUGUGUAAUGUUGCACAUGUUAGACAAACUAUAAUAAGACAAUCUAUCAAUUUUCUACUAUUGAUACAGUUAUUUGCUUUUUCCUAACGGUAGCCUUAAUUAUUUAAUAUUUCAUUUUAUAUAUUUAUUUCUAUGUAAGUAAUAACUACGUAUAAUAUUGAUAAAACAAUAGAUUCUGAUCUCUAAGAAACAUAGUUUCACAAAUUGGUCAGCAUAUUAUAAAUGGUGAAUCCUAACUUAGGGAAGAAGAAAAUCACUAAAGUGAUCUUAGAUGAAUAUUUCAUUAUGCUAUCGAUUAGAGAUAGCUAGUAAAAGAUCAUCUCACAAUAAGGAUAAGUUAAAUUGAGACGUGGGAAUCUUGAUUCGGUCUUACAACCCAUCUCAAUCCAAUUAUAAUGGUUCAGGUUUGAUCUGGUAAAAUAAAUUAGAGAAGUGACAAUGACGCAACUUAAGCUUGGAUCGUGUCUUGGUUACCCUCCCAAAUUUCAUUUGAGGAUAAAUGAUUUUUUAAUAUUAUUUUACAUACUCACUCAGACUCAUCUCUCUGGCACACGACUCUCUCACCUCCUCACUACUCACUUUCUAUUUUGAAGAUCACCUAGGAUUGAUUUCAUGCACGGUUGCUCCUCACCUUCUGAUACUCAACCUCACACUAUCUCAAAUAAUUGUUAUAUUUUAAAUGUGAUUGUACUAUUUAAUGUAUGCACCAUUUAUUUUGAUAAUAUAUGAUGUAAAUCGUUUUUUCAAAAGGAAUAUAUGAUGUAAAUCGUAAAUUAGUUUAUAACACAAUAUUCCCACUAUUUUAAAUUUUGAUGAUCUUAAUUUGAUACUCAUACACACCGAAAAUUAGCGAUUACGUUAAACACUAAUCAAUCUCAUCCAUUGAACUUAAAUCAACAAACAAACCGAUGUAAUCAAUUUUUUCUAUUUUUUAAUAAAAAAACUGAGUUAAUUUUUAAUUUAAACCGUUGGAUCUCCAAAUAAUGCCGAAGAUAAUUUCAGUUAAUAAUACCCCUAUACGUUUAUCCUUUGUUUUUUUUUUUCUUUCUGAAAGAAUCCCUAUACGUUUAUAUAUUAAUACAUGGAAUCCGGAUCAUGUUAGUUAAACCUGAAAAUUGUUGUACCAGAAAAACUAGAAGCUCUUUUAUUCUUCCCCUAAUUUCUGACGGAAAUCGAUAUAUUAUUUUUUUUUGUCUCAAAUCGGAUUCCAUUUCCAGAGAAAGGGUCUCUGCAAACCCAUAUAAGAACACAAACAUAUUUCUUUCCAAAAAAAAAACACAAACAUAAUUGUCUUUGUCUGUAAUUUAGGUGAUUGGUGCUAACACUCUGCCGAUGUAUGUGCAAAAGGACAAAAUACGGCGAUGCCGAAAAACCAAUGUCUCAAUUGCGUCUUCCCCAUAAUAUUCUUUUUUAAUUAUUUAUUAUUUAUUUUCCACCUUUUCACAACUACAUCGUUCCAACUUCAUCGAUAUCAAUUCUAACCUUCAACCAUUCUCAAUUCAAUUUCUGUCUUCUGGGUUCUACACGUUGUAUUCUUCUCUUUUGCUGGUACAAUUCUUUAUUUUUAUUUUUAAUUUAUGUUAUUAAUUCUUAAGUUUGAAAUUUGAAUCUCUCUAUGUUUUUCUUUACUUUACCAACUGUGACAAUAAAUUAAUAAACCUUGGAAUUUUAUGUUUAUUGUAUGUACAUUUCUUCAAUUUGAAUUUGGAGGUAUUCAAGUUUGUGCUUAACCUACCUGUAUUGACUUAAAUGUCUUUUUUGUUGUUUUUAGUUUAUGUUAAUUUAACACACCUUGUUUUACUUUGAAUUGAAAUUUUCAAAUGUGCACAAUUCACCAAACCUUUGAUUGUGUCUCCAUCUGAUACAUAAUUUUAAAUGUUCCUAGGAGAUGACUUUUCUGAAUGGUUUAUUUGUUUUUAUAGGCAUGAAGCAAAUGGAACACGAGAAAGCGCCUAUCUCAGAUGCAAGAUCAAUAGAGGAAACUGGAAUACCUAUGACAACAUUGUCACUUUCCUCGCGCAAAAAUUCUGUUUGUCGUUUUUCUUCGAAGGAAAAGAGUGUUGGAGCGUCGAAUGAGUCCGCGAAGAAACUUUCUUUACUAAUAGUUUUCUAUGCUAUUGUUAUGAUUGUUGAAUUUGUUGGGGGUUUGAAAGCUCACAGCUUAUCUGUUAUUAGUGAUGCUGCACAUUUGCUUUCUGAUAUUGGUGGAUUUGCAAUCUCUCUAUUUGCAGUGUGGGCUUCGGGUUGGGAGGCAACGCCUCAUCAAUCUUUCGGGUAUAAUCGACUUGAGGUUUUAGGUGCUCUUAUAUCUGUUCAGUUAAUUUGGUUCAUAUCUGGUUUUUUGAUAUAUGAAGCAUUUGGUAGACUUGUUUAUAAAAAUAAUAGAGUGAAUGGAAAGCUCAUGUUUGCAAUUGCCACAUUUGGGUUUGUUCUUAACUGUAUCAUGGUUUUAUGGCUUGGUCAUGAUCAUCAUCAUGGUUUUGGACACUCGGGUCAUGGUCAUCAUCACGGGCACAAUCAUGAUCACAGUCAUCAUCAUCAUCAACAUGGUCAUGAUCAGAGUCAUCAUCAAUGCCAUGGAGACUCGGAUCAUGAUCAUGGGAUGGAGGAACUACCUAAAAUAACUGAUGAGGAGAACCUUACCAUGCUUUCAAAUGGUAAGAAGAAUACUAAUGUUUUGAAUAUAAAUAUCCAAGGGGCUUAUUUGCAUGUGAUGACUGAUAUGAUUCAAUCUUUUGGAGUGAUGAUUGCUGGAGGAGUAAUAUGGGCUAAACCAGAAUGGUUUAUCGUUGAUCUUUUAUGUACUCUAAUAUUCUCUGUUUUAUCCUUAAGUACUACUCUACCAAUGCUUAGGAAUAUUUUUGGAAUUCUAAUGGAGAGAACGCCAAGUGAGAUUAAUGUCAUUCAGCUGGAAAAUGGUCUUAGAUGUAUCAAGGGAGUGCAGGAGGUUCAUGAUUUGCAUGUUUGGGCUAUAACAGUUGGAAAACUGUUUCUAUCUUGUCAUGUAGUGGCUGAACCUGGCAUAAAUUCCAUUGAAUUACUUUCUGUGAUUAAACAAUAUUGUGAAAACACUUAUCAAAUACAACAUGUAACCAUACAAAUUGAGUAAGGUUAUAUUCUUUUCUGCUCCAUUAUUCUCGCUUUAUUAAUUAUUUGUGUGACCCAUACUCAUAUAGAUUCACAAGACGUGCUUUUUUCUUUUUUGGUAAGGGCAAAAGCCCACGAGGAAAAAAACUGAACAACUAAACGAACAUUCCUAGACAUGCAAGCCCCGAAAAUAUCAUCAAAGAGGAGACUAUUGAGCUCGUUAAGAAAGGUCUCCAAAAUCCCAAGAAUCUAUAGUAAGGCUGAAAUUAGUAAGUCAAUCAGCACUUGUAUUUGUGUGACGCAUACUCAUAUAGAUUCACAAGAUGUGCUUUAUUCUAUUCUAUUUUGACUUUAAACAACAGAAAUACCAGUACUUGAAAAUGCACAUGUUUCAAGGUCCCAACUAAUUUUAUAAGCCUCUGUUUGGUUUGGCUUUUGCAAAGCCAGAAUCAAUUCUGGAGCAUUUCAAAAGCAAUUAUGCAAUAUUUAACAUGUUUGGUUUGGCUUUUCAAAAUAGCUUUUAUCCUCCAAAAGCAAUUCUAGUUGAAGCUACAAUUCCUAGCUUCUUACUUUCCUAGAAUCAAUUCUACACCCUCAAUUCUAUUAAUUCCAUCCCUGCCCUCAUUAAUUUUUCUAACCCUUCUCCAACCGAUCAACUUGGAUCUAACUUGGAUCAAUCACAAGUUUUAAAUGUAGUUUCAUCGUCAGAGAUGGAUCGCGUUCGAAACAUAAUCCGCAAUGAAAUUAUUGAGCACAGGCAAAAUAAUUAGUAUUGUACUUUAAAUUAUUAUAUCAAUAUUUUAGUACUAUAAUACACAUUAUGUUAGUUUUGUAAUAAUAUUUUAAUACUCUAUUGCACUUUAAAUUCUAUUAUCUAUUUGUAAUUUUUAUUUUCAUGAUGUUAGUAUUGUAAUACCUUAUAUUUUAGGACUAUAUUGCACUUAAUUAUCUUAAUUUAGUAAUUUCUAUUUAUUUGUAUUUAACUAUGUCUAUUUUGGUAAUUAUACAUUCAAAAGUAAUUUUGAUCAAAACUAUCCAAACAACAAUCAUUCUGUUUAAUCAAUUCUGCAUUAUUGCAUCCAAACAUAAAUCAAUUCUGUCAGAAUCAAUUCUGACAAAAUCAAUUCUUUCAGAAUCAAUUCUGUCAGAAUCAAUUCUGCACACCUCAGAACCAAACACACACUAAGACAUGUUCAAUCAACGACAUAUUUCUUAUUCCCUUUAAAAUGCAAAUAGUAUUUGGUUUUGCUAUUUCUCUUGUUCUAUUUAAAAUUCAACUAUUUAACACCUUGAAAAGUAGCCAAUGCAUUUGUGAGUUUAUUUAUGGACUAAUUCUGUGGUGCUGUAGUGAGCUAGGCAUGCUGUGUACCAACACAAAUUUGUUUCAACCAUUGAAUCCAUAAGUUCCACAAUUGGUUCAAGUGAGAUAUGAUGAAUGGUUGAAAACAAUUGCGCAUUGUACAACACUACCUUAUUUGUGCACCAUAUAAUUAGUCUUAUUGAGUACAGUAAAAAAAGAUAUUGCACGUACCAAAAAUAUAUAUAUUCCAUUCCAAAGGGGAUUAUCAUACAUUCGGUGAAAACAUCUCAAGUAACCUUGUAACAAUUUAAUAAACAAACACCGAAUGCAGUUUUAAUCUUACAAAACCUCCCUGAAACGUCAGAUUCUCAUUAACCAACGCUAUAUCAUCAAAUAUCUGUCAGAUCCAAUAUUACAUCAAUUCAAAAGAAACUAUCACAUCAAGGAAGAGAUAACCAAAGAAACUAGCAACAACUAGUUUUGAAUCUUUCACAAGCUUCCUCAUCGCAACUCAACAAAGUAAAAUGUAAUCUACAUGUUUAUCUCUCACCCAUAAAGAAGGAAAAAUAAAAAGAGAAAGGAGCAAAAUCAGAAUUGGGGGAAAAAAUACUAUCUGCUAGUAACGAUUUAUCUGAAAAUGUCACAUUAAGUCGAACAGCAGCCUCUCUUUGUAUUGGCAGAUGAAUCUGCAACAUUGAUGGUGGUUCCUUGGCCAGGAAGUGAGGUACCAGCUGCUUCCUGAGCUGCAAGUGCUUUUUUGCUUACAAUAUGAUAAAUCUCUGUCAAUAUGGUUUGGAAUGCCUUCUCAAUGUUGGUUGCUUCCAAUGCAGAUGUCUCGAGAAAAGAGAGACCCUCCUUCUCUGCCAAUGCUUGACCGUCAUCCUCUGAAACAGCUCUAAGAUGGUUCAAAUCAGACUUAUUUCCUGCCAUCAUGAUCACUAUGUUAGAAUCCGCAUGGUCCCUUAAUUCACGCAGCCACCGGUUGACAUUGUCAAAGGUUUGCCUCUUGGUAAUGUCAUAUACAAGGAGAGCACCAACAGCUCCUCUGUAAUAGGCACUAGUAAUGGCACGGUACCGCUCCUGACCUGCUGUGUCCCAGAUCUGUGCCUUUACAGUCUUUCCCUCUACCUGUGGAGGAAUACAAAGAAACAACCAUUGGUAACAUUGUAAUACAAACAAGGAUUCAUAGAUAUCUCUGCACAGCAGCAUAUUAAAAAAACUUCCAACACAAGCAAUAGAAAAUCUACUCUCAAAUCUCAAUAUACAUCAUAUCAUAACAUUUGUUUUAAAUUUUAACAACAGAGGUCAAUGAGUUCGUAAUAUUUUUUUAAAAUGGAAAAAAUGUGAGGAGAUUGCACUACUCCAAAGAACACCUUUGGAAUGGUGAUAUAUAGUGUACUGAAGUGGAAUGGAAUAGUUUUCGCUAGUCCCUUUUAGGGGGCGAGGUGAAUGUAAUUUUUUUGGGGCUUUUUGCUAAGAUAAAGACCUUCAGGGUAUUUACCAAUAAAAUUACAUUCACCUUCGCCCCCAAAGGGACUAGAGAAAACUUGAACAGGCAACAUGUUGCAUACAAACAUUGUCAUGCUUCACUAAACCAACCCUUCGGGGUUCUGAAUUCAGAAUAUUUGGUUACUGAUAUGCUUAAACACACAAGAUGAGUUUACAUUUGCAAACUAUAUAUCUAUAUUAACUUACAACAAGUCAAGCUUAGACAUCAAUCAAUAUACUUUUUUCAAUGAACAUGAAUUAGUUCUUUGCACUUGAUCACAGCAAUUGAAGCUAAAAUCAUUCAACUAUAGCAAAUUAGUCGCAAUUUGCAAAAUUCUAAUCAAUCAAAAAUGAAAGAAAAAAAUAAUGUUUAAAUAACUUGGAAAAUUAGAAAUAUUACAAGGAUGAAUUGGAAAAAGAUACACGUUACAAAUAUAUGCAUUAACAACGAAGCUAUCGAAAUUCAACACACAAAAAAAUGGAAGUACCUGAAGGGUUCUGGUGGCGAAUUCAACACCAAUAGUAGAUUUAGACUCCAAACAAAACUCAUUUCUAGUAAACCUAGAGAGAAUGUUGGAUUUACCAACACCAGAAUCCCCGAUCAAAACGAUCUUGAACAAGUAAUCAUACUCAUGAUCCACCCUAUGCGCCAUAGAUCUUCUCCUCUCCGAUCUCUAACAACCUAUCAGAUCCAAUCACAAAAUUCAUUCAGAUCCAAAUUCACACCAUCAAAAUCGCAAAUCAAAACAAAGAAAAUGAAGAAAUAGAUCUAAUAACUGAAUCCGAAAGGAAAAGAAGUUACCGUGAGAAGAGUUGAAUUGAUUUGGUGAAUUUUCUUCAGCGGUUAGUUUGAUUAAGUUUUCUGUGAGAGUGUGAUUUGAAACGGUUCGGGUAAAAAACGAACCGUAGAGAAAGGAAGAAGAAGAGGUAGAAGGUGGAGGUUUUUUCAGAGAGGGGUGGAAAGAAAUGGCCAAUUGGAGAAAACGGAAAUAUCGAUGAUUGAGAAAACACUUACAACGGCGAUUAAAUAACGUAUUAUUUAAUUCAUUUCAUUAAUGUCUUUAAUUAAUUCAUUUAUUUUUUAUUUCAUAUGUUUUUAUAUUGUUGAAAAACGGUGUCGUAUUGGAGUAUAGGACAAAGAAGAUGAAGGUGACUGUGUAGGCAUUGGCAAGCUGGAUGGUGGGUGAAUGAAGUACAAGGUGUCAAUUGCCAGAGAUUUUACACGCUUUUCUUUGUUGGCCACUUUUGUUCCUUUCCUCUUUUCAUAUCGUUUUAAAUUAAUUAAUCAUUAACUGUGUAUAUUAAUAUUGAAUAUUUAAAAUAACAAACUUAUAGUUGUUCUUUCAUCAUUGUUCAGUUGGUAUGAACAAUGUAUUGUUAUAGGCUUAAAUAUGCAAACGCGUUUUGAUUUUCGUCCUUAUAAAAAAAAGAAUUAAAAACAUCUCUGCAAAAAAAAAAUUGUUUUAAAAAAGUCACUGGCCCAACUAUUAAGUUGAAGUGGCAUGGUUUUGGCCACGUGGCAGUUGCUGAUUGUGCAACUUUUGCCACGUGGCGCUGACGUGGCAUGCCACAUAAUUAAUUUUUUUUUAAAAUUCUAAAAAUUCAUUUUUUAAAUUAAAAAAUCUGAAAAUAAAUAUAAAAAUCAUCAAAAAAUUAAAAAAUCAGAAAAAAAAAACUGAAAAUUAAUUUUUUUUAUUUUUAAUUAAUUUUCUUUUCUUCAAAAUUCUGAAAAUUCAUUUUUUUAAAUUAAAAAAUUAAAAAUCAUAAAAAAAAUCUGAAAAUUAAAUUUUCGAUUUUUAGUUAAAAAAUUAUUUUUUUUCAAAAUUCUGAAAAUUCAUUUCUUUAAAUUUGAAAAUCAUAAAAAAGUAAAAAAAAACUGAAAAUAAAAUUUUCGAAAAUUCUUUUUUUUUUUAAUUCUAAAAAUUAAAUUAUAUUUACAAAAGUUAUAAAUUUUGAGAUUAAAUAAUUUUUAAUUUUAUUUUUCAAAAAUUUAUUUCUAGAUUUUAAAAAUACUAAUUUCCAAUUUUUUUCUUCAUAUUUAAAAAAAAAAAAAAUUGAAAUUUUUUUAUGAUUUUUUAAUUUAUUUUCCGUUUUUUUAAUUUUAAAAAAUAAUUCAGAUUUAAAAAUAAAAUAAAAAUUACGUGGAUUGCCACGUUAGGGCCACGUGGCAAAAGUUGCACAUUCAGCAACUGCCACGUGGCCAAAGCCAUCCCAUGUCAGCAAAAAAGUGGGGUCAGGGACCUUUUUGAAACAAAAAAAUUUUUGCAGGGAUGUUUUUAAUUUUUUUUUUUUUUACAAGGACGAAAAUAAACGCGUCCAAAUUAUAGGGACGGAUUGCAUAUUUAAGCCAUUGUUAUAACUCAUUUGACGGCGUCAAUACAUCAUUAUAUGGAGGGAUGAAAGUUCGAACCCUACAUACCUCACUUUCUUUUUUGAAGAAAUCCCUAGAUACCUCACUUAUACACUUGAAAGUGCAUUCUUUUUUCGAAGAAGCGAAAAUGAAACUGUAUUACUGAAUACACAUUCUGACUAUAACAAGGUGUACUAAAGUAGAAUGCAAAGAUAGUUUACAACAUGUUUCAAUAACAAUGAAGCCAAGAGAAUAAAUAAAUUACAAAUCAAUACCCAAGACAAUGUCAACAAUUUCAAGUGGAAUCCAUUUAUUUAGAUUCGAAUAUGGUGUCUCGCAAUUCUAAGUGAGUUUUAAUGGUUUUUGUCACUUUUUAUAAAGAAAAUUUUUUCAUGGUGGUUUUAAAAUAAGGUCGUUAAAUGAAGUUAAUAACGAGUUAAUUUAUACUCCGUAAGCAGAGGUGGUAAAAUGGAUUGAGUUCGUUCAACCAAUUCGUUUAACCAUCUAAUUUAAGCUUGUCAUUUGAAGUCUUGAACUAGACCACCUAAAAUAGUUUAUCUUGUCUAACUUGUUAAAAACUAGAUGUACUUGCAAAAGUACAACAAUCGAUAUUAGGGUUUAGUAUUGUAUUGGUCAUGCCUUGAGAAGGCUCUCAAGGGUGGUAUUUAUAGCCCUAUAUGGGCCUGAUUUAUCGUGACUUUAGUUGUAAGUAAUGAGGGUAUUUAGGUCUUUAUGCCGAGCUCUAUAGGCUUCUAGAAGCUGACUGAGGCGGCGCCCUUGGCCUUGGAGCCCUUUAGAAGGGUGUUGAGGCCUCGAGGAGGGUCCUUAGACCCUUCGGGAGGGCUUCUAGGUCUUUAUGAAGAUAUUGACGGUCCACAGCCUCCCAAGCACGAGUCUUGGGACAAGGCGAGGUAAUUAUUUAACGUUCUUUUCUUUAAAAAUUAUUGCAUCUUGUUGGUUCACAAUUUUUGUAUAUGUCUUUGGAUGCUUUCGCCUGAGCUUUCAGAGCCCCCUUAGGGUGCUUAUGCUUCGUUUCAGAGCCCCCUAGAGUGUAUGUUGAUCGAUCUAUGCGUUCUAUAUAUGUUUAUUGUUCACUAUAAUAGGUGGAUCCACCUGAUCAAUUUAAAAAAUAGAUGGUUUAUGAAUGUCGCUGAUAUAAUAUAAUUACAUUGUUUUUUAACUUUUGAUCAACCUUAACUCCAAUGCUCUGGUUUUAUGGUAAAACAAAAGGCUUUGGACCCAAAAGUCACGAGUUUGAGUUUUGUAAGUGGUUUUGGAGGAAGGCAAAGGUAAAUACACGUGUAAGAUCUUCCUUGCCUUGAAUUGGGUCAUCAUCUCCUCAUCCUAAAUUUACUUUGUAAAAAAAAAUGUACAACCAACCUUAUGAUGCAAUACCUCAUAAUUGAUCCUCUUGUUAAAAUUUAUGAUGGUUACAUGCAAGUGUUAUUAUUUUUAUGAGAUGUGAAUGAUGAAAAAUUAAUAUUUUUAAAGGCUAGCCCAUUGAUAAGCUUAAGUUUCAACUCGACGACUCUAGUAUGAAUGGUGAAAAAAUUCGUACCCACCGAUAUCCACAGAUAAAAUCUGUCACGGGCAUGGUGCUCAUGCCUUAAUGAAUAUCCACAGAAAAAAUAAAUUGAUAUUUCAAUCACUUGUUAUUUUAUGGAUAUGGAUGAUUCAUACUUGUUUUUUUUUACCAACUAAGAAAAUUACAUAAAUAUUUUUACUUAAAUACUCGCUCGGGUCCUAAAUAUAAGAUAAGAUUCUUUUUUCAAGUUCAUAGAAUAAAUGUUUUUGUCGAAUUAAAGAACUUUGUUUUUGUUUAUUGCCCAUAUACCUUAAUUAUUCAAUAACCCUAAAAAGAAACAAGUGGGGUGUCCGGGGUUCGAACCCUGACCCCAGCACAAAUUGUGCAUUAUCCCUUAUCAAAUGAGCUUUUUGUUGAAUUAAAAAACUUUGUUUUUGUUAAAUGUGAUCAACUUUGUGUAUGCUUUUGUUGAUUGUGGGUUGUUGACCCAAUGAACUUUGUUAUUUCAGUAGCUUGAAAUGAUUUUUUUUUUUGAAGGAUGAAAUGAAUUUUUAUGCUUUUGCUGAAUGUGAUGAACUUUUUUAAAAAAAAAAUAAAAAAUGUAUGAAUAUUAUUAUAUUUUAGUAAAAAGAAGAAAAUGAAUAUGAUGAAUUUUCAUUGUGAAAUUUUAGGUAAUUAUAUAUAUUUUUUAAAACAAUCAUUUAGAAGAAUAAUACAUGUGGAUGCUUCAAAAUCCAUGAAUUACUCACUUAGAGGAUACUAAUACGAAUAUAGAGCGGACAUGUAUAUCAUAUUUAUUCAAUAGGACACACACGCAUAUCAUAUUAUUUAUGCUUGUGGAUAUCCAUUUACAUGCAUACACUCAAGAGUCAUGUCCCAACCCCUCCCUUGUGCUUUUGACUAGACAAUUGCGGGGACAAUCUUCACACUAUUAGUGUUUAGAUCUUGUUUGAUUAGUGUUCAAAAAAAAAAAAAGAUCUUGUUUGAUUAGUAGUUUUAAGUAUACAAGUCAACGCGUUCUAAGAUAUAUCGAAAAAUGUAUAAAAAGAUCAUAAAUUUAUUUUUAUCCAAUUGUAUUGAAGGGUGGAUGAGGUGCAACACAAUAACUUCUCAAAGGUCAAACAUCAUAUUACUCUUUUCGUCCAAACAAGUUUAAUUGUAAAUUUUUGAUGAGAUCAAAUGCAUUAACGUUGAUAUGAUUAGACCACAUAAUAAUAAACUAAUAUGAUGUUUGGACAUGUGGCUAAUAGCAUCAUACAUAAAAAUUGUGAAGGUUCAAUUUAAAGAGUUUUAUUUUUUUGGUUACUCACAAUUUAAAGAGUUUGGCUUUUACAUUGAAAAAAGACGUUGAAAACUUUGCAACGUGAGUUUUUUUAUGGAACGGUAAAAUCAAACAUAUACUAAUCAACUUGAUAAAUGUUCAAAGACCAAGCAUUUUCUCAUCAUAUAUAAAAAGACCAAGCAUUUAGUAGUUAUAUACUAUAGACUUUUUCCUCAAAAAAAAAUAAAAAUACUAUAGACUUUUUUGUUUUUGACAAUAUAUAUAUAUAUAUAUAUAUAUAUAUAUAUAUAUAUAUAUAUAUAUAUAUAUAUAUAUAUAUAUAUAUAUAUAUAUAUAAACUUGUCAUCAUCAUCAUAAAGAAAUAGUUAUUGACUCGAUCAGAUAGAGUAGUUGUCAAUUUUUUUUUUCCAUAACUAGUUGUUCAAUAUUUUAUUUAUUCUCUUAAAAGAAAUAGUUUAUUUAUUUUUUGCAUCGUAGAUUUUUUUUAUUUCACACAGAAUGUUGGUUGUUUCAGGUAUAGAAUGUUUCUUUUAGAACAAACUAACAAAGUGAAUUGAUCUUCUCCCAACUGUUUGUGCUCAUUCUCGUCCAACGUAAAUUAACUCACGUUGAAAAAUGCAUCUACGUGAGUUAAGUCACGUUAAAAGUGCACAUGUGUGAGUUAACUCACGUUUUUUUUACAGAAAUAACAAUUCUAAAUGGGAGAAGAACAAUUCUCAUAGAGAAAAAAAAUGUAAAAACCCAUAGAUAAUUGAUAUUCUUCCAUCUAUUUUUAUUUAUUCUUGUCCAAUGUGAGUUAACUAACGCUGCAAAAUAUACCCACUUGAGUUAACUCACGUUAAAAAUGCUCGGCUGAGCAAAUUCUCAAACCCAUAACAUAAUAAUAAUGGGCCUGUCCAUAUCAUUGAUGGACGGGUUAGUGGAACCCAGCCAUUUUCAAUCCAAAAACCCGGUAACAACCCGUUUCAAAACGCGAUUUCCCAUUUUCAUAACCAGAACGAUUCAAGAACACAAGAAAAUAAAAGAUGAAGAAGGAAGAUACAGUGAAGCUAAUCAGUUCCGAUGGAUUCGAAUUCGUCGUUGACAAAGAAGCUGCCAUGGUUUCACAAACCAUUCGCAACAUGCUUACCUCUCCAGGUUUGUUUUUCUUCCUCGAUCACUUUACCUUUUUAUACUUUUUCGAUUGGUGCAAUUAGGUUUACGAAUUCGCUAAUUCAUAUAAGGUUAAGAUUGUUGAAGAUGUGAUCUGUUCUUUGAUAGGGAGUUUUGCUGAAAGGGAACACGGACAAGUAACUUUUCCUGAGAUUAGUUCCACUAUUCUUGAGAAGAUUUGUCAGUAUUUUUAUUGGCAUCUUGAAUUUGCUAGGUAUUUCAUUUUCUUAUUUUCAUGUUAGAAUUGCAAUUGGAGAAAAAUCUGAAAUUUAUGCACACAUUCAUACACUUUGCAAUGAAAUCUGAAAUCUGAAUUGCAAUUGGAAGAUGAUAGAAUAAUUGCAAUGAGAAUGUUUGGUUGUUUUAAGCUCAAAAGUGUGAAUCCAGAUGCCUUGUGAACUGUUCAACAAUUAUGACCUAUGUUUUAGACCAAUAGUGUUCAACUUCGGAUUACCACGACCCAUUUCCCUUGGGAACAGAAGGUUAACACCAAAUAACCAAGCAACCUUACCAUUUUUAGUUUACACUUGACCCGCUAGCCUGCAUCCCUGGUCGUGGCAUGGAAACAUUCACAUCAUCAUUUUAUAAUACCUUUCUCUAGAUUGCUUUUUCAUAAUUUCGUGACUUGAAAUUAUGUUUUUCUUACAGAAGUUAAGCUUUUUCAAUCCCUAAAUUUUAUUUAAGUGUUAUUUAAAUUAUUGUGUUUAUGUUGGUUUUGCUAGUGGAAAGGACAGAGAGUUUCCUAUUGAACCUGAAUUAACUCUGGAGUUAAUGAUGGCUGCCAAUUACCUACAUACUUGAGCAUACCGACUUCCCAAAGGUUCAUGGUUCUCUUCAUUAAUAUUGUAGGCUUUUGUUAUUCAUUGGAUUCUGACAGUAUGUAAUGUUUAAUUUUCACAGUAAUUGUUUUUAAUUGUAAUCUUCCCGCUUUUUACCCUCGACAGGUAAUGCAGCAGAAACUGUUGCUUUGUUUAUGGAGAAGAAUAAGCUACUAUUGUUGUUGCCGUUGUAAACUAUAUACCUGUGACAACUUGAAUAUACCUAUAAUCUGUGUAAUCAAAUGAUAGUUAGAAUCAGCUGUUAGAGUAACCUGAUUGAUGCGUGUCUAGAUUUUUCUGUAAUUCUGUUUCGCUAGUUGGUUCCGUCAGUUGAUCAUACCUUGUUCUAAUUCAACUUUGAUUGCAUAUGUAGCUAAUUAUUUGUAGUGAUAUGUUAACAAUUUGUUUGGUUUAUUUUUAUUGUGAAAAAAUGUUUGAUUUCGUAGUCAUUGGAGAAGUAUAUGACAUUGUUAUUCUCAAUACAGGACAGGACAAAUGGAACAACGUUAAGUGAAAUUAAUUGUUUUUUUUUCUAUAAGUUGACAGAAGUGAUUUUUUCUUCCUUUUCUUCUUGAGCGAAGCACAGCAACGUUGAUUUUAACAAUGAAAAGACACAUAAAAAACUUAAACGUGUAAUAACUUUCAUGUUUUUAUUAGCCGAUGAAGUAAUGGGGUGUUAAUGAACUUGCUAGAGCAUCCAUCUCUUAUGCUCGUCACAACUCACAUUCAUUGCAGCUUGAUUGUAUCUCUUCAGCAACAUCUGGCCUCCAAAACCCUAAUAAACUAAAGAUAUGAAUCAACUAGUUUUCACAACUGAGUAUGCUUGAAAGUUAGCCAUCAUAUCUGAAUGUUGAAUUGAGCAAAGGCUUCUACAUGUUGUCAUCAUGAAAACCCAAUAUAUAGUCAUGUUUAUGGACAGUUGCUGCCUGAAGUGCUGCACACCAUCACUAUAACAACCGCACUAUCAUCGAUGGUGAGCACAACCACACUAUCAUCAAUGACUCGAUGGUGAGCGGAUGGUGUCUGGUUGUUUAUAUUCUUCAGUUGUGUGAGAUGCUCCUCUCCUAUUAAACCUGUCACAACAUGACUAUAAAACAUUUUCUGAAUUGAAGCUAUUGUUGCAAGGAAAAUGAUUGGGGACUAUGAACUUUAAGCAACCAAUUCCUGAGAAGGUUAACUAAUUAAGUCCUUUUUUAUUAAUAUUGAUCCCUUACACAUCAACAAGCAUAUCAUCAACAUGUUGCUAACAGUGUUGGGCGAGAACUACAGUUAGAUGUAACCACAUACAUAUUUAUCCAUAUAUCUAUACAUAUAAAGAAGUAGCUUAUAAAAACAUAAAGGCCUAAAAAACAAGAGAGGUGGAUCAAUUUUGCAAAAUUUGCUCAUUAGCUAUUUAGAUUGUGGGUUACUUUUUUUUUUUUUUUUUUUUUUUUUUUUAGGAAAAUAUUUUGGGUUACUUGCAUACUUAUGGUCUGAUUACUUUCUAAAAUAAAUCGUUGGGAUGAAGAAAAGAUACAAUACAACUAGAAAUGAUUCAUUUCUAGAAAUAAUGAAAAUAACUAUUUCUCCAUUUUUUAUUGUUUCUAAUGUUGACAAUUAUUUAUUUCAAUAGUCACCUAUAUUAAGCUAUAUCCAUUUGUUAACAAAUCAUACUUAUAUCUAAUCUUUCUUACUAAAGCUUGUUUGGUCAAGCAAUUGUUCACCCUAAUUUUAACCUAAUAUUUUUCCUCCAUCACCUAAGCAUUUUAAUUGUAGUUGGUGCUUUUCCUAAUCAUCAAACUAAGUUCAAUUUUUAUAUCUCCCUCCCACAACCUAUUCAGUCUGCCAAUGCAUGCACUUGAUGACAUUUAAUAUACCAUAUUCUUAUUUCUAUGUUUCCAACGUGUGUUCUCAUGCAGAUUUUAUUCUACUCUCUUUCCCAUGCCCAUACAUACAUGCGUUAAUUAAUCCUAACUCUAAAUCCUAAUCAUCAUUUGAAUUUGAAAUUCAAAUUCAUCCUCCAAGCUUUAGUAAUAAAGGCCGAUACAUGUACAGUAUUGUAUGACAUUUACUACCAUUCCCACCCCAUUAUAUAUUCCCAACAUCUCUCUUAUAUCUUCUAUGUAAAUUAAUAUCCACCCUAUUUCCCAUGCAUAUAUGCACUGCACUACAUUUUCUCUCUCUAUAUAUGUGUGUUGUGUUAAGAACUUCAUUUGCAUUUUUCCUUCACACUUCACAUCUUCAAAUAUCUAUUAUAAUCAUGGCUAUGGCUGAUUAAUGAUCGUGCAGUUGAAGUGAUACUCUCCUAUCAUUGCUUAAUUGGUAAUUCUCUCAAUCCUAAUAUUGUGUUGUUUUUACUUUUAAUCCAAACGAUUUUUUUUUCUAACGUAGUGUUUUUAUGUUUAUUUGUGCUAGCACCGUUGAUUUGGAAUCCAGUCAUGGAAAUUGACAAAAUUAUAAAUUCAAUGCGAUUGAAAUAACAUACAUUGUGGAGUUUGAAUUCGAUUGUUUUAGUUUUUACUUCUUUCAAUCUUUCAUCGGUUUGGUUCAUGUUGUUUUUUAAGUGGCAUUGAUAGAUGACUGCGUCAACAAACGAGACUACAUUGUUGUGUUUGGAAUUGUGCCCAACAAGAACUGCAAAAUUUGGGGGGAUGGAAAAGAAUGAUUGAUAAACGUAGGACUAAUUGUUUAUCGAUCUUGUGAACUAUUUGAUGGUACAUUUUUUGUUCUAUUUAUCGAUUAUGUGUUUUGUCAUUAGACAUAUCUUUUUUGGUUCAAGUAGCGUUUCACAAUGUAUCCGUCAGAAUUAAUUGUUGAUGUUUAUAAUAUUCAAACUUCAAUGAGAAAUAUCCUUUAUAUUUUGUCAUUAGCGAAACAUAUGUCAUUAUCAUUUUGGAGUUAGUACUUGCAUACAAUCAUCGGAAUUGAACAAGACUUUAUUCUGCUAUAUGAUGGUUUAUUACAUUAAUCUUCAUAUGCGUUAAUUUUUACUUAUAUACAUGUUUUUUUUUUUUAUAAAAGGAAGGUAUGCAACUGCAUUCAAAAUCUCAUUCACAUUUUCAUACAUUUUUUAGUAAUAUUCCAAUUGUCAACGAUGAAGAGGUAGCUACCUUUGUUAAAUUGACAUUAAAAAUGAAUAAGUAUUGAUGCAAAAUUAGAAAAGAUGUUAAAGGAAAAAAUCGUCUGGAUGUAAAUUGAAAUCAAAAGAGAAUUACCAUUCCUACAAGAUUAGUUUCUACAAAUGAGAAAUUGUGUUAAGAAGAACGAGUCAAUCAUCCAUUUUCAUGGUAAUUAUCACACGAGUCUUAACAUUCAUUUUAACUAAAAGAUAAUUUGAACAGACAGAAUACAGUUAAUGGAUCCCGCAGCUAAAUGCUUUGUAUUACCUUAAACCUUACAACUUCCAAUAUGCGUGCCAUCUUGCAUGUUUUAAGUUUUUGUUGGAAGUUAGGUAUGAUUUUAAAAAGUUACAUCUCACUAAUCUGUCUUUGGAAUACGAUACACCUUUUAUUUUCCCAUGGUGUUCUUAUUGAAGUUAAAUAUUCUCUCCGUUUUAAAAUGAGUGUCGCUUUAUCCAAAAAAAAAAUUGUUUCAAAAUGAAUGUCACUUUACAUUUCCAAUGCAACUUUAAUUUUUUUCUUCCAACUUUACCCUCAAUAAAUACUCCAACUUUUCUCUCUCACACAAUUUUCAAUGCAACUUUAAGUUUGUCAUUUUCUUAUAAAGUAAGGUUAUUUUAGUAAAAUUGUUAUGACAUUUGACUACUUUAUUUCAUUCCUUAAUAUAUGUGCAAUUGGAUAAAGCGACACUCAUUUUAAAACGGAUGAAGUAUUAGUUUGUAAGUUACGAUAACAGUAAUAAAGAAUGUCUUAAAUACAAAUUUAAGUUUAGUGCAUGUUUCCUCAACAAAAAAAAAAAGUUUAGUGCAUGUGAAAGGUCAUUAUAGUGCAUCACCCUUUAGGAAUAGGUUGACUACAAAUAGACAAAUUGAGCUAUAUUAUUAAGUACAGAAAAAUCUCAAUCACUACUAGAAAUAACACUUAUUUUCCCUUCACAACAUUAGUUUAUUUUGGUUUGUCGUGUACUUUGUUGUGACUUAUUAAUAGUAUAAUAUAAUUUUUUCUAUGGCUUAUUUAACAUCAAGGGAAAUAAAUAAUUUAACUUUGAUGUCUAUUAUAGUCUAUAAGACCCGUGCGAUGCACGGGUCAAAAGUAUAGUCUUUGUUAACAUUGCUAAUGACUUUGCAAACCCUAACCCUAAAGUUUUUGGCUCCAAUUCAUUUUGGGCAUUGGAUUGAUCAAUACUAAUCUCAACACAAUCCAACUUCACCUCAGCCCUUGAUCCAAUUUUAAUGGUCUGCACAAAUUACAACACCCACUUCAAAUUCAAUGUGAUGUCGUCUAGAUAUGUGAUCCAAGUAAAGGAUCGAUACGGUGAUGCAGUUCUUUUUGAAUGAUGACAACAGACAUUUAUGGAAAUGCACCAAAACAUUAGUUCGUUGUCCUAAGGUGGAAUACAAGAUAAGUGUGGAUUGGAAGCGAUAUUGUCAGAUUCGUCGGUUGUUUGAAGGAACUGGAAUCAAAAUAGGCGCACCAAACCGAGGAAAAAUUAGUUUUUAUUCAUAACAUUGAAGUGUCAAAUAUGCGUUGUAAUGAUUUUGAAUAUUUUCUGUUGUUUUCGAACUUACAUUAGCUUUAAGUAUUUUCUUUUAAAAUUGCGUAGUGAUAGUGUUGUCGCAGUUUUAGUGUUUAAAUUUCUUUGUUGCAGUUCAGAAGUUUAUCAUGAAUUAAUGUCCAUUUUAUGGCAUAUCUAUUCGACAUUAUAUCAUGAUGUGAUACAAUGAUUUCUAAUUUUAUAGUUUUUAAUAACAUGUCUGAUUAGGUCGUACAUGGUUUCCAAUAUAUCACCUCACUUUAUCCAAUUUUGAAGAUAGUUAUCGGUGAUCAUGAGUUUAUAAUGACUGAACAUAAUUUACAAGCAAACUUUGUUUUUCUACUCAAUAUUAUCUUCAUUAUUUGGCUUGGCACAAUAUUAUCUUCAUUAUUUGGCUUGGCAAAAUUGCUAUUAUCAGUAUACAUGAGUUUCACACUUAAAUUACAUUUCCGUUUAAAUGUAUGCCUCAUGCAAGUGGGUAUACCCUAGAUACAAGUCCAUCGGGGUUAUCAGCAAAGAUAGUUAUCUUACACAGUUAUAUAGAUUAAUAGUGCGAUGUGUCUGAUCAUUAUUAUAGCCGUUGUCUUUGUGAAAUUGCUUAGUGACCAUGUCAUCGCAAUUUAGGAAUUUAAACUUCUAUGUUGCUAUUCAAAUGUAAUAUUGAUUAAUCUAACCCUUAAAAUGCAAUCUUUUAGAUGCAAACAAGUGGAAGAUUAGUGUGAGUAUCCGCAAUCAAACUUAAUCGAGUAUUUUUGGCACCGGAUGAGACUAUGUCUUUGCCUGCAAGUGUUCAUUUUGUCUGGUCAUUAUUAUAGCCGUUUUUUGUGUAUAUUUGUGAAUUGAACAAAGCGUGUGAUCAAUGACAAUCAUAUGCAGACUUUAUAUUCUAGGCAUUUGGGGUAUUGCAAAUCCUGUCUAAACGUGUGCUUUUAUAUAUAUAAGCUGAUAGAGCAAUUUUGUAGCUUCAUCGUACACAUUGACAAUUAUGUAUCAUACACUCAAUUGUGUUGUUUUAGAAUCGAUUGAAUGUUUUUUAAUAGAUUGAAAUACUUUUACGUUUAUUUUCACUGCCUUUUAUUGGGUGCUCAUCUUGUUGAAAUGAAAACAGUUUUAAUAAAACCCUUUAUCCAAUGUUAUAUUACUGCUUGAUAAUUUAAUUGACAGUGUGCAGUAAGUUUUCUAUGGAUAAGAUAAGAAAAAUUGCAUUUGGCCUUCCUGUACCAGGAUUUUCUAUAUAUUUAUACGCUGAUUUAUGGAAUGUGAUUACUUUCCUUAGUUACAUGACAAUUGUAUUUGUAUCAUACUAAAUAUUACAAAUCUAAUUAGGUUAUACCAUUGAAAGUGGUUGUCAAAUUUAGCUUUAAAUAGUGAAGUUCAUAUGGCAAUCUAGAUUUUGUAAAGAUACAUUGCUCAAGCGAGUUUUACUUUUCAUAUUCACUCAUAUGACUUUGAUAGGCACCUAGGCAUAUUAUAGAAGAAAGUGAGGCCAGAUGAUGUACACACACCAAAAUUUCUAAACAUUAUUAAUUUAACUAGUUUUUCGAAUCACAAGAUAACAUUGAAAGUUGGAGUUCCUGUUAUGUUUUGAGAAAUUUGGACAUAACAGCAGGUUUGUGUAAUGGUACUUGAUUGAUAAUUACAAAGAUGGGGAUAUAUGUUUUUGAAGGGAGGGUUAUACUAGGAAGCGGGAUUGGGGAGAAGGUAUAUAUACCAAGGUUGUCGCUGACACCGUCUGAUACGAGAAUUCCUUUCAAAUUUCAGCGCAGACAAUUUCCUAUAGUUGUGUGUUUUGCAAUGACUAUAAACAAAUGUAAAGGGCAAUCACUUAAGCAAGUUGACAUAUAUCUUCCAAAAUCUGUGUAAUCGCAUGGUGAGCUAUAUGUUGCAAUCUCACGUGUUGCAUCAAGAGAUGAUCUAAAGAUAUUAUUAACAGAUGACAAUGAUGAUUGUAUCAACACCACUUCAAAUGUAGUAUAUAAAGAGAUAUUCCAAAAUGUUUGAACAACUGUUGUAUGAUAGUUUCCGUUGAAUUGUUGAGUUAUUUUAUUUUCUAUGUAAUAAAUCAUAUUGCAAUAUAUUAGCUUCCUGCCCGGGUAAAAGUUGUAGUAAAAUUAAUAAAAAUAAAAUUUAGGUUAAUAUAAAUUUAAGUCACUUCACAAAUUUUAAAAAAUAAAUACACAAAAUGUUUUCGAUUAUUUUUAUUGCUUUUGUUUUGUAAGUCACUUCACACAUUAGCGUCUCAACCUUAAACCCUGCUCCAAUAUCUCAGAAGUGCAAUGGCACUUCGAUGUAUCCUUAGAAAAUGGAAAACCCAUCGUUUAACUUCAUCAUUCCUCACACAAUUCACAUCAAAUCCAACAAAAACCAUCAACCCCAUCAGAGACAUUUCAUCUGCAUUAUCUUCAACACACUUUAUUACAUCAUUUGAACACAAAAACGUGACUGGUUUUAGAGAAUACCACGAUGGAAGACCAAGGGGUCCUCUUUGGAGAGGAAAGAAGCUCAUUGGUAAAGAAGCUCUUUAUGUGAUUUCUGGGUUGAAAAGGUUUAAAGAUGACGAAGAAAAGCUUCCUAAGUUCAUCACAACUCAUGUUUUAAGGUUAUUGAAGAUGGAUUUGAUUGCUGUUCUCACUGAACUUGAGCGACAACAGGAAGUUUCUCUCGCUCUCAAGGUUUCUUUUCACUCCCUCUCUUUGUAUCAUUGUUACCCCUUUGUUUUUAUGUUUGUUGCAUGUAACAUGUUUGUUGUAAUGCUUCUGAGAAACCUGUUUGUUUAUUGUUACGUUGGUUCAAUAUAAGCUUUGUUUUAAAUUGAGGUGAAAUCGUAGUCCUUGAUAUUACGUAGAAUCAUGGUCAAAAUGUAUCUGAUACAGCCUCAAUCGCAUAUUCAGGGAGAUCAAAAACCUUGAUGUCGGUAGCCCUGAUCGCUAUUGCAAACAUUUUUUAAAACCUUGAUUGUAGUUUUAAUUUUUUUUUUAGUAAUCCUCAAUUUUAGUCCCUCAUGCAUCGCUCUCUUUUGAUGUCGCUAAGAUAUAUGAAAAUUGAAAAUGGUAGUCUUUAAACUAUAUGAAAGCCAUCAAGUUAGUCCAAAAACUAUAUGAAAUCCGUCAAAUUAGUCCAUCAACUAUAUGAAUUAAUCUUAAGUCCCCGCUGCUGUAUAUUGAGAAGAGGUACUACCGACUAAAGAUGUGGAUUUCAUAUAGUUUAGAGAUCAACUUGAUGGGUUUUGUGUAGUUUAAGACAAAUUAUUGUUUUCAUAUAGUUUAGGGACUAAACGAGUUCAAGAGUUAUUUUGGAUGGACUAAAUUGAUGGUUGACUCAAAAACUUAUGUCAGACUAUCCCCCCCUUUUUCUGGAAAUUAUCGGUUUAUAUUAGGUUUUGGCUUUUACUAGUGGUGAUUAUUAUAACUAUGCCUGUAAUGUUGGCCUUUUUUUUAACAAGUGCUUGUAAUGUUGGCCUUAUGAGUGACUUCAAUGAAUUUACAGGUCUUUCAGGUGAUGCAAAAGCAGGACUGGUACAAGCCUGACAUAUUCCUGUAUAAGGACUUAAUUAUUGCAUUAGCAAGGGCGAAAAGAAUGGAUGAUGUGUUGCAACUGUGGGAAAGUAUGAGGAAGGAGAAUCUGUUCCCUGAUUCUCAGACUUAUACUGAAGUCAUACGGGGCUUCUUGAGUAGCGGAUCUCCUGCAGAUGCGAUGAACGUAUAUGAGGACAUGAAGAAUUCUCCAGAUCCACCAGAGGAGUUGCCAUUCAGAAUUUUGUUGAAAGGUCUCCUGCCACAUCCUCUUUUGAGAAACAAAGUGAAACAAGAUUUUGAAGAGAUCUUUCCUGAUUCCAGUAUUUAUGAUCCACCGCAGGAGAUAUUUGGUGCACGCUGAGGUUUGAACCCUUACUCUCUUCCUCUCUCUCUGCUGUCCCAUGUUCAAAGUUUUCUUUUAAAGAAACUUUGUUGUUUUCCCUUUGCAUUCAUGGAAACAUUAGGGACAAGGUACAAUAUUUAGAGGAUCCUCCAGAAUUGUACAUUUGUGAAUAUAUUUGAUAUAUUAGUGAGCUGUGACUUAUGAGUCUAAAGAUAAACAGAUAGUCAAGUUGGUAGUGUUAAGCUGGUAUGGAAAAGAUAUAUUUGAUAUAUUUGUGAGCUGUGACUUAUGAGUCAAAAGAUAAACAGAUAGUCAAGUUGGUAGUGUUAAGCUGGUAUGGAAAAGAUAUGAAAAAGUGUCAACAAUAAAGAAUAAGUUAUUGAUUUAAGACAUGAUAUCCGGUUCUGCCAUUUGUUAGCAAGUACUGCCUUUAAGGAUGAAAAUAGUUUUGGUAAAGUAAAAGGCUUCAGCCAUUAGUUGUCUUUUCUUUUUCCAUGUGAAAAAUUGCUGCUCUAUAAUUUUGCAUACUUUUAAAAUUUAAUCUUUGCUUUCCUAAUAACUCGCCAAGUGAAAUUUCUAGGAACUAAUGCUUUUAUACAAUUCCAAUACCCUCUUCUGUAUAAAUAGUUGCUCCUUGGAGAUGCAUUAUGGAAGAAGCAGGAUUGUGCAACAAAUGUGGAAGUAGUAAUUGUGGAUUAUGACUUCUGUCAUUAAAGUUUUGUGUGCAUUACUGGGUUCUGUGCUGGCUAGUUUGUAGACCAGGAUUGAUAUUUACUGUUUACUGUUAUUGAGUCCUCACUUGAUGAAGGUAAAGGUUUUAACGUUGAAACUGAUUGAACUUCCCUCAAUGGGGAAUCCACCUUAUCUGUAAUGUACAAAAUUGUCUUGGAAAGAAAAAGGAAAUCAUCAUCAUUAUUUUUUGCCCGGCAGUUUUUAUGAUGGAUAUUACCUUGCAUAAUGAAGGUUGAAUGAGACAGCAGCUUGUAUAUUUUAUCUACAGGGUCAAUCCAAAUGAUCUUGUUAGACAUCUGCUAUAACACAAACUCGCUUAUUUUUCAAAUGUGAAGUGUAUCCAUUUCAAAUUCCAUUGCAAUCAAAUUAUUUGCAGCUGUCAAUAUAUUCUACCUUUACAAAAAUGUGUACAUCAAGUUUCAGCUUUCUGUUCCUAAUUCCUUACCCUUUCAUAAUUUACAUCUUUGUUGAACAAACUUUUAUACAUUUGCAACCAUUUUUUUAGAUGUUCGUUUCGUAAUUAAUAUUUGAGAAUUCACGUUGGAUUGGAUUGUCAAAUGCUUACCUCUUUUCAUAUAAUACACAAGUCUUAGUGAAAUUAGUUAACCCAUAUCAAUGCCAAUAGAUUUGAUUUCUACAUGUAAACUCGUAAAACUGCUGCUACUUACUUGGGUUAAAAGAAAAAAUUGAAACAAAAUUAGAUUGAACUCUGGAUUGUCACUUUUUCUCUAAUUUGAUAUCUAAAAUUUAAAAGCCUACUAACCUAUUAAUGACCUUUUCUUCUGGAACCAUUCCAUGCAGACCAUUUGUAUUAUAUUCUGGCAGCACGGUCAUUAAUGACAAACUUUACAACACUCGGUCAAUGAAAUUUGCCUAGGUUAUUGGGAGAUUAGUAGUUCUUGAAUGAUAUCAAAAUAUAUAUAUUUUGCAUUCUAUCCAAUGUCAAGUGGCCAGCCAAAUUAGAGACAUUGGGAAAUUGUUACACUUAUUGCCACCAUUUCCAGUAAGAACAUGUGAAGUAGCCUCCAAUUGAGGUUUUGUGGUUGAAUUUGCUCUCAGAAAAUUUUGGUAUGUAAUCAGGAAUUGUUGGUUUGGAUAAAAGAAAAAAAGUUGCAAAUUAAUCGGAUUGUUAGAGAAACUUAAACUUGAGGAAGACAUAGAUAUCAGAAAGAACUAUGAGAGUCACAAACAAUAGGCAUAAUCACAUUUCACAUCUCAUAUAUGAAAUAAAAUUUGAAUGUUACACCUUCCUGGAGAAUUUGGACCCAGUCUCUUUAAAAUAUUUUAUACAUUUGAUUAAUACACUGAUUAUUAACAACAAUAUAAACAUCUUUAAAAAAAAAUAAAAAUAUAAACAUCAUUCCUUUUGAUUGAUCAAACACUAUUUUGAAUUUAUAUAUACAUGUUUGCAAUGAUAACGUUAACGAGUAAAAGCAUAGAGGACAAGAAUAACAUAGAUAAGUAACGCAGUAGGAACAAGAAAAAGCAAAGGAGCAACAGCAGCCAAAGUAUAAUGACUCCCACAAGCCAAAGUUCCCAACUUAAUCUGAACCAAAUCAACCAAAGCCAUAACCAAAAACCCACAUCCAAAAACCGAUCCAAAAGCCGAAACUAAAGUUCCCAAUCUCAAACCAACAGUAUUAACUUCCGCAGCAAGUUCGGCAUAACCCUGCACCAAGUAAUUUCUAGCAGCAGCUCCAUCAACACCUUUGCUAAUAUUGAUGACAUUUUUUAUAGCCAAAGCGAUGAGGCUUGAGAAAAGGAAGGAGCUGAAGGAGUAGACAUGGUACUUCAUGAGGCUUUCGGCGAUUGAGGGUCCGGCUAUGCAAGCAGGAUUGUCUCCAACUAAAGCGUUGUUCGUGUUGGUGGAUGUGAUCCCGAGGAAUAGUGCUAAUGUGAAGAGUGAGUUAACGUUGACGAUUCCGUCUAAGGCCAUAAUGUGAAUACUGGUUGUUGUUAGGUUCCGGCGUGAUAUGGUAGACAUUGCCGGCGAGAUUGUGGCACUGGUGGUGGAAUCAAAAAGGUGGAGAAAACAUAGCGUAAUAGUUUAUGUUUUCUUUGAUAAUAAGAAGAAGGUGCCGUUUUGUUAAAUUCAUCAUAUGUUACAAACUUAGUAUAACUAUCGCUUGCAAGCAACAUUAAUGUAUGAGUGCGUCGCGCAGAAGCUUGGAACCCACUUAAGAGAGAGAGAUGUUUCAAAAAAAUUAAAAUAAAAAUAUUUUUUCGCCGUUGCCGGGGAUCGAACCCGGGUCGUCCGCGUGACAGGCGGAAAUACUUACCACUAUACUACAACGACUCAUUUGUUAAAGCUUGAAGACUGUAUAUAUUUAUUUAUUUUCUUCUUCCCACACUUUAAAUUUAACGAGUGUGAGAUGAUUGCGGUCUCUACAUACUCUUUUAGAGGGGAACGAAUUUGGAAGCUAAAAUACAUUAACUUAAGUAGAGUUUAGUUCUAUAGCUGAUCUAAAGAAACGAAGAUUGUGGAAUGAAUGCUUCAUAUAGUCAUUGCUCAUUUGGGUGCCAAAAAUCUUAGUUACGAUGAUUUCUUAAAACAAAUUAAAACAUGUUCUGGUACACCAAAAAUUCAUAUUUGUAAAUCGAAAUUAAUAGAGUUUUUGUGAAUUCUCACACUUUUUAACUUAUCGAGUCACCUUAUAACAAACCAACAAUACCUCCGAAAAAUGGUGAAACAACCAUAAAGUCGGAACAAAUUCUUUACAUGACAAGCAUAUAUUGAAUGAUCAAUGAAUCAAAAGCAUAACACAAAGUCAAACGGGAGAGAAUAUAACUCUUAUUCCAACGCCACCUCCAUCCCCCACUCUCCUUCUCUCGCUCGACUUUCCCACUCCUAAUGCCUUCUUUAGUUUUGCUCACCCUUACGAGAAACAUGCCCACACACAUUAAACACGCAAGAUGGAAGAAGAGUGACCAGACCAUACAAUGAUACACCUUCAACUGCGAAGAGAGAGAGAGCUUUGACAAUGGUUGAAAGGUCUCUAUGGAAAUAAGUUUUGUUCUUGAAUUUCAAUUUGAUCCAAGUUUGUGAUAAAUUUCUUAUGAAAUUGUUGAUGAGUUUUUCUUUUUCCCUUAUUUUCAGUUACAUUUCCCUCUGUGUAUUGCUUGCAUUUUCACUUCUUCUUGGCCUUGAAAUUAAUUUUAAUAUUGUACUGAAAAUUGGCCCACUGUGAAAACUCGUUUGACAGACCAACGCCAACUCACUCACCUCUAAUAGGUUAUAAAGCACUUGCUUCUGUUGAUAGCUGUUUUUAGAUGACCAAGAGCAAUGCAUUAGACAUAUAACAAAGAUACAUUGCCAUUAUUGUUUAAAUUGAUCGAAAGGUUUAGGGAUGAAGUCGUUGUUAAAGAAAGCCAAACCACCUGAAGAUGAACACAACAAACAAGACAGAAUAUCCCGAAAGCAAAGGGUUGAUGAUUAUGCGGCACACAAAGACAGUAAAAAUAAAAUAUAAAACAUGGCAAUCCACUCCAUGUUAGGUCGCAAGUUUGAAACAGAUCCAUCACAAAGCUCAAUUAUUCACACACUUUUGGCUCUAGCUUAAGCACUUAUAUAAACUAAUAAUAGAGUCUUGAGAAACUAGUGCUUGAUGAAUACUUAAUAAUCAAGUUUUAAGUAGACCAUAAAUAAGCACAUGUAAGAACUGAGGGAACGGUCAUUUGCAAAGAUCAACCAAACACAGCAGCAGCGUAUCAGACGGUAGGAGCGACAGAUUCUUUCACAAUUGUUACAGGGCAACUUGCAUUUGAAGUGACAUAAGUGGACACACUCCCCAGCAAAACCCUACAAUCAACCAAAAAAUAAACAUCAUUGAGAAAUUAAAACCAUCUAUCAAUUCAUUUUGUUAAUUAAUAAGUUUGUUUAUUUCAAUAUCUUCGGGAUACAAAAACCCCACCAAGUCCCUCAUCCAAGAGAAUCAGGCUAUAAAACUCAAGUCAAGAUUAAUUUGACAGUGUUGUUUACACAGAUGGUUAGUAUGCCUUCUUGACAGUUCAUGUGAUCUUAUUCUGAUGCAUGAUUAUAUCACUAAGGCUAAAUGAAACCAGCUAAAGGAUCAUGCUUUAAAAAAUUUAAAUGAAAAAAGGGAUUAAUAAGAAACGAUUAAGUCCCAAAUUGGACCCGGAAUUUGUAAGUCCUUCACAUUAUCAAUAUUCUAAAAUAAUCUCUAAAAUUGCAAAAUGUUACUCCGUCCGUUUUUAAAUAUAGGGUCAUGUUAACCGGUGUCCCCAAAGCAAAUUACAAUACUCAAUUUCAAGUACCAAAUAAUAGCAUAUUUCAAUAAAGAAAAAACACACACACAAACACAAAGAAAACAAACCAAAGUAGUACCUUUGUAUAGCACCCAAACCUCUGCUACCCAUAACCAAAGCAUCAAGCUUCAAAUCCCCAACAGAAUCAACAAUUUUCUCUCUUGCAUCUCCCCAGUAUACCUUCCCCACCACAGUCACCUAUACACAAUUCAACUUAAGUCAAACCUCAAGAAACAUCUUACAAAAAACAUUAACUUAACCAAAUUCAAACAAUAAUUAAUUAAAACAUUAAAAAAAAAAAAACCUGUUUCUGUCUAGAAGCAGUAUCAAGUAUGUCCAAAACCUCAGCAUCAGGGUCCACUUCAUACUGGUGCACCACGUUCUUCUCACGAAACUCCGACAACGGGAUCAAAGCUUAACCCACAUCAACAUAAUCAUAAUCCUAUAAUUCUUAUCAACAAAAAUUAAUUUUUUUUAUGAAAGUUUAAUUAAAAGCUGUUACUUACGAGAACCAGUGGUUGCCCAAAGAAGAUUACGAGAUUCAGUGGGAUGGGAAUGAUUGACAUGAACGAUAUAGAGUGUAUCACCGGUACGAAGAAGAUUGUCGAUAGCCCAUUUGAGAGCGAUCUUGCUUCCUUUGGAGAAAUCUAAAGCUACACCAAUUUGCCUUCCACUCGCCAUGUUUUUCUUUUUGGUGAACAGCACAAGUUCUGAACUAUGAUAAGAUAUUCACAAGUCACCUAUGACUAUGAGCUUUCAACUUUGUAGUGGCCAGGUGGAUUGAUGGUCGGAACCUGUCAAUCAAUUUUUUUUUUUGCAAAAUUACACUUUUACUUUUAGUUUUAGUUCCUGAAUUUAAUUUAAAGUAACAGUUUGGUCAUUUAUUUUAUUUUUAUUUUCAUUUUAAUUAGGUACUUUUUAUCUAUUUUUAUAUGAACUUUUAAGCUUAAAAUUCAUGAUUUUAUUUUUUUAUGGUCUUUCAGUCUUCAAAUUUAUGAUUCUCUUCUAUGUUUGCAUAAGAAUAUUAGAUUCGAAGCUUGAAAAUGUAUAUGAAAAUGGACAAAAAGAACAAAAUUGAAAUCGAAAAAAGAUAAAAGACGAAACUAUUACCUGAAAUUAAGUUUGGGACUAAAAGUAUAAUUUUGCCUCAAUUUUUUCACUGUUUUUUCUUUUCGAAUUGGCUAUUUUUUUUAUUUUUUUUUUCUUCUGGAUAAUUUAAUGGUCAGAAUUCACCUUAUACGGUGAAUAAAUAAGUGGGGUUCGAACCCCAACCCUGUAUGUAUAUAAUAAUGGAUUGUCCUAACAAAUGAAUUAUGCUCACGGGAAUGCUACUUUACUCAUCGUAUCGAAUUUUCUUUAUUUCACAUUAUUUUUUUAUUUUUAUUUUUUGAAUUUUUUUUUAACAAUAUUUUUUUUUUUAAAAGGUUAUAUCAAGUUUUUUUUGAAAGAAAAAAGUUUAUAUCAAGUUAUUUGUCUCUUUUUUAUUAUUCUUUUCCACCAACAUACAGUUAUUUAUUACAUUUUUAAUUAUCUUUAACUUUUAUACUGACUAUAAUUAACUAUAAUGGUGUUUUAGUAAUAAAUGGAAGUUUACUUUUCUUUUUAAAAAAAUGUUGAAUAUGAGUGCUCAAAAAGAGAAAAAGUUUAAUAUGAGUGGUCAUUAUAUUUCUUUAUAAAUAGGAGCCGAUUUUAAUAGAAAUUAUAUCCGAAGAGAGUAAUAAAAUACUCUAUCAGCUUCUUUAUCUCCAUCAAGCGUUUUCGAUUCAUUUUUUAACAAGUUAUCAAUACAAGACUCUAUCAUAUUGCAAAGUAUAUAAUUAUUGAUCUUUCUAUAAAUAUGUAGAUAUUUUGUAAUUUUGUAUCGAUGAUUGCAACAUCCUCACGACUUCUAGGAUUGUCGACUGACCUGAGAAUCGACACGGGUCUUUUUAACGUGUUUUUUCUUCACUCACACGCUUUCUACAAAACUUUUCAGAAGGUCACGCAUCCCAAAAUUGUUCUAACUCAAGCAUGUUUAUUUGCAGAGUUCUUAUGGAAUGGGCUACCCAAAAAAUAUGCAUCUUGUUCGUAUAGGUAGUAUCAAAUAAUUCUUAUAUGUCUUACUUUAACCAUGUAGUCUCAUACCUGCACACGACCUCAGGAACCCUCUCAUUCCGAUGUGAAUUCGGUUUUCCUAAAAGAUGUCAGGAGUCGUUCAUUGCCAUGUCUUGUGCACUGGAGACUACUCUCCGUCCUUGUUAGCCUAGAGUGUUACUAUGAUUUGUUGAUUAUAUUGUCAAAAUUCAAUCAAUUGGUAUGAGAGUCUCUUGAUGGAACAAGAAUUUAGCCGAGGCUCGGCUGAUGUCCUCAACCGUGAUUCCUUUUCUUCAAGUACAAUGUUUUUAUCAACUUUGUCCCUCGACUGCUCCGGUGGAGCCUUGAGUACAACAAUAAGCCUUAAAUGAGUAGCAGGAAUGGAAUACCACUUCAUACUAAUUUUGUGCUUCAUGUGAGUGACAUAAUAUAGACGGUGAAGGUAAAGAUGAUGAUGAAUUGAAUGCAGAUACCUCAAAAGAUUACUUAAAAAAUGCUCAUGAUCAAGGCAUGUCAUUGAGAAAACAAGAUAGUUCAUAUCAUGCCACAACAUAUUUGUCAUGGUACGUACCAAAGAGAAAGUAGAUUGAUACCACUAAUUAGUCACACGGGUAUUGAACUCAAGAUUAUAGGUCAUUCAUUACGGUAAACCAAGACUAAAAAAGGUUCCCUAAUUACCAUCCUCUAUAGUAAUGAAAUUAUUCCACAACUCCCUAACCACAUCACAAUCUUUCAGGGCCUCUCGAACAAAGAUCAUGAGUUAUACAAUGAUGCAUCCUCUCAACAUUAUUAAGAAGCUUAGAAUUGGACCACUUCCAAAGGAAAGUUUGGAUUAUGAGUGGACAUCUCCACUUAUUAUAAGAAACGUUGAAAUUGGGAGAAGGGUUCGAGGUAGGAACAUCAUCAAAUAACACCUGGUACGUAAGCCGAUUUAAUAUUUCAUAAUGUGGAACAAAUUUACAAUAACUCGAUCAUGGGGAUUCAUGUUGGUCAUUUUCAACAUCCAUAUUUUCAUGAUAAUAUGGACUUUCCAUUCCAUCAACAAGUUAGUUAGGAAUAGCUUCAAAUAACAGACGAACCAAAAAUCAAAUAUGGAGGUUUGAAUUUUUGAAGCAGACAUAUCUCAUUGUUACUAUUUUUCUUACCACUACUUUCUUGGUUAUCAAUUGGGAGAAUGAAUUAAUGACUAGAGAAUAAACCAAACUAUCUUGUUGAGAAGAAAGAUGGCCAUGCAAUAAAGCAGAAUUAUCAAUUGAUUUAUGACGAGGAUUACCUUUAGGGUUGGUCUUUAAUUGGGUCGUCUAAUAAUUCCUCGAGCCGCUCUUUAUGAAGCAAUAUACACCACAUAGUAAGUGUGAUGUAUUGGUUUGGAUCCGGGUAAAAGGGUACAAUCUAGUCUAACGAAAAUAUCAAUAUUGCUAGUUGAAUUAGACCAUACAAACAUGUAUCCAUGUUCCUUCAAAAAUAACAUGUAUCCAUGUGUGUAUGCAUGUACAUGUACAUAAGAUAAAAUAUUUUUUAAAAAUAAAUGUGAAAUAUCAUUUGCGGAAGUUAUAUGAUUAUAAUAGAUACCGUCUUGGGUGCAUGACCUUCAUUGGUUACUCACGUAGGAAACCAUAAAAAAGACAUUUUUUUUUAUAACUAAAAUGACUUUUAAGUGUGCUCCUCUGAAGAUCUCAGGUUCGAUUUUCUCUGGUGCUAAGUUCGGUGGGCAAAUCCAUACAAAACUUUGCUAUAGUUUUAAAUGGGGCUCUCGCAAGUGGGUGGUAGGAUUGAUCCCAUCAGAUUAGUCGGUCCUUGGAUCAGAUACCGAGUUUAAAAAAAAAAAAAAAAAGAAUUUUUAAACAGCAAAAACAUAAACAUUUAUACUUAAUUCAUGUUUUGUUAAAACAUUAAUAAAAAAAAAAGGAGAGAUUGUCAUAAUAUUCUACCCAUUUUUGAAAAAUUUCAUUGAAAAAUAUGAAGACUAGACAUAGGUUAACUAAAAAUAGAGACAAAAAAAUGAUGAUGAAAAACUUUUGGAGGAUUAAAAAAAAAGUAACAAAAAUUUUAGUGGGGCUAAAUGAAAAAUUAAUAUAUUUAUAGAAACUAAAAAUAUAUUUAACCAUUCAUUUAAUGACAGGGUUAAUUUUGAAAAUUCUUAUUAAUUAAAACAUUAUUAUCCCACUUAGAGGUCAUAAUAUUUUUCCAAAAAUAAAAAAUAAAAAUUUGGUCUUCUUUAUGGUCUUAUACAGUGGGAGACCUAUGUAAGUCAUGCACCCUAGACCGUACCAUUAUAAUAAGUUAGUUUUUUAAAAAAAAUUUGUUACAAAUUGGUUUUAAGUCAUAAAAUAUCUGCAUCAUUAUCCUAUUUUCAUCAAACUCGCGCAAAAAGUGUUUCACCGCUCUCAAAACUAGAACUCAUAUGUGUAAUAUUUAGUCUUGAUUUGAAAUAAAAUUGAUCGUUUAUUGGAUUUAUAAUAUCAAUGAUGAAAUAUUUAUCUGUAAAAUUAUACUUUGAAUUCAAAAACAAGAAGAAAAUGUGCAUUAAUAAUCAUAUUCUAUAUCAUAAACACUUUUGAACUUACCACCUCAAUGUUUUUUUUUUAAGUAACAAAACUCUGUAUUAAUCAAUAAAAUUGUUACACGUGUUUAGAUUUGGCGACUUUUCCUCCAUUACGACAUCAACGCUAAAUGGUCCAUAAACACUUUUUUAAUGAAUAUGAUUGAAAAAAUGGAUAAUGAUGUAAAUAUUUUAUGACUCUAAAGACCAAUUUGUAACAAAGAAAAACUUAAAGAACCAAAUUGUAAUAAAAAAGACUUAAAUGAUUACGGAAGGUAUUUGACCAAAAAUAUAAAAAAAAUUAAUACUUUUAAAAUACAUAAAGAGGUUAAGGUUCUGGUGAUUUGUUUUGCUGUAAACAUGUUUGGUUGGUGCAGGUUCGAGUCCUCAUGGGAUUUUUUUUUUUUUUUUAUUAAAAAAAAUACAUAUUUGCAAGUAUCUCUGAAAUAUCAUUAUGGGGCACAUCCUCAGUUUUAUAGUGUCCACACUACUUAAGUCAGAUCCUCAAGCAUUAAUAAUGGAUUAGUCCAAAUGGUAAAAGACUUUAGCCCCCUUUUUUUUUUUUGGUAAAAUGACAAAAGAAAAAGAAAAAAGGGAAGAAAAAAAAACCCUAAAAACAGGGCUCAGCAUGGGGGAAUCAAGCCUCAAGACUCACUUCAACUCUAAUGGAGGAGCAUGCCAAAAAGUCACACCUAAUCUUGAAGAGCGCCUGAGGUUGACCAAGAAAUUUGCGCAAUGGUUACCCUCUCGAAGCACAUGUUGGAAAGAAAUGUUACGAAUAUGCUCCUUUAACCCAAAAAUCUUCACCAAGAGAGACUUUAGCCCCUUUUAAUUAUGGAUGUUCGCUUGUAAUUGUAAUUUAUUCACCUGUUUUGUUCUUUUGGUCGUGCUUUGCUCUAUUUAGCACCUAUAUUGUACAUACUCUUUCGUGAUUGCCCCUUGCACGCCUUGUGCAGGGUAAAUCACCGUUGUUAAUAUAUAUCAUUUUUGUUUGUUAAAAAAAAGUAUAUAAUAAAUGGUUAUGCAUAUGAAAAAAAAAUCUGAUUGAGAUAGAAUAAUCCAUCUUAUAUACUCCCUCGGUUUUUAAAUAUAAGCAAAUUUUAACUUUUAGAUUCAUUCAAUUAAUUAUGUAUAUGGUCUACAUUAUAGACCACAUACAUCAUUAAUUGAAUGAAUUUAAAAAUUAAAAUUUACUUAUAAUAAAAAAUGGAGAGAGUAUUUUUUUUUUUGACGGAAAUUAAUCACGGUCAAAAGAUGAUGAAAACUUUAUACCACAGCGAUAAAUAAAGUCAGACCCCAAACACUUCGCCUUGGCCCACCCUUUAACUACCAAACCUUAUUUUUUGCAAAAUAGCGCAAAUCUUGGCUCAUACUACAUCUUUGCUUCCCGCAGGAAAAUCUAUUAUUAUUGGGCUUAAAGCCUUAAUUAAACCUUAGGUUAGGCCCUCUUAAUUUGUCGGAUUAAAUUGUCGAUCUUCUCCACCUGUCCUCCCCUAAUCUUAUUUAACAACUCUCACCUAUAAAUAAAAGUGGUCUCUCCCAAAUCCAUUUUCUUCCGCAAGGGACUUUUUUGAGAGGGGACACACAUGUUUCUCUCAUCAUCAAAGUACUAAUACUCAUUAAACCUUCCCCCUACCUUAACCUAUUUCAUCAUUGCCAUUCAUUCUUAAUUAUCAUGGCUGUUGACCUACACACUGGUAAUGGCAGUGGGGACUCAUCACUUCCUUAUGAUUCGUUACUCCAGCCAUCAACGGACUUAACUCACUCCAACAAAUUCAACAUCAACGGUUCUGAUUCAAAUCAAGAGAUUCUGAUUUCUCCUGAUUUUGGAUCUCAUACAUAUACUACUCCACCUCCUCAUUCCGUCGAGCCACAACAGCUGCAAGGGAAGGAAGACGAUCUCUUUGAUGAGCUAACCCAACAACAUAUGCAUAUGGUUAACUCCAUGCUCAAUUCAUCAGACAUUCCUUCCGAGUAUUGCGGCGAAUCGGUACUACUUUUUUUUUUUUUUUUUUUUCUCUGACUCGAGGAAUUAGUCUCUGCCGUUUUUUUUUUCUUCUUUAUUUAUUUUAUUAACUUGUUUAUGAUCUAAUCUUUGCGUCUUCAUCAGUUGAAGCCAUUGGACUCAAUGAGUUGCUGGUCUCAAACAUCUCUUUGGUCACCUUUAUGCUCAAAUCAGGGGAGUUCUGAAGGCUCUUUGUCUCCAAAGGAACCAUCUGAGCCGGGAAACAGCCAUGAUUCUGAUUGCUUCGACCUGCUUAAGAUGCUUGACAAGAUGAAAUUCGACGAAAGUGACAGUUCUAGAUACCAUCCAAGCUCGGAGAUGGAGAGUUCUCAGUCCCAUGCUGUUGGAGUUUGUUCAUCAAACCAAUUUCUACUUAAUGCACAAAUUCGAGCUAAUCAGGUAUAACAACACAACCACCUCUAUUUCACUGCUCAAGUAUUGUUUGUUUAUUGCUAUGAAGCGCAGACAUUCUUCGAAUUAAGCAUAUCUCACACCUACACAUUUAAUUUUAUUGAUUUUUUAAAAUUUUUACAUGUAUUAAUGUGUCAGUGUUAAUAUCAUGUCCGUUUAUUUCAAUCACAUGAUGUAAUUAAUUUUCAUCUUAUAUAUAGAUGUCUAGACAAAGGAUAGAGCAGAUGCUGUCAUUAGAGCAAAAACUUGCAGCUUAUAGAGAAAGUCAUGGCCAUUUGUCCCCACAAAUUCAGAAGAAUGGUAAAGAAGAUGAUGUUAGAUUUGGGAUGGCACCUUUGCAACGGCCUGGUCCUAUGCACCAGCAGGCAGGUUCGGAGAAGCGGACAGAUUUUCAGGGAGCAACCGGUUCAAGAGGCACAUCAUGUGGGACAGGUGUUUUCUUGCCACGUGGUGGAGUCAGUGCUUUUCAGUCACAUCAGACUAAGAGACCUGGUAUGCAACAAACUAACUAUGUGAUCUUCCCCGUUUACCGACUUUAAUGUGUUUACUUUUAAUAUUGUAAGUAUGGUUUUAAAUUGUGGUCCGCAAUCGUUAAAUGACAUUAUUGCUGCAAUUUAAACCACAUUGGAUGCAAUUUAUUGCAAUGUACAAGGUUUGCAAUUUAUCUGCAACUACAAUUUAAAAUCAUGAUUGGAUGAGUUAAACACGAGUUUAGAUACACAAAAUUUAAAAUAAAAUAGUAUUUUAAUAAUUGAAAUUGUGUGGAUUUGUGAAUUUAGUCCCUUAAAUUGAACAAUGUAAGUCAAGUUGAUAUUUUCUUUUCAAGUUUAUCACCAAAAUUUAAGUGUUAUAUGUUUGUUUUAAUGUAGUAAGAGGCUAUUCCAGCCAAGCUUACAUUUAGAUCUUUCAUUAGUUUUUAUGGAUGGCCAUUAAAGAGACGGUUUGAUUGAAGAUUUUAUUCAGGUUCUUUAACUCAAAUGACUAAUUUUCUAUUUCUUAAUUUUGAAGGAUUAAAUUGUUGGACUUCUACAAUUUUAAGGAUCUAAAUGUAAUUGAUUAUGAAAUUGAUUUUGAUAUGCUCUAUUGAUGUCUAUUGAAAUUGAGUUUGUCCGCACAACUAAAGUUAAAAUUUGUAGCCUUUUGAGUUUAAACAUUUUCUUCAACUCAUUGUUACCUAAACAUGUAUAAAUAUAAACCAUUUUAUGUUCAACUAAUUUUUAAUUAAAAUCAUUUUUACUGAAUUAAUUUUAAUAACCACAUAACCAAACAUUUACUUAAAUCUAAGAUUUUGGUGUUGGGUUGAAUUGUUUACUAUAAUUGUUUGUUAGCUAGUAGUUGAGGUAGUUGGUUAUUGACAUGGAAUAUCAACCCAACAGUACAUCUAAUAUGCCUUUCAUUUUUCAACUCUAUAUUGAUUUAUUGUGACCGACCCUACAUGUGGCUACAUUACUAUUCAUUCAUUCAUUCAAGAUAUUUAUUUCAAUAAAAUAUUCUUCCAUGUUUGAACCAUGUAGUCUUCUCUUAUCCAUCUUCGGUGUGGUGCACAUGUUUGAUACCAUCCAUUGUUUCUUUUUUGAAAAGUAGGACAUCAAUUAUAAAGACACUUUCUGUAACAGUUGUGACCAAUUUUGCUGAUUCUCCCUAGCAAUUAUCUGUUUGGUGUACACAUUUCAUUGGAAUUUAAUGUUUACAUGUGAUUUGGUCAGGUAAAGGUUGCUCCACUGUUCUUAUACCCGAGAGAGUAGUACAAGCUUUGCAACUCCACUUCGAUCAAAUUGCUGCCACAUCUGGACCUAAACCUCGUGUCUUCCCUCCCCUACAUGGUACCUUCUUAUAGUCUUUUCUUUAAUAAAUAUUCACUUUGGUUCUAAAAUGUGUGAUCCAUAUUAAUAACAAUAGAUGUGUGUUUUCUUAGUCAAUUUGAUCUUUGAAUAUUUCUUUUAUCAAUUUGUUUGAUUCUUAUAGACCAUUUGAUGUGGGUAUAGUUAACCCCCUUAACUUAAAAAAAUUAACAUAUAUUCAUGUAUUUUGUAUUUAAAAGCCCUUGAUUUUUUUUGCACCACUAACUCAAGAGACCCAAUAACUCAAAUGUUUGAAACAUGAGGUUAGAGUGUCCCGGUUACGUCACUGCUUAUAGAUAUUUUUGUUUUCACAUGCAUUUGGAGACUAUAGUAAAAAACACCUCUUACAAAAAAAAUAUUAGAUUUUGGCUUUGAACAAAGUUUAUUUAUUUCACGAAAAACUAAGGUUUUUAUAUGAAAAGUGCUAACAUCUAUAAUAUUUUCUUCAGUCAGUCAAUAAACUAUUGUUUUCUCCCUGAUAUCUUCAGUGCUGUUGUAAUAUCAACCAUUCUUUAAUAUUUAUAUAUAACUGCUAUUACUCUUGUUAUUAUUUUUCAAGUUUACUUUGACUGCAAGUCUUUUGAGAAAAGGGAAAAAAAUGUUAGGUUCACUGAUUUUAGCAUUUAAAAGUUUGUGCAAUUCUCACUUUAAUAUUUAAAUACCAAAGUGAAAGCAACUUUCUAGAUUGUCUCAGUUACUGACUAUAUAAAAUUGCAAAUUGAUUGCAGAUGUUUUAGUGAGUACUAAUAGGGAUGGCAUGUAUUCCCUACAGAAGCGUCAAUCGCGGAAGAAACAAACACAAAUUCAGAAUGAGAUGAUUCUGCCUCGAGAGUGGACCUAUUGAAGCAGAAGUGCAGCAGACUGUAGUAGUGCCAUUUGUAGCAACUUUUUCUUUAGUUUUGUUACAGAUUCAUGUUAGUACUUGUGUGGUUUCUGCCAAUUAAAGCAGAAUAAAGUAAUAAAGAAAAGCUGGUUGAAGAGGGAUAAAUAAAAUUCCCAAAUGACUAAAUCCUUUUUCAGAUUCAUUGGAUUUAUAUGUAGGGAAAUAUUUUGGAUCUAAUACUGUAUCAUGAUUAGAUUAGAUAGUAAAAAUUAUGGAUUGUUAAGGAUAUAUAUCUUGCUUUGUUUUAUGCUUCUACCUUAAUUCUUGUGUAAGAGGCGAUCCAAGGAUGGAUGAUACAGAACAAAUUAACAUUGAAAUCUUUUCUGAUUAAUGUGGCCUUGAUUUCUUCAUAUGUUACUUAGUUUAGCCAGGUGACGAUUGUUAGUAAUUUUAUGCUAAAAUUGUCUAAUAAGUAGCAUUUACCAAAUCUUGUGGGUGGAGUCUAUUUUAAGUUCUUAUUUUUUUUCAAAUAUUGGAGAAAAAAUAGUGCAAGUAUUCCUUAAGGCUUUGAUUGGGAGUUUAGAGGGGAAGGGAGUGGAGGGUUUUGGAAAAAAGGAAGGAGCAAGUGGAAGGAAUAAAAGACAUUGGGAGGAGAGGGCUUUGGAAGUUAAUUUUUUACUCAUAAUAAAAAAUUCCCUUCAUUUGGCGAAACUCAAAAAUUGUAUUGGGGGAGGGUUUUGGGGGGUUAUGGAGGGUUUAUAUGAAUUUUUCAAAUUUAAUCUAUGUUGUUAUAAUCUUAAAAUUAAAAGUAUAUUAAUCAUAAGAAUUAGUUUAUCAUUCUCUAAAAAACUGUUCUUUCAAAAAAUGUGAAUUUUUUGUCCAUUUUUCUAUAUAUUUCCAAAUCCCCAAAGCUUUCCCCUCCCUUCCCCUCGAAACUCCCAAACAAAGCCUAAGAGAAAUGUGUCCCACCAAAACUUUUUUCUUAAGAGAAAAACCCCACUAAAAUUAACUUGAAAAAUAAGAUUUGAGUGAUAUCUAAUAUCCUAAGAGGUUAACCAUUUCUAAUUUCUUCGUAAAAAGUCAUGUGUAUUGGUGUCUGAUAUACAAAUUUUUUCAUAGUUCUUUGGUUUAUGAUGAACGAAUAGUAAUAACUGAAUUGAUCAAAACAACUAAAUUAAAACUGACGCUGUGUGAUACAAAUGACAUAUUAGUCGUUUAGCUAUUUAGUCCAAGGUUCAAUCUCAGAUCCAUGCAUACGAAAAUAUGUUAGUAAAUAUCAACCUCUUAAAUGUAUCGCAUUCAUCUUGAAUAAUUAAUCUUGUAGUCGUUCAUUAAAUUGUCUUUUUUUUUAAGAACAUUAAAGUGUCUUCUUUUACUUGGAAAAAACAACCAAACUAGUUGUCAUUGCUAAAAUUCUAGAAAAUGUAAAAUACGUCAAGUGGAUAUGACAAUUAAUUAACUUUUCUUUAGGUUUCUUUUUAUUUGACUAACCAUAUAUCCACAUAAGAAAAAACAAAGGAAAGAUCUUAAAGAUUACUCAAGGAGAUAAUAAUAAAUUUGCAAAUUGCAAAGUAGACGUAGUUAGCAUGCUACAAGUAGAACAUAUCCAGUGUCGGGUAGUGGAUAGUGGGUUUGCACAUCAGUCUCACAUAUGGCAGUUGACGUUGAAAUAUGGGCGUGCAUUAGGAGUUAAUUAGAUUCCUUGGCUUUCAAGGUCUGUUUACAAAUGGACUUAUAAAAAUAAAACAUCCUUUAAUUUAGUCAAACUCUUGAUUUAAUUUGUCCAUAAUAUACGUAUUUUUUCUUUGUGAUGAUGAUGUCUUGAUGCAUUUUAAUCUUAUCAUGCGUACGAUUUUUGAACUUAUCAUGCGCAGUGUUACACACACAUUCAUAAAAAAAUAACUGUAAAUUAAAUGACAAACAACGCCAUAAAUUCAUAUACAUAAUGAUAGAUUUCAGGUUCGAACACAAGACACCAUAAAAUAAUGUUCAGUUCAACAAUAUGGUGUUAUCAGUUGUGUUAAGUCUUAUGGAUGCAUAUAUAAUUUUUUUUACAACUGUUCGAUAAAACAAUUGUAGGGAUACCACAAAAAUUAAUAGGGUUAAUUAAGUUUUUGGUCCCUAUAAAUAUCUGCAGUUUUGUUUUUAGUCCCUAUAAAAAUAAAUCACAUUUUUUAGUCCCUACAAAUAUUUCUGUUAGUGUUUUUAGUCCCUGUUAAAUUAAAAUUUGUUUAAUUAUGCUUAAACUUCUAAAUUUUUGAAAGAUUUUUUACAUACAUGUUCAUAACAUCAUAAGACACUCUUUUGUAAAAAAAAAUUUAUUUUUUUAACAUGUAAUGAAUUAAAUAUAAAUUUUUUUAAAAGCCAAAUUUUCAAGAUUAUAUUAAUGAAAAUUUGGACCUAAUAAUAAAAUUUUAAGUUACUUUUUUGCGGAGGAACUUUGUAUAAUAUUCUAAGUAAGUAUGUGAAAAAUAUGUUACAAAUUUAAAAGUUUAAGCACAAUUAAGCAAAUUUUAAUUUUACAAGGACUAAAAGUAUGUGUUGGUCCCUAUUAAAUUGAAAUUUGUUUAAUUAUACUUAAACUUUUAUAUUUUUAAAUGAUUUUUAACAGACAUGUUAAGAACAUUAUAAUAAUCUCUUUUAUAAAAAAUUAGAAUUUUUUAACAUGUAAUGAAUUAAAUAUAAUUUUUUUAAAACGCCAAAAAUUCAAGAUAAAACUAACGAAAAUUUGGACCUAAAAAUAAAAUUUUGAGCUAAUUUAUUGUGGCGGAACCUUUUAUAAUGUUUUAAACAAGUAUGUAAAAAAUCAUUAAAAAAUUUAAAAUUUUAAGCAUAAUUAAACAAAUUUUAAUUUAACAGGGACUAAAAACACUAACGGAAAAUUUUGUAAAGACUAAAAAAUGUAAUUUAUUUUUAUAGGGACUAAAAACAAAACUGCAGAUAUUUAUAGGGACCAAAAACUUAAUUAACCCAAAUUAAUAUUAAUAUAAUAGAGUGAUAUAUAUAUAUAUAUAUAUAUAUAUAUAUAUAUAUAUAUAUAUAUAUAUAUAUAUAUAUGUGUGUGUGUGUGUGUGUGUGUGUGACAUGAAACUAUAAAGAGAUUACAUUCAUCGAAGAUGCAUCAUACAUAUUUUUUAAAACUUGAUAUCCGAUUCAAAAGUUGACUAAUUUAAAGAUGCAUCAUACAUAUUGAUUUAGGUAGGUGAUGGAGGUGACCGAAAUGCUCAUAUUCUAUCAGUAACGACUACUUACGGCAUGAUCAAGUUGACUGAAACCUAUAUGGUUGAGAUUGUUAGGUUGUAUGGUGUACCUUCAAGAUUGUGUCGGAUCGAGAUCCUAAAUUUACAUCUCAUUUUUUAAAAGAGUUGCAUGUAGUGUUGAGAACACAGUUGAGUCCGAGUUCAGCUUAUCAUCCACAUGAAGCUUACAAAAAUAGUUAUCGUGCGGGUAUUGGAAAGGCGCCAUAUGAAGCUUUGUAUGGAUGGUAGUGUCAGACACAUUUAUGUUAGUAUCAUGAUGGUGGAGUAUGUUGAUAGACCAUUAGAAUUUGAGCAAGAAGAUCGUCUAUUUCUUCAUAUCACGCCUACCACAGAAGUGGGGAAAAAACUCAAACCAAGGAAGUUAACGCCAAAGUUUUUAGGGUCGUAACAGAUUACCGCAAGGGUUGACCGGUGGUAUAUCAAAUUGUGUUACCAGUGAUGCUAUCUCAGAAUCAUGAUGUUUUUCAGGUGUCCUAAUUGUGGAAGUCCAUUUCAAAUCUAUCGCACACGAUAGCACCAAAUACUAUUCAAUAUUCAUAGAAAAACUUAUCUUUUGAGGUAACACUAGUUAGGAUUGAGGAUACAAAGUGAUGACGUUGAGAAAUAAAGAAGUACCAUUGUUGAAAGUUAAUUAGAAACAAACCCGAGGAAUGCGACUUGGGGGAUGGAAAGCAAGAUGAUAAAAUUAUACCAUGGGUUAUUCAUUGACACCUUGAGGACGCGACUUCUUUUUAAAGGGUAGUAAUGUAAGAUCCAUAGUUUAGUUUUAGCUAGUGCUAGGGUUUUAGACUGUUGAAAGUAGGAUUUUUGUCGUGAACCUAAGUUUUUGCUCUGUUGAACAUAAUUGUGAGUGUUGUUUGUUUAUUGUGAAUGAGUUAAACAUGAUUAUGUGGUUUGUGCAAGCAUGGUUAAUAGUGCGAUAUGGUUUAUGUUGUGCUAUUUGGAUUUUGUUUUGUUUUGUGUAUGUUACGACAAAUUUUGGAUUUAAGGAAAAUCGGGCAAGAAUUCAUCUAUCGCUAAAAUGUGAGUGGGCUCUAAUGAUCAUCAAAUUUUAACCUUUUUUUUUUAUUUUGAGAAAAUCAAAUUUUAACCUUUGAAAUUAUAUAUCAUUGUAGCGAGAUAUUUGACUCAUUACGUUUUUAAAAUGUUCUAGAAUGAGAACUCCGCUUAAAAAAUAAUUGUCACAAGUGAGUGAAUUUUAUUAAUUAUGAGAUAUGGUAAGAUAUUGUAAAUUGUUUGAGGUGUUCAUUUGGUAUCGAGAGAAUUAGACCUAGAUUUAAGUUAGUGACACAUGAUUAGAACCAAAAUAAGCCGGGUUCAGUUGGUUUCAAAAAUCUAUAAAUAGCACUCUUUCUCUCCAAGAAACACAAAAACACAAAAUUUCUCCCCUCCUUUCUCUCUCAAACCUGCGACGUACUCCCUUUCCCACAUCUCUCUCAUUUUUCAUCUAAUUGCUUCCAUUUUGGUCUUGAAUCGACGGUCUUUGUGAAUCCUAGCUGCCCACACUAGAUCCAUCGGUAAACAAAAAUAAUUUAUCCCCCCUUUCUCUCUCUUUUGUGCGCAACAAAACAUAUGGAAAAGGGCGGUUAUUCUAGUAUUUACUAUUUUUGACUUUGUUAAUGGGAUAGAAUAUGUAUGUAUGAGUCUGAAUCAAUAAAAUAUCUUUGUUUGGAUUGUUAUAAGAUUUUGGCGAUUAUGAAAAUGUUUCAAAAUUUUGAUUUUAUUUGAAAGAUAUGUUUGUAGUGGAUAAAUUGUUGAUUUGAGUGGUUUAGUUUUUAAGAAACUUCAUUUUCAUUAUUAUACAAAAAUACAAGAGUAAAAUGGUUAUUUUUCGUCAGUAUUUAUGAUGAAAAUUUGACCAUUAAAUUCGUCUCGUUGAAAUCUUCGUUAUGGACAUAUGGUUGCGGCAUUUGGACACAGAUUCAAGGAGUUAUGAUUUUACUAAAAAGAUGUAUGACCAGUGUCGAAACGUUACUACUGAAAAUGUCUUUUGGUUUACUCUGAAUCUGUGCAUAUUGUCUAAGCCUGCUGUAAAAGGAGACUGUGCCAACAAUUCAACAGAAAAAUUAUACUACUUCGGAAAAUAUGAAAACAGAAAAUACUUCGGAAAAUGUUUCAGUGGAUCGAUAAUUUUUGUUGUCAUGCCAUGACUCUAAAUAUUUUGGGAACUUUAGUUUUGAAAAUGUCUUGAGAACAAAACAUUCGAAGAAAGUACAACAUGCAAGCACACAUGGAAUGGUAAAUGGCAUCAAAGUAAACAUUUUAUAUAGGAUUAAAUAUGUUUUUAAUCCUUAUAAAUAUAUCAAUUUUUUGUUUUAGUCUCUCUAAAAUUUUCCUUCAAUUUUUAGUCCCUAUAAAAUUUUCAAUCUUUACUUUUGGUCCUCGUUUAAUAAUCUUCAAUUUUUAGUCCCUAUAAAAAAAAAAUUAAUAAAAUUUUGCAGAAAAAUGUAUAAUAUUAUAAGGACCUCUCCCAAAAAAAAAUUAGAAUUUUUUACCAAAACAUGAAUUAAAUAUGAAUUUUUAUAUUUUUGGCGGUAAAAAAUCAUAUUUAAUUCAUGUUUUAUUAAAAAAUUCAAAAAAAAUUUGGGAGUGAUUUUUACAAUAUUCCAUGAAUUUAUGCACAAUUUCAUUAAAAAAUACAAAAAUUUACUUAAAAAUAGGGACUAAAAGUAGUGAUUGAAAAUUUUAUGGGGAUUAAAAGUUGAAGGAAAAUUUUAGAGGGACUAAAACGAAAAGUUGAUAUAUUUAUAGGGACCAAAAACAUAUUUAACCCUUUUAUAUAUAAGAUGAAAUAACGUACACUUAGCCUAGAGAUGUAGUAUCUAUAUGUGUUUUAUAAUCCAUUUGGCAUAUCACGUGUAAAUGAUUCCUAAAUAUGAAAUUGACUCCGCAGAGGAUCGUAAGUAGUCUCCAAAUAAAAUGUACAAUCAAAUGAUGUGACUCCAUCUCGACUUAAUUAAUUAUGAUGGGAAUCACACAAGACAUCCUGACCCAAUGUAGUGCAGAUUGACGAACGCCAUACUAUGAAAUGCAUGGAAAUCCCACUUGACAUAUGCCAUCGUCAACUCCUUUGUUCUUCAUUUUCUUGCCUCCAUAACUUCAUGCGAUGUCUUGAUUUGUCAGUUUACAUGAUUUCUCUCUAAUGACUCAAAAACCUAUGAAAUUACCAGUUUUCAGAAGAAAUAAAAUUGCAUGGACUCAAAUGAAAAUAAUACAUAAUGUCUCUUAAACCAUAAGCAAUUCUAGAGGUGUCAAAUGUGCUAGCUCGACGCAUGCCCGAGAGGCAUGACUACAUAAUUAGGUCAACCCGGCCCAACCCAUUAAUGAUUGGGUCACCAAUUCUAGUGUCCGACUCAAUUCGUUUGGGUCAUGGACCAGCCCGAACCGACUCAUUUAUUUAUUUAUUGACUCUUUAUAUGUUUUUUUUUAUUUAUAUUUAUUAGUUUCUCACAAUUAUCUAUUUACUAAAACAUGAUUGGAUUGACAUAGAAGUGUAAAUAAUUUUUACAUUAACAUUAAAUAUUAGUUAAAUUUUUUAUUUAUAAUUUCAAUUGAAUCAAAUUAAUACUUUAUAAACUUAAAAAAAAUUAGCUAAGUUUAUUUAUUUUUACUAAGUUUACAUAUUUAAAUAUCUUUUUAUUAAUAAUUUUUUAAUUAGUUGAUAAUUUUUUUAAUAGAAAUCAAAUAAAAAUUGUUAUACUUGGCCGACGCGAAGCCCGAAGGGCUAGCAUGGCCCAACCCAAUUUUAUAUGGCAUAAAUAGAUUAGGGCCAAAAAGCCCGAGUGUAUUUGGGCUAAUUAUUAUUAGGCUCAAUCUAGUUCAAAAUAUGAGCUAAUGAGUCGACCCAUUAGCCCGACCUAUUUUUUACAGUUUUAAACAACACCUCUAAAAUAUUUCUAAAAUAACCUCAAAGUCUACUAAUACGACUCAAAGCAUAGUUAAAAUAUUAUCGAAUAUCUUAUCAUCAUACCUACCCAUGUAUUUUAUGUUUGUGUUAUGUGAAAAUGAUGUUUGCUUGUUCAAAUACUUAAUAUCCAAAACAAUCGCUUGAGGACAAACAAUGAUUUAAACAUUGAAAAAUUGGAUAGCUUAGUAUUCUACCUAUUUAUAUAGUUUAUUUUGUCUACUAUUUUAGGUUUUUUGGUAAGGUUUUAGAUCUCUUUCACUACCUUUUUGUUUGAUUUUAUUUAUAGGAGAAAUCAUGGAACAAGUGAAGAAGUUCAUGCAAAAGUUUAUGUUUUCAAGGUUUAGAAGUUGGACGAUGAAGUGAUACAGCCUAAGGACAAGACAAAUGAGAUCAAAUGGUAAAAUCCUAUAUGCAUUAUUACGCCCACCCGUAAAGGCCAUUCAUGAUCGUAACAAUAUUAGAGAGAAGUGACUUCAUACAAAAUUAGAGAGAGAGAGAGAGAGGAUUACCACCACCCUUAACUCUCUUAGUCUUUAAGUUUUACGACCACGAGCCUGAAAAUCCAUCCCUCUUCACUUGUAACAUAUCAAAAACUCUUAGUUUUACUAAUUCUUGUAUUUGCAACUUUCCAAAUCUUAAUUCAAUUCUGGUUUUUCUUAUGCUUCUAAUACUUUUGUAGUGCUUUAUCAUGUAUACUAUAAUCAUAAGUGAAUAGACUUUCGAUGUCUUGGGAUUAUGGGAGAAAUGCAACGAUUGAUUUCCUAUAAAUUCCAAUUCUUUCUACUUGUUAUGGUUUUAAGUCUUUUAUCCAAUCUUGGUGGUUUCUUUGCUUUUAAAUGUUUUGGUCAUGUAUUUGCAUGAUAUUGGAUAUCAACCGGUGGAUUGAAAGGCGAUGUUUGAUACCCAAUAUAAAAGAUUGGACAAGCGAAUUGAAAAUAUGACAAUAGUCUAAAUUCUUUUGAGAUGAUAAAAGAUAAUUGCGUUUAAUAAGGCUUUGAUUGGGAGUUUGGAGGAGAAUGAAGGGGAGGAUUUUGAAAAAAAGAAAGGAGCAAGUGGAAGGAAUAAAAGAUAUUGGGAAGAGAGAGCUUUCGAUGUUAAUUUUUUACUCAUAAUAAAAAAUUUCCCUUAUUUGGGAGAACUCAAAAAUUGUAUUGGGGGGAGGGUUUUGGGUGUUGGAAUAUUUUAUUAUUUAAUAAUAUUUCAAUAUCAUUAUGUGGGCAAAUAUCGUAAUAAUAAUUAUAUUAGCUAUUUAUAAAUUGUGAGCCUUAAUUGAUUAGUGAUCAAAUUAAGUAAUAAGGCUAAUUAGAUUUCUAUUUUGGAUAUUUAAAUAUUUAAUUAGUUGAUAUGGACUCAACAUGAGUGGAUGUCCGGAUGGCCCAUUAACGGAAUAAUGGGAAACCCUAAUGGUCAUCCAAUAUAAAAGAGGCUAUGUCCCCAAUACACCGUACACGGCAAUACUCUCUCUUCUCCCCAUCUGAAGAGAACUUGAGGCAUAAAGGUACCGGUUGAGGAAGAACCAAAUCAGCCGCCGCUAACUCUAUUGUGUGUUUCAGAUCAUCUCCUCUCUUUGGUUAUCGUUGUUGAUUAGAGGGCUGCUAUGAAAGUUUUAUCCAGGUAUUCCUAAUACCCUAAUUCUUAAUAACCUUGAUAAAUCAAACAUGUCGUAGAUACGAUCAUAAUCAUGUUCAAUGUUUUGUUUGCUUCCGCUAUUGAUUCAUAAUUGUUGAACAUGUUUUAUGAAAUCUAUUUAUUAAGACCUAAAUUUCCAACAAGUGGUAUCAGAGCGGUCUUCAUGUUUGAUUUAUUAGAUUGAUCGAGUUUUGUGAAUUUUGUGGUCUGAAUUUUUUGGUCUGUGCACACGCAUAUCUAUAUAUUGAAAAUUCAUGGUGUUUACACGUGAACAUAAAAGCUUAAUAAUUAAAGUUUUUUUUAUUUGUUUUGAUUGACGGAGAUCACGAUCAGUGUAUUGGAAUUCUGUUUGCUCUAUAUAUACUGUCGUUCAAUUUCUGGUGUUUCAUUUAGGCUUCAAUUUCACUCACUAGUUUCUUCAGUUGGUUAAAGAAAUAAGGGUUUUGUUUUUUUUUUUUUUUUUGUAUGGAUUUUAUGUUCUUUUCCUAUUUCGUAUAAAACUUAUUCUAUUUGGGAACUUAAUAUUAAGUGAUAAUCAUAUGGCUGAAUAAAGUUUCGGUGGAUCAAGUUGUUUUGCAAUUAAAAUUGGUAAAAGUAAGUUCCGGUAACAUAUAUAUUUGAUAUAAUGUGAGCUUAUGCUCAUUGACUGUGGUUUUCUUUUGAAUCAUCAAUUAUGUUUUCUCUUGAAUUUGAAAUACAAAGAUAUAAAGCUUCUUUUGUUAAUUUGCUGGCUCUUAUUUUUCAAUGACUUUGCUUUAGUGUUGUUUGGUCAUGGAUAUUUUUAUUUUGUGGAGUUUAAAAUCAAAUAUUUUGAUCUGUAUGUGAAUGUCAUAAAAGUAAAGUCUUUAUUUUGGAAUAUGAAGCAACGAGAAACUUGAUUCAAUUGCUUGUGUUUUCGUCAACCAACAUAUUUGUGUGUGCUGUGUUUUGUUAGUGUGAUGAAUUAAAGGAACGAACAUUGAAACACUAUUUGAUGAUUAGAUUUGUCAAAGUCCCUGUGUUUUUUUUUUUUUUUUUUUUUUUUUUUUUGUCUUUGCUUGGAUACGUGCAUCAAAUUUUGUCAAUUUUUCUAGGUUAUUUGAGUUUAAACCACUGUUAGCCACGUAUUCGAUCAUUUUUUUUUUCUUCCGGAUCUUAUACAUUAAUAUGUGAUAUAUAAUUGUGGGUUUGGAUCUAGAAAUUUUGUGUGCUUUCCUAAAAGUGAAGUCUUUUUCAAAGUAAAUUUUGUAGAAUUUGUAAACAUUAAUUUAGUUUCGUCAUUAUUUUCUUUUGACGGACAAAGUUUAUAGCUCUAGCAAGAUAGAAUUUGGUUUUGAUUCACACAUAGUUUAUACAUAAAGUUUAUUUUGAGAAAUAAGCAAAUAAGAGUUAAAAUAUAUUUAUGAUAUAUAUGUUGUCUGUUGAUAAGAAUCUAAAAAAAAAAAAAAAAAAAUAUUUGCCCUCAUUUGGUAGUACAGAAAAUAAGGUUUUGAUUCUUUAAAUUUUGAAAAAUAUUAAUAUUUGAACUCUAGAAGUGUUUGUUUAUUUAUAAACAUAUAAAGUUUGUUUCCUUAUUUAGAAAAUAAUUGAGUCUAGAGUUAUUCAUUAUUUCAUUUAAAAAAUCAUUUCGUAUAUGUGAAUCAAUUGUGGUAUGAAUAUUUUGGUAUAUAUAAGAUUCAAUUUUCUUUUGAUUUGAAAUUGAAUAUUUUUGCUUAUAGUAUGAUCAUGAUGUUUGAGUUUAUUGUUAUUAAGUUUUCUACAAUAAUUCUUUGUCAUUAUCAUGCAUUUUGAAUAUAUUUCAUGCUAUGUUUGUUGUUGCUUUUAUGCGAUAUAUUUAAAUGUAUUGUCGUACACGCAUUGGUGUGAUUUGUGACUUGCAUCUUCUUUCAAAUUCGUGAGUUUGUAUUCAUACUUAAAGUAUUGUCAUACACACAUUGGUGUGAUUUGUGACUUUCAUUUUUUUUCUUUUCAAAUUCGUGAAUUUGUCUUCACACUUAAGGGUUGUCGAGUGACCUUAUGUUACUUAGCAACAUAAUGGACUAAUUCAGCUUACAUUAUGUCGGCAGUGCCUUGUAAAUUUAAGACCAUUCCCAUUUAACCUCUGUUGUGUAGAUUUGAUUCAAUUGAACUUACAAAAGACGUAGUAUGGAAUUAUUCAUGCGAGUUGUCGUCGGCCCCAAGGAAGGCACAACUUGGCCGAAUAGUUGCAUGCGUGUGAUAUUAAAUGUGUGGUGAUUAUAAAGUAAUUUUCCAUGUGAAUAAUAGGAUACCUGUAUGUGACUAUUAUUUGACAGGACUUAUCACCUCAUUUAAUAUAUAUUAAGAUUAUCUAGUAACUGCGGUUGAGUCGGUUGAAACAAUAAUGUUGCCCAAGUAACCUCUGUUGCGUAGAUUCGACUUAAUUGAAGUUACAAAAGAUAGUGUGUAACCAUUUAUGCGAGUUGUCGUCGGCCCCAAGGAAGGCACAACUUGGCCGGAUAGUUACAUACCUGUGAUGGUAAAUAUGUGGUGAUUAUAACGUAAUUAUCCAUGUGGAUAAUAGGAUGCCCAAAGGUGACUAUUAUUUGACAGGACUUAUCACCAAUGUUUGAUCAUUACAUUGAGAGUACCGCUUGCAGUUAAUUCUUAGCAAUCCAAAGAUUGUGUUUUAAUGGUGUGCUUGGUAUCUUGUUAAGGUCUUUUAUUUACAACUAAAGAAACACAUUUCUUUAAUAUUUUACUGACAUGUGUGUUGAUGUUGUGUUAGUGUAAACUUAUUUAAUUAUUUAAGAGUUUACAUUCGCAUAUAUUACGAUAAGCAUGUGACAAUUAUAAGAAUUUAUUCUUUGUCAAAGUAAAUUGUCAUUGUUUGAUCAUUGUUGUAAACUACCACUAGCAAUUGAUAUUAAUGUAAGAAGAAUUGAUAUUGAUGGUGCACUAGGUAUUUUGGUGAGUACUUUUGCUUCUCUUAUUCUCUUUAAACUAAUAUAGUUUAUGUAUCUGUUAAUUUGAGUUAAAUUUUAACUCUUAAAAGUUCUUUUAGGAAUUAAAGAAUAAUAUUAAUAUUGUUCUUGGAUCUAGACCUUAGAUAAGGGUGGUGAAACUCACAUUCUCUCACAAAUUCAGUACCUAAUGUGAGAAUCAAGUUUGACUAGUGAGUAUACACCAAAUUUCGUAGGUCACGUGUGAUCAUUAAGCUAAAAUAUUGUAUGUAUUAGAGGUGUUAUUAAAAUGACAAAAAUUUUGUCAUAUUUUCUUUGCUUAAACUAAGGUGUUUUUUUUUAAAAGCAAUAUAGAGAAAGACAAGCUCUCAUUGGAGAGUGGGUAUUUCGUUAAGGUUAUUAGGCAAAGAAAAUGUUAGGAGCACAUUAUGUAAACAUUUAAUCUUUGCUAAGACGCUAAAAAUUCGACUAUCAUAUGACUUGUUCAAAAAUUCAGUAAUUUCGACUAUCAUAUGAAGGGUUAUGAAGGGUUCAUAUGAAUUUUUCAAAUUCAAUCUUUGUUGUUAUAAUAUUCUUAAAAUUAAAAGUAUAUUAAUCAUAAGUAUUAGUUUAUCAUUCUCUAAAAAGCUGUUCUUUCAAAAAAUGUGAAUUUUUUGUCCAUUUUUCUAUAUAUUUCCAAACCCCCAAAGCUCUUCCCCUCCCUUCACCUCCAAACUUCCAAACAAAGCCUAAAUGUUGUCAUGAUUCCACCAAUUCAAAAUACACAUUUGCAUCUGCGAAAGGAGACAUGGGUCAUCAUAGUUUAUCCCAUCUUUAAAGCCUUAAUCUCUAUAACAAGUAAGAUGAAUUGGGGUUGUAGUUGAAUCAUUGUGACAAAUCAAAAUCUGGAGGCGUUGUUUGGUUAUUAUUGCAGAAUUUUUCAACCAAAAUCAUGUCUCGAACAACUGUUCUUUUUAGCUAAUCAUCAGAGAAAACAAAAUUGAUACUCGACAUAGUCCUCGUGGAUUUGAUAUUUUAAUUGCACGAUAGAACUAUGCGCUUGCGACCUAUCAAUAGAUGGCAAAUUCUAUGGUACACCCAAUAAAUUUGGGUGUAUUGGUACACCAAGUCGUAAAAUUAAUAAUAAAUGAGUUGUUUUUUGAAGAAAAAUAAUUAUUUUCUAUCAUUGACAACUAAGAUAAUUAAAUUUUAUAUACCAAAAGUUUCGACGAAAUAAAAUUUAAUUUUUAAGAAUUUUUUAUUACUCAUAACAAUGAAUAUUGAUUAUUUUUUAUGACAAAAUGUAAAUUUUGUAAUAUGAUCCUUAUAAACAAUGAAAUGAUGAUUUUUUUUAUGAAAUGAUGUUUUCUAAAAUAUAAAUAUUGACAAAUACCUUUUUAUUUCAUUAAAGUGAUCUUUAAUUUAUAUAUUUUGUGAAACAAGAGUACCGGUACACUUAAAAUUGUGAGUGUACCAUAGAAGUUCUCAUCAAUAGAUAAAGGGAUAUUACUUAUCUUCCUUCCCACAAGUCUGUUGUCUCCAAAGAUGGGCCAUUGAGAAAUCUCAAUGAAUCCGAAGACACAAACUAUCUCGAGAAGAAUCCAUUGGCGCAAUGCAAGUUUCACAUAAGAAACGGGGAGUAAAGAUGCAAUAUUGAAGAGAGUGAUAGUUACUUAUGAAGUAAAAUGUGAAAUAUAUAGUGCUGCAAAGGAAUGAUAACCCGUGAAGUGGUUGUAACGCUAGUGUUUUGUGCAAUCAUGGCUUAGCGACCAAGUAAUUAUAAAUUGUUCGACAAAGCCCAAAUGCUCGGCAAAGUUCAAAAGGUCGACAAAUCAAGGAUCACAUUUGAUGCACACACUAAAGCAAUAUCAGUUUUUUUUCUUUCUGUCAAACCCAAGUAUCAAAGAAAAUUUGUUUUCUGUUCGGAUUUCAUGGCAAAAAUGGAAGUCACUAGCGAUUCAUUUCUUUUAAAUAGUCUUUGAAGGCUCUAUAAUCAAUGCUGCUUGAUGUUUUAUGAAAUCAAGUCUACAAUAAACGAUCGUCAACUCUGUCAAUUUGAAGCAUGCCAUUACAUUUCUGUCAAAGUUAAAUUCAUAUUCUUUACGUUUAAGUUUUUUUUCAAUUCAGCACUUUUAAUCUUUCGCACUUUAAUCCAUCUGCACUUUUCUGUUCAGACAAAUGCACAUUCCUUCGCAUUUUAAACUUUGUUAUAUCGUUUCAAACUUAAUUUACCAAGUGUUUUUAGUUUCUCCAAAUUUACGUUCAUACAUUUGAGACAUUAUAAAACGACCUUCAUGUUGAUUUAAAUUGUGUAUUUUAUAACAUUUUAACUUGUUUUUACAUUCAUUUUACAAUCCAUGGUAUUGCAUUAAAUUCAUCACUUGAUCAUCAUUCAUUCGGUUGAUAUGUGUCGAGGCACCAAUUUUCUCUACAAAACGAAUAUAAAAAUUGAAUGUCAAACAUGCUCCCUUGUUGAAAUGUAUGUAUAUGCAUUAUAUAUGUUGAAGUUUACUUCUUAACUUCAAUAAUCGCACAUUGAACAUUCAAUUGUAGAUGUUAUCGACGUUAACACUGACACCAUGUCUUCUCCUUUCGUGCUCUUUUUAUCCUCAAAUUCUUCUCCUUCAUUUCCCUCCAAACACUCAAACAAAAUCAAAGAUCCCACAUUCUAAUGGUGAAAACGAGAUGUAGCAACAAAUAAGAUCCAUGGAGAAAAAUAACCAAACAAUAGAGACCAAGAACAUGUGCAUUACAACACAACUAGAAGUGAGCAAAAUGACCCAAACCACGGAGGCCUAAGGAGAAUUGCUCUAUCCGCCCCUCGCAUUGCUCAGCCUAUGAAAACAAGUCGAUUGGGAGUUAUGGUCAGAUAAAAAAAAAACGAUUGAUUCGUAACUCCCGGUAGAUUUUGCUCUAUCUCGAAAGUUACGAUCUAAUAAAUCCUAGAGGAUUUGAGCAAUGUGAGGGUUUUAUAAAGUAGUAUUCUUCCUAAAGCGCACAUUUAAGGUCCUAAAAAGGAAUAUUGCUUUAUGGGGCCCUUACGUUGCUCAAACACUGCUGGAUUUAUCAUAUCGUAACUCUCGAUCGGUCAAAAUCAAGGUCCUAUAAAGGAAUAUUGCUUUAUAGGCCCAUCAUAUUGUUCAAAAACCUUUGAAUUUAUCAGAUCGUAACUCCCGAAUAGCCAAAAUCUAUCGGGAAUUACAACAUAAUCAAUUAUUAAAUCGGAUCGUAACUUUUGAUCCGCUUAUUUUCAAAGGUUGAACAAUGUGAGGGUCGGAUAGAGGAGUUCUCCCUAAUAAAACUAGGGAACAUUUACAAGACCCCAAGCAAAGAUAUGUCUAAUAUAAAGAUCAUGGGACCAAGAUAUAAUAUGCCAUUAUGCAAGGGUUUUGGAUUCUCUCCAUUGAAAAUUCUCUUUAAAUUUUCUCAAGCGAAGUCUAAACCAUCAAACAUGAGUGAAAAAUGAAAAUUAAAUUAUAAAGAAAAGUGGUUGUUGUACUUAAAUGGAGGAAUUACCACACCUUAUUGGAUGGACCAUAUUCAUAGCAUGACUUGACUAUGUAUUAAUUUUUGGAGAAAACUUACGAUUCAUUGGGUGCUUUUCGUAUGAUUCUUAAUUAAAAAUACAUAUUUUUUUGAUAUAACAAACUUUGAGAAAAUUACGAAUUUGAGGAAAUUAUGGUGAAUUUAGUUAAGAACCAUACGAAAAACACCACCUAAGGAAUUGUACCUAAGUUUCUUCUUAAUUUUUUGUGGUCGAAGGAGCACGACUUGACUUAAUCCACUUGAGCCACGCAAAAAAUAAAAUAAAAAUAAAAAAUAAAAACUUGACUUGGCUUGAGCCACACAAAGAAACAUUAAUGGUCCCUAACGGAAAGUUUUUCUAUAAACCUCCUCACCAGGUCUCAGAACCACACACCGAGUGUGGAAAAUUCCAAAUUAUCUUUUGUUUCAUUUUAUUUAUAGUAUUUUAUCCAGAAAACUCCAAAAAAAUUGUUUCUCCAAUACACUAUUUAUAUUUUUUGACAGUAGUACAUUAUGUUCAAAGAUAACUUAAAAUUCUAGUUUUCUAGAAUAGUAAACCGCAAAUUUUGAAUCACCUGAAAAAUACUUUUUAUGCAAAAAUCCAGUUGGGAAUUUAAACAAAACGUGUGGUAGAGGGAACUCAAAAUUGAGAAAGUUAAGUAUGGAGAAACACUUUCCCCUAAUUCUCAACAGAUACACAUGAUGACAGUUCUAAGGAAUAUUUUCACAACAGCUUUGUUGAGCAUAAGUACAAUAAUAUCCAAAGGUGAGUAAACAAAAAAUACAAUACCCAAAGUUUGUAGUCUAACUACGGGGUCCAAAGGGUCAUUAUCUCACACAUGCUCCUUAUGCAAGGCAUUAGAAAACCAUUGUUUUCUCUAGUGCCAAACUCAAAUAAUCAUUUUUGCAUAAGUUUUUAUAUUACACAAGAUUGACAUAAAUCGCACGGAGACAAUUACAAAUUUACAAAUUAUCAACAAAACGCAAACCAAUUAGUAAGAAAUUGACUUUUACCGGCAAGGACGUAGGUUCAACUCUCGUAUACUAACCCUAAAUGAGCCUGCGGGCCACGCAACUAACCUCACCUCAAAUUUUACUUCAAAAAGAAAUCUAUAUUUUAAACCAACUGCAAUUUCAUAACAAAGUUUGAUACCCAAGACAAUAACUGCAAAAUAGUAGUAGUUUUGUGAUUAUUAUUAAUUUAUAAUUAACUAACAAAGGAAACAAAAGGUAUAAAUUUAAGAAACAGUAGAAACAAUUAACAAGACAACGGAGGAAGAUCAUAAGCCUCAUCAUGUUGUUUUGGUUUCCUAAAAGCACUGCUACAUAAGAAGAAUCCAAGAGCAUGACCAAGCACAGCAACCAAAAACACACCACCAUUGAAAGACAUAAGAGCCAACAUAACCAAAUAAGCUAACCCAACCCUAAGAACAUGCAAAAGUGUCUGAAACAAACCGGCAGCAACAUGGUUUGAACCGGGUUUAAUGAACCGUGUACGUGAGAGUAAUUCAAUGAGUACGGCCAUGACGAAAACAAGGAUCAACGCUAAUACAUACAUACCGGUAUCACCGUUAGGCCAAUUGUUGAAGAGAAUUAAAGCGUCUUUGCCCCAGAAGAAUGUCAUGUGCAUCAUACCGUGCAUCUUAUGACCCAUCAUCAUGGUGUUAUUGGUUGAUGAUGAUGAUGAUGGUGGUGAUUUUGGUGGCAUGGUCAUUCCUUCCAUGCCGCCACCGUGCAUGUUACCGCCAUGAUCCAUGGAUGUGAGAUCUGAAGAGGUUUCUGUGUGGUUACAGGGUUUGGUGAAUGUAAUAAAUGUGUAUUUAGGGAUUAUGCUGAAUAAUCGUGGAGUGGUAGUAGUAAUAGUGUAGUACAGUUUGGGCUGAAAUAGGAAAAAACGAAACGUAUAGUAGUACGACGAUGUCGUAUUAUACUGAAGUACAAAUACGUGGAAUUUGAUUGGAUGAUUGUGCGGUAUGAGGCGAAACUGGUGGUCAUAAACCAAACUAUACGGAUAAUGUGACGUAUGGAAGGAAGUAGCCCGAAAUGAAUCUAGUCUUUGGACAAGUAGCGGCCGUGAAACUCCGAUAGUUUAAAAUGGAUGACGUACCGUAUCAUCUGCGUAUCAUACACCGAUACUUGUCUGAUACUUUUCGAUACAUAUUCGAAAAUUAGAUUUUUUUUUUUAAAUAAUUAAUUAUCUGAUACUUUCUGAUACGUAUCACGAGAGUAAGAGAUAUGAGUGCCACGUCAGCGAAGACUAAGUCAAAAGUGGUCUUGGGGGCCAAAACUGCCAAAGAUCCAAUACAUAAAAAACUGUUUUGUAUUUUAAUUAGUUAGGGGCCAGAAUCGCAACUUUUGAAAAGAUAGGAGGUCAAAAGUGCAAUUAAGCCUUAUUUUUAAGGUCUUUAAGAGAAAUGCUCCAUUUGCUAUGUUCUCUAGUUUCUCCAAAAUUUCCUUUCAGACCCCUUCAAUAUCUUUUAGCCCCCUCAAAAUUUUGUUUUUACUGUAAUAUAUUCAUCUGAUAGAUACAUAUGUCCUAGGACGAUGAUGAUUUUUUUUUUUUUUUUUAGGGUUGGUGUGUUGUUGAUGAUGAAGAUCAUGAAGAAGAGGAUAGAAGGAGAAUGAAGAAGAUGAAUAAUAUAAAUCCUAACGUUUUUUUUUUUUGAAUUUAUUUAACGAAAAGGACCAAAAGUAACGGAGAUAAAGAUAAAAUGCUCAAACAAUUUUUUUUUAGUUAAGGGACCAAAGUGAUACCAAAUAAAUACUUAGGACCAAAAGCGCAUUUAAACCUUUUAUUUACCUACCAUCUUAUAUCUAUAAUUUUAAUUAAAAUCAAUUUUUUUUUUAAUUAUUGUUUGAAAAUUCUACACAUUAACUCAAUCAAAAAAACUAGUUUCCUUUUUUUUUUAUUAGAUGAUGUGUAAAAAAACGAGUAUUUAAUAAUAAAAAAAGUUUGUCUAAGAUGUACAUUGCAUAUGUUAAAACAAUUAAUAGUAGUAAUUUUUUUUUGAAAAACAACAAUUAUUUAUUUAAAAGUUUUAUAUUAAUUAUUAAAUGUACAAAUUUUAAUAUAAAUUUUUUAUUUUAAUCUUCUUAACAUGUGCAAAUUUACACAUCAUAAAAAAACCAUGAUAAAAUUAAAGUUUCAAUUUUCAAAACAAUAUAUCUAAUUUAAAAAUAAAAGAAAAAAGAGCAAAACUUUAUUCUGGGAAAAUGAAGAAGGGAAAAAGCAUCUAACGACCCAUCCAUUAUCCAUAGCCAGCUCAUCGAUCCGCAUCAUCGUUUUACCAAAACAAAAUCCUGACCUUCCGUCAUCAUAUCCUAUGGCAAUGUAAUUAACGUAUUAAAAAAAAUCCACGUCAUCGAUCCGCAACGAACCUCUCUAACCAAUAGAAACACGAGAACCAUCUCUUAUAUUAAUCUCACCGCAUCAUCCUCAAUUCAUCAAAUUCUCAAUUCAAACCUUCUUCGCAUUCAAAUUUUCUUUUUCUCUCAAAAUCUCAGUUCGAAAUGGACGCAAGCCCAAAGGCAACGAAGAAGGGAGCCGGUGGAAGGAAAGGAGGAGGACCAAGGAAGAAGUCGGUGACAAGAUCAAUCAGAGCCGGUCUUCAAUUUCCAGUGGGAAGAAUCGGUAGAUACUUGAAGAAAGGAAGAUACGCUCAGCGUGUCGGAACAGGUGCUCCGGUAUACCUAGCAGCAGUUCUUGAAUAUCUUGCUGCUGAAGUUCUUGAGUUGGCUGGAAAUGCAGCACGUGAUAACAAGAAGAAUAGAAUCAUUCCAAGGCAUGUGUUGUUGGCUGUUAGGAAUGAUGAAGAGCUUGGUAAAUUGCUUAAUGGUGUU